rnacentral:lncRNA from 1 species
GGACAGAGCAUCAAUCGCUAAAGAACUUCCAGAUUCAGUCACUUCAGCCCUCACUGGUUAGAAAGCAAAGGCAAACAAACAUCAAACAGUAGGUCUCGGAUCAACCAUCCAUCACACCUCUUCAAACAUAAUCAGAAGUAAGGAUGUUCUUUGCAAGUUUGAUUACAAAUCACCACAAAUUUCCCUGCUUAGAACAAUGUCAAGCACGGUGAACAAUUCACUAACUUCGGUGCAGCAAAGGAAGGCCAAUACAUUGUCAGAAGCGCAACUAUGCUUGGUCAGACACACAAUCAUUAGAACAUCACAUACAAAAAAAUCAGCAGCAGCAACCUGAACCCACUACACCUCACUCCAAGUGAAAGCAAAAUAACUAAUCUUCAGUACAGGUAGUGACAGUACAAAGCGACGGCCAAGCAAUCAGCGUACAAAUCUCAAGAAGACUUCAAGUCAGAGGCCGCCACCCGCGCGCCUCCGCAGGGAACCUGGCCGGGGGCCAAUGGGCCACAGCCAUGGGCACCACCGUUUGGGGAAGCAGCUCCGGGGCCGUGCCGGCGGCCGGUAGCACUGCCCCCGCGGUGCGCACCAAAGGCCAAGGCUGCGCCGUGGGCGCCGCCUCUGUUGCGGGCUGGUGCACUGUAGAACGCUGCCUUGCCGACCAUGUGCCAUCGCCCCGCAGAGCGUCUUGGCCAAAAAUAUGAAACAUAAUGCAAUGACAUGUUUAAAACUUUUUAUAAAGUAAAAAUAUUUCAGAAAAAUAGACAUCACAGUUUUCCAUAUGUAUCACACAAUAAUGUUUAGACUUUGUAGUUUUUUCUAAGAAGGUUGACCAUAUAUUCAAUACCAGUUGUUGAAAUAGGAACAUAUAGUUCUGCAUUUCCACUCUACACAUUGUUAUUUCAACAAAAAUGAAUCCAUUUUCAGAUAUUUUUCAUAUUGAUGAACUUCAAAUUGCUCAUUGUUUGAAGUAUUCGACAGUCUAUACACAGUCAGGGCAAGAUUGGACAGAGGAUGAUAAGGGUAAGAAGAUGGACCAGACACCAGAUUAGUGGACGACUAUGGGAUGACCUCAUAAUUCAGAAGGGAGUCAAAGUAAUACUCCCUCCGUUCCAAAAUAGAUGACCCAACCUUAUACUAACUUUGUAUUAAAGUUAGUACAAAGUUGAGUUAUCUAUUUUGGAACGGAAGGAGUACAUGAUAAGACAUCCUUAAAUUCAGCAUUCAAGGUCGUAAUAAUAUCCUGAUACUACAGAUAUGCUGACAGCAGAGCACGGUGUCCGUACCAAGUGGAACCAAACUUGUAGGCAAGUAAACCUGACACCAUACCAAUAUGUAAAUAAGAAGCAAAAGCGCAAGGAAAACAUAGCUCACACAAAGGACCGAGAAUUAGUGGCAUAAAUUACCAAAAGCAACCAGUUGUCCUAUAGUUCAAAUCAAAUUCUAAAGCGGAGGCUGAAUAUGGUAGAGACCCGUCAUCUUUUUAUUUUAAAACUUGUAGCGCCAGGAAUUACUCAGGGACAUUGUACACUGCAACAAUUUAAUGUUUGCUUGUACAUCACCGAGGACAUAUAGCUCCAUCUGUAAAUUCAGUAAAUUUGUACAAAUUCAGUAUAUUGACAAGGAUCAAUAUGUAGCUGAGCACCCUCUCAUAUUGAUCAUUGUCUACCUAUACACGGGGCAAAUUAGUUACCCACACACAUAUACACACACACAUGGGGAUCUAGAAGAAGAAAAAUCGGAUCAUCUAUAGGUGUUAUAUCUUUGCAGAAGGUAAAACCUUAGAGGUACCCUAAGUAAAAUUCAAUGUGUGUAAACUGAUCUGACAAGCGAAACUUUAAUUCAACAAACAUGGCAAUCACUAAUUCCGAUAAGAAGACAUGCUUGAUUAUAUGAUCUAAACAAUAGCCUUGUUAUAUUACCUGACGAUAUAGGGAUGACUGAAACUUAAAGUCCAUAAAUUAAGAAGUAAUAGGUCACAGGUUGCAGAAGAGGACCACGCUUGAAUUUCCAAAUGUUUAUCAAAUGAUCAAAAAGUCCAGUUUGAGACACUAUCAUCUGCAGCAGGGAAAUAUAGUAACAUCUGGGCAGUAUAGUUAGAAGCAAAAAUAAUGCAACUAAGCAAUCAUGAUGGAAAAGGUAAAACUAAUACAAACAGAGUACUACAGAGAACUACCAAUAUCACUGAUAAGUACUGAAUCCAACACACACAAAAAUCAACACUCUUAGCUGGAUGCUCCAGAUCUCAGGCCCACCUCACCUACCUCCUUCUUAGCUGUGUAGUUGCAGUGCUGACCAAGCAGCAUGACACUGCCAACGCGCGCCGGUGAUCAGCAUCAGUGUGAACUCGCCAUCAACGAAAUGAUCUUUCCCCUGUUCUAUUAGCGGGAGGUAUACUUCUCCAACACUGAACAUUCGGACUUCUCAGACAAAAUAUUUGGACACACAUGAGGAUUAAUUUUUGGAAUUAAUUGGUGCAUGCAUACAUUUUAUUUUUUGUCGAGUAGCUUGGGGAAUGAGGUCCCUUUAAUCUGAAUAAGAAAAAUACAAAAGUUGUUUAUCACUCUAUCCAUUUUUUCACCACUACUAUAUGGUUCCUGUAGGUUCGGGUUUAUUCUGAAAAAUAGUAGCAUCAUUAUUAGCAACGUUCAGUAGGUCAUUGCCUCUAUAUGAAUUGGCCUUUUGGAUAUGUGAUUCCACUCUUUUAAAAUUUAUUCAGUAUAAUCCUUGUAUAAUGUGUGAGAAAUCUAAUAAAAUAUGUUUAGACCUUGAGAAGCAUAUUAACAAAUAGGUGGCUAGCACGAUUGGCAAAACAGAGCAUGAUGGAUGACAGAGAAAGAGAGACAGAUAGAGAGAGUAUUUUUAGACCUUGAGAAGCAUAUUAACAAAUAGGUGGCCAACACAAACUUGCAAAACAUAGAAUACUGUAUGAGAGAGAGAUUGGGAUGCAACGUUGCUUACACAUAAAUUUUCUUGUGGACAUUUAGCAACUGGAUCAUGACUUGGGGUGAGGGAUCCAUGGUGGUCAUAAAAGAACCCGCAUUUUCGAGAUCUCACAGCAGCUGACUGGUGACUCCCUGUUUGGGCUCCGUAGACGCUUACGCAGCUGGAAUAAAAGGCAAACGUAUUGUCACCUGUUACCUUUCUUUCACGAAUUACAUUGCAUCAGAGAAUGGUAUAGGGCAAGGCAAAUCACAAAGUAACCUGGUUAACCUAUUGCAAUAUCAGCUCCUUUGUUUUGUUUUCAUGGAGCUGAUUCUCUAUCCACACAACAACCAUCUCACCGGUUGUGCCCAUAACAUCCGAGCCAACAUUUUCUUUACCGACAGCAGAUUCAAUCCUGUUGAUGCAGAAAUUUAUUCCAUCAUGAAAAUGAGUUUAAUUGCAGCACUGGAAGGGUAGUUAAAUUCAUGUACAUCACAACCCAUCAUAAGGAACUAACCUGACAGCGUGAGUACCAUCAAAUAAACACAGACCGACCUUACUUUAUGUGGGCCUGUAUGCACGAACAUAGAGCAUUACCAUAUUAUUUGCAAUUUACGGAUAAUUCAUAAAAGAAUCAUCUCACGAGAAACUCUUCUAUGGAUGGAAUUUUGUACAAGCAACGAGAAAAUAGAGAAAAUGGCAUACCUCUGCAAUUAACGAAUUGAGGAUCAUCCCUCUGUACCGGCUCAACACUUGUUUACAUUUCAUGCAGAUAAUUUCCUCAGCUCCAAUUGAAUGGCUCUGUGAACAAUUAUAGCCUACAAACAGCAUAACAUAGGCAACAAUCUAGUCUAACAAAAGACAUAAUCUAUUUCUGUAUUUCAAGGCCAUGUUGUGAAGAAGUAUUUUCCAUCCUACUAAUAUGUACCUAGAGGGUUAGACAAUUCUGAAGCUAAAGAAGGCACCUCAAAUACUCAGCAUGUUUCUUUGUUCCUCACCUGUCAGUGCACGUCGGUGACAGCCGGAGGAAGCCAACAUGCAUCCACCUGCAAGGACUUCACGCCGCCGCGCCGGAUCCCUCUUUCUCCCGCGCCUGUCUACCGUCUCCUGGCUUCGGCGAGUUCCUGCCGAGAUCGUCGCACCGUCCGUUCUUUCUCCCUCACCUCAUAUCUCCUUUCUGCCCAGGGGCCGCCAUGGAUCCGCCUGGGAAGCCGCACUCCGUCCUUCAUACGCGUCACCGACGACCUCCCCAUCGCCACGCAUGGAUCUGGGUCCUACAAGUCCGUCCCCCGAUGUUCUGCAUCGAAUGCGAGCCCUCCCGGGCGGUGCACAGCGAGGAGCUCAGGCACACGGAGGAGAGGAGUUGAAGCGAAACGGCGGCGAAGGGCGCUUCAAUCGCCAUCGUCAGCCGGCGGCCGGCGCGGCACCAUAUCGAGCACGGCGCGAGAUCGCGCCUCCUGGCGGCUGGGAUCGAGGGGUGACGGAAAGAACUACAGGUUGAUUCUCUGAAACCACAUGUUUUUUUGCAGCAACUUGGUCCUCGAGCAACGGCCCAACUUGGCCCAUAUGCGUGAGACGUGAAAACAAAGGCCUGAAUUACUUGAUUUCGUGGAUAGGUCAAGGUGGGCCGGAGGUACAAGACGGGAGGAUGCUCGAUCACGUGCUCGAUCAGGCGACGCACGAAGCUCAAAAUUUAGUACCACCUUGAUUAUGAUUUAAAUUUAAAGUGAAUGCGUAAAUUCACGAGAAGAAGCACAUUGUGACAGUGAACCCGAAGACUUAAUCCGUGCUUUAUUAUUAGGGAGAGAAGAAAGCAUCGCACGACGCAUACGAACUCGUUUAAUAUUACAGGAUCACAUGGGCAUGUUCAUUCAAAAAUUACAUCCUUGGCAUACUCAUCUGCCACUAAGCGGGAACCCUUCAAGACACUCUCAUAAUAAUUCUCGGGGCAGCGAUGCUCCUUGCCCUCCGGUGGACCCUCCUUCACCAGCUUCACAACGUCCAACUUCGCCCAGUGCACCUUCGCCCGGGCAAAAGCCCUGCGUGCACCCUCGAUGCAGAUGGACCGCUUGAUGACUUCAAGCCGUGGACAGGCUUCCACUAGCCGCCUCACCAGGCCGAAGUAGCUGCCGGACAGGGGCUCGCCAGGCCACAUCCGGACUAUAAGGCCCUUCAUGGCCUGUUCGGCUGCCUUGUGACGCUCGACCAACUGCUUCAGUAGGUCGCUCAAGGGCACGGGGUGUUCGGUCCCAGUAUACUGAGACCAGGACAACUUCUCCAUUGAGCUCUCCUCCUCAGCCCGGUAAAACUCCACGGCAUCUAGUACACUGCGGGGAAGAUCUACAAACGCUCCUGGAGAGCUCCGAACUCGGGUAAGAAAAAGGAAAGUCUCCUUCACAUGCUUGCUUUGCAUAUUGAAUGCCUUACCCGCUAAUAUCUUCUUCACCGCGUCAAUAUCCUGAAGGGCCUUGUGGGCUUCGGCCUUGGUGCUCCGGAUGCUUUCAACUGCCUGCGCGAGCUCAGACUCUCGCGUCUUGGAGUCAAGCUCCAAGGACUCGUGCUUUUUGGCAAGAGCCUCGAGCUCUUGCUGCACCUCGCCUACUCGGGCUUCUUGUUUCUCCCGUUCAAUGCGUUCUUUGGCCGCUUUGUCUUUGGCCUCAGACAACGCCUUCCUUAGGGUCUCCACCUCGGUCGUGGCCCCUGACAAAUUCAUGACGAUCCUAUUACUUCACACCCAAACUUCUUUUCAACUAUAUAGACAUGGGUAUAUCUUACCUUUGCUCUCUUCGAGCUGCCUCUUCGUAAGGCCGAGCUCGUCCUUGAUCCGCUUCAGGGCCUGCUUCAGCGCAGAGACCUCCGCAGUACAUGCGGCAGCGGCCAGAACUGAAGCCUGCACAUACACAUAGACAUACUCUAAUUAGACUCCUGAGUUAUCAUUUGAUCCUCAUUCGGUUUUUCUUCGCGAAUGCCGAACAGAGCAUCAGGGGCUACUAUCUAUGCGAUAAUAUUUUCUUAUAUUUUGAUUGCUUACCUCAAAGCCUGUUAGGAGGCUGGCGCAAGCUUCGGUCAGUCUGUUUUUGGCGGACUGAACCUUCCCGACCACCGCACUCAUGAUAGUGCGGUGCUCUUCAUCGAUGGAAGCGAUGUGAAGCGCUUCCAGCAAGUUGUCCGGUGCCUUUGGUUGGAUAGAGGACACCGGCACGAAUGGUUGGCCCCCUUAAUGGGGGACCGCCUGCCGGAGUCCGGAACCAUUGAAGGUUCCGACGCAGUGUCCGGCUAGGUCCCGAACUCGAAGCCCGUAGGAGCCUCGCUCCCUUGGUACCCAGGGUCCGGGAGGUCGCCGUGAGGCGCCCCCAGGAUCACCUCCCCUUAGCUUGGUGCCUUUUGAGACAAAACCUCGGCGUUGUCCGUAGGGCGAGGGGUGGAAGCGGUCGGAGGAGAACCGCUGUUCAUAUCCGAUGAGUCCAAAGAGCCGCUCGACGAGGGUACGUCGAGAUGAGCUCGGGACGGACUGCAUAAUCAUGUUCGGCAUGAGGAAAGGCAGUACAAUAAAACAUACCGUGAAGCACCAUGGUGUCCGGACACUUAUGACUUCGCCAGGGGCUUGUCCUUGGGUAGCCACUCGUCGCCGCUGUCGGCGGCCAUUGUGGCAUAGUCCGGAGGGAGGGUCCUUCCCUUCUUGGACCCUUCGACCUCCCCGGAUGGGUCGGCCUUCCUUUUCUUGUCUCCCCUAGCGGGGGGGGGGGACUUUUCUCCUCCUCCUCAUUUCUGUGGGAGGAGUGCGUGUCGAAGUCAUCGGACGAUGAGUCCGAUAUAACCUUGCGCCGGAGACCCUUUCGGGUGCCCGUGGCCUUCUUCGUGGCCUUCUUUGCCGGCACCUCGUAAGGUGCCGGAGUCAGCAUCUUCGUUAGAAGAGCAUCUGCAGGAUCUUCAGGCAGGGGGCUAGACAGUUAAGCUGCUCCGCUGUCUCUAUCCAGUCCUGUUAAUGACAUGGAAGCUUUUAUCCAGCACAUAACUAAACCGGGGCAACUAAAUACCCUGAGAGAUAUAAAAGCCUACCGGAUGGGCGCGGCGCUUUGCGCUGAGUCCGCGGUCCUCGGUGAGGGAGGGAGGCAUCUCGGCGCUCUUGAACAACACCCUCCAGACGUCCUCGUGCGUCAUGUCAUAGAGCUCUCGCAGCGUCUGGUGCUUGGCCGAGUCGAACUCCCACAAAACAAAUGCCCGUCGUUGACACGGAAGGAUCCGGCGGAAGAGCAUAACCUGGACCAUGUUGACGAGCUUGAUUUUCUUGUUCGUCAUGUUCUGGAUGCAGGUCUGGAGUCUGGUCAGCUCUACUGAAGAACCCCAGGACAUGCCCUUCUUUUUCCAGGAGGUGAGCCACGUGGGGAUUCCAGAUAGAAAUUUGGGGGCUGCCACCCAGUUGCAGUCGCGCGGCUCGGUGAUGUAGAACCACCCCGAUUGCCACCCCUUUAUGGUAUCCACGUAGGUGCCCUCGAGCCAGGUGACAUUAGGCAUCUUGCCCACCAUGGCGCCUCUGCACUCUGCUUGCUGGCCGCCCACCACCUUCAGUUUGGCAUUGAAGGUUUUCAGCCAUAGGCCGAAGUGGGGCCUGAUGCGGAGGAAGGCCUCGCACACGAUGAUAAACGCCGAGAUGUUGAGGAUGAAGUUGGGGGGCCAAAUCAUGAAAAUCCAGCCCCUAGUAGAACAUGAGCUCGCGGACAAAUGGGUGGAGAGGGAAUCCAAGUCCGCGGACGAAAUGGGUAAGAAAAACUACCCUCUCAUGGGGUUCGGGCGUUGGUACGAUCUGCCCCACAUUUGGCAGCCAGUGUGCAAUAUCCACGGCCAAGUAUCCGGCUUCCCGUAACUUUUUGAUGUUCUCCUCCGUGACGGAGGAGACCAUCCACUUGCCUCCUGCUCCAGACAUGCUUGGAGUGGUUCGAGAAGAAAAACGUGAGCUUGGGCGCUAGAGCUCGAGUGUGCGGGAAUGGGUAAGUGAGGAGGAAGAAGGCGUGGGUGAAAAAAGUAAAUCUUUGUCCCUUUUAUAAGGGCGGAAGAGGCGAUGUGCCUCCCCACUUACCUAGCAAAACCGCUUAUUCCCCAGGCACCGUAAUUGAUGGCGCGGUUGGGUUACCCACGUCUGUAUUGAUGAGAAUCCCGUGAUAGGGGGAACACGGUCUCUGCUUUGACAAGACGUGUCAAGAAAACCGCCUCGCGAUAUGUGCGGAGCUGGUUAAGAAAAGCGGUUCAAAUAAAAACCGGGCCAUGGCAUGAUGUCAUGCUGUCAAAACGUGUCAAUAGAUUAGAUUCAUGGAAAUAUUAUUCUCUCUACGGUGGCAUGUGGAACUUAUUUUGCAGGGUCGGACACUAUCCUUGUAUUCAAGAUCUUCAAUGGUGUAUUCGGAGGAGGAACCCGCCUUGCAAUGCCGAAGACAACACUGCGCACCGGACUCAUCGUCAUUGAAGCCUGGUUCAGGGGCUACUGAGGGAGUCCUGGAUUAGGGGGUCUCCGGACAGCUGGACUAUAUCCUUUGGCCGGACUAAUGGACUAUGAAGAUACAAGAUUGAAGACUUCGUCUUGUGUCCGGAUGGGACUCUACUUGGAGUGGAAGGCAAGCUAGGCAAUACGGAUUUGUAUAUCUCCUCCUUUGUAACCGACCUUGUGUAACCCUAGCCUCCUCCGGUGUCUAUAUAAACCGGAGGGUUUUAGUCCGUAGGACAAUAUACAAUCAUACCAUAGGCUAGCUUCUAGGGUUUAGCCUCUUUGAUCUCGUGGUAGAUCAACUCUUGUACUACUCAUAUCAUCAAGAACAAUCAAGCAGGACGUAGGGUAUUACCUCCAUCAAGAGGGCCCGAACCUGGGUAAACAUCGUGUCCCCUGCCUGCUGUUACCAUCCGCCUUAGACGCACAGUUCGGGCCCCCCUACCCAAGAUCCGCCGGUUUUGACACCUACACCAGUACUCAAAGCAUAUUUUUAGAACAAAUAGCAUCCAUCAAACGCGGGGGAAGAUCGUGGCUUAAUGUUUUGCCUCCCAACUUAGUUAUCAUAGAGAUAAUUGUCAACAAUAAUAAUUCAUGACCAAAUAUAUUUGUAUGGAUAUAUGUGUCUGGAUCUUUCCCCACCACAUGAUUCUUGGCAAGUAGAGAAUAACUGAGGUUGGAAUUAGAAGUUGACUCAAAAAUAAAAUUGAUAGAAAAAAAUAAAGAAAUGUCAUUCACAGAGGGAAGCAUGGAUUUGCUUAUGCGCCAGAGCUCAUUGCUUAAAACAAAGAUGAAUACAUUUUGAGUGGUGUGCUUUUCCUAUCAACGUCACGACAAAGGAUUUCAAUAUCUUCCAUACUAAACACAUUAUUGGCGGUUCCCAUGCAGAAAGGAAAAUAUUUACUCCCCGUAGCCACACAAUCACAAGCCAUGGCUAGCUGAAUCCAUGGGUGCCCUCCAAACAAUCGACUUUUCGGUGGGAGUUUGUUUUAUUAUAUUUUUCUUUAUUUUUUUGACAGGAUUGGGCAUCCCAAUUACCAGCCUUUUUUGUGUAAUGACAAGUGAAUAAACACUCAUCGAUAAACCACUUAUCAUGGAAGAUACUAACACACAAAACAGAUGUGUAUUUGAAGGUUUUAGAGAUGGCACAUGCAAAUUUACUUGGAACGGUAGGGAAAUACCAUAUAUAGGUAUUGUGGACACUCAUGGAAGAAACUUGGCUCAAGGAUUUUGAAUGCACAAGUUGUAUUCCCUCUUAGUAUAGAAAUUUUGGCUACCAAAGAUUAUAAACAAGCACCACAUAUUGGAGGAUCCGUAACAAUAUAACUUCUAUGCAAAUAUACCCGAACAUAACUCACUACGUUGUCUUCCUUGUCCAACUUAAACCAAUGUGAUCAAGUUUGAAAAUAAUUGAUGGGAAUUCACAAUCAUAAAAGAUGUCCAAGAUAAUAUAUUUGUAUGUGAAGUUUCUCUUCCUUCAAUAUUCUUUCAUGAAUUGUUCAAGUGACCAACGCUGUGUUUGUCAACUUUUAAUAAAUUUUACCACUUAUACUUUAUAUGAGAAGUCAUUACUCCCCAUGGGAUAACCAUAUGAAACAUAUAUAAUUUCAGAUUUACGAUACUCGAUUCAUUCAAACAUUUACUCUUAGGAUAUAAGUGAAGCACGAGAGUAAAUGACAAACUACCCCAAAAGAUAUCAGUGAAAAUCAAUGAGUAGUUAAACAAUUAAGUGGUAUGUGAAGACUCUCUCCAAAUCAAGAUUUCUGAAUCAAGUAUUUUAUUCAAACAACAAACAAAUGAAAAGACGCUCCAAGCAAAACACAUAUCAUGUGACGAAUAAAAAUAUAGUUCCAAGUGAGGUUACCGAUAAUGUUGAUGACGAAAGAGGGGAUGCCAUCCGGGGCAUCCGGAAGCUUAGACACUUGAGUCUUACUUGAAUUUUACCUUGGGAUGCCUUGGGCAUCCCCAAGCUUAGAGCCUUGCCGCUCCUUAUUCUCCUCAUAUUGAUAUCUCACCCAAACUUUAACUUAAUGAAACUUCAUGAGAUGCGCUAGUAUAAUAAAACAAAUCAUUCACUUGGGUACAGUUAAGACAAGAUUCAUAACUGUUUCCACAUAAUGCCUACUGUACUCUAUCAUUUCUACAAUUUAUAUUGACCAAUAUAAGCCAUAGAAACUAUAAAACAAGCAAACUAUGAAGUGAAUGCAAAAUCUGUCAAAAACAGAACAAUCUAUAAUGAUCUGAACAAAAACCAUACUUCUGCAUCUCUAAAAUUCUUAAAAGUUAAGACAAUGUAGGAAAUUUGUAUAUCAACAUUGUGUAAGAAUUUAAGAUCAAAAUCACAUUCCAGUAAAUUAUAGAAAUCCCUAGACUGGUCGCAAAAGUUUCUAUUUUUACACAGAAUCAAGUCAACUAUCAUCCACAUCAUCCCAAUGGCGUUACUUGGCACUUUAGUGAAGCAAAAGCUAUAAACAUGAUUACUAGAGUAUCUUAAUCAUGUGAAUACACAAAAACAUAAGGUAUAAGUAUUGUGCUGCCUCCCAACAAGCAUUUUUCUCUAAAGCCUUUUUAGCUAGACAUGAUGAUUUCAAUGAUGCUCACAUAAGAGUAAAGAAUUGAAACAUAACGAGAGCAUCAUGAAGCAUAUGACUAGAAAAUUUAAGCCUAACCCACUUCCUAUGCAUAGGGAUUUUGUGACCAAACAAAUUAUGGGAGCAAGAAUCAACUAGCAUAGGAAAACAAAAUAAGCAUGACUUCAAAACUUUCAACACAUAGAGAUGAAACCUGAUAUUAUUGAGAUUGUAAAAGAAUAUAUAUGUUCCUCUCUCAUAAUAAUUUCUAGUGGCAUCAUGAAAAAAAUCCAACAAUAUAACUAUCACAUAAAGCAUUCUUUGCAUGAUCCACAAGCAUAUAAUUUUUAAUACUCUUCUCAUCCAUAAUAGUGGGAGUAUCACAUGAAACUCGAAAAAAGUCCAUUUUACUACCCUGAAGAAACUUGGUGGUUCACAUUACCCACUGAUGUUUAUUUAUGUUCCCUUACCCCCUCAACAAUCCCAAACCAGUCAAAAAGCAUCCCUGGCUGGUUUGGCCCGGCUGGUUGCCGACAUGGACAUGUCAACGACGGUAUUUGACCAGUGGGGCCUGAUACGUCUCCAAUGUAUCUAUAAAUUUAGAUUGUUCCAUGUUGUUAUAUUAUCAUUCUUGGAUGUUUUACAAUCAUUUUAUAGUCAUUUAUAUCAUUUUUUGGUACUAACCUAUUGACAUAGUGCCCAGUGCCAGUUGCUGUUUUCUGCAUGUUUUUACAUCGUGUGAAAUCUAUAUCAAACGGAGUCCAAAUGCAGCGAAACUUUUUGUGGAUUUUUUGGCACCAGAAGACAUCCAGUGGGCCAAAGAAGUACCGAAGAGGGAGACCGACGUGAGCACAAGACACCAAGGCGCCUGGAGGCCCAGGCGCGCCCUGGUGGGUUGUGCCCACCUCGGUGGACUCCCGAACCACCUCUUUGCUCUAUAAAUACCCCAAUAUUCCAGAAACCCUAGGGGAGUCAACGAAAAUCAAUUCCAGCCGCCGCAAGUUCCAGAACCACCAAAUCCAAUCUAGACACCAUCACAGAGGGGUUCAUCAUGUCCAUUGGUGCCUCUUCGAUGAUGCGUGAGUAGUUCUUUGUAGGCCUACAUAUCCAUAGUUAGUGGCUAGAUGGCUUCCUCUCUCUCUUUUGAUUAUCAAUACAAUGGUCUCUUGGAGGUCCAUAUGAUGUAACUCUUUUUGCGGUGUGUUUGUUGGGAUCCGAUGAACUUUGAGUUUGUGAUCAGAUCUAUCUUUUUAUCCAUGGAAGUUAUUUGAGUCUUCUUUGAUAUCUUAUAUGCAUGAUUGCUUAUAGCCUCGUAUUUCUUCUCCGAUAUUUGGGUUUUGUUUGGCUAACUUGAUCUAUUUAUCUUGCAAUGGGAAGAGGUGCUUUGUGAUGGGUUCGAUCUUACGGUACUUGAUCCCAGUGACAGAAGGGGAACCGACACGUAUGUAUUGUUGCCAUUAAGGAUAGCAAGCUGGGGUCUAUUUACACAUAAAUAGAUCUUGUCUACAUCAUGUCAUCGUUCUUAUUGCAUUACUCCAUUUCUCCAUGAACUUAAUACACUAGAUGCAUGCUGGAUAGCGGUCGAUGUUGUAACGCCCCAUAUGUAACCUGCCAUAAUUGUAUUCCAACUCUUGCCAUUUCCGGCACUAAGUUAUGAGAUUCCUCGUUGUUGGGUUUUUGUCUUCGUGUUGUUUUGUCUUUGUUAUGCAUCUCAUAUCAUGUCAUCAUGUGCAUCGCAUUUGCAUACGUGUUCGUCUCAUGCAUCCGAGCAUUUUCCCCGUUGUCCGUUUUGCAUUCCGGUGCUCCUAUGUCCUCCGGUGGCCCUUUCUACCUCUUUUCGUGUGCGGGUAUUAAACAUUCUCGGAUUGGACCGAGAAUUUCCAAGCGGCCUUGGUUUACUACCGGUAGACCGCCUGUCAAGUUUCGUGCCAUUUGGACUUCGUUUGAUACUCCAACGGUUAACCGAGGGACUGAAAAGGCCUCGUGUGUGUUGCAGCCCAACACCCCUCCAAAGUGGCCCAAAACCCACCUAAACACCCUCCAUCAUCUUGGUCGUUCGAUCAUGAUCGUGUGGCAAAAAACUAUGCUCAAUUUGGAGCCUCCUAGCUCCUCCUACCUAUAAAAAGGUCCCUCUCCCCCGAAAUCCGGACGAAACACUAGACCCCUCCCUCGCCACGUCGCCGACCGCCGCCCUCUCGGCCACACUUGCCUCGCGCCGCCACCGUCGCCUCCAGCCACCGCAUCUCCGCGGCCUCGUCUCGGCGUCCGCGCCCGCCGGCGGCGCCGUUCCCCGCUGCGGCCACACCACCUCGCCCGACGCCGCCUCGGGCGUCAAGCCUCCUUGCUGGCGAAGACCCCCCUCACCGGACCACCUCUGCCCCGGCUGAAGCUCUUCCUCAACUCCGACGAGAGAAGCCUGGCCAUCCUCGAAACGCGUGCAAACCUGAUCCAGAUCUGAGAUUCGGUUGACCUUUUGCCCUAACCCUAGCUUUUUAUGCAUUUUUCAUCAUGCUAUAUCUCUGCAUCCGUGGCUCCAUUUUGGGCAUGUAGCAUGUCAAAUUGUUCGUCUCAACGAGUAAUUAAUUUCAUCUCAUUGCACCAUGUUCAUUUGAGCUCAUGUUGAUGCCCUAAAUGCUAUUGGAAGAGUGCUAGUUUAUAUUAGUUUCAGAUCCUUAUCAGGAUUUGGACAUUUGUCUUUUUUGCCAUGAUUAAUGUGUGCCUCCUAUGAUCUUGAGCCCUACAUGAGUUUUGAAGUAUGCCAUGCCAUCUUUACAGGGGUGUAUGCCAUGUAUUUUUGUGAUCUCUGUGGUGACUAGCACAAGCAUGCAAAGUAGCCCUUGUAAUGUUGCUGAUUUCAGGGACUUAGAAAUCUUCUAAGUCUCUGCCCUGUUAAUAUUUUUAUGCCAUGUAUCCUUGUUGCUACAGAGUGAUCCAUGCCUCUUUUGAGCAUGAUCAGUAAGGAUGUUUUGUACAUAUUGUUGUGCUCUAUCCAUUAAUGUCUUUUUUUGCGAUUAUGGAGCACCCUAGCUUGACUCAAUCAAUCUCUACUUUUGCUAUAAAAUGUUCCUGGCAGAAUGUUUACAUGUUAAGUAUUUUUGCCGAGCUUGUUGUAGUUGAUCCAUGCAUGCUAUGCUGUUGUUCUUGUCAUGUUUAGCUUCUAUGUCAUGUCUACUUGCUGGGUGUAUGCUUAGCUUGUCAUGCAAUGCUUUGUGGUGAGUGCAUCGAGCUCGUAAACAUGCCUACUUAAUAUCUGUUUUGCCAAGUUCCAGUUUUCUACUAAGUCUGAAUCUGUUAACGAAACUUGCUAUGUUAACGUGGUUGCCAUUGUAUUUUCUGAUCCCUUUUGGCUUAGGGUCACUAAGGGACUUUUGUUGUAUGCUUGGAGUAGCUUCAUGCCAUGCCUUGCUUUGCCAUGAUAUGUUCCUGUAGCAUGUCUUGCUCUAAACAUUGCUUCCUAAUGUUAAAUUCCUGACAUGUUGUCAUUUUCACUAAGUCUGUAACCUGUUAUCUUUUGCACUUUUUCCAUGCUUGUUUGAACCUGCUAUUGAGUGAAUUAGCCGUAGCUCAGUGUUCAUAUUUUGUCAAGCAUCUUGAGUGUAUCCCUGCCAUGUAUUUUGUUGCUAUGUUAGAGUGCUGUAGCAUGUUGUUCUUGAUGCAUUUAGAUGGCCUCGUGCUGUUAAUCGCAGAUCGGUGCCAUAUUUGUUUUGCUUGCCAUUUGCAAAUCAUGCAUCUGAUUCCGAUAAUCUUUAUAUCGAUUUCACCCGAAAUCAACUCCCCUUUCCAGUGGCACUCUUGGUUUUCCAAGUUGAGGCCAGGUUCAAUCUUUCCUUUCUGAAACAUGCAUAUGCAUCGCAUAUCACAUCCCGCAUAUCAUGCCAUGUUUUGCAUCAUGUUGCCUGUGCAUUGCACGCGGUUGAUUGUGUCUCCCUUUGCUUGUGUUCUUGAUUUGGGUAGAGUCGAGAGAUGAGUACGUGAUCGAGGAGCCCGUUGAGUACGCUUAUGAGGAUCAAGCUAACGUCUACUCGGAGAACUUUGCAGGCAAGAUGACCAUACCCUCGAAAUCACUUCUAUCUUUGCUUGCUAGAUGCUCGCUCUUUUGCUAUGCCUAUGCUACGAUACCUACCACUUGCUUAUCAUGCCUCCCAUAUUGCCAUGUCAAACCUCUAACCCACCUUGUCCUAGCAAACCGUUGUUGGGCUAUGUUACCGCUUUGCUCAGCCCCUCUUAUAGCGUUGCUAGUUGCAGGUGAAGAUUGGAGUUUGUUCCUUGUUGGAACAUGUUUAUUGUUGGGAUAUCAUUAUUAUAUCUUGUCUACUUUAAUGCAUCUAUACACUUGGUAAAGGGUGGAAGGCUCGGCCUUAUGCCUGGUGUUUUGUUCCACUCUUGCCGCCCUAGUUUCCGUCAUACCGGUGUUAUGUUUCUUGAUUUUGCGUUCCUUACACGGUUGGGUUAUAAUGGGAACCCCUUGACAGUUCGCCUUGAAUAAAACUCCUCCAGCAAUGCCCAACAUUGGUUUUACCAGUUUCCACCUAGCCUCUUUUCCCUUGGGUUUCCGGAGCCCGAGGGUCAUCUUUAUUUAAACACCCCCGGGCCAGUGCUCCUCUGAGUGUUGGUCCAAACUAGAGCCCUUUGCAGCGCCCCCUCGGGGAAACUCGAGGUUUGGUUUUAAUUGUACGCAAUGUUGGGGAUAUCGCUUAUCGGGAACUUAUCGGUCGACCCAUGAUAAAAGGUAACUCGGCCAAUUCAUCAGCAUAUCGGCCGAUUUAUCGCCAUAUCAGUUGAUUUAUCGACCGAUUUAUCUUAUCUGUCAGACAACGGUAAGUGAUAAAUCGGCCGAUUUAUUGAAAUAUCGGAAGAUAUCUUGAACAGUGGUUGUACGGAGCGCUUAUCUGAAUGUGCCCUGAGAACGAGAUAUGUGCAGCUCCUAUCGGGAUUUGUCGGCACAAUCGGGCGGUCUUGCUGGACUUGUUUUACCAUUGUCGAGAUGUCUUUUAACCGGGAUUCCGAGUCUGAUCGGAUUGUCUUGGGAGAAGGAAUAUCCUUCGUUGACUGUGAGAGCUUGUGAUGGGCUAAGUUGGGACUCCCCUGCAGGGAUUUAAACUUUCGAAAGCUGUGCCCGCGGUUAUGGGCAGAUGGGAAUUUGUUAAUGUCCGGUUGUAGAAAACCUUAAACUUAACUUAAUUAAAAUGAAUCAACAGAGUGUGUGGCCGUGAUGGUCUCUUUUCGGCGGAGUCCGGGAAGAGAACACGGUCUCGAGUUAUGCUUGAACGUAGGUUGUUCUAGGAUCACUUCUUGAUCAUAGUUUAUCCACCGUGCCUUUGCCUUCUCUUCUCGCUCUCAUUUGCGUAUGUUAGCCACCAUACAUGCUAGUGCUUGCUGCAACUCCACCUCAUACCUUUUCUCUACCUAUAAGCUUAAAUAGUCUUGAUCGCGAGGGUGUGAGAUUGCUGAGUCCCCGUGACUCACAGAUUCCUUCAAAAUCAGGUGCAGGGACCGAUGAUACCGCUCCAGGAGAUUCUACUGAGCUCAAGUGGGAGUUCGAUGAGGACUCAGGAUGAUACUACGUUUCUUUUCUAGACAAUCAGUAGUGGUGCCCAGUUGGGGCGAUCGGGGACUUUGUCGCAUUUGGGGUUGUUCCGUAGUCGUACCUUGAUUGUAUCUGGAUGCAUGUAAUGAUAUUUAUGCUAUUGUGUGACGUGGCGAGUGUAAGCCAACUAUGUAUCUCUUUUCCUUAUUCAUUACAUGGGUUGUGUGAAGAUUACCUCUCUUGCGACAUUGCUUACAAUGCGGUUAUGCCUCUAAGUCAUGCUUCGACACGUGGGAGAUAUAGCCGCAUCGUGGGCGUUACAAGUUGGUAAUCAGAGCCUUCCCCGAUUUAGGAGACCCCUGCUUGGUCGAAUCGCUGGCGUUGUUGAGUCUGGAAAACUGUUUUGAGUCAUUUAUAAUUAUAUAUAUGGGAGAGUAGGAUUCUUUUUACUCCUCGGUCCCUUCGUUGCUUUGGUGAGGCAUCCUGACAUAGAGUUUUGACUCUUCUCUUCUCAAAUUUCACAAUUUUUUUAGGAUCACGUGGGUAUCUUGGAAUCGUUCCGAUGGUUUUGUGAUGAGAACAUUGUUCUUGGUGCCUCCUGACAUUUAGGGGUUGUGACAAUGUCCCGGGGAGUUGAGCUCCGAGGUGUUGUCGUCACAAUUUUAUCGUUACAAUUCUGGAAUACCUGAGUUUCACCGACAUCGAAAAUCUCUUUUAUGCAGUUGUUGGUGAGAUAACCUCAACGGCACCCAGUACUGGGGCGGGAAUUCGGGAGUAUUGCCAUAACUCGUAUAACGGAUGCUUUUCGAAGGUUGAGGUAAAUGAUUUCAGAAGGUUUCUUGGUUAUGUGUUGAAGGAUGGAUACAGCUGGAUGUAGGAUUUGCUAGCUUUGGGUGAGAUAUUAUGCUUCCCCUGUAUCCCCAACACCUGAUUGCAUAACCGAGAGAAUUUCGGGAGUUUCAUAGGUGGGAAUUCUUGUAGCUCUAGUAUUUCUUCCGCAAAUAUUUGGUUUGUGAUUGGGUAAUCCUCACCAAGUAUUUGUUCUUGAAGGAAAUAUGCCCUCAAGGCAAUAAUAAAGUUAUUAUUUAUUUCCUUAUAUCAUGAUAAAUGUUUAUUAUUCAUGCUAGAAUUGUAUUAACCGGAAACAUAAUACAUGUGUGAAUACAUAGACAAACAGAGGGUCACUAGUAUGCCCAUACUUGACUACCUCGUUAAUCGAAGAUGGUUAUGUUUCCUAACCAUGAACAAAAGAGUUGUUAUUUGAUUAAUGGGAUCACAUCAUUAGAAGAAUGAUGUGAUUGACAUGACUCAUUCCACUAGCUUAGCACCCGAUCGUUUAGUAUGUUGCUAUUGCUUUCUUCAUGACUUAUACAUGUUCCUAUGACUAUGAGAUUAUGCAACUCCCGUUUGCUGCAGGAACACUUUGUGUGCUACCAAACGUCACAACGUAACUGGGUGAUUAUAAAGGAUCUCUAUAGGUGUCUCCAAAGGUACAUGUUGGGUUGGCGUAUUUCGAGAUUAGAAUUUGUCACUCCGAUUGUCGGAGAGGUAUCUCUGCGCCCUCUCAGUAAUGCACAUCACAUAAGCCUUGCAAGCAUUGCAACUAAUGAGUUAGUUGCGAGAUGAUGUAUUACGAAACGAGUAAAGAGACUUGCCGGUAACGAGAUUGAACUAGGUAUUGAGAUACCGACGAUCGAAUCUCGGGCAAGUAACAUACCGAUGACAAAGUGAACAACGUAUGUUGUUAUGCGGUCUGACCGAUAAAGAUCUUCGUAGAAUAUGUGGGAGCCAAUAUGAGCAUCCAGGUUCCGCUAUUGGUUAUUGACCGGAGACGUGUCUCGGUCAUGUCUACAUUGUUCUCGAACCCGUAGGGUCCGCACGCUUAAGGUUUCGAUGACAGUUAUAUUAUGAGUUUAUGAGUUUUGAUGUACCGAAGGAGUUCGGAGUCCCGGAUGAGAUCGGGGACAUGACGAGGAGUCUCGAAAUGGUCGAGACGUAAAGAUCGAUAUAUUGGACGACUAUAUUCGGACAUCGGAAAGGUUCCGAGUGGUUCGGAUAUUUUUCGGAGUACCAGGGAGUUACGGCAAUGCGGGGGAAGAAACAUAUGGGCCUUAUUGGGCUUUAGGGGAGAGGGAGAGGCAGGCCGCACGCCCCCAUUGACUAGUCCGAAUUGGACUAGGGGGAGGGGCGGCGCCCCCUCCUUCCUUCUCUUCCCUCUUUCCCUUCCUUGUCUCCUACUCCUACUACAUGGAAGGACUCCUAGUUGGACUAGGAAAGGGGGAAUCCUACUCCUGGUGGGAGUAGGACUCCCCUAGGGCGCGCCAUAGAGAGGGCCGGCCCUCCCCUCCUCCACUCCUUUAUAUACGGGGGCAGGGGGCACCCCAUAGACACACAAGUUGAUCUUCAUGAUCGUUCCCUUAGUCGUGUGUGGUGCCCCCCUCAACCAUAAUCCUCGAUAAUAUUGUAGCGGUGCUUAGGCGAAGCCCUGCGACGGUAGAACAUUAAGACCGUCACCACGUCAUCAUGCUGAUGAAACUCUUCCCCGACACUUUGCUGGAUCGGAGUCCGGGGAUCCUCAUCGAGCUGAACGUGUGCUAGAACUCGGAGGUGCCAUAGUUUCGGUGCUUGAUCGGUCGGGCCGUGAAGACGUACGACUACAUCAACUGCAUUGUCAUAACGCUUCCGCUUUUGGUCUACGAGGGUACGUGGACAACACUCUCCCCUCUCAUUGCUAUGCAUCACCAUGAUCUUGCAUGUGCGUAGGAUUUUUUUUGAAAUACUACGUUCCCCAACAGUGGCAUCCGAGCCUAGGUUUUAUGCGUUGAUGUUGUGCACGAGUAGAACACAAGUGAGUUGUGGGCGAUAUAAGUCAUACUGCUUACCAGCAUGUCAUACUUUGGUUCGGCGGUAUUGUUGGAUGAAGCGGCUCGGACCGACAUUACGCGUACCCUUACGCGAGACUGGUUCUACCGACGUGCUUUGCACACAGGUGGCUGGCGGGUGUCAGUUUCUCCAACUUUAGUUGAACCAAGUGUGGCUACGCCCGGUCCUUGCGAAGGUUAAAAUAGCACCAACUUGACAAACUAUCGUUGUGGUUUUGAUGCGUAGGUAAGAACGGUUCUUGCUAAGCCCGUAGCAGCCACGUAAAACUUGCAACAACAAAGUAGAGGACGUCUAACUUGUUUUUGCAGGGCAUGUUGUGAUGUGAUAUGGUCAAGACGUGAUGAGAUAUAAGUUGUUGUAUGAGAUGAUCAUGUUUUGUUGAAGUUAUCGGCAACUGGCAAAUUCGUUAUGAUUGUCUCUCUAUUGCAUAAGAUGCAAGCGCCAAAUAAUUGCUUUACUCUAUCGCUAUGCGAUAGCAAUAGUUGCAAGAGCAAUUGUUGGCGAGACGGCCAUGUAACGACACAUUGAUAUAGAUCAAGAUGAUGGAGAUCAUGGUGUCAUGCCGAUGACGAUAGAAAUCAUGACAGUACUUUGGAGAUAGAGAUCAAAGGCGCAAGAUGAUGAUGGCCAUAUCAUGUCACAUAUUUUGAUUGCAUAUGAUGUUUAUCUUUUAUACAUCUUAUUUUUGCUUUGUUUGAUGGUAGCAUUUUAAAAUGAUCUCUCACUAAUUAUCAAGAAGUGUUCUCCCUGAGUAUGCACCGUUGCCAAAGUUUGUCGUGCCCAGACAACACGUGAUGAUCGGGUGUGAUAAGCUCUACGUCCAUCUACAACGGGUGCAAGCCAGUUUUUGCACACACAGAAUACUCAGGUUAAACUUGACGAGCCUAGCAUAUGCAGAUAUGGCCUCGGAACACUGAGACCGAAAGGUCGAGCGUGAAUCAUAUAGUAGAUAUGAUCAACAUAGCAAUGUUCACCAUUGAAAAGUACUCCAUUUCACGUGAUGAUCGGUUAUGGUUUAGUUGAUUUGGAUCACAUAAUCACUUAGAAGAUUAGAGGGAUGUCUUUCUAAGUGGGAGUUCUUAAGUAAUAUGAUUAAUUGAACUUUAAUUUAUCAUGAACUUAGUCCUAAUAGUAUUAGCAUAUCUAUGUUGUAGAUCAAUAGCUCACGUUGUUGCUUUCAUAUGUUUAUUUUGAUACGUUCCUAAGAUGUUAGUAGCAAUGAUGCUGAUUGGAUCCAUGAUCUGAGGAUUAUCCUCAUUGCUGCACAGAAGAAUUAUGUCCUUAAUGCACUGCUAGGUGACAGACCUAUUGUAGGAGUAGAUGCAAAUGUUAUGAACGUUUGGCUAGCUCAAUAUGAUGACUACUUGAUAGUUUAGUACACCAUGCUUAAACGGCUUAGAAUCGGGACUUCAAAGAUGUUUUGAACGUCAUGGACCAUAUAAGAUGUUCCAGGAGUUGAAGUUAAUAUUUCAAGCAAAUACCCGAGUUGAGAGAUAUGAAGUCUCCAGCAAGUUCUAUAGCUAAAAGAUGGAGGAGAAUCGCUCAACUAGUGAGCAUGUGCUCAGAUUGUCUGGGUACUACAAUUGCUUGAAUCAAGUGGGAGUUAAUCUUCCAGAUAAAAUAGUGAUUGACAGAAUUCUCUAGUCACCAUCACCAAGUUAGUAGAACUUCGUGAUGAACUAUGAUAUGCGAGGGAUAACGGAAACAAUUCCCAAGCUCUUCGUAAUGCUGAAAUUGACGAAGGUAGAAAUCAAGAAAAACAUCAAGUGUUGAUGGUAGACAAGACCACUAGUUUCAAGAAAAGGGCAAAGGGAAGAAGGGUAACUUCAAGAAGAACGGCAAGCAAGUUGCUACUCAAGUGAAGAAGCCCAAGUCUGAUCCUAAGCCUGAGACUAAGUGUUUCUACUGCAAAGGGACUGGUCACUGGAAGUGGAACUGCCCCAAGUAUUUGGCGGAUAAGAAGGAUGGCAAAGUGAACAUAAGUAUAUUUGAUAUACAUGUUAUUGAUGUGUACUUUACUAGUGUUUAUAGCAACCCCUCAGUAUUUGAUACUAGUUCAGUUACUAUGAUUAGUAACUUGAAUCAGGAGUUGCAGAAUGAACAAAGACUAGUUAAGGGUAAGGUGACGAUGUGUGUUGGAAGUAGUUCCAAGAUUGAUAUGAUCAUCAUUGCACACUCCCUAUACUUUCAGGAUUAGUGUUGAACCUAAAUAAGUGUUAUUUGGUGUUUGCAUUGAGCAUGAAUAUGAUAUGAUCAUGUUUAUUGCAAUACGGUUAUUCAUUUAAGUUGGAGAACAAUUGUUGUUCUGUUUACAUGAAUAAAACCUUAUAUGGUUACACACCCAAUGAAAUUGGUUCAGUGGAUCUCAAUCAUAAUGAUACACAUAUUCAUAAUAUUGAAACCAAAAGAUGCAAAGUUAAUAAUGAUAGUGCAACUUAUUUGUGGCACUACCGUUUAGGUCAUAUUGGUGUAAAGCGCAUGAAGAAAAUCCAUGCUGAUGGGCUUUUGGAAUCACUUGAUUAUGAAUCAGUUGAUGCUUGCGAACCAUGCCUCAUGGGCAAGAUGACUAAGACUCCGUUCUCAGGAACAAUAGAGCGAGCAACAGAUUUGUCGGAAAUCAUACAUACUGAUGCAUGUGGUCCGAUGAAUAUUGAGGCUCGUGGCAGGUAUCAUUAUUUUCUAAUCUUCAAAGAUGAUUUGAGCGGAUAUGAGUAUAUCUACUUGAUGAAACACAAGUCUGAAACAUUUGAAAAGUUCAAAGAAUUUCAGAGUGAAGUGGAGAAUCAUCGUAACAAAAUUAAAAGUUUCUACGAUAAGAUCGCAAAAGUAAAAUAUUUGAAUUACAAGUUUGGCCUCCAGUUAAAAACAAUGUGAAAUAGUUUCACUACUAACGCCACCUAGAACACCACAGCAUAAUGGUGUGUCCGAACGUCAUAACCGUACUUUAUUAGAUAUGGUGCGAUCUAUGAUGUCUCUUACCGAUCUACCACUAUCGUUUUGGGGUUAUGCAUUAGAGACAGCUGCAUUCACGUUAAAUAGGGCACCAUCUAAAUCCGUUGAGACGACACCGUAUGAACUAUGGUUUGGCAAGAAACCUAAGAUGUCGUUUCUUAAAGUUUGGGACUAUGAUGCUUAUGUGAAAAAGUUUCAACUUGAUAAGCUUGAACCCAAAUCGGAGAAGUAAAUCUUCAUAGGAUACCCAAAGGAGACUGGUGGGCACACCUUCUAUCACAGAUCCGAAGGCAAGACAUUUGUCGCUAAGAAUGGAUCCUUUCUAGAGAAGGAGUUUCUCUCGAAAUAAGUGAGUGGGAGGAAAGUAGAACUUGAUGAGGUAACUGUACCUGCUCCCUUAUUGGAAAGUAGUUCAUCACAGAAAUCUGUUCCUGUGACUACUACACCGAUUAGUGAGGAAGCUAAUGAUGAUGAUCAUGUAACUUCAGAUCAAGUUACUACUGAACCUCGUAGGUAAACCAGAGUGAGAUCCGCACCAGAGUGGUACAGUAAUCCUGUUCUGGAGGUCAUGUUACUUGACCAUGACGAGCCUACGAACUAUGAGGAAGCGAUGAUGAGCCAAGAUUCUGCGAAAUGGCUUGAGGCCAUGAAAUCUGAGAUGGGAUCCAUGUAUGAGAACAAAGCAUGGACUUUGGUUGACUUGCCCGAUGAUCGGCAAGCCAUUGAGAUUAAAUGGAUCUUCAAGAGGAAGACGGACGCUGAUAGUAGUGUUACUAUCUACAAAGCUAGAAUUGUCACAAAAAGGUUUUUCGACAAGUUCAAGGUGUUGACUACGAUGAGAGUUUCUCACUCGUAUCGAUGCUCAAAGUCUGUCCGAAUCAUGUUAGCAAUUGCCGCAUUUUAUGAAAUCCGACAAAUGGAUAAACAAAACUGCAUUCCUUAAUAGAUUUAUUAAAGAAGAGUUGUAUAUGAUACAACCAGAAGGUUUUGUCAAUCCUGAAGGUGCUAACAAAAUGUGCAAGCUCCAGCGAUCCAUCUGUGGACUGGUGUAAGCAUCUCGGAGUUGGAAUAUGCGCUUUGAUGAGAUGAUCAAAGCAUAUAGUUUUAUACAGACUUGCAGUGAAGCCUGUAUUUACAAGAAAGUGAGUGGGAGCACUACAUCAUUUCUGAUAAGUAUAUGUGAAUGACAUAUUGUUGAUCGGAAAUAAUGUAGAAUUAUUCUGCAAAGCAUAAAGGAGUGUUUUGAAAGAAGUUUUUCAAAGAAAGACCUCGGUGAAGCUGCUUACAUAUUAAGCAUCAAGAUCUAUAGAGAUAGAUCAAGAUGCUUGAUAAGUUUUUUCAAUGAGUACAUACCUUGACAAUAUUUUGAAGUAGUUCAAAAAUGGAACAGUCAAAGAAAGAGUUCUUGGCUGUGUUACAAGGUGUGAAAUUGAGUAAGACUCAAAGCCCGACCACGACAGAAGAUAGAAAGAGAAUGAAAGUUAUUCCCUAUACCUCAACCAUAGGUUCUAUAAAGUAUGCCAUGCUGUGUACCAGAUCUAUUGUAUACCCUACACUGUGUUAAGCAAGGGAGUACAAUAGUGAUCUAAGAGUAGAUCACUGGACAUCGGUCAAAAUUAUCCUUAGUGGAAUAAGGAAAUAUUUCUCAAUUAUGGAGGUGACAAAAGGUUCGUCGUAAAAAGUUACGUCAAUGCAAGUUUUGACACAAAUCUGGAUGACUCUAAGUCUCGAUCUAGAUACAUAUUGAAAGUGGGAGCAAUUAGCUAGAGUAGCUCCGUGCAGAGCAUUGUAGACAUAGAAUUCGCAAAAUACUUACAGAUCUGUAUGUGACAGACCCGUUGACUAAAAUUAUCUCACAAGAAAAACAUGAUCACACCUUAGUACUCUUUGGGUGUUAAUCACAUAAACGAUGUGAACUGAUUACUGACUCGAGUAAACCCUUUGGGUAUAGGUCACAUGACGAUGUGAACUAUGGGUGUUAAUCACAUGGUUAUGUGAACUACUAAUGUUGAAUCACAUGGCGAUGUGAACUAGACUAUUGACUCUAGUACAAGUGGGAGACUGAAGGAACUAUGACCUAGAGGAAAUAAUAAAGUUAUUAUUUAUUUCCUUAUAUCAUGAUAAAUGUUUAUUAUUCAUGCUAGAAUUGUAUUAACCGGAAACAUAAUACAUGUGUGAAUACAUAGACAAACAGAGUGUCACUAGUAUGCCUCUACUUGACUAGCUCGUUAAUCAAAGAUGGUUAUGUUUCCUAACCAUGAACAAAAGAGUUGUUAUUUGAUUAACGGGAUCACAUCAUUAGAAGAAUGAUGUGAUUGACAUGACCCAUUCCAUUAGCUUAGCACCCGAUCGUUUAGUAUGUUGCUAUUGCUUUCUUCAUGACUUAUACAUGUUCCUAUGACUAUGAGAUUAUGCAACUCCCGUUUGCCGGAGGAACACUUUGUGUGCUACCAAACGUCACAACGUAACUGGGUGAUUAUAAAGGAGCUCUAUAGGUGUCUCCAAAGGUACAUGUUGGGUAGGCGUAUUUUGAGAUUAGGAUUUGUCACUCCGAUUGUCGGAGAGGUAUCUCUGGGCCAUCUCGGUAAUGCACAUCACAUAAGCCUUGCAAGCAUUGCAACUAAUGAGUUAGUUGUGAGAUGAUGUAUUAUGAAACAAGUAAAGAGACUUGCCGGUAACGAGAUUGAACUAGGUAUUGAGAUACCGACGAUCGAACCUCGGGCAAGUAACAUACCGAUGACAAAGGGAACAACGUAUGUUGUUAUGUGGUCUGACCGAUAAAGAUCUUCGUAGAAUAUGUGGGAGCCAAUAUGAGCAUCCAGGUUCCGCUAUUGGUUAUUGACCGGAGACGUGUCUCGGUCAUGUCUACAUUGUUCUCGAACCCGUAGGGUCCGCACGCUUAAGGUUUCGAUGACAGUUAUAUUAUGAGUUUAUGAGUUUUGAUGUACCGAAGGAGUUCGGAGUCCCGGAUGAGAUUGGGGACAUGACGAGGAGUCUCGAAAUGGUCGAGACGUAAAGAUCGAUAUAUUGGACGACUAUAUUCGGACAUCGGAAAGGUUCCGAGUGGUUCGGGUAUUUUUCGGAGUACCGGGGAGUUACGGGAAUGCGGGGGAAGAAGUAUAUGGGCCUUAUUGGGCUUUAGGGGAGAGGGAGAGGCAGGCCGCGCGCCCCCCCAUUGACUAGUCCGAAUUGGACUAGGGGGAGGGGCGGCGCCUCCUCCUUCCUUCUCUUCCCUCUUUCCCUUCCUUGUCUCCUACUCCUACUACAUGGAAGGACUCCUAGUUGGACUAGGAAAGGGGGAAUCCUGCUUGCGGUGGGAGUAGGACUCCCCUAGGGCGCGCCAUAGAGAGGGCCGGCCCUGCCCUCCUCCACUCCUUUAUAUACGGGGGCAGGGGGCACCCCAUAGACACACAAGUUGAUCUUCAUGAUCGUUCUCUUAGCCGUGUGCGGUGCCCUCCUCCACCAUAAUCCUCGAUAAUAUUGUAGCGGUGCUUAGGCGAAGCCCUGCGAUGGUAGAACAUCAAGAUCGUCACCACGCCGUCGUGCUGACGAAACUGCUUCCCCAACACUUUGCUGGAUCAGAGUCCGGGGAUCGUCAUCGAGCUGAACGUGUGCUAGAACUCGGAGGUGCCGUAGUUUCGGUGCUUGAUCGGUCGGGCCGUGAAGACGUACGACUACAUCAACUGCGUUGUCAUAACGCUUCUGCUUUCGGUCUACGAGGGUACGUGGACAACACUCUCCCCUCUCGUUGCUAUGCAUCACCAUGAUCUUGCGUGUGCGUAGGAAUUUUUUUGAAAUACUACGUUCCCCAACAGUUCUUGUCCAUACCUUGUUGUUCUAUUCAUCUACCUCUAUCUAAGUGGCUUCUCAAUUUAUGGAAGUGUGAUCAUUUCUAUUGGAAUUCAUUCGUUCAUUUUGUUCGGAUGUUAAGACUAUAUGUUGCAAUUUUGAUCCUUUUGAUUCAGCUUGAAUAUAUGUCUGUCAAGAUGCUAACGGAUGUCACCCUCUUCAGGAUGGCUCCUCCAACGCGUCAGAAUCCUGAACCGCCGCCACCACCUCCACCUCCGGAGGCAUGGCAAGCUGUGAUGGCCGCUACCAAUACCAACACACAGCUGAUCAUGCAACUCUUGCAAGAGCGCAACCAAGGGAAUCAAGGCCAUGGCAACAAUCAGAAUCAGUUUGCUACACUCAACCAGUUCUUCGCAAACCAGCCAAAGACCUUCAGCAACUGUGUCGAGGCAACAGACGCUGAUGAUUGGCUCGUGGAUAUCUGCAAGCAUUUCGAGUGUAGCAAUGUCAAACCUGAGGACUUUGUCAAGUUUGCCUCGUUCCAACUCAAAGACCAAGCUGCAAAAUGGUAUCAACAAUACAAAGAUUCCAGAGGAGGUCGUGUAAUUACCUGGGAUGAAUUCCGUCAAGACUUCAAAGCUCACCACAUUCCUCAGAGUGUUGUUGAGAGCAAGAGUGAGGAGUUCCGCAAUCUGAAGCAAGGCAGCUUGUCUGUUUACCAGUAUAACAUCAUGUUCUAGAAGCUCGCUCGUUUCGCUAAGCAAGACGUCCCUGACGAGAAGAGCAUGAUUUAUCAGUUCAGAGGUGGUCUCAGAGAAGAUAUCCAACUAGCUCUCGUGCUUUUUGAGCCGCAGAAGUACGAUGAGUUUUACAACAUGGCACUGAAACAAGAGACUGCUCAACUCAAGUGCGAUGCUUCCAAGAAAUGAGUCAGGGAUGCAACUCCUUCUUCCUCAACUCAAGUGGCAACUAAGCAGCAAAAGUAUUGGUUGCCUCCUCCUCCAUUCCGUCAUCCUUAUCAGCAGAAGAGCAUUGGUCGCAAUGGAUCUUCUCACCCACCCAACCCAGGCUUUCAGAACAAGACUUCAUCUCAUGCUCCAAGAUCAAGUGCUCCGUUUCACCGUCCGCUUUUAGAGGUCACGUGGAACAAGUGUCAGCAGAAGGGUCACUAUGCCAACAGAUGCUUCAAUCAGAGGCGUCUUCCUCCUCCUCCUCCUCCUGUGAGAUCUUCCAGCACCGUAGUGGUCAAGUAUAAUCCCAAGCACGCCAAGGUCAACAUGAUGAACGCAGCUCAGGCAAAGGACUCGUCAGAUGUGAUUAUGGGUAACCUUCCUAUUAACGAUGUUCCUACAAAAGUUCUUUUUGACACUAGUGCAUCGCAUUGUUUCAUUUAUAAACCUUUUGCAUCAAAGUAUGAGUGCGAUUAUUAGCAUUUGCAAAGAUCCUUAUCAAAUCGUGUCCUCGGGCAAGCAAAUGACAACUAAUAUAUGCGUCCCGGAUGUUACUAUCACGUUGGGCGACUACAAAUUUCUAGCUUCUCCUAUUGUUCUGGGCGACUCAGAUAUUGAUCUUAUUCUCGGAAUGGAUUGGCUUUCUAAGCACAAGGCUCACCUUGAUUGCGUUGCCAGGCAAAUUCAAUUGACACAUUCGUCUGAGGAUGUAAUCGUCUUUGCUGCUCGUGAUGAUACCAUUCGACUGUUUUCUCCCAACGAGAAGGGCGAGUUGGAUGCCAUCUCUCAGAUUCCAGUGGUUUGUGAUUAUCACGACGUCUUUCCAGAAGAGCUUCCAGGAGUGCCUCCUCACCGGCCAGUUGAAUUCGUCAUCGAUCUUGAGCCUGGCACGGAACCUGUUUGCAAACGUCCUUACAAGCUUGGACCUGAAGAGUUCAAGGAGCUGAAGAAACAACUCGAUAUUCAAGAGCGUAUGGGUCUCAUCCGACCAAGUUAUUCUCCAUGGGGUUGUGGUGUUCUUUUCGUCAAGAAGAAGGAUGGAACGGACCGACUUUGUGUCGACUACCGUCCAUUGAACAAGAAGACCAUAAAGAACAAGUACCCACUUCCCAACAUCAAUGAGCUUUUCGAACAACUCAAAGGUGCUCAAGUAUUCUCCAAGCUUGACCUCCGUAUGGGCUAUCAUCAGAUUCACAUUCGUGAAGAAGAUAUCCCCAAGACAACAUUCAGAACAAGCUAUGGUUCAUAUGAAUACACUGUCAUGUCUUUCGGCCUUGUCAAUGCUCCUCCAACUUUCUCUCGCAUGAUGAACUUCAUCUUCAACGCCUACACAAAUGACUUCGUCUUGGUCUACCUCGUUGACAUUUUGGUCUUUUCCAAGAACAAGGAGGAUCAUGCCAAGCACUUGAGAUUGGUGCUGGAUAAACUUAGAGAACAUCAGUUCUAUGCAAAGUUUUCAAAGUGCGAGUUUUGGCUCGAUGAGGUUCUCUACCUUGGGCAUAUCAUCUCCGCCAAGGGCAUAUCUGUUAAUCCUGAGAAGGUGUCUGCAAUUGUAAAUUGGGAACCACCUCAGAAUGCGAAGCAACUCCGCUGCUUCCUUGGGCUCACAAGCUAUUGUCGAAGGUUCGUUGAGAACUUCUCUAAGAUCGCAAAGCCUCUUUCCAACCUUCUCCAAAAGCAUGUGAAGUAUGUCUAGUCGCCUGAAUGUGACAUCGCUUUCAACACCCUGAAAGAGAAGUUAGUAACAGCUCCAGUUCUGACUCCUCCUGAUGAAUCCAAACUGUUUGAAGUCUUCUGUGAUGCUUCCCUUCAAGCUCUUGGUGCAGUGUUGAUGCAAGAGAAGAAAGUUGUGGCAUAUACCUCUCGCCAGUUGAAGUCCAAUGAAAAGAACUACCUCAUUCACAACCUCGAGUUGGCGGCAGUUGUCCAUGCUCUUUUAACAUGGAUACAUCUCUUGUUGGGAAGAAAAGUGGACAUCUUCACUGAUCACAAGAGUCUCAAGUACAUCUUCACUCAGCCAAACCUCAACCUCAGGCAAACUUGUUGGGUCGAAAUGAUUCAAGAGUAUAAUCCGAGUAUUGAAUAUACUCUAGGCAAGGCCAAUGUAAUUGCUGACACAUUGAGCAGGAAGGCUUACUACAAUAGUCUGAUUAUCAAGCCUUACCAACCAGAGCUUUGUGAAGCUUUCCGCAAACUCAAUCUUCAAGUUGUUCCUCAAGGAGUCAUUGCCAACCUCCAAGUCUCUCCUACUUUGGAAGAUCAGAUUCGUGAGGCUCAACUUCUUGAUGCUAUGGUGAAGAAGGUGAAGAUUGGGAUUGCCAAGAGUCAACCCAAGUACAAGUGUUAUUGUCUUGAUGACAAGGAUACUCUAUUCUUCGAGGAUCGCAUUGUUGUGCCUAAAGGUGACCUUCGUAAAGUCAUUAUGAACGAGGCUCACAAUUCACUCCUCUCUAUUCACCCUAGAAGUACAAAGAUGUACCAGGACCUCAAGCAGUCGUAUUGGUGGACUCAAAUGAAGCGCGAGAUUGCUCAGUUCGUGAAUGAAUGUGAUGUCUGCAGAAGAGUGAAAGCAGAACACCAACGACUAGCUGGUCUCCUCCAACCUCUUGCUAUUCCAGAAUGGAAGUUUGACCAUAUUGAGAUGGACGUCGUGACUGGGUUUCCAAAGUGCAAGCGUGGCAAUGAUGCUAUCUUUGUCGUCAUCGACAAGCUCACUAAAGUGGCUCAUUUUCUUCCUAUCAAAGAAUCUAUCACAGCAGCUCAGUUGGCAGAGCUAUAUACCUCCAGGAUUGUCUCUCUGCACGACAUUCCGUAGUUGAUAUCUUCAGAUCGUGGCAGCAUCUUUACCUCCAAGUUUUGGGAUUCUUUUCAGAAGGCCAUGGGCACCAACAUUUGCUUCAACACAACUUUUAAUCCUCAAACCAGUGGCCAAGCCGAGCGAGUCAAUCAGAUUCUUGAAGAUAUGCUCAGGGCUUGUGUCAUUUCUUUUGGUAUGAAGUGGGAAGAUUGUCUUCCAUGUGCCGAGUUCUCCUACAACAACAGCUUCCAAGCGAGUUCGGGCAAGGCCCCAUUCGAGAUUCUCUAUGGCAGGAAGUGCCGUACUCUUAACUGGUUAGAGACUGGCGAACGCCAACUUCUUGGAAAUGACUUGAUCACAGAGGCUGAAGAAAUGUGCAAAGUCAUUUGUGAAAAUCCCAAAGUCGCGUAAUCGCACCAGAAGAGUUACUAUGAUAGCAAACAUCGUGACUUGGCUUUCGAGAUCGGAGACCAUGUCUACCUCCGCGUCUCUCCAAUGAAAGGUACUCGUCGCUUCAGUAUCAAAGGGAAGCUUGCCCCUAGAUACGUGGGUCCUUUCAAGAUCAUUGGCAAAAGAGGCGAUCUCGCCUAUCAACUUGAGCUUCCAUCCAACUUUGCAAACGUGCACGACGUGUUUCACGUGUCUCAACUCCGCAAGUGUUUCAAGACUCCUGACCGCACCAUCAACUUUGAAGAGAUUGAUCUCCAAGAAGACCUUUCUUAUCAUGAGUACCCAGUUGCUAUUCUUGAAGAAACUGAGCGCAAGACUCGCAACAAGUCUAUCAAAUUCCUGAAAGUCAAGUGGUCACAUCAUUCCGACCGUGAAGCCACCUGGGAACGCGAGGACCACCUCCGUUCUGAGUACCCGGAGUUUUUCCAGUCCUAGAUCUCGGGACGAGAUUCUUUCGUAGUGGUGGAGUGUUGUAAUGCCCCAUAUGUAACCUGCCAUAAUUGUAUUCCAACUCUUGCCAUUUCCGGCACUAAGUUAUGAGAUUCCUCGUUGUUGGGUUUUUGUCUUCGUGUUGUUUUGUCUUUGUCAUGCAUCUCAUAUCAUGUCAUCAUGUGCAUCGCAUUUGCAUAUGUGUUCGUCUCAUGCAUCCGAGCAUUUUCCCCGUUGUCCGUUUUGCAUUCCGGCGCUCCUAUGUCCUCCGGUGGCCCUUUCUACCUCUUUUCGUGUGCGGGUAUUAAACGUUCUUGGAUUGGACCGAGAAUUGCCAAGCAGCCUUUGUUUACUACUAGUAGACCGCCUGUCAAGUUUCGUGCCAUUUGGACUUCAUUUGAUACUCCAACGGUUAACCGAGGGACCGAAAAGGCCUCGUGUGUGUUGCAGCCCAACACCCAUCCAAAGUGGCCCAAAACCCACCUAAACCCCCUCCAUCAUCUAGGUCAUUCGAUCACGAUCGCGUGGCCGAAAACCAUGCUCAAUUUGGAGCCUCCUAGCUCCUCCUACCUAUAAAAAGGUCCCUCUCCCCCGAAAUCCGGACGAAACACUAGACCCCUCCCUCGCCACGUCGCCGACCGUCGCCCUCUCUGCCGCACUUGCCUCGCGCCGCCGCCGUCGCCUCCAGCCACCGCAUCGCCUCGGCCUCGUCUCGGCAUCCGCGCCCGCCGGCGACGCCGUUCCCCGCCGCGGCCGCGCCACCUCGCCCAACGCCGCCUCGGGCGUCAAGCCUCCUUGCCGACGAUGACCCCCCCUCGCCGGACCACCUCUGCCCCGGCCGAAGCUCUUCCUCAACUCCGGCGAGAGAAGCCCGGCCAUCCUCUAAACGCAUGCAAACCUGAUCCAGAUGUGAGAUUCGGUUGACUUUUUGCCCUAACCCUAGCUUUUUAAUGCAUUUUUCAUCAUGCUAUAUCUCUGCAUCCGUGGCUCUGUUUUGGGCGUGUGGCAUGUCAAAUUGUUCGUCUCAAUGAGUACUUCAUUUCAUCUCAUUGCACCAUGUUCAUUUGAGCUCAUCUUGAUGCCCUAAAUGCUGUUGGAAGAGUGCUAGUUCAUAUUAGUUUCAGAUCCUUAUCAGGAUUUGGACAUUUGUCUUUUUUGCCAUGAUUAAUGUGUGCCUCCUAUGAUCUUGAGCUCUACAUGAGUUUUGAAGUAUGCCAUGCCAUCUUUACAGGUGUGUAUGCCAUGUAUUUUUGUGAUCUCGGUGGUGACUAGCACACGCAUGCAAAGUAGCCCUUGUAAUGUUGCUGAUUUCAGGGACUUAGAAAUCUUCUAAGUCUCUGCCCUGUUAAUAUUUUUAUGCCAUGUAUCCUUGUUGCUACAGAGUGAUCCAUGCCUCUUUUGAGCAUGAUCAGUAAGGAUGUUUUGUAGAUAUUGUUGUGCUUUAUCCAUUCAUGUCUUUGUUUGCGAUUAUGGAGCACCCUAGCUUGACUCAAUCGAGCUCUACUUUUGCUAUAAAAUGUUCCUGGCAGAAUGUUUACAUGUUAAGCAUUUUUGCCGAGCUUGUUGUAGUUGAUCCAUGCAUGCUAUGUUGUCAUUCUUGUCAUGUUUAGUUUGUCAUGCAAUGUUUUGUGGUGAGUGCAUCGAGCUCGUAAACAUGCCUUCUUAAGAUCUGUUUUGCCAUGUUCCAGUUUUCUACUAAGUCUGAAUCUGUUAACGAAACUUGCUAUGUUCACAUGGUUGCCAUUGUAUUUUAUGAUCCCUUUUGGCUUAUGGUUAGUAAGGGACUUUUGUUGUAUGCUUGGAGUAUCUUCAUGCCAUGCCUUGAUUUGCCAUGAUAUGUUCCUGUAGCAUGUUGUACCUUGCUCUAAACAUUGCUUCCUGAUGUUAAAUUCCUGACAUGUUAUUUUCACCAAGUCUGUAACCUGUUAUCUUUUGCACUUUUGCCAUGCUUAUUUGAACCUGCUAUUGAGUGAAUUAGCCGUAGCUCAGUGUUCAUAUUUUGUCAAGCAUCUUGAGUGGAUCCCUGCAUUGUAUUUUGUUGCUAUGUUAGAGUGCUGUAGCAUGUUGUUCUUGAUGCAUUUAGAUGGCCUCGUGCUGUUAAUCGCAGAUCAGUGCCAUAUUUGUUUUGCUUGCCAUUUACAAACCAUGCAUCCGAUUCCGGUGAUCUUUAUAUCGAUUUCGCCCGAAAUCAACUCCCCUUUCUAGUGGCACUCUUGGUUUUCCAAGUUGAGGCCAGGUUCAAUCUUUCCUUUCUGAAACAUGCAAAUGCAUCGCAUAUCACAUCCCGCAUAUCAUGCCAUGUUUUGCAUCAUGUUGCUUGUGCAUUGCACGUGGUUAAUUGUGUCUCCCUUUGCUUGUGUUCUUGCUUUGGGUAGAGCCGGGAGACGAGUAUGUGAUCGAGGAGCCCGUUGAGUAUGCUUACGAGGAUCAAGCUAACGUCUACUCGGAGAACUUUGCAGGCAAGAUGACCAUACCCUCGAAAUCACUUCUAUCUUUGCUUGCUAGAUGCUCGCUCUUUUGCUAUGCCUAUGCUACGAUACCUACAACUUGCUUAUCAUGCCUCCCAUAUUGCCAUGUCAAACCUCUAACCCAACUUGUCCUAGCAAACCGUUGUUUGGCUAUGUUACCGCUUUGGUCAGCCCCUCUUAUAGCGUUGCUAUUUGCAGAUGAAGAUUGUAGUUUGUUCCUUGUUGGAACAUGUUUAUUGUUGGGAUAUCAUUAUUAUAUCUUGUCUACUUUAAUGCAUCUAUACACUUGGUAAAGGGUGGAAGGCUCGGCCUUAUGCCUGGUGUUUUGUUCCACUCUUGCCGCCCUAGUUUCCGCCAUAUCGGUGUUAUGUUCCUUGAUUUUGCGUUCCUUACACGGUUGGGUUAUAAUGGGAACCCCUUGACAGUUCGCCUUGAAUAAAACUCCUCCAGCAAUGCCCAACAUUGGUUUUACUAGUUGCCACCUAGCCUCUUUUCCCUUGGGUUUCCGGAGCCCGAGGGUCAUCUUUAUUUAAACCCCCCGGGCCAGUGCUCCUCUGAGUGUUGGUCCAAACUAGAGCCCUUUGCAGCGCCCCCUCGGGGAAACUCAAGGUUUGGUUUUAGUUGUACGGAGCGCUCAGCUGAGUGUGCCCUGUGAACGAGAUAUGUGCAGCUCCUAUCGGGAUUUGUCGGAACAUUUGGGCGGUCUUGCUGGACUUGUUUUACCAUUGUCGAGAUGUCUUAUAACCGGGAUUCCGAGUCUGAUCGGAUUGUCUUGGGAGAAGGAAUAUCCUUCGUUGACCGUGAGAGCUUGUGAUGGGCUAAGUUGGGACUCCCCUGCAGGGAAUUGAACUUUUGAAAGCCGUGCCCGCGGUUAUGGGCAGAUGGGAAUUUGUUAAUGUCCGGUUGUAGAAAACCUUAAACUUAACUUAAUUAAAAUGAAUCAACAGAGUGUGUGGCCGUGAUGGUCUCUUUUCGACGGAGUCCGGGAAGAGAACACGGUCUCAAGUUAUGCUUGAACGUAGGUUGUUCUAGGAUCACUUCUUGAUCAUAGCUUAUCGACCGUGCCUUUGCCUUCUCUUCUUGCUCUCAUUUGCGUAUGUUAGCCACCAUACAUGCUAGUGCUUGAUGCAGCUCCAUCUCAUACCUUUUCUCUACCUAUAAGCUUAAAUAGUCUUGAUCACGAGGGUGUGAGAUUGCUGAGUCCCCGUGACUCAUAGAUUCCUUCAAAACCAGAUGCAGGGACCGAUGAUAUCGCUCCAGGAGAUUUGACUGAGCUCAAGUGGGAGUUUGAUGAGGACUCAGGACGAUACUACAUUUCCUUUCCAGACGAUCGGUAGUGGUGCCCAGUUGGGGUGAUCGGGGACUUUGUCGCAUUUGGGGUUGUUCUUUAUUUUGGUUCCGUAGUCGGACCUUGAUUGUAUCUGGAUGUAUGUAAUGAUAUUUAUGCUAUUGUGUGACGUGGCGAGUGUAAGACAACUAUGUAUCUCUUUUCCUUAUUCAUUACACAGGUUGUGUGAAGAUUACCUCUCUUGCGACAUUGCUUACAAUGCGGUUAUGCCUCUAAGUCGUGCUUCGGCACGUGGGAGAUAUAGCCGCAUCAUGGGCAUUACAGAUAUGUGGAGUAAUAGUAGUAGAUGCAGCAGGAGUCGGUCUACUAAUCUUGGACGUGAUGGCUAUACACUACUGCAGGAUGCUGCUAAUGCGACCCUACGAUCAGAGACCCUUCGAUGAAACUGUGUGCGAUGCAAUAAUCGCAAACAGUGGUGUAAAAGAUCCAUAAAAAAGGUGCAAAACAUUUGCGAUGGCGGAGCCAUCAAACACGGUUCAGAUUUUAGUGGCGUGUGCGAUGCAGGGCAUACAGUUCAGUUCAAUGAACUGUUUGCAAUGAGGCGGAACAAAAGAAACGGGCAGCUAGACGAAGGCGUGUGCGAUAUACAACAUACAGUUCACUCGGAUGAAUUGCUUGUGAUGAGGAGGAACAAUAGAAACAUGCAGCUAGAUAAAGGUGUGUGUGAUUGAGGGCAUACACUUCAGAAGGAUUAACUGUUUGCGAUUAGGCAACAUAACAGAAAUAGGUCGACCAGAUCAAAGUGCCUGCGAUUGAUGGCAUACACUUCACACGGAUGAACUGUUUGCGAUUAACCACAACAAACUGAAAUAGUUAGAUAGAUCAACAUGUGUGCACUAGACGGGCACACACAUUCUAAUUAAAAGAAGCGUGCGCGAUGGUAGUAACGAGCUCGCACGGUUGUUGGAACAAGACAUGUGCUGACAUUGCCUAUUGCGGUGCACCCUAUGGUGCAAAUGCCACGUACACGGCCGAGAAGGCGUACGUGCCAACGUUAUGCCUUUCUGGAAUAGUGCCACGCUUAUAACCGUGUGUAAUUUUUGAGCCCAUGUCCUGUCACAUUCCAAAUUGCAAACCUGUUCACACCGGUCAAAACCUAAACGGUUUCCCACUUAGGAGCAUAUUAUUACUCGGUUAUAAAUACUACUACUCCAAGAUGACUGCACAUUCCUCCUCAACUCCUUAUCCACAAAAACAAACAAGUCAUUCAUCAUUGUUACCUUGCGUCAGCCAUGGCCAGCAUGAGUUUUGGGUCGAGAGAUUGCGACUAGGGAGAUGCGAGCAUGGAAGCGAAAGCACGAGAGAUGUCCCACUUCGCCGCAAACGCGACCGGCAUGUCCCACCGCGUGGUCGUAGCAGCAUAGAGGUCCCGCCGCGCCGCCGAGGCAGCACGAAGUUCCCGCCACGCUGUCGAUGUGGCAGACUGGUCUGGCCGCACCGUGGAAUCAGAAGAAAUGUCCCGUCACGUCGCGAAUGCAGCAGAUAUGUCUUCUCGUGCCACGGUGGCCUGGGAAAUGUCUCGUGGUCAGGCAAGGACUCUUACAGGCGCAUGCAUGUGAUCUUCCAUAGCCAGAUGGAUCAGAUCUCCGGCUGCGCGAGGUUGCAGGACGACAUGAAAGCCUCUUUUGAAUAGGCUACCGGCAUCAUCCAACAACUAAAUGAGAGCAAUGCGAAGCUCCAGGCCGAGCGCGACCUGCCGAGGGCGAAGAUCGUCGGAAGUGCGGAGCAGCAGGAGGAGACCACUGCCUUGUUGAAAAGGACCGGCGUCAUCAUCGAGAAACUUAUGGACGAGAAUGCCAUGCUGCGCAUCAAGUGCAAAAGGCUGGUGGAGGAAUCUGUGGAUGCUCUCAAGCAGCAUCUUGAGGACAAGAAAGAGCUCAUCGCCGCUCGCCGCGGAGACUAGUUCCCGCGACCUGCAACAACACAUCAAAAAAGUAGAGAUCAGCGAGCCAGAUCAUUGUCUUCCUUCUUCUUUUGCCCUUGUGUAUUUCGGGAGUUGCCGCAUGUGGCAUUUUUUAUUUAUGUUCCUUUUUUGCAGGGAUUUUAAUUCUGUUCCUAAAUAUGUAAGACAAUUAUUAUCCACUUCAUCGUCCUUAUAUUCAUCAUGCUUGCUAUAAGUCGCAGUCGAUGCUAUAUAGGUCCGUCGGAUCUUACAUCAACAUCCGUGCAAAACUUUCUUUUCAGAUUUUCAUUUUUCUCUUUUAAAUCUCAGUCUAGUGAGACAUAUAGCCACACCGUAGAACAGGGGCUCGGGCGCCAUUAAUGGAGACAUUGGGAGGGAGGUGCGCGGCGGGUAGAGGUCAAAGGGCUCUCCUCCCGAUGAGCACGCGCAGGGGUCUGAUCGCAUGCCUCCCGUACUCAAAUAGCUACCCGGCACGACACCUCCUAGCCAAUAAAAAAGGGUACACGUGGCGGCAUGUAAUUGGUAAGUAGAACACCCACGGUCUCAAUGAUACUUGUGUUUCCGAUUUGUAACGUGACAACACUUGUUCCAAAACUACUUUGUUUAUUGUUAAUGUGUGCGCCUUCGCAAAUUGGACAAAAAAAUUACCACAACAUGUUGGUGCCAUGUCAUGACACCAUGCAAAGUUUCAUGAUUUUUAGGUGUGUUUUGGAUUUAUAGGAAUUAAAAAACCAAGUUUCUCAAUCUUUCCGGCUGAGCCAUGACGCCCAGAUGUUUGAAUUUCAUUCCCAUUUCUUGCAUGGGACCUAGAAAUUUACCCAAGGACACACAUGCGAUUUUUCAACCAACUUUGGUGCACUGGAGCAUGUGCUUGUAGUUCAAAUUUGAAUUAUGCACAUUAAAUGCCGAGAAACUCAAUUAAUGUAUAAAAAAGGCCAAACGAACCCGAAAUAAUUCCAAAGUUUAGCACGAUACUUCUAUUUGGACUAAUCUACCUGUGUAAAAAACUGAAGGCGGGAGAAGGCAGUGUACGUCGUUUCGCACACGGAGGUGACACGUUCCCUCUCGGAACAACGAGCCUUCUUGAGGGAAGCUCCGGUUUGCAAGAAGCUUACACCAAAGCUUGUCCCAAUUCGACCAAAAAAUUUACCACAUCAUGUUGGUGCCAUGUCAUGACACCAUGCCAAGUCUCAUGAUUUUCAUGCGUAUUUUGGAUUUACAGAAAUUCAAAAACCAAGUUUCUCAAUCUUUCCAGCCGAGCCACGACGCCCAGAUGUUUGAAUUCAUUCCCAUUUCUUGCAUGGGACCUAGAAAUUCACCCAAGGACACACAUGUGAUUUUUCAACAAACUUUGGUGCACUGGAGCAUGUGCUUGUAGUUCAAAUUUGAAUUAUGCACAUUAAAUGCCUAGAAACUCAAUUAUUGUAUAAAAAAGGCCAAACGUACCCGGAAUAAUUCCAAAAUUUAGCACGAUAGUUCUAUUUGGUCUAAUCUGCCCGUGUAAAAAAGUUAAGGUGGAGGAAGGCAAUGCACGUGUGUCAUUUCGCACACGAAGGUGAGACGUUCCCUCUCGGAACCACGAGUCUUCUUGAGGGAAGCUCCGAUUUGCAAGAAGCUUACACCAAAGCUUGUCCCAAUUCGGCCAAAAAAUUUACCACAACAUGUUGGUGCCAUAUCAUGACACCAUGCCAAGUUUCAUGAUUUUCAGGCGUGUUUUGGAUUUACAAGAAUUAAAAAACCAAGUUUCUCAGUCUUUCCGGCCGAGCCACGACGCCCAGAUAUUUGAAUUUCAUUCCCAUUUCUUGCAUGGGACCUAGAAAUUCACCCAAGGACACACAUGUGAUUUUGAACCAACUUUGGUGCACUGGAGCAUGUGCUUGUAGUUCAAAUUUGAAUUAUGCACAUUAAAUGGCCAGAAACUCAAUUAAUGUAUAAAAAGGUCAAAUGAACCCAGAAUAAUUCCAAAUUUUAGCAUGAUACUUCUAUUUGGUCUAAUCUGCUCGUGUAAAAAAUUAAGGCGGGAGAAGGCAGUGUAUGUAUGUAGUUUCGCACACGGAGGUGACACGUUCCCUCUCGGAACCACAAGCCUUCUUGAGGGAAGCUCCGGUUUGCAAGAAGCUUACACCAAAGCUUGUCCCAAUUCGGCCAAAAAAAUUACCGCAACAUGUUGGUGCCAUGUCAUGACACCAUGCUAAGUUUCAUGAUUUUCAGGCGUGUUUUGGAUUUACAGGAAUUAAAAAACCAAGUUUCCCAAUCUUUCCGGCCGAGCCACGACGCCCAGAUGCUUGAAUUUCAUUUCCAUUUCUUGCAUGGGAUCUAUAAAUUCACCCAAAGACACACAUGUGAUUUUUCAACCAACUUUGGUGCACUGGAGCAUGUGCUUGUAGUUCAAAUUUGAAUUAUGCACAUUAAAUGCGCAGAAACUCAAUUAAUGUAUAAAAAGGACAAACAAACCCGGAAUAAUUCCAAAAUUUAGCAUGAUACUUCUAUUUGGUCUAAUCUGUCUGUGUAGAAAAUUAAGGCGGGAGAAGGCAGUGUACGUACGUCGCUUCGCACACGGAGGUGACACGUUCCCUCUUGGAACCACGAGCCUUCUCGAGGGAAGCUCCAGUUUGCAAAAUGCUUACACCAAAGUUUGUCCCAAUUCGGCCAAAAAAUUUAGCACAACAUGUUGGUGCCAUGUCAUGACACCAUGCCAAGUUUCAUGAUUUUCAGGCGUGUUUUAGUUUUACCUGAAUUAAAAAACUAAGUUUCUCAAUCUUUCCGACCGAGCCACGACGCCCACAUUCUUGAAUUCCAUUCCCAUUUCUUGCAUGGGACCUAUAAAUUCACCCAAAGACACACAUGUGAUUUUUCAAAAAACUUUGGUGCACCGGAGCAUGUGCUUGUAGUUCAAAUUUGAAUUAUGCACAUUAAAUGCCUAGAAACUCAAUUAAUGCAUAAAAAUGUGAAACGAAACCAAACUAAUUCCAAAUUUAAACACGACGCUCAUGUACUAGUUGCGUGUUCACUGUACGUAAAUGUUCUAGCAAUUCAAACACCAUCCUUUCCCUCUGUAACACCAUUUUGUCUUUCAAAACAUAAUGAAAAAAAUCAGGUAUACCACAAACAGUUUACUAGAAAGAAUCGUGUGGGAUGUUGUUGGAGAUAUGCCCUAGAGGCAAUCAUGUAUGAUGAUAUUUCUUAUGUGUUUAUGAAUAAAGAUAGUCCUUGGACAUUAUCAAUGAUGUGUAUCAGCAAGUACGUGACUUGUCUGUGGGACUAUGCAUUGUAUGAUGACUGUCCUAAAAGGUCCCUAGUCGAAAGGGUUGUGUGGAAGCGCAGCCAACUAGACUAGCAUAUGACACGGUCGAUGGCUUGGUCUCACUAGCCAUGGAGUGAUACGUCUCCAUCGUAUCUACUUUUCCAAACACUUUUUCCCUUGCUUUGGACUCUAAUUUGCAUGAUUUGAAUGGAACUAACCCAGACUGACGCUGUUUUUAGCAGAAUUACCAUGGUGUUAUUUAUGUGCAGAAACAAACGUUCUCGGAAUGACAUGAAACUUCAUGGAGCAACUUUUUGGAAAAUAUAAAAAAAUACCUACAAAAGAUGAAGGCCAGGGGGCCCACCACCUCUCCAUGAGGGUGGGGGGCGCGCCCCCCUACCUCGUGGGCUCCCUGGUGCCUCUCCGACUCCAACUCCAACUCUAUAUAUUGUGUUUCGGGAAGAAAAAAAUCAGAGAGAAGAAUUCAUCGCGUUUUACGAUACAGAGCCGCCGCCAAGCGCUAAAACCUCUCGGGAGGGCUGAUCUGGAGUCCGUUCGGGGCUCUGGAGAGGGGAAUCGGUCGCCAUCGUCAUCAUCAACCAUCCUCCGUCACCAAUUUCAUGAUGCUCACCGCUGUGCGUGAGUAAUUCCAUCAUAGGCUUGCUGGACGGUGAUGGGUUGGAUGGGAUCUAUCAUGUAAUCGAGUUAGUUUUGUUAGGGUUUGAUCCCUAGUAUCCACUAUGUUCUAAGAUUGAUGUUGCUAUGACUUUGCUAUGCUUAAUGCUUGUCACCAGGGCUCGAGUGCCAUGAUUUCAGAUCUGAACCUAUUAUGUUUUCAUCAAUAUAUGAGUGUUCUUGAUCCUAUCUUGCAAGUCUAUAGUCAUCUAUUAUGUGUUAUGAUCCGUUAACCCCGAAGUGACAAUAAUCAGGAUACUUACCGGUGAUGACCGUAGUUUGAGGAGUUCAUGUAUUCACCAUGUGUUAAUGCUUUGUUCCGGUACUCUAUUAAAAGGAGGCCUUAAUAUCCCUUAGUUUCCGUAAGGACCCCGCUGCCACGGGAGGGUAGGACAAAAGAUGUCAUGCAAGUUCUUUUCCAUAAGCACGUAUGACUAUGUUCAGAAUACAUGCCUACAUUAUAUCAAUGAACUGGAGCUAGUUCUGUGUCACCCUAGGUUAUGGCUGUUACAUGAUGAACCGCAUCCAGCAUAAUUCUCCAUCACUGAUCCAUUGCCUACGAGCUUUCCAUACAUUGUUCUUUGCUUAUUUACUUUCCCGUUGCUAUUGCUAUCAUCACUACAAAACACCAAAAACAUUACUUUUACUACGGUUACCUUUUGCUACCGUUACCACUACUAUCAUAUUACUUUGCUACUAAAAACUUUGCUGCAGAUAUUAAGUUUCCAGGUGUGGUUGAAUUGACAACUCAGCUGCUAAUACUUGAGAGUAUUCUUUGGCUCCCCUUGUUUCGAAUCAAUAAAUUUGGGUUGAAUACUUUACCCUCGAAAACUGUUGCGAUCCCCUAUACUUGCGGGUUAUCAAGACUAUUUUCUGGCACCAUUGCCGGGGAGCAUAGCUCUAUUCUUUGAGUCACUUGGGAUUUAUAUCUGCUUAUCAUUAUGAAGAACUUGAAAGAUCCAAGAACCAAGAUUUAUCCCUCAACUACGAGGGGAGGUAAGGAACUGCCAUCUAGCUCUGCACUUGAUUCACCUUCUGUUUUGAGUAAGCUUGCGACACCUGAACCUGCUUCUGCUAUUCGUUCUGAUAUGUCGCAUGUUAUUGAUGAUGCUACUUCUGCUAUACAUGAUACUUAUGAUGAAACUACUUCUAUGCUUGAUACUACCGUGCCACUUGGUGAAUUUCUUGACGAACAACUUGCUAGGGCUAAAGAGAUUGAAAAUAUUGAAUCUGAUAAUACUGAUGAAAGUGAUGAUGAAGAGUCACUUGUUAUUCCCGAGGUUUAUGCUUUUGAUCAAGAAGCCUCUUUAGCUAUUUUAGCUUGCAAAUAUAGAUACGAACUUAAGAGGUUUUUAGCUAAAUGGAAUAAGAAAUCUCUAAAUGGUAGGAUGAAGCCUGAUCCUGCUUUUGCUACCACUACAAAAAAAAGACACAUCCGUGACAUUUUGGGCCGAAUGAUUUUUUUGUCAUCCAUAUGACACUUCUAUGACGAUAAUUGUGACAAAACCCGGUAUCAUCAUAGAUGUGGUGGGCUCCUACUUCUAUGACAAAAAAUCAUGACAGAAAAUGGGCUUUUCUUCCUGGACGGGCCGGAAACGCAGCUGCAUGACAUUCUUUGGGCCGUCCAUGAUGGAAAAAACCGUGGUAGUAGUGAGGGGGAGUAAAAUUUCGGGGAGUUCCCGGUUACGGUGGGAGGUUGGGGGCCGAGCGAUGCGCGUUUCUCUCAUACAUGUACGCGCGUGUGUGCGAGGCGUUGGGCUCUAACUGAACCCGAGCGAUUGCACUGCAGGCUACGCAUAACUGAACCCACGCGAUCGAUCGAUGGCUGUUAACUGAACCCGAUCAAGCGAUUCCUUCACUACUGCUGCUAACUGAAGCCGAUCGNNNNNNNNNNNNNNNNNNNNNNNNNNNNNNNNNNNNNNNNNNNNNNNNNNNNNNNNNNNNNNNNNNNNNNNNNNNNNNNNNNNNNNNNNNNNNNNNNNNNNNNNNNNNNNNNNNNNNNNNNNNNNNNNNNNNNNNNNNNNNNNNNNNNNNNNNNNNNNNNNNNNNNNNNNNNNNNNNNNNNNNNNNNNNNNNNNNNNNNNNNNNNNNNNNNNNNNNNNNNNNNNNNNNNNNNNNNNNNNNNNNNNNNNNNNNNNNNNNNNNNNNNNNNNNNNNNNNNNNNNNNNNNNNNNNNNNNNNNNNNNNNNNNNNNNNNNNNNNNNNNNNNNNNNNNNNNNNNNNNNNNNNNNNNNNNNNNNNNNNNNNNNNNNNNNNNNNNNNNNNNNNNNNNNNNNNNNNNNNNNNNNNNNNNNNNNNNNNNNNNNNNNNNNNNNNNNNNNNNNNNNNNNNNNNNNNNNNNNNNNNNNNNNNNNNNNNNNNNNNNNNGGAGUAGCGCGCGGUGGAGGCUGGAUGAACAGGAGCCCGUGGAGGCUGGAGGAGGUCGACGGUGGAGAUGAACAGUAUCCCGUGGAGUCUCGUUUUGCGGCACGCCACACCCCUCCUGAUGAACAGGACCCCCGUUUAAACCAUAGCGCUCCAACACAAGUCUGUUUCGUCCGUUUUACGGUAUGCCACACCCUCCUGAUCAACAGGACCCCCGUUUCGACCAUAAGAGGUCCGUUUCGUCCGUUUUGCGGUAUGCCACACCCCUCCCGAUGAACAUGACCCCCGUUUCGACCGUAGGAGGUCCGUUUCCUCCGUUUUGCGGUACGUCAGACCACUCCCGAUCAACAGGACCCCGUUCCGAAUGUAGGAGGUCCGUUUCCUCCGUUGUGCGGUACGCCAUGCCUCGUUUCCAUCGCCUGUUCCGUCCAAGCCCUCCUGAUGAACACGACCGCGCAUUUCGUUUCUACCCAGCCGGUUGGCUCCCACGCGUUCCGUUGCCUCCCGAUGAACACGACGCAUUCCGUUGCCUCCCCAUGAACACGACGAUAAUGAUGUUUCUCCGUUCCGACCAAGCCAUGUACACGGGCCCUGGCCGUACGUAUGCGCGAGUAGGCCUUCGAGACCCCGCCCGUAUGUACACAUACGUGGCCGUAUUUUCUUUCUUGCACCCUGGCCGCUGUACGUACGUGUACAUGCUACGUGCGCGCCUCUACUACGACAUGUGCGCGCCUCUACAUCCACCAGUAUAUAUGUACGUACACGUUAGCGACUAGAAUGACAACGCUACGUACGCUUCGACCAGGUGGGUCCCGACUGUCAGGCACUUCCUUGGCUGCGAAGAUGUAGCUGGUGGGUCCCAGCAGUCAGGGGGAACAUUUUUUUCGCGAAAUAUAGUGGCCCAUCCGGUGGGUCCCAGCUGUCAGGUGGAGGAAUCAUUAUUUUCCGCGUAAUAAGGAGGCACUUCCUUGCUGCGGCCGUGGACCCAGCUGUCAGCCUCUCCACGUAUACUCCACGUCCGAUGGAAGUCGUUCCUUGACCAUGUUGACCACGUCGCGCCGAGAGCACCAGGGCGGUGGACGACGGUGAGGCCUAGGAAGGGGACAACGGGGAGCCGGGGAAGACGCGGCAGUGUUAGCCAGCGCGGAGAGGAGUACGAGGGUUCACUGGUUCGGUUGCGGUGUGAGGUUGCCGUCGCCGCAAGGCUGGCCAGCGGUGGGAAUAGUAUGGGCAGUGAGGCCUCCGCGGCAGCACAGCCGGCCACGGGAGGCAGGAGCAUGCGGCACGACCGGCGCUGCAUUGGGCGGCUGGAGCAAGAAGACCAGAGGUUGAAGAAGCACUACGACCUUUGGAUGGACAUCGUACGGUCACUGGAUCUAGAAUCGUUCAUAUUGACUAAAGUUGACAAAGGCCCCCAUCCCAGUCAACUUAGUAGGCCCACAAGUCAGCCUCCCACCAUGGUGGGUCCCAGCUAGUAGGGGGAGUAUUCAUUUUUUGUGCGUAAUAAGGAGGCACUUCCGGUGGGUUCGAGCUGACAGCGGGGGGAACGUUUUUUUGGCGAAAUAUGCUGGCCCGUCCAGUGGGUCCCAGCAGUCAGGAGGGAAACAUUUUUUCGCGAAAUAAGGUGGCCCGUCUGGUGGCUCCCUGCUGUCAGGUGGAGGAAUAAUUAUUUUGCACUUAAUAAGGAGGCACUUCCUUGCGGCCGCCUGGACCCAGCUGUCAGCCUCUCCACGUACAGUACUCUCCCGAUGGAAGUUGGUCAUUGACCAUGUUGACCACGCCGCGCGGAGAGCACCAGGGCGGUGGUCUGGACGACAGCGAGGCCUAGGAAGGGGACGACGCGGAGUCGGGGAAGACGCAUCAGCGGAAGCCCGCGCGGAGAGGAGUACGAGGGUUCACUGGUUCAGCUACGGUGUGAGGCUGCCAUCGCCGUAGAAUAACAGGGGGUAUGGAUGAGUAGAGGGAUGGCCUGGCCAGUGGUGGGAGUAGUACGGGGCGGUGAGGCCUCCGUGGCAUCACAGCCGGCCACGAGAGGCAGGAGCACGCGACAAGCCCGGUGCUGCUUUGGGCGGCUGGAGCAAGAAGACCAGAGGUUGAAGAAGCACUACGACCGUUGGAUGGACAUCGUACGAUCACUUCAGCUAGAAUCGUUUAUAUUGACUAAGUUGACAAAGCCCUUGGUACGGGUCAACUUAGUAGGCCCACAACUAGGAUUUGGCAGGGAACAUAUAGCCCAUUUGCGAUUUGUAAGAAUGUACAACCCAUUUUUUUAAUUCUAAUGGAAUUUACUACAACCCAUUUACAGUUUGUUAAAAGUACAACCCAACUUCUAGCUAGGACAACGAUUAAUAAUUUCAAACAACCACUCAAAACAGAAUUCAAAAAAAAAAUUCCCACAUUUUGAUGGGAUACGAAAUAUUUUUAUCUGAAAUUUCUAGUCAGGUUAAAUACAAUUUCAAAAUAAAGUUGUAUUACGUUAAAAUCCAAUGAAAUAUUGCGCACGCAAUAAGUAAUGAAAUUAAAAUUUUCAAAUUCCAAAAACAAUAUAUUUUUCAAACUAAUUACGUGUUUGAUGCAUAGUAACUGUCCAGUUAUUAUAAUUACAUCCCAUUUAUUAUUUCUUAAAUCCAUUUUCUUGUUAAGCCUAAUGCAUACCUCCUAGGAAAGUUUGCAGCCCAGCGGGGCGGAGAAUAACAAGUUGACCCGGAUAUUGUGUACAACUGUCGGCCUAGCUGCAUUGCUGAUGUUGAAAAAAAAGCCUGUGUAGUACAGUACAACAUAACAUGGUUACUCAGCCCACAUUCAGUGACGCCGGAAAGGCCCAAACAAGGCUUCUGUACAACUUUUUGAAGUCACUGAGCUCAAUUAAUAACUUAAGAAAAAAGUUAGAUUACAGUGGAACCUAAUUAAAAGCUGUCACGAGCAAAUAAAUAAUUCAACGGGUCCCACUUGUGCGUGUGUGCGUGUGUGUGUGAGAGAGAGAGAGAUAGAUAGAGAGAGAGACCCAUCGGUCGAUGCUUAUAAAUACAUCUUUCAGCCAUAUGCAUUGCUGAUGCUCAGUAAAAACUUAUACAGUUGACACAAUCAUAUAGAACAUCAUAGCACGAACUUGCAUACUAAAAUUUCACGCAGGCGGCACAAUCAGGAUGGAAGCAGUGGAUCGCUACGGGAAGGGCUAUUUUGAAACCAACGAAGUCGUACAUAACGGUUCAUCGUCUUUAUCAAUGAUGGGGAAAUAUCUUGAAUGUUGUGGAAAGAAAAUAGACAGACAACACAAUAAGUUCUGCUAGCACAUUAAGUUGACGUACAACCCUUUCUAAUAAAAGUUCAGGUACAAAUUAGAACAUGUCACAAUCAAAUGUACUGGCAUAUCAGUGCUUCACACCCAUAGCUCGGAUUUAACUAGUAUCUGACAAGAUUUAGUUGUUACCUCAAAUUAGAGCACAUCCAGGCAGUCAGCCCUGCCUCUUCUCCCAAAGAAGCAGUGGCCUCCGCCGCAUGAUGGAGUAGGCCCUAUGUCAUCCAUUGUUCCGAGCAACACGGGGAAAGUCUGAUGUUGACUCCUGUAAUGGACGUCGUUGACAGACCCUGGCACCAGCGGCGGCGGCAGGACUUCAAUUGAUGGAUUGACCACUUCUUCGACAUGCACGAACACUCGAUACAGGUACAUCCCUAACGUGGUCCGCGUCGGCCUUGGUGGCGACGAAUAGUACAACCCCGGUUCCUGCACCGGUAUCUCAACACCAAUCACCUUCGGUAUGGUGGACGGCUUCUUCAUCCAUGCCAUAACCAUCAGAGCCCAGCUGUCUGGAGGAACAAACAUACUUACGAGCUCACCUCCAAGGUCGUUGAUAAGCUCGUUCAUGGACUCGCUAUUCCAAGCACGUCGAGGCAUGCCAUGGAAGGUAUGAUUUGUUAAAAACUCAAGCUCAGAGGGCACUGAGCCCCAUCCGGGGUGCCACCCAUCAAAGCUCACCAGCGCGCUAUCGCAGAACAAACGCCGAGAAGAUUCGAACACACGACUGCAGUCAAAAGUUGUUCGGAACCUGAUGAAGAAAUCAGUCGGUGGCGGACAGACUUCGACGAGCAAGUCACUUAUUUGGAUGCCGUGCGCAAUGCUAAGAGCUUUGACAAGGUCGUUUGGCGAGACGGGAGGACGGUCGCCGUUGAUGGUUACCAUCAGCACUUUGCCGGCAAACUGGUCGUCAAGCGCCGCCAUGCCACUGUUGAGCGACAGCACACAGCGACCGAAGGAAGGACGGACCUCAGGAUCUCUAGCUCGGAGAUCUGCGUUGACCAGCGACAUGAUAGUGCGCUUGAGUACAGGGAGUACAGGAGGGGGAUUUGGGGGAACUGGAGUAGGAAUCGAGAUUCCAUAGGUGUGGGAGGGGCGGGAGACUGGGGAUGAGAAGGUAGCAUGAAUUUCGAGCACGCGCCAAUAUGCUCUCGGCGCGCAAGCGCACGAAAACACCAGUGGCGCCCACAUGUCGGCCUAAGAGUCCUUAUUCUUUCUUUUUUGGAGAGCCCGGCCUUUUUUUAGGAUCUUUUGAGAGGCCGGCCUAAGAGUCAUAAUUGACCUAUUUGGCAUUGCGUUACUACUCGGCCCAUAUUCAACGACACCUCACUGGCCCAAACAAGUGUACAUCAUCGAAAAGACACUGAGCUCUAAUUAUAUAACUUGAAAAAGGAGAUAUACUCUGAAUACUGGAGAAUGGUGAUGCCGUCAUUUAGCCCACCAGUAAUUCGAGACAAUAAACAAUUCGAAACAACAAUAUAUACAACAUUCAAACACUGACUAGUGACUACUACUGACAUAAACAGCAAGACAUGAUCGUUCAUAAUAAGUCUUGCUACACCACCAAAACGCACCCAUCUGCAGCGCUUAGACUCUCGUGAUCCAGACGAGAAUGACAUUCUAAACAGAAGCAACUAUUACAUAGUAAGAGUGACAUAGACGUGGAUGACCAAAUGACAAGGAAUAUGCAUAACAAAAUAAAGAACUACCCAUCCAAAACCAGCAGCAAAGACAACAAAGUCAUUCGAAGAGAUGAUCCAACACCAUCAUAAUUUGCAGCCCCGCUUCAGCGACCAGUGAUCCGGAGACACCAGUACUCCACCCUUUCGAUGCAACAGCCCAAUUACCUAUCAACCUGAAGGCUUGAACCACAUCACUGCCUGUCGUAAUUGAGACAUCCAAGGAUCAAAGUUAAUCUGGAUGCCUUUGUCAUUCUCACCUUCUUUUGGCUGCAUGAUGUAUCGUUGACAAUCAGGGGAGUUUGCUCCCGAACUCCUAGGGCUCACCGUGUAGACACAGUUUUCCAUAGCAAACAGAGCCUCUCUGCCAUCAAGGUCCUUGCCAAUAGUGAUCUCCUAGUUAAUCAGAUAAUUGAGUCCGAGAAACAGAGAGUGUGAACCAAGGCUGUUUACCCGCCACCAACUAAAAAAAAUCCUAAAGGCCCCCAACAAGAUGAUAUCCUGCUCACAGACGUAACAACCACUGCCCGGAUACUCACGUAUUAGAUGGUGCUUGUAUACAAUGGGGUUUUUGCAAUAUAACUUUUCCGGCUCAUGUGUCCGAAUGAUCAUCAGCCUUUUGCCGUCGUCUGAUCGAGCGAGGAACCAGUUGUGCUUCCCUGUUUUUUGCAAAGGUGGUGUGAUUACAAAGGGCAGUAACUGUAGGGACACUGCAUCAUAUCAAAAAGGACAUGCAUUGUUAAUGUAAGAUCAACAUUUUUCAGAGUAUGAGUAGGAUAAUGCAAGAAAUAGCAUUGAUAUGUCCCUGUUGGAACUGGGAGGAAAAUACAGGGAAAUGUAUACUGGGUUCAAAAAUAUAGAAGUGCCAUGCAUGGUUAUACUCAUGUUAUCUCACAAUCGAUUCUUCACAACAAACUACCAUGUCAUGCAUGUUAUGUAAUCAUGUUUUGUCCUCACAAACAAAUUCUUAAAGGUAACUAACAGACCAUGCAUUGUUAUAUACUCGUGUUAUGUGGGCAAAUUUUUUGUGAGGAUAUUAUUCUAGCCAUUGAUUGCUGAAGGGCGAAUAUAGGUAUGUACACAUGGUAAGCAUUGCAGUAUUUCACUACUUCCAAAUAUAGAGUUCUCCAUAUGCACAUUUACUUCCCUAAUGUAUGGUUAGACGAAACCAACAGUGUGGUGCAUGUUUCUACAAUCUUCUGCAAAACAAGGUCCGUCCAACUGACAUAGUAAUCUAGAUGACUUGGACCGCGAUGGUAAUACUCUAUAUAAUCCAAUGGAGGAAGGAUAAUCUCAUGGGAGGUCUGGAAGUUCACGAGCACCAACUUUUUACCGUCUUCUCUGAAGGCAGCCAUCUAGUGGGAGUUCAUGGCGACCCAGUACAUACCUGCCAAGAAGUUUCGGGCGAUGUUGAUCGGAUCGAUGUCGAGGGAAAUGAUGUACGGCGGCCCACUACAUACCUGCAAAGAAGUUUCGGCUAAUGGAGAUCGGAUUGAAGUCGAGGGGCAUCAUGCACGCCUCCGUAUCAUGGUGAUCCAAUCUCGCAAGACCAGAUAGCAGCAAGUAGGGUGUCUUGAAAAGCUUAGGGCUUGCUUCGAUGAUGGCCUUGUGCAUGUCUCUCGAGCAUGCAGCCAGCCGCAGGGCGCUCAACAUAUCCAUACACGAACAACAGAGGUCGAGGAUGUUAUUGGGGAGAUUGCUCCAAUCGCGGCUCAUAUGGAUGCUGUGCGGUUCGCGUUCGACCAUGGUGGAGUUUGGAAGGGGGCUUGAUUUACGGGGGAGAAGGAUGUCAGUGCUGGAGCGGCUAGCGAGGGAAUAGUGGUACUGGGGGAGGCGAGUGAGGCGACGGUACACGGGUGCACAGUGAGAUGGAGACGGAGACGGAGAAGGAGAUGGAGAUGGAGUGGUGCUAUGUGAGCGGAGAGGGAGAUGAGGCAAGGCGCCAAUGUGCUAUACAGCGGCGGUGACAGACUACACAGUGCACAGGGUGAGGCUGACUUUGGUAACCCGAACACGCCGCGUGGACUAGUGUCAGGCGCAGGGUGUUGUCUCUUCACUGUGAGGACUGGAUGAAUAGUAUUUUGACCAUCAAGUGUACCGCAGUAGUAGUAGUAGUAGUAGUAGUAGGAACAUGAGUACUCCAGUAUUGUAUAGCGGAAAUAGGUCUCCCGUGCUAGCAUGUCUGUUCACUUCAUCGUUCAGGUAUCAUCCAUAUUGCGAGCAGUACCAAAUUCUCGUGCAUGCCCAAUCAACGCCCUGCCGCGAUGCAUGCAGUGGUCGUUCUGGUGCAUCAAGGGCGGCAUGCAGAUCGUUCCACACUUGAGAAGAGGAAAAAUGGAAAGGUAGAACGCGGCAGCAGAGGAAGAGAACGUUGGCUAACGAGGCUGGGAGGGGAUCGAGCAGGAAGUUAAUGCUCCACGCCUAAAGGUUUUGGGAAAACCUGAUUUUCAUAAGGUGACUUAUACUCACCUAAACAGAGGGAGUAUUCCUUAACCAGAGAAUGUUGUGUCUCCCACUCACGCGCUCAAAAAACAACUAUGACACAUUUUUUAUCUGUUUGCAUAGAUCCCACCUAUCAGGAAGGAUGGGCACGUACACGAACAGGUACAACUCAUCAGUCUACCUGCAUAGCCUUUUCGUUUAGUCUACCUAGUCGUCUAAUCAACUGUCUGCACACCACUUCUCCCAUUUACUUCUCCAUCGGGAACCGAUUCUCCUCGGCUUCUUCACCUCCCCUUCGUCUUCAUUUGCAUCCAAACCCCACUGCGUUCACAUUGUUUUAACCUCUUUAAAUAAUCAUCUACUACUUCAGUUAGACUAGCCAUCUAAUCCUAAUUCUCCAAACCUCUUUAAAUAAUCAUCUACUACUUUAGUUAGACUAGCCAUCUAAUCCUAUCACUGCCUUGCCCUGCCUUUCCUUCGCUGACAGGUGGGACCCAAGCUUAUGGGUCCCACAUGUUAGUGAUAGAAUGGUAGGAUUGUUCGCGUUAGGGGAUCCUCAUCCCCCCGACGUGCCCCUCAUCCCUCUCGGCCCCACCGCUCCUCUGCCUUUGUCUGCAUGACAUGCGGGCCAGCUAAACUGCGGCGACCAUCAACUUUCUACCACAGACACACCCGAUUGGACGCGGUUUGCCUGCUCCACUGCUGUGCUCCGAUCUGUACUCCCGCACCAUCGAAUUUUCAUCCAGCGGCUGCGAGAAGCACCCUCGCCACGGCCACGCCACCACCGGCCGGUUCAUCUCGAAUGAGUGAAUCAUGAACCACGCCACCACCAUGAGAAUGACAUGUGGGUCAGCCGCAUUUAUGGUCCGCAUGUCAUUGACUCAUAGGCCGGGCACUAAGCCACUGAAGUUUGGUCCCGUGGGCCCCGAGAGGGAAAUGUAACUCCUGCGGCAGGCCUUGUGGUGCUCCCGCAGUACGAGCUCAUGCCAAAACUGGAAUUUGUUUCUUACUACUACCAACUAGUACUAGUAAGGUACACGUGCAUUGCACGCAUGAGAUUCUGGUGGUUUGUGCAUGUGGAGCUUUCUGGAUUCUAACGUGUGGCAAAAUCUGGUGGAAUGUAAGGUUAGGCAAGUUUGAUUAACUUAGGUGAGUGUUUGGUUCAAGCCACACCUUAGGCAAGCCACACUAAGGCCCCACAUGACAUACACACAAAAAAUGUGGCAAGAUUCCCUUAGGCUUGCCAACUUGUGGCUCUCAUUUUGAAGAACUAAUAACUUUGCCUAAGCUUAGUUGUGGCAAAGUUAGUCAUGAAUUAAGUUCAACCAUGGAGUCUUCUAGAUUAUACAUGUGCCAGAAUCUGGUGGAUGAUAUUCAACGGCCAGUAGUGCUCGGAUUUGCCAUCUUUGUACCGUCGGAUUGGCUUCAUCCAAUGACCAACUUUCAAAGUUUUUCACACACUAUAUAGGGGGUAUAGAUAUAUAUGUGCCAGUCUGUUGCAAUGGAUCCAAAGUAUAUCUAUUUAGUGGGGUGCACUCUAAACACAUUAUAUAUUUAUUUUUCUCUAACCUUCCGUAGCCAUGCAACCAAGCCACAUAAGCUUCAUGGGUGCCCCCCACAUCAUAUUAUUCGUACUACGUUGAUUGAAAAAAGAUAAAUCACCCAAAACAAGAUCUUCCCGUUUUUUAUUCCUACGAUGUUGUGCCGUGCAUGUACCUACUAGUUGUAUAGUGGUAGUACUAGUAAUAUAGUAUUAGGAGUACAAACUUGGUACUAGUAGGAGUAGUACUAGUACGGAAUGCUCCUACUCAAUCAACGAGCCCCGUCUGACACCAAAUUUCUUGGCUUCCGUGCUACAACUAGAUCUUCCCCUCGUUUCUGUUUUCCAACCCGGCGGCGGGCGGGUUGUCGGUUUGCUCAACGGCGGUCCCACAUGAAAGUGAAAAUGCUAGGCAACACGCCUUCCCUAAGCUAUGUGUCGUGACGGACGGGCCGUGUUGUACUCCCGAUUCCCGGGCUUGUGGGGGUGCGACGCGAACGCGGCAUGCCUUUUCCUUUUACCAGCAAUGUGCCCGUGCGUUGCGACGGAUCCAAAGUAGUAGAAUAGUAGUAUUUGUUCACAAACUUGAAAGAAAUCCAUAUUGUUUUAAUAUACUCCUAAUAUAUUACUCCCUCCGUACCUAAAUAUUUGUCUUUUUUGAGAUUUCAAAUGGACUAUCACAUACUGAUUAUAUAGACAUAUUCUAGUGUUUCUAGCAAGAUGCCCGCGCGUUGCACGAAGUUGAUGGAAAAGGGAAGCACAACUUAUAAAUUGACGGAUGGAGUACUAGUUACAGUGAUGCAUAUAAUUAAGCAAAGGCAUCGCACAUGUCGGUAUUGACUGGAACGAGAAUGCAACAACACAAUAAGAAUUAAGGCCACGAUGAUGCGAUCACAGUGGUGGUUAUAGAAGGCACGAAGAAAGAUGGAUGCACGAACGUACGACCUCCUCCUCCCCAACUUAGUGCGUCGGGCCACCGACCGGCGGCUAAGGAGCGGCGGCUUUUGUGGCGAGGCCGAGGUGCUUCUCAGCAAAGGCAUCCAAGGCUUCCGGCCGGUUGAGGAAGGCCAACGUCGUAGCAUCCUCACUGGCCUUGUAGAUACCUAUGUACACGAUUUCCUCGUACACGUGGAUGUGUAGGUCGAUGAAUUUCUUGCAGGGCGAGGCGCCCGCGGCGAGCGCGACCUCCAGGUGGACAUUCUUCGUGGCGUCGGCGGGCAGUCGCGGGGCUACCAGUGCUUGAAAGAGGUUCCGGCCAUGGAGGACGAUUAGGGUGGCAGGCAAUGAGGAGCCCGGGUGCACGGGCUGGAGGAGUACGGUGAUGUCGUCCGCGAGCUUCUUGAGGAUGGUGAACUUGUUGCUGGUGGCAUUGAUCAUCUGGUCCAACUGAGAGUCGUAGUUGGCGUCGACGGCGGCCAUCCACCAGCCGGUCUCCAGCACCGUCUGGAGAUGAUCCUCGGCGCCAUGCCGCAGGCCGACAUCGUGGACCAUCUGGCGCAGCCGCUGGCCGCUCACGCGCAUCACCGCCAUGGGUCUGGAGUGAGCUCUUUUGCGCUUAGUGUAGGUGCUUAGGCAAAUGCUUAUGUGCGCAUGAUGUGGUAGAUGCAUUGGAAUGGAGGGGCGCCUUUAUAUGAGGGCAAUAAGGGCAAACUGCGUUGCAUUCACAUCGUGCAGCCUCUUUUCCCGGACCUCCUCCCAUUACUUCCCUCAUGCAUUAAUUGAAGGAGGAUGCAUUGGCCGUUCAACAUAUCGGGAACCGCUACUCCCUCCCUCGUCUGCAUUAAAGCCGUACCGGGAACUGCGCCGCCCGCUGUCAAAUCGAAUACUCCCUCCGUCUAGGUGAGUAUUAAGUCAUCUUACGAAAACCAAAUAGUAAACACAUAGGCAUGGUGCAUUAACUCUCACGUUGUUUCUUAUUUUUUGACAUAAAUAGAGGAAUCAACCAAGAAGAGAUGUGGGGUUUGUAUGCUUUUAAUGACUUGAGACUAUCAAACAUGACAUGCAGUGGUCAGUUCGUUGCACAAGAACAAAUACAACCCACGUCAGCACACACGCAUCUUAUAUAACAUCACAUCCAAUGGCUAUAAAAGAUGAAUGAGACCAAAUUAUAUCUCAUCUAGAUGAGUUCUAGCAAAACUGUAUUAAUAAUACUUAGUACUCCUGGGCCAUGUAUCAUAUAUUAGUAUCAUGUAGUACUUUAUUUAUUUAUGAGUUAUCCAGAUGGCACUGCGCCGCCAAAAAAAAGAGGGUAACAUCAAAAUUAUGGACUACUUUUUUGAGUAUGUUGGUAAGGUACGGUCAUAGUCACUUGUUGAAAUCUCUAAAAAGACAAAUACUCCCUCCGUCCGGAAAUACUUGUCAUCAAAAUGGAUAAAAGGAAAUGUAUCUAGACGUAUUUUAGUUUUAGAUACAUCUCUUUUUAUCCAUUUUGAUGAUAAGUAUUUUCGGACGGAGGGAGUAGAAAAUAGAGUUAGUGAUGAUGGUGUGAGUGCCAUCCUGCAAUAUAGGCCGUCGGAUUUAUAUCUAACAGAUAGGAAAGAAACUAUGGCAAUUUUGCAAAAAUAUACCCACACGUCUCUCCGUGUUCGCAAAUAAGGCCUUCCCUCGUUCAACCUUUUCUCUCACAAGAUAAACUACUCAUACAAAUGCAUCUUGAGGUGUCCAUAGAAUCGAAGAGAGGGAUGAUGUGUGUGUGUGUGUGCGCGCGCGAUCGAUAAAGAGUGCCAUCGAAUUUGUGUGUGCCCACGUCAAAGAUAUAGAGUGGUUGGCCUACUGGAACAUGAGAUGGGACAUGUGCAGUUUGUCUCUAUGGCAUGGAUACCUACCUGCAGCGCUCGACUAUUGUUGUGUGGUGGGGGAAGAGGGAGGCCCAAUUAACUAUAGAGGUACAAUGGCUGGUAUGUGUGUGGAGGAGGAGAGAGGCCUACCUCAUGUAUUAAGGAGAUCGAUCUGCCUCAUGUAUUAAGGGAGAUCGAUCGGCAUCCAUGCAUAUGUGCAGGAGAGGAAUAAAGUUGGGAGAGAGACAGAGCUAGAUUGUUGGAGGGGGUGGUAGUGGAGUUGCUUCUAACAAAUGGUGGGAUAGGCUUGCUAGACAAACGGAGGGCACACCCGCAAUAUCAAUAAGAGAGGAGAUGGCUGCUUGUUGUCUGUGCACGUGCGUGUGAGAGACGGGUCAGGAGGCAUGCACAAAUGAUGAGGGGGACGAUGUGGCUGUGGUAAGCAGACAUAACUACAUAGGAAGAUCAAUUGCCCUUUGUUAGAGAAAGGAGAGACAUAACUUGUGAGGUACGUCGAUCGAUGGGGGGGUAGUUAAAGUCGAUCUAGGUAUAUGUUGGGAGAUCGAUCGGUAUACAUGCAUGUGUGUGUUAGAAGCAAAUGAGGCACGAGGAGAAGGAUAGAGAGAGAGGGAUGCAUGUAGGAGGUGGUACGAGAGGCAUACUAUAUCGAGGGGGGAGGAGUGUGCGAGUACGAGAACGAUGAAAAGAGUGGUGGGAGUGAGGCAUGGACGGUGACAAGAGAAGAGGGGAAGCUUGUGUUUGUGCUAGGCACACCUGGCUAGAGAGGCAUAUCGAUCGAUGUGUGCCGUAAAGAAGGAGCUGGGGGGCCUACACACACCAUGGGUGAACGACCUAAAGUGAAAAGACGAAUUUGCGCGAUGGAGCUAUAGAAUGCUGAGGGAGGGUGAGAGGGAUGCGAGCGUGUGCAUGCACAAGAGAAAGUUAGCGCUAGCUACAAAGAUAAGAGGGUUGUGGGUGUAAAAGACGAAUAGAGAUCAUAUAUACUUCAUUAUAAAAAGCGAAUUCGGAUAUUUGAAGAAUUUAUCAUAGUGUUUCAAACCGACGCAUGUGUGAAUAUAUAUAACGGUGAUACACAUGGUGUGGUUAUGAACAUGUUAUACUACAUUUAAUAUAUUUUAUCUCUACUCUUAUGAAAAAUGGAGUUGUUGAUGAUGGUGUGCCUGCCAUCCUGCAUUAUAGGCCGUCUGAUUUAUAUCUGGCGGAUAGCAAGGACACUAUGAUGGUUGAAGUUGGCAACAAUCAUGAUUGUAGAUUCUUAUUGAAAUAGAGAAACAAAUUCAAAUUUAGUUCGAGUUGCAGCGGUAGUAUAGACAUUUGGAAUGCACUCAAAUGUUGGUAUGAGUAGGUUACAUGCAUUAUACAGCAAGCGAAAAAAUUUAACCGGACAUAACAUGGAUUCAUACUCCCUCCUUCCAUCUAUAUAGGGCGUAAUGAGAUUUUUAAGACCGCCUUUGACUAUUGACAAGAUUAAUAGUACAUGACAUGCCCAACGUGAAAAUUAUAUAAUUGAAAGAACCUUUCACAGAUGAAUUUAACGGUGUGCUUUGUGUAAGUUGCAUGUCAUAUAUCAUUGCUCUAAUAUUUGGUCAAAGUUAGCAUCGAAAAACGCAUUAGGCCCUAUAUAGAUGGAAGGAGGGAGUAGCUUUGAAUAGCAUUUGUAUAGUAAAACGGGGCAAGACUCUCUCUUUGUGUGGUGUGAAUAGUUUUAUUUUUUCGUUUUCUUUUUGGUUGAGGGAAGUGCGAAUUGAUUUGGUACGUACAAGUACAAUAUUACUACACGUUAGGCUUGUCCCUAAAAUUCAGAUAUCGUGCUCCCAAAACUGGCGCCUUCACAACCAGCGCCUUGCUAUCCCGAAAUUACAACGCGCGCGAAAACUCCCUCCAGCUGCCAAAUCCCGACACGCGAAACCCCCCUUCUAACCCUGAGUCAAAAGGGCCGCUAGUUCAAAUCAGUGGGGGGUACUUUUGUAACACACCCUACAUUUUGGACAAGCGCGUCCCUAAGUCAUGCUUCACCCCCUCCCAUCGCCCCCUUCUCACCAUUCGAAAUCCCAGGCCGCCAUAACCUCUCCACUCCAGCCGCGAAACCCCACCCUCCUCCGUCCGCCAUGUCACCGCUGCACAGCCGGAGCCUCUUCCCCGAUGACGUCAUCCACCGCAACAGCUCGACGUCCCUCGUCCACCUCCCCGGAUGAGGAUCCGUUGUCCAUCUCGCCGUCCCGCCGGUUCAGCCGCCCCGUCCUCCACCUCCAAGGAGCUACUCCGACGGUCACCUCAUCUAUCGCGGCUGCUCCAUCCCCACAGCGCCGCCUCAACCUAAUCCACUGGAACCGCAUCAUCCUCACCGACUCCUCGGACGAAGCAGAGGCCUACUCGGCGCCACCAAAGAGGUUGUACACUCAUCGCAUCGCACCUUCUCCUUAACUCGACCUCCCGGCGUUGACGGUCCUCCAUCCCGCACCCCCAUGGAGCGGCUACCUUGAAGCCAGCGCCACGGGCGACAUCUCCACGGCGGCUCUCCCCCAGCGCGAGGCCCCUUCGGCGGCGGCGUCCAUACUAGCCGGAUCUGCUGCUGCUGCUCCGGCUCUCGCUCGCUCGCUCGCGCUGCUGCUGCUGCUCCGGCUCUUACUCGAUCGCUCACUCGCCCAGCUGCUGCUGCUACUGCUGCUCUCCCCCUCGCUUGUGCUGCUGCUCUGCUCUGAUUAAUCCACACUUCAGUCGACUGAAUCGACUUUUGGGUCAGUCAAUUUUCAGGGGUUGGGGGGCUCGCCGGAGUUAAGGAAGAACCACCCGCAGCUGGGACGGGGGCUCGCUGGAGAGAUACCCCACUAUCUAUCUUAGGGUUCAGGGUGGGGGGGGGGCCUAGAUGGCUGGCCGGGGCAGCGGUGGCGAGUUGUUUCGGGGCGGCGAGGCAGCGCUGGGGCCGGCGGUUCGGCCGGUGGUGGCUGGCGGCUCAGCGGGUGCAGGUUGAAGAUGAACUGCAAGCCCUCCCUAAACUACAUGCCAAGUGCCUCUCUGCUACCAUUGCAUUCAGUUUUGAUAGUAGCAUUCAGAUUCCACAGUAAAUUUCAGUUUUGACAGUUAAGUUCAGAGUCAACAGUUUUUACCUCAUAUGUUGUAGUCAGGUGGUUUUUGGUGAUGUUAAUUUUACAUCCAUUUUACAUCAUCUAUUGGAGAUGCUAUUAGAAUCCCACUUGAUAUUGACGAUGUCUGUCUUGUGCUGCUUCAGCCUUGACGUCUUACGGCUCACCGGUGCUGCUCCAACGACAGAACGAUCCAUCACAAUAGAGCAGUGCCCUGGACACCGUCUACAGAUUCCUCAGAUCUUCCUCCACACCUCCGACAGCCACCUCUGCCUCAACUGCUUCAGCGACCAACCCAAUGAUGCUGAGGUCGACACGGCUACGGCGAAGGGGUUGUACACUUGUUGCAUCACUUAUUACUAUAAAUUCACGUCGAUCCAUUAGGGCUAUUUUGGUUCAACGGAAAAACGCCGAUCCACUGGUUGUUACCAUCACUCUAAAUUUCUACAUGCUCUCCUUACAUAAUCUCACCAUAUUUUUUUCGUAUGCAUGUCAGAUAUUGUACACAGUCAUGCUGAACAUGUAGAGAAAACGAGAAGAGUUUUGCGCGGCAAUACAAUGUCAUGCAGACAUCGCUCCAUGGUGGGUUCAAUGGCAAACCCUCCCCCCUCUCCAGAUUAUAAUCCAGAGGAAGAUAUCUGUUCUGAGGCGGAUUCAGAUGCCGCUGACCACUCCUAUUUACCCCCAAGGUCUUUGCUCUACCUUGGCAUGAUGAUGUUAGUCAUAUCAUGCAUAUGUUGCCUUGCAGUGCCUACUUUUGACAUCAUAUAUGUCAUCUUCUUAGUUUAGACAUGUUCUGUAAUGCCACAUGUUUAGUUUCUAUAUCAUAUAUGGGAAUUAUGCAGUCUCAUGUCUUUUAGCUAGCCAUAAUAUAUGUGAAAUGUGCAACGCCAUCCUGUUUAACCAGGCAUCAUAUAUUUGAAUGAUAUCUUGCCCAUCCUUUUCUUCAUUACAUUUCCAUUUGUCGACAAUGUUUGUACAUUAAACUUCUCUUCCUAUGAAUCAGCCAUUUGGGUGGGAGAUGGAAAAAUCUAGAGUGAAAACAAGGCCUUUAGAGCAGACAGUGCUACCUGUCAAAGCAGAUCUCUUGUUGGGUCCCGAUAGCUCCUCAGAGAUGGAUUCAGAGACAGAUGACCAGUCCUAUUCCCCCACUGAGGUGUAUGCUCUAACUUGGCAUGGUUAUACUGCUCAUAUCAUGCAUACAGUGUCUUGCAUUGCAUAGUUUAGACAUCAUAUAGACAAUAUUCAACACCAUGUUCUUAGUUCAGACAUCAUAUCGAAUGCCCUCUGUUUAGCAUAUAAAUGACAUAUGUGAAUUAAAUGAUGCGAUCCUGAUUACUUAGAUAACAUGUAGGUGAAUUAUGUCAUGCGAUCAUGUUUAGUUAUUCAUCAUAUCUUUGAAUUAUGUUAUGCUAUGCUAUCCAGUUUAGAUAGACAUCAUAUAUGUGAAAUUAUGUCAUGCUAUCCGUUUUAGUUAAACAAUAUACAUGUCAACUAUUUCAUGCCCUCUUUUUCCACACUAUAUAUUGCAUCUGUAUCUCAUACAAUGUAUGUACAUUCAACUAUGUUUCCUGUUUAUCAGCCAUUUGAAUUGGAGCGGGUGAUGCCAGUAUCUAGCGGACUAAAAACACGGUCUUGAAAUAAAACAGUGCUACCUCUUGGUGGAGAUAGCACCCCGGUUGUACAUGCACAAGAACCAGCCCUACCACACAUAACCCAAACUCUCGCAGAUUGUACCCCUACUGUGAUGGACAGAGAACCAGCUUCACCCAAUCUAACCCCAACCCCAGCCGAUAGUAACCCAGUUCCUGUUGACACAACACCAUCUCCACCACAGAGCUCCCAAACAAGAGCAGUUAGUAAGGAAGCUCCAGUGCCCAAAGGGCCAGUACUAUCACGGCGAACCCCAACUCCACCAGUUAGUACGCCUAUUCCCGUGGAGGAAGCACAACCAGCUAGUCGUAGUUUAGCAUCUAUCGCAUUUGAUGUCGUUAAAUCGUAUGUGCGUAUAUUGCCAUCUUGGAAAUAUUAUACUGAAGAUGAAGGAAAAUGCCAGUUGCAGGUGUUUGUCCAGGAGUUAUGUGUAAGUAAUGUUAUUCAUGGCAAUUACUUUGCUUCGUCCCAUACAUCCUACCUCCAUGAUGGUUAUAAUACAACAAAUUUUCCCAUUUUUGUCUAUAGAGAAGGACCGAUUUGGAAACUCAGGAUGAGGUAACCUGUGCUAAUACCUUUGCUAUCUUCAAGAAUGCUUGGUGGCAGUAUCGGAAUUACCUAAAGAAAACGUACUUCACCGGCAAAGAAACUCAUCAAAUUCCCUUACGUUCUCCUGAGACACAUUUACUGGACGAUGACUGGGAAUGCCUUGUUCUGUACUAGUCCCGAACAAAGAAUGUGGUAAGGUCUAUGAGCUCAUUUUCUAUUUUUAAGUAUUAUAUUCUUGCGUCUUACUGUACUCUGUUCAUGUAGAACAAGUGCCUAAACCUGACGAAAAACUGUUCUAAUUUAAGAUUCCAUUGCUAUCAUAGUUCAAAAAAGCGCUAGGCAUUAAUUGUGCGUUUUGCCACCGCCCUGCGCUUUACUGACCAAAGCGCAUGCUUUUGCGUAGUUAUGCACAGAUUAUGCGUAGUUAUGCGCAAUGCGUUUUGCCAACGCCUAGAGCCUAGGCGCGCUUAAGCGCUCGCUUAGGCGCGCCUUUUUUAACUAUGAUUGCUUUGCUCUUGUAUCACUGUAUUUACUCAUACAAACUUAUUUUUAAAUUGAAGGAUCCAAUCGAAACUCCAAUGACAUAGCAGGUAUGUUCACACAUGCUUCUUUAACAGGUUUGCUCUUAUCAAUAGCUCUUUUGAUUUCAAUUUCAAUUGUGUAUACAGUUGACUUUCAUAUCAUGCACAUUACUAGCAUCACAACAGAGCCAAUAGUGUUGUUGGACAUGUAGACCCGUGGUACCCAUCUAAAAUCUUGUUGUGCCGUGUAGUUUCCCACGCUUUGUAUUCUCUCACUUCUGCUUUGUCUUGAACUGAUAUGAUUUGAACGAUGUCUCUAUUUUGAUUUGGCAAGACAAUGCAGUGACCAUAGGACAUAGAUAUAUGUUUCUUUGAUGCUUUUAUUAUGUCCUGUCCACCUUACUAAUGAACUAGUUCACCGAAAUGAGUUUCAUAUACUAGUACAUGCUAAACUUGUUAUGUGUCUGCUUGUUUCUUCUUUUAGAAUGCUGACAGAAUAUUGGGGAAGAGUGCCUUAUUAAGCAAUGGUAAAGGAAGUAAUGCAGAUAAGGUCCAGGAUAGUGACACAUCCUUGUUGGUCUCCAACAAAGCUGAUAAAACAGCUAAGGAAGACUAUCUUGAAGAUAGAGAGACAACCGCGAAGUCCUGUCUUGGUUUAGUGUUCGAGUUAUUGGCCACUACCGCUUGCACAAGCUAUUCAAACUCACUGUCUGAAUCAGUUCGGUUUCUUGAGUCUCAACUACAAGCUGAAAGACAUCGAUCAGCUAUGCUGCAACAAGAAGCGGAAGGACUGCAGAAGUCCCUGGAGCAUUCAGAUGCAUACUUUCUUGUGCAACAGCAAGCAUUGGAGGAUUUUAACGCCAAACAGGACAAAGCUAAUCGGCUUGCUAAGCUUAUUGCCAGCAUGAUGGAUACCCAGGAUAACGUUUCUUGAGCUCUUCUGAAGUUGUUUCAGUUAAGCUCUUGUUUUGCUGCCAUGUUUAUUUGCACUGGUGGCCAAUUUUGACGGCCAGUGUAUGUAAUGUGCUGCUUUGUCCCCUAUAUUUGCACUGGUGGUGAACUUUGAUGCCCACUGGAUGUAAUAUGUGUAAUAGCGGUAAUAGGCUAGCAUUAAUUGCUUGCUUAUUUAUUUCCUUAUUGUCUUGUUUAGUUGUUUGCUUGUAGUCACUGCAGUUCUUUUUCUGUUUUUUCUAGUGGCCACAAUAGCCUAUGGUAACUAGGCCAAAAUAAUCAUGGCAACAGACGGACUGUUGUAACCAUGGGCCUCCUGCAGGACGUAUGAUCCAUGGGCAUUCGUCCGGCCGUAGGAUCCAUCAGCCUUCUAUACGGGCCUUAGGGUCCAUGGGCCUUCUACGAUGGGCCUCAUACGGGCCGUAGGAUCCAUGGGCCUUCUACGGGGUGUAUCAUCAUUUCGCUAAUCAUGGGCCGUACUAUUCGUGGACCAUAACGGGCCGUUAAUAGGCUGUAUUUGAUAACUCUAUCAAAACAGCCCAACGGGUUUUUUGACAUGAAAACGGCCCAACGUAUUAACGGUCCGCAAAUGGGCCGACUGUAACAACGGGCUGAAUUUGGCCCACAAGCAGAAAAUGGCAAUAAUGGGCCGUAUGUAACCGAAUGCUGCAAAUGAGCCCAAUAAUCAAUGGGCCCUGAGAAUGCCGAAAGUUAACUUGGGCUGGAAACAACCCAAUGGAAUAACGGGCCGUUAAUGGGUAUAAAGUGAUACACUGUUCAUUAUGGGCCAGUUUCACCACGGGCCAUUAAUGGGCCAAGAGUUACAAAGAUCCUCAUAUGGGCCGAAAGAAGUCAUGGGCCAGAAGUCAAAACAGGCUGAAUCAUAUUGGACGGCCCAGAUGACGCUACUGGGCCUAAUUCAGAUAGGGCGUAACGGGCCCUGGGUUAGCGGGCUGUAAAUGGGCUAUAUGCGAACAGGCCGUUAACAGGCUUUACGUGGGCCGGCCCGACCAAGUCAAAUGAGUCGGCCUUUUCAUAGGAAUGGGCCUCUGUUGGGCCGUGCCACGUGUCACCGUAUCAUAGGCACCUUUGGUCCAAUGAGCGGAUGACAUCUGUCCCAAUGGUGAGCCGACACGUGUUUCCUCCAGCCAAUGAUGAUUUUACACGUGGAAAAUCCCCAUUGGUCGGGGCUGUUAACGGGUUAUCGGAUCCAAAACCCGACCCGAUAGCUUAGCGGCGUUCCGUUACGAUGGAUGCCACGUGUCGGUCACCCUUGACGAAAGCACUUCUGUGACGCGCGAUUUAUCGUCAUGGAAGUGGACACUUCCAUGAUGAUAAUUUUGGUAAUGUCAUGGAACACUUCUACGACAGCACAAGUAUGUCUAUCUUGAUUCUGUCAUAAAUUUGUCAUGGAUGUACAUGCAUGACAAAAACGCGACCUACUGUGACAAACACGUAUCAUCACGGAAGUGUAUUUUUUUGUAGUGUACUUCACCUAUCUGUGUUACUGAGAAGGAUUAUGAAUUCUCUGUUGAUCCUGGUAUAAUUACUUUGGUUGAAUCUGAUCCUUUUCAUGGCUAUGAAUCUGAAACUAUUGUGGCACAUCUUACUAAAUUAAAUGAUAUAGCUACCCUGUUCACUAAAGAUGAGGGAACUUGCUACUUUUAUAUCCUUAAAAUAUUUCCGUUCUCAUUAAAGGGUGAUGCUAAGAUAUGGUUUAAUUCUCCUGAUCCUGGUUGUGUGCGUAGUCCCCAGGAUAUGAUUUAUUACUUCUCUGCUAAAUAUUUCCCUGCUCAUAAGAAACAAGCUGCUUUAAUGGAUAUAUAUAAUUUUGUGCAAAUUAAAGAAGAGAGUCUCCCACAAGCUUGGGGGAAGCUUCUCCAAUUAGCUAAUGCUUUGCCUGAUAAUCCUCUUAAGAAAAAUGAAAUACUUGAUAUCUUUUAUAAUGGACUAACCGAUGCCUCCAGAGAUUACCUGGAUAGUUGUGCUAGUUCUGUUUUCAGGGACAGAACACCGGAUGAAGCUGAAAUUCUAUUGAAUAAUAUGUUGACAAAUGAAAAUAAUUGGACACCUCCUGAGCCAGUUCCUGAGCCUAUUCCUAAACCAACUCCGAAGAAGAGGGGUAUUCUAUUUCUCAGUCCUGAAGAUAUGCAAGAGGCAAAGAAAUCUAUGAAAGAAAAAGGUAUUAAAGCUGAAGAUGUUAAGGAUUUACCUCCUAUUGAAGAAAUACACGGUCUUAAUUUACCGCCUGUUGAAGAAACAUAUGAUCUUGAUCCAUCACCUAUUGAAGAAACUCAUGGUCUUGAUAACCCAACACAGGUAGUAAAGGUAAAUUCUCUCUAUAGAUAUGAUAAAGCUGAAAUCCCAUUUACCAAGUUUGCUAGCCCAUGCUUAGAUGAGUUUGAUAAAUUUAUGGCUAAGCAAGAAUAUUUAAUGCUUAUUUUGGUAGACAAUUGAAAUACAAUUCGAAUAUGCUUGAACACUUGGGUGAUUAUAUGGCUAAUGUCAAAGGUGAAUUCAGACUUAUUAGUAAACAUGCUUCUAUGGUUACCACUCAAGUAGAACAAGUACUUAAAGCUCAAAAUGAUUUGCUCAAUGAAUUGAAUAGUAAGAAUAAUGAUAAUGCUGUUAGAGUGGCCACUAGAACUAGUAGAAUGACUCUGGAACCUUUGUAUACUAAAGGCCAUCCUAAGGGAAUUGAGCAAGAUUAUCAGAGAAAUAAUAUAGAUGCACCUAGUCCUUCUAAAAGGAAGAAAAAGAAAAAAUGAUAGGACUUUGCAUGCUUCUAGUGAACCUAUUACUGAAACACCUGAGAAUCCAAAUGAUAUUUCUAUUUCUGAUGCUGAAACACAAUCUGGUAAUGAACCUGAAACUAGUAAUAAUGUUAAUGAUAAUGCUCAUGAUGAUGCUCAACCUAGUAAUGAUAAUGAUAUAGAAACUGAACCUGCUGUUGAUCUUGAUAACCCACAAUCAAAGAAUCAACGUUAUGAUAAAAAAGACUUUGUUUCUAGGAAACAUGGUAAAGAAAGAGAACCAUGGGUUCAGAAACCCAUGCCUUCUCCUCCCAAACCAUCCAAGAAAAAGGAUGAUGAGGAUUUUGAGUGCUUUGCUAAAAUGAUUAGACCUAUCUUUUUGCGUAUGCGAUUAACUGAUAUGCUCAAAAUGAAUCCUUAUGCUAAGUAUAUGUAAGAAAUUGUUACAAAUAAAAGAAAUAUACCGGAAGCUGAAAUUUCCACCAUGCUUGCUAAUUAUACUUUUAAGGGUGGAAUACCAAAGAAACUUGGAGAUCCCGGUGUACCCACUAUACCAUGCUCCAUUAAAAGAAACUAUGUUAAAACUGCUUUAUGUGAUCUUGGAGCCGGUGUUAGUGUUAUGCCUCUCUCUUUAUAUCGUAGACUUGAUUUGAAUAAGUUGACACCUACUGAAAUAUCUUUGAAAAUGGCUGAUAAAUCAACUGCUAUACCUGUCGGUACUUGUGAGGAUGUGUCUUUUGUAGUUGCAAACGUUACUAUCUUAACGAACUUUGUUAUUCUUGAUAUUCCCGAGGACGACAGUAUGUCUAUUAUUCUUGGAAGACCUUUUUUGAAUACUGCAGGGGCUGUUAUUGAUUGCACUAAAGGCAAUGUCACUUUUCAUGUUAAUGGUAAUGAGCAUACGGUACACUUUCCGAGGAAACAACCUCAAGUCCACAGUAUCAAUUCUAUUAGAAAAAUUCCAUUGAUUAUAUUUGGAGGUUUUGAAUUUCCUCUUCCUACUGUCAAGAAGAAAUAUGAUAUUCUUAUUAUUGGGGACGUGCAUAUCCCCGUUGAGGUAACACAGUGUUAUUUGAAAUUUCUCUGGUUCCAUGUGUUGGGGAACGUAGUAAUUUCAAAAAAAAUUCUACGCACACGCAAGAUCAUGGUGAUGCAUAGCAACGAGAGGGGAGAGUGUUGUCUAUGUACCCUCGUAGACUGGAAGCGGAAGCGUUAUAACAACGUGGUUGAUGUAGUCGUACGUCUUCACGGCCCGACCGAUCAAGCAUCGAAACUACGGCACCUCCGAGUUCUAGCACACGUUCAGCACGAUGAUGAUCCUCGGACUCCGAUCCAACAGAAUGUCGGGGAAGAGUUCCGUCAGCAUGACGGCGUGGUGAAGAUCUUGACGUUCUACCGUCGCAGGGCUUCGUCUAAGCACCGCUACAAUAUUAUUGAGGAUUAUGGUGGAGGGGGGCACCACACACGGCUAAGAGAUCAAUGAUCAAUUGUUGUGUCUAUGGGGUGCCCCCCUGCCCCCGUAUAUAAAGGAGCAAAUGAGGGAGGCGGCCGGCCUAGGAGGAGGGCGCGCCAAGGGGGGAGUCCUACUCCCACCGGGAGUAGGACUCCUCCUUCCCUUGUUGGAGUAGGAGAGAAGGAAAGAGGGGGAGAGGAACAAGGAAAAGUGGGCUGCACCCUUGUCCAAUUCGGACCAGAGGGGGGGGGGCGCCUCCUUCCUUUUGGCCUCUCUCCUCUAUUCCCGUAUGGCCCAAUAAGGCCCAUAUACUCCCCGGCGAAUUCCCGUAACUCUCCGGUACUCCGAAAAAUACCCGAAUCACUCGGAACCUUUCCGAUGUCCGAAUAUAGUCGUCCAAUAUAUUGAUCUUUACGUCUCGACCAUUUUGAGACUCCUCGUCAUGUCCCCGAUCUCAUCCGGGACUCCGAACUCCUUAGCUACAUCAAAACUCAUAAACUCAUAAUAACUGUCAUCGAAACAUUAAGCGUGCGGACCCUACGGGUUCGAGAACAAUGUAGACAUGACCGAGACACGUCUCCGGUUAAUAACCAAUAGCGGAACCUGGAUGCUCAUAUUGGCUCCCACAUAUUCUACGAAGAUCUUUAUCGGUCAGACCGCAUAACAACAUACGUUGUUCCCUUUGUCAUCGGUAUGUUACUUGCCUGAGAUUCGAUCGUCGGUAUCUCAAUACCUAGUUCAAUAUCGUUACUAACAAGUCUCUUUACUCGUUCCAUAAUACAUCAUCUCGCAACUAACUCAUUAGUUGCAAUGCUUGCAAGGCUUAAGUGAUGUGCAUUACCGAGAGGGCCUAGAGAUACCUCUCCGACAAUCGGAGUUACAAAUCCUAAUCUCGAAAUACGCCAACCCAACAAGUACCUUCGGAGACACCUGUAGAGUACCUUUAUAAUCACCCAGUUACGUUGUGACGUUUGGUAGCACACAAAGUGUUCCUCUGGUAAACGGGAGUUGCAUAAUCUCAUAGUCAUAGGAACAUAUAUAAGUCAUGAAGAAAGCAAUAGCAACAAACUAAACGAUCAAGUGCUAUGCUAACGGAAUGGGUCAAGUCAAUCACAUCAUUCUCUAAUGAUGUGACCCCGUUAAUCAAAUGACGACUCAUGUCUAUGGCUAGGAAACUUAACCAUCUUUGAUUCAACGAGCUAGUCAAGUAGAGGCAUACUAGUGACACUCUGUUUGUCUAUGUAUUCACACAUGUAUUAUGUUUCCGGUUAAUACAAUUCUAGCAUGAAUAAUAAACAUUUAUCAUGAAAUAAGGAAAUAAAUAAUAACUUUAUUAUUGCCUCUAGGGCAUAUUUCCUUCAGUCUCCCACUUGCACUAGAGUCAAUAAUCUAGUUCACAUCACCAUGUGAUUUAACAUCAAUAGUUCACAUCACCAUGUGAUUAACACCCAUAGUUCACAUCGUCAUGUGACCAACACCCAAAGGGUUUACUAGAUUCAAUAAUCUAGUUCACAUCGCUAUGUGAUUAACACCCAAAGAGUACUAAGGUGUGAUCAUGUUUUGCUUGUGAGAUAAGUUUAGUCAACGGGUCUGCCACAUUUAGAUCCGUAAGUAUUUUGCGAAUUUCUAUGUCAACAAUGCUCUGCACUAAGCUACUCUAGCUAAUUGCUCCCACUUUCAAUAUGUAUCUAGAUUGAGAUUUAGAGUCAUCUGGAUCAGUGUCAAAAUUUGCAUCGAUGUAACCCUUUACGACGAACCUUUUGUCACUUCCAUAAUCGAGAAACAUAUCCUUAUUCCACUAAGGAUAAUUUUGACCAAUGUCCAGUGAUCUACUCCUAGAUCACUAUUGUACUCCUUUGCCAAGCUCAGGGAAGGGUAUAAAAUAGGUCUGGUACACAGCAUGGCAUACUUUAUAGAACCUAUGGCUGAGGCAUAGGGAAUGACUUUCAUUCUCUCUCUAUCUUCUGCCGUGGUCGGGUUUUGAGUCUUACUCAACUUCACACCUUUGUAACACAGGCAAGAACUCCUUCUUUGACUAUUCCAUUUUGAACUACUUCAAAAUCUUGUCAAGGUAAUGUACUCAUUGAAAAACUUAUCAAGCGUCUUGAUCUAUCUCUAUAGAUCUUGAUGCUCAAUAUGUAAGCAGUUUCACCGAGAUCUUUCUUUGAAAAAACUCCUUUCAAACAUUCCUUUAUGCUUUGCAGAAUAAUUCCACAUCAUCUCUGAUCAACAAUAUGUAAUACAUAUACUUAUCAGAAAUGCUGUAGUGCUCCCACUCACUUUCUUGUAAAUAUAGGCUUCACCGAAAGUCUGUAUAAAACUAUAUGCUUUGAUCAACUUAUCAAAGCGUAUAUUCCAACUCUGAGAUGCUUGCACAAGUCCAUAGAUGGAUCGCUGGAGCUUGCAUAUUUUGUUAGUACCUUUAGGAUCGACAAAACCUUCUGGUUGCAUCAUAUACAACUCUUCUUUAACACAUCCUAUUAAGGAAUGUAGUUUUCUUUAUCCAUUUGCCAGAAUUCAUAAAAUGCGGCAAUAGCUAACAUGAUUCGGACAGACUUAAGCAUAGAUACGAGUGAGAAAUUCUCAUUGUGGUCAACACCUUGAACUUGUCGAAAACCUUUUUACGACAAUUCUAGCUUUGUAGAUAGUAACACUACUAUCAGCGUCAGUGAGGGAGUUCUGGAUUAGGAGGUGUUCGGAUAGCCAGACUAUACCUUCGGCCGGACUCCUGGACUACGAAGAUACAAGAUUGAAGACUUCGUCCCGUGUCCAGAAAGGACUUUCCUUGGCGUGGAAGGCAAGCUUGGCGAUACGGAUAUGCAGAUCUCCUACCAUUGUAACCGACUUUGUGUAACCCUAACACUCUCCGGUGUCUAUAUAAACCGGAGGGUUUUAGUCUGUAGGACAACAUACACAACAACAAUCAUACCAUAGGCUAGCUUCUAGGGUUUAGUCUCUCCGAUGUCGUGGUAGAUCUACUCUUGUACUACCCAUAUCAUCAAUAUUAAUCAAGCAGGACGUAGGGUUUUACCUCCAUCGAGAGGGCCCGAACCUAGGUAAAACUUCGUGUCCCUUGCCUCCUGUUACCAUCCGGCCUAGACGCACAGUUCGGGACCCCCUACCUGAGAUCCGCCAGUUUUGACACCGACAUUGGUGCUUUCAUUGAGAGUUCCUCUGUGUCAUUGCCGUCAGGCUUGAUGGCUCCUACGAUCAUCAAUAGUGAUGCGGUCCAGGGUGAAACUUGUCUCCCCGGACAGAUCUCUGUCUUUGGCGGCUUUGCACUGCGGGCCAAUUCACUUGGCCAUCUGGAGCAGAUCAAAAGCUAUGCCCCUGGCCGUCAGGUCAGAUUUGGAAGUUUAAACUACAUGGCUGACACCCGCGGGGACUUGAUCUUCGACGGAUUCGAGCCACUGCCGAGCAUGAUCUAGCUCUGCCACCUAACAGUGCCCUGAAGGCCGCACCCGCAUCGGCUUCGACCCUUAAUUCGGAGCCAACCGCGCCGACCGAGGAUGGGUGGUUGUACGCCGCCUCGGGGGCUGCGAUCCUAACAGAGAUCGAGCCGAACACCAGCCCCGCACUCCGCGAGACUCAUGAUUCCAAGGAGCCGGACUCCUCUCCGGACACCGAACCAUUCGCGCCUCUGCCGAUCGAAUCCGAUUGGGCGCCGAUCAUGGAGUUUACUACCGCGGACAUCUUUCAGCACUCGCCCUUUGGUGAUAUUAUAAAAUCACUAGAGUCUCUCUCUUUGUCAGGAGAGCCCUGGCCGGACUACGGUCAGCGAGAUUGGGAUGCGGAUGAUGAAGAAAUUCAAAGCCCACCCACCACCCACUUUGUAGCCACUAUCGACUAUUUAACCGACAUGCUCGACUUCGACUCUGAAGACAUCGACGGUAUGGACGCCGAUGAAGGAGACGAUGAAGAACCAGCGCCUAUUGGGCCCUGGAACGCCACCUUGUGAUAUGACAUAUACAUGGUGGACGCACCAAAAGAUGAAGACGAGGAGCGGAAGGACGCACCGAAGGCUUGUUCCCUCGAAAAGCAGUCAAAGUGGCGACGCAAGCGCCGCCCCAAAUCCCGCCUCGAUAGAAAUAGCGAUCACACAAACCCAGCACUGGAGCAGGGCGAACCGCUGCCGGACAACGGCAAUCCGGAUAAUCAAACCGAACAAACAAAUCCUAUCAAGGAUAAUGGUCCGGACGACAUAACACUGGACAGACACCCGGAGCAGCAGACUGCGCGUAAAAGGCUUGUUGCCACCGCGAGGAGUCUGAAAAAGCAGAAGCAAAGGCUCAAGGCCGUGCAAGACACACUCCAAACCAGAUGGAGUAAAAUACUCAACACUGCAACAAGGUACAACGACAAUCGCCCCUCCAAGAGCUACCCAAAGGGGAAGCUGCUACCCGAAUUCGGUGAGGAGGCCUCAGAACCCCCACAACCAAAUAUCAAAGCAGCCACCUGGUCGGAUAGACAACCCCUCUACCAACACAGAGCGGCAUACAAUGCCGCUCACAAGACAAUACGCGAACCAUGCGAGGGCUCGCACCCAAAGGACGGCGCAACAAGAUCCAUCUAUGGACCACGCAAGCGCGCCCCAGCAUACAAUGCAACACAACAAACUCCGAACAACACGGUACACCCAGCUAUAGGGGUGCCGCACACCCCCUAUGUUUCACCGAUGAGGUGCUGGACCAUAAAUUUCUAGAGGGAUUCAAGCCCGUAAACAUAGAGGCAUACGACGGAACAACAGACCCUGGGGUCUGGAUUGAGGACUACAUCCUCCAUAUCCAUAUGGCUCGAGGAGAUGAUCUCCACGCCAUCAAGUACUUACCCCUCAAGCUCAAAGGGCCAGCUCAUCACUAGCUCAAAGGCCUCCCCGAAAGCUCCAUUGGAAGUUGGGAAGAGCUCAAAGACGCCUUUCGGGCAAAUUUUCAAGGGACAUAUGUCCGACCUCCGGAUGCGGACGAUUUGAGUCAUAUAACUCAACAUCCCGGAGAGUCAGCCCGAAAGCUUUGGAACAUGUUUCUUACUAAAAAGAACCAGAUUUUCGACUGUCCGGACGCCGAAGCCUUGGCAGCUUUCAAACAUAGCGUCCAUGACGAAUGGCUCGCCAGACACCUCGGCUAAAAUAAGCCGAGAACGAUGGCCGCAUUGACAAACCUCAUGACCCGCUUUUGCGCGGGUGAGGACAGCUAGCUAGCCAUAUGCAGCACCAGCGACCCCAGUACAUCUGAAGUUAGAGAUGGAAACGAGAAAUCACGGUGCAACAACAAUAACAAACGCCGUAAUAAAGAAGACGACACGAAGGGCACGGCAGUAAAUGCCGGAUUCAAAAGCUCUCGGCCAGGUCAAAAGGCGCCCCCUAAAGGCACCAGGGAUGAACUGUCCAGCCUCAACAAAAUUGUGGACCAAGUAUGUCAGAUCCAUAGUACCCCUGGUAUACCUGCUAAUCAUACCCACAGAGAAUGUUGGGUCUUCAAGCAGUCUGGCAAGCUCAACGCCGUACAUAAGGGGGAGGAUACACCAAGUGAAGACGAGGACGAGCCUCCCAAGCAAGACACGGCGGAACAAAAGAAUUUCCACCAGAAGUCAAAACAGUAAACGUGUUACACGUGAUCGAGGGAAAAGACAACACGACACUCCCAGGAAAAUAUACCCAAGUGCCUGUCACCGCGAAGUCCUGCCACUGGUCGUCUCAACCAAUCACUUUCGACCAUCGCAAUUACUCAGCAAGUAUCCGACACGUAGGAUGGGCUGCCCUGGUAUUAGACCCAAUAAUUGGCGGAUAUCACUUCACACGAGUCCUGAUGGACGGCGGCAACAGCCUAAACUUAAUAUAUCAGGAUACAAUCCGCGGGAUGGGGUUAGACCCAACACAAAUUCGCCAUAGCAAUACUACCUUUAAAGGAGUAAUGCCAGGCCCAGGGGCUUGUUGUACGGGCUCCCUUCUACUACAGGUUAUAUUCGGCUCCCCCGAUAACUUCCGUCAUGAGCAUUUAACCUUCUACAUCGCUCCGUUUCAAAGUGGCUAUCAAGCACUGCUCGGACGCGAAGCUUUCGCUCGCUUUAAUGCAAUACCACACUACGUCUCCCUCACACUCAAGAUGCCCAAUCCACGUGGCAUCAUUUCAGUGGACGGAAAUAUCAAGCGAUCUCUGUGCGCCGAAGAGAGUGCGGCUGCCUUGGCAGCCGCACACUAAAGGCGCCCGGACCAGUGAAAGCAUCCAAAUAGGUCGUCAAGACCUUAGACACAACCAAUCAAGUUCGACGCCGCUAUUUAUACCGAAUAAGUGGUCACACCCCUAUUUGUCAAUACAAGGGGCUCAACGCGCACAGACAAGUGGCAAUUUCUUAUCAUCUUGAAUUAUACAUGGUUUAUUUAAAAACUAUAUUUUUGCACGACAACUUUUUCACUUAACUUCCUCUCUUUUACAGACGAUCAUCGUGCUAUACCCGUCCAGGAUACGGCACAAUGGAGACACAGGCGCAGACGUGCAGCUAGGACCCGCUCCAAGGAUUCUUUUUAGAUUAAGACCCUGCAUAAACCUUUUUUACUGUCUCUUGUUGAUAUAUAUCCACCGUUGAGAAGGUUGCUAGCGUCUUGGCAUGUGGCCACGCCAGAAUAAUGCAUGUACCUGGACACAAGGGGCUUCUUACAAAGGCCAUUAUUUAGGCCCGGUUUAUACCACAAAGACCGAAUACCUUAGGGAGUGUUCGGCGUCGCGAGUUUGGCCCUAUAUGCAUCAGCUCCGAAUUAUUGUCUUUGGUCAAAUGUUGGGUUUGCCCGGCUCCUGUGUUUUGGUGCCUUACGUUCCGCUUUACCGGCUAAGGUAGCACCAGGAGAACUACUGUGAUUGUGCCCUAGUUCAUCCGGACGAGCACCUCAGUAGAGAAAGCCGAAAACUGAUUGUCAUGAUAUAGCGUGAGACUGGUCAACCACUCGAUGACCUGUUGGAAUGUUAGAAUUCCUCCGCCUUAAUGAAGGGACGUUUUCCGGCCAGGCAUGUACGCACCCCGGAAUCGGGAGAGUGCGGAGCCACCGGGGGCUAUCUAGUAGCCCCACUGUCAAACUCCUAUGGCUAAGUGAAAGUGCUAAAGCAUUAUAGUCCGGUUGCCCCGCUCGCUCCGCUAUCACCUCCUUAAUAGGACCAAGACGUUGGGUUAAGUGUGAACGCGUGUUUUUGCGAGCACCUCCGUAUUAUAUGCGUGGGGGUUGAAGCCGACGACUGCAAUCUUUCAGGUUAUACACAUGUAUACAUAAACGGCCGCCCAGGAGGCAUCAUAUUACUUUCAGGCAAAAGUAUAAAAAUAGCCUUAUAAAAAUUUAUAAAAGCAUUUCGCUUACAAUGAGAUUACAUAUCACUCAAACAUAAUAUGUUUUGAGCACCGGGUCUCUAUCAAACGGGCACCCUCAAGAACUUCUUAAAGUAGUGCUCAGCAGUCUUUCGACCUAUAGCCGAAUCUCGCGCUGCAACAUUGGUAGCAUCCAUCUCCGCCCAGUAUGCCUUAACACGGGCAAAGGCCAUCCGUGCACCCUCUAUGCACGCCGACCUCUUCAUCGCAUUAAUGCGCGGCACCACAUCAAGGAACUGCUGCACCAAGCUGAAAUAGCUGUUCGGUUUUGACCUUUCCGGCCAUAAAUGAUCCACAACAGACCUCAUGGAGAGUCCGGACAACCUAUUUAGUUCGUCCCAUUCGGCUAAUUGGUCAGUCAAUGAAAGUGGAUGCUCAGGAGAAUGGAAUUGUCUCCAAAACAACUGGUCUACUUCACGGUCCGUCUGACCCUGGAAGUACUUGGCCGCAUCGGCAGCGCUCGCCGCCAAAUCCAUAUACACAUCCUCCGAACUCCACAGCCGAUCUAGAGGGCAUACCGUGGAUCUCCGAACUUCCUCCGCAACAUAAAGGAUUUCCCAGCUACAAUAUCCGCAGCUUCCCGCAGCUCCUCGUUCUUCGCCCUCAUAGCAGAGCAGAGGUCUUUUUUCGUCGCAGUAGCCUUCUCAAGGUCCAAUGCCUUCGCUUGGUUUUCCUUUUCAAGAACCUGGCAACGGUUGACGGCGGCUUUUAAUUCUAUGGCCAUCUUGGCCAUCUUGUCUCGGCUCUCGCCAUGCGCAACCUUCUCGGCUUGCAACUCUUCGGCCGCCUUCAAAGCAGCCGCAUUACCCAACCUCGCUUGUUCCUUGGCUCGGGCAAGUUCUGCCCGCAAGGCUUCAACAGUGGCAGCUCCAUCUACAGUCACAACAUAUUAAUUAUGCUGGCAUCAUGUUGCUCUUCCUAUUGUGGUGUUUACCAGAUAAUGACACUUACCCUCUGCCUCGUCAAGCCUUUUGUUAACAAGCUCGAUGUCGGCGUCUGCCGCAUCCAACUGUCGUUCUAAAUGGGCAAAUUCGCUAGUCCGGCUAGCCACCGGAGCUUCCGUCACCUGCACAGAGAGGCAGUAUGGUUAUUACCUAGGAAUAUGAUCCUCUGUUCGUCAUCGUUUCCAACGACAACCAGAGUCUCAGGGGCUACUAUGUACACAGGGCACACCUAGCAUGUGCAGGACUAUCAUACAUUCUUUUACGUACCUCAAAGCCUGUCAGUAGACUCAUAAAAGCUUCAUGCAAUCCGCUUUCGGCGGAUGAUAUUCUCUCCAUCACCGUAUUCAUCAGCACAUGAUGUUCAUCUGAGAUGGCCGCUCUCCCCACCAACUCCCUCAGAACAUUCGAUCGCACACUAGACGGUGCCGGACUCUUUUUUCUGCUCUCUUCGGGAGACGGACGCUGGGAGCUUCGGGGGUCAAUGGGAUUAUCUUCCGGCCUCACCGGACUCGGAGAGACCCUCCGCGAUGACACUUCAGGGUCGCCCGCUUCCGGAGCGGAGGAGUCUGGAGGAGGCGUUUCGCUCUCCAUCAUCUCUGGAAGAAGAUCCCCCGAAGACGAGCUCAUUUGAGAGGGGCUAAGGCCCGAACUGCAAUAAUAUAUGCGGUGGUUAUUCUCUCAGAAGAAAAAGAUGGCAUAUCUGUACUAUUAAAGUAUUUCGGGUCACUUACGACUCGCGGGAGAAUUGAUCCCCCGUGGGCUUUGUGCGGCAACAGCGCCCCCCAAGGUAGGACCCUCUGUGGGAGACUUCUUCUCCCGUUUGGAAGCUUCGGUUUCUGAAUCCCCGUGCGCAGUCCUUUUCCUCUUCUGGUCGUCUUCCUUCAUGGAGACGCUCGCUCCCUCGGUUAGAAUGGGCAGUGUUGGGGGCCCGCGUCCGUCCGUAUUAUCCUCCACAGUAUCUUCCUUCAAGGGCUCCGGGCAAGGUGCGGUCUGGAGCAUCUUUUCCAAUACCGGAUUUUCCAAACACUCAGGGAGGGGGGCCAACCACCAAAUCAGCUUUGCCUUUGUUAGCUAGUCCUGGUCAAAAAGCGAACUCUCAGAAAUAACUUCGUAACAAAGGAGAGAUAGUAUGUUCGGCCGGAAGAUGCCUUACCUGUUCGGCGGCGCGGUUACUACUCAGGCCCACGUCCUCGGUGAUUUCCGGACACUCCACCCGAGGUCCGAAGAUUGACUUGUACAUCUCCUCGUGCGUUAGGCCGAAAAAAUUUUAAAUGACACGCGGUCCCUCGGGAUUGAACUCCCACAGGCGAAGAGGCCGGUGUUUGCAAGGCUGGACUUGAUGAACCAGCAUAACUUGUAUUACCGCAACCAAACUAAAAUCUCCAUUCAAGAGAUCUCGAAUGCGGCUUUGCAGUAUAGGCACGUCCUUGGCUGGACCCCAGCUCAGACCUCUGCUGAUCCAUGACAUCAGUUGUGGUGGAGGGCCCGAGUGGAAAACAGGGGCGGCCGCCCACUUGGCACUUCUAGGAGCCGUGAUGUAGAACCACUCCCGUUGCCACAAUUCAGACACCUCUGGGAUGGAACCUUUGGGCCACGGACCUCCCGUCAUCUUGCGUAUUGAGGCACCUCCACACGUUGCAUGUUUCCCCUCGAUCAUCUUCGGCUUUACUUCAAAGGUCUUGAGCCAUAGGCCAAAGUGAGGGGUAACCCGGAGGAAGGCCUCGCACACGACAAUGAAUGUCGUGAUAUGAAGAAAGGAGUCCGGAGCUAGAUCAUGGAAGUCUAGCCCGUAAUAAAAUAUCAAACACCUGACGAAAGGAUCCAGAGCAAGGCCUAGACCUCGGAGGAAGUGGGAAACGAACACGACGUUUUCGUUGGGUUCGGGGGUGGGGACAGCCUGCCCUCGGGGAGGCAGCCGAUGCAAGAUCUCGGCGGUCAGAUAUCUGGCCUCCCUCAACAUUUUGAUGUCUUCCUUCGUGACAGAGGAAGGCACCCAUCGGCCUUGAAGGCUAGAUCCGGACAUGCCUGAAGGUUCGGAGCACCUGACCUAAACUUUGGGCGUUUCAGCUUGAGCUGGGGGAAGGAUUCGAUUGAGCACGGGAGGGAAAAAUAAAAGCCUUGUCCCUUUAUAAAGAGGGUGAAUAUCAAGCGUCCUCUCCGUGUCCGUUUGGACUUGCCUAUAAUCUAGGAGUCCUAGAAGCGGUUGGGUUACCCACGCCCGUAUUGAUGAGAAUCCCAGAAUAAGGGGACAUGAUCUUUGCUUUAACAAGACGUGCCAAGGAAACCGCCUCCCAUGACGCGCUGAGGUGGGAUAAUAAAACGACUCGGAUAAAGGCUUGGCCGUGGUGUGUUACACUACGGAAUACGUCAGCAGAUUAGAUUUGUGUAAAUAUUAUUCUCUCUAUGGCAAUAUGUGGAAACUUAUUUUGUAGAGCCGACACUAUCUUUGUGUUCAAAAUCUUCUAUGAAGUACUUGGAGGAGGAACUCGCCUUGCAAUGCCUAAGACAAUCUACGCGCCGGACUCAUCGUCAUUGAAGCCUUGUUCAGGGGCUACUGAGGGAGUCCUGGAUUAGGGGGUGUCCGGAUAGCCGAACUAUACCUUCGGCCGGACUCCUGGACUAUGAAGAUACAAGAUUGAAGACUUCGUCCCGUGUCCGGAAGGGACUUUCCUUGGCGUGGAAGGCAAGCUUGGCGAUACGGAUAUGCAGAUCUCCUACCAUUGUAACCGACUUUGUGUAACCCUAACCCUCUCCGGUGUCUAUAUAAACCGGAGGGUUUUAGUCUAUAGGACAACAUACACAACAACAAUCAUACCAUAGGCUAGCUUCUAGGGUUUAGCCUCUCCGAUCUCGUGGUAGAUCUACUCUUGUACUACCCAUAUCAUCAAUAUUAAUCAAGCAGGACGUAGGAUUUUACCUCCAUCGAGAGGGCCCGAACCUGGGUAAAACUUCGUGUCCCUUGCCUCCUGUUACCAUCCGGCCUAGACGCACAGUUCGGGACCCCCUACCGGAGAUCCGCCGGUUUUGACACCGACAGUCCGUCUUCCUGUUGAAGAUCCAUUUAAUCUCAAUGGCUCGCCGAUCUUUGGGCAAGUCAAUCAAAGUCCAUACUUUGUUCUUAUACAUGGAUCUCAUCUCAGAUUUCAUGGCCUCAAGCCAUUUCGAGGAAUCUGGGGUCAUCAUCGCUUCCUCAUAUUUCGUAGGUUCGUCAUGGUCAAGUAACAUGACCUCCAGAAUAGGAUUACGUUACCACUCUGGUGCGGAUCUCACUCUGGUUUACCUACGAGGUUCGGUAGUAACUUGAUCUGAAGUUACAUGAUUAUCAUCAUUAGCUUCCUCACUAAUUGGUGUAGUAGUCACAGGAACAGAUUUCUGUGAUGAACUACUUUCCAAUAAGGGAGCAGGUACAGUUACCUCAUCAAGUUCUACUUUUCUCCUGCUCACUUCUUUCGAGAGAAACUCCUUCUCUAGAAAGGAUCCAUUCUCAGCAAUGAAUAUCUUGCCUUCGGAUCUGUGAUAGAAGGUGUACCCAACAUUUUCUUUUGGGUAUCCUAUGGAGACGCACUUCUCCGAUUUGGGUUUGAGCUUAUCAAGUUGAAACUUUUUCACAUAAGCAUUGCAACCUCAAACUUUAAGAAACGACAACUUAGGUUUCUUGCCAAACCAUAGUUCAUACGGUGUCGUCUCAACGGAUUUAGAUGGUGCCCUAUUUAACGUGAAUGUAGCUAUCUCUAAUGCAUAACCUCAAAACUAUAGUGGUUAAUCGGUAAGAAACAUCAUAGAUUGCACUAUAUCCAAUAAUAGUACGGUUAUGACGUUCGGACACACCAUUAUGUUGUGGUGUUCCAGGUGGCACGAUUUUGUGAAACUAUUCCACAUUGUUUUAAUUGAAGACCAAACUCGUAACUCAAAUAUUUGUCUCUGCGAUCAGAUCAUAGAAACUUUAUUUUCUUGUCACGAUGAUUUUCCACUUCACUCUGAAGUUUUUUUGUACUUUUCAAAUGUUUCAGACUUAUGUUUCAUCAAGUAGAUAUCCCCAUACCUGCUCAAAUCAUCCGUGAAGGUCAGAAAAUAACGAUACCCGUCGCGAGCCUCAACAUUCAUCGGACUGCAUACAUCAGUAUGUAUUAUUUCCAAUAAGUCAGUUGCUUGCUCCAUUGUUUCGGAGAACAGAGUCUUAGUCAUCUUGCCCAUGAGGCACGGUUUUCAAGCAUCAACUGAUUCAUAAUCAAGUGAUUCCAAAAGCCCAUCAGCAUGGAUUUUCUUCAAGCGCUUUACACCAAUAUGACCUAAACGGCAGUGCCACAAAUAAGUUGCACUAUCAUUAUUAACUUUGCAUCUUUUGGCUUCAAUAUUAUGAGAAUGUGUAUCACCACAAUCAAGAUCCAACAAACCAUUUUCGUUGGGUGUAUGACCAUAGAAGGUUUUAUUCAUGUAAACAGAACAACAAUUUAUUCUCUUACUUAAAUGAAUAACUGUAUUGCAAUAAACAUGAUCAAAUCAUAUUCAUGCUCAACGCAAACACCAAAUAACAUUUAUUUAGGUUCAACACUAAUCCCGAAAGUAUAGGGAGUGUGCGAUGAUGAUCAUAUCAAUCUUGGAACCACUUCCAACACACAUCGUCACUUCACCCUUAACUAGUCUCUGUUCAUUCUGCAACUCCCGUUUCGAGUUACUACUCCUAGCAACUGAACCAGUAUCAAAUACCGAGGGGUUGCUACGAACACUAGUAAAAUACACAUCAAUAAUCUGUAUAUCAAAUAUACCUUUGUUCACUUUGCCAUCCUUCUUAUCCGCCAAAUACUUGGGGCAGUUCCGCUUCUAGUGACCAGUCCCUUUGAAGUAGAAGCACUUAGUCUCAGGCUUAGGACCAGACUUGGGCUUCUUCACUUGAGCAACAACUUGCUUGCCAUUCUUCUUGAAGUUCCCUUUCUUUCCCUUUGCCCUUUUCUUGAAACUAGUGGUCUUGUUAAUCAUCAACACUUGAUGCUCUUUCUUGAUUUCUACCUUCAUAGAUUUCAUCAUCAUGAAAAGCUCGGGAAUCGUUUUCAUCAUCCCUCGCAUACUAUAGUUCAUCACGAAGUUCUACUAACUUGGUGAUGGUGACUAGAGAAUUCUGUCAAUCACUAUUUUAUCUGGAAGAUUAACUCCCACUUGAUUCAAGUGAUUGUAGUACCCAGACAAUCUCAACACAUGCUCACUGCUUGAGCUAUUCUCCUCCAUCUUCUAGCUAUAGAACUUGUUAGAGACUUCAUAUCUCUCAACUCGGGUAUUUGCUUGAAAUAUUAACUUCAACUCCUGGAACAUCUAUAUGAUCCAUAACGUUCAAAACAUCUUUGAAGUCCCGAUUCUAAGCUGUUAAGCAUGGUGCACUAAACUAUCAAGUAAUCAUCAUAUUGAGCUAGCCAAACGUUCAUGACGUCUGCAUCUGCUCCUGCAAUAGGUCUGUCACCUAGCGGUGCAUUAAGGACAUAAUUCUUCUGUGCAAUAAUGAGGAUAAACCUCAAAUCACAAAUCCAAUCUGCAUCAUUGCUACUAACAUCUUUCAACUUAGUUUUCUCUAGUAACAUAUCAAAAAUAAAACAGGGGAGCUAAACGCGAGCUAUUGAUCUACAACAUAGAUAUGCUAAUACUACCAGGACUAAGUUCAUGAUAAAUUUAAGUUCAAUUAAUCAUAUUACUUAAGAACUCCCACUUAGAAAGACAUCCCUCUAAUCUUCUAAGUGAUCACGUGAUCCAAAUCAACUAAACCAUAACCGAUCAUCACGUGAAAUGGAGUAGUUUUCAAUGGUGAACAUCACUAUGUUGAUCAUAUCUACUAUAUGAUUCACGCUCGACCUUGCAGUCUCAGUGUUCCGAGGCCAUAUCUUCAUAUGCUAGGCUCGUCAAGUUUAACCUGAGUAUUCUACGUGUGCAAAACUGGCUUGCACCCGUUGUAGAUGGACGUAGAGCUUAUCACACCCGAUCAUCACGUGGUGUCUGGGCACGACGAACUUUGGCAACGGUGCAUACUCAGGGAGAACACUUUUAUCUUGAAAUUUAGUGAGAGAUCAUCUUAUAAUGCUACCGUCAAUUAAAGCAAGAUAGAUGCAUAAAAGAUAAACAUCACAUGCAAUCAAAAUAUGUGACAUGAUAUGGCCAUCAUCAUCUUGUGCCUUUGAUCUCCAUCUCCAAAACAUCGUCAUGAUUUCCAUCGUCACCGGCAUGACACCAUUAUCUCCAUCAUCUUGAUCUAUAUCAAUGUGUCGUCACAUGGUCGUCUCGCCAACUAUUGCUCUUGCAACUAUUGCUAUCGCAUAGCGAUAAUUGUAAAGCAAUUAUUUGGCGCUUGCAUCUUAUGCAAUAAAGAGACAACCAUAAGGCUUCUGCCAGUUGCCGAUAACUUCAACAAAACAUGAUCAUCUUAUACAACAACUUAUAUAUCAUCACGUCUUGACCAUAUCACAUCACAACAUGCCCUGCAAAAACAAGUUAGACGUCCUCUACUUUGUUGUUGCAAGUUUUACGUGGCUGCUAUGGGCUGAGGAAGAACCGUUCUUACCUACGCAUCAAAAACCACAACCAUAGUUUGUCAAGUUAGUGAUGUUUCAACCUUCUCAAGGACCGGGCGUAGCCACACUCGGUUCAACUAAAGUUGGAGAAACUGACACCCUCUAGUCACCUGUGUGCAUAGCACGGCGAUAAAACCAGUCUCGCGUAAGCGUACGCAUAAUGUCGGUUCGGGCCGCUUCAUCCAACAAUACCGCCGAACCAAAGUGUGACAUGCUAGUAAGCAGUAUGACUUAUAUCGCCCACAACUCACUUGUGUUCUACUCGUGCAUAUAACAUCAACGCAUAAAACCUGGCUCGGAUGCCACUGUUCGGGAAUGUAGUAAUUUCAAAAAAUUUCCUACGCACACGCAAGAUCAUGGUGAUGCAUAGCAACGAGAGGGGAGAGUGUUGUCUAUGUACCCUCGUAGACCGGAAGUGGAAGCGUUAUAACAAUGCGGUUGAUGUAGUCGUACGUCUUCACGGCCCGACUGAUCAAGCACCAAAACUACGGCACCUCCGAGUUCUAGCACAUGUUCAGCUCGAUGAUGAUCCCCGGACUCCGAUCCAGUAGAAUGUCGGGGAAGAGUUCCGUCAGCAUGCCGGCAUGGUGACAAUCUUGAUGUUCUACCAUCGCAGGGCUUCGCCUAAGCACCGCUACAAUAUUAUUGAGGAUUAUGGUGGAGGAGGGCACCGCACACGGCUAUGAGAUCAAUGAUCAAUUGUUGUGUCUAUGGGGUACCCCCCUGCCCCCAUAUAUAAUGGAGCAAGGGAGGGAGGCGGCCGGCCUAGGAGGAGGGCGCGCCAAGGGGGGAGUCCUACUCCCACCGGGAGUAGGACUCCUCCUUCCCUUGUUGGAGUAGGAGAGAAGGAAAGAGGGGGAGAGGAACAAGGAAAAGUGGGCUGCACCCCUUGUCCAAUUCGGACCAGAGGGGGGGGUGCCUCCUUCCUUUUGGCCUCUCUCCUCUAUUCCCGUAUGGCCCAAUAAGGCCCAUAUACUCCCCGGCGAAUUCCCGUAACUCUCCGGUACUCCGAAAAAUACCCGAAUCACUUGGAACCUUUCCGAUGUCCGAAUAUAGUCGUCCAAUAUAUCGAUCUUUACGUCUCGACCAUUUCGAGACUCCUCGUCAUGUCCCCGAUCUCAUCCGGGACUCUGAACUCCUUCGGUACAUCAAAACUCAUAAACUCAUAAUAUAACUGUCAUCGAAACCUUAAGCGUGUGGACCCUACGGGUUCGAGAACAAUGUAGACAUGACCGAGACACGUCUCCGGUUAAUAACCAAUAACGGAACCUGGAUGCUCAUAUUGGCUCCCACAUAUUCUACGAAGAUCUUUAUCGGUCAGACCGCAUAACAACAUACGUUGUUCCCUUUGUCAUCGGUAUGUUACUUGCCCGAGAUUCGAUCGUCGGUAUCUCAUUACCUAGUUCAAUCUCGUUACUGGCAAGUCUCUUUACUCGUUCCAUAAUACAUCAUCCCGCAACUAACUCAUUAGUUGCAAUGAUUGCAAGGCUUAAGUGAUGUGCAUUACCGAGAGGACCUAGAGAUACCUCUCCGACAAUCGGAGUGACAAAUCCUAAUCUCGAAAUACGCCAACCCAACAAGUACCUUUGGAGACACUUGUAGAGUACCUUUAUAAUCACCUAGUUACGUUAUGACGUUUGGUAGCACACAAAGUGUUGCUCUGGUAAAUGGGAGUUGCAUAAUCUCAUAGUCAUAGGAACAUAUAUAAGUCAUGAAGAAAGCAAUAGCAACAAACUAAACGAUCAAGUGCUAUGCUAAUGGAAUGGGUCAAGUCAAUCACAUCAUUCUCUAAUGAUGUGACCCCGUUAAUCAAAUGACAACUCAUGUCUAUGGCUAGGAAACUUAACCAUCUUUGAUUCAACGGGCUAGUCAAGUAGAGGCAUACUAGUGACACUCUGUUUGUCUAUGUAUUCACACAUGUAUUAUGUUUCCGGUUAAUACAAUUCUAGCAUGAAUAAUAAACAUUUAUCAUGAAAUAAGGAAAUAAAUAAUAACUUUAUUAUUGCCUCUAGGGCAUAUUUCCUUCACCAUGUUAUUCGGAAUGAGUUCGUUAACAAGACUUAAUCAACCUUGUUUGUGGAUUCCUUUUGAUGAUCAUGAGAUGGAUGGAACUAGAAGGCACAACUCUCUGUACCCUCCUUUUACUUUCUGUUAUUUAUAUUAAAUAAAAUAAAAAUAAAUAUUUUUCUGUAUGUUAUCUGAUUAUCCGUGCAAUAUAAAAAUACCCCGAAAAUAAAAGUUCUCCAAAUGCCAUGAAAUUUAAAUAUGAUUUUUUCUAGAAUAUUUGAGAAUAUUUGGCACUGAGAACACAGCAGGGGGUCAACCACCUGCCCACAAGGGUGGAGGGCGCGCCCUACCCCCCUGGGCGCGCCUCCUGCCUCGUGGGCCCACGUGGCCCUCCUCCACUAAUCCUUUCACCCACACACUCCUUCUUCCUCCCCCAAAAUACGAAUAUCCAGCUCAAGCACGAGUUCUAACUCAUUUUGCUGCCAUUUUUGAUCUCCUUGCUCAAAGCACCUCUCACAAAAAUGCUUGGGGAGAUUGUUCCUUUGUAUGUGACUCCUCCAUUGGUCCAAUAAUUUUCAUUCUAGUGCUUUAUUCAUUGCAAUUUUUUGCUGCUUAGGUGACCCUAUUCUAGACCUUGCAUGUCAAAUUUAUAUGGUCAAAAGUAGUUUUGAUGCAUGAUAUAGGCCCUAGGCACUUGUAGGAGUAGUUGCUAUCAAUAUUAUUGAGUUUGGUUUACUUUUAUUUGAAGUUACUAAAAGUUUUUAGAAUUUUUCAAAGAAAGAAAAAUGCUUAGGAAAAUGUUCCAAGGUGGUUCCUCAAGGAAGCAAGGACCCAGGCUUGCAAUGCGUGAUGCUGAUGAAGAGCCACCAAGAGACGCUCCAGUGCAUCCUUGUGAGUGGCCUUCUGAAAAUUUUCUGGAUCGAGUAGGAAAUAAGGAAGAAUUCAACGCAUAUUUGCGUAACGCCGAUCUGGUGAGCUUCGAGGAAGAGAAGUGCAGUCAGUAUCACAAUCUCACUAGUACCUUUGUGAGGAGGUUUGAAUUUUCAUCUUCACGUAAUUCUCCAACUGUCCUGUUUGAUCUUUAUGAAAUUUCUUAUACUAUGGACUUAGAGGAUUUUACCACUCCUUGCAAACUUCCACAAUGGGCUAAUAUAAGGGAUCCUUGCAAAUCUGAAUUUAGAGAUUUUCUUGCUAGCAUAACUGUGGGAGAAUCUAGAGAUAUAACACAAGCUACCAUAGGGAGCAUUCACUUUCCUGCUAUACAUUAUUUUGCUCUCUUCAUAGGUAGAUGCAUUAAUGGUAAAGAUGAGGCAUGUCACAUGUGUGUCCUUGACCCCAGUAUUCUUAGGAGUGCUGUGUUAGGAGAUAAAUCUUAUAAUUUGGGAGCCAUUCUUGCACGUAGGUUGCAUCUUAAUAGAUUUAAUGGAGAGUUCUUUGGAGGAAUCUAUGCAACCCGCAUAGCUAAUUUUCUUGGUAUAGCCAUACGCGCGGAUGAUAUUGAAUUACCUCCUGCUUACCUAGACUUUAAUGCUAUGGUUCACCACCAAUUUGUCGAGAGGAAUGAAUCACCUCUCCAGUAUCGAUUAAUCUUUGACAGACGCCAUGCUGUCCAUAUUACUCUCCCUGCUCCCGCCGUCUUUGAUCAUCAGGCAAAAGGAAGAUAUACUAUUACCAGAGAGGAGGCAGAUGAGUAUGAGAGGAGAGCGGAGGCUGCUCGUCGCCACGCUGCAGCUAAGCAGGCGAUAGCCGCUGCAUCGCAGUACGACACCAACUAUUAUUAUGGAUAUCCGCUACGCCAGCCGUGGCCAUAGACCAACUAAGGCCAAAAUCCUAAGCUUGGGGGAGUACGUAUUUCCCACCGACAUUACAUUUAUGUUCACACACUCAUUGCUAGAUUCGGUGCUCAUACUUUUUCAUUGUAUCAUCCAUGCUAGUUUAUUUUCCUUUUUAUGCUUUCUUCUUGUGUGUUUGAUAAACCUUAAGAAAAACCAAAAAAAAUUAGUUGUAGCUUCUAGCUAGUUUUAAUUUCCAUGCUUGUAGUAGUAAUUAAAAAGAAAACCCAAAAAUAUUUCCUGUUCUUCUUUUGCUUGUUGGGAGCUUUCCCGUGUAAAUAGUUUUAUUUCUUUUCUUUGGGGGUCGAUAGGAGAAGACCAUGAUUAAAUUGUUGAAGUGGCUCUUAUAUGCAUAAAUGUUGAUCUGACAAAAGAGCCCAUAUUUCCUUGUCUUAUCCUGUUUAUUGAAUGCUUGCAGAUUCCAGCUUAGUCCAAUGCACGCGCACUAUUAUUAUUAUUCACAUUGUUCAGUCGUGCAAGUGAAAGGCAAUUAUGAUGAUAUAUGAUGGACUGACUGAGAUGAGAAAAGCUGGUAUGAACUCGACCUCUUUCGUUUUUGUAAAUAUGAUUAGUUCAUCGUUCCUGAUUCAGCCUAUUAUGAAUGAACAUGUUUACAAUGACAACUAGAGAUCAUAGUUUCUUGUGUCAUGCUUGAUUAGCUAUGAGUUAUAAUGGUUUACCUUGCGUGCCAACAUGCUAUUGAGAUGGUUAUGAUGUGGUAUGAUAGGGUGGUAUCCUCCUCUCAAUGAUUUAAGUGACUUAACUUGGCGCAUGUUCACGCAUGUAGUUGAAACAAAAUCAACAUAGCCUUCACGAUAUUUAUGUUCAUGGUGGAUUAUAUCCUACUCAUGCUUGCAUUCGGUGUUGAUUAAUUUCAAUGCAUCUUCAUGACUGUUGUCGCUCUCUAGAUGGUCGCUUCCCAGUCUUUUGCUAUCCUUCACCUGUACUAAGCGGGAAUACUGCUUGUGCAUCCAAUCCCUUAAACCCCAAAGUUAUUCCACAUGAGUCCACUAUACCUACAUAUAACCGGUAUCUACCUGCCGUUCCAGGUAAAUUUGUAUGUGCCAAACUCUAAACCUUCAAAUAAAUAUCCUGUUUUGUAUGCUCGAAUAGCUCAUGUAUCAACUAGGGUUGUCCGUAUCUUCCAUGUUAGGUGGGUUAUUCUCAAGAGGAGUGGACUCCGCUCCUCACUACGAGAUAAAUGGCUGGUCACCGGGAUGCCCAGUCCCAUGCUUUAUGCAAACUAAAUCAAAAUAAUUGCAAACAAAACUCACCCUAGGACUCUUGUUAGUUGGAUGCACUCGUUGUUUCGAGCAAGCCAUGGAUUGAUGCUUGUUGGUGGAAGGGGGAGUAUAAACUUUACCAUUCUCUUUGGGAACCGCCUAUAAUGUGUGUAGCAUGGAAGAUAUCGCCAUCUCUUGGUUGUCAUGUUGACAACGUAAGUAUACUGCUCAAAAUAUUAUUCACUUCUGUUUCAAAACCGAGCUCUGGCACCUCUACAAAUCCCUACUUCCCUCUGCGAAGGGCUAUCUAUUUACUUUUAUGCUGAGUCAUCAUCCUCUUAUUAAAAAGCACCAGUUGGAGAGCACUGCUGUCAUUUGCACUCAUUACUGUUAAUUUACAUUGAGUAUGACUUGACCGGAUCUCUUUUAUCAUGAAUUACAAUGUCUAGACAGUCCUUGGUCUUUAAAGGUGCUCUGCAUUUAUGUUUUGCGGUCGCAAAAAGGGCUAGCGAGAUACCAUCUUGUUAUAUCAUAUUAUGAUUGUUUUGAGAAAGUGUUGUCAUCCGAGAUUUAUUAUUAUUGCUCGCUAGUUGAUUAUGCCAUUGAUAUGAGUAAACUUGAGACCUAAGCGUUAUUGCGAAUGUGGUUAGUUAUAAUCUUUGCUGAAAACUUGAAUGCUGGCUUUACAUAUUUACAACAACAGGAGCAAACAGAGUUUGUAAAAGUUUUUCUUUAUCACUUUCAGUUUGUCAACUGAAUUGCUUGAGGACAAGCAAAUGUUUAAGCUUGGGGAGUUGAUACGUCUCCGUCGUAUCUACUUUUCCAAACACUUUUGCCCUAGGUUUGGACUCUAACUUGCAUGAUUUGAAUGGAACUAACCCGGACUGACGCUGUUUUCAGCAGAAUUACCAUGGUGUUAUUUAUGUGCAGAAACAAACGUUCUCGGAAUGACCUGAAACUUCACGGAGCAACUUUUUGGAAAAUAUAAAAAAAUACCUGCAAAAGAUGAAGGCCAGGGGGGCCACCACCUCUCCACGAGGGUGGGGGCGCGCCCCCUACCUCGUGGCCCCCCUAGUGCCUCUCCAACUCCAACUCCAACUCUAUAUAUUGUGUUUCGGGGAGAAAAAAUCAAAGAGAAGAAUUCAUCGCGUUUUACGAUACGGAGCCGCCGCCAAGCCCUAAAACCUCUCGGGAGGGCUGAUCUGGAGUCCGUUCGGGGCUCCAGAGAGGGGAAUCCGUCGCCAUCGUCAUCAUCAACCAUCCUCCGUCACCAAUUUCAUGAUGCUCACCACCGUGCGUGAGUAAUUCCAUCGUAGGCUUGCUGGACGGUGAUGGGUUGGAUGGGAUCUAUCAUGUAAUCGAGUUAGUUUUGUUAAGGUUUGAUCCCUAGUAUCCACUAUGUUCUGAGAUUGAUGUUGCUAUGACUUUGCUAUGCUUAAUGCUUGUCGCUAGGGCCUGAGUGCCAUGAUUUCAGAUCUGAACCUAUUAUGUUUUCAUCAAUAUAUGAGUGUUCUUGAUCCUAUCUUGCAAGUCUAUAGUCACCUAUUAUGUGUUAUGAUCCGUUAACCCCGAAGUGACAAUAAUCGGGAUACUCACCGGUGAUGACCGUAGUUUGAGGAGUUCAUGUAUUCACUAUGUGUUAAUGCUUUGUUCCGGUACUCUAUUAAAAGAGGCCUUAAUAUCCUUUAGUUUCCGUAAGGACCCCGCUGCCACGGGAGGGUAGGACAAAAGAUGUCAUGCAAGUUCUUUUUCAUAAGCACGUAUGACUAUGUUCGGAAUACAUGCCUACAUUAUAUCAAUGAACUGGAGCUAGUUCAGUGUCACCCUAGGUUAUGACUAUUAUAUGAUGAACCACAUCCGGCAUAAUUCUCCAUCACCUAUCCAUUGCCUACUAGCUUUCCAUACAUUGGUCUUCGCUUAUUUACUUUCCCGUUGUAUUGCUAUCAUCACUACAAAACACCAAAAACAUUACUUUUACUACUGUUACCUUUUGCUACCGUUACCACUACUAUCAUAUUACUUUGCUACUAAACACUUUGCUGCAGAUAUUAAGUUUCUAGGUGUGGUUGAAUUGACAACUCAGCUGCUAAUACUUGAGAGUAUUCUUUGGCUCCCCUUGUGUCGAAUCAAUAAAUUUGGGUUGAAUACUUUAUCCUUGAAAACUGUUGCGAUCCCCUAUACUUGCGGGUUAUCAUGGAGCAUUGGAUGCUGACCAGAUAAUAUGGACUUGGAAGGAUCUGGUCGGAUUCGACGUAGUCGGAUCCGAGUCGAGAUAAGGUCCGAGUCGGACAGACCCAACUAUGAGAAGCAGCGAUAUGUCGUCUGUGAGUCUCUAGUAUAACAUACAUUCUAUGUCCUAAGACCUGAGCUGGCGCAUGUACUCGGGAUGGUAACAGACUUGCUUUGGGCCAACCAAACGCUACUCCGUGACUGGGUAGUUACAAAGGUAGGUUUCGGGCUUAUCCAGACCCAUGCUGCGAGACAUGGUCGAGCAAGAUGGGAUUUGCCCCUCCGAUUAGGAGAGAUAUACUUUGGGCCCCUCGUGUGAUACGACCAGGAUAAGCAUGGCCAUGCGGCAAGGAUUAUGAGAUAAUCUGAUUGUGGUCGGCAUCACUGGAACGAGAAAGAGAUCGGACUAGCACAAGGAUGAUAGACUUGCCUUGAGCCCAACAACAUAUAUCGUGUGGCAAAAGGAAUGGAAGUGUGAUGUACAGGUUCGCCUAACCAGCUUCAUCGUUUGCUUGGUGGUCGGCACGCCUUGAUAGAGGCCGCUACCAGCCAUGUACUCUGGAGGUGAUCCAAACUGCGACCAAGCUGGCUUGAACCUAAGGGGUCACGCGCUUAAGGGAGGGAACCUACAAGAUCGUAUCCGAGGACAUUGGUCGGAUGUGAUCCGAGCUGUAUUCGGAUUGUGGAGGAGUAGACUUAUGGGCUUUAGCGUCCAUGCGAGGCCCAAGUAUUGAGCCCAUGAUGGAAGCCUAUAUAAAGUGGGGUGCGGCACACUCAUGCUGUUGAUCGCUUCGGCGCUGUCACUAGGGUUUGCAUGUGUUGCGAAUAGACACCUCCACUUACCGCUGAAUGUGUGAUCGGACCUAGCAGUCCGCCGCACGAAGUUCCUCCUACACGCGCGGAUACCAUUAGAGGCGGUGCACUUGCGCCACUCCGGCGAACUUGUACGUGGGAUCUGACGACCGGCUAUUCAAGGGAGAUCGUACGAGGAGGAGACGAUCCACGCGGACGCGCUGCCCCAACUAUUCUUCCACUGCACGGCACUGCGCGUCUAGUGGUAACGAACUGUGAUCCAUCUCCCGUAGCAUGUUCUUGGUUGUUCCGCGCAUAGGAAAAUUUUAAUUUGCAGGCGACACACCCUACCGUAGAACCCAACAGAUGUGAUAUAAAAUAUGUUGGCCCACCGUCUUGUGUGGCUUACGCAGGAAGCUUUGUCGUCUAUAGUCCAUCGCCCCCGCUUGAACCACACUUGCGCGCUAGUUUCUCGUGACACCGAGCGAAUUUUUUUCCACCGCGGAAAUAUCUAUCUCCCCGCUCCCUCCCUCCCACCAAAAGCCACAUUUCCACUGUUCCUCCUUGCUUUCCAAGUUCAAACCUUCACUGCUGCCUACUGGCAGCUCAGCCUCCUCACCAGCAACCCUUCUUCUUGCAGCGCUGCCUCCUCGCCGGCUACCCUUCUUCUUGUAGUGCUGCCUCCUCGCCGACGACCCUUCUUCUUGCAACGCCGCCUCCUCGCUGGCGACCCUUCUUCUUGAUGUGCGGCCUCCUGGCCGCCGACCCUUCUUCGUGUUGCACGGCCUCGUCGAUAUGGUCAGGUAAUCCACACCCCACCCACACCAUCCUCCUCAUUUCCCGUCCCACAUGCCCCGACCGACGACGCGACACCUUCCACCGAAAUCACUGUCCCCCUCCUCCAAUGAAGUGCCGCCCACAACCAUUUUGCACGCAGUAUAACAUGGAGCUCAGUAGCAUGCAGCCGCACGCGCCCACGAGGUUGCUAUGGCUGCCAUGCAUGCCAAUCGCCAGAUCUUGGAGGAGCACCUCGUCUUCGAGGCCAUCGUCGACACCGCCACGCGGUUGUCUACUUUAAAAUAUAGUUCAUGUUGUUUUCUCGAGGCCACCGCCAGUGCCUUCUAGUGAUUUGUCCUCUAUAAUGUUAAUAUGCAUUCUGAUGUUCAGUUAAUAGUUUGGUCCUGUGAAAUGUAAUGUUCAGUUAACACUUUGGUCCAACAAUUGCUAUAUUUCGUAGUACUGUUCUCAAGCAUUAUUUGUUUUGCUAACUGUCUUAUCUUCUAGUACAUGUUUCUAUUCUGCAAUGUCGUGCUUAGUUAACUAUUUUGGUUCAUUUGGUUUGCUGUCCAUUACAUUAUUUGGUUUAGUUCUGUAAUUUGAUUUUCAUUCGCUGUGGGUACAAUUUUGUAUUGUUAUGCUUGUGAAACCAAUGCAAUUUGGCUAUACUCAAUGCAUAUUCUACUGAGAGUAUAACCUGAUCAAGAUCUUCCUUAUGUGUGUUGUAGGGAAACAAUGGGAGACACUGCAGUUUACCAUAGAGGUUUGUUCAAGCAUGGUCCUUUCGCUAAUAGCACAUUAUUGUGCAGUUGCAGGAAUCAUUCUAAUAUUUAGGUUUCUUACUAUUUGGUCUUGCACAUGUAGGUCCUGCUGUCAGAGGCUUAGACCCACUGUUUGACCCAUUUUGCAUAUGGGGAAAUGAGAUGUCCAUGAAUAUCGGUCAAGUCAAGAAACUCAGAAAGAUUGUUAGGAUGAAGAAACUUACGGCGAUUAACAGCAAGAUCUUUGUUUGCACAAUGACGAAGACAUCAGUCAACUAUAGGAUGGUACUAACUCUUUUACCUUGUGUUUACCCCUUGCACCAUUUCAAAUUUUAUAAUAGCGAUUUAUGCAUAUCUUUGUUUUCAGUACUUUUCAAAGCAGUUCACCGAUGAUUACCUCUCAAACCACCUGCAUGGUCAAGAGGCAAGGAAGGUAUUCAUUCAACACCCACGGUACAAUAUUGAUGUCUUGCCAAAGAGGACGAAGAUUGGGCGGGCAAUUAUCCAUAGCCACGGGCCUAAAGUUGCAAGGACAUUCAACAUCACUAAAGGCUCAAUAUUUACCUUCCGCUUCUGCAGUUUCCAAGAUGAGAUUCAUCUAUCUAUUUACCGUGUAUGAUGCUAAUUACCCUGCUUAUUGGGGUUUUCUAUUGCAGACGGUUACUCAGACAACACUGUGGGUGAUGAACUCAAAUAACCCGCACGGUUUCUAGAAAGUAGGCGUGUUCGAUCAACUAACAAUCACACACGGCUUCCGGCAGCGAACUGUUUGCGUUAGGCCACCUUGCACAAACGUCUCCACAUAAAGAAGUGCAUGUGAUAUACAUACCUAGGAAAAUGUUUCUCUGGGAUUCACCAUGUGGGAUGUACAUACCUAUGGAAAUGAUUGGGUUUCGAUGCCUCGCCCGAUCACACACGAGCUCAUUUGGUGUCCCAGGAGGGCCUAUCCCCAGCGGUUUUUGGGUCGUGUGGGAAGGACCCCCCUAUCCCCCACACUCACUUGGCAAAGGUUCCAAAUGCCGUCGCAGAAAGGGGUUAAAAACCGUUUGUAUAGCACAUAGAUGUCCCAGUGAUACAAUGAUCAUUGCCUGGAUAUCGUCAUGAUUAUUUGAAGUUCUAUCAAUUGCCCAUCAGUAAUUUGUUCACCCACCGUUUGCUAUUUUUCUCGAGAGAAGCCACUAGUGAAACCUACGGCCCCGGGUCUCUUCUUUAUUAUAUUUGCCUUCACAAUCUAGUUUUAUUUGCUUUUAUUUUCAGAUCUAUUAGACCAAAAAUACAAAAAUACCUUGCUGCACUUUAUUUUUUUGGCGAUCUAUCUAUCAAUUUAUUACAUCUUUCUCAAGUCCACUUGCCAAUUUCUGGAGCUGUUGCCCGAAAGGGAUUGACAACCCCUUUAAUACGUCGGGUUGUGAGUAUUUGUAAUUUGUGUGCAGGUGACAUUCAUGUAGUGUUGCAUGGUUCUCAUACUGGUUCGAUAACCUUGGUCUCAUCACUAAGGAAAAUACCUACCGUUGCUGUGCUGCAUCAUCCCUUCCUCUUUAGGAAAUACCGACACAGUUCAAGCAAACAUCUGUAGCGACCAGACCUCAAAUGGUCCAAUCUCUAUGCUCAGGUGUCAUCCCUGGAUCAAUAAUGCUGACACCACACAGUACUUGAAGGAUUUAUAACAGAGUAUCAAUCACACACUUAUUACAUCGAGUGUCUCAAAAGAGAACUUAUUACAAUAAAUAUGGCUUAAGGCCAUCUAAUAACGAUAAUAGCGGAAGGCUUGGAAGAUAAGUGAGUCCAUAAACUCUAACGACAUCACUGAGUAUAGAACCACGACCUAAAAGCACCUUAAUCGUCGUCUGAAAAGUCUGCAACAUGAACGUUGCAGCCCGAAACGGGUCAGCACAUGGAAUAUACUGGCAAUGUAACACAUAGAGAGUAAUGAAAGACAUAGGCUAUACUAUAUGCAUAUUUGGCUGGUGGAAAGCUCUAUGGUUACAGUUUUGCGAAAAGCCAUUUUUUCCCUACUGCAAAGGAAUAAAUUUUAUUUAACUAUCAUGGUAGUUGUUAAACAUUGAGAAUGGUUGACAUCAUUCUCAAUCCCAAUUAAGCAUCAUCAUUAAACAAAACCCAACAAAAUUAAUUUAGAGUAACAUGAUGAGAUUCACAUGAUAAUCUAGGUACUAGAUACUCAAGAUGUCCAUAACGGGGGACAUGCCUAACCAUGAAUAGUUUAUACACUCUGCAGAGGUUUGCGCACUUUUCCCCACAAGACUCGAUCUCCUCCGUUGGGAUUCUCGCACUACAUGGUGUUUGAGAAACGGAUGACCGAGACAUAGUCUUUCAGAAGCGCUAGCACCUUAAGAUCGGGUAGACUGUUACACCUACUUUCCCCUACAUCUGCUAGUCUACCACUAUAAGAGUUCGCAUGACUUAGUCAACUAUGCUAGAGCCCAUAGUAGCUUGUGGCUGCACACAGAAGUUUCUAGUAUGAAUAAUCUCAUGAUCCCUUUGAGCCUGGGUGGCGGUCCAAAAGAAAAACAGGCAAUCACUGGAAUACCCAGGUGCCUCAGUCCACCCAGAUGUGUAUUUCAGUAGCCACCUUAGAUAAACCAUUAAUUUAACAAUCUCACAUCUGUCAUGGAUACACUCACCCAAUCCACGUCUACUAGCAUAGCAUAACAUAAUAAGCAAACAUAGAAGUAACUCCCAAAGGUUUGAUAAUAAAACAGGUGAUAGGUACUACCUCAUCUACUUCCCAAACCCACAAUUUAAUUAGAUCCUAAACAUGCAAUGUGUGAGGAUUGAUCUAAUGCAAUAAAACUGGGUAAUUGGAAGUAUGAUCAAAGUGUUACUUGCCUUGCUGAUGAUCCGGGAAACCUAGCGAUUCGAAGUAGCAAGCGGCGCACUGUGGGUACUCUAUCGUAAACAAACAAGCAUACAAUAAGUACUCAUCUAAUGCACAGGUAAAACUCGAAUAAGAGAUCUAACCAAAAAGUUCAACUUAAGAACUCCGGUUGGCAAAAAGAAUCAAAUCGAACGAAGCAACGAAACACAAACGGCAAAAGAAACAGGCAUCGUUUACUAUUCUGGAUCUAGGACAAUUUUUACAGUGGCAAAAACUUGUUUGAGUUGGUUAAACGGAAAGAGGGUUUCAAGACGAAACUCUAGGCACUUGAAUCGCCCGAUUCCAAUAAACGAGUGAAAAGUUAUACUAAAACGAAAAUCGGAUCAGGAAUCAUGAUCAGAAAAAUCGCGGAUUUAAUCCGAGAAAAAAAAUGACGAACAGAUUAACGAACGAACGUUCGUUAUCUGGAUCUAAAUGAUGAACGCGUUCGUUAAAACGAGCGAACAAGAGAACGCUUGCUAAUUAAAUAGACUGGAAAAACCGAUCUAUAAAAAAACGAAUGAAACCGACGGAAAACCGAUUGGUUUUUCGAGGAAAAUUGGUGGCGGUGAGGUCUACCUCCGGCAAGCGGCGGGGCGGCGGUCCGGCGGGCGGCGGGGUNNNNNNNNNNNNNNNNNNNNNNNNNNNNNNNNNNNNNNNNNNNNNNNNNNNNNNNNNNNNNNNNNNNNNNNNNNNNNNNNNNNNNNNNNNNNNNNNNNNNNNNNNNNNNNNNNNNNNNNNNNNNNNNNNNNNNNNNNNNNNNNNNNNNNNNNNNNNNNNNNNNNNNNNNNNNNNNNNNNNNNNNNNNNNNNNNNNNNNNNNNNNNNNNNNNNNNNNNNNNNNNNNNNNNNNNNNNNNNNNNNNNNNNNNNNNNNNNNNNNNNNNNNNNNNNNNNNNNNNNNNNNNNNNNNNNNNNNNNNNNNNNNNNNNNNNNNNNNNNNNNNNNNNNNNNNNNNNNNNNNNNNNNNNNNNNNNNNNNNNNNNNNNNNNNNNNNNNNNNNNNNNNNNNNNNNNNNNNNNNNNNNNNNNNNNNNNNNNNNNNNNNNNNNNNNNNNNNNNNNNNNNNNNNNNNNNNNNNNNNNNNNNNNGCGGCAAAGGCGGCGGCGGCGGGGCGGCUAGGGCGGCUAGGGCGGCUAGGGUUUGGGGGGUCCGGCUGGGCCUUCCCCGACUUAUAAAGCUGGCCGGGCCUAGUGUCUGGGUCGGACACGGCCCGUUAGGUCGGUUCGCCUUUUUUUUAAAAUAGUUACGCUCAAAAAAGAAAACAAAAGGAAUACUAAACGGACUCCAAAUAUCCCGAAAUAAACUUUCCCCGGCUUCUAAAAUCAAGCCGCACAGGAUGAAAAUUUAUUUGGGGCCUAAAUGCAAUUUUGAAAAAUGCUCAUUUUUCCUAAAUUCAAAUAAAAUAGCAAAUAAAACCAAAAUAAAAUCUUAUUUGAUUUUCUUAUUAAAUCCUCAAUAUUUCUUUAUUUGGGAAAGUCAUUUUAUUCCCUCUCUCAUAUUUUUGUAAUAGAAAUAAUUGAAGAUAAAAUAAAUAAAAUCAAAUGAUCCUAUUUUCAAAAUUUGAGAAAACUCAAAUAUGAAAAUAACGAAAUCCCCAACUCUCUCCGAUGGUCCUUGAGUUGCGUAGAAUUUCUAGGAUCAGCCUAAAUGCAAUAAAUUAUGAUAUGCAAUGAUGAUCUAUUGAAUAACAUUCCAAAUUGAAUAUUUGGGAUGUUACAAACCUACCCCCCUUAAGAUGAAUCUCGCCCUCGAGAUUUGGGUUGGCUAGAAAAUAGGUGAGGGUGGUCCUUCAGCAAUUCUUCCUCUCGCUCCCAGGUGGCUUCAUCCUCCGUCUGGUGGCUCCACCGAACUUUGCAAAACUUGAUAACCUUGUUGCGGGUGACUCGGCUGGCAUACUCAAGAAUCUUGAAUGGUUUCUCCUCAUAGGUCAAAUCACUGUCCAACUGGAUUGCUUCCAGCGGCACUGUGUCUCUCAGCGGUAUAUCAGCCAUCUCUGCGUGGCACUUCUUCAUCUGGGAAACAUGGAACACGUCGCGAACUCCUGACAAUCCUUCAAGCAACUCCAAUUUGUAGGCCAAUUCUCCCAUACGCCCCAAAACCUUGUAUGGUCCUACAAAAUGUGGCGCUAACUUUCCCUUAACUCCAAAGCGCUUAAAUCCUCGAAGUGGAGAUACUUGAAGAUAAACUUGGUCUCCGACUUCGUAAACUGUCUUCUUGCGUUUAGAAUCUGCAUAGCUCUUCUUCCUGGAUUGGGCUACCUUGAGCCUAUCGCGAAUCAAUUUUACUUUCUGUUCAGACUCCUUAAUCAGAUCUGGUCCAAACAACUGACGGUCUCCAACUUCAUCCCACGACAAUGGGGUCCUGCACCUCCUUCCGUACAAGGCUUCAGAAGGGGCCAUCUUCAAACUGGAUUGAUAACUGUUGUUAUAAGAGAACUCUGCAUAUGGAAAAUUCUCAUCCCAACUAGAUCCGCAAUCUAGCGCACAAGCUCUCAACAUAUCCUCCAAAAUCUGAUUGACUCUCUCGGUCUGUCCAUCUGUCUGCGGAUGGAAAGCUGUACUGAACUCUAGCCUGGUACCCAAAGUUUAAUGCAACUGAUUCCAGAACUUUGAGGUAAACUGGGUUCCUCUAUCUGAUACAAUGCUCCUUGGAACUCCAUGCAGACAUACGUUUCUGGUCAUGUAUAUCUUUGCUAACUUUGCACUAGUAUAGGUAGUCUUCACUGGAAUGAAAUGAGCUACCUUUGUCAAACGAUCGACUACAACCCAAAUCGAGUCAUAGCCUGAACGAGUUCUGGGUAAACCCGUAAUAAAAUCCUUUCCUAGCUUAUCCCACUUCCAUUUGGGUAUCGGAAAUGGCUGUAGCAAUCCUGUUGGCUUCUGAUGCUCUGCCUUUACUCUCUGACAUACAUCACAAACUGCUACAUACUCCGCAAUGUCCUUCUUCAUUCUGGUCCACCAGAAAGUAUCCUUCAAAUCCAAAUACAUCUUGGUAUUUCCUGGGUGAAUCGAGUAUGGUGAAUCAUGGGCUUUCUGUAGAAUUAACUUCCUGAUCUCCGGGUCAUUAGGCACAUAAAUGCGGUCUUCAAACCAUAAGGUAUCGUGUUCGUCAUCACGAAAUCCUUUAGCUUUUCCUUUGCUCAUUUUCUCCUUGAUAGAAGCAAUCUCCUUGUCAGUCUUCUGGGCUUCUCUGAUCUUAUCCAUCAAAGUAGAAUGAAUCUCCAAUGCUGCUACAUAGCCUCUCGGAACUAUCUCCAAACAUAGCUCACGAAGAUUUUUGGCUAACUCCCUUGGUAAAUCUCCCAUCAUUAGUGUGUUGACAUGGCUUUUACGACUCAGUGUGUCAGCUACUACGUUAGCCUUUCUGGGGUGAUAAUGCAAUCUCAUGUCAUAAUCCUUGAUGAGCUCCAACAAUCUCCUUUGCCUGAGGUUCAACUCCUUCUAUGUGAAAAUAUAAUUCAAACUAUUGUGAUCUGUGUACACCUCACAAUGGUUUCCAAUGAGAAAGUGUCUCUAGGUUUUCAAUGCAUGCACUAUGGCUGCUAACUCCAAAUCAUGCGUAGCAUAAUUCAACUCAUGAGGCUUGAGCUGUCGUGAGGCAUAUGAAACAACUCUUCCUUCCUGCAUAAGCACUGCUCCAAGUCCUCGACGUGAAGCAUCGCAAUACACCUCAUAAUCCUUGGUCUGAUCUGGUAAAAUCAACACUGGUGAUGUAACCAAACAUUUCUUCAACUCCUGGAAACCGGCCUCACAUUCCUCGGUCCAUAUGAACUUGGUAUCCUUAUUCAACAACUCCGUCAUAGGCUUUGCAAUUUUUGACAAAUUUUCAAUAAAUCUCCGGUACUAUCCUGCGAGUCCAAGAAAACUCCGGAUUUCUCCAACUAUUGUUGGGGCUUCCCAAUUUGUCAAAGUGUCAACCUUAGUGGGAUCUACUGCUAUACCAACUCCGGAUAUAACGUGUCCGAGAAAUCCAACUUCCUUCAACCAAAACUCGCAUUUGCUAAACUUGGCAUAUAACUGAUGUUCUCUGAGCUUACCAAGUACCAAACGCAAAUGCUCCUUAUGCUCCUCUUCAUUCUUCGAGUAAACCAGGAUAUUGUCGAUGAACACUAUGGCGAACUUAUCCAAAAACUCUGUAAACACUUUGUUCAUCAUGCUCAUAAAAUAUGCAGGUGCAUUAGUCAGACCAAAUGACAUAACGGUAUACUCGUACAGCCCAUACCUGGUGGUAAAAGCCGUCUUAGGUAUAUCCUGUUCUCGAAUCUUCAACUGGUGGUAUCCUGAUCGCAGAUCGAUUUUGGAAAAUACCUUAGCUCCUUACAAUCGAUCAAAAAGAUCAUUGAUCAUCGGCAGUGGGUAUUUGUUCUUGAUGGUUACUUCAUUCAAUCCUCGAUAAUCAACAACCAUCCUUAACGACCCAUCCUUCUUCUCUACUAGAAGUAAUGGCGAUCCCCAAGGCGAAGAACUUGGGCGAAUAUACCCUUUAUCCAGUAACUCCUUAAUCUGAUUCUUAAUCUCCACCAAAUCCUUUGCGGGCAUCCUAUAUGGUCUCUUAGAUAUUGGCCAUGUGCCUUGCAAAACCUCAAUCAAAAACUCGAUAUCUCUAUCUGGUGGCAUGCCUGGCAACUCUUCCGGAAAUACAUCAGGGAAAUCCUUCACUACUGGUACUUCCUCCUGCACAACUCUUGUUAGACAAUUUACUUGAGUCUUCAUCGGCACAUUCCGGGAUACGUACUUGAUCCUUGUCCCUUCUGGGGUGGUAAGCAAUAUCGACUUACUGGCGCAAUCGAUGUUUCCUCCAUACAUCAACAUCCAAUCCAUACCCAGAAUUACAUCCAAUCCUUGUGAUUCCAAAAUGAUCAAAUCCGAGGGAAACACAUGCCUACCUAUACUCAAUGGCACUUGAAAACAUCCCUGGCUAGCCAUAUACUCCGCUCCUGGUGAGCUUACUAACAUAGGUGUUCUAAGAACUUUGGUGGGCAGGUUAUACUUAUCCACAAAUCCCCUUGAUAUGUAUGAAUGCGAUGCACCGGUAUCGAAAAGAACGAGUGCAGUAAAUGACUUAACCAAAAACUUACCGAUUACUGCAUCCGGCUGCUCUGCAACCUCCUCCACGUUAACGUGGUUCACCUGUCCCAUGUUGAAAGGGUUCGGCUUCUUCCCAGAGCUUCCAUUGCCAUUUCCAUUCUGGGAUUCAGGACAUUCGUUGGCAUAAUGUCCGGUCUUCUGGCACUUAAAGCAAGUGACUUGGCUCAGGUCUCUCUUGGCUGGGGUCGAUGGGUUGGUGCGGUUCUGGCUGUUGCUUCCUCCAUUCCCAUUACCAUUCUUGGUGUCGUUGUGAUUGUGCGAGCUACCUCCUCCACGGGUAUGCUGAAAAUGUCCUCCCGGUCUAGGGGUAAAACGUGGCUUCUGCUGAGCUCCAGAAUUGUACUUCCCUUGUCCAUACUUCCUCUUGCAGUUCUCAAUCUGCUGCUGUUUCCCUUCAAUCAUGAGAGCACGAUCUACCAACUCCUGGUAGUUCUUGAAGGUUGCCACCAUCAACUGCAUGCUCAACUCAUCAUUCAGUCCUUCCAGAAACUUCUCUUGCUUAGCUGCAUCCGUAGCAACGUCAUCUGGGGCAUAACGUGCUAGCUUACUAAAGUCCUGCACAUACUGGCCAACUGUCCGUCCUCCUUGGCGCAAAUUGCGAAACUCUCGCUUCUUCAUGGCCGUAGCUCCUGCUGAAACAUGGGCAGUACGGAAAGCCUGUUGAAACUGGUCCCACGUGACAGUGUCAACAGGGAAAGUGGUGGUGAAAUUCUCCCACCAUGAUGCUGCGGGUCCUUCAAGCUGAUGUGCGGCAAACUUCACCUUUUCCACAUCUGUGCAUCCUACCGUGGUCAACUCCCUUGCUGUCUUGCAGAGCCAAUCAUCUGCUACUAUCGGCUCGGUGCUACUGGAAAACACCGGUGAAUUUAGCCUAAGAAAACGGGCUAAGUGAUCAACAGGUGGUGGUGGGUUGUUGUUGUUGUUCCCCUGAUUCUGAUUCUGGACUAGCAACUGCAUCAAUGUGUUCUGCUGCUGGAUCAACUGGGUGAGCUCCGGUGGGAAGGUAAAUCCGGGGUCACGUCUCGGAGGCAUCUGAGGGUUUAGAAAAGAUGAGAUUUAAGAAUAGAGAGGGGUCUAGAGAGAAAACACUACCCAUAUGCUCAUGAGGCAAAAGCAAACAAUUCACUUCAUUCAAUCAAACAAGGGCAUACAAUCAUCUAACUAUCGCAAAAGUGCUCGGACUACUAUAUUUACAUGGUGAACUACUACUACUGAUGGGGUGGUCUACUAAAAAUACUCUUCGGUUGCAAACUCCAUGAUAUCUGCUCCAGCUUCAUCAACAUAGUCAUCAUCCCUAUCAUCUGGAUCCGAGUCGGUGUCGUCGAUGAUGAUGUAGUCUUCCGGGUGAAUCUCCUUGGGUACUUCGUCUUCUUCUACUGGUGUAGGGCCUCCCAUAAAUAUUCCAAUCUUCUUGAUCAGAUCGUCAUUCUUAUCCACUAAUACUUCAAUUUCCUCUUCAUAAUCUUCACGUGUAGCCUUGAGUUCUUCCUCCAAUUCCUUGAUUCUUGUCCUUGCCUUCUUCAGAUCUAUCAUGUCGGCGCACAUCUGGUUCUCCUGGCGUCGAAUGUGCUGGUUUAACUCCUGGAUAAAAGCUGCAAUUGAUCUAUCCUUCCUGGUACUGAUCAUCUCCCAGUGCUCAUCUCGGCGCCCACAAAUCUGGUAGAUAGUAUUCUUGAGAUCAUUGCGGUAAACUGCUCCAAUGCAUCCCAUGGCGAUGUGAGCUGCCAUGCUCUUUCCUAGACUCCACGUCGGUGCAUCAAAGGAAAACUCUAUGGGCUCAGUGACUGGCAUGAACGUCCUUCCUGGAACUUGAACUUGAAUCAUCCAUCGCUCCUCUUCAGGUAAAGUGGCAUUGUAGGUCCCGGUGAAGCUUGGUACUCCUAUGUUCAGAUAUCUAGUGACUUCCUUCAAGUGACGUAUGAAGGGUGUAUCUUCAUCCGGCUGCGUGAACUGGUUCCUUGCAUCCGCCAUCCUAAAAGAGUAAAAAAGAUGAGAAGUCAGAAUGAGAAGAGAGUGAGUAGUGAUCUAGGUCUUUUAGCUUAGUGGUCGUGUCCUACAGUCAGUGUGUGCUCUGAUACCAUCUUGUAGCGACCAGACCUCAAACGGUCCAAUCUCUGUGUUCAGGUGUCAUCCCUGGAUCAGUAAUGCUGACACCACACAGUACUUGAAGGAUUUAUAACAGAGUAGCAAUCACACACUUAUUACAUCGAGUGUCUCAAAAGAGAACUUAUUACAAUAAAUAUGGCUUAAGGCCAUCUAAUAACGAUAACAGUGGAAGGCUUGGAAGAUAAGUGAGUCCAUCAACUCCAACGGCAUCACUGAGUAUAGAACCACGACCUAAAAGCACCUUAAUCAUCGUCUGAAAAGUCUGCAACAUGAAUGUUGCAGCCCGAAAUGGGUCAGCACAUGGAAUAUGCUGGCAAUGUAACACAUAGAGAGUAAUGAAAGAUAUAGGCUAUACUAUAUGCAUAUUUGGCUGGUGGAAAGCUCUAUGGUUACAGUUUUGCGAAAAGCCAAUUUUUCCCUACUGCAAAGGAAUAAAUUUUAUUUAACUAUCAUGGUAGUUGUUAAACAUUAAGAAUGGUUGACAGCAUUCUCAAUCCCAAUUAAGCAUCAUCAUUAAACAAAACCCAACAAAAUUAAUUUAGAGUAACAUGAUGAGAUUCACAUGAUAAUCCAGGUACUAGAUGCUCAAGAUGUCCAUAACCGGGGACACGCCUAACCAUGAUUAGUUUAUACACUCUGCAGAGGUUUGCGCACUUUUCCCCACAAGACUCGAUCUCCUCCGUUGGGAUUCUCGCACUACAUGAUGUUUGAGAAACGGAUGACCGAGACAUAGUCUUUCAGAAGCACUAGCACCUUACGAUCGGGUAGACCGUUACACCUACUUUCCCCUACAUCUGCUAGUCUACCACUGUAAGAGUUCGCACGACUUAGUCAACUAUGCUAGAGCCCAUAGUAGCUUGUGGCUGCACACAGAAGUUUCUAGUAUGAAUAAUCUCAUGAUCCCUUUGAGCCUGGGUGGCGGUCCAAAAGAAAAACAGGCAAUCGCUGGAAUACCCAGGUGCCUCAAUCCACCCAGAUGUGUAUUUAAGUUGCCACCUUAGAUAAACCAUUAAUUUAACAAUCUCACAUCUGUCAUGGAUACACUCACCCAAUCCACGUCUACUAGCAUAGCAUAACAUAAUAAGCAAACGUAGAAGUAACUCCCAAAGGUUUGAUAAUAAAAGAGGUGAUAGGUACUACCUCAUCUACUUCCCAAACCCACAAUUUAAUUAGAUCCUAAACAUGCAAUGUGUGAGGGUUGAUCUAAUGCAAUAAAACUGGGUAAUUGGAAGUAUGAUCAAAGUGUUACUUGCCUUGCCGAUGAUCCGGGAAACCUAGCGAUUCAAAGUAGCAAGCGGCGCACUCCGGGUACUCUAUCGCAAACAAACAAGCAUACAAUAAGUACUCAUCUAAUGCACAGGUAAAACUCGAAUAAGAGAUCUAACCAAAAAGUUCAACUUAAGAACCCCGGUUGGCAAAAAUAAUCAAAUCGAACGAAGCAACGAAACACAAACGGCAAAAGAAACAGGCUUCGUUUACUAUUAUGGAUCUAGGGUAAUUUUUACAGUGGCAAAAACUUGUUUGAGUUGGUUAAACGGAAAGAAGGUUUCGAGACAAAAUUCCAGGCGCUUGAAUCACCUGAUUCCGAUAAACGAGCAAAAAGUUAUACUAAAACGAAAAUCAGAUCAGGAAUCGCGAUCAGAAAAAUCGCGGAUUUAAUCCGAGAAAAAAAAUGACGAAUAGAUUAACAAACGAAUGUUCGUUAUCUGGAUCUAAACGAUGAACGUGUUCGUUAAAAUGAAUGAACGAGUGAACGCACGCUAAUUAAAUAAACCGGAAAAACCGAUCUAUAAAAAAACGAAACUAAAAAACCGAACGAAACCGAUGGAAAACCGAUCGGUUUUUCGAGGAAAACCGUCGGCGGCGAGGUCUACCUCCGGCGAGCGGCAGGGCGGCGGGGUCCGGUGNNNNNNNNNNNNNNNNNNNNNNNNNNNNNNNNNNNNNNNNNNNNNNNNNNNNNNNNNNNNNNNNNNNNNNNNNNNNNNNNNNNNNNNNNNNNNNNNNNNNNNNNNNNNNNNNNNNNNNNNNNNNNNNNNNNNNNNNNNNNNNNNNNNNNNNNNNNNNNNNNNNNNNNNNNNNNNNNNNNNNNNNNNNNNNNNNNNNNNNNNNNNNNNNNNNNNNNNNNNNNNNNNNNNNNNNNNNNNNNNNNNNNNNNNNNNNNNNNNNNNNNNNNNNNNNNNNNNNNNNNNNNNNNNNNNNNNNNNNNNNNNNNNNNNNNNNNNNNNNNNNNNNNNNNNNNNNNNNNNNNNNNNNNNNNNNNNNNNNNNNNNNNNNNNNNNNNNNNNNNNNNNNNNNNNNNNNNNNNNNNNNNNNNNNNNNNNNNNNNNNNNNNNNNNNNNNNNNNNNNNNNNNNNNNNNNNNNNNNNNGCGGCGGCGCGGCGGUCCGGCGGCGGCGGCUAGGGCGGCUAGGGUUUGGGCGGUCCGGCUGAGCCUUCCCCGGCUUAUAAAGCCGGCCGGGCCUAGUGUCCGUGUCGGACACGGACCGUUAGGUCAGUUCGCUUUUAUUUUAAAUAGUUACGCUCAGGAAAAAACAAAAUGAAUACUAAACGGACUAUAAAAGCCCGAAAUAAAUUUUCCCCGGCUUCUAAAAUCAAGCCGCACAGGAUGAACAUUUAUUUGGGGCCUAAAUGCAAUGUUGAAAAACGCUCAUUUUCCUAAAUUCUAAUAAAAUAGCAAAUAAAACCAAAAUAAAAUCUUAUUUGAUUUUCUUAUUAAACCCUCAAUAUUUCUUUAUUUUGGGAAAGUCAUUUUAUUCCCUCUCUCAUAUUUUUGUAACAGAAAUAAUUGAAGAUAAAAUAAAUAAAAUCAAAUGAUCCUAUUUUCAAAAUUUGAGAAAACUCAAAUAUGAAAAUAACGAAAUCCCCAACUCUCUCUGAGGGUCCUUGAGUUGCGUAGAAUUUCUAGGAUCAGCCUAAAUGCAAUAAAUUAUGAUAUGCAAUGAUGAUCUAGUGUAUAACAUUCCAAAUUAAAAAUUUGGGAUGUUACAACAUCAAAAGGAAUUUCCGGCGACGUUGCCAGUGAGACAUCAUCAACAUCUACAAGGUUCCUAAUCACAAAUCUCUUCUCUUUGCAACUUGUAUUAUUUGCCAUUUGCCUCUCGUUUUCCUCCCCCCAAUACCAACAACAAUGAUUUUAUGAGCACUCCGAUUGCUCCCCCCGCCACUAGUGCAGAGUCUUGUGAUAUUAAUACCGCUUUGCUGAAUCUUGUUAUGAAAGAUCAAUUUUCCGGUACUCCUAAUGAGGAUGCCGCGUCCCAUCUUAACACAUUCGUUGAAUUAUGCGAUAUGCAAAAGAAAAAAGAUGUGGACAAUGAUGUUGUGAAGUUGAAAUUAUUCCCGUUUUCUUUGCGAGAUUAUGCAAAAUUUUGGUUUUCUUCUUUUCCUCGCAAUAGUAUCGAUUCUUGGGAUAAGUGAAAAGAUGCUUUUAUUACUAAAUAUUUUCCGCCCGCAAAAAUUAUUUCCCUUAGAACCCAGAUCAUGAAUUUCAUGCAACUUGAACAUGAGCAUGUUGCACAAUCUUGGGAAAGGACGAAACUGAUGCUAAGGAAUUUCCCAACUCAUGGGUUAAAUGUUUGGAUGAUCAUACAAAUUUUUUAUGCAGGGUUGAAUUUUGUUUCUCGUAAUCUUUUGGAUUCCGCUGCGGGUGGUACUUUUAUGGAAAUUACUUUGGGUGAAGCCACCAAAUUGUUUGAUAUUAUUAUGGCAAAUUAUUUGCAAUGGCAUACCGAAAGAGGUCCUACUAGUAGAAAAGUUAAUUCGGUUGAAGAAAUUUCUUCUUUGAGUGAAAAAGUUGAUGCUCUUAUGAAAUUGGUUGCUAAUAAAAGUGCUCCUAUUGAUUUUAAUGAUGUGCCUUUGUCCACUUUUAUUGAGAAAAAUAGUGAUGCCAUUGAUGUGAAUUUUAUCUCUCGAAACAAUUUCAAUAACAAUGCUUAUAGAGGUAAUUUUAAUCCUAGGACUUUUCCUAGUAAUUCCUCUAAUAAUUAUGGUAAUUCCUAUGAUAGUUCUUCUUAUAAUAAUAAUAGGAACACCUCUGAUCUUGAGAAUAACAUUAAAGAAUUUAUCAGUACUCAAAAAGUUUUCAAUGCUACAAUAGAAGAAAAGUUGAAUAAGAUUGAUGAUAUGUCUAGAAGUUUUAAAUGAUAGAAUUUAUCAUGAUGUAGAAAAUCUGAAGAUGAAAAUUUGUGUGCCUAAGGUUGAGGAAUCAAUUAAGGCUCUUUAUGUUUCUAUGGAUGAAAGUAACAAAAGAACCACUAUGCUUAGAGCGAGAAGAGAAUUUUUAGAAAAAGUGUUUUCUAGUGAUUGCUUUCAUAAAAGUGAUGAAAAUCUUAAAAUGAUUGGUGUUUCCUAUAUUGAUUCUUUGUUUAUUAAAACUAAUAUUGAUAAUAAAGGGACUGAAGAAGAGUCAACUUUAGCUAGACACCACUAGGGAAAACCUUAUACACAGAGGUAUAGCAGUAGCGCUGGUCAAAACACGACGCUAUUGCUACUUAUUAGUAGCGCUUGUUACAAAAGCAUACUACAACCAUUGUUGUAGCAGUAGUGCGUCUGCGCGGAAAAGCGCUACUACUAUAAUUCCCUCGCUGGUGCUGGUAGGCUAGGAAUAGUAGUAGCGAUUCUUCCAGAAGUACGGUACUGCUAAAAACUUUGUAGCAGCCCGUUUAUGCUGUAGAGCGCUACUGCUAUGAAAAAGAAAAUAAAUAGAAAAAUAAGUAGAAAAUAAAUGAAAAUGAAAGAAAUAGAAAGAGGAGAAAUGAAAAAAAGAAAAUGUAAAGAAAACAAAAGAAAAAGAAAAAGGAAACAAAAAGGAAUAGCUAUAGCACGUUUCGCUGGAAAACGCUAUAGCUAACUUAGCUAUAGCGCGUUUGGCAAAAUGCGCUACUGCUAGGUUGACUUAACCCCGGCCGCGCGGGCUCAAAAUUUCGCUAAGUCCUUCCCCCACCACUCCCCCCUCUCCCCCAACUGCUCCAUCGCCGUCGUCACCCUACUGCCUUCGACCACACCGCCGCCGCCCGAGGCCGCCUUCGACCACACCGCCGCCGCCCGAGGCCGCCCUCGACCUCAUAGCCGCCGCUCGAGGCCGUCGUCGACCUCACCGUCGCCUCCCUCGAGCUCACCGCUGCUGCCCUCGACCACACCUCCGCCGCCCGAGCCAGAGCCUGCCCUCGCCGUGGACCGUAAGGCUCUGCCUCUCCUCUCCCCUACCCUCUUCUCUCUCUUUGCUAGGGCAAUUCAUAUAUAUGUUGAUGCUGUGUUGAUGUUCAUCUGAACUCUAGGCGUUCAUAUGAACCCUAGAUUUGUUUAGGGCAGUAGGCAUUUUUUAGCAUUUAGGAAAAACGAUUAGCAAUUUUUUUAGGAAAUUAGCUAGGGCAAAUUUUUAUGAAAAUGCCUAAAUAGUAAUUCCAUUUAGCUUUAAAUUAAUAGAUGGUAUGUAAAUAAUAGUAGCAUUUAGAUUUAAAUUAACAAAGGCUAUAAACAAAAAACACUUAGCUAUAAAAAAUUAUUUGGACUAUGGACCUGAAUCUGUUCCAAAUUUCAUUCAAAUGAAAUUUGAAUUAUUUGGACUAUGCACCUGAAUAUUUUUUAAGAAAUUGGUUGUAGGUACUAAGGUCUUGCUGUGGAAAUUUUGGUGAGGUCAGAAGGGUUAGAGAAAAUGGAGUUCCUAGACUCUUAGCUUUAGACAAAAAACAAAAGUAUUUAGCUAUAAAUAAAAAAGAGUACCUAUGGCAUUUAGCUAUAAACAAAAAACAGAAUUGUUUUUCUUUUCAAAAACUUGGUUAAACUAAUUUUUUCUAUGUAAACAAAAAACAAGAUUGUUAUUAUAUGAUAUAUGUCAUUGAUGUUCAUUUGCGUAUUCCAUUAUUGUUGAUUAUAUUUUUUCAUUAAAGUGGCCAUGUUAUAUGCAAAUUCCUCAAUAGUGUUUGCUCAUGUUAUAUCUUUUCAUUGAAGUGGUUCGAUUGUGCCCAAGUGGCUUUGUUUCUUCCAAGAAAUGAAGCUGAGUGGCCUAUGUUUUGCCGGAAUGUUGAUUCAUUUCCGUUCCGGCAAAUUUCAGGUUCUCGAUUUGUCUACAUUUUUGUAGGAUCGAAAGUAUGUCUAGAGGGGGGUGAUUAGACUACUUGACCAAAUAAAAACUUAACCUUUUCCCAAUUUUAGUUCUUGGCAGAUUUUAGCUAUUGUAGGACAAGUCAAGCAAUCAUCACACAAUUCAAGCAAGCAUGCAAAGAGUAUAUUGGCAACGGAAAGUAAAGCAUGCAACUUGCAAGAAUGUAAAGGGAAGGGUUUGGAGAAUUCAAACGCAAUUGGAGACACGGAUGUUUUUCCCGUGGUUCGGAUAGGUGGUGCUAUCCUACAUCCACGUUGAUGGAGACUUCAACCCACGAAGGGUAACGGUUGCGCGAGUCCACGGAGGGCUCCACCCACAAAGGGUAACGGUUGCGCGAGUCCAUGGAGGGCUCCACCCACGAAGGGUCCACGAAGAAGCAACCACCCAGAAAGGGUCCACGAAGAAGCAACCUUGUCUAUCCCACCAUGGCCAUCGCCCACGAAGGACUUGCCUCACUAGCGGUAGAUCUUCACGAAGUAGGCGAUCUCCUUGCCCUUACAAACUCCUUGGUUCAACUCCACAAUCUUGUCGGAGGCUCCCAAGUGACACCUAGCCAAUCUAGGAGACACCACUCUCCAAGAAGUAACAAAUGGUGUGUAGGUAAUGAACUCCUUGCUCUUUGUGCUUCAAAUGAUAGUAUCCCCAACACUCAACUCUCUCUCAUAGGAUUUGGAUCUGGUGGAAAGAAGAUUUGAGUGGAAAGCAACUUGGGGAAGGCUAGAGAUCAAGAUUCAUAUGGCAGGAAUGGAAUAUCUUGGUCUCAACACAUGAGUAGGUGGUUCUCUCUCAGAACAUAUGAGUUGGAAUUGUGUAUGUGUUCUAGUGGCUCUCUCCAUGAAUGAAGAGGAGGUGGAGGGGUAUAUAUAGCCUCCACACAAAAUCCAACCGUUACACACAGUUUUCCAAUCUCGGUGGGACCGAAUCAAAAAACUCGGUCGGACCGAAAAGGUAAACCUAGUGACCGUUAGAGAUUUUCGGUGGGACUGACAUGCAACUCGGUAGGACCGAUAUGGUUAGGGUUUGGGCAUAACGUAAUCUCGGUGAGACCGAUUACACAAACUCGGUGAGACCGAUUUUGGUAAUUAGCUAACCAGAGAGUUGGUCAGGCAAACUCGGUGGGACCGAUUUGCUCUUUGGGUGAGACCGAAAAGUUACAAAAAGGAAACACUGAGUUUACAUUGCAAUCUCGGUGGGACCGAUUCAAUCUUUCGGUGAGACCGAAAAGUUACAAAAGGGAAACAGAGAGUUUGCAAUCCCAUCUCGGUGAGACCGAGAUCCCUAUCGGUAGAACGGAAUUGCUAGGGUUUGGCAGUGGCUUAUGACAAGUGAAACUCGGUGGCGCCGGAUAGAAAGAAUCGGUAGGACCGAGUUUGGCUUAGGGUUUAGGUCAUAUGUGGAUAUGGGAAAGUAGUUGAGGGUUUUGGAGCAUAUCACUAAGCACAUGAAGCAAGAGGCUCAUUAAGCAACACCUCAUCCCUCCUUGAUAGUAUUGGCUUUUCCUAAAGACUCAAUGUGAUCUUGGAUCACUAAAAUAUAAAAUGAAGAGUCUUGAGCUUUUGAGCUUGAGCCAAUCCUUUGUCCUUAGCAUUUUGAGGGUUCCACUUUCACAUCCAUGCCAUGCCAAUCAUUGAGCUUUCUUGAAAUAAUCAUCUUGGAAUAGCAUUAGCUCAAUGAGCUAUAUGUUUUUAUGAAUUACCAAAACCACCUAAGGAUAGUUGCACUUUCAAUCUCCCCCUUUUUGGUAACUAAUGACAACAUAUAGAUCAAAGCUUCGACAAAUGGUAAUAAGCAUGAAAUAUAUCGUCGCUUUGAGAAGUAUGUGACAAGUGAGAGCUCCCCCUAAAUUUGUGCAUAUUUAAAAUUUGCUUUGGACUUUAAAUGCACAAAGAGUUAGAGUCAUGGGUUACUCUUCCAUGUCACAUACAUCUUGGUGGAGCACUUAAAAUGAUAAGAAUGAAAUACAUGCACUCAUCACCAAGAAUAGUGAAUGAUCAUAUAAGAUAGAUAAGAUAUAUCAAGCAUGCAUAAGUGUAGCUUAUGAUCAAACACAUGAUCAUCAAUGUCUCACGAGCAAUGACAUAGUAUCUCAAGCACUCAAAAGCAAACAAAGUUUGAAAAACCACCAAAUAAAGCAAGAGAGAAAAAAGCAACACUCUCUCUCUCGAAGCCUAUGAUCUAUACAUUUUCUCCCCCUUUGGCAACAAGUUACCAAAAAGUUCCUAGAAAAUGCAUAGUGCUAAGUCGACACUCAGGCUUGAUCUUCAGGUGGUGGUGGAGUCCGGAGCACUCCAAGGACGAAGCCUUCUGUAGACGUGGUUGGAGUUGAGGCUGAAGUGGACGCUGGAGCUGGUGGAACUGAGGCUGUAGCUGGUGCAGAAGUGGUGACUCUGGUGUCAGCAACUGUCACUGCAUAUGAUCUCUGAGCUCUUGAGUUGGCAUCUUGGCAGCUUUCUCCUUCCUUGCCUUCUCCUUCUUUGCUUGUGCUUGUGCAGAUGAUGGUUCAUUCUCAGUCAUGACCACUUGAUUAUCUUCAAAAUCUGGACGGAUGGGCAGGUGUUCCUUGUCCAGUAAGUAUAUGCUUGUGCCCAUCUUUGAGUUGAUGAGCUCUUGAAUCUGUGGGGCAUAUCCACAGCUCCUCUUCUGGUCUGCUGCUGUCCUCUUGAUUGUUUCAAUCAUAAGGCUCAUGACUUUGAAUUUCUGUGGCACGUCAAAGAUAUGAAGCAAGUUGAUCGCAUGGCCCCUGAUCAUCUUGUGAUCUCCAGACUUGGGCAAUAGGGUGUGCCUAAGAAUCUAGUUGAUGGUUGGCAGCCCUGACAGAAGAUAGUGUACUGAGCCAAACUUGAACGUAUCAAGUGCUUCAUUUGGAAUCUCCUUGUACAUGUUUGACAUUGAGUUGUGGUCCAUCUUCUUCUUGGCAUAAAUGUCCAAGUCAUCGUCAUGCUCUUCUGGGGCAUUAAUCAGCUGAGCCCAUUCAGCAACUGUAGACUGGUACCUCGUACCCUCUGACAUCCAUACAAUCCUGCCAUCUGGAUAGAAAUGGGCUGUGGAGUAGAACUGCAUGAUGAGUUCCUCGUUCCACUUUCUGAGCUUCUGCCCAACAAAGUCCUCUACUCCACAUGCCUUGAAGUUAUCCUGCGCUCCAGGGUAGUAAUCUUCAUUGUCCUUGAUGUAUUGCCAAUCAACCCAUCUCAUAUCACAGACAAUUGGCUUCUUGUCUAGCAGUUCUAUCUCAUAAAAGUCUUGUUGCUCCUUGGUGUGAAACCUGUAGUCAACUGCAGUCCUUCUCCUUGAAGCAUACAGGUCUGCUUCUCUCCACUUCCGGAGCCCUGAAUCUCUCCUGAGUUUCAUAUCCUCAGCCACAGGAUGAGCAUCAUUGUGGUCUGGGAUCUUGGGUUUAAGCUUUCUAAGAACAUUCUCUUCUUCUUCUUCUGCAGCUUCAGGCACUGGGGCCUUGUUCUUCUCAGUAGCUGGGAUGCUUCUUGUGUUCCUCUUUGGCUUUGGCUUUGGAGCUGGCUUGGCCUUGGAAGCAGCUUCCCCUGUUCUUAUGGCAUCACCCAUCAGCUUGGGUGCCUUAGGUGCUGGUGCAGCUACCUCUUCUUCUUCCUCCUCAUCUUCCAUGAUGGAAGCCUUGCCAAGCACUCUGGCUACAGUUUUCUUCACCCUUUCUUUCCUCUUCUUGCCUUCAGCAGCAACUGGCUCAAUGGGAGUGGGCUUCUCAGUUGAAGCUCUGGCCUUUGACAUAGGCUGCCUGCCUGCUGGCCUUUUGAUCUUUAACCCUGGCUUUGUGCCCUGAGCUGGCUCAAUUCUCUUGGAAGUUGCUUCCUCUUCCUCUGCCACAUAAUCUUCAUCCUCAGAAUCUGAAGUUCUCUUCUUCCUCUGUCUGGUGGCAGCUUUUGGCAAAUUCCUUGGGGUACUUCUGCUGCCAUCAUCUGAGGAACUUGAGGGACUAGUGCCCUCACUCAUCUGCACUUGCUGCUCUGACAAGUUCUGGCUGUCACUCUGAUCAAACAUGUUGCAAACUCUGACUGCUGACCCUGUGAAUAGGUUAUAGAUGAGAUAGAGUGGAUGAGCAUCACAAAAUGCAGAGAUUUUUGCAAAAGAAUGACUCAAAAACUUAGUUUUAGUUUCCCACUGAAAUCAUCUCGGAUCUACCGAUUUUUAAACACGAUGAUACCGAAGCAGUUUUGGAACCUAAACUAGUGAACUCGGUCAGACCGAGUCACAGUUCGGUGGCACCGAGACUGCUAGGGUUUCACAGAGUUCCAAAAUCGGUCACACCGAUAAGUAAUUCUCGGUCAGACCGAGUCUCACUUGUGCAAUGGCAUAAGCCAAAUCGGUGGGACCGAGUUUUUCAACUCGGUGGGUCCGAGAUGGUUUCGGCGGAAACCUAACCCUAAAAUUUUCAAAUCAAAACUAAUCUAUGAAUGCAUUGACUGGACAGGAGUGUUUCAAUCGUGGCAAGAAUCAUGAUGAUCACAAUGUGCUAAGAAUCAGAUUGGGGAAUAGCACAAAGAUCGAGUCCAUACCCUAGUUCGGUGGAGACUCGCUACGGCGGCAACAGCGGGGUAGAAUUCCGUUGACGGCGAUGGAGACCAGCGACGGGAGGCGGCUGGCGGCGAGGAGACGAUCCGGAGACCAAGUUGGCAGAGCAGGCUAUCGCGCGGGCGAAGGGGUUCGGAGAAAUUUCCAAUUUUUUUGGCCGUGACUAUAUAUAGCCCAACCCUGUCGGUGUGACCGAGUGGAAUGACUCGGUGGCACUGAGAUGCAAAACUGUAUACAGUUAUUGCAACUCGGUGUGACCGAAUGGUUCUAAUCGGUUGCACCGAGAUCGAAAACAUAGAUCAACUUAAUGAUCUCGGUAGGACCGAAAGUAGGGUAUCGGUCAGACCGAGAAUCAUAAAGAGGUUUUGGAAGUUUAAGUCUAUGACGAAUCGGGGACUCCGAGCGCUCCUCACACAGAGUGGUUUGAAUCUGACUUGAUCAAAUUUUGUGAUGUAGCAUGAAUAGAGUUUGAGACGAGAAAAGCAUAGAUAGCUAGAGGAGGUUCUUAGGCAUUCUUGUCCAUCCACUUGGCAAAAGGAAAUAAAACCGAACAAUCAAAACAACAAGUGGAUGUCCUAAAAUGAGUAAAAUAUGCAACCAGUAUGCUCACACAAUAAGAUGGCAAAUGAAAUAUGUGACAAGGCAUGCACAGCCAAUUCUAGCAUCUACCAAGCAAUUUGCGAUGACAAGGUUAUCUAUAUAUGAGUAUAUUGACUUAGGAGUCAAGUGAGAACACUUGAUCAUAGGUAAUACUCAUCGUUUAAGCUCAAGUGGGGUUACCACUUUUACAUAAAGCAUUGUUGUGUUCACAUCUUUAGAGUUGCUUUAGCUCAAGUCUUAGAGUAAAGCUCCCCCUAGAUGUGAUAUCCCCCCUUAGAGGGAUGAACUAACCUCGGGUUUUGUCGAUGAUGACUUCAUGUAGAUGUUGAAGAUGUGGAUGCUCAAUGUUGAUGUAGAUCACUUGGAGCUAUCCCUUUGAUUGAAUUGCACGUUCAAUACCUACAUGGGUUAGUCCCGCAAGGAACAAACAAGGAUAUCCAUAGACAUAGAGUGAUGCACACACAAGAUGAUGUCCAUGAAAACUUUUAGGUUACCUGGUCCCUUGUCUUACCAACAAGAGGGUUUGUGACUCCUUGAACUAGUGUAAGAUGUGGAAGUUGAUUGCACUUGUUCUUGCCAAAAUGAUAAGAGUGAAGUAUGUUGGCGGAGUCACCCUCAAGAACUCUCUAGUUCUUCUUCUUUUGGAUCCACACCAUCUUGAUGGGAAUCCUUGGAGUUGUAGUCGUACUUGAUGAAGUGGAACUUGAAGUAGUCUUGGGAAUCCACUUGACUAAGGUCUUAGGAGCUUCUUCAAAUGCAUCAAUUUCCUCUUGAAGCUUGUCCUUGCCUUUUUGCUUGUAUUCUUGUGGUGGAAGAUCAUCUUGAGCUUGUGUCCCCUUGAAAGAAGUAUCAUACUUUUCUUGUUGAGGAACAAACUUUGUCUUGGGGUAUUGAUCUUCUUCCCACUCAACUCCAUCGGCAUUGAACUUUCGUUCAAAACCAACACCUUGAUUCUUCCGGUGCAUUCCUUGCUUGCGCACAGUUUCCUCGAAUUGCUUACUCCCGGCAAGGCUUUUGUACACUCCUUUCUCUAUAAUUCCCGUCAAUAAGCUAUUUUCUUGCUCAAGUGUAACUUGGCUAAGAGAAUCAUUAGUGGAAUCAAGAGAACUACUAGAAGCAACAAUAUUGGAUUUAGCAUGAUCAUUGUUACUGCUAGAGUAAGAAUCUUUCUUGUUCUUGUUACUAGACUUGACUUGAGGCAUAUAAGUGGAUAAGAGUAAACGCUUGGCAAUGUAAGGAGAAAAUUUCUUGCGGAGAUCAUCAUUGAUUGCUUUUAAGAACUCAUGCUCUUGCUCAAGAUUGAGCUUUUCAAAGCGUAAUUUCUCAUGAGCUCUUAAAAGUUCUCGAUGAUCUUCGAAGAUAGUUUCAUGAGCUAACUUAAGAGUGUUUAGUUCUUUAGUUAGAGCCUCAAUCUUCUCCUUAUCAUUGUCAUUUGUUUUAUCUUUCUUAGCAUGAUUAGUUGACGUUUCAUCAUAGUAUUCAUCACUGGAGUUGUCAACAAGCAAAUCAUCACCUAACAAGUCAUCUUCAUCACUAUUGAAAUCAACAUACUCGGGGUGUGUUAUCUUAGGACCUUUGGUCAUGAAGCAUCUUCCAAUUCCUUCAUUUGGUGAGUCAAUGAUGUCGUAGGAGUUGGUUGACACAAGUGCUAGACCGGCAACACCUUCAUCUUGAGUAUCUUCGGAGUCGGAGUGAUAACUUCUCUCGGAGUGGCUGUCGGAGUCGGAGCCGGAUACCCAUUCACCAACAUGAGCUUGAUGUCUUCGUUUUGUGUAGCUCCUUGAUGAUUUUUCCUUCCUUUCCGAAUCCUUGCUUCUCCGUGAGUAUCUUCGUUCAUAACGAUCAUCUCUACUCCUUCUCUCUCUUGGUGGUGAUUCUUUGCUUCUUCUUUUUGGAGAAUCUUCUCUUCUCUUGUAGGGAGCCGUACACUCAUUGGAAUAAUGUCCGGGUCUUCCACAACUGUAGCAGUUUCGCUCUCGACUAGAAGAUCUUUUGUCAUUGUAGGACCUUGACUUGAAGCUUCUAUCUUUGCUUCUACUCUUGUAGAACUUGUUGAAGUUCUUCACCAUUAAGCUCAAUUCUUCAUUGAAGUUUUGUUUCUCACUUGAUGAUGUAGGGGCUUCACAUGAGGCUUUGUAGGCACUACUUGAUUUGUUGUGAAGUUCCUCUUUAUCCUUAAGUGACAUCUCAUGAGCAACAAUUCUUCCAAUCACCUCCGUUGGCUUGAGAUCUUUGUAAUUGGGCAUCAUUUGGAUCAAUGGGCACACGGUAUCAUAUUUUCCAUCCAAGGCUCUUAGAAUCUUCUUGAUGAUGAAUCUAUCGGUCAUCUCUUCACUUCCUAAGCCGGCAAUCUCAUUUGUGAUGAGAGCAAGCCUAGAGUACAUUUCAGCGACACCUUCACCAUCCUUCAUUUUGAACUUGUCAAGUUGACUUUGAAGCACAUCCAACUUGGAUUCCUUGACGGAGUCGGUACCUUCGUGCAUAUCAAUCAAAGUGUCCCAAAUUUCCUUUGCAUUCUCAAGACGGCUGAUUUUGUUGAAUUCUUCGGGGCACAAUCCGUUGAAGAGAAUAUCACAAGCUUGAGCAUUGUGUUGCAACAUCUUCAACUCAUCCGCGGUAGCUUCACGGUUUGGUUCUUUCCCAUCAAAGAAGUCACCUUGCAAACCACCACACAUAAUAGCCCAAACGACGGGGUUAUGUCCAACAAUAUGCAUUUUCAUUUUAUGCUUCCAACUAGCAAAAUUAGUACCAUCAAAGUAAGGACCUCUACGGUGAUAAUUUCCCUCGCUAGACGCCAUACUCUCCUAGGUUGUGAAACCAAGGCUAUGACCACCAAAAGCUAUGGAGAUCAAAGCAAAUGGAGACCAAAGCUCUGAUACCACUUGUAGGAUCGAAAGUAUGUCUAGAGGGGGGGUGAUUAGACUACUUGACCAAAUAAAAACUUAACCUUUUCCCAAUUUUAGUUCUUGGCAGAUUUUAGCUAUUGUAGGACAAGUCAAGCAAUCAUCACACAAUUCAAGCAGGCAUGCAAAGAGUAUAUUGGCAGUGGAAAGUAAAGCAUGCAACUUACAAGAAUGUAAAGGGAAGGGUUUGGAGAAUUCAAACGCAAUUGGAGACACGGAUGUUUUUCCCGUGGUUCGGAUAGGUGGUGCUAUCCUACAUCCACGUUGAUGGAGACUUCAACCCACGAAGGGUAACGGUUGCGCGACUCCACGGAGGGCUCCACCCACAAAGGGUAACGGUUGCGCGAGUCCACGGAGGGCUCCACCCACGAAGGGUCCACGAAGAAGCAACCACCCAGAAAGGGUCCACGAAGAAGCAACCUUGUCUAUCCCACCAUGGCCAUUGCCCACGAAGGACUUGCCUCACUAGCGGUAGAUCUUCACGAAGUAGGCGAUCUCCUUGCCCUUACAAACUCCUUGGUUCAACUCCACAAUCUUGUCGGAGGCUCCCAAGUGACACCUAGCCAAUCUAGGAGACACCACUCUCCAAGAAGUAACAAAUGGUGUGUAGGUAAUGAACUCCUUGCUCUUGUGCUUCAAAUGAUAGUCUCCCCAACACUCAACUCUCUCUCAUAGGAUUUGGAUCUGGUGGAAAGAAGAUUUGAGUGGAAAGCAACUUGGGGAAGGCUAGAGAUCAAGAUUCAUAUGGUAGGAAUGGAAUAUCUUGGUCUCAACACAUGAGUAGGUGGUUCUCUCUCAGAACAUAUGAGUUGGAAUUGUGUAUGUGUUCUGAUGGCUCUCUCCACGAAUGAAGAGGAGGUGGAGCGGUAUAUAUAGCCUCCACACAAAAUCCAACCGUUACACACAGUUUUCCAAUCUCGGUGGGACCGAAUCAAAAAACUCGGUCGGACCCAAAAGGUAAACCUAGUGACCGUUAGAGAUUUUCGGUGGGACUGACAUUCAACUCGGUAGGACCGAUAUGGUUACGGUUUGGGCAUAACGUAAUCUCGGUGAGACCGAUUACACAAACUCGGUGAGACCGAUUUUGGUAAUUAGCUAACCAGAGAGUUGGUCAGGCAAACUCAGUGGGACCGAUUUGCUCUUUCGGUGAGACCGAAAAGUUACAAAAAGGAAACAUCGAAUUUACAUUGAAAUCUCGGUGGGACCGAUUCGCUCUUUCGGUGAGACCGAAAAGUUACGAAAGGGAAACAGAGAGUUUGCAAUCCCAUCUCGGUGAGACCGAGAUCCCUAUCGGUAGAACCGAAUUGCUAGGGUUUGGUAGUGGCUUAUGACAAGUGAAACUCGGUGGCGCCGGAUAGAAAGAAUCGGUAGGACCGAGUUUGGCUUAGGGUUUAGGUCAUAUGUGGAUAUGGGAAAGUAGUUGAGGGUUUGGAGCAUAUCACUAAGCACAUGAAGCAAGAGGCUAAUUAAGCAACACCUCAUCCCUCCUUGAUAGUAUUGGCUUUUCCUAAAGACUCAAUGUGAUCUUGGAUCACUAAAAUAUAAAAUGAAGAGUCUUGAGCUUUUGAGCUUGAGCCAAUCCUUUGUCCUUAGCAUUUUGAGGGUUCCACUUUCACAUCCAUGCCAUGCCAAUCAUUGAGCUUUCCUGAAAUAAUCAUCUUGGAAUAGCAUUAGCUCAAUGAGCUAUAUGUUGUUAUGAAUUACCAAAACCACCUAGGGAUAGUUGCACUUUCAAUUUUAGCAAAAGUCAUGCCGAAAUUUUCCGUGAAUUUCGGCAUGACUUGUGCUACAAACUAGGACAUAUUGAGUGCCCGGGAUCUGCCGCACCGGGAAUGAGUCAACGUUCCUGCAAAACAUAGGCCUUUUGUAUGUCAUUAUUCAUUUUAUUUGGUCUAGAAUUAAUUUACUAGAUCUAAUCAUAGGAAACAUGGCUAGCAACGAUGAAGGACAGGGUUCUGGUGAUUGUGACGAUGUCUACCUGGCGGCAGAUGAAUUUUUGAGCCUUGCCGAUGAUCAACCGAUGUUUUUGCUGGGCCCACCGCUCGCAUCAGGGAUUGAGACCGACACGCAGACCGGCGCUGAGACUCAGACCGACAUCGAGACCGGCGCUGAGACUGAGACCGGCGCUCCCUCGGGGAGCGGAGCAGGAAUAGAACCAAAAGCAAAGAGGCGACAACUUCCUAACAAGCUCAGGACUACUAGACUAGUGGUCACUGUCGGUGUUCUGGGAACGGGGGUCCCCAGACUUGCCUGCCUGCAGCCUGCGGCAUGGCUCAAGCGGGCCCCAGUGCGGCCCAUCUUCAUCAGCUCAAGCUCAAGACCCUCAUGAGGGGCCAAGCCUCGCGGGGCGGAUGACAGGAAGCUUCCUCAGAGGCAGCCUCAUCAGGCAGGCUCAUGAGGAGGCUGAGAGAUCAAGGCAGGGGUACCUCGCGAGGAACCCGUGACGCAAGCCAUGACGAUCGAGACCAGGCGGGCGCCGGGUGGGCGCAGGCCUGUGUAGUGUCCUUGUUUCCCCUUUGGUGCAAAGGGGGCAAGCACAGGCCAAGGCAUCAGUCAAAGGUUGCCAUUCCGGUGCAACAAGACCAAGACCAGCAGAGCGGCAUGACGGAGGUCACCGUGGAGCUCAAGACGGCGUCAUCACCAGCACUUUUGGCAGCCGAAGACCACCUUUGGUCAGGAUAACAUGUACUACAUGUUCCCCUUCAAAAUGGCCAAUUGUUGGCGCCCUUCCCGCUCAUUAUUUGGGGAGAGGCCCAGGGCCUCUAUAAAUAGAGCUAGCCACCACAGAAGGAGAGAUGGCGGGAAAUCUGGUAGAACCAUAGCAGAGAGAGAGGAAGAGGCGACUGAACUCACCCUAGCAGUUCAUCGCACCAGCUCAAGAACACCUCUCACGAGGCUGCUCUUCCCUUGUACUAUUCAUCAUCAACCCCAGAGGCAAUCCACCACACCACACACUGGAGUAGGGUAUUACACCACAAUGGUGGCCCGAACUAGUAUAAACCUCGUGUCUCUUGUGUUGUUCAUCAUUUUCAUCUUAGUUCGCAUGAGAGUAUCAGACGUAGAUCGGUAGGGGAGAGAUCUCCGCGCGCACCCCAGUGUUCGAACCUCAAGGGUCUGCCGGAACCCGAAACCCGACAUUUGGCGCGCCAGGUAGGGGUGCGCCGGAGUCCUCCCUCCUGACGACUUGCUCUCCCCCGACAUCGCAUCCUGCCCUCAUGGCGGACAACGCGCCGCCCGGUCCAGCAACGGAUGCCGACACUGGGGUCAGGGGGCUCUGGGCCUUGGCCCCCGCCUUGCGGCAAGUGCAGUGGCCGCGCAAGUUCAGGCCCGAGAUGCCGCCGCGCAAUGACAGCGCGACGGACCCGAUGAUUUUCCUGCUGGCGUACGAGGAGGCCGUCCUCGGAGCCGGGGGCGACGAUCGGGUGAUGGCCAACUGGUUACCCAUGGCCCUCACCGGCAUCCCGCGCGCGUGGCUCCUCCACCUUCCGACGGCCUCUGUCACCUCUUGGGAGGAGCUGCGCGACCUCUUCCUCGCCCGUUUCGCCGCACCAGCGCCGCCCGUCGUCGCAGCUCUCCUGGGUGGCUCCCAGGCUCCACCCUCGAGUCAUCACGUCAAGCCGUUCGCCCGCCGGAUCAGCACCGCCUCCAGGCGCCAAGAAGCCCCCCUGGGCUAGGUGGCGCCCGAGGCCGAUCUAACCUUCGACUCGGAGGACCACCCCUUCAACCCCAUUGGUUCGGGCGCGCUCCCGAUGCUGUGCACCCCCACGAUCUGCCAUGUGGCUGUCACCAGGACCCUCAUCGACUGUGGUGCCGGCCUCAAUGUGCUCUCGGUGGAGGCCUUCAGCCUACUCCACGUGCCGCUGGAGCGGCUCCAACCCAGCAGGCCUUUCUCGAGCGUCGGAGCUGGUUCCACCGCCUCCUUGGGACAGAUCCGCCUCCCAGUGACCUUCGGCACCUGCGACAACUUCCGUACGAAGCUGAUCGACUUCGACAUCGCCCCCAUCGGCCUCCCCUACAAUGCCAUCCUGGGCUAUCCGGCCUUGGCUUGGUUCAUGGCAGCAACUCACCCGGCGUACAACGUCAUGAAGGGAGCAGGGGCGUCCUCACCAUGUCAGGAGACACAAGGGAUGCGCUGCAGGUGCUCUGGCUUGUUUUCAGGGCGGCCGCGGUGGCGCAGCCCACUAGCACCGACGCCCUUGAGCCAAAGGGGGCUGCGCCGGCUAAAAAGAAGUAGUUGUUCACCCAAGACAAGGCAGAAACCAAGCAGGUACCAGUCGACGAGGAUGGGUCCACUGGCGCCACCUUCACCAUAGGGGCCAACCUCGAGCCUGAGCAGGAGAAGGCCCUAAUCAGGUUCCUGUGUGCGAACAAGAAGGUGUUCGCGUGGGAACCAGAUCAGUUAGCGGGGGUCCCAAGGGAAGUGAUUGAGCAUCACCUCAACAUGUGCCCCAAUGUACGCCCCAUGAAGCAGAAGGCAAGGCGGCAGUCUACUAAGAAACAGGCUUUCAUCGUUCAAGAGACCCGGAAGCUAGAGGCGGCAGGGGUUAUCCGCGAGGUCCGCUACCCCGAUUGGCUGGCUAAUCCUGUUGUCGUGCCAAAGAAGGGGGGAAAGAGCGCAUGUGCAUUGACUUCACCAACCUCAACAAAGCCUCCCCGCAGGAUCCAUUUCCGCUCCCGCGCAUCGACCAGAUAGUCGACUCCACCGUAGAGUGUGACCUAUUGUGAUUCCUGGAUGCCUUCUCGGGCUAUCACCAGAUCAAGAUGGCGGUAGAAGACGUGGAGAAGACGGCUUUCCUGACCCCGUGUGGAGUGUACUGCUAUACGUGCAUGCCGUUUGGGCUGCGCAACGCAGGUGCGACCUUUCAGCGGCUGAUGCACAUCGCCUUAGGCCGGUAGCUCGGGAGGAACGCUGAAGCUUACGUCAAUGACAUUGUGGUGAAGUCUCGUGAGGCAAGAACCCUGAUACAGGACCUGGAAGAAACCUUUGCCAGCCUCAACGAAGUGGACCUAUGGCUCAACCUAGAGAAGUACAUAUUUGGAGUCCCCUCGAGCAAGCUCCUAGGUUUCCUCAUAUCCCACAGGGGCAUCGAGGCCAACCCGGAGAAGGUCAAGGCAGUCAGAGAUAUGAGCCCGCCAAGGACCCUCAGAGAAAUGCAGAAGCUCAUCGGGCGUGUGACUGCGUUGGGGCGCUUCAUCUCCAAGCUGGGCGAACGAGCCCUGCCCUUCUUCAAACUGAUGAAGAAAAAGGGCCCCUUCGAAUGGACUGAAGAGGCCGACAAGGCAUUCCAAGACCUCAAGAGGUACCUUACCAGUCCGCCAGUGAUGGUAGCUCCGCGUCCUCGGGAGCCCCUGGUGCUCUACCUUGCCGCCACCCCCUACUCCGCCAGCGCAGCCCUGGUGGCGGUCAGGGAGGAGCGCUAUGCCAAGGCCGCAUCGACCGUCUGAACUAAAGCAAAGCAGAGCCAGGAGGGCCUCGCGAAGGCCGCAACCACAGCCGAAAAGGAACAGCCGCAGCAGGAGAACGCACCCGGAGCAGGAGAGGCCUCUUCUGGUGACCAAGCCCCGGGAGCUCCGUCGUCUCCAGAGAUGCCUCGACCUCUGGAGGACGCAAGCAGCACCAACACCCUCAACCUCGUCGAGCAUCCUGUGUAUUUCGUCAGCAUGGUGCUAUGGGACGCAAGGGCACGGUAUCCCAUGCCUCAAAAACUCCUCCUCGCACGACUAGUGGCCUCGCGCAAGCUGCGCCACUACUUCCAAGGACAUCCCAUCAAGGUCGUCUCAGCAUACCCCUUAGAAAGAGUGCUCAGGAGCCCCAACUCAGCUGGAAGGGUCGCCGAAUGGAACAUUGAGCUACAGGCAUUUCAGCUAGAAUUCAGCAUGACCAGAGUUAUCAAGGGAGCCGCACUUGCAGAUUUCGUGGCAGAAUGGGCAGAAGCGCCGGGUCUUGAGGCAGGCGAAGACCGGUCACUUUCCCCGGGAAGUGAAGCACCGGACGGCUGGGUCAUGUACUUCGAUGGGGCAUUCUCCCGACACGGUGCAGGAGCUGGCGCAGUGCUUGUGUCCCCUACCCAGGACAAACUCCAUUACGCCGUGCAACUCUGCUUCCAGCACGGAGAGAAGGUCUCCAACAACAUAGCAGAAUACGAAGGCUUGAUAGCAGGCUUGAAAGCCGCAAUCGCCUUAGGGGUAAAGUGCCUCACCAUCAAGGGUGAUCCACAGCUCCUCGUCAACUUCUCCAACAAGAUAUACGAGCCGAAGGACGAGCACAUGGAAGCUUACCUCGCUGAAGUCCGUAGGAUGGAGAAACAGUUCUCGGGGUUGGAGCUGCAGCAUGUGCCUCGCGGCACCAAUCAGGAGGCUGAUGACAUUGCCAAGAGGGCAUCUAGGCGGCUGCAGCAGGAACCUGGCGUCUUCGAGGAGCGGCUCUUCAAGCCCUCGGCGGCGCUGUUGCUAUCAGGUGCGGUGCAACCAAGGGAGGAGCCUCCUCAGCCGCCUGCCUCGGGAGCUCCGGUCUGCGGCCCGGCCUCAGGGGCACGCAUGUUCCUGGUGUUGGAGCCUCAGGAGGGAUGUUGGAUCCCAGAGCUCAAGGACUACCUGAUGCAAGGGAUUGUGCCGGAGAACGAGGAGGAGGCGGAGCGUGUGGCAUGGCAGGCCACGGCUUAUUGCAUCCAGGAUGGCAAGCUCUACAGGAAGUGGCCAAAUGACGUGUCCCUACGUUGCAUUUCCAGGGAGCAAGGAAAGGAACUACCGGCGGACAUACACAGCGGAGACUGCGGGCACCACUAGUCGUCACGAACCCUCGUCAGCAAGGCGUUCUGCAGCAGGUUCUACUAGCCCACAACACUCAACGAUGCCGUUGAGCUGGUGAAGGCUUGCGAGGCCUGACGGUUCCACACUAAACAGAUCCAUCAGCCUGCGGGGGGUCCGUAGACCAUACCCCUCUCAUGGUCGUUCGCAGUUUGGGGGUUGGACAUUCUAGGCCCAUACUCUCGGGCGCCAGGGGGCUAUCGCUACCUCUACGUCGCUGUGGACAAGUUAACCAAGUGGGCCGAGGUGGAAGCUGUCCGCACAAUCCCGGCAGGCUCGGCAGUCAAGUUCAUCAAGGGCCUCGUGAGCCGGUUUGGGGUGCUUAACCGCAUCAUCACUGAAAAUGGUUCGCAAUUCACCAGUAAUCUCUUCAAAACGUACUGUGCUAACCUUGGAACGCAGAUAUGCUACGCUUCGGUAGCACACCCCCGGAGCAAUGGCUAGGCUGAACGAGCCAACGUGGAGGUCCUGAGGGGCCUCAAGGCCAGGACCUUCAAGAAGAAGCUGGAGGCCUGUGGCAGGGGCUGGCACGACGAGCUCCAGUCCGUGCUAUGGUCAAUCCGCACGACAGCGACCAAGCCAACUGGCGAGACCCCGUUCUUCCUCGUCUAUGGAGCGGAGGUUGUUCUCCCUCACGAGGUCAGACGUCACUCCGCAUGGGUCCUGGCAUUCGACGAGGCUCAGCAGGACGCCAUGCGGGGGACGGAUCUCGUGCUGGGGGAGGAACGCCGUCGGGAAGCCGCACUGCGAGCGGCAAGGUAUCAACAGGCACUACGACGAUACCACAGCCGCAACAUCUGCCCCAGGACCCUUGAGGUAGGGGAUCUCGUGCUCAGAAGGGUUCUCUCCAAGGAGGGGCUGCACAAGCUCUCUCCCAUGUGGGAGGGCCCAUUCAAGGUUGUUCAUGUUUCCAAGCCUGGCUCCGCGUGCUUGGAGACUCCGGAGGGAGUACCCAUCCAGAACCCAUGAAACAUUCAACAUCUCCGAAGGUUCUACCCCUGAGUGAAGCCGCUGCGUUUUGGAAAAGGCCCGGUGCCUGUGAAGAAGGCGAAUGCCUGUGAAGCCGCUGCAUUUUGGAAAAGGCCCGGUGCCUAUUAAGAAGGCGAAUGCCUAUGAAGCCGCUGCGUUUUGGAAAAGGCCUAGAGCCUGUGAAGAAGGCGAACGCCUGUGAAGAUGCCGCAUUUCAAAAAAGGCCCGGUGCCUGUGAAGAAGGCCAAUGCCUGUGAAGCUCGCCGCCCGUGACACUUUCACGUAAUAAUGAGUGGGGCUGUACACGCCCGGAGUCUCCGGAGUGCCGCCCUCGGGCCUCGGGGGCUCCCGCCCACGCCCAGUGGCAGCACUUAGCUCCGCGCUGGUGAGAAGACGUCGAAGACUAGAAUAGGUGCCGGAUGCGGCUUUCCCAUUUGCUUUCUGCAGUUGGCUUGUUUAUUCCGGUUUGAAGUUUUUAUUGGAGUUGCUGACAUUCCUAGCUUGUGGCUCUUUGUCUUUCUCGCUCGCUCGCCUCGUUUUCUCUCGCGAAGUCUCGCGAGGGAGGAUCGCAGGCGCCCUCGCGAUUGUUUUCUGCCCCGAUCAUUUGUAGCUUUCCUAUUCGAGUCCUCUGUGGGAGCACCCCUCCCAGUCCGUGCCCCACGGGCAUCGUGACACGAGCGCAUGACCUUGGCCAAUCACCCCCACAGCUAAGAUCAUAAGUUACCCCUCCUACUGAUCCUUGCAGGGCACAAAGCGCACGAGGAGGCCACGACCUCGGGAGGCGAGGACCAUGCCAAGCCCCACUGAGCUAAAAUAGUUCCCGCACAUGGGAGCGCGACGCAAAGCAUGGCGCAGAAAUAGCGGAAACAGCGCGAUGGUUAAACAGCAACAAUUCUAAUACACCCCCGCGGGGCCCUACAUUACUUACUAUUUUUGCGCAGGAUAAGAAAGAAAACAAAAUGGGCGCGAUUCGUCCUGCGCCAACCCACAGCAAAGGCUCGAGCUGCUCCUGGGGCUCAGGCGGAUCCCUCCUCUCGCUUCACCAGGGCACGACGGCGGGCUGACCCGCUACCUUCACCCAAGCGGGCGCGACGGCGAGGAGGCUGGUCGCGGCCACCGCUGGAGGAGCUGCUUCCUGAGAGGGGAUUGCCGAAGCUCGGCGAACCCCGAGCACCGCCGCCUGUACGCCAGCCGCCAUCUGCAUCCUGGUCAGAGCCAGGGCUGGGCAGGCGGCUGCAGUCGUCGUCUUCAGGGCAACACCCAACAUGGCGACUGUCUUCCCCGAACACCCUCACGUAGAGGGUGGCGUCGCCAUCAAACUUGAAGUACAGGGUGCACCACCGGCUCAGGCCAUGCGCGCGGGAAAAUGUUUGCCAGCCGCGUGUCAGAGCCCCGUUCCCAGAAACGGAGACCUCCAGCGACGCCCAGGAGGCCCUGCUGCAGCAUCCGUUUGCUUGGAGCCAGAAGCCGCACCGGGCGCUGGCCGGCAGUUCAUCUACGAAGAAACAGGGGAGCUGGAGCUUGGUGCUGGAUGGGUCUGCCGACCACACGACGAACUCCGGCAGCACCUCCGCAGAGCGAAAGCGUGGCCUAGGGGGGCGCACACCCAUGGCGUGCCCCCCGUCGGCAACCGGGCGCUCACCACCGCGCCGGGAACCGCCUCCAUGGAUGCGGGAGGCCACCACGGGGACCGUGGUAUACUUGCAAGGGCGACCUCAACCGCGCUUGGCCGGGGGGGAGUCAGGCCCAGCCUGAGGGGCCUUUCCUUUCUCCGCGGCUGAGAAUCUCUUUGGAGCCAUGGGAGCGACGAGUAAUCGAGAAGAAGGAAAGGAGCAGCAAGGAGGUACGGGCCGAAGGGGGUCGCCCAGCCCUGUACAUAUAGCCGGAGGAGGCCAACCGCCAUGCACCACGAUCGCAGGUAAUCAUGACCGGUUUCUCUGCAUGUAGGGACUUAUCAAGUCAUGUCGUCGCCGAGACGUCGUGGGGAAGCGCAGUCGCCCACGUCCAAUCAAUCGCCACGCGGCGCCCAAGGCCGCAGGGUGUUAGGGCCCGCGGCGCUUCGCGCUUUCCCUUUCGCUUUCCUACUAGGCCAAGCCCAGGCGCGCCUUGGGCUCGGGGGCUACUGUCGGCGUUCUAGGAAUGGGGGUCCCCAGACUUGCCUGCCUACGACCUGCGGUGUGGCUCAAGCAGGGCCCAGCGCGGCCCAUCUUCAUCAGCUCAGGCUCAAGACCCUCGCGAGGGGCCAAGCCUUGUGGGGCAGAUGACAGGAAGCUUCCUCAGAGGCAGCCUCAUCAGGCAGGCUCGCGAGGAGGCGAAGAGAUCAAGGCAGGGGUACCUCACGAGGAACCCGUGACACAAGCCAUGACGAUCGAGACCAGGCGGGCGCCAGGUGGGCGUCGGCCUGCGUAGUGUCCUUGUUUCCCCUUUGGUGCAAAGGGGGCAAGCACUGGCCAAGGCAUCAGGCAAUGGUUGCCAUUCCGGUGCAACGAGACCAAGACCAGCAGAGCGGCAUGACGGAGGUCACCGUGGAGCCCAAGACGGCGUCAUCACCAGCACUUUUGGUAGCCGAAGACCACCUUUGGUCAGGAUAACCUGUACUACAUGUUCCCCUUCAAAAUGACCAAUUGUUGGCGCCCUUCCCACUCAUUAUUUGGGGAGAGGCCCAAGGUCUCUAAAAAUAGAGCUAGCCACCACAGAAGGAGGGGACGACGGGAAAUCUGGUAGAACCAUAGCAGAGAGAGAGGAAGAGGCAACUGAACUCACCCUAGCAGUUCAUCGAACCAGCUCAAGAACACCUCUCGCGAGGCUGCUCUUCCCUUGUACUAUUCAUCAUCAGCCCCAGAGGCAAUCCACCACAACACACACUGGAGUAGGGUAUUACACCACAACGGUGGCCCGAACCGGUAUAAACCUCGUGUCUCUUGUGUUGUUCAUCAUUUUCAUCUUAGUUCGCACGAGAGGAUUGAACGUAGAUCAGUAGGGGAGAGAUCUCCAGUGUUCGAACCUCAAGGGUCUGCCGGAACCCGAAACCCGACAGUCACGAAGGUGGACGACGACAAUUUUGAGCCAAACGCGCCCGAGGAAGCACGCACGUGCUACAACAAUUAAAUUGGCUGCAUCAUAUGAACAACCGCCACCAUCAACGAUGAGAAACUAAACAAGAUAGAUAAUAUGAGGCCCUCCCUCCUAAAGAACUUGCACCCGAUAUUCUUGUUCCUGAGCCGGAAUGAAAAGGUUUAUAAAGAUCCAGAUAAGGACCUGACAAUGAAGAAGAUAAACAAACACGCCAUGAGCAAGUUUAGCGACGCAUUGGCUGCCUAGAAAGCAAGGGUGAAAUAUCGGAUCGUCAACGAAAAGGAACCCUACUCCGAGAUUCUAAAGGAUAAUCCGAUAAUCACGAGAGAGCACUUUGAAAUAUUCAAGGCGGCUCGCGAGGCUGAAGAUGCCAAAAAAAUUCAGAGUACAUGAAGGGGCUUCAACAGAAGAACAUUGGGUGCCACCACCUCGGAUGCCAUGGUUACAGCGGGAAGAGGUCCAUAUGGGCCAAGGAGGACGCGGAAGCCGCGAGUCUAGGCAUCCCAGACCCCUUGGCGGAGUUCACCGUCCCGCAGGAGCGUGACGUCCUCAGGGUCCGACACCAUUGGGACCCAGUGAAGAAGGUUUUCAAAAAGAACGCGGUCACGAUGGAGUUCAUUAGACUGCUAGUAAUUUUAGUUCCUAAUCAAUUCGACUGCACAUUAGUCAUAUUUGUAAACGAUCCUUGUGCCUUUUGCAGAGAGAGCAGCACAGGAUUGCGGCCGAAAGCGACUGGCCGUCUGAGGCGUUGGCGAGGCCCAAGUGGGACACUCCAUUCAACCGGGCAUUGAACAUAUUGAAAGGACUCCCGGUGGAGACUCGACCGUCGUAUGGACGCGCGCACGGUGUCAGAGACGGCGCCAUGUGGAAGAAGUACUACCGUGAGACCACGGAGGAGAGAAAAUAAAGACGGAGGUUAACUGAAGAAAACAUCGACAAGAAGGUUGAGAUUGCGGUUGAAAAGAAAUCGAGACAGUCGCAACAAUGGUAGCUACCGCAAAACAGGUGCUUGUAGAUAUGUCUACUAACUUGGUUCCGGACGUUUUCAAUUGGAGCAGGCAAAAUCCAGAAAAAAAUGCAGCGGACUUUCCCCUUGCUGACUUCCUCAGGAGCAGCUCGACUAGCGUUGCACCAGCACCUACACCUGCACCUGCUCCCGCCCCGGCUCAUGCACCUGCUCACGAACCUGCUCCGGCACUAGCUCCUGCACCUGCUCCCGCACCGGCUGCUGCACCUGCUCCCGCACCGGCUCCUGCACCUGCUCCCGCACCGGCUUCGGCACCGGACGUGCUCGGCGGUGCUUCGUCUUUGGUUGAGCUCGACGCCCUCACGGUAUCUGUCACACCGGCCCCCUCCAAUAAAUGUAUAAUCUCCCGUUUUCGUUGCCUUUUAGAUGUCUCACGUCGCAGACUUUUCUUUGCAGGCCGACGAAACCCCGUGCACCAUAUUGUACACCAUCGGCGACCAGAAGCUGGACGUGGGGAAGGCGACGAUAAUGGAGCCGAAGGAACCAUUGUUCCACAGCCGACCGAUCCCCCCGGAAGUCUUCAAGGUUUCCUUGGCCAGUGUCAAACCAGGCCACGAGAAUUUGGCUCCUUUGGUACUAUUGGGGAUGACGACGAGACCCCGCGACGGCUUGGUGAUUGUUGCAAUGAGUGUGUCUUGUUGUGGCCAAAGAGUCUGCUUCGUCUAGAGGCAGCCGGGAGCACACCCACGAGCACGUAGUUAGGUAUGAACAUCAACACCUUGCCUACUCCAUUAGUCGCUAGUGUCGUCGCCAUAGAUAAGGAUGAGGAUGACGAUGACACUCAAGAGUAUGUCUAUACUGGUGCCUACUUAGGGUUUGAGCGUCAUGAGUUGGUGCCUGAAUUGCCGCCUCCGGAGUCUAAACGUAUUAUGGACAACCUUCUGGUAGUAAAGAAGUCUAGGAAGAGACCGAGGAAAGGCAAAAAAGCUGCUCCUGUGAUCCAGCCGCCUCAGCAGCCUCAGGUUCAAGACCGUAUAGAUAUCCUCGGUGCGGCAAAAUGGCAUAUCCCCGAUCAACCAAUCCUACCUGAAGCAGUGCUGGGGGCCAGAUUCAGCGAUUUAAGGAGACUUCAUGACGAUGUGCUGCGGAUAGAGAAAGACCUCAUUGCCUCAAAAAAUCCAGGAUACCCACUCUACGUGGUUAACGUGCCGCGGGGAUUGUCAUACAUCGACACAUUCCCCACGGAGAAGUUCUUCCUUUGAUUUGAUUACAUCUUCGACAUGUUUCACUUGAAGAAGCUGGAUUUUGCGUUUGUCUGCCUUUAUGCUUUGCACAUGAACUACCUCAUCGGGGUUGAGCAGAUACCUCAUAUCUAUGUUGCUGACCCGUACUUCAUGCACGAGGCCUUCUUGGGAGUCUGCGCAAAGCACUAUGAAUACGCGAGGGAAUACGUUGUCAAUUUCAUGCUCGCUAAUAAGGAAAAGGAGGCUAUUCUUGUGCCUUAUCAUCCCAUGUAAAUCAUCCGCGUGGAUAUCCUUCCUUUGAUUUCAAUCAUUCAUUUGCAUGGUGGAGGCUAAAUAAUUUGAGGUGUACUUAUUUUGCGCAGCGGCGGGCGCGCCGUCCUCAUCAUCCUCUACCCCCGAUACUCCCACGCUCUUUACUUGGACCCAUCGAAGAACAUUAACAAAAAGGAUUACACCCACAUCAAGUAUGUACUCGAUAGUGCUAUGUUUUACUACGGAGCAUGGGGUGGAGAGGUCAAGGACAAGAAGAAAAAGGACGGCAGGCCCGCCUUCGGCCAUAAGACCGACUUUUGCUGCAUCCAGCAACAGAGUGAUUCUCUUAAUGAUGGAUUCUAUCUCCUACACCAGAUGCUGGAGUACAGACGGGAUCACCAGAACCUUCGCAUGUCACCUACAUCCGGUGAUGCCCAUAUUUUGCAAUGGGCAAAGAACUUAGGAGAUAUCGAGGAUCAUCGACUUCGAGUUGUGUUCUAUCACAUCUAGCGCGAACUUGCCCAAAUCAUCAUGAAGGAGGUCAUCGAAAAAACAGGGAUGUUCUACGAAGAAGGACAAAUGUCGCGGGAUGACAUCCGAACACGCGUAGCCGCUCAGCAUCUCGACCUGAAGCCUUUCACUAAGCUCGGGGACUAUCUCUUUGACUUGGAUGGAUGGCACGACAUGGAGUGAUUGUCGAUAUAUGACAAUGUGUCCGUUUAGUCCAUACUAUCUGUAUGAUGAAACUUUGACUAUGCACGAUGGAACUUUAUUUGUGAUGUAAUUAAACCGUCCUCCUCGACUAGCGAAGAUCACUCUAGUUAGGGCAUUUUGGGUACGAUGAACUUUGUUAUUUAUGCUUAUGAUAUGUUGCUUCUAUUUUUGCCAAGUCUGUCUCUUUCUGUUGCUCAACUAUAUAUGUUGCAUAUCAUCGACUCAUGUGACGAUGCAGGUGUAUAGAUCAUCGAUGGUGAAGAAGUGCUACGCCAGGAGUAUACGACGAGUGGCCAGAAUGUCAGGCCCAGGUGUACCGGUUUCUGGUUUCCGGGCGACAACCAGUAGUUAGUUUAGGUUCACGCAAAGUGAUAGCUCUUCUCGCAUAUAUCAUUGUUUAGAUGGUUGACGAUGUAGUUGCAAGUAAUCAAGAUUUGUAUCACUAUUUUCGAGAUGAUGACAAGAGACCACUUUGUGUUGGAUGAUGAUUAUGACGAUGACAUGAUUUGAUGAGACUAUUUGUAUGUAUAUGCUAUGAUUAAAUUUGUAUGUGUAUCAUAUGCUAAAGAUUAUUGUAUAAAGCCUAUUCAAAUACAAAACAAAUAUGCAGAAAAAAAACUACUAAAAUUAGCAGUAGCGAGUGGAGAAAAGUUAGCAGCAACACCACAGUAGCAGUAGCACGUCCAGGCAAAGCGCGCUAGAGCUAUUAGCAGUAGCGAGCUUCCACGAAGCACGCUGCUGCUACACUUGUAUAGCAGUAGCGCGGGUGUGCACGCGCUACUACUACGGGUUAGCUAUAGCGCCUUAUUAGUAGCGCCGGUCCCCGCGCUGCUGAUAUACCUAGAACCCGCGCUGCUGCUAGCCUUUUCCCUAGUAGUGAGAAGGCAUCCCGAUAAUUCGGAGGGUGAAAGUCUUGUUGAGAAAAUUGAUAAAAGUUGGUUUGAAGAGGUCAAAACUUUAAGUAGUGAUGUGCCCACUCUUUUGGAUUACAAAGACUUUAAUUAUGAUAUUAUCUCUUUGAUUGAUUGUAUUUCUUUGUUGCAAUCCAUGAUAAAUUCGCCCCAUGCUUAUGAACAAAAUAAAGCUUUUACUAAACAUAUUGUUGAUGCUAUGAUGAAAGCUUUGGAAGAAAAAUUGGAAUUAGAAGUUUAAAUUCCUAGAAAAUUACCUGAUGAGUGGGAACCUACUAUCAAAGUCAACAUUAAAAAUUAUAAGUGUUUUGCUUUAUGUGACUUGGGUGCUAGUGUUUAUACAAUUCCAAAAUAUUUAUGUGAUGUGCUUGGUUUUACCGAUAUUGAAGAAUGUUCCUUGAAUUUGCACUUGGCGGAUUCUACUAUUAAAAAGCCUAUGGGAAGAAUUAAUGAUGUUCUCAUUCUUGCAAACAGGAAUUAUGUGCCCAUAGAUUUUAUUGUUCUUGAUAUUGAUUGCAAUCCGUCUUGUCCAAUUAUUGUUGGUAUACCAUUUUUACGUACUAUUGGUACCGUGAUCGAUAUGAAAGAAGGCAAUAUUAAAUUUCAAUUUCCAUAGAACAGUAAUUAGUCCAUCAUAUGAAUCAAUCAUGAGGGCAUCUUAUGGAUCUAGAAACAAAGAUGACAAUACUUAGAUCCUUGCUUUAUGCCUAGCUAGGGGCGUAAAACGAUAGCACUUGUUGUGAGGCAACCCAAUGAAUAAAAUUUAUUUUUGUCUUUUGCUUUCUAUAAUUGAGUGUUUUCACAAUGAUGCUACUGUUAUGAUUGUGUUUUUUGUGUUUUAGUUAGUGUAUGUGCCAAGAAAAGCCUUUAGGAUCAUGUUGGGUGAUAGUUGAUUUGAUCUAGCUAAAAAACAGAAACUUUUAUGCUCACGAAAAUAAUUCUUAUUUAUAACAGGAGUGUGAUAAAAUACCAAUUUUUUCGCAGAAGAUUUAUAUACAAAUGUCUCACGUGGUCCUAAUUUUUGAUAAUUUAUAGAGUUACAUAAGUGUUUGAAAUAUCCAGAUAGCUACAAACUGUUCUGUUUCUGACAGAUUCUGCUUUUUUUGUGUUGUGUGCUUGUUUUGAUGAUUCUAUGGUUUCCUUUGAAGAUUUUUUAUCAUAGAAAAGUUGGAAUACAGUAGCUAUAAUUCAAGAAUAAAAUAUGAAUGGGUUUGCAACAAUACUUAUAGUAGUGAUUUGUUUUCUUAUACUAACGGAUCUCACGAAGGUUUUAUUGAGUUUUGUGUGAUCAAAGUUUUCAAAUUUUGGGUGAUGUUACGAUGGAUGAAAGAAUAAGGAGGGAUGCCCAUGGCACCCCAAGCUAUUAUCCAAAGAGAAGCAAGCAACUAAGCUUGGGGAUGCCUGAGUGGCAUCCCCUCUUUCUUCCAACAAUCAUCGGUAUUUUACUCGGAACUAUAUUUUUAUUCGUCGCAUACUAUGAGUUUUGCUUGGAGUGUCUUGUAUGAUAUGAGUCUUUGCUUGUUUUUCCUUUUGUUUUAAGUCUUGAAUACUUGCUGGACACACCUAUUUGAGAGAUCUAAAAUUAUGCCAUGACUUGUUAGAAUUGCUCUCUAUGAUUCACUUAAAUCUUUAUGAGAUAUGGAAUUGCACUAGUGCUUCACUUAUAUCUUUUUUAGCAUGGUGUGCUUUAGUAUUUUUGAAGAAAUGCUCCCAUGCUUACCUUAGAUUUAUUUGAGAGUUAGUAAUUUUUAAGAAAUUCUCUCUUGCUCACUUAAAUUAAUUUGAGAGAAAGAAAUAUUAUGCUCAUGAUCUCUAAUUAUAUUUAUUUGAGCUUAUUAAAAGAGCAACAUAUAAAACCAGUCCCAAAGUGAUAGAUAUCCAAGGAGGAUAUAAUAAAAACUUUCAUGAAGAUCAUUGGACAAAAUAAUCUUGAUUCCUUGUAAUAGUUUUGAGACAUGAUGAUGUGAUAUGUGAGUCAUGUUGAUGAGUUAUCAUGAUUUAGUAAGAAUAUUGGUGUUAAGGUUUGUGAUUCCCUAUGCAAGAACGAAAGUCAAUAGUUAUGCAAUGAAAUUACAUCCUACUUGUGGUGCAUUAUUCGGUGUUAAUUAUGCUCAAUGCUCGCUUAUGAGAUUUUUCGUUUCUUGGUUGUUCGCUUCUCAAUCUUUUGCUAGCCUUCAUUUUGCAGUAAGUAUGAUCACUACUUGUGCAUCCAAAAUCCUUUAUACCAAUUUUGCCACACGAGUCCACCAUACCUACCUAUAUGCGGUAUUCUUUUGCCGUUCUAAGCAAAUUUGUAUGUGCCAUCUCUAAUUUUCAAAAUAAAAUUAUGUUUUGUGUUCUCAUAUCGCUCAUGAAAUGGUAGGGGGUGGCAAAUAUAUUUCCAUGCUAGAUAUGUUAUUCUCAAGAUGAGUGUUUAUUCACUUUUCAGUGCACGAGAGUAAGGCAAAGGUAUUAGGGAUGCCCAGUCCCAAAAUGAAAAAUGAACUUACUUUAUGUUGUCAAAUAAUAAAUUCCUUGGAAAGUGUUGGUAUGGAAGGCACUUGUGGAUAUGGCUAGCCAUGGAAAGUGAAAGUAUGGUUGAAAAAGGAAUAAACUUUAAUUUCUGUUUGGGAACCGCCUAUGAUAUAUCUAGCAUGGAAAGUAUUGGGAACUACUCAGUCGUUCUCGUUGACAGGAAAAGCAUGCUUCCCAAAAUGUUUUUAUCUCUAUCUUUUUCGCUUUGAGCUCUGGCACCUCUACAAAUCCGUACUUCCCUCUACGUAGGGCCUUUCUUUUACUUUAGGCAAUUUUUAUUUUUAAUUUGAGUCUCCAUCUUCUCUUAAAAAGCACCAACUAAGGGGCACUAUGAUCGUACUUGAGUAUUGGGUGUAGCUAAUAUGCGAGUAUGUUUCAUGAAUGGAUCAAUGACUGAGCAUAAUAGGCUAGGGAUAACUUAUUUUAGCGUUGGUAUUUUGAAAGACAUGGUUGCUUGUUGAUAUGCUUGAGUAUCUAAGUCUCAUGUCAAAACUAGACUAUUGCUUUGAACCAUAUAAAAGUCCAAAUGUCCAUGCUACAAAGAAAAGAAUAUGUGAUGAGUAUGUUAGGCAGCAUUCCACAUCAAAAAUUCUGUUUUUAUCAUUUACGCUUGUGGAUGCUGAUACGUCUCCAACGUAUCUAUAUAUUUUUAUUGUUCCAUGCUGUUAUAUUAUCAUUCUUAGAUGCCUUACAAUAAUUUUAUAGUCAUUUUAUAUCACUUUUUGGUACUAACCUAUUGACAUAGUGCCCAGUGCUAGUUGUUGUUUUCUGCAUGUUUUUUACAUCGCAAGAAAUCAAUAUCAAAAGGAGUCCAAACAUAGCGAAACUUUUUGUGGAUUUUUUUGGACCAAGAGACAUCCUGUGGGCCAAAGAAGUACCGAAGAGGGAGCUUGAGGUGAGCACAAGACACCAGGGCGCGCCUGGAGGCCGAGGCGUGCCCUGGUGGGUUGUGCCCACCUCGGUGGCCUCCCAAACCGCCUCUUUGCUCUAUAAAUACCCCAAUAUUCCAGAAACCCUAGGGAGUUGACGAAAAUCAAUUCCAGCCGCCGCAAGUUCCAAAACCACUAGAUCCAAUCUAGACACCAUCAUGGAGGGGUUCAUCAUGUCUAUUGGUGCCUCUCCGAUGAUGCGUGAGUAGUUCUUUGUAGACCUACGGGUCCUUAGUUAGUAGCUAGAUGGCUUCCUCUCUCUCUCUCUCUUUUGAUUCUCAAUACAAUGGUCUCUUGGAGAUCCAUAUGAUGUAAUUAUUUUUGCAGUGUGUUUGUUGGGAUCCGAUGAACUUUGAGUUUAUGAUCAGAUCUAUCUUUUUAUCCAUGAACGUUAUUUGAGUUUUAAUUGAUCUCUUAUAUGCACGAUUUCUUAUAGCCUCGUAUUUCUUCUCUGAUAUUUGGGUUUUGUUUGGCCAACUUUAUCUAUUUAUCUUGCAAUGGGAAGAGGUGCUUUGUGAUGGGUUCGAUCUUACGGUGCUUAAUCCCACUGACAGAAGGGGAACCGACACGUAUGUAUCAUUGCCAUUAAGGAUAACAAGAUGGGGUCUAUUUCUACAUAAAUAGAUCUUGUCUACAUCAUGUCAUCGUUCUUAUUGCAUUACUCCGUUUCUCCAUGAACUUAAUACACUAGAUGCAUGCUGGAUAGCGGUCGAUGUGUGGAGUAAUAGUAGUAGAUGCAGGCAGGAGUCGGUCUACUAAUCUUGGACGUGUUGCCUAUAUAAUGAUCAUUGCCUAGAUAUCAUCAUGAUUAUUUCAAGUUCUAUCAACUGCCCAAUAGUAAUUUGUUCACCCACCGUUUGCUAUUUUUCUUGAGAGAAGCCACUAGUGAAACCUACGGCCCCGGGUCUCUUCUUUAUUAUAUUUUCCUUCACGAUCUAUUUUUAUUUGCUUUCAUUUUCAGAUCUAUUAAACCAAAAAUACAAAAAAUACCUUGCCUCACUUUACUUUAUUUGGCGAUCUAUCAAUCAAUUUAUUACAACUUUCUCAUGUCCACUUGCCAAGUUCUGGCGCCGUUGCCCGAAAGGGAUUAACAACCCCUUUAAUACGUCGGGUUGUGAGUAUUUGUUAUUUGUGUGCAGGUGACGUUCAUGUAGUAUCGCGUGGUUCUCCUACUGGUUCGAUAACCUUUGUCUCAUCACUGAGGGAAAUACCUACCGUCGCUGUGUUGCAUCAUCCCUUCCUCUUUGGGGAAAUACCGACGUAGUUCAGGCAAACAUCAGGGCCCAAGGCCCACACACCAUCAAGCCCAUGCUCAUCCUCCUCCUGUUUCCUAUGUCAGCACCGCCAGGAGGAAUGGGACCGCGCUCAUCCACCAGAUCCUGUGACAACACCCAUCACGCCAGCCCCGACCACCGUUAGUGAAGAGGCACCGCCCCUGCGUCCCGGUUCUCCCUCUCCUUCCUCCUUUCCCACGGGAUAUCGACUAUGCUCCCGGCACGUGCCUUGGCUCACGCCUGGCUGCCAAGCGCUGGUCUGCUCCUCUGGCCCACUGUUGGAGCGCCGACCUGCUCCGAUGCCCCGUCGUCCCUACUGUCCAGCCAUCUCUCCAUCCCCCCCUUAGCAUCUGCCGCCGCCACCAUGCCCAUCAUCAGCCGACGCCACUGACUACCCUACCUGAUGUCGGCAUUGUUCCUAGACUUCAUGAACCGUCUCGGAGGACGUGUCGCAUCGCGGGGGUCACUCCGGUGGUCGUAGCUCUGCCAUGGGUGGCUUGUGCCGCCGAGACGAGCGCCCGAGAUCCUCUUUGUCCUGUGGGCGAGCGACGGAGGAAGGAGAUAGGUCUGCUAGGCGGGCCUCGCCUCCUCUAGGCCCCACCCAUCAAUCUCAGUCGCACCUGACAAGGGGGGCCCACCGCGGGUCAAAACCACUAUUGACCAAUGCCACGCCAACAACAAGUCGAGACAAACCACCUAGGGAGUUCGUUCAUCCGGUGUGGGUUUGUUUAGGGGGUGAAAGGAACAGAAAAAUAGAUGAGGGGGUAAUGUGAACCACCAACUUAAUUCAAGGUAGUAAAAUGGACUUCUUUCAAACUCAAAUACUUUAAAUUGUUUCCACAUUAAAAGAGUAAUGUUAAGUAGAAUGGUAAUCAUAAUUAUGACAAGUUUUAUAAAGAUAAUCAUCACUACUUUUUAUAACAUAAGUAUCAUCACAAUAAUCAUCAUAAGUAGCAACUUUUUCUCACCAUAAUCAUUCGAAACCUAUUUCAGAAUAGUGGAAUGUUUACUUAAUAAAUUCAUGACCUCUCGAAAUCCACUUUUAUCGUUAUAAUAAGAUUCAACUCCAAAAUUGUGGGAUAAUUAUUAUCUAAAUUAGAAACUCUUCCAAACCCACUUCCAUAAAUAUUGUAAUAAUCCUAAAUAGGAGGCAUGCAAUCACCAUAACAAAUUUGAUCAUUAAAAUUAGGGGGACUAAAAAGAACAUCUUCAUUAAGCAUAGUAUCCACAAGCUCGGGAUAAACAUUAUUUGCAGGAAAUAAAUUCUCAAGCAUGUCAUUCUCAUCAAUCAUAGCAUCCCCAAGCUUGUCGCUUUGCGUACCAUUAGCAUAAUCACUCUUAUCAUUAAUAGCAUGAAUAGCACCGAUAAUACAAUAAUUAUUAUCACCAUUAUUUUCCAAGUUGGUGCCAAAAAAAUUUACAAGAUUAUAAGAAGUAUCAUUAUCUUCCCAAUCAUAAUUAUCACAACAAGUAAUAGGCAUAAAAAAUCAUCCUCAAUCCUUCAGAAAUUGUGCCAUAAGACCAAAAAAAAUAUCAUGAUCAAGCGUAUCAUCUUCUACAAUUAUUUUUGAUUCAUUCUCAUGACACACAACAAUAAUAGGAGCAACAUUAUUCGGGAGAGAUACCUUUUUUCCUCUAUUUUUGUUCUUCUUUUCUUCUUCUUCACCACAUCAUGUGUGGGUUUAAUUAAUUUUUCUGGGCUCCUUAUUAAAGAGGUUGGUUGGAUAGGAAGUUCCUCCUCGUCACCUGAUUCAUCACGAGAAACAAUAGGAGGGUAUUGGACGGGAAAUCUUUACCCCUCCGUUAGUAUUUCUUUCAUAUUCUAUUGGUUUUCUCGUCUAUCUAUAAUUGGUGAUAUAAGCAUUCUCAUUGCAAUUUACCACACAAAACAUGUAGAUUUCCUGUAGAUUAGUUUUAGUAUAGUCCGUGAACAUCAUUCAAACCAAGUAUUUUUAUGUGUCAAUUCUUCACACCCCAAAAAUAGACAAAGUUCACUAUAAAGUUCAAGGGUGAUCAAGUUAUUAUAAUAUUUAGCCAUGAUUUGAGCAUGAAAAAGUAUGCAUUGGAAAUUAAGAUGACCAACGGUAUUGCAAAUUUCACAAGUAAUGGGAUAAAGAGAGCAUAAUUUUGUAGCAAACUCAUCUAUCGCUUCAAGCCACCAAUUGGUUUUAUCAUGUUUAUGCUUCUUACAAAAUCUAUCAUCCCUAUAAGGCACGUCUUCGCAAAAUUUAUGCACUCCUCAAAAAUUGACAUGGUUAUAAGAAAACUUUUUAUCAUGACUAGUGCAAUUAUCAUUAGAAUUAUGGAUAUUCCUAGAGAGAAUACUAACAACAUUGCAAUCAUGCUUAUCAUUCAAGAUUUUAUGCCAAACAUUUUAUUGAAUUCUUAUUCUAGCACUUUGGCACAAUUUUCGAUCCAUCAUUUUCAAGAAAGACAUCAUAAAGGUAAAGCAUUUGAUGCAACUUCACUUUCAUUUUUUGUAGUUUACUUCUAUAAACCAAACUAGUGAAAAACAAGAAACUAAAAAAUUCAAUUGCAAGAUCUAAAGAUAUAGCUUCAAGCACUCACCUCCCCAGCAACGACACCUCCCCAACAACGGCGCCAGAAAUAGGCUUGAUGUCUAUGUUGGGCCUCCAAGCCCAGAGUUUUGUAGGACAAUGAUACACUGGUACGGCGAGCUGCUAUACAAACGGUUUUAACCCCUUUCCGAGAUGACAUUCUGAACCGUCGCCAAGUGAGUGUGUGUGAUAGGGGGGUCCUUCCCACACGACCCAGAAACCGCCAGGGAUAGGCCCUUCGGUCACACACGCUGCGCAAAAUGAGAUCAUGUGCGAUGGACGAGCGAUCAAAUACAAUUAUACAGGCCCAAUUGGUUUCAGUCUUAAGUACAUCCCACACAGUCAAUCCCAGACAAACUUUUUUGUUUGUUAGAGCAUCCCCAGUAGGCGCAUAAAAGUUUUCCAUGCUAAAAUAGUUUUAGUGCACCACCGUAGCACUUUUAGUGUGCCAGAUGCAACAUCAGUUUAGUAGAUGCCCAAAAACACGCGCCCAAAAAAACACUUAGUGUAAAUUGUGAAGCGCACACAAUCCGGCAUCCCAAAUUUGCAACUUCUAAUAGUGUUUUUAGCGCGGUACCAAUCCUUUUUUGCGCAUGCACUAUUUUACAGCUUCUGCUAGAGUUGUCCGGCGCAAAAAAACCCCUGAAUUUUAGAGCGCAGAGCAGUUUUUGUGCGCCUGUUGGAGAUGCUCUUAUGUACAUUCCACAUAGUCAAUCCAAGGAAUACGUUUCCAUUCUUAUGUACAUCCCACACAAUCAAUCCAAGAAGUACGUUUCCGUUCAUAUGUACAUCCCACACAGUCAAUUUAGGGAAAACUUUUCUGUUCGUAUAUACAUCCCACACAGUUUUAUGUAUACCCUCGUGUGUGAUAGGUGUAACUAUCACACACACUCUGCCUUGGUUAACCAUUUGCUUUUAUUCAACUACAUCACACACGAUUUGAUGAAGAAAACUGUAUGGCAUUGGGCUAUCCAUCACAACCACUUUUACUGCUAGAGCACUUUGCAAAGUUCCAUGACCCAUUUAGCAGGUUUAUUAGUUUACAAUUAAUAAUCCCAGUAUUACGCAAAUUCACAUUUCAUAUCGAACAACUAUUUGCCAAUUUCAUAUCAGGCACAUAAAUAUAUUUUAGCAUCACAGUACAGUAGCUACGGAGUCCAAACGCAACAAAACUUUUUGUGGAUUUUUUGGGACCAGGAGACAUCCAGUGGGCCCAAGAAGUACCAAAGAGGGAGCCCGAUGUGAGCACAAGACACCAGGGCACGCCUGGAGGCCCAGGCGCACCCUGGUGGGCUGUGCCCACCUCGGUGGCCUCCCAAACCGCCUCUUUUCUCUAUAAAUACUCCAAUAUUCCAGAAACCCUAUGGGAGUCGAUGCAAAUCAAUUCCAGCCACCGCAAGUUCCAGAACCACCAGAUCCAAUCUAGACACCAUCACGGAGGGGUUCAUGAUGUCUAUUGGUGCCUCUCCAAUGAUGCGUGAGCAGUUCUUUGUAGACCUACGGGUCCGUAGUUAGUAGCUAGAUGGCUUCCUCUCUCUCUUUUUAUUCUCAAUACAAUGGUCUCCUGGAGAUCCAUAUGAUGUCACUCUUUUUGCGAUGUGUUUGUUGGGAUCCGAUGAACUUUGAGUUUAUGAUCAGAUCUAUCUUUUUAUCCAUGAAAGAUAUUUGAGUAUUCUUUGAUAUCGUAUAUGCAUGAUUUCUUAUAGCCUCGUAUUUAUUCUGUGAUAUUUGGGUUUUGUUUGGCCAACUUUAUCUAUUUAUCUUACAAUGGGAAGAGGUGCUCUGUAGUGGGUUCGAUCUUAUGGUGCUUGAUCCCAGUGACAGAAGGGGAACCGACACAUAUGUAUCAUUGCUACUAAAGGAUAAAAGGAUGGGGUCUAUCUCUACAUAGAUAGAUCUUGUCUACAUCAUUUCAUCGUUCUUAUUGCAUUACUCUAUUUCUCCAUGAACUUAAUACACUAGAUUCAUGCUGGAUAGCGGUCAAUGUGUGGAGUAAUAGUAGUAGAUGCAGGCAGGAGUCGGUCCUAAUCUUGGACGUGAUGCCUAUAUAAUGAUCAUUGCCUGGAUAUCGUCAUGAUUAUUUGAAGUUCUGUCAAUUGGCCAGCAGUAAUUUGUUCACCCGUUGUUUGCUAUUUUUCUUGAGAGAAGCUGAAAGGAUCGAGAAGAGGUGUCUAGAGGGGGGGGGGGGUGAAUAGACUCCUAACAAGGAAAAGUUGUAGUUUUUAUUUUGUUCAAGUUAAGGUAGAGUUUUAGCACAAGUGUAAACAUUCAGAAUACAUUCAAGCAAGCAUGGCAAGAGUAUAUGAGCAGCCGAAAGUAAAGCAUGCAAUUUGCAAGGAAGUAAAGGGAUGGGAUUGCAGUGUGCAAACGCAAUUUGAGACAUGGAUAUUUUGGCGUGGUUCCGAUAGGUGGUGCUAUCGUACAUCCACGUUGAUGGAUACUUCAACCCACGAAGGGUAAUGGUUGCGCGAGUUCAUGGAGGGCUCCACCCACGAAGGGUCCACGAAGAAGCAACAUUGUCUAUCCCACCAUGGCCAUCGGACACGAAGGACUUGCCUCACUAGGGUAGAUCUUCACAAAGUAGGCGAUCUCCUUGCCCGUACAAACUUCUUGGUUCAACUCCACAAUGUUGUUGGAGGCUCCCAAGUGACACCUAACCAAUCUAGGAGACACCACUCUACAAAAGGCAAUAGACGGUGUGUUGAGGAUGAACUCCUUGCUCUUGUGCUUCAAAUGAUAGUCUCCCCAACACUCAACUCUCUCUCACAAAUUUGGAUUUGGUGGAAAGAUGAUUUUAGUGGAAAGCAAGUUGGAGAAGGCUAGAGAUCAAGAUUUAUGUGGUUGGAGUGGAUUAUUUUGACCUCAACACAUGAGUAGGUGGUUCUCUCUUAGAAAAUGUAUGCUGGAAGUGUAGGCAUGUUCUGAUGGCUCUCCUCACUAAUGAAGAGUGGGUGGAGGGGUAUAUAUAGCCUCCACACAAAAUCUAACCAUUACACACAAAUCACCAAACUCAGUGGGACCGAAUCAGACAACUCGGUCUGACCGAUUUAGUUCAUAAUCUGACCAUUAGACAUUUCGGUGGGACCGAUGUGAUCAACUCGGUGGGACCGAUGUGCUAGGGUUAGGGUAAAACCUCAUCUUGGUUUGACCGAUUAGACAAACUCGGUGAGACCGAUUUUCGUAAUAAGCAAAAUAGGGAGUUAGUCAAGCAAACUCGGUGGGACCGAUUACAUAUCUCGGUGGGACCGAAAUUAUUGCAAUAGGUGAAAGAGAGUUUGCAAGCCCAUCUUGGCGGGACCGAGAUCCCAUCAGUGAGACCGAAUUGAUUAGGGUUUGUGGCAGUGGCUAUGUCAAGUGAACUCGGUGGCGCCGGAUGGAAAAUUUCGGUGGGGCCGAGUUGGACUUUUGGUUUGGGACAUAUGUAGAUAUGGGAAAGUGGUUGAGGGUUUUGGAGCAUAUCACUAAGCAUUUUGAGCAAGCAAUCCAUUAAGCAACACCUCAUCCCCUUUUAAUAGUAUUGGCUUUCCUAUGGACUCAAUGUGAUCUUGGAUCACUAAAAGCAAAAUGUAGAGUCUUGAGCUUUAGAGCUUGAGCCAAUCUUUUGUCCUUAGCAUCUUGAAAGGGUUCCAUAUCCUAUUGUCCAUGCCACUCCAUCUGUUGAACUUGUCUAAAAUAUACUAGAUGAAAACAUUAGUCCAAGAAGAGAUAUCUUGACAUUAAUUACCAAAACCACCCAGGGAGCACUUGUGCUUUCAAUCUUCCCCUUUUUGGUAACUAGGUGAUACCCCGCGCUUUGUUGCGGUAACGUUCCUAAAUAAAUGUAUAAAUAGCUGCUACAAAAUCAAGUAAAAUCAAUGCAAAGCAAAUGUAAUGUUUCCUCAAUUUAUUCAUUAAAAAAUAAAAACAUGAAGCAUGUAACGAAAUGGUGUAUACAAAGUGCAAAGAAAUAGUUAACGAAAUUUCAUUUUCUUUCAAAAAGGAAAACAUUAACUACAUACAUACUCCGACCAUUCAACACACUCGUCCAUGACAACUUUAAAAAACUGCCACACGUUAUCUUAAAUAAGGUAUUCAUCUGGAUAACAAAUUUGUAGCCAAUAAAAUGAAACUGACCAUGCAAGAAAGAGAACAAUACACAUAUUGUUAGUGCAUUAGCUGAUUUCUUAAGUGGGCUCACUGUAGGCCCAAACAAAAUAAUACCAAAGCAACAUGCAAGAUUUUUUUUUAUCAUACUGAUCAAUUCCCUGUUAACUCGUUCCGCACUAUUAUCAUUUUUGCCAACCAUCGCCCUCUUUUUCUAUGAUAGAAAAAGAUACUCUCAUAAGUAUCAUUGUUUUUUUGCAGGUGAGAAAUAUCAUUAUUGAUGGGAGAAAAUAUCUUUACAUGCAUUUGCGUGUGUAAGCAAAACAUCAAUCAACAACCAUACCUUCGAUUAUGAAAUUUAGUCAAUUUUGGAUGCACGCUCCAUAUCCCCAGCACAAAGCUAGUGUCCCAGUACCUGAAAGACAUGAAACAUGUAUGUUAUGAUUAGAGAAUCGACUCGACUUGCUCCAGGCAUAAAACUAAUAUGAAAAAUUUUAACUUCCAGAAAAUGGUGGAGUUAAAAUGUGAGAAGUCAAUAAAUAUAACAUGAUUUGAGGAGGGACGGUUGGUGGUUGAUAUGUUUGCAUGAAUAUUUCUUUUAUUGAUUUACAACACCAUGGAGGGAGAAAUUUGAUCUUCAUUAGCAUAUACUGUGAAUAUUUCCAUGCAUAUGUUGUUGAUUCCUGGAUGUGAAGAAAAUAAUAGGUGGCAUUAGUGACAAAAAGAUAUCAGUGGAUACAAAAGAUUUAUAUGGUGUGUGUAAUAAGUUGUUACCAAGGACAUAGAACUUUUCAAAUUUGGGUAGGAGAUCGAUAGGCAGCAUACAUACCAAAUAUUGCAGGAUAGUUGUGGAGACCACAAUUCAAGCGGAAGGAAUCCUAUAUGGUAAUGAAGUAGAGAACUGUUGUCAUGCCAACAUGUGACAAUAAAAGUAACAAACAAUAAACUAAAACAGUUGAUAAAAAUCUAGUCUGUUUGUUGAACACGUUAAUAUGAUUACCCAUGAAAAAGAGGAACACGUGUUGAUAUACAUAAACAUGCCAACUUAUAAUUCCUAGUUUAGAUAUAUCUGAAAAUUACAUGCCUCUAUAGAAUUGGUUGAAACAUUGCAGUAUUUAUCCUUAACAAACAGCCUGUAUAAAAACUUCACCCACCUUUUUUAGUAUAUGACAUUUUAGCAAAUAAUUGAUGUGCUUGCCAGCAAGCAAGACCUUGAAAAUCAAAAAGGCCACUUGGCAUCUUUUACCAAUCUGACGGAUACUUGGACAAUCUGAAGUUAUUAGAUGAAUAAAUAAACUGUAUUAUAGGGGGACUUCAACAUGGAGAAUCUGAAGAAUUAGCCAACCGCAAGUCUAAAUGAGAUAUGACAGAAUCUUAAGACCUGCAUGUUUUCACUCGAUCAAAAGGGGAUUCAGAUUUGCAGGAGCAUGUGUUAAAUCAACCAAAAUUUGGUAUUGUACGUCAGUUUGUGGCACCGGCAACCGGCGGAGGAGCGUCGGUCGUGGCGGCGGCUAAACGGGAGACUGGCCUGGAAGCGACCGGCGUGGCGGCGGCUGGACGCGGAGCGGAGUCGACGGCUGGUCUUGGGACUGGGCGGGGAGCACCGGUCGUGGCGGCGGCUGGACGGGGCAGCAUAAGGUGGAAUGGUCCAAAUCCCCACCAACGAUCAAAGAGCCCAGCCCACCUACAAAAGCUUGGCUCGGAUAGACAGGACACACGAAAUGUUAUUUUGCACUUAACGGUGGCAGCCCCCCGUAAAUUUCAUCACCUCCUGAUCAGACGGCUGUAGACUGUUGUGCCAUACUGGAUCAGUGGCUAGAAUAAUUCAGAUGACGUGGCUCGCUGUGGAUGCAGAGAAAUAAGGUAGUGGGGAUCCCCUAUUUAGAUAUAGUAGAUUGAUGACAACAUACAUCAAAGCUUUAGAUAAAGAUAUACAAAGAAUAACAAGUAAGCUUUGGAAAGACAUGUAACAUGCAUAGGCUCCCCCUACAUGUAUGCAAUCAUGUCAAUAUGAAAUGUAAGAGCAUGUGAAUGCAUAAUCAUUUCAGAGCAAGCAAUGUGUUACAUGUAUCUUGGCUAUAUGCAUCAGAGCAAAUGAUGUCAAUAUGGGAAUUGUAACUUCAGGUUCAUGAUUCCUUCUUGCAAACAGUAUGUACAUUAGCAAGAAAUCUUCAUGCACAUGAGUGUGAUGCAUAUACUUACCUUGUGGUCUUGAGCUGGCUUAGGAAGAGAUGAACAUGAGUAAACAAGGUUAGAUAACAUAGAUACAUCUACUAGACAGAGCAAACAAAAUAAGCCACAAGAGUACCAUGAUUGGGAUGACUUGUAGAGUGUGAGUACUGGGUACUCUAUUGGAUAUAGACAAGUCCCCAAAGGUAAAUAUAUGCAAUGAAUUCAAAGACUUCCUUCCCUAGUAGUCUUUCUCCCCCUGAAUCUUGUAUUGGAUAAUGGGAGAACAUAGGGAAACAAAAUCAGAGCAAAACAGAUCAUAAACAUAAACAUAACAUAGAGAUGUCUUUCCCCUCUUAAAGACAUGUGACUUCUCUCCUCUUGAACAACAAGCAUCUGGGGCCUUUGAUGUGAUUACCUCUCUCUCCCUUUUUCUUUGACUCCCCCUUUUGAAGAGAAUGAGCUUUGAUGUGAUCUCUCUCUCCCCCUUUGACAUCAGUUUCCAAGAAGGGGUCUUAUGGAGUGUGAGUCAAAAUAGGUUUGGUCCUUGUGUCACAGAGCAAAGCAGCAUAUAGAUUGUGAUGCUGGUAGAGGACAAGAAUCAUCGAGUGGAGCUGGAACAAAAAUGCAGGAACAAGUGGCAAAUUGUCUUUUCUGUAGUUAAAUCGGUGGCACCGAGUUGUGUUCUUCGGUUGCACCGAAAGGAUUUGAUUGGACCGAAAGUAGCACACUGGCGUGUCCGAGUUCAACACAGAAAAUGAGCAAUAGUCACCUCAGCUCACUAGGCAAAUAAGAUCUCACAAAGAUUUGCAAGGAAUUAACUGAAGGAUUUGCAAUGAAUUGGAUGCAGGGAAUGCAGAACAAAAACAAAACAAAAAUAAAAUCUAGAUGAAGUUUUUUUUGAUAAAGGAAGGGGAAUAAAUAUGCAAGGGACAAAUGCAAAGACUCAGAGAAACACUAGAGAACUUCAUCUAGAAUUGGGCGGUGACAAAGUCACCUAUGUUAGAGUAUAUUGACUAAGGAGUCAAGUGAGAACACUUGAUCGUAGGUCAUACUCAUUGUUUAAGCUCAAAAUGGGGUUACCAUUUAUCGUUCAAGCUUUUGAUGUAUCCACAUCUUGUUGGGUUGCUUUAACCCAUGAGUCGGGGUAAAGCUUCUCUAAGAUGGAAUAGCAUACCUUGGGUGGUGGUGUUGAACUUGAUCAUGUAGUUGAACUUGCGUGGGGUGCUCAAGGUUGAUCUGUAGUGCAUGAAUGGUUGGGAUCACCACUUGGAGUUGAGUUCAUCUACCUACGUGGGUUAGUCUGGCAGGGAAGAGCACUUGUGUAUCAAAAAUGACAAUCAUGAAAUUUGAUAUAUAGAAUUUGUCAAAGGAUAUGUUGAGGGGUUUCAUGCUUCCUUGUCUUCAACCACCAUUGUGUAGAGACUUGGUGAUGUAGAGAUUGCUCAAGAUGUGAGUGAGUUGAAAUCUCAUGGAUUUAGAUUCAUCCAAGUACCUACAAAGGGUUACAUAGCAUGCAAGAGUACAAAUGUAUCCAAGACAUAUGAUCAUCAUCAUAGGAGAAGAAGUCGAGGAUUAGUCAAAGACUUAUGCCAUGCAUGUAUCCAAAUGGAGUUUCUACUCCAAGUUUGAAGCAUCAAUGAUGUUCAAUUCACCUCUCAAACGGCAAAAUACUUUCUCAUCAAGAGGUUUGGUAAAUAUAUCUGCCAAUUGCUUAUCGGUACGAACAUGCUUAAGGUCAGUGUCCCCUUUAGCAACAUGAUCUCGAAUGAAAUGAUGACAAACUUCAAUAUGAUUAGUUCGAGAAUGUUGCAUGGGAUUGUGAGCAAUCUUAAUAGCACUUUCAUUGUCACAAAGCAAUGGAACAUGUUUCACCUAGAUCCCAUAAUCUUUAAGAGUUUGGGUCAUCCAAAGUAACUGAGCACAACAUGAACCGGCGGCAAUGUAUUCUGAUUCGGUGGUGGAUAAGGAUACCAAGUUUUGUUUCUUGGAGGACCAAGAUAGAAGAGAUCUACCAGGAAAUUGGCAAGUACCCAAAGUGGACUUUCUAUCAACCUUGUCUCCGGCGUAGUCUGAAUCAGAGUAGCCAACAAGAUCAAAAAAAGACCUCUUAGGAUACCAAAUGCUAAAAAUUGGUGUAUGUAUUAAGUAUCUCACUAUCAUUUUCACAACCGUAAGAUGACAUUCUUUGGGGGCUGCUUGAUAUCGUGCACACAUGCACACACUUAACAUGAUAUCGGGAUGGGAUGCACAUAGAUAUAACAAUGAACCAAUCAUAGAGCGAUAACCUUUUGGUUAACCGGUUUGCCAUCCUUGGUCAAGUCAAGAUGUCCACUAGUAGGCAUGGGAGUUUUCAUACCUUUGCCUUCUUGCAUGUUGAACUUCUUGAAUAAGUCCUUGGUAUACUUUGUUUGAGAAACAAAGGUGCCUUCCUUAGUUUGCUUGAUUUGCAAACCAAGAAAGAACUUGAGUUCACUCAUCAUAGACAUCUCAAACUGCUCCGACAUUAGCUUUCCAAACUUUUCACUAAAAUGAGGGUUAGUCGAACCAAAUAUAAUAUCAUCAACAUAAAUUUGGCACACAAAUAAUUCACCAUUAACCCUUUUAGUAAAAAGACUAGAAUCAAUCUUUCCAAUCUGAAAACCUUUUUCAAUAAGGAACUUGGUCAAGCAUUUAUACCAUGCUCUAGGACCUUGUUUAAGACCAUAAAGAGCUUUGUGAAGUUUGUAAACAUGAUCGGGUUUCUUAGGAUUAACAAAGCCGGGAGGUUGCUUAACAUAAACUUCCUGCUCUAUUUCACCAUUUAGAAAAGCACUUAUAAUAUCCAUUUGGUACAAUGUGAUAUCACAGUGAUUAGCAUAGGCAAGUAAGAUGCGAAUGGACUCAAGUCUAGCAACGGGGGCAUAUGUAUCACCAUAGUCCAUACCUUCGACUCGAGUGUAGCCUUGGGCGACGAGACGAGCUUUGUUGCACGACUUGACCAUCUUCGUCUUGCUUGUUGCGAAACACCCAUUUGGUACCGAUGAUGUUGUGGUUGUUCUCGGGCUUCUCGACCAAUGUCCACACUUGAUUUCUCUCAAAGUUGUGUAGCUCUUCACGCAUAGCAUUUAUCUAAUCCGGUUCUUCCAAUGCUUCUUAAACCUUCAUAGGUUCAAUGCUAGAAAUGAAUGAAUAAUGUUCACAAAAAAUAGCCAAACGAGUUUUAGAGCGAGUGAUUCUCCCGGUUUGGAUAUCAUUGAAGAUUUGUUCGACGAGAUGGUCUCUUGAAACUCUUGCUCGAACUCAUGGGAGCUUUUGUUUGGGUCAGGGUGGAGCAUGUUCUUCAUCAUCUCAUUCUUCUUCUUGGCCUUCUUCAUUGUUGACGCUGUCUUUCUCUCGUCGUGGUGGAGAAGGAGGUCGAUGAGGUUCAUCUUGGUGCACUUCCUCGUUUUAUUCAUCUUGGCGUGUCCCACUUGUGGAUGCUUCCAUGUCAACUCUUGGUUCACCUUGUCAUGAGGUAGACGCUUCCACUUGGACGGAUGAGGUACUCUCCUUCACCUCUGUUGGACGAAUCUUGCCAAUAGACAAGUCUUGGAUUGCUUCUGAAGGUUCUUUGUCUCCUACAUCAAUUGGCAAUUUCUCUACUUGCAAGCCGUUAGAUUCAUCAAACUUCACAUCUACCGUCUCUUCAACCUUUCAGGUGAAAUUGUUGUAGACACGGUAAGUGUGAGAGUUUGAGCCAUAACCAAGUAGGAAACCCUCAUGAUAUUUAGUAGCAAAUUUAGAACAAUGAUGCUUGUCAAGAAUGUAACACUUUGAGCCAAAUACUCGAAAGUAUCCAACUUGGGGUUUGUUACCGGUGAGGAGCUCAUAUGCCAUCUUGCCGAGUAGCUUGUGAGGAUACAAGCAAUUUGUUGCAUGACAAGCCGUCUCAACCGCUUCCGCCAAAAAGUGUUUUGGAGUCUUGUACUCAUCAAACAUCAUUCUUUCCAUCUUGAUAAGAGUUCGGUUCUUGCUCUCAACAACUCCAUUUUGUUGAGGCAUGUAUGUAGCUGAGAACUCGUGUGACAUCCCUUCUUCGUCAAGAAAGGUAUCCACAUUUGCAUUCUUGAACUCCGUUCUGUUGUCGCUGUGAACCUUCUUAAUCUUCACUUCAAAUUGAUUUUGGGCCUUCCUAGCGAAGUUCUUGAAGAUCUUUUGGACCUGCGAUUUGUCAUCAAGAAAGAACACCCACAUAAAUCUUGAAAAAUCAUCGACUAUAGCUAGACCAAAUGAGUUUCCACCAAGACUUUUGUAGGCAUUGGGACCAAAGAGAUCCAUAUGAAGUAGCUCGAGCAGUCUCCUCAUGGUCAUGAUGUUCUUCAUGGGGUGACUUCCUCCGACUUGUUUUCCUACUUGACAAGCACUGCACAAUCUAUCCUUGUCAAAUAUAACAUCUUUUACUCCAAGGAUGUGAUCACCUUUAAUAAGCUUAUCAAGAUUUCGCAUGCCCACAUGACCUAACCUUCUAUGCCACAACCAACCUUUUGAGGAUUUAGCAAUUAGGCAAGUUCUAGGUUGAGCCUUUCUAGUGAAAUCAACAAUAUAUAGAUCACCUCUACGUGUACCGGUAAAGACCAUUUUAUGAUUAUCUCUACGAAACACUUGGCAAUCUACUUCAGUAAAUAGGACAUUGAAACCAAAGUCAGCAAGUCUAGAUACAGAAAGUAAAUUGUAGCCAAGAGAUGCAACGAGCAUAACAUUUGUAUAGAGCUAUCAUGUGAGAUGGCCACCUUACCAAGGCCAACCACCUUACCCUUUGAGUUAUCACCAAAAGUGACAUACUUCCGAGGGCCGUCGUUCUCAGCAAGUGUCGGUGUACAAAAGUAGGGGCUCUCCUUUUUCACCCCUUAACUUGUGCACGUGCAGUCAUAGCCGCGCCCAUGGCCACACUAAGUAGGGCAGGGGAGGGAUGCCAAAGCAAUGCCAAGACCAGAGACGCAAAGAGAUCAAGAGGGCGAGGUGGACUCCCCCGUCAAGACUCUUGCCGGGGUGGCUUCCGCAGCCUUGGCAAGAUCCUUGCUGAGGAAACUUUCUUGACACCAGCAGAGCACGCCAUCCUCGAGCCUAAGGGGUUCCUAUGCCAUAUUGGAAUCAAGGCUCGGGAUAGCCUCCAUGGUGGCAUGCAAAUCUUUGUAGAGAUCAUAGACACGCAAGAUCAUAUGGAAACCAGAAGAUGACGAUCCUUGGCGAGAUCUUUGCCAUGGAAAUCCAUGAGACCCCCAGCAAGGUCCUUGCCGGGGAUGACGUGGUGCCAUAGCGAGACCCUUGCCGAGCCCUCGGCAAGACCCUUGUUGUCGGUGUCAAAACCGGCGGGUCUCGUGUAGGGGGUCACGAACUGUGCAUCUAAGGCGGAUGGUAACAGGAAAAAAUACACUUCCGUGAUGAUACAUGUUUGUCACAGUAGGUCGCGUUUUUGUCAUGCAUGUACAUCCAUGACAAAUUUAUGACAGAAUCAAGAUAGUCAUACAUAUGCUGUUGUAGAAGUGUUCCAUGACAUUAACAAAAUUAUCAUCACGAAAGUGUCCACUUCCAUGACGAUAAAUCACGCGUCACAAAAGUGCUUUCAUCAAGGGUGACCGACACGUGGCAUCCACCGUUAUGGAACGCCGUUAAGCUAUCGGGUCGGGUUUUGGAUCCAAUAACCCGUUAACAGCCCCGACCAAUGAGGAUUUUCCACGUGUAAAAUCAUCAUUGGCUGGAGGAAACACGUGUCGGCUCAUCGUCGAGACAGAUGUCAUCCACUCAUUGGACAGAAGGCGCCUAUGAUACGUUGACACGUGGCACGGCCCAACAGAGGCCCAUUCCUGUGAAAAGGCCGGCCCGUUUGACUUGGUCAAAAGGUGGCGGGCCGGCCCAUGGAAAGCCUGUUAACGGCCUAUUCGCAUAUAGCCCAUUUACAGCCCGCUAACCCAAGGCCCGUUACGCCCUAUCCGAAUUAGGCCCAGUAGCGUCAUCUGGGCCAUCCAAUAUGAUUCCAGCCCAUUUUCACUUCUGGCCCAUGUAUGGCCCAUGACGUCUUUUGGCCCAUAUGAGGCCCUAUGUAACUCUUGGCCUAUUAACGACUCGUGGUGAAACCGGCCCAUAAUGAACAGUGUAUCACUUUACACCCAUUAACGGCCCGUGGUGAAACUGGCCCGUAAUGAACAGUGUAUCACUUUAUACCCAUUAACGACCCGUUAUUCCGUUGGGCCAUCUCCAACCCAUGUUAUCUUUCGGCCUUCUCAGAGCCCAUUUAUUCUUGGGCUCCUUUCCAGCAUUCGUUUACUUACGGUUGUUACUGUCAUUUUUUGCUUGUGGGCCAAAUUCAGCCCGUGGUUACAGUCGGCCCGUUUGUGGUCCGUUAAUACGUUGGGCCGUUUUCAUAGCGUCAUCAAAUACGGCCUAUUAACGAUGACCCGUUAUGGUCGGCCCAUGAACGGACGAUUCCAACUCUACCCUGUUUACGGCCAGAAUGCGGUCUGUUUGGCCCAUGUUUGGCCAAUCAAUCAUAUGACCCGUAUAAGGCCCAUUGAUGAUACAACCCAUAGAAGGCCCAAUGACGAUACGGCCCGUAGAAGGCCCAUUGUUUCUACGGCCCGUAGAAGGCCCACUGUUUCUAUGGCCCGUAGAAGGCCCACUGUUUAUACGGCCCGUAGAAGGCCCACUAUUUCUACGGCCCGUAGGAGGCCCAGUGUCACUACAGUAAAUAUUAGCCCGUGGUUAUUGUGGCCUAGUUUUAAAAAAUAGGUUAUUGCAGCCACUAGCAAACCGCAGAAAAAGAACUGCACUGACUACAAGCAAACAAAUAAACAAGACAACAAGGAAAUAAAUAAGCAAGCAACUUACACUGGGCUAUCACGGCUAUUACACAUAUUACAUCCACUGGGCACCGAGUUCGCCACCAGUGCAAAUAUAGGGAACACAACAGCAUAUAAACGCCGCAACAAAACAAGUCCAGAACUGAAACCACUUCAGAAGAGCUCAAUAAACAAUAUCCUGGGUACCCAUAAUACUGGCAAGAUGCUUAGCAAGCUUAUUAACUUUCUCUUGUUUGGCGCUUAAGUCCUCCAGCGCUUGCUGUUGCACCAGAAAGUAUGCAUCUGAAUUCUGCAGGGACUUCCUCAGUCUUUCAUCUUCCUGUCUCAUAACUUCUGAUCGAUGUCUUUCAACUUGAAGUUGAGAGUCAAGAAGCCGAACUGAUUCAGGCAAUGAGUUCGAAGAGCUGGUGCCAGCAGUGGUAGCCAGUAACUCGAACACUACAUCAAGAUAGGACUUUGGGGUUGUCUCAGUGUCUUCAAUAUAGUUUUUAUCAGCUUUCUUGGAGACCAACAGGGAUGUCUCACUAUCUUGAACCUUAUCUGCAUUCCUUCCUUUACCAUUGCAUAACAGGGUACUCUUCUCCAAUAUUUUAUCCGCGUUCUAAAAGAGAAACAAAGAAACACAUCUCAGGUUUACAAUGUAGUAUAUGAAACUCAUUUUGGUAAACCAAUUUAGUAGUAAGGUGGACAGGAUAAUAGCAUGAAACAAACAUAUAUCUAUGUAGUAUGGUCACUAUAUUGUCGAUAUCAUUCUAGUUUAUUUUGCCAAAUCAAGAUAGAUACAGUUCGAAUCAUAUCUAUUUAAGACAAAGCAGCAUAGACAGAAUAUAAGUGUGGGAAACUACACAGCAAUAACAACACUUGUAAUGUGCAUGGCAUGAGAAGAUAACUGUUUAUUCAAUUGAAACUAAAAUCAACAUAGAGCAAGUUACAACAGCAAACAACCAAACACAUUGAAGAAAUAGGUUUAAAACAUACCUGUUGCGCCAUUGGAGUUUCAAUUGCAUCCUUCAAAUUUGAAAUUAGUUGGUAUCAGUAAAUACAGUGAUGCAAGAGCAAAGUACUAUGAACCAUAGCUACGGAACCUGACCUGAGAACAAUUCUUCUUCUGCUUUAAGCGUUGACUUCGGGUUCGGAGUGGUGGUCCUCGUGAUUUGGGCAUUGUAGUUGCCUUACUAACUGCUCGUGUUUGGGUGCUCUGUGGUGGAGACGGUGCUGUGUCAACGGGAACUGGGUGUCUAUCUGCUGGGGUUGGGGUUAGAAGGGGUGUAGCUGGUUCUCUGUCCAACUGGGUAGGGGUACAAUCUGCAUGAGUGUGGGUUAUGUGUGGUGGGGCUAGUUCUUGGGCAAGUACAACCGUGGUUCUAUCUGCAUCGACAGGUAGCACAAUCUUUUCUGAAGACCAUGUUUUUACUCCCACAGAUACUGCCAUCACCCCCUCCAAUUGAAAUGGCUGAUAAACAAGAAAAGUAAUUGAACGUACAGACAUUGUAAGAUAGACAGGUGCAAUGGAUAGUAGGGAAGAAAACAGGGCAUGAAGUAAUUCACAUUUAUGUUGUCUAAGAAAACAGAAUAGCAGGACAUAAUUUCACAUAUAUGAUGGCUAAUUAAAUAGGAUAGCAUGACACAAUUUCACGUGUAUGAUGGCUAACUAAAUAGGAUAGAAUGACAUACUUAAAAAUAUGAUGACUAUGUAAACAGGAUGACAUGAUAUAACUAUACGAUGUGUCUAUUAAAGUGGUUGGCAUGCCAUAAAUCACAAACAUGCCGUUGAUGGAAACAUGAUGGCCUGAUAUAAUUCACGGAUAGAAUGACAUAAUUUAAAUAUGAUGACUAUGUAAAUAGGAUGAGAUGAUAUAACUAUAUUAUGUCUUUAGAAAAUGGGCUGGCAUGCCAUAAUUCAGAUACAUGCUAUCUAUGUAAACAUCAUGGCAUGACAUAAUUCAAAUAUAUGAUUUAUAUACUAAGGAAGUGAGCAGAGGGCAAUCGCAUAUAUGAUGUGUCAACUAAGGAGAUGGCAUUCAAUAUUGUGUAUAUGAUGUAAAAACUAAGCAUUGCAAUACAACAUAUGCAUUAUAUGAGUAAUAUAACCCUGCCAAGUUUGAGCAUACACCUCAGGGGGAUAAUAGGACUGGUCAUCUGCCUCUGAAUCCUCCUCUGAAGAGCUAUCUGUAACCAGUAAGAUAUCUGCUUCAGCAGGUAGCAUUGUCUGCUCUUGAGACCUUGUUUUCACUCCAGAUUUCUCCAUCACUAAUUCAAAUGGCUGAUGCACAAGAAGAGCAGUUGAAUAUACAAACAUUGUCAACAAAAGCAAUGAGAAAUACAAAAAAAGGACAGCAUGAUAUAAUUCACAUAUAUGACGCUUGCCUAAACAGCAUGGCAUUGCAUAAUUCACAUACAUAAUGCCUUGCAACAAGAUAACAUUGCAUAAUUCACAUAUAUAAUGUCUUGCAACAAGAUGGCGUUGCAUAAUUCACAUAUAUGGUAAUUAGACACUAAACAGGUGGCAUUCACACAAAGCAUGUCUAAACUAAGCAAAUGCCAUAGCAAUGCAAGAUACCAUACGCACGAUAUGAGCAACAUAACCCUGCCAAGUUAGGGCAUGCNNNNNNNNNNNNNNNNNNNNNNNNNNNNNNNNNNNNNNNNNNNNNNNNNNNNNNNNNNNNNNNNNNNNNNNNNNNNNNNNNNNNNNNNNNNNNNNNNNNNNNNNNNNNNNNNNNNNNNNNNNNNNNNNNNNNNNNNNNNNNNNNNNNNNNNNNNNNNNNNNNNNNNNNNNNNNNNNNNNNNNNNNNNNNNNNNNGUAACCAGCAAGACAUGCACUUCGUCAGAUAGCAUUGUCUGCUCUGAAGACCUUGUUUCCACUCCAGAUUUUUCCAUGACCGUGCCAAAUGGCUGAUGCACAGGAAGAGUAAUUGAAUGUACUAACAUUGUUGACAAAUUUAACACGUAAUAAAAAAAUGAUGGCAUGAUAUAAUUCACAUAUAAGAUGACUGGCUAACCAGGGUGGCAUUGAAAAAUUCACAUAUAUGAUGUAUGGCUAGACAAGAUGGCAUUGCAUGAUUCACAUAUACGAUAAAGAAACUAAACAGAUGGCAUUGACACAAAGCAUGUCUAAACUAAGCAGAUGCCAUCUUUAAUGUAUACAGUAAGCAAUGCAAGGCACCAUAUGCAUGAUAUUACCAACAUCAGCAUGCCAAGUUAGAGCGAAGACCUCAUGGGGUAAAUAGGAGUGGUCUUCUCCUUCUGAAUCCCCCUCAUAACAGUUAUCUUCCUCUUGAUUACAAUCCGAAAUGGGUGGAGCGGGGCUGCCUUUGCGGCCACCAUGGAACGACGUCUGCAUGAAAUUUUAUUGCCAUGCAAGGCUCGUCUCUUUUGCUCUACAUGAUCAGUUCCAUUGUGUACAAUAACUGGCAUGCAUAGGAAUAAAACAUAGUGAGAUUAUGUAAGGAGUGCAUGCACAAAUCCAGAGUGAUGAUAGCAAACCAAUGAUAGCAGGCAGAUAAUAGCUUUAGUUAAAAAAUACAGAUAAUGGCUCCUUUAAUGUUUGUUUUGCACCCAACAUGAAACUCAGAGUAGACACCGGAGAUUAAACAGAUAGUAGACAAAUAGUACUAAUUGCUGCCCCAAUAUGUACCCCACAACCAUUUAAAAACUCAAGUUUCAUCAUUAGUUUGGACCUGACUCGGAGUCUAAUAGGUGAACACGCCGAUAAUGUAGCUUGUCAUCAUAUUAAGCGACGCAUAACGUAAGCAGACACGGAAGAGUGAGACCUCUCUUGCGGACCCGUGUAGUCCUCAAGGUCAUCUGCUCAGUUGAUGAUGGUAAUGUAGUUGCCAUGGCUGCCGGCUGCGAGGAAGAAGAUCUGAGGCGGCGAAAGACAGUCUGGAGAGUGGAUCCAUGCUGUGGUGAACCCUUCCAUCGUUGGAGCAGCUGAGUUGGGGUGGAACACAGCGCCGCAGGAGCAGGACAAACCACACAAGGUUUUGUUUGACACAUAUCUGUAACAGAAGUAAUUGAGUAAGGGCUUGUUUGAAUUUGAGGAUUCUAACAAUGCAGGGAUAGGAAAUAGACAGGAAUAGGAUAGGAAUGCACGUGCAAAACAGAGAAUUUAAAAACACAGGAUUUCUGCCAAUCUGGGUGUUUGAUUCACAACAAUUGGAAGAUCACAGGAUGCAAAAAAGCAUGGUGAGAUUAAGUCAAACCACAAGAAAAUGUAUGGUUAUAAUGCUAUUAUGCUACUAUCUCUUAGUCUUGUGCUUGAUGAAUAGGAAUAUGAAAAGGAGGAGAAGUGGAAAUUAGAAUUCCUACGGUUUUUCUUUCAAGGAGACACUAAAGGAACAAAUCCUACAGUUUUCCUUUGCUCCAUUCCUUUGCACCAAAUUCAUGAAAAGUAGUACCAUAGGAAACUUUCCAAUUCCGAUGUUUUUCAUUCACUUUUCCUUUCAAGCACUGGCGAUUCUAGUAGGCAGGCUUGAGCAAGGAAAAUCCUACACUAAAAAAAUGUUUCUGUGCUACUUCUAUUACUUUGGACCUAGGCCACUGCCAUACUAGCUCAACUCCCAGGCCCAUCGACAAAUGCACAACUCAAACGCGCAGAGAUAAAUAAUGAUGGCAUUCAAGAGAGUCCAUCACAGAUAGCUAAGUUGCCUGGUACCUCACUGCUUGUCAUAUACUAGGAUAAAAUAAUCGUAUUUCCCGUUACUAUGAGUGCUCAGUGGACAAUAUAUACAUAUAUAUAUAUAUAUAACAUGUAGAGUAAAAAAGAGAUGCAACAAGUGUACAACCUCUUUGGCGAAGCCAUGUCAAUCUCAGCGUGAUUGGGUUGGCCGGUGAGGAUCCUCCGGCUGACUUGGCUGUCGGAGGAGGGGAAGAAGAUCUUAGGCAUCUGGAGAUAGAGCCCGAGGUACUGCUCCGCUGUGAUGGAGGGUUUCGUCGUUGGAGCAGCUCCGGUGAGUUGUACGACGCCGAGGCUGAAGCAGGACAAGAGAGACAACGAACAACGUUAACCUGAGUGGAAUUCUAAUAGAAUCUCCAAUACAUGACAUAAAAUACAUAACCACAAAGUGCUAUAUGUAAAAUACAUCAGCCACUCAUCUCUGAACUUAGCUGUCGAAACUGAAUUUAACUGUCGAAACUGAACUUAACUGUCAAAACUGAAUUUUGCUGUCGAAACUGAAUUUUGCCGUCGAAACUGAACGCACUAGCAAGGUGAGGCUACACAUCGGUCGACUGACUUUUUCAUCUCUGGUCAGUCGAUUUUGCAACCGUUGGAUAAGAAAUCAAGGGCCUGCGGUUCAUCUUCAACCUCCACCCCCCUGAGCCGGCAAAAUAGCAGCCCCCCGCCGCCCGCGGUCGGCGGUGCACCGCCCCGCCCACCCCGAAAACAAUCCCCACCGUCGGUCCGCCGCCGCCCCGGCCAUCCCUCUAGGCCCCCCGUGCCGAGCUUUUUCUCCGGUGAUCCCCACGCCACUGCCCCGCCAACGCCGGCGACCACCGCCCCCAUCCUGAACCCUAAGAUAGAUAGCGGGGUACCUCUCCGGCGAGCCCCCCUCCCUGCUGCGGCUGGUUCUUCCUUCACCCCGGUGGCAUCGGAGUGAAGUGUAGCUAAAUCGGAGCAGCAUCGCAAGCAAGAGCAAGAGCGAGAGCAUCAGCGCGAGCAAGAGCAAUAGCAAGAGCAGACCAGGCAGGGGACCAAGAGCAAGAGCAGAGCAGCAGAACGAGCGAGAGCUAAAGCAGCAGAAGGUCCUACUGAUGUGGACGUCGCUGCCGAGGGAGCGACGCGGUGGAGGAAGUGGCCGGCGAUGCCGCCGUGGAUGGAGCCGCGCCGUGUCGGCUCGGGACCGAGCGCCAGCAGCACCGUGAGAUCGAAUCAAGAAGAAAAUGUGGCGAUUAGUGUACAACCUCUUUGGUGGCGCCGAUUAGGCCGCAGCUUCAUCCGAGGAAAUGGUGAUGAUGAUGCUCUUCUGGUGGUGCAGGUGAAGACGGCGGUGUGGGAAUGGAGGUGGCGCGAAAGACGAGGGGAACGUCGGGGCAGCUCCUUGGUGGUGGAGGACGGGGUGGCUGAACCGGCGGGAUGAUGAAAUCGAUGACGGAUCCUCAUCCGGUAUGGUGGAUGAUGGGCAUCGAGGUACUGCUGUGGAUGACAUCGUUGGGGAAGAGGCUCCGGCUGGGUGGCGGACGAAGCAGGGUGUGGGGUUUCGUCGCGGGUUUUCACGGCCUCGGUGUAUGAAUGGGUGGGCGGAUGGGAUGGCAGUGGGGAACCAUGGCUUAGAGACGCGCUUGUCCGAAAUGUGGGGUAAGUUACGAAAGUACCCCCACCGAUUUGAAGUGGUUCUUUCGGUUCAGGGGUACCACGGGCAUUUCACGUGUCGGGAUUUCACAGGAGGUGGGAGUUUUCGCGUGCGUUGUAAUUUUGGAAUAGCAAUGUGCGGGUUGAGAUGGAGGGAGUUGUCGGAGCACAACGAGACAAAGAUAUAUCUUAAAUAUUUCGGGCUAACAAGGCGCGGGUUGAGGAGGCGGGAGUUUCGCAGCACGAUAGACAGAGACGCUAGCUUGAAUUUUCGGCAUAACAAGGUGCGGGUUUGAAAUUUCGGAAGAACAAGCUUAACGUGUACCAAAAAAGACAAUUUGCACCUCAACACGCACAACACACACACAAACACCAUUUAGACUAGAGUAAGGUACACGUGCAUUGCACGCAUGAGAUUUGGCAACCAAAUUAUGAAUAAAUACCACAUUAUAGCAUGCAAGCUUUGAGUCAUAUAUGCAUGAUGUAGAUGUUCGUUUAAUUCUUAUAGUUCAUUUCAUUCAAAAUCGUCUAGUUUUUAUAAGAAAGCUAAUCUAUUUUAAGAUUCAUGGAAUUGUGCGUCGUAAGACAUAAAGUAAAAACAAAUAAUGGCAAAUCAUGUAGAAAAACAUUUGGGCAAUUUUGAUACGGAAGAUUCUAGAACAAAUAAGAAGUGCUUGUGUUUUGAUGUUUGUGCAUUAUGCUUAAGUUCAACCAUGGAGUCUUCUAGAUUAUACAUGUGGCGAAAUCUGGUGGAAUCUAGAUGAUAUCCAACGGCCAGUAGUGCUCAUAUUUGCCAUCUUUGGACCAUCGGAUUCGCCUCAUCCAACGACCAUCUUUCAAAGUUAAAGUUACCCGCACACAAUAAAAAAAAAUUAUAAAAUAUAAUAUAUAUAGGGGUAAUAUAGAUAUGUGAUGCAAAAGCCGCCCAUCAUCUCCAAUUAGAAUAGUGUGUCCAUGCACGGAUGCGGCGUGGCCAAAUGAUGUCUGCCAUCGGUAUCUCAAAUUCAAAUCAGUCUAACCUUGUUCAAUGUGUAUACAUUACAACAUGCUCGUUUCCAAACCACACCACGCAGAUCUCCGUUAUAUUCAUGCAUGCAUGGGUUUCAAACAUCAGGAUCUCUUAUUCAAAUAUUUGAAUUCAACUUUACAUUGAUUGUGACCUCACCUAUUUAGCUAUUCUUUUACACCCACAUGGUAGUCUUCUCUUUAUUAUUGUACCACUAACUUUCUCUCAUGCAUGCAUGCACACACACUACCAGUCGACAUUAUCCAUCGCACGCAUGCAAUCUUUUUCUUCAGGUCGGUCUCCCAUGAAGGCACACACCAACACACAUCCCCCUCUCCAUCAUAUCGGGCAUUCCUUAUCUCUCACGCGUGCAUGCGCAACGAUCGAUGUUCCUCUAUGUAUGUGUGUAUAUAGCUAGGUAUUUCAUAGUUUUCCACACAAACUGAUCAAUCGAUAUAUCCAGUGAGGUCUCACCCUCUUUCCCACGUCCACAUCGAUCAAUCUAUACCUCUCUAUAUAGGAUUAACAUAUAUAGCUAAUACACCCACAUUAAUUAUGUAUCCGACGUCCCCCUCUCAUCAUCCAUGCCUUCCGCUUCAUCUCUCAGACGCGUGCACAAUGGCGAAGACAGGGGGUGGUAAGGGCCCUGCCCCCUCCCCCCCUAACAUCACUAUAUAUCAAGGCUAAUAUGAAUAUGAUCAUUAGACAAUUGCUGCUAAAUUUUUUUUAAGUUCAUGAAUUGACCCUCCUCGUAAAGGAUUAGCAAUGCUUGACCCCCUAGCUCAUUUAUUUUUCAUGGCUCCGCCACUGCGCGCAACAACGCACGUGUUUGCCCCCUGUCUCUAAAUAUCGAUCUCGCACUUGUGCAUUCCUUCAUAGUCUCCCUCCACUCGGCCCCUCGCACCAUCUUCUAGCCCCCACCGGAUUUUGCCACAUGUACAAUCUAGCAGACUCCAUGGUUGAACUUAAGCAUAAUGCACAAACCUCAAAACAACAGUCGUUCUCUUUUGUUCUAGAAUCUUCCGUAUCAUAACUGCCCAAACUUUUUUUCUAGUUGAUUUGCCAUUAUUUGUUUUUACUUUAUGCUUUACAAUGCACAAUUCCAUGAAUCAUAAAAUAGAUUAAGGGCUUCUUUGAUUCAAAAGAUUCUCAAAGGAAUUUUGGAGGAUUCUAAUCAUUAGUAAUUUUUCAUAUCUUGGUUGUUUGAUUCGUAGGAUUGUAAACCAUAGGAAUUUUUCCAUAUGAUUCAUUUGCACUAGAUUUCAUAGGAAACAUCCCAUCCACUCAAACCUCUUUGAAAGAAUUCUGUGUUUUUCUAUGCACAAUCAAACACUCAUACAAUCAUGUAGGAUUCAAGAUGACAUUCCACUAUAAUCCCAUGUUUUUACUAUUCCUGCGUUCUUAGCUUUUUUAUAAAAGCUAAUUGAUUUUGAAUGAGAUGAACUAUAAGAAUUAAAUGAAGGGCUACAUCAGGCAUAUAUGACUCAGAGCUUACAUGCUAUAGUGUGGUAUUUAUUCAUAAUUUUGUUGAAAAAUGUGAUGUGUGCAAUGCACGUGUACCUUACUAGUACUUUGAGUAUGUGCAAAACACGUAAAUUAGAAUACCAAUGGCACGCUACACAGUGUCUCUCUUACAGUUCAUGAAGCCACAUGGCACAUGUGUAGGCGUUGUCGCGACCUCCUUGAGUGGAUUGAUCAUAGUGACAUGCUGCUGGUUCCAGAAGAAUGUACUCGUCCUCCCUGAGCCAUACUGGGGGUACAUGCACGAACCGAAGAUGUGCACGCAUGCCAUGCACACACUCAUUCCUCGCACGCACACGCGGGUACACAGGCAGAUGCAAUUUUGUACCAAGAUCCACCCCAUGUGAUAAUUUGACGCGUGUAAAGUCGUUCACUUCAUUGAUGGUCAAUUAAUACAGCGCAUGCAAAUUGAGUGGACGUGAGGGCGGAAGAAAGACAUUAUUACUCCACUGCACGCAUGCGAGUAGUUAAAUCGUGGGUUGCUAGUAGUACUUCCAUUGUCUCCUUCGUAUUUUGUGCCAAUUUUUGACAGUAACAUAAUAUUUACGCAUUUGAGGAGUGUAGUACUUGAAAUUUAUGUUCCGCUAAACUCAUCGGGAGCCAUUUCGGGCCUCGAAACCAAAACCAUCAAUUAAUCUUUACAUUGUUCCCAUCACAUUCGAAAGCCUGCUCACACCUACUAGUAGUACGUACCAAACCUGAACGUGUUCCCACUAUGCAGGUAUUAGUACUAGUGCUAGUACUUAGGUUAUAAAAAGGGGAACUACCUAACUGAAAAUCACUCUACCUUUCCUCCUGAUAAGUGCUUCUUCUUCGUCCGUCGUUGACAUGGCCGGUGAGCAGAGCUCUAGGUCAAGAACUACUCGUAACAAGGGAGCCGCAACCAAGGCUGCAGAAAAAAGAGAGGGCUCUCUGCCACGCAGAGACCUCGAAAGAUCUCUCACGGGCAGGCGAUGGCUCCCAGGAGCGCCCUAGCCGCGGAGGCGAACAUGCCGAGCUGGCGGAGCUGGAGUCGUUAUCCCUCGACGGCAUGCCCGAUCAGCUCAAUAAGCAGAAGGAGUUCAUCCAAGGCUUGCUGGAGUUGCUGAAGGAGAGCCUCGACGACAUGCCCGCUCAGCUUAAUCAGCAGGGGGAGUUGACCGCCGGCUUGGUGAUGCUGCUGAAGAAGAGCAUUGCGUCGGAGAAGAAGGCGACCGGCGAAAUCCUGCGACUCCGGGAGGACAAUGCGAAGCUCUGCCACGAGAUCGACCUGUUGAAGGAGAAGAACGCCGGCUGGAAGAAGCUGCAUGAGAAUAGUAGUUCGUCGAUGAAGAUGCUGUAGGCCCUCGCCAUGGAACAGAAGGAAGAGUUGGAGAAGCUCCGCAUCGAGCACCCGACUGCUGUCAAGGUAUGUAAUAUGGCCAUGGAACAGAUGAUGAAGGCUCGCGUCGAGAAAUGCCGCGUCAUGGACACAAUGAUGAAGAUGGCAGAGGAGACGCGCAAGGAGAUGGAGGUCGUGGAGGCGAUGAAGAAGCAGUUACGACUCCACAGCGAAUUAGAUCAUUUGGGGUGAUAAUCUUCCUUCUUCUUUUGCUCCUGUGUUUCAUCUUUUGCUUCGGGUGUUUCACCGCACGUGGCACGUUCUCUGCGAGGCAUGAAUAGAACAAUGUUUUUUGAGGGAAUGAAUAGAACAAUGCUAACAAUGAGAUGACUAGCAAAUUAGAUCAUUUUUUAUCGCCAUAUGGCACUGGGCUGCCAUGUUUCGUGCUCCUCCGUCGCAGUACUACUCUAGUGGAAAACUUGAGUAUACCGCAUGGUUCUAUGCUCCUCCUCGAUCAGGUCGUCGGCGCAUUUCUGUGAGCAGUCAAAUCACAAGGCCCCGCCUUCCAGCAGUAAUGAGCUAUCAAAUCAGAAAGGACCUCACCUCUCGUGAAACCGACCAAGCUAGAUUGCCCCGCCCUCUAGCCUUUUAAAAAAUGUAUACUUUUGUACAACAGUAGUAUCGAUGGAUUGCGCCAUGGAGCAAAACUUGAAAUUAAAAAAAAGGUGGUACAUAUAGAGAGCGCUCGUCGCCAAAUUAUGCAUAUAGUACUAUUAAAAAGGCUAGUCACAAUAAUGGUGUCCAGCACAACCCACCCCUCAAAUAAAACUAAGAGGGUGCGUGGAUACGUUUUAGUCCCAUGACUAAAAGUAGUGGGACUAAAACAUGCUAGCCUCACCCAUGCUUGGAUCCAAAUACUAAAAAGGCUAAAAUCAAGUUAAUGAGCAUUUAUUAUCCUCCAAACCCUCCAAUCCAGAACUCGAUGUGUUAAAGGAGAGGAGUUAAAUGAGUAGAGAGAGGACUAAUCCACAUUUUAGUAGGGGUGCCCCUGACUAAAAAAUUUUAGUCUCAAGACUAGUUUUAGCCUCUCUUUAGUCAGGAGUGCUUGGAACUUUAGCCUCUUAAAGAGACUAUUUUUAGUCAGACUAAAAUAAGUCCCUUGGAUCCAAGCACCCUCUAAGCAUCUUGGAAUUCUUUAACAAAACUAAGCACCCUGAAAUUCUUUGACAACUAAACUGCUAGCUAUAUGAUGUUGGCCAUAUAUAUUGUACGUAUACAAUGUGAAGAAACGAGUGGUAGUACUAUACCAACUAAAAGAUGAAAUGUAAGAAAUACUAGUAUGUACGUACUGAAGAGUUAAAGUAACGAGAAGAAACAUAACAUAGUUCUGCUGGGGGCUCAGCACAACACACCCCUCAAAUUAAAUUAAGCACACCUGAAAUUAAAAUUUGCAACUAUUCCGGUAGACAUUGCAUUAGAACCACCAUGAGCAAUGACACUGCCACCUUACUCGGAGUCAUUGUCCAUGUCCUCGACUUCGUCCUUGUCCCUCUUCCUCUUGGCCGAUACUUCUUUGCUUGGACCACACACUUGGCUAUUGCUCUUCAUCCAACCCUUGUAGAUAUUGAAGCAAAGGUAGCCAUCCAUUGCAGCGUAGUGGAUGUGGUCUAUAUCUAGUACAUUCCGGUGCCAUGCAUGACGAUGAAACGUGUAAUGAGGUUUAUCCAGUUUACCGUACGAAGGAUGAACCAUGGCUCCUGCCAGGGUCAGCAUUGAAGGCUGAGGAGAGGACACCAGCCAAUUCUUCUAGAGGUCAAAGGUGUUGCCUACAACGAGGCCUAUCCGACGCAGGACUUCUUUGUCGUUACCAAAGUCUAUAGUAACGAAUUUCACUGUUUUGUCCUUGAGGAAGUUCUUAAAAUCCUGGCACUCAAUGUCGGCAUGGCAUAUGUGGUAGACCAAGAAAACAUUAUGUAUGUAAACCUGGAUCACGGCGGGCUUCUUCCUUUCUUUGUCCUUUAGAUCAUUCUCUCAUCUCAGGACUAUGGUGUACUCAACAUCUAGCCCAGUGACCCACUCAUCAUCUGAGUUUUCGAACAUGCGUCUGAAGCGAGAAAGCCAUCCUUUCACCGUCACGGAAGAACGGGUGUAGAUGACAUUGAACUCAUCGCCGGUGAUGGUUCUAACCUUGUACUCACCGCCGAUCGUGGAUAUUUGGGACGCCAUGGAUUUGGGAGGAGGGUUAGGAUUAGUGGAACUGCCGUAAUGUGAAUGGACGGGACGACUAGGAGCGAACCGCCGUAGUAUUGAAGGACAUGCGGGGACGAGUAGGAGCGAACUGCCAGCGUGCGAACGGCAGGGUAGUGGCUUUCCAUUCUCCCAUGAUACGGGCUUCCGAGAGCACUUGGAUCUGAGAUCGAACGGUUGCAUGGCGUGAUUCUAGACCUAUGGGUGAAUAUCCUAUCCUGGAGGGUUAUUCUGCAAAUUUUCAGCAACUUAGCAUGAGACCGUUUGAUCUCAGAUCCAAGGGCUGCCAGCAGCCCAUAUCAUGGUCGCGCCUACCACGACCGUCGUGUCGCUCACACGGUCGCGCCGUUGGAGAUUUAACAUGGUGCAUUAGGCUAUCUGAUGUUGGCAUGUCAUACAUAGUCAUCACUUAGUCACUCAUACUACAACAAGGUUGGCUAUAAGUGUAUUUUUAGUCCUCUCUAUCUCUUUCUUCGUAUUCAAGGAAGAAACGGUGCUAAGCGCGUGUAUUUAUUGCAUUUCCCAAGGAGUGACCUCUUCCAAUGAAAUGGUGUUGCUAAGUUUGCUUCAUUUAAUUAGCUAUAGACUCAAAAUUGUCUUUUCACCUAGGUACACGCGCUUAGCACCAUUUCUUCCUUGGGUCACCAAACUAGUCUCUCUCUUCUUGAUUAACUUGCCACAUCAGACUUUAUGCCUAUGUGGCAAGCUUAAGCACCUGUAGGAGCAAGUAAAAGUAAGUACAAUAGUGCGCUUUACAUGGCAUUUUUGCAUAUGUGGAGGAAAGAGAGGCAAGGAAAAAAAUGGAGAAGUGGGCUCUCAUGCAAGAGCCAGCCUCUACUUCAUGGUGGAGCAUUGGGAGAGGCACCUGUAUGGAGGUGGUCAGGAAUCUGGGAGACUCACGCCGGUCGUAGCGCCGCAGUUAAAAUGAUAAUGGCAAGUCAAAUCACGGGGCCCCACCUGUCCAGCAGUAACUCGCUGUCAAAUCACACAGCCGUACGUUUGCAGCAGCCUACUCCCUCGUCUUCUCGCGUCUCUGUCGAACCGACUAGGCGGAACUGCCCCGCCGCCUACUGCGCAGGAAAAGCCCCGCCCUCGACUUUUAAAUAGUAUAUAGUAUACUAAUUUUGUAUCCAUGGAUUGCGCCCGCGCCAUGGAGCAAAGCGUCUAGAAAAUGGAGGAGAGACGGUGGCCUUGCAAUAGAGAAGAGGGAGGGGUGAGACAAUGGUUUUGGAAUGGAGAUGAUGGAUAGGAGAGGAGGUGGUUUUGCAAUGGAGAGGAGGGAGAGGAGCGUGCGACAGCGAUUUAGGAUUGGACGAGAGGGCCGGCGCACUCUGACUGGAUCAAAAUCAAAAUCAAUUUAACCCUUCAAUUAAGAAAGCGACCCCACAUUAACUAGUCUCCCUUUUAUUCUGGUCAUAAUUGACCAUGAUUUUCGCACAUAAAAUAUAUGUUAUACAUUGUAUACAAGGCCACUAUCAAAAUUACAAUUUGCAACUAUACAAGGCCACUAACAUUAAUCGAGGCAAAAUUGACGGCGUUUGCUUCAUACUAGCACCCGAGGACAAUAAUAUCCCUUGUGUGCAUGCGGGAGUGAGAAGGUUAGCUUGCAUUCCCAACAUUAAUCAACCAAUGAGGAGUAAGAGGGUUGGCUUGUUGUGCUUGGGAGAGAAAAACCACAUUAAUUAACACGACAAUCAAGGUGACAAGCUAGCUUGCAACGUUGACUUAAACAUAGCAUAUAUUUGUACCUUGGUACCUGUAAUAUGAGUUUGUGGCCUUGUAUAAAAAAAUGGAGGGAGUACAAUUUGAAAGUACAUUCAGAUACAAACCAAACGAUACAAUUUUUGGUGACAUGCAUUCACAUUUUGCUUGUCAAAUACAGUACGUGGUCAAACUUUGACCCAAAAUAUGCGAAACAACAAAAAAAUACUUCCAAGACCAGCGCCGCUCUUCCGCUCUUCUCCUCUUAAACCACCGCCGCUCCUCUCCUGUUCCAAUCUAAAUGCAGCGCCGCUCCUCUCCUCUUCCAUUUCAAAACCACCGCCCCUCCUCUCCUGUUCCAGUCCAAAACCAGCGUCGCUCCUCUCCCGUUCUAAUCCAAAACCAGCACUGCUCCUCUCCUCUUCCAUUCAAAUACCACCACCGGUGAGUGAAGGUGCUGUGGUGAAGUAGAUCGAUGGAGGAGUACAACCGAUAUGUGAGGAUUGCAGACGGCGACCCUGUGAAGCUAGCUAGGAUGUUGGAGAUACAGUCUUGGUUUGACAACAAGGACCAACUAGCGGCGACGGCGACAUCCAUGGCUAAAUAUCUGCAACAGAGCGAAAAGGCGGCGAUAUUCCCGGAGGGAGUUGCGCCGGAGUACAUAGAGCUGCUCCUGUGGGCCAUGGAGCAAACAGAUUCACCGAAUCUGAUUGUGAGGGAGCGGUGGUGGGAGUAUCGAUCCCAAAUGGAGCAUCCACUAGAGAUUGAAGGAUCGAGCAUCUACAGGGUGCCGUUUGUGAGGGUGUCCUGCCAGAGCGAGCCGGUGGAGUCUUCGUCGACCGAACCCAACUGUAAGAGGUGAAAAGCAGUUGGGCCGACAACGCUUCCCCGCCAUCGUCUCCCUCGCCGUUUACAUCGUCUCAUGGGGCGGAUGUCUGCCGCCGAGGAAUAGGAGGGGGCUACCCCCCAGCCCAAUAGUCGGUCAAGUUGUGAAUUGUCAGGAGGAGGUUAGGGUUGUCAGUUUUGCAGGUUGUGAAUUGUGUUUUGUGUUGUGUAUUUUGAGAGUACUUUCAGAUAUGAAUGUCUUUUGAAUUUCAGAUUUGCAGUAUUGAGCAUAUAAAGUAUUUUAUGAAUUCUAGAGAUAUAUUUUUAGCACUUAAAAAAAUGUAGUUUCAUAGGAGUAUAAAAGUGCAGACAAUGUGAUUCUCACAGAAGAAACUGCAAGUUUCAGUUUCAGAUAAGAAACUGCAAGUUCAGUUUCAGAUAAGAAACUACAACUUUCAGAGGCAGAGCAUUUAUAUUAACACGACCUUUUCAAACAGGGUUAACAUCAUGUUGGAAGUUUUAUUCAUGGUCGAAAAUGGAACUACCAGGCAGUUAACAUCAUGCUGAUCAACAUUCAUGCAUAGCACAUCUUCAUAUGAUGCACAGUCAAAAUGCCCACACAAUGUCGAGUGUGCGAAACACAGAGAAAACGAGGGACGAAGUUUUGGCAAGUGUUAGACGUGGUUUUGGGCUGCCCCGUCUAGGCUUUCAUUUUUAACAUGCGUAGCCCACAACCUCGGAUGGGAGGUCCAUAGGCCUGUUUGUAUUUUCUUAGGGUCGUCAUGUAUUGACCGGCCUAUGGACCUCCCAUCCGAGGUUUUAUUUUUGGCAGCCCAAUUUAUGUAUUUUUUAAAGAAAACGCAGAGGUCUGUUAUAUUUUUAUAUAUAAGAAUAGGAACACCAGGUCCAACUUAUGUUUCCCUUCUAACUAUAUUAUAUAUAUUUAAAUUAUUUUAUAAGUUGACUACUUAGUUCACAUACUCCCUCCUUUUCGGUUUAUAGGGAUUAUCUGAAAAUUUUAGUUUUUCCAUUUUAUAAGGCUCAGUUUGGUUGUUUUCCAUCACAUGUUCAGAUUCCAAGGUGCAUUAAAUCAUUGCAUGCAAGUAUUAAGAGAAAAUUGACCAAUGCAUGUACUUUAUGCAUGCAUGCAUUGCAAUUUAUGCAUUGAUAAACAUAAUUUUUUGAGGAAAACAAGUGCAUUAAUUAGGUGCUUUUGCAAACUACAAAAAGUAUUCCACCAUUCAUCAUCUACCUUGGUUGGUGAGAUUUUUGAAUUGAGACCUAUAAACAGAAAAGGAGGGAGUAAUUGGCAAAUAGAUCUUGCUGCCACCCCUAGGCUCCUGACUCCGGGCGCGCCUGCCCCCCUCAGCAAGUCCGCUCGUGCGCCCCAUGGAGUCGCCGGCCAUAUCCACGAGGGAAUGACUGGAAGACAGGCAGAUGUACAAGAUGCAUCUCCCACAUGUCUACAAAGCCUUCCCGCGGAUGCUCCAGCCGCUCGACUUCGUCGCGCCGGCGGUGCUGCGGGAGACUCGAGGGAGGAGAUGGAAGGAGCGGGAGAUGCGGAUCCGCGACGACGCUCUCUCCUGGACCCAGUGCAUGCGCGAAUGGAGGGAAGCAGAGGAGGAAGCUGCGAGGGAGGAAGCCGAGGAGGGACCGAAUCUGUUCUCUCACUCGCGCAGGUAUGCUCGGAUGUGCAAGGAUCAUGUGGAUUCGGAGCUGCUGAAUCUAGCCCUGCGGAUCUACUUCGAAGAAGAUUUCUCGGAGAAGCACAGGAUGCCCCACCCCAGUGAGCCGCUGAUUGCGUUCGUUCGAUGGGCGAAAGGAGAAGUGAAUUUAGGAGAUCCACGCCGUGCUGCGAGAUGGGAAUGCUUGACUGGACCCCUGCCCACCAGCAUGCCACCGGAGCCGGAGCAGGUGGAUCCCCUACCUUACCUCUCCCCCAAACCUGCAAAAGAUUGAAAUUAGCCUUGCAAUCUGCUUCAAUUGAGUUGUCUGGUGGUUAUUUCUGCUUCCUGAGAGACAACAUCUGGCUGGAGGAUGAGAAGGAACCAGGAACUCCGAUGAAUUUCCCCUAUCACAAUGGGGGGAGCGCUGGUUGGGCAGUGGUACGGCCAACCUCCGCCCCAAAUGGGGGCACAAUCUGAGCAGGCUCCUGUAAUUGCCCAAGAUCAAUCUGCUGGUGGUUCUGACUCUCAGAUCAGUGGGAAAUCUCAAGGCAAGAAUCAACAAAAGAACAAAUAGGACAUCCAGAAAACUGCUCCUGCCCUUGCUUCGGGCCUUAUGGCAUACUCAGAGGUGAUCUGCUACAACUAUGGGGAACCAGGGCAUCAUUUGGAUAAAUGUGUCAAGCCCAAGAGUUGUUUUAUCUGCAAAAUGGUUACCCAUAAAGUUGAGAAUUGCCCUGUUAGAAGGAAAAUCCACAGUUCUGCUAGAUAUGUUGGAAGUGCUGCUCCAGGAUUAUGUCCACCAUUGACAGAAUUUUCUAUGACACAUAAUUAUAUAGUUUCUUUCCCCUUUCUAUUUGUAGAGCUCUGCCCAGAUGUGGUAGUGACCACACUCCUUUGCUCUGGGACUCUGGUCUUAACCAAACUCCAAAGAGCAAUAGUUUUAAAUUUGAAAAGUGGUGGUUGCUCAGAGAAGAUUUUACUGAGCUAGUCAGGAAAAUCUGGAAUGAGCCUACUGGGAGCAGCUUCCCCCUAGAAAAUUGGUAGAUCAAAAUCAGGAGAUUUAGAAGAACCACCAAAGGGUGGAACUGCAAUGAGGAAGCUAAUCUUAGAAGAUACAAAAGGCUUCUCCUCGUUGAGUUUGAUUCGCUAGAUAUUAAGGCAGAAACCACUGACCUCUCUGAGGCUGAGACUAAUAGAUUAAACUUUGUCCAUGGAGAGCUCAAGAAAAUUUGGCUUCAAGAAGAAAUCAAAGCCAAACAAAGGUCUAGAGAUAGGAACAUUAAGGAGGGUGAUAGAAAUACUCCUUACUUCCAUGCAGUAGCUAACCAGAGGAGGAGGGAAACCCUCAUUCACUCCCUUGAUGGCCCUAAUGGCCCUGUUACUGAGGUAGAUGAGAUGCUGAAAGUGGCUAGUGACUUCUACAAAGACCUGUUUAAGAAACAAAACCCUUCUGGGUUCUCUCUACAAAACAUUUUUUUCUCUGGUUCUGGAAAAGUCUCUCGUGCUGAAAAUGAGCUGCUAGAAGCCCCUUUUUCAGAGACAGAGGUGAAGGAAGCCAUGUUUAGCUCUUAUCCUAAUGGGUCUCUUGGUCCUGAUCGGAUUCCCUUCUUGUUUUACAAGCAUUUUUGGAACUUGGUGAAAAAUGAUCUCUUAGAUCUUUUCCAAGCCUUUCAUAGAGGAGAGUUGGAUCCAGCAACUUACUCAUGGGGGGUCUGUUGGGGUCAAGUUAAAUAACUGUGAAAGUGAUUUUUUCCUUGCUAGUAAAGGCCUUAGGCAAGGUGACUCUAUCUCCCCGCUUUUGUUUAAUUUAGUAGUGGACGUUCUUACUAAAAUGCUGAGCAAAGCUGCUGAUCAUAGUCUAAUUGCAGGGCUCUGUCCUGAGGUCUGCCCUAGUGGCAUCAUCUGCCUUCAAUAUGCAGACUCCACACAUGCUAGCAAUCUAAAAACUGUUCUAACCUGAUUUGAACAAGUCUCAGGCAUGAGAAUCAACUACUCUAAAAGUGAACUCAUCCCUAUCAACAUGGAUGAUCAGGAGUUAGCUGACUUCCUCUGUAUUCUAGUCUGUAAUAAAGGUAAGUUCCCCAUUAAGUACCUAGGUAUCCCUCUCCACUAUGAUAAACUGAGGAGAGAGGAUAUCCAACCCUUCUGGAUAAAAUCAUUAAAAGGAUUGCUGGGUGGAGGGGCAAACUUCUCUCUUACAGAGGUAGAUUGAUCCUCAUACAAGCUUGUUUGGCUAGCAUUCCAGUGUAUCUCCUCUCCUUCUUCAAGUUCCCUAAAUGGGUAGUGAACCUCAUCAAUCCUUAGAUGUCUCAUUGCUUGUGGAAUGAUUUUGAGGGAAAUAGGAAGCUACACCUUGCUAAUUGGGCCCUAGUCUCUAUGAAAAAAGAUUUUGGAGGCCUAGGCAUACCUAACCUCCAAGAAAUUAACAUCUGUCUUCUAGGGUCUUGGAUUAAAAGAUUCUACGAGGAAGACCUGAAACCCUGGAAGCUUCUUAUUGCCCAUAAAUACCUAGGAAAUAAACCUAAUAUUUUUGUACCUUCCUCCAACCCUAAGACCUCUAGAUUCUGGAAAGGAUUAAAAUCUAUUAUGCAUGCUGUGAACUUUGGCUACAGAUGGAGCAUAGGGGAUGGGAGCAGAACCAGGUUCUAGGAAGAUACUUGGUUUGGCACAUCCCCCCUAGCAGUCCAAUUUUGGCCUAUUUACUCUGUCCACAAUGAGCUUAACAAAAGUGUCAAUGAAGUUUGGGACGGUCAAUGCCUAAAACUCUCUUUUAGAAGUAACUUUAGUGAUAGUCUCAUGGAACAAUGGUUCCAGUUGGAGGAAAUUGCCAAAAGCAUUACCUUUACUGCCGAGCUGGAUGCCCUGAUUUGGCAGCUGGACAAUAAGGGGAAGUAUUCCUCCAGCUCCCUCUAUCAUGUUAUCAACUUUAGAGGGGUUCAACCCGUGUUUAUCCCUGCUGUCUGGAAAUUGAGAGUUCCCCCUAAAAUUCAUGUAUUUCUCUGGCUUCUCUCCAAAAACAAAUUGAUGACUAGGGAUAACCUUAGGAAGAGACACAUCAUCAAACCCCUUGAUUGUGUUUACUGCUUGGAACAAGAGUCUUGUUCUCACCUAUUUUUUGAAUGAAUAGUUGCUAAACAUCUCUGGGGCCACAUUGAGGAAUAUUUCUCUAGUCAGAUUGGCUCAUUCUUCGAAUCUGUCGCCAGAUUCUGGAUUGCUACCAAAAAGUGCUCAGUUUUAAACACUGUUAGCUCAGCUGUCCUUUGGUGCCUCUGGAAAUAUAGAAAUGCUAUGAUUUUCAGUAACACCUCCUGGAUUUCCAUUCCGCAGGUCUUGAAGUUGAUUAGGAACAUGGUGAGGAACUGGGCGAUUCUCUCCUCCGGAUCGGACAAGGACAAGUUGACGAGCUUCGUGGAAACCCUAACAAGAUCCCUCCAGAAACCGUUGGCGAUCACUUGUGGCUGAACAAGGCUCGACCUGCUCUGGGGCUGGACCCGUGGGCUCGUCUCAAGAUCUCUGAUGAAGAUGAUGGGCUCCCGGUGCCGAAAAAGAGGGACAUCCACCAUGCUAUGCCUUCCAGCCCGGUGUCUCCGCUUGCUUACUGGUCGCCGCAAGCUGACACAGCCCCUCAGCUGAAGACCAUGAAGGCUUCGCUGGACCCUCCUUGUGUCAUUUGAGUGCUCUAUCCGCUCUGCCUUUGGCACCGCUCGGGUGAUUUAUGUUAUUCAGAGAACUUGUUCAUCCACCCCUCUAGUUUGUAGCUUUUCUACCUUUGCUUUCGAACUGCUCUUUGAGAUGUUGUAUCAGAAUAUGUUGUGGUUUCGUUCUCAGCAAUGGAACCGGGGAGAUGCUCCCCGUUUUUAUAAAAAAUAUAUUUUAUAUGUUAUUAUAUAUUAUUUUUAUUGUCAUCAUAUAUUUAACAGAUACUUACAUAUGUAAGAAAACAAUAUCCCACAUCUUAUUAACUUAUAAAAAUAAUUUCUUAACAAAUAAAAUCCUGGAUUGUUUUGGCACGAAAAUCCUAGUGGUUGUGUACAAAAGCUUGGUAAGAUUUAAGGAUGAAUGUAAUAAUAUCACUUAUUAUUUAAAUAUAUUUAUAACAAAAUGCUCAGCCCCUUUUUAUUUUUUGAUAACAUUGCUGGCCCAACCCAACAUUAUAAUUAGAAUCAGCCCAGCAAAAUCGUGUAUUUCGAGAAAGUGCAAAUGGCCUGUAAUUUUUUAGGAAAUAAAAUAAACGGGCCGCAUGGAUGCUACAUUAUUUGUUCACCCAGCCCAGCUAAUGGCUGUAAUUAAAAAAAGAUCAAAUUGACUAUAAAUUCUACCGCGCAAAAGAAGACUGUAAAUUCUGAAAAAAUGGGUUGAAUACAUGCCACAUUUUUGGAGGCUGAAAUGUGGGCCAAUAGGUCGAAGCCAAUGCAAGUCGUUGUCAAUUUAGUCAACAAAUGAUUCUGACAUGUUAGCCGUUGGAUUUACAUCCAACGACCGGCAUCCUUCUUCAAUCUCUCGUCUUCUUCCUCUAGCGUCACCGGGACCACCUCCCGCCUCCUGCUGCUAGCAGCUCUGCUUAGCGUGCUUUGCUAUGAAGCGCUACUCCACCGUUGGCCAGGCCAUCCCUCCACCACUCCACACCUCCUGUUCUUCUCCACCGACCGCCGAACCACACCGCACUAGAACCAGCUAACCCUCGUACACCUCUCUGUCUGCGACUCUACUCCCGCGUCUUCCCAUCUCCGUCUCGUUGUUGUCCGGGGCCUCGUUGUCGUCCACCACCUUGGAGGCGCUCGGCACAGCGUGGUCAACGUGGUCAACGAACGACACCAUUGGAACUAGACUGUGCGUGGAGAGGCUGACAGCUGGGUCCACAGCCGCACACAAGGAAAUGCCUCCUUAUUACGCGCAAAAUAAUGAUUCCUCCUCCUGACAUCUGGGACCCACCGGAAGGGCCUUUGUAUUUCGUGAAAUAAAGUGCCCCCUGCUGACAUGUCGGACCCACCAGCUAUCUUCGCACGCAAGGAAGUGCCUCCUUAUUAUGCACAAAAAAUGAAUAUUGCCCCUGCCAGCUGGAACCCAGCAUCGUGGGAGGCUGACUUGUGGGCCUACCAAGUUGAUGGGACGGAGGGCUUUGUCAACUUAGUCAAUAUGAACGAUUCUAGCUCCUUUUACCGUACGAUGUUCAUCCAAUGGCCGUAGUGCUUCUUCAACCUCUGGUCUUCUUGCUCCAGCCGCCCAAACCAGUGCCGGUCGUGCUGCGUGCUCCUAUCUCCCGUUGCCAGCUGUGAUGCCGCGGAGACCUCACCGCCCCCUACUACUCCCACCGCUGGCCAGGCCAUCCCUCUACUCACCUGACACCGCAGUCGAACCAGUGAACCCUUGUACUCCUCUUCGCGUGGGCAUCCACUGUUGCGUCUUCCCCGGCUCCGAGUCGUUCCCUUCCUAGUCCUCGCCGUCGUCCACCGCCCUGGUGCUCUCGGCGUGGUGUGGUCAACGACCGACUUCCAUCCGAAUAGUACUGUACGUGGAGAGGCUGACAGCUGGGUCCACGACAGCCGCAAGGAAGUUCCUCCUUAUUACGCGGAAAAUAAUUAUUCCUCCACCUAACAGCGGGUGCUACAUCUUGAGCUUGCGUUGGUUUUCCCCGAAGAGGAAGUCAGAGUAGCGCAAGUAUUUCCCUCAAUUUUUGAGAACCAAGGUAUCAAUCCAGUAGGAGGCCACGCUCAAGUCCCUGGUACCUGCACAAAACGAUAGCUACUCACAACCAACGCGAUUAGGGGUUGUCAAUCCCUUCACGGUCACUUACGAGAGUGAGAUCUGAUAGAUAUAAUAUUUUUGGUAUUUUAAAGAUGCAAAGUAAAAAAGUAAAAGCAAAGUAAAAGGCAAAGCAAGAUUAAAGUGAUGGAGAUUGAUAUGAUGAGAAUAGACCCGGGGGCCAUAUGUUUCACUAGUGGCUUCUCUCAAGAGCAUAAGUAUUCUACGGUGGGUGAAAUAAUUACUGUUGAGCAAUUGACAGAAUUGAGCAUAGUUAUGAGAAUAUCUAGGCAUGAUCAUGUAUAUAGGCAUCACGUCCGUGACAAGUAGACCGAAAUGAUUCUGCAUCUACUACUAUUACUCCACUCAUCGACCGCUAUCCAGCAUGCAUCUAGAGUAUUAAGUUAAAAACAGAGUAAUGCCUUAAGCAAGAUGACAUGAUGUAGAGAGAUCAAUUCAUGCAAUAUGAAAUAAACCCCAUAUUUUUAUCCUCGAUGGCAACGAUCCAAUACGUGCCUUGCUGCCCCUUCUGUCACUGGAAAAGGACACCGCAAGAUCGAACCCAAAGCUAAGCACUUCUCCCAUGGCAAGAACUGCCAAUCUAGUUGGCCAAACCAAACGGAUAAUUUGAAGAGAUUUGCAAAGAUAACCAGUCAUACAUAAAAGAAUUCAGAGAAGAUUCAAAUAUUAUUCAUAGAUAGACUUGAUCAUAAACCCACAAUUCAUCAGUCUCAACAAACACACUUCAAAAAGAAGAUUAGAUCGAAUAGAUCUCCACAAGAGAGGGGGAGAACUUUGUAUUGAGAUUCAAAGAGAGAGAAGAAGCCAUCUAGCUACUAACUAUGGACCCGAAGGUCUGAGGUAAACUACUCACACUUCAUCAGAGAGGCUAUGAUGAUGUAGAAGCCCUCCGUGAUGACGGCCCUCUUCCGGCGGAGCUCUGGAAUAGGCCCCAAGAUGGGAUCUCAUGGACACAGAAAGUUGCGGCGGCGGAAUUAGGUUUUUGGCUCCUAUUCUGAUUGUUUGGGGGUACGUAGGUAUAUAUAGGAGAAAAGAGUACGCCGGAGGAGCACCGAGGGGCCCACGAGGCAGGGGGCGCGCCCUAUGGGGGGCACCCCCCACCCUCGUGACCGCCUCUUUUAUUCCUUGGAGCAGGGUCCAACUCUCCUGGAUCACGUUCGGUGAGAAAAUCAAGUUCCCAAAGGUUUUAUUCCGUUUGGACUCCGUUUGAUAUUCCGUUUCUUCGAAACACUGAAAUAGGCAAAAAAACAACAAUUCUGGGCUGGGCCUCCGGUUAAUAGGUUAGUCCCAAAAAUAAUACAAAAGUGGAAAAUAAAGCCCAAUAUAGUCCAAAACAGUAGAUAAUAUAGCAUGGAGCAAUCGAAAAUUAUAGAUACGUUGGAGACGUAUCAGGCAUCCCCAAGCUUAAUUCCUGCUCGUCCUCGAGUAGGUAAAUGAUAAAAAGAGAAUUUUUGAUGCGGAGUGCUACUUGGCAUAAUUUCAAUGCAAAUCUUCUUAAUUGUAGUACGAAUAUUCAGAUUAGAAAGAUUCAAGACAAAAGUUUAUAUUGACAUAAAAAUAAUAAUACUUCAAGCAUACUAACAAAGCAAUCAUGUCUUCUCAAAAUAACAUGGCCAAAGAAAGUUAUCCCUACAAAAUCAUAUAGUCUGGCUAUGCUCUAUCUUCACCACACAAAAUAUUUAAAUCAUGCACAACCCCGAUGACAUGCCAAGCAAUUGUUUCAUACUCUAACUUCUUCAAAACUUUUUCAAUCUUCACGCAAUACAUGAGCGUGAGCCAUGGAUAUAGCACUAUAGGUGGAAUAGAAUGGUGGUUGUGGAUAAGACAAAAAGGAGAAGAUAGUCUCACAUCAACUAGGCGUAUCAACGGGCUAUGGAGAUGCCCAUCAAUAGAUAUCAAUGUGCGUGAGUAGGGAUUGCCAUGCAACGGAUGCACUAGAGCUAUAAGUAUAUGAAAGCUCAAAAAGAUACUAAGUGGGUGUGCAUCCAACUUGCUUGCUCAUGAAGACCUAGGGAAAUUUUAGGAAGCCCAUCAUUGGAAUAUACAAGUCAAGUUCUAUAAUGAAAAAUUCCCACUAGUAUAUGAAAGUGAUAACAUGAGAUACUCUCUACUAUGAAGAACAUGGUGCUACUUUGAAGCACAAGUGUGGUAAAAGGAUAGUAACAUUGUCCCUUCUCUCUUUUUCUCUCAUCAAUUUUUUUAUUUGGGCCUUUUCUCUUUUUUAUGGCCUCUUUUUAUUUGGGCUUCUUUGGCCUCUUUUAUUUAUUUAUUUUAUUUUUCAUCCGGAGUCUCAUCCCGACUUAUGGGGGAAUCAUAGUCUCCAUCAUUCUUUCCUCACUGGGACAAUGCUCUAAUAAUGAUGAUCAUCACACUUUUAUUUUUCUUACAACUCAAUACUUAGAACAAAAUAUGACUCUAUAUGAAUGCAUCCGACGAUGUACCGGGAUAUGCAAUAUGACAAUGAUGAAUGUGUCAUGAUGAACUAGAUGGUGGAAAGUUGCAUGGCAAUAUAUCUCGGAAUGGCUAUGGAAAUGACAUAAUAGGUAGGUAUGGUGGCUGUUUUGAGGAAGGUAUAUGGUAGGUGUAUGAUACCGGCGAAAGGUGCGCGGUAUUAGAGAGGCUAGCAAAGGUGGAAGGGUGAGAGUGCGUAUGAUCCAUGGACUCAACAUUAGUCAUAAAGAACUCAUAUACUUAUUGCAAAAAUCUAGAAGUUAUCAAAGCAAAGUAUUACGCGCAUGCUCCUAGGGGGAUAGAUUGGUAGGAAAAGACCAUCGCUCGUCCCCGGCCGCCAUUCAUAAGGAAGACAAUCAAUAAAUAAAUCAUGCUCCGACUUCAUCACAUAACGGUUCACCAUACGUGCAUGCUACGGGAAUCACAAACUUUAACACAAGUAUUCUUUAAAUUCACAACUAGUCAACUAGCAUGACUUUUAAUAUUAUCACCUCCAUAUCUCAAAACAAUUAUCAUGCUUCAAUCUUUUCUUAGUAUUCAACACACUCAAAAGAAAGUUUCACAAAUCUUGAAUACCAAGCAUAUUAUUAUUAAGCAAAUUACCAUGCUAUUAAGAGACUCUCAAAAUAAUUUAAGUGAAGCAUGAGAGAUCAAUAGUUUCUUUAAAACAAAUCCAGCACCGUGCUCUAAAAGAUCUAAGUGAAGCACAUAGAGCAAAAUUAUAAUGCUCAAAAGAUAUAAGUGAAGCACAUAGAGGAAAACUACUUAGCUCAAAAGAUAUAAGUGAAGCACAUAGAGCAAAACUACAUAGCUCAAAAGAUAUAAGUGAAGCACAUAGAGCAAAACUACAUAGCUCAAAAGAUAUAAGUGAAGCACAUAGAGCAAAACUACUUAGCUCAAAAGAUAUAAGUGAAGCACAUAGAGCAAAACUAGAUAGAUCAAAAGAUAUAAGUGAAGCACAUAGAGAAAAACUACAUAGCUCAAAAGAUAUAAGUGAAGCACAUAGAGCAAAACUACUUAGCUCAAAAGAUAUAAGUGAAGCACAUAGAGUAUUCUAUCAAAUUUUAAUUCAUGUAUGGCUCUCUCAAAAGGUCUGUAUAGAAAGGAUGAUUGUGGCAUACUAGGACACAAAGACACAAAUAAUACAAGAUGCUCCAAGCAAAACACAUAUCAGGUUGGUGAAUAAAAAUAUAGCUCCAAGUAAAUUACCGAUGGAAGUGGACGAAAGAGGGGAUGCCUUCCGGGGCAUCCCCAAGCUUUGAAUUUUUGGUGUCCUUGGAUUAUCUUGGGGGUGCCAUGGGCAUCCCCAAUCUUAGGCUCUUGUCACUCCUUGUUCCAUGAUCCAUCAAAAGAAUUCGCCCAAAACUUGAAAACUUCACAACACAAAACUCAAAAUAGAAAACUCGUGAGCUCCGUUAGCGAAAAAAACAAAAGACCACUUCAAGGUACUGUAAUGAACUCAUUAUUUAUUUAUAUUGGUGUUAAACCUACUGUAUUCCAACUUCUCUAUGGAUUAUAAACUAUUUUACUAACCAUAGAUUCAUCAAAAUAAGCAAACAACACACGAAAAACAGAAUCUGUCAAAAACAGAAUUGUCUGUAGUAAUCUGUAGCUAGCGCAAUAUAUGGAACCCCAAAAAUUCAAAAAUAAAUUUAUGGGCGUGAGUAAUUUAUAUAUUAAUCAUAUUCAAAAAUAAUUAACUAAAUAUCACUCUUCACAUAAAAAUGACAGCAGUUCUCGCGAGCGCUAAAGUUUCUGUUUUUUUACAGCAAGUUCAACAAGACUUUCCCCAAGUCUUCCCAACGGUUCUACUUGGAACAAACACUAAUGAAACACAAAAAACACAACCAAAACAUAGGCUAAAUAAUUUAUUUAUUACUAAACAGGAGCAAAAGGCAAGGAAUAAAAAUAAAAUUGGGUUGCCUCCCAACAAGCGCUAUCGUUUAACGCCCCUAGCUAGGCAUAAAAGCGAGGAUAGAUCUAGGUAUUGCCAUAAUAGUAAGAUAGAUUAUUAAAACUCAUUUCAUAUUCUCUACGUUCGGAAGAAAGUUUUCAUUGAGGCAAGAAAAAGUAAUCAAAAGGACUAAAUUUAACGGGACAGAAGUCCCCAAGAUCAACCUUGGGAGGUAUAGGUUCCUCCUUUGGUCCUUCAUAAUGCACAACCAAUUCAUCAUUAUAAGCAUUCUUUUGACAGAACUUUGUAAGCCUAUAUUCAAGAGAAUAUCCUAGUUCAUUAUUUCGAAUAGCCAAAUCAUAAUUAAGUUCAGAAAUUCUAUCAACUAAAACAUUGGUAGGAACCCUUUUUCUAAGAUUUUCAUUGAAAGCAACAUAAUCUAGAGAUUGAAAACACAUUAUUUCUUCUUGAUCAAAGAGGAUAGACUCUAUGGGAGGACGGCAAGCGUCCACCCUAUAAUGUUCAAAGAUUUCUUUGGCUUCUUUUAUUAUGAAUCUAAACUCAUGAACCAAAAAGAUAGUAGCGGCACGCUUAACAGAAGAAUGCUCAAUAUUAGAAAAUUCCAGAAAAAUCCUUUGUAUAGAAGGAUGCAUGUGCAUGAAUUGUCUUUCAAGUUCAACUACAAGCAUGGCAAUAGCGUCCGCAAGACUACUAGUUAUGUGAAGGAUAGAACUACCCAUAGAAGGUAAAGCACCGGCACAAGUAAAGAAAUCUUGAAUAAUUCCUUUUCCAAUAAUAUUACCACUACCAACACGGAAUUUUUUUGUAUGAAAGAUGGUAGGUUCUUUAGCAGGAGCAUCAGAAUUUCCCAUGAUAUUGUUAUCGCCCAUAUUGGCGAUAACUUCCCAAUUUCAGACAUAACGACAAGCAAGCAAACUAGUGCACGAGCAAACAAAAAGCAAGCGGGCAAAAGAGGCAAAUAGAGAGGGAGGAAAGAGAGAGAGAGAGAGAGAGCGAAUAAAACGGCAAGGGUGAAUUGGGGGAGAGGAAAACGAGAGGCAAAUGGCAAAUAAUGUAAUGCGAGAGAUAGGGAUUGUGAUGGGUACUUGGUAUGUUGACUUUUUGCGUAGACUCCCCGGCAACGGGGCCAGAAAUACUUCUUGCUACGUAUUGAGCUUGCGUUGGUUUUUCCCGAAGAGGAAGGGAUGAUGUAGCAGAGUAGCGUAAGUAUUUCCCUCAGUUUUUGAGAACCAAGGUAUCAAUCCAAUAGGAGGCCACGCUCAAGUCCCUCGUACCUGCACAAAACGAUAGCUACUCGUAACCAACACGAUUAGGGGUUGUCAAUCCCCUCACGGUCACUUACGAGAGUGAGAUCUGAUAGGUAUAAUAUUUUUGGUAUAAAGAUGCAAAAGUAAAAAGUAAAAGCAAAGUAAAAGGCAAAGCAAGAUUAAAGUGAUGGAGAUUGAUAUGAUGAGAAUAGACCCAGGGGCCAUAUGUUUCACUAGUGGCUUCUCUCAAGAGCAUAAGUAUUCUAUGGUGGGUGAACAAAUUACUGUUGAGCAAUUGAUAGAAUUGAGCAUAGUUAUGACAAUAUCUAGGCAUGAUCAUGUAUAUAGGCAUCACGUCCGUGACAAGUAGACCGAAACGAUUCUGCAUCUACUACUAUUACUCUACUCAUCGACCGCUAUCCAGCAUGCAUCUAGAGUAUUACGUUAAAAACAGAGUAACGCCUUAAGCAAGAUGACAUGAUGUAGAGAGAUAAAUUCAUGCAAUCUGAAAUAAACCCCAUCUUGUUAUCCUCAAUGGCAACGAUACAAUACGUGCCUUGCUGCCCCUUCUGUCACUGGGAAAGGACACCGCAAGAUCGAACCCAAAGCUAAGCACUUCUCCCAUGGCAAGAACUACCAAUCUAGUUGGCCAAACCAAACGGAUAAUUCUAAGAGACUUGCAAAGAUAACCAAUCAUACAUAAAAGAAUUCAGAGAAGAUUCAAAUAUUAUUCAUAGAUAGACUUAAUCAUAAACCCACAAUUCAUCGGUCUCAACAAACACACCGCAAAAAGAAGAUUACAUCGAAUAGAUCUCCACAAGAGAGGGGGAGAACUUUGUAUUGAGAUUCAAAGAGAGAGAAGAAGCCAUCUAGCUACUAACUAUGGACCCGAAGGUCUGAGGUAAACUACUCACACUUCAUCAGAGAGGCUAUGAUGAUGUAGAAGCCCUCCGUGAUGACGGCCCUCUUCCGGCGGAGCUCCGGAAUAGGCCCCAAGAUGGGAUCUCGUGGAUACAGAAAGUUGUGGCGGUGGAAUUAGGUUUUUGGCUCCUGUUCUGAUCGUUUGGGGGUACGUAGGUAUAUAUAGGAGGAAGGAGUACGCCGGAGGAGCACCGAGGGGCCCACGAGGCAGGGGGCACGCCCUAGGGCGGGGGGCGCCCCCCACCGUCGUGACCGCCUCUUUUGUUCCUUGGAGCAGGGUCCAAGUCUCCUGGAUCACGUUCGGUGGGAAAAUCACGUUCCCGAAGGUUUUAUUCCGUUUGGACUCCGUUUGAUAUUCCGUUUCUUUGAAACACUGAAAUAGGCAAAAAACAGCAAUUCUGGGCUGGGCCUCCGGUUAAUAGGUUAAUUCCAAAAAUAAUAUAAAAGUGGAAAAAAGCCCAAUAUAGUCCAAAACAGUAGAUAAUAUAGCUUGGAGCAAUCAAAAAUUAUAGAUACGUUGGAGACGUAUCAGCGGGGACCCACCGGACAGGCCACCAGUAUUUUGCAAAAAAAAUCGUUUCCCCCUGACUGCUGGGACCCACCGGACGGGCCACCGUAUUUCGCGAAAAAACGUUCCCCCCGCUGUCAGCUCAGACCCAUCGGAAGUGCCUCCUUAUUACGCAAAAAAAUGAAUACUCCCCCGGCUAGCUGGGACCCACCUUGCUGGGAGGCUGACUUGUGGGCCUACUAAGUUAACGGGGAUGAAAGGCUUUGUCAACUUAGUCAAUAUGAACGAUUCUAGCUCUAGUGACCGUACGAUGUCCAUCCAACGGCCGUAGUGCUUCUUCAACCUCUGGUCUUCUUGCUCCAGUUGCCCAAAGCAGCGCCGGCCAUGCCGCAUGCUCCUGCCUCCCGUGGCCAGCUGUGCUGCCGUAGAGGCCUCACCGCCCCCUACUAUUCCCACCGCUGGCCAGGCCCUGCGGCGACGGCAGCCUCACACCGUAGCCGAACCAGUGAACCCUCAUAGUCCUCUCCGCGCGGGCUUCCACUACAGCGUCGUCCCCUUCCUAGGCCUCGCCGUCAUCCACCGCCGUGGUGCUCUCCGCGCGGCAUGGUCAACGUGGUCAAGGAAUGACUUCCAUCGGAAGAGUAUUGUACGUGGAGAGGCUGACUGCUGGGUCCACGGCCACAGCCCAAUUUUUUUGUGAUUUCCCAAGUAAGUCGCUUUGUCAGGCCUGUUGGGAUGCAAAUCUUUCAAGACGAGGAGAGCUUUCAUUCGGCUGGCCGAGAAAAUGGCCCAUCAGUAAUGAGAAAUGGGUUGUACAUUUUUAAAACACAUCAAACCGGGAAGUAGUUUCAAAUAUCUUUUUUUCAUUUCAAGAUUUUAAAUUACAUUAAUUUUUAUGCAUGGAGAAUUUGUUGGAUUUUAUAUUGAUAUACAUUUAUUUUUAAAAUCAGUUUGAAUGUGAGUCGAAAUUUCGGGAUUAAAAAUAGUUCGGACCGCACUGAAACAUGCAAAAUUUCGUAUAAUUUUUUAACCGUUGCCACAAUAUGGGCUGUAAUGCUAACAAAAAGAAUAUGGGCUCCAAAAAACCUUAAGAAUUAGCAAAUGGGCUGUAAAUUAUUAGAAAUGAUGGCAGAUGGGAUGUAUGCUGUUUUCCACAGAUUUGAGGCUUUCCGAAGAAAAGGUUGACGCACAAGCACUGACUGUUGGAUGUCCCUCCAACAGCCGUCGUGCUUCUUCAAUCUCUGCUCUUCCUGCUCCGGCCGCUCAAACAAGCGCCGUCGGGACUGCCUGCUCCCUCCUCCUCGCGGCCGGCUGUGCUGCAGCGCAGGCCUCACCGCCCGACCGUACUCCCAUCGCUGGCCUAGCCAUCCCUCUACUCACCCACACCUGCUGUUAUUCGCCGGCGAUGGCAGACGAACCAGUAAACCCUCGUACAGUCGUACUCCCCUCCGCGUGGGAAACAACUGCCGAGUCUUCCCUGCCUCUGCAUCGUCCCCUUCCUAGGCCUCGUCGUCGUCCACCGCCCUGGUGCUCUCGGCGCGACGUGGUCAACGUGGUCAAGGAACGACUUCCAUCGGACGUGGACUGUACGUGGAGAGGCUGACAGCUGGUCCACGGCCGCAGCAAGGAAGUGCCUCCUUAUUACGAAGAAAAUAAUGAUUCCUCCACCUGACAGCUGGGACCCAUCGGACGGGCCAUUGUAUUUCGCAAAAAAAAUGUUUCCCCCUGACUGCUGGGACCCACCAGCUACAUCUUCGCACACAAGAAAGUGCGUCCAGGCAAAAAAACGACUCGCCCCCUGACUGCUGGGACCCACCAGCUACAUCUUGGCAGGAAAGGAAGUGCCUGACAGUCGGGACCCACCUGGUCGAAGCGUACGUAGCGUUGCCAUUCUGGUCGCGAACGUGUACGUACAUACUGGUUGAUGUAGAGGCGCGCACGUGUCGUAUUAGAGGCGCGCACGUGUCAUAGUAGAGGCGCGCACAUAGCAUUUACACGUACGUACAUCGGCCAGGGUGCAAGAAAGAAAAUACGGCCACAUAUGUGUACAUACGGGCGGGGUCUCGAAAGCCUACUCGCGCAUACGUACGGCCAGGGCUCGUGUACAUGGCUGGGUCAGAACGGAGAAACAAUGUCAUCGUCGUGUUCAUGGGGAGGCAACAGAAUGCGUCGUGUUCAUGGGGAGGCAACGGAAUGCGUCGUGUUCAUCAGGAGGGCUUGGACGGAACAGGCGAUGGAAACGAGGCCUGGCGUACCGCAGAACGGAGGAAACAACCUUGUGUUCGACCAGCCAAGUUCGGAACGGGAUCCUGUUCAUUAGGAGGGGUCUGGCGUACCGCAAAAUGAAGGAAACGGACCUCCUACGGUCGAAAUGGGGGUCCCGUUGAUCGGGAGGAGUGUGGCGUACCGCAAAACGGACGAAACGGACUUGUGUUGGAGCGCUACGGUCGAAACGGGGGUCCUGUUCAUCGGGAGGGGUGUGGCGUACCGCAAAAUGGGACUCCACGGGAUACUGUUCAUCUCCACCGUCGACCUCCUCCUGCCUCCACGGCCUCCUGUUCAUCCAGCCUCCACGGCCUCCUGUUCAUCCAGCCUCCACGGCCUCCUGUUCAUCCAGCCUCCACCGCGCGCUACUCCACCGGCUACUGUUCAACCACCCCUCCACCGGCUAAUGUUCAACCACCCCUCCACCGUCUACUGUUCAUCCAGCCCUCCACACCACGGGGUCCUGUUCAACCACCCCUCCACAGGCACCCCUCNNNNNNNNNNNNNNNNNNNNNNNNNNNNNNNNNNNNNNNNNNNNNNNNNNNNNNNNNNNNNNNNNNNNNNNNNNNNNNNNNNNNNNNNNNNNNNNNNNNNNNNNNNNNNNNNNNNNNNNNNNNNNNNNNNNNNNNNNNNNNNNNNNNNNNNNNNNNNNNNNNNNNNNNNNNNNNNNNNNNNNNNNNNNNNNNNNNNNNNNNNNNNNNNNNNNNNNNNNNNNNNNNNNNNNNNNNNNNNNNNNNNNNNNNNNNNNNNNNNNNNNNNNNNNNNNNNNNNNNNNNNNNNNNNNNNNNNNNNNNNNNNNNNNNNNNNNNNNNNNNNNNNNNNNNNNNNNNNNNNNNNNNNNNNNNNNNNNNNNNNNNNNNNNNNNNNNNNNNNCAUCCAGCCCUCCACACCACGAGGUCCUGUUCAACCACCCCUCCACCGUCCACUGUUCAUCCAGCCCUCCAAACCACGGGGUCCUGUUCAUCCACCCCUCCACGGGCACCCCUCCACCGUCUACUGUUUAUCCAGCCCUCCACCACACCACGGGGUCCUGUUCAUCCAGAGGCAAUGCCACCGCUCACUAUUCAUCCAACCUCCCCCCCCCCCGCAAUGCUCACUAUUCAUCCCAUCGAUCGGCUUCAGCUAGCAGUAGUAGCGAAGGAAGAGCUGUUCUGCCGGGGAUACUUCCCUCCGGGAGGGGGAAAUCAUCACCAUCGUCAUCACCAACGCUCCUCUCAUCGGGAGAGGGAAAUCUCCAUCAACAUCUUCACCAGCACCAUCUCAUCUCCAAACCCUAGUUCAUCUCUUGUAUCAAAUUCUUGUCUCAAAGUCCGGGAUUGGUGCUAGUAGGUUGCUAGUAGUGUUGAUUACUCCUUGUAGUUGAUGCUAGUUGGUUUAUUUGGUGGAAGAUCAUAUGUUCAGAUCCUAUAUGCAUAUUAUUACCCCUCUGAUUAUGAACAUGAAUAUGCUUUGUGAGUAAUUACGUUCGUUCCUAAGGACAAGGGAGAAGUCUUGCUAUUAGUAGUCAUGUGAAUUUGGUAUUCGUUUGAUAUUUUGAUAAGAUGUAUGUUGUCUAGCCUCUAGUGGUGUUAUAUGAACAUCGACUACAUAACACUUCACCAUUAUUUGGGCCUAGAGGAAGGAAUUGGGAAGUAAUAAGUAGAUUAUGGGUUGCUAGAGUGACAGAAGCUUAAACCCUAGUUUAUGCGUUGCUUCGUAAGGGGCUGAUUUGGAUCCACAUGUUUCAUGCUAUGGUUAGGUUUACCUUAAUACUUUUGUUGUAGUUGAGGAUGCUUGCAAUAGAGGUUAAUCAUAAGUGGGGCGCUUGUUCAAGUAAGAACAGCACCCAAGCACCGGUCCACCCACAUAUCAAAUUAUCAAAGUAUCGAACGCGAAUCAUAUGAACGUGAUGAAAACUAGCUUGACGAUAUUCCCAUGUGUCAUCGGGAGCGCUUUUCCUAUUAUAAGAUUUUGUUCUGACUUGUCCUUUGCUACAAAAGGAUUGGGCCAUCUUGCUGCACUUUAUUUACUUUAGUUACUUGUUGCUCAUUACAAUUUAUCCUAUCACAAAACUAUCUGUUACCACUUAUUUCAGUACUUGCAGAGAAUACCUUGCUGAAAACCGCUUAUCAUUUCCUUCUGCUCCUUGUUGGGUUCGACACUCUUACUUAUGAAAGGACUAUGAUAGAUCCCCUAUACUUGUGGGUCAUCAAGACUCUUUUCUGGCGCUGUUGCCGAGGAGUGUAGCGCCUUUGGUAGGUGGAAUUUGGUAAGGAAAAAUUUAUAUAGUGUGCUGAAAUUUACUGUCACUUGUUACUAUGGAAAGUAAUUCUCUGAAGGGCUUGUUUGGGGUAUCUUCACCCCGUCUAGUAGAGCAAAGAGUUGCUCCUCAACCUACUGAACCUAUUGAAAAUGAAACUCCUUUCGAAUUUCCUUCGGGUAUGAUGGAAAAACUGCUAGCUAACCCUUUUACAGGAGAUGGAACAAAGCAUCCUGAUGAGCACUUGAUAUAUGUGGAUGAAGUUUGUGGAUUAUUUAAGCUUGCAGAUAUACCCGAUGAUGUUGCUAAGAAGAAGGUCUUCCCUUUAUCUUUGAAGGGAGACGCAUUGAUAUGGUAUAGGCUAUGUGAUGAUAUGAGAUCAUGGGACUAUAAAAGAUUGAAGCUAGAAUUUCAUGGAAAGUAUUACCCUAUGCAUCUUGUUCAUCGUGAUCGCAAUUAUAUAUAUAAUUUCUGGCCUCGCGAAGGAGAAAGCAUCGCUCAAGAUUGGGGGAGGCUUAAAUCAAUGUUAUAUUCAUGCCCCAAUCAUCAGCUCUCAAGAGAAAUGAUCAUUCAAAAUUUUAAUGUCGGCUUUCUGAAAACAAUCGCACCAUGCUCGAUACUUCUUGUGCUAGCUCUUUUAUGAUGAAGACUAUUGAAUUCUGAUGGAAUUUAUUGGAUAGAAUUAAACGCAACUCUGAAGAUUGAGACCUCAACGAAGGUAAGGAGUCGGGUAUGACACCUAAGUUUGAUUGUGUUAAAUCUUUUAUGGACACCGAUAUUUUCUAUAAGUUUAGUACUAAAUAUGGACUUACUCUGAGAUAGUAGCUUCUUUCUGUGAAUCCUUUGCUACUUAUGUUGAUCUCCCUAAGGAGAAGUGGUUUAAAUAUCAUCCUCCCAUAGAAGUAAAAGUAGCUGCACCUAUUAAAGUUGAAGAAAAGACUGUCACUUAUAAUGAUCCUAUUAUUCCUACUUCUUAUAUUGAGAAACCACCUUUCCCUGUUAGAAUAAAGGAUCAUGCUAAAGCUUCAACUGUUGUUCAUAAAAGCAAUAUUAGAACUUAUACACCUCCGGAGCAAGUUAAAGUAGAACCUAAUAUUGCUAUUGUUAAAGAUCUCUUGUCUGAUAAUAUUGAUGGGCAUGUUAUCCUGUUCGAAGGUGAAACUGCUAGAAUUGCUAAACCUUGUGAUAAAGAUAAACAUAGACCUGUGGUAGGCGUGCCUAUUAUUUCUGUUAAAAUAGGAGAUCAUUGUUAUCAUGGCUUAUGUGAUAUGGGUGCUAGUGCUAGUGUAAUACCUAUUGACUUAUACGAAGAAAUUAAGAAUGAAAUUGCACCUGUUGAGUUAGAAGAUAUUGAUGUUACUAUUAAAAUUGCUAAUAGAGAUACUAUUGCACCAAUUUGAUUUGUUAGAGAUGUGGAAGUAUUGUGUGGGAAAACUAAAUAUCCUGCUAAUUUUCUUGUUCUUGGUUCCCCACAAGAUAGUUUUUGUCCCAUUAUAUUUGGUAGACCCUUCUUAAAUACUGUGAAUGCUACCAUAGAUUGCACAAAGAAUGUUGUUACUGUUGGCUUGGAUGAUAUGGUUCAUGAGUUUAAUUUCUCUAAAUUUAGUAAACAACAUCGUGAGGAAGAAUUAUCUAGUAAGGAUGAAAUUAUUGGUCCUGCUUCUAUUGACGUACCUCCUAGUGAUCCUUUAGAACACUAUUUGCUAGACCAUGAAAAUGAUAUGUUCAUGAAUGAAAGAAGGGAAAUAGAUGAAGUAUUCUUUAAACAGGAACCUAUGCUGCAACAUAAUUUUCCUGUUGAAAUUUUAGGGGAUCCUCCUCCACCUAAAGGUGAUCCCAUGUUUGAGCUUAAACCUUUGCCUGAUAAUCUUAAAUAUGCUUAUCUUGAUGAAAAGAAGAUAUAUCCUGUUAUUAUUAGUACUAACCUUUCAGAGCAUGAAGAAGAAAGAUUAUUGAAAACUCUAAAGAAGCAUCGUGCUGCUAUUGGAUAUACUCUUGAUGAUCUUAAGGGCAUUAGUCCCACUCUAUGUCAACAUAAAAUAAAUUUGGAAGCAGAUGCCAAACCAGUUCGUGAUCCUCAACGACGUCUGAAUCCUAAAAUGAAAGAAGUGGUAAGAAAAGAAAUACUAAAGCUUCUGGAGGCAGGUAUAAUCUAUCUCGUUGCUGAUAGUGAGUGGGUAAGUCCUGUCCAUUGUGUCCCUAAGAAUGGAGGUAUCACUGUUGUUCCUAAUGAUAAAGAUGAAUUGAUUCCACAAAGAAUUAUCACAGGUUAUAAGAUGGUAAUUGAUUUCCGCAAAUUAAAUAAAGCUACUAAGAAAGAUCAUUACCCCUUACCUUUUAUUGAUCAAAUGCUAGAAAGAUUAUGCAAACAUACACACUAUUGCUUUCUAGAUGGUUAUUCUGGUUCCUCUCAAAUACCUGUGUCGGCUAGAGAUCAAUCAAAGUCUACUUUUACAUGCCCUUUUGGUACUUUUGCUUAUAGACGUAUUCCUUUUGGUUUAUGUAAUGCACCUGCUACCUUUCAAAGAUGCAUGAUGGCUAUAUUCUCUGACUUUUGUGAAAAGAUUUGUGAGGUUUUCAUGGACGACUUUUCCAUCUAUGGUUCCUAUUUUGAUGAUUGCUUGAGCAAUCUUGAUCGAGUUUUGCAGAGAUGUGAAGAAACUAAUCUUGUCUUGAAUUGGGAAAAGUGACACUUUAUGGUUAAUGAAGGUAUUGUCUUGGGGCAUAAAGUUUCUGAAAGAGGUAUUGAAGUUGAUAAAGCCAAGGUUGAUGCUAUUGAAAAGAUGCCAUGUCCCAAGGACAUCAAAGGUAUAAGAAGUUUCCUUGGUCACGCCGGAUUUUACAGGAGGUUCAUUAAGGACUUCUCAAAAAUUUCUCGGCCUCUGACUAAUUUAUUGCAAAAAGAUACACCAUUUGUCUUUGAUGAUGAUUGUGUAGAAGCAUUUGAAAUACUUAAGAAAGCAUUAGUCUCUGCACCUGUUGUUCAGCCACCGGAUUGGAAUUUACCCUUUGAAAUUAUGUGUGAUGCUAGUGAUUAUGCUGUAGGUGCUGUUCUAGGGCAAAGAGUUGAUAAGAAAUUAAAUUUUAUUCAUUAUGCUAGUAAGACUCUAGACAAUUCUCAAAGAAAUUAUGCUACUACUGAAAAAGAGCUUUUAGUAGUUGUAUUUGCUUGUGAUAAGUUCAGGUCUUAUAUUGUUGAUUUUGAAGUAACUAUUCAAACUGAUCAUGCUGCUAUUAAAUAUCUUAUGGAAAAGAAAGAUGCUAAACCUAGACUUAUUAGAUGGGUUCUCUUGCUACAAGAAUUUGAUUUGCAUAUUGUUGAUAGAAAGGGAGCUGAGAACCCCGUUGCAGACAACUUGUCUAGUUUAGAAAAUAUUCUUGAUGACCCACUACCUAUUAAUGAUUGAUUUCUUAAUGAACAAUUAAAUGUUAUAAGUACUUCUCGUAGUACUCCAUGGUAUGGUGAUUAUGCUAAUUAUAUUGUUGCUAAGUUUAUACCACCUAGCUUCACAUACCAGCAAAAGAAAAAGUUUUUAUAUGAUUUAAGACAUUACUUUUGGGAUGACCCACAUCUUUAUAAGGAAGGAGUAGAUGGUGUUAUUAGAUGUUGUGUACCUGAGCAUGAACACGAACAGAUCCUACGCAAGUGUCAUUCCGAGGCUUAUGAAGGACACCACACUGGAGAUAGAACUGCACAUAAGGUAUUGCAAUCUGGUUUUUAUUGGCCUACUCUCUUCAAGGAUGCCCGUAAGUUUGUCUUGUCUUGUGAUGAAUGUCAAAGAAUUGGUAAUAUUAGUAGACGUCAAGAAAUGCCUAUGAAUUAUUCACUUGUUAUUGAACCAUUUGAUGUUUGGGGCUUUGAUUAUAUGGGACCUUUUCCUGCCUCUAAUGGAUACACACAUAUUCUAGUUGCUGUUGAUUACGUUACUAAGUGGGUAGAAGCUAUUCCAACUAGUAGUGUUGAUCAUAACACUUCUAUUAAAAUGCUUAAAGAAGUUAUUUUCCCAAGGUUUGGAGUCCCUAGAUAUUUAAUAACUGAUGGUGGUUCGGACUUUAUUCAUGGUGCUUUCCGUAAAAUGCUUGCUAAAUGUGAUGUUAAUCAUAUAAUUGCAUCUCCUUAUCACCCAUAGUAUAGUGGUCAAGUAGAGUGAGCAAUAGAGAGCUCAAAUUAAUUUUGCAAAAGACUGUUAAUAGGUCUAGAAAGAAUUGGUCCAAAAAACUUGAUGAUGCAUUGUGGGCUUAUAGAACUGCAUACAAAAAUCCUAUGGGUAUGUCUCCGUAUAAAAUGGUUUAUGGAAAAGCAUGUCACUUACCUCUCGAACUAGAACAUAAGGCAUAUUGGGCUAUUAAAGAGCUCAACUAUGAUUUUAAACCUGCCAGUGAGAACAGUUUAUUUGAUAUUAGCUCACUUGAUGAAUGGAGAACCCAAGCUUAUGAAAAUGCCAAGUUGUUUAAAGAAAAAGUUAAAAGAUGUCAUGACAAAAGGAUACAAAAGCGUGAGUUUAAUGUAGGUGAUUAUGUAUUGCUAUACAAUUCUUGUUUAAGAUUUUUUGCAGGAAAACUUCUCUCUAAAUGGGAAGGCCCCUAUGUUAUCGAAGAGGUCUAUUGUUUCGGUGCCAUAAAAAUCAACAACUUCGAGGGCACAAAUCUGAAGGUGGUAAACGGUCAAAGAAUCAAACAUUAUAUCUCAGGUAAUCCCACAAAUGUUGAAACCAAUAUUAUUGAAACCGUAACCCCGGAGGAAUACAUAAGGGACACUUUUCAGAAUGUUUCAGACUCCGAAAAGGAAUAGGUAUGUGGUACGGUACGUAAACCGACUCCAAAACAAUUUUUAAGGCAAUAUUUCUCCGUUUUGGAAUAUUUAGAAAAAUAGAAAAAUAAGUAGCAGUCCGGGAAGAACACGAGGGCCCCACGAGGGUGGUGGGCGCGCCCUACCCCCCUGGGCGCGCCCCCUACCUCAUGAGCACCUCGUGUGCCUCCCAGACUCCGUUUUCUUACACGUUACGUAUUUUGGUCGGUAAAAAGUCAUUAUAUAACAUCCCGAAGGUUUUGACUCCUGUAUCACACAAACCUCCUCUGUUUUUGUUUUCGAGCUGUUGCUGCUGCAGAUUAGAACAAGAUGUCUUCUCAAGAGUCAAUCGGGGAGAGCCGGGUAUAUAAUCCGGCACCAGAACCAAGGGCAAACAGCGACGCUGACCACUUUGGGCCAGCAACGGAGGAAGGGAUGGAGGCUAACUUGAUGAGAGUAGAUGCCAUGGAGGAUGAAGAAGUCACCUCUCGCCUCCGAGCUAGGCUCACGAUGGGGGAACUACAGAGCUCAACUAUUCCAAAUUCGGUUAUCCCUUCUAAUGUCAGAUUUCUUUCUUAUGAAAAUAUGAAGAGGAGUGUCACUUGUUCUCCCGCAGCUAUGUAACACCCUUGGGUGCAAGGAGCUUUAGCUAUCAUAGGAAAGCUUCGUAGGGAAAUAAUGGACCUCAAACAACAAGUCAAUAAACUCGAAGAGGAAAACCGCAUCCUGAGGGGAAUAAUUGCCAAGAAUAUUACACCAACAACAAAGAAGGAGAUAUAAUCACAUGGGUAUGGGCACUCCCCUUGGCAACUGCCAAGCUUGGGGGAGGUGCCCCGGUAUCAUAUCACAAUCACAACUCCUAUCUUUACCAUUUUUCUUAGUUCGAUCCUAUUAGUAGUAUCUUGAUCUAGUAGAAUAAAGUUUAUGGCAUGAUCUAGUUUUGAGUUUGCUUUAUGAUCUCUCUAUGUAAUCGAGUCCGUGAGCUAUAUAUAAUAAAGAUUAGUGUUGAGUCAAGGGCUUGAUUAUUUUUCCAUGAUCUUGGGUGAAUAAAAGAAAAGAGAAAAAGAAUAAAAAGAAACAAAAAGUUCAUAUUGAUCUUAUUGAGAGUAAUGACUUCAGAUAGAAAGAUUAUGAUGAUUAAAAGUUGUUGGGAGUUGGCAAGCAUAGCUUUGGUCAUUGUUGCAAUUAAUAGGAAGUAAUAAGGAAAGUGAGGUUUUCACAUAUAGAUAUAUUAUCAUUGAUAUCUUUUAUGAUUGGGAGCACUCAUUAAAAUAUGACAUGCUAAAGAGUUGAUGUUGGACAAGGAAGACAACGUAAUGAGUUAUGUCUUUCUUAUAUUUGAGAUAAAGUAUGUUGUCAUGGAUUCUCUAACUUGUUGAGCUUACCUUUCCCCCUCAUGCUAGCCAAAUUCUCAACACCAAGUAGAAAUACUACUUGUGCUUCCAAAUACCCCUAAACCAGUUUUGCCAUGAGAGUCCACCAUAUCUACCUAUGGAUUGAGUAAGAUCCUUCAAGUAAGUUGUCAUCGGUGCAAAGCAAUAAAAAUUGCUCUAAAUAUGUAUGAUUGAUUGGUGUGGGAGAAAUAAGCUUUAUACGAUCUUGUGAUGUGGAAGUAAUAAAAGCGACGGACUACAUAAUAAAGGUUCAUAUCACAAGGGGCAAUAUAAAGUGACGUUCUUUCGCAUUAAGAUUUUGUGCAUCCAACCAUAAAAGCGCAUGGCAACCUCUGCUUCCCUCUGCGAAGGGCCUAUCCUUUAUUAUUAUCUUAUACCUUAAGCAAGAGUCAUGGUGAUCUUCACCUUUUAUUUUUCAUUUUAUCCUUUGGCAAGCUCAGCAUGUUGGAAAGAACAUGAUAUAUAUAUAUAUCUAAUUGGAUGUAGGGGAGCAUGAACCAUUAUUGUUGACAUUACCCUUAAGGUAAAAGGUUGUGGGGCAAAACUAUAAGCCCCUAUCUUUCUCUGUGUCCGAUUAAAACUCCGUAACCACAAGUAUAGUGUGAGUGUUAGCAAUUAUGGAGGACUAAAUGAUAGUUGAGUAUGUGAACUUGUUUUUUAGCUCUGACAUAGACUCUUUCCGACGUUAUGAUAAAUCGCAAUUGCUUCAAUGACUGAGAUUAUAGUUUGUCGGAGCCCAAUAAGGUUUAUGAUUUAUACUUUUGCAUUGUGAAUAGAUCAUCACUUGAACAUAAGUAAUCAUAUGACAAAAUCUAUAUAUGUUGCUGCUAUGAGAAUAAUCAUGAUGCCUUCAUGUCCGUAUUUUAUUUUUAUUGACGCCUCUACCUCUAAACAUGAGGACAUAUUUAUUGUUAUCGGCUUUUCGCUUGAGGACAAGCGAGGUCUAAGCUUGGGGGAGUUGAUAAGUCCAUUUUGCAUCAUGCUUUUAUAUCGAUAUUUAUUGCAUUAUGGACUGUUAUUUCACUUUAUGUCACAAUACUUAUGGCUAUUCUCUCUUAUUUUAGAAGGUUUACAUAAGGAGCGAGAAUGCCGGCAGCUGGAAUUCUGGGCUGGAAAAGGAGCAAAUAUUAGAGACCUAUUUUGCACAACUCCAAAAGUCCUGAAACUCCACAAAACAUCUUAAAAUAAAUAAAGAAAAAUCCUCGCUAAAGAUGAAGGCCAGGGGGUCCACACCCUGCUCACGAGGGUGGGGGUGCCCCCCCUAGGGCGUGCCCCCUACCUCGUGGGCCCCCUGGUGGCUCUCCAACGUCCAUCUUCUCCUAUAUGAAGUCUUUCGAUGAGAAAAAAAUAGAAAGGAACUUUUCGGGACAAGACUGCGCCGCCAUGAGGCGGAACCUUGGCGGAUCCAAUCUAGAGCUCCGGCAGAGCUGUUCUGCCGGGGAUACUUCCCUCCGGGAGGGGGAAUUCAUCACCAUUGUCAUCACCAAUGCUCCUCUCAUUGGGAGAGGGCAAUCUCCAUCAACAUCUUCACCAGCACAAUCUCAUCUCCAAACCCUAGUUCAUCUCUUGUAUCCAAUUCUUGUCUCAAAGUCCGGGAUUGGUGCUAGUAGGUCGCUAGUAGUGUUGAUUACUCCUUGUAGUUGAUGCUAGUUGGUUUAUUUGGUGGAAGAUCAUAUGUUCAGAUCCUAUAUGCAUAUUAUUACCCCUCUGAUUAUGAACAUGAAUAUGCUUUGUGAGCAAUUACGUUCGUUCCUGAGGACAAGGGAGAAGUCUUGCUAUUAGUAGUCAUGUGAAUUUGGUAUUCGUUUGAUAUUUUGAUAAGAUGUAUGUUGUCUAGCCUCUAGUGGUGUUAUGUGAAUGUUGACUACAUAACACCUCACCAUUAUUUGGGCCUAGAGGAAGGCAUUGGGAAGUAAUAAGUAGAUGAUGGGUUGCUAGAGUGACAGAAGCUUAAACCCUAGUUUAUGCGUUGCUUCGUAAGGGGCUGAUUUGGAUCCACAUGUUUCAUGCUAUGGUUAGGUUUACCUUAAUACUUUUGUUGUAGUUGCGGAUGCUUGCAAUAGAGGUUAAUCAUAAGUGGGACGCUUGUUCAAGUAAGAACAACACCCAAGCACCAGUCCACCCACAUAUGAAAUUAUCAAAGUAUCGAACGUGAAUCAUAUGAACUUGAUGAAAACUAGCUUGACGAUAUUCCCAUGUGUCCACGGGAGCGCUUUUCCUAUUAUAAGAGUUUGUUCCGGCUUGUCCUUUGCUACAAAAGGAUUGGGCCAUCUUGCUGCACUUUAUUUACUUUUGUUACUUGUUGCCCGUUACAAUUUAUCCUAUCACAAAACUAUCUGUUACCACUUAUUUCAGUAUUUGCAGAGAAUACCUUGCUGAAAACCGCUUAUCAUUUCCUUCUGCUCCUCAUUGGGUUCGACACUCUUACUUAUCGAAAGGACUAUGAUAGAUCCUCUAUACUUGUGGGUCAUCAUCCGGCGCGCAGUUUUGUCUUCGGCAUUGGAAGGCGGGUUCCUCCUCCGAAUACUCCUUGGAAGAUUUUGAACACAAGGAUAGUGUCCGGCUCUACAAAACAAGUUCCACAUACCACCGUACAGAGAAUAAUAUUUCCACAAAUCUAAUCUGCUGACACGUUUUGACAGCAUGACAUCAUGCCAUGUCCCGGUCAUUAUUCGAACCGUUUUUCUCAACCAGCACCGCACAUAUUGCGAGGCAGUUUUCUCGACACGUCUUGUCAAAGCAAAGAUCGUGUUCCCCUUAUUACGGGCUUCUCAUCAAUAUGGACGUGGGUAACCCAACCGCUCCAUCAAUUACGGUGCUUGGGGAAUAAGCGAUUUUAUCAGGUAAGUGGGGAGGCGCAUCGCUUCUUCCACCCUUAUAAAGGGAUUAGGAUUCACUCUUUUCAUGCACGCCUUCUUCCUCCUUGCUUUCCCAUUCUCGCACACUCGAGUUGCUACGCCCAAGUUCACGUAUUUCUUCUCAAACCACUCCAAGCAUGUCCGAAGCGGGAGGCAAGUGGAUGGUCUCCUCCGUCACGGAGGAGAACAUCACAAAGUUACGGGAAGCCAGAUAUCAGGCAACGGAUAUCACGCACCGGCUGCUAGAUGUAGGGCAGAUCAUCCCUACGCUCGAACCCCAUGAGAGGGUAGUUUUUCUUACCCACUUUGUCCGCGAACUGGGAUUUCCUCUCCACCUGACGGUGUCCUGGACUAGGGGGUACUCACCACGUCAUCUCCCGAUCUGUUAGAUUGGGCUGAGGACCCCCAUGGCCGUAUAGUCAUGGGCCAGUUCGGACAGCUGCCGCAUACAUGGAAGAUUCUACAAAACUUGGUGAUCAAGACAAGGACUGCUCUCCACCGGCGUAUUCGGCUAGGACUCUUGUUAUCCUAGGCCUCUGGUGCAUUAUAUAAACCGAGGCCAGGCUAGUCGAUAGAGAUAUACAUACAAUCAUACCAUAGGCUAGCUUCUAGGGUUUAGUCUCUCCGAUCUCGUGGUAGAUCAACUCUUGUAAUACUCAUAUCAUCAAGAAUAAAUCAAGCAGGACGUAGGGUUUUAUCUCCAUCAAGAGGCCUCGAACCUCGGUAAAACAUCGUGUCCCUGCCUCCUAUUACCAUCUGCCUUAGACGCACAGUUCGGGACCCCCUACUCGAGAUCCGCCGGUUUUGACACCGACAUUGGUGCUUUCAUUGAGAGUUCCACUGUGUGUUCGGCAAAAGAUUGAUGGCUCGCCUGCAAAACAACUGUGACUUCAGCAUCUUCGUCACCAGCUCGACUAGUCACCCUAGUUUGACCAAGGACUGCGCCCUACCUCCGAUCGUCAUGUUCGGAUGAGGGCCUUUAUAAACAUCAACUCCGAUCUCUAUCAAGAUCAUGGAGGAAUCAUCUAGGGAGCCCGGGGGCUCAACGUCAACAUUGCCCUCGGGUGACUGUGCUGUUUUUCUGGACAGCAAACUUGUGUCCGCCGCCACCGCCUCCUCAAGUGUCUUUUUAACGAUCACUUUGGUGGAAUUGUGCGGAAUUGAGUCUACAACAACCCUUGAAAAUUUCGUCGAGUUCCGUUGGAGGAAUCUCUGGCAAUCCACGAUAUACCGGAGCCCUGUCAAAUCUGGACGGGAAUUUGGAUGAGUUUAGGGUGUGGUGUCCACCUUCUAUCUCGGACGUCCUUUGGAAGAUCCAACCGUCGAUCGGCUGCAAAAUUCCUAUAUCUACCACCUCUCCAAAUUUCAGCUCGAUCCUACCGUCCAAACUCCGGGAACUUCCGAUUAGUGCAUCACUUUUCGGAUCUCUUUUUUGCGCGAAAACGAAUCCGAACCGAGUUUGUCUUUUUUAUGAACGGGAUUUCGGACAUCCCUUUUGAAGGAAGUUUUGUAUGGGGUAUUGUGUUUUGUUUCUGAACACACCCCGCUAACUUUAAGAUCUUUUGAUCAUGCUGGUGUUAAACCAGUCCGGCAAUAUUGCUCCACAGCUGCCGACCAGCGCUAGACAUGUAGUCACUUUGUUGAGCCGAGCUCAACUUUUUCGGAUCAUCAUCUCGGCAAGCCGAACAGGAAUCCGGUAUCGCGAAGGAUAAAUCAUCACCAACAUCGCCGCCCCACGGAUUACAUGGAGCGGGCAUACCAGCAUCGCCGCACGGUCGCUUCAUCAGGCCGGCAUCGACCACGUCACGACCUGCAUCGGCAGGGCCACACUAUUGCUUCUUCAAGCUGGUGUCCAUCACGCCGACCUGCUUCGACUCAUCGGCUGACAUCGAGGCUUCGACAUCUCGGCUGGACCAGGGGCUUCGCCAUCUCUUCAUCAACCUACUCCGGACACUUUGGCGUCACUAGCCGACAAGCUCCGUCACGUUAGCUGGACCGAGGGCUUUGCCUCGGCGAGCCAACCUUUGCCAGCAUUGCCAUGCCGUCGUUUUAUCACCCAUCAGGCAAUGGGUGUGCGGAUCGAGUCCCAAUUUUGGGAAUCACCUUCCUUCGGAUUGCUACAACAAAUAAACCAGGUGCAAUUAAUCCCAGUAUUUUUUGCUUGUUUGGGUUCAUUUUUCCCAAGGAAUUAUUACUCUGAUUUGUCCAUCAUAUGUACACAGGUCUAUCAAAUGGUGGCCGCAUUAACGAUAGUCGCAUGGUGGUUCGGUCAGUUUCCGUACAUAGUUUGGCGAACGCCGCAUCCGGAGCUCAGACCGACCUAUGAAUUCAGGCUUUGCAACGCCUUUACCGCAUCACGCCGAUGCCCUGCAUCAACAUUAACUUCGGCGCCAGACCAUAUUUCUUUUAUUAGUCACUUUGCAUAAAUUAUUUAUUAUGCAACGAUUUUUUUAAUUAUCAUUAUUACUAUUAUCUCUGGUUUGCACUAUUUUUUGUGCAUAGGAAAAUGAUCCGGGGACUUUGGCGUCACUCUGCCGGUCUGCAUUGACCGUGCUAUGUCACCACUUUGGUGUGUCGAGCUCGCCGCUCCGCCACCUCGGGACCGGCUUGGGGGAUGGAACCUUGUCCCGCAUCAAGCUCGGACCGCGUCAUCUAUACCGAACACAUUAACCAGCUAAGUCACUUUCAUGCUCAAAGCUUUAAUUUCUAACUUGUGUUCGGUUCGACCAAGCAUUAUACUUUUUUGGAAAAAAGUUGCUUGUAAAAAAUUUCCUUGCCCAAACUUUGUUUGUGACGCAUAAAUUCAAAUACCCAAUUCAUUUGGGGGCUUCCUUCAUGAAGCUUUUCCUCUUGCAUAUGAUUAUACUUGUACGGCUUCAUUCCUGGUUCAUGUAUUACACCACAAUAUGCACCAUAUUGACUUAAGCGAUUUGCAAGCUGGGUUGCCUCGCUCCUGUGUUUACCCCUACGUUCCCGAUUGUUCGACUAGGGAGUAAAGGGAGCACCUCUACGAUUGUCAUGAUCGGGUCAUCCGAGCCGGACCUCAGACUGGGUGAAGCCGAAAGCUAGCGCUCUUAUAGUUUUCAAUGAUGGUCGGCACACAACGGAACUCAUGAGUACAAAAAAUCUAUUGCACAAGUCUCAUAAUAACAAUGAGCACCGAAGAAAGGUAUCGAUGGGGGUACUAUUUUCUUCGAAGAUGCUUCUUACACUUCGCAGUAAUAUAGCAUAAGUUCCCUGAGCGCGCUUUGUCUGUUACAGCCUUAUGGCCUGAUUGCCUGGUUAUUGGAAACACCAUCGAUAUUCUCAACAGAUGGAGUACAUAACACUUUUCGGUCCUUGACCGAAGAGGGAGAAGCCGAUGGUCGGUUAAGACGCGUUUAAAGUUCGGUUGAACAUAGAUAUGAUAUAAGUACUUCGGUACAUGCAAUCAUUCUUUUACCCAAGUCACUUGGGGGCUCUUAAAUUUAUGUGAGCCGUUUUAUGAUAAGUGUUCUUCUUCUUAGUCGUUCCAAAGUUUUAUUAUUAUUAUCAUUAUUAUUAUUAUCUAUCACUCCUUUUUUCGACACGAGCGUGUGGUCACUAGCCGGGGAGCCUAAUUUCUCUCUCAAUGCCGCUAGAGUUUAGUUUGCUAAAGUGGCCUAAUGAGAAGUACUUCGCCCUCGGGAUAGGAGGUUGAAGCCAUAGGCUGACCCGCUUGAAGUCUUGAGAUAGGAUGUGUCAUGUUAAAGCACGACAGAAGCACUUUUUUUGCCAAUUUUCGGAUUGGCACCGAACACGUGAUCUUGCUUGGAUGUCAAGUUUUUACUGACGUUUUUUUGGUUUUCCAAGCUUGUGGCACUUUUAAACUAUUUGUGUGUUUUCAGCACAAGUCUCGUAGUGCAACACCGGACACCUUUAGAGAUUCGGCAAAAACAUUCUUGGAUAUUGCUAUAUAUGCAUCGGUUUCGAAUUGUGUCUUCGGUCAAUAGUUGGGUUGCCCGGCUCCUGCUCUUGCCUCUUAUGUUCCGCUUUGUUUGGCUAGGUGUGCAAAGGGAGAACCACUGCGAUUGUGCUUCCACCUGACAUGGUUAAGCACCUCAGUGGAGAAAGCCGAAAACUGACUGUCACAAUAAGCGUAAACUGGUCAGCGAUCCAAUGACGGUGUUAAAUGACGGGCCAUUAAUAACAAUGGACGAAGUGUUUACGGCUUGACCUCGACUGUCGCCGAACACUACCUGGGGCUAUUACCUGGCCUCCCAAACUAAAUCCUCAAUAUUUUGCUCUUACAUUAGAGCUGAGGUUUCAUGAUCAUGCUUAGCAUGACAACCCAAAGAAAGAAACCAAUAGCGGGACUAUUUUCUUUGGAAGACAUUUCUUAUGUUAAACCAUAAUAUAACAUAUCUCUCUGCGUACCUUUGUUUAUAAAACCGUAUGGCUAGAUUGCCUUGUUUGUCGUAAAUCUUUACCCUCAUAAAGGCUUUAUAAAGUAGGACAAACACUCCUCGGCUACUGGCCGAGGAGGUGGAAGCCGAUGGUCGGUCAACAAAGUUUUGUACAAUGCGGAUCCAAGCAUUAAUGACGUAAAGUACUUGGAUACAUAGAGUCAUUACACAUAAUUUGUGAUUUUACUAUGUAUAUUGAUCCUUAAUUCGGCCACCCAUGCCCGCAUUAAGGCUCGGGGGCUACUGGGCUCUGGGCUUAUUAUUUACAAAUAUUAAAGGGGCACAUCGAUCCCCUGAUCUGGUGUUGCCACCCGACCAGUGUCUCAGGGGCUACUGCAUUGCCUAUCCAAUGCAAAAAAUUUUAAGUGCAAUACAGUUUCUGAGGAGAUUUUGAUCCUUAGGUUGGUUGGCCGCACCCAACCCGAGUCUCGAGGACUGAGCAUGCCGCUUUUUGUGUCCCGAAGUAUCCUGCCGAGCUAGGACUUGAUCCUCAGGCCGAUUUUACAAAUCAACGUGAGUCUCAGCAGCUACUGGGAUCAGCGGUCUUACGUCAUCCUUCAGGUGCAUCUCGGGUUUUAAACCGACACACACCUUGAGGGAUACUGGCUAUAUAUCUCGGCAGAGAAUAAAUUGCACCAAUCAAAAAUAUUGAGAAAAAAUACCUCGAAUGCUAUCCGGCGUUAGAGGUCGGACGCAAGAGGACACUGCCUCCCGGGAACAACUUCAAACCUGAGGUGUGGCAUAAAAAUAACAAGGCAUUGAUAAAGGCCGGAAACUUAAAGAGGCUCCUGAGAUACCCGACGUGUAAACUUGUCGAAUGCAUUUCGGCGAUCCUCAAGAUCGAAGAUGGGAAGAUUUGUUGAACCAGUUUCCAAGACCGACAACCGAAGAUGAAGAACAGUUCGGAAGAAUCGAGGAGCGUCUCUAACUUGAAGACCAGUUCAGGGGGCUACUGACGGUGUCCUUGACUAGGGGGUACUCACCACGUCAUCUCCCGAUCUGUUAGAUUGGGCCGAGGACCCCCAUGGCCGUAUACUCAUGGGCCAGUUCGGACAGCUUCCGCAUACAUGGAAGAUUCUACAAAACUUGGGGAUCAAGACAAGGACUCCUCCCCACCGGCGUAUUCGGCUAGGACUCUUGUUAUCCUAGGCCUGUGGUGCAUUAUAUAAACCGAGGCCAGGCUAGUCGAUAGAGAUAUACAUACAAUCAUACCAUAGGCUAGCUUCUAGGGUUUAGCUUCUCCGAUCUCGUGGUAGAUCAACUCUUGUAAUACUCAUAUCAUCAAGAAUAAAUCAUGCAGGACGUAGGGUUUUACCUCCAUCAAGAGGGCCCGAACCUGGGUAAAACAUCAUGUUCCCUACCUCCUAUUACCAUCCGCCUUAGACACACAAUUCGGGACCCCCUACCCGAGAUCCGCCGGUUUUGACACCGACACCACCCGUUUGUCUGCGGGCUCAUGUUCUACUAUGGGCUGGAUUUUCAUUAUCUGACCCCCAAUUUCAUCCUCAACAUCUCGGCGUUCAUCGUCGUGUGCGAGGCCUUCCUCCACAUUAGGCCCCAUUUUGGCCUGUGGCUGAAGACCUUCAAUGUCAAACCGAAGGUGGUGGUUGGCCAGCAAGCAGAGUGCGGAGGCGCCAUGGUGGGAAAAAUGCUUAACGUCACCUGGCUCGAAGGCUCCUACAUGGAGACCAUAAAGGGGUGGCAAUCGGGUGGUUCUACAUCACCGAGCCGUGCGACACCAACUGGGUGGCGGCCCCCAUAUUUCUAUCCGGAAUCCCCACGCAGCUCACUUCUUGGAAAGAGUAGGGCUUGUCCUGGGGUUCUUCGGUAGAGCUGACCGGACUCCAGACCUGCAUCACGAACAUGAUGAGCAAGAAAAUCAAGCUCGUCAACGUGGUCCAGGUCAUGCUCUUCCACCGGAUUCUCCCGUGUCAACGACGGGCAUUCAAUUUGUGGGAGUUCGACCCGGCCAAGCACCAGAAGCUGCGAGAGCUCUAUGACACGACGCACAAGGAUGUAUGGAGGGUGCUGUUCAAGGGCGUCGAGGUACCUCCUUCCCUCACCGAGGACCGCGGACUCAGCGCAAAGCGUCGUGCCAAUCCGGUAAGUUUUGAUAUAUCACAGGGUAUUUAUUUACCCCAGUUAAAUCAUGUGAGGGAUCUAAGCUUCCAUGUCAUUAACAGGACUGGAUAAAGACAGCGGAAUAGCUCGAUUGCCCAGCCCGCUCCCUGAAGAUCCUGCAGAUGCUCUCCUAAUAGAGAUGCUGGCUCCGGCACCUUACGAGGUGCCGACAAAGAAGACCAAGAAGAAGGCCACGAGGACCCAAAAGGGUCUCCGGUGCAAGGUUGUAUCGGACUCAUCGCCCUAUGACUCCGACGCGCCCUCCUCCCAUGAAAAUGAGGAGGAGCAGGAGGAAAGCUCUCCCCCCAGCCGGGGGAGACAAGAAAAGGAAGGCCAACCCAACCGGGGAGGCCGAAGGGUCCAAGAAGGGAAGGACCCUCCCUCCGUACUGCUCCACGACGGCCGCCUACAGUGGCGACGAGUGGCUACCCAGGGUCAAGCCCCUGGCGAAGCCGUAAGUAUCCAGACACAUAGUAAUUCAUGGUAUGUUUUAUUGCACUACUUCUCCUCAUGCUGAACAUGAUUAUGCAGUCCGUCCCGAGCUUGUUGAUGGAGUCAUGUACCUAGGGUAGGGUCACAGACCUGAUCUAAGUACCCUGCCCAAGGACACCCUUAGAAGAGAUCACCUUCCAGUCGACCUACAAGGGACUCACUCGACUGACUUGAAGGACUCGACCACGAAGACUCACUCGACCACCAGAAGGUCAAGAGGCACUCUGCACUGCAACGGCCUGUAAUUAAGUAGACUUUAUGAUAGUAAAGACACUUUAUGUGGGGCGUUACCAGUAACACCCCGGACUUAAUGUACCUUAAACCCUUCAUUACGUGGGUUGGCUGGGGUCCUGGCGCACUCUAUAUAAGCCACCCCCCUCCACAGGCAGAGGGGUUCGGCACCUUGUAAUCCAUAUACACAUAAUCCACUCAACCGCCUCCGGGCUCCGAGACGUAGGGCUUUUACUUCCUCCGAGAAGGGCCUGAACUCGUACAUCUCUUGUGUUUACAACCUCUCCAUAGCUAGGACCUUGCCUCUCCAUACCUACCCCCCACUCUACUGUCAGACUUAGAUCCACGACAGUUGGCGCCCACCAUGGGGCGGGUGUUUUAGCGAUUUUGUGGAGAAGUUGCGAUUCUUCCAAGUACUUUCAUCAUGGUAGCUGCUGGAGUUUUGGUCGAGGGUCGAGAGAUUCGUCUCGGUGCCCUCACCUUCGUCGCCGACGACUCCGCCUGGCUCCAGGAGGCUCCACUCGACGUCGAUGCGCUCCCCAUCCGCGGUGCGACGCAUUUUCGCGCAUGUGUCCGCGGCGUUCUGCUGCGGCAACCGUCGACCCCAUAUCGGUCGACUCCCCUAUCGACCACCCUCCCGGUCCCCCGCCAGUGCAAGCGCUCGGGUCGGUCGAGGCUUUAGCGGUGGGUGAGACACGCGGUGGCUCGCCAGACGGCCACCACCCAAGUUGCGGCAAUCGAGCCCGACGAAUCUCUCUACGGCCUGUUCGAUCUGUCGACUGGCUCCGUAGAGACUGCAUCCGAAUGCGAUAGCAGUGAUCCAGCGGCAGAAAUCCUGAUGGUCGACGGGCCUCGCAGCCCCCCUGGCUUCGCCCGUGAUGGUGGGGCAGGCGACGGAGGCGACCCCGCACGAGACCACGAAGAGUACCAGCCCGAGCCACUCGACUCUCUGCAAAGAGAAGAACUUCGCCGCAGGAACAUGGAUGCCCUGCAUACUCCCAUCACAGGAGAAACCCCCGAGGCUCGCGCCUUGGAGGAGGCACGUUUGGCCAAUUUGGCCGAACGCGCUCGCCUGGAGAAUCUUCAGCGAGCACUCGACGAGCGCGCGCGGCAACGAGUUCCCGACGCCAGUCGACGUUAACUCUUCCCGCCGACUCAGGUAUAUCGAACCCCAAUCCAGAAUUUAGCAGCUGCGACCCGUAUAGCAGAGUCCAUCCAGCCCUCUCAGUCGGAAGCUGGCAGAGGCUUGAUGCAGAUCAAGGAUCUGCUCCGGGCAGCAGGAGAUCAGAAUUCAGCCGUGUCGCAGUCGCGCAACAGAAUUCACAGUCGAUCCGUCGCUGCGAAUACGGUUCAGUCGGCUCACAGUCCCAGAUCGCCUCCGCGGCGUGAGGGGCGCGAGAAUCGGCGAGACCAAUAUGGAGACCGACACGACCGAGAUGAUAGGUGUCGAGUGCCCACUUCCCCUCUGAGGGGUGGGUCUUACGCUCCUCGGCAGCAAGAUGACAGACGUCAGCUCAGUGCGGGGCGAAGAGUUCCAGUCGACCCCAGGGAACCAGGCUUCGACGCGUGAUCCAUUAUCGUGCAAGGCUUGGUCGACCGGAACAGAGCCCAUCGAGGUGGACUCGACAGAGAUGCGGCCACGAGCAGUCGAGUGCACGUUUCUGGUCCGGAAUGUUUCAGUAGAGCUAUCAGAGCCGCAGUGAUUCCUCCCAAUUUCAGGUUGGCAACAGGAGUCAGCAAGUUCACCGGUGAGUCUAAGCCUGAAAUUUGGCUUGAGGACUACCGAGUGGCAGUUCAGAUUGGUGGUGGGAAUGACGAGGUGGCCAUGAAGCAUUUGCCCCUUAUGUUGGAAGGUUCCGCCAGAGCGUGGUUGAAUCAGUUACCUCCUAGCAGCAUUUACACUUGGGAAGAUCUGUCCCGAGUGUUCGUCAGAACAUUUGAAGGAACUUGCAAGCGACCGGCUGGAUUGAUGGAGCUGCAAGUCUGCGUGCAGAAGACCAAUGAGACUCUCAGGGAGUAUGUUCAGAGAUGGAUCACUUUGCACCAUACUGUGGAGAAUGUGUCUGAUCAUCAGGCAGUCUGCGCCUUCAAGGAUGGUGUCAAGAACAGAGAAUUGAGUUUGAAAUUUGGUCGAACCGGAGACAUGACCUUGAGUCAGAUGAUGGAAAUUGCUACCAAGUACGCCAAUGGUGAAGAAGAAGACCGACUCCGAAGUGGCAAGCACAAGCCGAGCCAGUCGGAGAAGGGAAACACCAGUCGGAAACAGAAGUGGAAGGCUGAACCGGCAGCUCCUGGAGUGGCUCUGGCCAUGGCUCAUGGAAAGUUUAAAGGGAAACCAAAAGGAUCCUGGAACCCUAAGAAGGUAAAGGAUAAAGAAGGGAACGACGUGAUGGAUAUGCCGUGUCAUAUCCACACGAAGAAAGACAAAGAGGGGAAUAUCAUUUACCCAAAGCAUACCACUCGCCAAUGUCGACUCCUGAUCCAGCAGUUUCAAGGAAAACAGUCUAAAGACAAGGAAAAGGAGUCGGACAAGGCCGAAGACAAGGAGGACAGUGAGGAAGGAUAUCCGCAUAUCAACUCCACUCUGAUGAUCUUUGCAGAUGUGGAAAGCAAGAGUCGAUUGAAAGUCAUUAACCGCGAGGUGAACAUGGUUACCCCAGCAAAAGCAAAUUAUCUGAGAUGGUCCCAAACACCCAUCACAUUCGACCAAUCUGAUCACCCGACUCAUAUUGCCACCCCUGGGAGGCAAGCUCUGGUGGUCGAUCCAGUUGUCGAAGGCACUCGACUGACAAAAGUGCUGAUGGACGGUGGUAGCGGGCUGAAUUUGUUGUAUGCAGACACACUGAAAGGAAUGGGCAUUCCGAUGUCCCGACUGAGCACCAGUAACAUGAGCUUUCAUGGAGUUAUACCAGGGAAGAAAGCCGAGUCACUCGGCCAAAUAGCUCUGGACGUGGUGUUUGGUGAUUCGAAACAUUUUCGCAAAGAGAAGUUGACGUUUGAGGUCGUGGAUUUUCAGAGUGCAUAUCAUGCCAUCUUGGGGAGACCAGCUUAUGCACGGUUCAUGGCUCGACCAUGUUACGUGUACCUCAAAUUGAAGAUGCCAGGCCCCAAAGGAGUGAUCACUGUCACCGGUGAUCGGAAAAAGGCAGAAGAGUGCUUUCAGAAGGGCUCAAAGAUUGUUGAUUCCCAGGUGACAGCGGUUGAGUUUGAAGAAUACAAGCAAAACGCAGAUCCGAGUGAUUUGCUGCGAUCCAAGAAACCCACCACAGAAUCUGCAUUUCAGUCGUCCGGUGAGACAAAGCCUAUUCACAUUCACCCGACCGACCCCGAUGCAGCACCGACCCACAUCUCCACAACACUCGACCCGAAAUAGGAAGAAGCGCUCAUCCAGUUCCCCCGUGAGAACUGGGACAUUUUUGCAUGGAAGCCCGCUGACAUGCCAGGUGUUCCCAGGGGACUGGCUGAGCAUCGCCUAAGAGUCGACUCAUCAGCAAAACCAGUCAAAGAGCAUCUUCGGCGGUCCGCCGUCCAGAAGAGAAAAGCCAUUGGUGAGGAAGUGGCUCGACUGUUGGCAGCAGGAUUUAUCCGAGAGAUAUACCACUCCGAGUGGCUCGCUAAUGUCGUCAUGGUUCCUAAGAAGGACAAAUCGCUCCGAAUGUGCAUUGAUUUCAAGCACAUCAACCGGGCCUGCCCGAAAGAUCAUUUUUCUCUCCCUCGCAUAGAUCAAAUUGUUGACUCGACCGCGGGAUGAGAGAGAUUGUCUUUUCUAGACGCCUACUCCGGGUACCACCAGAUCCGUCUGUACGGACCCGACGAGGUAAAAACAGCUUUCAUCACUCCAUUCGGGUGCUUCUGCUAUAUCACCAUGCCAUUCGGCCUCAAGAAUGCCGGAGCCACAUUUAUGCGAAUGAUUCAGAAGUGUCUACUCACUCAAAUCAGUCGGAAUGUGGAAGCGUAUAUGGAUGAUAUCGUCGUCAAGUCACGAAAAGGUUCCGACCUGCUCGCUGACCUCGCCGAAACAUUUGCCAACCUCAGAAGGUAUGAUAUCAAGCUCAAUCCAUCAAAGUGCACAUUCGGAGUUUCUGGUGGCAAGUUACUCGGUUUUCUCGUUUCCGAGCGAGGGAUCGACGCUAAUCCAGAAAAGAUCGGCACCAUUCUCCGAAUGAAACGCCCUGUGCGAGUGCACGAUUUCCAGAAGCUUACUGGAUGCUUAGCCGCAUUAAGUCGAUUCAUCUCACGACUCGGUGAAAAGGCAUUGCCUCUUUACCGACUGAUGAAGAAGGCAGACAAGUUCGAGUGGACUCCAGAAGCUGAUGCAGCAUUUGCCGAGCUAAAAGCUCUGCUCUCCACCCAGCCGGUGCUUGCUGCUCCAAUCAGCAAAGAGCCUCUGUUGCUUUAUAUCGCAGCCACAGGACAAGUCGUUAGUACAGUGCUUACGGUCGAGCGGGAAGAAGAAGGAAAAGCUUUCAAAGUUUAGCGCACAGUGUAUUAUUUGUCUGAAGUCUUGACUCCAUCCAAGCAGAGAUAUCCUCAUUAUCAGAAGCUUGUGUAUGGAAUAUACAUGACCACAAAGAAGGUUGCUCAUUAUUUCUCUGAUCAUUCCAUCACAGUCGUCAGCGAUGCUCCACUAUCAGAGAUUUUGCACAACAGAGAUGCAACUGGUCGAGUGGCGAAAUGGGCGAUUGAACUUCUUCCCCUUGAUAUCAAGUUUGAGGCAAAGAAAGCCAUUAAGUCCCAGGCAAUAGCAGAUUUCCUCGCCGAGUGGAUUGAACAGCAGCAGCCGACUGAAGUCCACUCGGAGCAUUGGACCAUGUUUUUUGAUGGCUCUAAGAUGUUGAAUGGUUCCGGUGCUGGGGUUGUCCUGGUUUCCCCCAGAGGAGAUAAGCUCAGAUAUGUGCUCCAGAUUCACUUUGAUUGCUCCAACAAUGAGGCAGAGUAUGAGGCCCUCUUAUACGGAUUGCGCAUGGCCAUUUCACUCGGCGUCCGUCGCCUGAUGGUCUAUGGCGAUUCAGAUUUAGUGGUCAACCAAGUGAUGAAGGAGUGGGACGUGAGAAGCCCAGCCAUGACUGGAUACUGCAGUGCAGUGAGGAAGCUGGAAAAGAAGUUCGAGGGGUUGGAGCUCCAUCAUAUACCCCGACUGAAAAAUCAAGCAGCUGAUGGUCUAGCAAAGAUAGGUUCCAAGAGAGGAGCCAUUCCGAGUGGUGUGUUCUUGGAGCAUAUACACACUCCGUCGGUCAAAGAAGAUCCUUUCACCGAAGAAGCUCCACAGCCCAAGAGUGCCACAGAUCCGACUGAGGUUGAAGUCCCAGCAGUGGUCGACUUAGUCAUGGAGGUCUUGGUGGUCAUUCCCGACUGGACAGUUCCGUAUAUCGCGUAUAUCCUGAGAAAAGAGCUCCCGGAGGAUGAGGAAGAGGCUCGACAGAUCGUCCAUCGAUCUAAAGCCUUUACCGUAAUCAAAGGACAGCUAUAUAGAGAAAGCGCGACUGGAGUUGGUCAGAAGUGCAUAACACCAGAAGAAGGUCGAAUCAUCCUUAACGAUAUCCACUCAGGAACCUGUGGUCAUCAUGCGUCCUCUCGGACCAUCAUGGCCAAAGCAUACCGAGCCGGAUUUUACUGGCCAAAGGCGAAUGAGAUGGCAAAGGAAAUAGUGGAUAAGUGCGAGGGAUGUCAGUUCUACUCGAAUAUGUCACACAAGCCUGCAUCAGCUCUGAAGACCAUUCCACUCGUCUGGCCUUUCGCAGUAUGGGGGUUGGACAUGGUCGGUCCUUUGAGAACAGGGCAAAGUGGCUUCACGCAUGUACUGGUGGCAGUCGACAAGUUCACCAAGUGGAUUGAGGCUAAACCAAUCAAGAACCUUGACGCCGGUGCUGCUGUUAGCUUCAUCAGGGAACUGAUAUUCAGAUAUGGAGUCCCGCACAGCAUCAUUACGGAUAAUGGGUCGAACUUUGACUCGGAAGAAUUCAGGGAUUUCUGCAACUCUCAAGGCACACGAGUCGACUACGCUUCGGUCGCCCAUCCGCAGACGAAUGGACAAGCAGAGCGAGCCAAUGGCCUGAUUCUCAAGGGAUUGAAACCCCGACUGAUGCGUGAUCUCAAGCAUGCAGCUGGAGCUUGGGUCGACGAACUUCCCUCGGUGCUUUGGGGACUGCGGACCACACCUAAUCGGUCGACCGGAAGAACUCCAUUCUUCUUGGUCUACGGAGCUGAAGCAGUCCUGCCGAGUGAUCUUCUCCACAAUGCUCCUCGAGUUGAGAUCUACAACGAAGCAGAAGCUGAACAAGCGCGGCAAGACGCAGUCGACCUUUUAGAGGAAGAAAGAGAGAUGGCUCUGACCCGAUCGACCAUUUACCAACAAGAUUUGCGUCGUGUCCACGCCAGAAAUGUGAGGGGUCGAGCCUUCCAGGAAGGAGAUUUAGUUCUCCGAGUGGAUCAGAAGAAACCUCACAAGCUUGCUCCUUCUUGGGAAGGACCCUUCAUUGUCACCAAAGUUCUCCACAACGGGGCGUACCGUCUUUAGAACGUCAAACAUAAUAUCGACGAGCCCCGAGCUUGGAACGCGGAACUACUCCACCCAUUUUACACUUAAGUUUAUCACUCGGAUGAGUUGCAAUAAAGUACUCCUGUAGUUCAUGGAUUUCAAAAUAAUAGUGUCAUAGUUCCUCCAUAAUUUUUGUCACUUUUUAUUUUUGUCCAAUAAAAUUUUCCCCUCAGUGGGUGACUUAGCCGCGAAUCCGUUUCGCCUAAGUUUGUAAAAAUCCUUACCGAGUGGUGAGCCAGACUCCCACUCGGAGGCUUAGCUGCGAAUCCGUUUCGCGUAAGAUUAAAUAAAAUCCUUACCGAGUGGUGAGCCAGACUCCCACUCGGAGGCUUAGCUGCGAAUCCGUUUCUCCUAAGAUUAAAUAAAAUCCUACCGAGUAUUAAGCCUGACUUCCACUCGGGGGCUUAGCUGCAGCCCAGUGCUCGCCUAAGUUAUAAAAAUCCUACCGAGUGGUAAGCCAGACUUCCACUCGGAGGCUUAGCUGCAGUCCAAGUACUCGCCUAAGUUAUCAAAAUCCUACCGAGUGGUAAGCCAGACUUCCACUCGGGGGCUUAGCUGCAGCCCAGUGCUUGGCUAAGUUAUAAAAAUCCUACCGAGUGGUAAGCCAGACUUCCACUCGGAGGCUUAGCUGCAGUCCAAGUACUCGCCUAAGUUGUCAAAAUCCUACCGAGUGGUAAGCCAGACUUCCACUCGGAGGCUUAGCUGCAGUCCCAGUGCUCGCCUAAGAUAUAAAAAUCCUACCGUGUGAAGAGCAAACCUCUCACUCGGAGGCUUAGCUGCGGUCCAAGUACUNNNNNNNNNNNNNNNNNNNNNNNNNNNNNNNNNNNNNNNNNNNNNNNNNNNNNNNNNNNNNNNNNNNNNNNNNNNNNNNNNNNNNNNNNNNNNNNNNNNNNNNNNNNNNNNNNNNNNNNNNNNNNNNNNNNNNNNNNNNNNNNNNNNNNNNNNNNNNNNNNNNNNNNNNNNNNNNNNNNNNNNNNNNNNNNNNNNNNNNNNNNNNNNNNNNNNNNNNNNNNNNNNNNNNNNNNNNNNNNNNNNNNNNNNNNNNNNNNNNNNNNNNNNNNNNNNNNNNNNNNNNNNNNNNNNNNNNNNNNNNNNNNNNNNNNNNNNNNNNNNNNNNNNNNNNNNNNNNNNNNNNNNNNNNNNNNNNNNNNNNNNNNNNNNNNNNNNNNNNNNNNNNNNNNNNNNNNNNNNNNNNNNNNNNNNNNNNNNNNNNNNNNNNNNNNNNNNNNNNNNNNNNNNNNNNNNNNNNNNNNNNNNNNNNNNNNNNNNNNNNNNNNNNNNNNNNNNNNNNNNNNNNNNNNNNNNNNNNNNNNNNNNNNNNNNNNNNNNNNNNNNNNNNNNNNNNNNNNNNNNNNNNNNNNNNNNNNNNNNNNNNNNNNCUACCGAGUGAAGAGCAAACCUCUCACUCGGGGGCUUAGCUGCAGCCCAGUGCUCGCCUAAGAUAUAAAAAAUCCUACCGAGUGAAGAGCAAACCUCUCACUCGGGGGCUUAGCUGCAGCCCAGUGCUCGCCUAAGAUAUAAAAAUCCUACCGAGUGAAGAGCAAACCUCUCACUCGGGGGCUUAGCUGCAGCCCAGUGCUCGCCUAAGAUAUAAAAAUCCAACCGAGUGAAGAGCAAACCUCUCACUCGGGGGCUUAGCUGCAGCCCAGUGCUCGCCUAAGUGGAUUAAGGAAUAAGUCGACUGCGGUGAGCGUCUUGCUUGAACCUGCAAAAGACAUUUCAAGCCAAAAGCAAUCAUAUUCAAACAUCAAAUUCAAGUUCGGAACGACACCUAAAGGAACCGAAAGUGCUCAGGCGCUAAGCCUGUUAAGGUUUAUCGGUUACAACUCCACUCGGCAUACCGAGGCAAAUUUAAAGCGUCGAGCUUAAAAGAAGUUUUUUACUCCUCCUGUGAAGGGCUGGAAGGUGCAACAAAUUCAUCAAGAUCAAUCCCGUCAGCGAUCCGAGUGGCAGCAGCAAUGAAAGUUUCCAUAAAGGACCUGAAGUCGUGUUUCUUGGUGUUGGCCACCCGGAGGGCCGCCAGCUUGUCUUCUCGCACAUCUUUGUAGUGGACUCGGGCCAGACACAGAGCAACAUCUGCACCGCACCGAGACGAGGACUUUUUCCACUCCUGCACUCGACCCGGGACCGUGUUCAAGCGAGCCACCAGCGACUCGAGGUCGUUCUGGAGUGUCUCCCUGGGCCAGAGCGUCGAGUUGAUGCGAGAUGUGGCGACCUUCAGCCUUGCAAGAUAGUCCACAACAGCUGCAACACGGGACUCCAGUCGGAAAACAUUCAUGGCAACUUCGUCGUUCACUGGAGAAUUGACAGGGUCAAGGUUUGGUUCUAGCCGGCUAGUCUCUUCUUCAAAGUCUUGACAAAAUUCUCCAAGGAUGAUCACCGAGUCAAGGCAAUGGUCGAAUGGAAAAAUCAUAGUUGAAAAUGAUUGUUGAGCAUAAAGGUUUACCUUCAAGCAUAAGGAACAGCUUCUUGGCAAGAUCACUCAGGAAGGCCUCGAGAUCAUUUUUCUUCUCAAGAGAAGCUUUCAGAUUGGUAUUUUCUUGUUCAAGCUUGGUGGCUGAAGCUAACUUCUCGUCGGCAAGCUUGAUCCUCUCAGCUAGUUCAAGGUCUUUUUUCUGUUGGGCCUCCUUUACCUUACCUGCAAGUUACAGCAAGAUCAGAUUUCGAAACAAGUAAAGGGAAAAAACAGUCGUCGAGAUCUCACCAAACAUACCUUUAGUCUCCUCCUUUGCCUUCGUCAGAUUCUCCUGAGCCAGCUUCAAAUCCAGCUCAAGCUGAAUGUGUUUGUUUUCCAGCUCAGUGUAGCGAGCCGCAAGGUCACAGGAUCUCUGCGAAGAAUCAAUCGACUAAAUGUCAAAGAUAAUUCACUUCCGAGUGAAAAAGGAAAAAUCAUGCAUUUCUAAGACUACAGUCGAAUACAAGCAUUUGACCGUAGUCUCGGGGACUACACCCAGUGGGUGCACUCAGCGUGCCCCCACUAAUCCUGUUGAAGACAGAGUCGACCAGUCGACCUCAAAAAAAAACAACAUGUAUUCUUUAAGACUGUAAUCGACUGCAAGCAGUCGACCACAGUCUCGGGGACUACACCCAGUGGGUGCACUCAGCGUGCCCCCACCGGUUUGCGAAAUCCAGUCGCCAUAGUCGAAUGACGGAAAGACUGAACUUAUAAAGCCUAAGGCCGACUGCCAGCAGUCGACCUUAGACUUGGGGACUACACCCAGCGGGUGCACUCAGCGUGCCCCCGCUAACACGGAGUUUAAAUCGACACACCCACUGGGUGAUUACUAUAAAUUCUGGAAAGAAAACAAGCGGUGGUCGACUGACCUGAACAUUGCUUUGAAGGGCGGAACUGGCGUCGUAAGCUGCCUGGCUCGCAUCCCGGAUGGUCUUCAACUGCUCCAUCAUGAUCCCUGCCUGGCGUAUCGCCUCCUUCGUGGCAUCAGCUUGGUCCUCUGGGACGUGGUGCGUCGUGAAGAGGGAGGGCUGCAGAGCACUCGUCAGUGGAUCUGCGAAGGACACAGUGUGUCGAGUGGUGUUUUCCUCCUCUGCGACCAGAGUCUCAGGCACCGUCACAUCCUGGGGCACCCUGCCGGCAGACGCUUUCCUACUCCUUCUGUGCUUCAGCGGCUCCUCAUCUUCAUCAUCAUCAGGGAGAGUGAUAACAACAUUGGAUGGAGCUACAGAAAAGAAUCAGAAUUAGAGAUCAUGAGUCAGUCGACUAGAAACGGUGUUAAGAGCAUAGUACCAGGUUUUGAGGUUGCUGCGUCCUCCAUCUCAUGGUCGUCAGCCCGGGCUGAGGUCUCAGAAGUAGCAGCACUGCAACUCCAAAGAUUCAGUCGACUAACUUCAGCGCCAACCAGAGAUAAUGUUCGCACAAAACAAGAAGACUCAAGCAGCAUGAUUACCCUGAUAUGGUGGGGAUGGACACCUUCAUCUUCGGCAGGAGCUUGGUCGGCUUUGACGGGGCCGCCCUGGGCUGCUUCGACGCCUUUUCAGUCGGCGCCGGAGAGGUGGUCCGAGGGCGCUUGGUCGACUGUGUAACAGUCGCAACCCCCUUGCCACGUUCAGUCGCAGGGUCAUGGACAAGUUUCGACCGCCUUUCCGAGCGCGGUGGUGCGACCUCCUCCUCCUCCUCCUCUUCCUCGUCCUCAUCGUCAUCAUCAUCAUCGUCAUCAUCAUCAUCAUCAUCCUCAACGGCGUCCGAGUCCCACUCCUCCUCCUGGCUCUCGCCCCCGCUCGCUUCUCCCUCCUCGGUCGGAGCCUGUGCUCCAUUGGGCAUCGAGUACAGCUCAGUGAGGGCCUGAUAGACAUCAAGACAAAGAUCAGUCGACCGAUCGGCAGAGCAAACAGAAAUAAAUGUGGCGAGAGUACAAUGGGAAGUGGAGCAGACAUACCUUGUUUGGAUCACUGUGGCAGUCGAGUGGAGGAAUCCUUCUGGCUCCGCGAGGGUUAUCCUUGUUCCCAGUAACAGCCGCCAUCCACCUUUCCAGAGUGGCAUCGUCGACUGCUUCUGGGUUGACCCGAGUCACCUCCUCAGUCCCGCAGUACAACCACAUGCAAUGGCUCUGGAACUGAAGAGGCUAGAUACGACGCCUAAGAAAAACCUCCAGGAGAUCCAUACCCGUCACUCCCUCCCGAACCAACUGAACUACACGCUCCAUCAGCAUCUUCACGUCAGCUUUCUCCUCCGAAAUCACCUUCAGAGAGGAGGGCUUGUUCACUCGGCCCAUGGUGAACUGAGGGAGUCCACUCGACUGCCCCGGCAUCGACUGAUCCUGGCAGUAGAACCAGGUCGACUGCCAGCCUCUGACUGAUUCGGGAAAUGUCAUGGCUGGGAAGGUGCUCUUGUUCCUCAUCUGGAUCCCCAGACCCCCACACAUUUGGACAACUCGGGUUUUUUCGUCGCCUGGGCUCGCCUUCUUCACGGUCUGAGAGCAACACAUGAAUAUGUGCUUGAACAAACCCCAAUGCGGUCGACAACCCAGGAAACUCUCACACAUGGACACAAACGCGGCAAGAUAGGCGAUAGAAUUCGGGGUGAAGUGGUGGAGUUGCGCUCCAAAAAAGUUCAAGAAACUACGGAAGAAAAUGCUCGGCGGCAAAGAAAAUCCGCGGUCGACAUGGGUAGCCAGAAGCACGCACUCACCCUCUUCCGGCUGGGGCUGCCACUCUUUCCCCGGAAGCCUCGCAGCUCCAUGGGGGAUCAGGCCCUCGUUGGCCAUGUCGAGGAGAUCCUUCUCCGUGAUGGUCGACUGGAUCCAAUCUCCCUGGACCCAGCCUUUCGGCAGGCGAGAUCUAGACGAAGACCCGCCACGACUGGUGGAUCUCCCCUUCGCCUUCUCCGUCGCUAACGCCUUCUUCGCGCGUUCCAACGCCGCCGUCUUCUCCUUGACCAUGGUUGCCGGCGGGACGCGCGAGGGGAGGUUGUGCGGAGGCGGGAGCGAGCGCGUUAGGCGGAGACGAAGGGAACAGAGGGAGAAUGCUGAGGCACUGUUCAAAAAACCCUCGCCGGGCGCAUUUAUAAGAUCCCUUCUGAGUGGAUGACAGGUGGGCCCGGUCGAUCUAAUCAUAUCCUGAACAGUUACGCGAACGCGAUACGUGGCAAAAAAAGCGGUGCGGGGAUCGAGGCGUCUAUGCCCUGUCCCGUCCGAACACCGCGGUCCGCCCCGCUUCACGCGCUUCCCCAAAUUUCGCAUCCUGCGGAAUCCGCGAACGGCAGAUCGGUCUACCAAACGCGGGAUUUCCUACGAUCCGUCGCUCGGAAAUCGGCGAAGUCCAAAAGAUCACUCGACGAAGGAAAAGAAUGGAUCGAGUCGACUGAAGAAAAGUUGCUCACUAUCAACAAAGAGAUUUUUUCAAAACAACGCACGACCAGUACGCGAAGGCUAAUCGGAAACAACAUCAACACCUACAUCACUCGAGCCUCAAUCCAUUCGGGGGCUAAUGAUGGAGUCAUGUACCUAGGGUAGGGUCACAGACCUGAUCUAAGUACCCUGCCCAAGGACACCCUUAGAAGAGAUCACCUUCCAGUCGACCUACGAGGGACUCACUCGACUGAUUUGAAGGACUCGACCACGAAGACUCACUCGACCACCAGAAGGUCAAGAGGCACUCUGCACUGCAACGGCCUGUAAUUAAGUAGACUUUAUGAUAGUAAAGACACUUUAUGUGGGGCGUUACCAGUAACGCCCCGGACUUAAUGUACCUUAAACCCUUCAUUACGUGGGUUGGCUGGGGUCCUGGCGUACUCUAUAUAAGCCACCCCCCUCCACAGGCAGAGGGGUUCGGCACCUUGUAAUCCAUAUACACAUAAUCCACUCGACCGCCUCCGGGCUCCGAGACGUAGGGCUUUUACUUCCUCCGAGAAGGGCCUGAACUCGUACAUCUCUUGUGUUUACAACCUCUCAAUAGCUAGGACCUUGCCUCUCCAUACCUACCCCCCACUCUACUGUCAGACUUAGAUCCACGACACUUGUCUCGACGUAUCUUCGUCGAGCGGUUCAUUGGACUCGUCAGAUAUGAAUAGCGGUUCUCUUCCGACCGCCUCCACCCCUCGCACUAUGGACAACGUUGAGGUGUUGUCUCGAAAGGCACCAAGCCGGGGGGAGGUGGUCCUGGGGGAUGUAAGGCCCCAGACACACCCGUCGGUGGUCGUUACUCCUGGCGGCAUCUAGACUGGCCCCACAGAUCAAUACUAGUCUUUUCUGUGCACUUUGUCCUCACUCAUGCACACCCGGGAGCAACUUCCCGGUCGGUCACCCAACCUGGCACUACUCCAAGCUGAGCACGCUUAACUUUGGAGUUCUGUCCGAAUGGGCUCCCAGAAAAGAAGGAAUUCCUUAUUGAUAUGAGUAGUCUAUCAUCCCUAAUAAGCCAGGCCAUUACAUACACCCCCACUCAGAGGAACCGAUGUCCUCGUCGGGCCACAGGAAUGUUCCCUCUUGGCACAUACGUCUGUGCUUCCAGUCCAGUACAUGUGCCAUGCCGUGUGCCAUGACGGGUCACAAACAUCAUGAACAACAUGACCACGCACCUGUCCGCAACCAUCCGUGUAACCGCGAGGGUCGGCUCUGAUACCAACUUGUAACGCCCCGGAUACACCCGCCGGUGGUCGUUACUCCUGGCGGGAUCUAGACUGGCCCCACAGAUCAAUACUAGUCUUUUCUGUGCACUUUGUCCUCACUCAUGCACACCCGGGAGCAACUUCCCGGUCGGUCACCCAUCCUGGCACUACUCCAAGCUGAGCACGCUUAACUUCGGAGUUCUGUCCGAAUGGGCUCCCGGAAAAGAAGGAAUUCCUCAUUGAUAUGAGUAGUCUAUCAUCUCUAAUAAGCCAGGCCAUUAUAGGAGCGCCUCGAGGCGACCUCCCAGACCCUGGGCGCAAAGGGAGCAAAACUCCCACGGGCUCCGAGUUCGGCCACCAGCUGAACACUGCACUAGAACCUUCGAUGGUUCCAGACUCCGGCAGGCGAUCCCCCGUUAAGGGGGGCCAGCCGCCCGUGCUGGUGUCCUCUGUCCAUCCAGAGGCACCAGACAACUUGCUGGAAGCGCUUCGCGGCGCUUCCAUCGACGAAGAGCACUGCACUAUCAUGAGUGCAGUGAUCGAGAAAGUUCAGUCCACCAAAAACGGACUGACCGAAGCUUGCGGCAGCCAACUAACAGGCUUUGAGGUAAGCAAUCAAAAUAUAUAUAAAGAAAUAUUACCGCAUAGAUAGUAGCCCCUGAUGCUCUGUUCAGCGUUCAAGAAGAAAGGCCGAAUAGAGGAUCAAAUGAUAACUUAGGAGUCUAAUCAGAAUAUAUCUAUGUGUAUGUGCAGGCUUCACUGCUGGCCGCUGCCGCACGUACUGCGAAGGUCUCUGCACUGAAGCAGGACCUGGAGCGGUCCGAGAACGAGCUCGGCCUUACCAAGAGGUAGCUCGACGAGAGCAAAGGUAAGCAAUACCUUGUCUACGCUUUUAAAAAGAAGUUCAGUUGUAAAAUAAUAGGAUCAUCAUGCAUUUGCCAGAGGCCACGACCAAGGUGGCGACCCCGAAGAAGGCAUUGUCCGAGGCCGAAAACAAAGCGGCCAAGGAGCUCCUUGAGCGGGAAAAGCAAGAAGCCCGAGUAGGCGAGGUGCAGCAAGAGCUCGAGGAUCUCGCCAAGAAACACGAGUCCUUGGAGCUUGACUCUAAGACGCGAGAGUCCGAGCUUGAGAAAGCGCUCGAAAGCGCCCGGAGCGCUAAGGAUGAAGCCCACAAGGCCCUCCAGGAUAUUGAUGCGGUGAAGAAGAUAGCAGCGGGUAAGGCAUCAUUAUGCAAAGCAAGCAUGUGAAGGAAACUUUCCUUUUACUUACCCGAGUUCGGAGCUCUACAGUAGUGUUCGUAGAUCUUCCUCACAGUGUACUGGAUGCCUCAGAGUUUUACCGAGCUCAGGAGGGGAGCUCGACGGAAAAGUUGUUCUGGUCUCAGUAUACUGGGACCAAACACCCAAUGCCUUUGAGUGACCAACUGAAGCAAUUGGUCGAGCUUCACAAGGCGACCGAACAGGCCAUGAGGGGCCUUAUAGUCUGGAUGUGGCCUGGCGAGCCCUGUCCGGCAGCUACUUCGGUCUGGUGAGGCGGCUUGUGGAGGCCUGCCCACGGCUUGAAGUCAUAAAGCGGUCUGUCUGCAUCAAGGGUGCAUGCAGGGCUUUUGCCCGGGCGAAGGUGCACUGGGCGAAGCUGGACGCCGUGAAGCUGGUGAAGGAGGGGCCGGCGGAGGACAAGGAGCAUCGCUGCCCCGAGAUGUAUUAUGAGAGUGUCCUAAAGGGUUCCCGCCUUGUGGCGGAUGAAUGUGCUAGGGAUGUAAUUUUUGAAUGAACAUGCUCAUGUGAUCCUGUAAUGUGAAACAAGUUCAUCUGCGCUAUGUAACACUUUUUUAAUUUAAAAGAUUACCUUUUAUGCGGCCGUUUAUAAAAUCUGAGAGUUGGCCAGUCGUCAGCUUCUGCCCCCAUGAAACUCAUACUGGGGUGUACGGGAUAAACCUAAGCACUCUUUACCCCUAUUUUGGGUCCUUCAAGGGAGGUGUUCAGUGCAACAAACCAGGCAAUCGGACUAUAAGGCUUUAUCACUCUCACUUAGCCAUAGAAGUAUACAUGCCGAAGCCGGGCAAGUCCGACUCCUCGCCCGAAGUAGAAAAAGUCUUUAUGGACUUGAGACCUCUCAAACAGCGACCAGUCUCUCGCCUUAUCAUGAGAGUUAGUUUUCGGCUUUCUCUACUGAGGUGCUCGUCCAAAAGAACCAGGACACAAUCGCAGUAGUUCUCCCACCGCUACCUUAACCGAUAUAGCGGAACGUAAGGUACCAAAGCAUGGGAGCCGGGCAAACGCAACUAUUGACCCAAGACAUGAUUCGGAGCUGAUGCAUAUAAUGCUAUAAGUUCGGGGUGCCGCACUGUCGAAAGCCACAUUGUGGGACGUGCCCUAAUCGUGCCCCCGCCUAUAUCCAUGGUAUUUUCAGUGCGUAAUUAUGUACGCGUGGCACGGAUUUCGUUGCUUGACCGGGACUGGGACGGGGGCCGAAUUGCUAGGUGAGCUCUGCGCGUGCCAGGCGAUCCUGUUGCAGCUUACUCCGGACUCGCUUGAAGGUGUCCGGGGGUUGUAUCGUUGAAUUAGUGGUUUGCCUUAAAAGGCUGCUUUGUGCUUCUGCUGCAAGGACUGCAGUGUGUUCCUCCAUGCGGAGCGAGCGUUCUGUGUUUCCAUUCCCUGUUAUGACCCCCUAGGCCCUGGCAUCUUGAGCUUGAGGUAUGCGUAAUGCGGUACUGCAUUGAAUUUUGCAAAUGCGGUUCGCCCGAGCAGUGCAUGAUAGCCACUACGAAACGGGACAAUAUCGAAGAUUAACUCCUCGCUUCGGAAGUUGUCCGGUGAUCCGAAGACCACUUCCAGUGUGAUUGAGCCCGUGCAAUGGGCCUCUACACCUGGGAUGACGCCCUUAAAGGUGGUUUUGGUGGGUUUGGUCCUCGAGGGAUCGAUACCCAUUUUUCACACUGUAUCCUGAUAUAGCAGGUUCAGGUUGCUGCCGCCAUCCAUAAGGACUCGAGUGAGGUGAAAUCCGUCGAUGAUGGGGUCUAGGACCAGUGCGGCGGACCCGCCAUGACGGAUACUAGUGGGGUGGUCCCUGCGAUCAAAGGUGAUCGGACAAGCGGACCAUGGGUUGAACUUUGGGGCGAUGGGCUCCAUCCCAUAGACAUCCAUUAGUGCACGCUUCCACUCCCUCUUGGGAAUGUGGGUUGCAUAUAUCAUGUUCACCGUCUUCACUUGUGGGGGGAACCUCUUCUGUCCUCCCGUGUUCGGUUGCCGGGGCUCCUCCUCGUCAUCACUAUGCUGCCCUUGUCCUUGCUUUCGGCAUUUAACUUGCCGGCCUGCUUGAACACUGUCGGUGUCAAAACCGGCGGAUCUCGGGUAGGGGGUCCCAAACUGUGCGUCUAGGCCAGAUGGAGGUAAAACCCUACGUCCUUCUUGAUGGAGGUAAAACCCUACGUCCUUCUUGAUUAAUAUUGAUGAUAUAGGUAGUACAAGAGUAGAUCUACCACGAGAUCAGAGAGGCUAAACCCUAGAAGCUAGCCUAUGGUAUGAUUGUAUGUUGUGAUUGUUGUCCUAUGGACUAAAACCCUUCGGUUUAUAUAGACACCGGAGAGGGUUAGGGUUACACAAGGUCGGUUACAAAGGAGGAGAUAUCCAUAUAUGUAUCGCCUUGCUUGCCUUCCAUGCCAAGUAGAGUCCCAUCCGGACACGAGACAAAGUCUUCAAUAUUGUAUCUUCAUAGUCUAACAGUCCGGCCAAUGGAGAUAGUCCGGCUGUCCGGAGACCCCCUAAUCCGGGACUCCCACAGUAGCCCCUGAACCAGGCUUCAAUGACGAUGAGUCCGGCGCGCAAUAUUGUCUUCGGCAUUGCAAGGCGGGUUCCUUCUCCUAAUACAUCACAGAAGAAUUUGAAUACGAGGAUAGUGUCCGAACCUACAAAAUAAGUUCCACAUUCCACCGUAGAGAGAAUAAUAUUUUCGCAGAUCUAAUUUGCUGGCUUGUUUCGGCAACAUGACGUUACGUCAUGGCCCGGUGAUUAUUUGAACCAUUUCUUUUAACCAGACCCGCACAUAACGCGAGGCAGUUUUUUGACAUGUCUUGUCAAAGCAGAGAUCGUGUCCCCUUAUUACGGAAUUCUCAUCAAUACGGGCGUGGGUAACCGAGUUUUACCAGGCAAGUGUGGACGCUUUGUUUUGUCCGCCCAUAUAAAGGGAUAAGGAUUCACCUUUGUAUCCCCCCUUCUUCCUCCUUUGCUCAUCCGCUCCCGCACACUCGAGCUCUAGCGCCCAAGUCCUCACUUCCAUCUCAACCUUCUCCCACCAUGUCCGGAGCGGAGGCAAGUGGAUGGUCUCCUCCGUCACGGAAGGAGACAUCAAGAAACUGAGGAGAGCCGGAUACCUGCCUGACGACAUCGCGCACCGGCUCCCAGAUGAGGGGCAACUCAUCCCCACCGCCAGGCCCCAUGAGAGGGUGGUAUUCCUCACCCAUUUCCUCUGUGGACUGGGAUUCCCUCUCCAUCCCUUCGUCCGGGGGCUCAUGUUUUAUUACGGCCUGGAUUUUCAUGAUCUGGCCCCGAACUUCAUCCUCAACAUCUCGGCGUUUAUCGUCGUGUGUGAGGCCUUCCUCCGCAUCAAGCCCCACUUCGGCUUAUGGCUGAAGACCUUCAACGUCAAGCCGAAGGUGGUGGGCGGCCGCCAGGCGGAGUGUGGAGGCGCCAUGGUGGGCAAGAUGCCCAACAUAACAUGGCUCGAGAGCUCCUUUGUGGAAACCAUAAAGGGGUGGCAAUCGGGGUGGUUCUAUAUCACCGAGCCGCGUGACCCCGCAUGGGUAGCGGCCCCUGAGUUCCAAUCUGGCAUCCUCAUGUGGCUCACCUCCUGGAAAGAGAAGGGCCUGUCCUGGGGUAGUUCGAAAGAGCUGACCGGACUUCAAACAUGUAUUCAAAACAUGAUGGACAAGAAGCUCAAGCUUGUCAACAUAGUCCAGGUUAUGCUCAUCCGCCAGAUACUCCCGUGCUAACAACGGGAGUUCACCUUGUGGGAGUUCAAUCCGGCGCAGCACCGGACUCUGAACAGGCUCUUCGACAUGACUCAUGAAGACGCCUGGAGGGUGCUAUUCAAAAGUGCCGAGGUCCCUCCCCCUAUCACUGAGGAUCGCGGAUUCAGCGCGAAGCGCCAAGCUAGUGCGGUAAGCUGCUUUACCUUUCACAGGAUACUUAUUUUUUAUAUAGAUUGGCUCUAUGCGGGAUCUAAACUCCCGGACCUUUGACAGGACAGGCAGAAGAUGGCCGGACAAAUCAAUUGUCCGACUCCUUUGCCCGAAGGCCCCGCAGACGCUCUUCUGGCGAAGAUGCUCACUCCGGCCCCUUAUAAGGUGCCGGAGAAGACCAAGAAGGCCAAGGGAACUCGAAAGAGUUCCCGAUGCCAGGCGUCGUCGGACUCACCGUCCGAUGACUCUGCGGCGCACUCUUCCCCAGAAGACGAGGAAGAGGAAGAAGAUGCUCCCCCACGGACUGGAGGAGACAAGAAAAGGAAGGCCGCCCCAACUGGGGAGGCCGGACGGUCCAAGAAGGGAAGGACUCACCUUCCGGACAGCUCCACCACUGCCGACGAAAGCGAAGACGAGUGGUUGCCCAGGGCCAAGCCCCUGAGGAGAUCGUAAGUAUUCGGAUACCAAAGUUACCCAUAUGAUUCCUUUUUCGCACUACUUCCCCUAACGCCGAACACAAUUAUGCAGGCCGCCCCGAGCCAAUAUCGAGGUAUCAUCGGACGACUCCCUAGGCUCGUCGGACAUGGAUUGCGUUCCAGUCCCGACCGCCACCUCCCCUCAUCCCGCCGAUGACACCGAGGUGUUGUCUCAAGAGGCACCGGAUUGAGGGGAGACAGUCCUGGAGGUGCCUCAAGGCGACCUUCCGGACUCCGGGAGCCGCGGGGAUGGGGCCCCCAAGAGCUCCGAGUUCGGCCCUCAGCCGAACACCGCGCCGGACCCUCCAGCGGUUCUGGACUCGGGCAGGCAGCCUCCUUCUAAGAGGGGCAAAAUGCCUGUGGCGGUGACCUCUGUCCAUCCAGAGGCACCGGGCAAUCUGCUGGAAGCGCUUCGCAGCGCUUCCAUCAACGAGGAGCACCGCACUAUCAUGAGUGCGGUGAUCCAGAAGGUUCAGUCCGCCAAGAGCGGAUUGACUAAAGCCUGUGCUAGCCUUCUAACCGGCUUUGAGGUAAGUGUGUUUAAAAUGUAAUAGAAAUAUUACCGCAUAGACAGUAGCCCCUGAUGGUUUGUUCGGUGUUCACAAAGAAAAGCCGGACAGAGGAUGAAAUAAUAUCGCAGUAGUCUAAUAUAAGUAUGUCAAUAUGCAUAUGCAGGCUUCGCUGCUGGCGUCCGCCGCACUAACUGCGGAGGUCGCCGUACUGAAGCAGGACCUCGAGGGGUCCAAGAAAGAGCUCGGCCUUGCCAAGAGGCAGCUCGAGGAGAACAAGGGUAAGUAAUACCCCAUCUAUAGAUAUGUAUAUAUAAAAAGGACGUGAUUGCAAAAUGACAGGAUCGUUGUAUGUUUGCCAGGGGCCUCGACCGAGGUGGCGACCCUGAAGCAAGCGCUAACCAAGGCUGAAGAUACAGCGGCCAAGGAGCUCACCGAGCGAGAGAAGCACGAGGCUCGGGUGGGCGAGGUGCAGCAAGAGCUCCAGGCUCUCGUGACAAAGCACGAGGCGUUGGAGCUUGACUCGAAGACGCGGGAGUCUGAGUUUGCCGCGGCCCUUGAGAGUGCAAAGAGUGCCAAGGCCGAGGCCCAGAAGGCCCUCCAGGAGAUCGACGCGAUGAAGAAGAUAGCGGCGGGUAAGGCUUUCUAUAUGCAAAGCAAGCAUGUAAAAGUAAAUUAUCGAUUACUUACCCGGAUCCGGAGCUCUUCAGGAGCAUUCGCAGAUUUGCCCCGCAGUGUGUCCGAUGCCGCACAAUUUUACCAGGCCGAGGACGAAAGCUUGACGGAGAAGCUGUUCUGGUCUCAGUAUGCUGAGGCCGAACAUCUGGUGGCGUUGAGCGACCAGCUGAAGCAGAUGGUCGAGCUACAUAAGGCGGCCGAUCAGGCCAUGAAGGGAUUUAUAGUCCGGCUGUGGCCUAGCGACGCCCUUCCGAAUAGCUUCUUCAGCCUGGUGAGGCGGCUUGUGGAUGCCUGCCCACGGCUGGAGGUUGUCAAGCGAUCCGUCUGCAUUGAAGGUGCACGCCGUGCUUUCGCCCGUGUAAAAAUGCAGUGGGUCAAGCUAAACGCCAUGAAGCUGAUCAAGGAGGGGCCGCCGAAGGGCAAGGAGCACCGCCACCCAGAGAUGUAUUACGAGGGUGUUUUGCCGGGUGCCCGUCUUAUCGCGGAUGAGUGUUCGAAAGAUGUAAUAUUUGAGUAAACUUGCUCGUUUUAUCCUGUAUUUAUGAAAACUUGUUUCAUAUGCGCUGUGCAAUGCUUGUUUGAAUUUAAAAUAUUACCUUCUGUUUGGCUGUUUAUCGAAUCUGAGAGAUGGCUAGUCCUCGGCUUCUGCCCCCAUGCCGCUAGUGCUCGGGUGUUCGGAAUAAACUUGAGCACUCUUAUUCCCAUAUUUGGGUCCUUCGAGGGAGGUGCUCAGCACAACGAACAAGGCAACUGGACUAAUAUUGCUUUAUCACUCUCACUUAGCUAUAGAAUUCUAUAAUUUUAAAUUUUGGCGAAGCCCUGGUAUUCGGAAGGCCGAAUUCGGGGCGUGAUACACGCCUUUAAGCUGGACAGGGCCGUCCCCUCGCCCUAAGCGGCAUAAGUCUUUAGGGACUCGAAAAACCUCGCCGAACAGCGACCAGUCUCUCGCCUUAUCAUGACAGUCAGUUUUAGCUUUCUCUACUAAGGUGCUUAGCCCGGCAGAACCGGGGCACAAUCGCAGUAGUUCUCCUAGCGCUACCUUAGCCGAUAGAGCGGAACGUAAGGUACCAAAACAUAGGAGCCGGGCAAACCCAACAUUUGACCAAAGACAUGAUUCGGAGCUGAUGCAUAUAAUGCUAUAAGUUCGGGGUGCUGCACUUGUGAAAGUGUUCGGACUUUUCACACCGCAUUGUGGGGUACGUGGGCCCCUGGUGCUUUGGCCGUACCAAAGUGUACGGUUGCAAGGCGUCAUUAAUGAACACAGACACACACACACACACACACACACAUAUAUAUAUAUAACAAAAAUGCAAUAAUAGUCGUAAUGUCAUGCAUUGUAUAUUAAAAAAUUGCAUUAAAGCAGAGUGAUACAGAUAGUGCAAUAAGCAAAGAGUAGGGCUAUGUCCCUUCCAAGGGCGAGCUGAGGAAUGAUAUGAAAUCUGUAAUCAACCUGGGAAUUCCGUUGUAUAACGUAGUUGUCUGCCUCCUUGGUUGCUGUAUCAUGUGUUCAGCAAUAGAGCUGCCAGACAAUGUUUCCAGAGAUUAAAGUCCUGAAAGAAAAAGAAAAAUAACCCAAAUGGGAAGCCCCUAGUGCAGUUUAGGCCGCGUUUUGGGGUGUGCCGCAGUUGUGCCCCCCUCCCCACCUGUGCCCAUGGUAUUUUUAAUGCGUAAUUAUGUACGCGUGACACAAAUAACGCCGUUGGGCUGGGAUUGGGGUGGCCGCCGUAUUGCUACGCGAGCUCAGAUCGCGCCAGGCGGUCCGUCUGCCGAUUGCCCCGUGCGCGCUCGAAGGUGUCCGGGCUUUGAAACGCCGAACUGGUAGAUUGCCUUGAGAGGCUGCUUUGCGCUUCUGCUGGAAGGGCCGCUGUGUGCUCCUCUGUUCGGAGAGAGCGCUCUGUGUUUCCAUUGAUUGUAAUAACUCCGCGAGGUCCUGGCAUCUUGAGCUUGAGGUAUGCAUAAUGUGGUACCACAUUGAAUCUAGCAAAUGCGGUUCGUCCGAGCAGCACGUGAUAACCACUGUAGAACGGGACUAUAUCGAAGAUUAACUCUUCACUUCGGAAGUUAUCCGGGGAUCUGAAGACCACUUCCAGUGUAAUUGAGCCUGUGCAGUGGGCCUCUACGCCUGGAAUGACGCCUUUAAAGGUCGUUUUUGUGGGUUUGAUCCUUGAGUGGUCUAUACCCAUUUUGCGCACUGUGUCCUGAUAAAGCAGGUUCAGGCUACUGCCGCAUCCAUAAGGACUCGAGUGAGGUGAAAUCCAUCGAUGAUUGGGUCUAGGACCAGUGCGGCGAAUCUGCCAUGAUGGAUACUAGUGGGGUGGUCCCUGCGAUCGAAGGUGAUCGGACAGGAGGACCAAGGGUUGAAGUUUGGGGCAACUGGCUCCAACGCAUAUACGCGCCUGAGCGCACACUUCCGCUCCCUCUUGGGGAUGUGGGUUGCGUAUAUCAUGUUCACCGUCCGCACUUGUGGGCAAAACCUCUUCUGUCCUCUAGUGUGCGGCUGCCGGGGUUCUUCCACGUCAUCGCUAUGCGGCCCCUUGUCUUUGUUUUCGGCAAUUAACUUGUCGGCCUGCUUGAACACCCAACAAUCCUUGUUGGUGUGAUUGGCUGGCUUGUCUGGGGUGCCGUGUACUUGACACGAGUGAUCGAGUAUACGGUCCAAGCUGGACGGACCCGUCGUACUUAGUUUGAAUGGAUUUUUCCACUGACCGGGUUUAGAGCCUUUGAAUCCGGCAUUGACUGUCGUAUCCUCAGUACUUUCGCUGUUAAUGCGGCACUUAUGCUUGUUGCGAUGUGACCUGCUUUGCGGUCCUUGGUAUCGGAGGUACCAUGCUUCUUUGAUAUGUUAUUACUGCGAGCCAACCAGCUGUCUUCCCCCGCACAAAAGCGGGUCAUGAGCAUCGUGAGAGCUGCCAUAGAUUUCGGCUUUUCCUGACCAAGGUGCCGUGCUAGCCACUCGUCUCGGAUGUUGUGCUUGAAAGCUGCUAAGGCCUCCGCAUCCGGACAGUCGACGAUUUGAUUUUUCUUUGUAAGGAACUGAGUCCAGAAUUGCCUGGCCGACUCUUCUGGCUGCUGAAUUAUGUGGCUCAAGUCAUCGGCGUCUGGUGGUCGCACAUAAGUACCCUGAAAUUUUUCGAGGAAUGCGGCUUCCAGAUCUUCCCAACAGCUAAUGGAGUCCGCUGGCAAGCUAUUAAGCCAAUGCCGCACUGGUCCUUUGAGUUUCAGUGGGAGGUACUUGAUGGCAUGUAAGUCAUCACCGCGGGCCAUGUGGAUGUGGAGGAGGAAGUCCUCAAUCCAUACUGUGGGAUCUGUUGUGCCGUCGUAUGAUUCAAUGUUUACAGGUUUGAAACCUUCUGGGAAUUGAUGUUCCAUUACUUCGUCUGUGAAGCAUAAGGGGUGUGCGGUGCCUCUGUAUUGGGCUAUAUCGCUACGCAGCUCGAAUGGGUCCUGCCCGCUAUGUUCAGCCCGACCAAAUUUGCUUUUAUUGUAUCCAGCGUGACGUUUACCGUCUCGUAGAGUGGUGCGCCCUCGUGAUCCGUAGAACGAUCUUGAAUGCUUUGCUUUGUCCUCCAAUUUGUCUCGCAGGUCUGGCGUAUCUCCCCAUGCCUUUUUAUUUGGAUGGCGUUGGGGUGGAGGCUGAGCUUUUGGCUGGAAUGCCUCUCUGUCGCAGCCACGAGGUGACCGAUCAUCCGUAUCAUACACUUCUUCCUCCAGUCGUGGUAGUAACCUGCGCCUUGGGUAACUCUUGGAGGGACGCUUGAGUUUAUAUUCCUCGGCUAUGAGGACUUCAGUCCAUUUGUCAGCUAGAAGAUCUUGAUCAGCUUGAAGCAGCUGCUACUUUUUCUUCAGGCUAUUUGCUGUGGCCAUAAGCCUGCGCUUGACGCGCUCUUGUUCGACGGGAUCCUCUAGUACGGCGAAUUCAUCGUCGCCGAGGCUUGCCUCGUCUUCGGAGGGGGGCAUGUAAUUGUCAUCCUCCUCCUCUCCGCCGGCCGCUCUCUUAGGAGAGCUGGCUCCUUCAUCCUCCUGCUCUAAAUCUUGCUGGAGGGGAUUGUUGUUGUCUUCGGCGCUAUCCGGAGUGUUAUUAUCUCCUGUGCUGGUAUAACCACUUUUUCUUUGGCGGGACUUAGAGCGGCGCCACUGACGUUGGCGCUUGGGUUGCUUCUUGGAGGGGUCAUCCUCGGCUAUCUCGUCGCCAUUGCCUUCAUUGGGUGUAUCCACCAUGUAUAUGUCAUAGGAUGAGGUUGCUUUCUAGUGCCCUAUAGGUGCUAGUUCAUGUUCGUCUCCUACAUCAUCGUCCAUACCGUCGAUGUCUUCGGAGUCGAAGUUGAGCAUGUCGGUUAAAUCAUCGACAGUGGCUACAAAGUGGGUGGUGGGUGGGCGUCGAAUUUCUUUGUCGUCCGCAUCCCAAUCCUGUUGGCCAUAAUCUGGCCAGGACUCUCCUGACAAAGAGAGAGACCUUAGAGAAUUCAGAAUGUCGUCGAAGGGCGAGUGCUGAAAGAUAUCCAUGGCGGUGAAUUCCAUGAUCGGCGCCCGAUCAGAUUCGAUUGGCAGGGGUGCGGAUGGUUCGGGGUCCGGAAGGGAGUCCGGCACCUUGGAGUCACGGGCUGCGCAGAGGAUUAUGCUGGUGUUUGGCUCGAUCGUCAUCGAGACUGCAGCCCCUGAGGCGGUGUCUAGCCACCCGUCCUCGAUUGGCGCAGCUGGCUCUGAGCUAAGGGUCGGAGCUGAUGCGGGCGCGGCCUUUGGGGUACCGUCUGAUGGUAGAGCUAGGUCAUACCCAUCGUGACAGUGCGGCGCGCCCGGCUGUGGCUCGAAUCCGUCGAAGAUCAAGUCCCCACGAUGUUGGCCGUGUAAUUCAAACUUCCAAAUCUGACCUGAUGGCCAGGGGCGUAGCUUUCAAUCUGCUCCAGAUGGCCAAGCGAAUUAGCCCGCAGUGCAAAGCCGCCGAAUACGAAGAUCUGUCCGGGGAGAAAAGUCUCACCCUGGACCGCACGCUAUCGAUGAUAGUAGGAGCCAUCAAGCCUAACGGCGACGACACAGAGGAACUCUCAACGAGAGCACCAAUGUCGGUGUCAAAACCGGCGGAUCUCGGGUAGGGGGUCCCGAACUGUGCAUCUAGGCCGGAUGGUAACAGGAGGCAAGGGACAUGAAGUUUUACCCAGGUUCGGGCCCUCUUGAUGGAGGUAAAACCCUACGUCCUGCUUGAUUAAUAUUGAUGAUAUGGGUGUUACAAGAGUAGAUCUACCAUGAGAUCAGAUAGGCUAAACCCUAGAAGCUAUCCUAUGGUAUGAUUGUAUGUUAUGAUUGUUGUCCUACGGACUAAAACCCUUCGGUUUAUAUAGACACCGGAGAGGGUUAGGGUUACAAAAGGUCGGUUACAAAGGAGGGGAUAUCCAUAUACGUAUUACCUAGAUUGCCUUCCACGCCAUGUAGAGUCCCAUCCGGACACGAGACAAAGUCUUCAAUCUUGUAUCUUCAUAGUCUAACAGUUCGGCCAAUGGAGAUAGUCCGGCUGUCCGGAGACCCCCUAAUCCAGGACUCCCUCAUCGAGCAUGUCGGUUAAAUCAUCGAUAGUGGCUACGAAGUGGGUGGUGGGUGGGCUUGGAAUUUCUUCGUCAUCCGCAUCCCAAUCCUUUUGUCCAUAAUCCGGCCAGGGCUCUCCUGACAAAGAGAGAGACCUUAGUGAAUUAAGAAUGUCGCCAAAGGGCGAGUGCUGAAAGAUAUCUACGGCGGUGAAUUCCAUAAUCGGUGCCCAAUCGGAUUCGAUUGCCAGGGGCGCGGGCAGUUCGGAGUCAGAAAAAGAGUCCGGCACCUUGGUGUCACGGGCUGUGCAGAGGAUUAUGCUGGUGUUUGGCUCGAUCGCCGUUGAGACUGCAGCCCCUGAGGCAGUGUCUAACCACCCGUCCUCUAUUGGCGCAGUUGCCUCCGAGCUAAGGGUCGGAGCUGAUGCGGGCGCGGCCUCUGGGGUACUGUUUGGCGGCAGAGCUAGGUCAUACCCAUCGCGACAGUGCGGCGUGCCCGGCUGUGGCUCAAAUCCGUCGAAGAUCAAGUCUCUGCGGAUGUCGGCCAUGUAGUUCAAACUUCCAAAUCUAACCUGAUGGCCAGGGGCGUAGCUUUCAAUGUGCUCCAGAUGGCCAAGCGAAUUAGCACGCAGUGCAAAGCCGCCGAAUACGAAGAUCUGUCCGGGGAGAAAAGUCUCACCCUGGACUGCAUCGCUAUCGAUGAUAGUAGGAGCCAUCAAGCCUAACGGCAACGACACAGAGGAACUCUCAAUGAAAGCACCAAUGUCGGUGUCAAAACCGGCGGAUCUCGGGUAGGGGGUCCCGAACUGUGCGUCUAGGCCGGAUGGUAACAGGAGGCAAGGGACACGAUGUUUUACCCAGGUUCGGGCCCUCUUGAUGGAGGUAAAACCCUACGUCCUGCUUGAUUGAUAUUGAUGAUAUAGGUAGUACAAGAGUAGAUCUACCACGAGAUCAGAGAGGCUAAACCCUAGAAGCUAGCCUAUGGUAUGAUUGUAUGUUGUGAUUGUUGUCCUACGGACUAAAACCCUUCGGUUUAUAUAGACACCGGAGAGGGAUAGGGUUACACAAGGUCGGUUACAAAGGAGGAGAUAUCCAUAUACGUAUCGCCUAGCUUGCCUUCCACGCCAAGUAGAGUCCCAUCCGGACACGAGACGAAGUCUUCAAUCUUGUAUCUUCAUAGUCUAACAGUCCGGCCAAUGGAGAUAGUCCGGCCAAUGGAGACCCCCUAAUCCAGGUCUCCCACAAACACCCAGCAUUUUCUGUUGGUGUGAUUGGCUGGCUUGUCGAGGGUGUCGUGGAUUUGACACGAGCGAUCCAGUAUGCGAUCCAAACUGGACGGAGCCGAAGUACUUCUUUUAAAUGACUUUUUUCGAUGACCGGAUCUAGAGCCUCUGAAUCCGCCAUUGACUGCCGUAUCAUCGGUGUUAUCGCCGUUGUUGCGGCACUUUGGUCUGUUACGACGUAGUCUGCCGUUGGCAUCUUUGGUAUCCGAAGUGCCCGGAUUCCUUGAUGUGUUGUUGCUGCGAGCCAGCCAGCUAUCCUCGCCCGCGCAAAAGUGGGUCAUGAGUGUCGUGAGGGCUGCCAUAGACUUUGGCUUCUCCUGGCCAAGGUGGCGGGCAAGCCACUCAUCGCAGAUGUUAUGCUUGUAUGCCGCUAGGGCCUCUACAUCCAAACAGUUGGCGGUUUCGUUUUUCUUGGUCAGGAACCAUGUCCAGAAUUGCCUGGCCGAUUCACCUGGCUGCUGAGUUAUAUGGCUCAAGUCAUCAGCAUCCAGUGGAUGCACAUAAGUGCCCUGGAAUUUGUCAAGGAAUGCGUCUUCCAAAUCCUCCCAACUGCCGACAGAGUCUACUGGCAAGCUAUUCAACCAAUGCCGAGCUGGUCCUUUGAGUUUUAGUGGGAGGUACUUGAUGGCAUGUAGAUCGUCACCGCGAGCCAUGUGGAUGUGAAGGAGGAAAUCCUCGAUCCAUACAGCGGGAUUUGUUGUACCAUCAUACGAUUCGAUAUUAACGGGUUUAAAACCCUCCAGGAAUUCGUGAUCCAUAACUUCAUGAGUGAACCACACGGGGUGUGCGGCGCCUCUGUGCAGGGUUAUAUCACGACGCAGUUCAUAUGAGUCUUGUGUGCUGUAUUCGGCCCGGCCGGAUUUACCUUUGGUGUAUCCGGCGCGACGAUCAUCGUCCCGUGUUGGUGCGCGUGCCCGUGACCCGUAUAUUGACCUUGCAAGUUUUGCCCUGGGGUCCAAUAUGUCUCACAGGUCCCGUGUGUUGCCCCGGGCCUUGGUAUUUUUGAUUGAGUGGCGGCAGGGUGCAGGCUGAACUUCAGGCUGAAACGCCUUUCUGGCUCGGCCACGCGGUGGCCGGUCAGCCGCAUCGUACACUGGUGAUGGAGGUUUCAAUGCUUCCUCCUCUAGGUGAGGUAGCAACCUGUGUUUUGGGUAACUCUUGGAGGGGGCACUGAAGUUCGUAUUCCUCGGCCGCAAGGACUUCGGUCCAUCUGUCAGCUAGCAAGUCUUGAUCAGCUUGAAGCUGUUGUUGCUUUUUCUUCAGGCUAUUUGAUGUGGCCAUAAGCCGACACUUGAAGCGCUCCUGCUCAACGGGAUCCUCAGGCACGAUAAAUUCUUCAUCGCCAAGGCUCACCUCGUCUUCGGAGAGAGGCAUAUAAUUGUCCUCCUCCGGUUCUCCAUCUGCCGCCUGCUCUGGAUUGCUAGCUUGUUCGGCCUCCCGCUCUACAUCAUACUGGAGGGGAUUGUGGUUGUCUUCAGCACUAUCUGGAGUGUUAUUAUCUCCUGUGCCGGUAUCACAACUUUUGCUGUGGCGGGACUUAGAGUGGCGCUGCUGACGUCGGCGCUUGGGUUGCUUCUUGGAGGGUUCAUCCUUCGCUGUCUCGUCGCAAUUGCCUUCGACAGUGGCUACUAAGUGGGUGGUGGAUGGGCAGCGGAUUUCUUCGUCGUCCGCAUCCCAUUCUAGCCGGACAUAGUUCGACCAAGGUUCUCCUGACAAGGAGAGAGACCUUAAUGAAUUUAGCACAUCGCCAAAAGGCGAGUGCUGAAAGAUAUCUGCGGAGGUGAACUCCAUGAUCGGCGCCCAGUCUGAUUCGAUGGGCGCGGAUGUAGGCGGCUCGGAGUCCGUGGCCGGAGACGAAUCCAGUGGUUCGGCGACACGGCUCUUGUAAGGGGUGAAGUUAGUAUCCGGCUCUAUCACCGCUGAGAGUGCGGGGUCUAUCCCUCCGCCCUCGGAUGGCGCGAUUUGCUCCGGAUUGACGGCUGGAGUGGUUGCAGAUGCGAUCUCCCGAACACUGUCCGACGGCGGAGUUACGUCAUGCUCAUCGUGAUUGUGCGGCGCACCUGGCAUGGGCUCAAAUCCGUCGAAGAUCAAGUCUCCACGGAUGUCGGCAGUGUAGUUUAGGUUUCCGAACCUGACCUGAUGGUCAGGGACAUAGCUCUCGAUCUGCUCCAGAUGGCCAAGCGAAUUGGCCCGCAGUGCGAAGCCGCCGAAUACAAAGAUCUGUCCGGGGAGGAAAACCUCACCCUGGACCGCAUCGCCACCGAUGAUUGAAAGAGCCAUCAAGCCUUAUGGUGAUGACACGGUGGAACUCUCAAUGAAAGCACCAAUGUCGGUGUCAAAACGGGCGGAUCUCGGGUAGGGGUUCCCGAACUGUGCGUCUAAGGCGGAUGGUAACAGGAGGCAGGGGACACGAUGUUUACCCAGGUUCGGGCCCUCUUGAUGGAGGUAAUACCCUACGUCCUGCUUGAUUGUUCUUGAUGAUAUGAGUAUUACAAGAGUUGAUCUACCACGAGAUCAUAUAGGCCAAACCCUAGAAGCUAGCCUAUGGUAAGAUUGUAUGUUCUCCUACGGACUAACCCUCCGGUUUAUAUAGACACCGGAGGGGCUAGGGUUACACGAGAUGAAGUCUUCAAUCUUGUAUCUUCAUAGUCCAACAGUCCGGCCAAAUGAUAUAGUCCGGCUGUCCGGAGACCCCCUAAUCCAGGACUCCCUCACUUGCCAAGGACGCCUGCGGGGCCGCAGCCAGGCCCGCGUUUGCCAAAACCUCCACCGCUGCUCCCAUACUGCUGCCAGCUCGACCAGCUGAGUAGACGCCUGUGUGGCAGCACGUGGCCUCUACCUAUGUGGUGGCACGCAGAUCUUCGUGAAGGCUCCACCACCGCGCCAGCCCAGCAGCCAACCAACAUGGUGCAACGAUGCCUCACGGAGCCAGGCGAGGCGACGACAGCUGGGACGAGCUUCUUUGCCGUCCCCAUUAAAGCGAGAGGGGCACGUCGGCAUCGCAUUAAAUGCAUUUGUCCGGCGAUGCCAGGGGAUAGACUCAGCCCCUGUACACCUUUCCACCUCCUGUGUGCCACUCUGGUGACCCCUUUUGUCUUUAAAAGGAGGCUCGAGGCGUCCAGGAGAGGGAUUCGGAUCUUUUGGACUAGAGAGCCACUGCAGCUAGUUCAAGAACACAAGAACACCUCAAUACACAUAAAAGCAGGACUAGGGUUUUACAUGUCUCCGCGGCUUGAACCUGGGUAAACAAUUUGUGUGCUGACUGCCAUACACGCUCUUCACACAACGCCGCGCCUGCCAACCAUAGAAGGGAUCCCGGUGACCCCAUAGGUGUCGUUUCCCACCGACAUCUCUGGCAUGCUAGGUAGGGGCUGGCACAGUUGUGAGAAUCCGCCCUGGACGAAGCAACGGCUUCAUCAUGGUCGUCACAUCAAGCAAGGAGACGACUGAACAAAUGGCGUCCUCGAUGGACGCGACAAACACUCACGCAGCGACAGAAAAGCUAAGUCAUACAGAACCUUGAGUAAUUCCUUUUCAUAUAUAUGGUUGUCGUCCUCGGCGAUCUUACCCUAUGUAUGGUAAACCUGCACGCAAUGGGCCCCUGCCACUAUUGGCAACGCCCUCGUUCUGUUUCGAGUCCGCUCAACAGCUCGAGCGGCUGCAUCAAGAACGGCAGGGCAACCUUCUGCGAUUGGCAAUGCUCUCUUUCUGUCUCGAGUCCGCUUGACAGCUUGAGCGGCUGCGUCAAGAGCAGCGAGGUGGUUUACCCGGGAGCAAGCAUGCCUGGCAGGCCAUUGAGGAUCCGUCCUCAAGACGCCACCUGGGCUUCCGCGCCGGCAAACCUACUAGAAUAACGUAGGGCGGACAUACAAAGGGAAAUCAAACAGGAAAAUAACAUGCAUCAUUUCAAAGGUACUGCAGAGUUAUAUUACAUCAUUUGUCGUUGCGGUUCUAACUAAAGAUAAAAAUUGUCUUGGUCUUGACCUGCAGAGGCGAUAAGAAACGGGGUGCUUAGUCCCGGUGCUGGCCUUGUACCCUCCGAACUCCGUCAAUGCGGCCAAUGACGGGAUCGAUGCCCUCCUCGAGCGGCUUGGGGUCCACAUCAUUCAGCAAGCUAUCCAGUGAAGCUUAGAAGUCGAGGUCAGGGUUCCAGUAUGCCAUCUUGGUGAGGACCUUGGUCAUGGUGCCCCGGCAAAGCCUUCGGGCCUCUUCGGCAAGAGAGGCCACCCUGUUGGAGUGGAACCGCUCCAGGGCCCUGAGAACACCCUCGAAGAACAGAUUCAGCCUGGCGUUAGGGCUCAUAUUUGGCUCUGGGACGUACCUCACAUUUGGCAUCCCCAUGGUAGCCAGUUGCGUGGUGAUCCUGCCAGCGACAUCGGCGAGGCGGCUGAUCUAGAGCUUCUCGCCUGCUAUGAACUCUGUGUGGCUGGCGGCGUCGUUCUUCCGCAUCUGCUUCUCCUCCUCCAGACUCUUGGUCAGGGCCCCCUCCCGGGCCCUGACCUCUGAGAGCGUCCCUUCGAGGCCCUCCAGCUUCAGCUUUAGGUCCUUGAUGGAGUCGUUGGCCAUGGAGAGUAGCUCGGCCUUCUCGAGGACUGUGGCCCGCGUGUCAGCCAAAGCACCCUUGGCCGCGUCUCUCUCCCCCGUCAGCUCCUGGGCCUGCCGCUUCAGCUCGUCACGCUCCGCCUCCAGCUCGUUCACCUUGCCGGAGUGGACCUGGGCCUGAGCAUUGAGGGCCUCCUCGUGCCUAUGCUCCAGCUCCCGGGUCCGCUACAAGACGAGCUCCUGGACCUCCUCAUCCUUGCCACGGAGUGUCGCAGCGAGCUUCUCCUCGCGGGCGGCAAGUUACUCCUAUUGGGAAUUCAGCUCGGCCUGGUGCUGGAGCCGAGCAGCCUCCUCCUUGGCGGCAUGUCGAUCCGCCGUCUCAUGGGCCUUCUCGAUGUUGGCUUGCUUCAUGACGAGCUCCAGCUUGCGCUCGGCCAGCUGGUCCUGGGCGGCCUUGAAUUCGUCACAAGCCUGGCGGAACCAAGCCCGCGCCUCGGCGACACGCUCUUCGAGGUCCGCCUCCGCCUUGUCCACCACUGCCAUCCUGGACUUGGCCUAGUCCAGGCAGGCACGGUGAAGUGCCUGGAGCUUGUGGAAGCUGGUGCUCAUGCUCUGGAAGAGCCGCUCUUCCUAAUAACCGCCGCCACCGCCGCCGCUCGGUUCGUCGAUGACCUCGAGCCCUUCCCCCUCGGCGGGUGCCCUGGUGCUCGCCGUCCAUGGGAGGUGGACGGACAAGUCGCCCACCUUCAGAUACUUGCCCGAGCCGGGGGCGACGGAGGAGGAAGGCUGGUUGUCGACCUCCUCCUCCUUGGUAGCGGCCUUGUUUGCCUCCCCGGCAAGCCCCUUGCCGGCCACCUCGGCAGUGGCCUCACCGGGCUCCCCGGCGGACCCCUCAGCGGCGUCCUCGGCAACGUCCUUGGCGGCCUCCUCAGCGGCGAUCUUGUUAUCCUCGGUAGUGGCCCCUCUGGCGACAUCAUCGAUGACGGUAUCCACGUCCUCCCGGUCCGUCGAGAAAGGAUCUGGAUACCAAGAUGGAGAAUGAGGUGAAGCCAAGAGCAAGAUUUGAAAGAAUAAAACGAGUGGGAACGGGAGGCAAAAAACUUACCUUCGCCAAGCUGGGACGAAGUGGCCCCCUCCCCACCGGUAUUUGAUGCCGGGGCAGAGCCGCCGGCGCCCGGGUUCACCUCCUCCUCAUCCUCCUCCGUGUGCAUGGGCUCGGUGCUUGGCGCCCUUGCCGGGGACCCCCCUCGGGGUGGCGUGGUCAAUGGGGGUGGCGCAUUGGGGGUGGCCCUCAGUGGCAACUCCUGCUGCCAUUCUCCUCCUGCAUCCAUGACAAGGUCAGCACCGGGAAACCGUGCCCCAUCCCACGUCAAGGGGGAGCGAGUGAUGAACGCACGCUGGGGGCUGCUCUCCGGGAUGCUCUCCACCACCACCAGCGGCGUGCUUGAGGUGCCCGCCGGGGGCUGGCCGCCCGCCGAGGCCUUGACCCUCUUCGCCACCCUCUGGGCCAGCGUUUCCCUGUCCCUGGGAGCAUGAAGACAAGUCAAGAGAAGUGGCGCGGUCCGAAGGGACGAAGGUGAGGGAAGGCCACACACUUACUCAUCCUCCGCCUCUUCUUCCAUGGCUUUCCUCUUCCUCCUUGGUCUAAGAGACCCGAGGUCGAAGAAGACCUUCGAAUCGUCACCUGCCGGCGGAGGGGAAGCAGGUGGAGUUGGGGGGCGCUUGGACGAAGAAGGGGCAGCUGCUUUCUUCUUCACCACCACAACCCUAACCGCCUUCUCCACCACUGCGGCCCUUGUCUGGCGCAUGGGCGCCUCCGGAGGUUGUUGCGAUUGUGCAGCCCUGCUGGACCAGACCGGCUCACCAGAGAUGUCCCGCCACAGGAAACGCCCUCUCCUCGUGACUGGGGGCUUGACAGCCACGGCCUCCUCCUCAGACGACUCGGCGGCGUCACCUUCAAUGAGAGGGGCCCCGGUGCCGGCGCCGCUGGCCUCCCCAGCGGAUUCCGCCCACUGGGCAAGCACCUUCUCCUCUGCUGCCAUCGCGGCCUCGUCCUCCACGCCGCCAUCGCUACCGGCCUCCUUGGCGAGCUCCGCCUCCGCCGCCCUGGCGGCAAUGUAGUCUAGCUCCGCUGGAUGGUGUCCUCAAUGAGCCGUGGCUCCUCACAGACAUAUCCCUCCACCAAGGUGUCAAAGAACUCCCACACCCGGUCCUCCUCCGGCUCGGCCCAGUUCAGGUCGAGGCCGUGUGCGUUGAAGUCCGGCAUCAUGGCGAUGAUGUCGUUUCGGCGAGAGUUGUUGCUCAGUGGGACCAACCCCAUCGGCAAGCCGAACAAGGGCCCCUUGGCGACCUUGUCGGCCUUUUGCGGCCUUGCAGGCCCUCUCGGCCCUGCCGUCGCCACCCACGUCGAGCUGGAAGAGCCGCUGGCAGAAGUGGGCAUGCGCCAUCACCGUGGAGUUAUGGUUCAGGCUAGGGCGGAGCCGCAUGAUGUCGGCCACGUUGCUGAAAAGCCAAGCCGGCCUCCCCUGGUUGUGCAGAGGAGCGAUGCAGCGGCGGAUGAAAUACGCCCCGAUCAUCUCCAGGGUAAGCCCGGCAGUGGCAAGGCGGUGGAUCCUGGUGGUGGCGACCGUGAGCCUCACAUCCUGGGCGUCGAUGUUGCGCCAGUCAUCUCUGAGGACCGGCGGCGUCUGGCGAACUUGGCAAAACUCCAGAGGGUCCUCCUCCUCAAUCCAUCACCACCAGCUCCGCCAUUCCCCCCACCUCUCCUUCUGGGCACCCUCUGGAUACGUCCCCCUCUCCAGGGCCCUUGGGAUCCAAGUGACGCAACUAGAGAUGGUGCCUCCCUUAUGGAUCCGAGGGUAAAAGUAGUGGCGAAAGAGCAUCGUGCUGGGGAGCACUCCGGCAAAGCCCUCAAAGAGAUGGGCGAAAAGAGCCAUGCACGCCACGACAUCUAGAGUGAAUUCCAGAAGGUGGAAGCCGUAGGUGUGCAUGAUAUCGUUGAAGAAAUCACAGAAAGGGGGGCAGAGGUUGCUGGAGAAAUAAUCGACGAAGAAUGGGUACCGAUUCGGGGCGGCCUUGGUGCAAUUGGCGGGGAUGACGCGCGUGGCCGGGUGCCCCGUCAUCUCUCCCCCAUCUUGCACCCCCACAGGGGCCUGAAGUUGUCCCGGAGGUGGAUCGCGUCAACCGUUGAGGGGAAGUAGGCGAGCUGCGUCCGCCGCGCCGCCGAUUCACUCUCCGGCAGCUCCGCCCCCCGGCGUCCCUGGCCACUCCUUUGCUCUUGCUAGCCUUGGGUGCCAUGGAGGCUGCAGAAGUGAAGGAGGAAGGGCAGCGAUAACGCGGCGGCGGCGAGCGAGAGCAGAGGCGUAAGGAGGAAGAAGUAGGGGUCGGCGGUUCCAAGAUUGGAGAAGAUACAUGGGGUAAAUGAGCAGCGUGCCCGUGGUCGUUCCUUUUUACGAGGAAGGCGCGGGCUGCCUCUUUACCACGAUGUGACGCAUGCAUGCGGAAACCGCCCCACGCACGACCCCCAUGUCACGCAUGACCCUCCAUGCCGCGCGUUCAACACGGGUCAUGGGGAAGCGCAGCGGAUGGGAAAUUACUGUCAUAAAAAUCUGCCCACCUGCCAGCGCACCAUUUUGGGCCUAGCCCAACAACGCGUCGCGCUUAUGUGUGGCCCAGGCCCGGGGGCUCCUGUCGGUGUACAAAAGUAGGGGCUCUCCUUUUUCACCCCUUAACUUGUGCACGGGCAGUAAGAGCCACGCCCACGGCCACACUAAGCAGGGAAGGGGAGGGAUGCUGGAGCAAUGCCAAGACCAGAGAUGGAAACAGAGAAAGAGGGCGAGGUAAACUCCACUGGCAAGACUCUUGCCGUGGUGGCUUCCGCAGCCUCGGCAAGAUCCUUGCCAAGGCAACUUGCCUGACGCCAGCAGAGCACGCCACCCUCGAGCCUAAGGGGUUCCUAUGCCAUAUUGGAACCAAGGCUCGGGAGGCGCCUCCGUGGUGGCAUGCAGAUCUUUGUAGAGAUCAUAGCCACGCAAGAUCAGAUGGAAACCAGAAGACAAUGAUCCUUGGUGAUAUCCUUGCCAUGAAAAUCCACAAGUGUCACACCCUAGCUAGUCAUGCAUUAGAGUGUUGCAUCAUGUUUACUCUUUCUUCAGAAACUUGAAAUGGGGAUGACAGAACCCCCAGUCCCCUCUGAAACCAACUAGGGUUACUAAAAUAAUUUUUCAAUGAACCUGAAAUGCCCUUCUAAAAUGCCCAUCAUUUUUGUCUUGGUUCAGAACCUCUGCCAAAAAUGGUGCACAUUUUCCUAGGCCAUCCUAGGGUUUUUGAAUUAAAUCAUAAAUAUUUGAAUUUGGGCAUUUAAAAUAAUAUAAAAUAUUUAAAUGCUCAAAUAUCUCCAAACUAAAAUGUUUCAUGUUGGAAAUAAUCCAACUAUGGGCUAGGAAUAAUUUGGUGAUUUUUGAAGUUGCCUAGGUAUUUUAUUAAAUUCAACAAAGUUGCAGAUAUAUAUUAUAUAAAACAGAAACAGAAGAAAAGGGGAAAACUUACGUGGGCGCCUCCACUGUGCGGCCCAGCCAGCUGGCCGGCCCAGCCAGCAGCCGACCCAGCCCAACACUGUAGCCCUCCGUCGUCUUCCUCCCCUCGCCCCGAAGCUGCUGUGUGCUCGCGCGCGCACGGCCGCGCGGCCACCUCCUGCUUGCCGACGAGCUCCUGGCCGCGUGGACGACUCCCGCAGGCCGUCCCGAUCCCCCCUGCUCUCUCUCACUCUCCCCCGGCUCUUCCUUCCUCUCCCUCGCUCUCUCUCUCACACGGCCGAACACCACCGUCGCCACCGUUCGCCGUAGCAGCCAUCUCCGGCCACCCCUCUCUCCCCCGACUAGCUCAGAAGCUCCGCCACAACCCCCUCUUCCUCCCCACCGCUCCACAGCUCCCCGGAAGCCCGGCAUCGCCGCCACGUCGCCGUUCCCCUCUUCGGGCUCCGAUCAUCGUCGCCGUCGAAUUCGUCGUCUCCAGCGCGUCCCCGAGCCCGCUAACCAUCCCUGCAGCUCCGCGGUGAGCCCCCGGAUCGUUUCCCCCUUCUCCCCUGAUCUCUCCCGACCUCUAGGCCCUAGCCCCACCUUGGCCGAGAGCUCCACGCCGCCGGGGAUGUCGCCGUCGUGGCCACGGUCACGGUAGCACUCAACCGAGCGCACUAUCGUGCUCCCCACCUCACCAGGAGCACGCAGCACGCACUAACGCCUCCCCAAACACCCUGCAACGUCGAUUCCGACCGCACCCGAACUCCGGCAGCCGCAGCCGAGCUCGCCGCCGUCGACUCCGGCCACCCCAGGCCCAGCCACGGCCACCGUCCGACGCGCCGUCGAGCUAGCUGUCCAACGCACCUAGCCGCACGCCGUUUGGAGCACCACAGAGGAAACCCGAGGCCCCUGCACGCCGCGGACCUCGCCGGCGACUAACCGCCGGCGGGUUUGACCUGUCCGACCUGAGGUUUGACCCCCCCAGGGUCACUGACGCGUGGGCCCUGUCGGCCAGGUGGUUAGAUUAGCGCUAACUACUGUUAGUCAACCCCCCCUGACACUGACAGUGGGCCCCAGCGCCACUAAUCCCUAAUUAGGAUUAAUUUAAACCUGUUUAACCCCCCCUGUCACUGACGUGUGGCCCCCACACGUCAGGUUUGACUUCAGCCAGCCGCAGUUGACCACUGACGUCAUGCUGACGUCAUGCUGGCGCAAUAAUUAUAUUCUGGAUUUAAAUUAAGUCAGGAAAUUCCAGAAUAUUAUUUAAACUUCAAAAAUUCAUAACUUUUAUUCUGUAACUCCAAAUUGGACAAAUUAUAUAUGAAAAAUGAUCAGAAAAAUCCAAUCUAUCCAUCUGUACUAUUUUCAUGCAUGAUCAAACAAGUUAAAUUGAUGUUUUAAGCAGAACAAGGAAAAGCACUUAAAGAGGCCAUGUUUGAGUUUGAAAUUUGAAUCUUUGAUUCAAAUUUGUUCAAACCCUUCUGGUUUUAGUUGCAUUAGCCCAACACACUCAUAUUGCCAUGUUUCAUGCAUGCAUCAUAUUGUUGCACAUUGUUUGGUGAUGCUUGUGUAUCGAUGCCCUUUGCGACAGGUUCUGCCCCCGAGGAAUACCGUGAUUACCCUAACGAAGAACCAUAUCAGUGCAUCGAACCAUCAGGCAAGCAACCAACCAUUUGAUCAUAUCGAUACAAUCCCAUGUUCUCGCUCCUGCUCUCUUUUACUGCAUUAAGACAAUGCAAUUCAAACUGCUGUGUGCUACGGUAGUUGAACCCAUUUCCUCUGCAUGACCUGUCAUUGCCACAGUAACUAGAUGAAACCCACUAGCAUGUGUAGGAGUUGAUUGAGCCAUAUGUAUGUGUUGUUCCUACCUUGCUAUGCCUGCUAUGCUUAGAGUCGUGUCAGGUCUGGUUCAUCUGGGAGAUGGGCUAGAGUGAAAUGAUUAUGUCGGUAAUGGGAGUGGUGUGGUGAACACGAUUUGGUAAAGGUAUCGAUGAGAGGCCAUGUAGGAGUACAUGGUGGGUUGUUUCAUUGAAGCCGACCUUAAGCACUGAGAUCUGUAUGUGUGAUUUAAGAAUCAGCUACUACCAUGCAUUGGGCCCGAAACCAAUGGACCCUCUCGGCUUCUUAUUCACCCUAGUUCUCCGUCCAGGAGUUGCAAGUAGUUUCUGGUGUUUGUAGCCUACUGGAGGCCGUGGACAGCGCUGACCGUAGGGGUUGGCUGUGAUGCGGUAGGUACGUGGCCGGGUGUACCGAAUACCCGUUAGGUAUCUCGGGAACCCUGUUCACAUCGUUCGGGGCCGUAUGGGAAACCUCGGCCGGACUCCCUGCGGAUGGAACCUGAAUAGGCGAUAAACCUGGACUGGAGGCUUAGGUGAUUAGGUAGGUCAUGGCCGACACCCACGUUGGGCUUCCGCUUGAAGGUUGCCGAGUACAUGUCGUGUAAACGAUGGUAAGUGGUGAGAGCGUGUAUGAAGAAGUACACCCCUGCAGGGUUAACAUGAUCUAUUCGAAUAGCCGCGUCCGUGGUAAAGGACUACUUGGUUGCCUAUACAGUUCAUAGACAAGUAAAUGGAAACUACUAAAAGCCUCAAGAUAAGUGUGAGUGCCGAGGAUGGCUCUUCCGUAGGAAGACGGAGGUGGAUCCUCGGUAGUGUAUUGAAGUGGUGAGUAGUGGACUCGUGUGCGCAAAACAUUUCAAGUUGGAGUAUCGUAGGAUAGCCUAGCCAAGAGUCAAAGCUGGCUUGCUGCAAUAACUCCACCAACCCUUCUUGAUACUAUGCAUGUAUGUAGGAUCUGAUGUAAGUCUUGUUGAGUACCUUUGUACUCAUGUUGCUAUAAUCUACAUUUUUACAGAAGACGCUGCAACCCCUUCUGAUGGGUUCUAUGUAGACGUUGACAUCAAUGAGUAGGCUAAAGACCCAGGUGGUGACCCUGAGCUUGUGAUGGACCACGUAGUAUAGCUAGGCUUUCCAAGCCUCUUUUAGUUUACUAGUUGUCUGUACCCAGACAAUGUACUUCCGCUGCUGGUUUGUAUGACUGUAUGACUUGUAUGUUGGGUCGUGAGACCCGUACCUUUGUGUAUGUUAUGUAUGGCUCCCUGAGCCUUAAAUAAAGUACUUGUGUCAUAGAGUCAUGUUGUGAUGCUUCGUUGUAUUUGCACAUAUCGAGCAUAUUGUGUGUAUGAUUGAAAUGCUUGGUAUGUGUGGGAUCUGACUAUCUAGUUGUUUAUCUUUAGUAGCCUCUCUUACCGGGAAAUGUCUCCUAGUGUUACCGCUGAGCCAUGGUAGCUUGCUACUGCUCUGGAACACUUAGGCUGGCCGGCAUGUGUCCUUCUUCGUUCCUGUGUCUGUCCCUCCGGGGAAAUGUCACGCUUUGAGUACCGGAGUCCUGUUAGCCCGCUACAGCCCGGUUUACCGGAGUCCUGCUAGCCCAGUGCUACAGCUCGGACCCACUUGCUGAUGACCGACACGUUCGAAGCUGGGUCAUGGAUGCCUGUCCCUGUAAGUCUGUGCCACUUUGGGUUUACGACUAGUCAUGUCAGCCCGGGCUCCUUAUCAUAUGGAUGCUAGCGACACUAUCAUAUACGUGAGCCAAAAGGCGCAAACGGUUCCGGGAAAAGGUAAGACGACACCCGUGGGGAUACCGUGCGUGAGGCCGCAAAGUGAUAUGAGGUGUUACCAGCUAGAUCGAUGUGACAUCGAGUCGGGGUCCUGACAACAAGACCCCCGGCAAGGUUCUUGCCGGGGACGACUGCAGUGCCGCAGCAGACCCUUGCCGGCCUCUCGGCAAGACCCUUGCUGAGGACGCCUGCGGGGCCGCAGCCAGGCCCACGUUUGCCAAAACCUCCACCGUCGCUCCCAUACAGCUGCCAGCUCGACCAGCUGAGCAGACGCCUGCGUGGCAGCACGCGGCCUCUACACCGACUCAGCAAGCACCUGCGUGGUGGUGCGCAGAUCUUCGUGAAGGCUCCACCACCGCCCCAGCCCAGCAGCCAGCCAACAUGGUGCGACGAUGCCUCGUCAUCUUGGACGCGCUUUGGAGGCAUGCGAGGCGACGACAGCUAGGACGGGCGUCUUUGCCAUCCCCAAUAAAGUGAGAGGGGCACGUCGGCAGCGCAUUAAAUGCGUUUGUCCAGUGAUGCCAGGGGAUAGACUCAUCCCCUAUACACCUUUCCACCUCAUGCGUGCCACUCUGGUGACCCCUUUUGUCUUUAAAAGGAGGCCCAAGGCGUCCAAGAGAGGCAUUCGGAUAUUUUGGACUAGAGAGCCACUGCAGCUAGUUCAAGAACACAAGAACACCUCAAGACACAUACAAGCAGGACUAUGGUUUUAUGCGCCUCCGCGGCCCGAACCUGGGUAAGCGAUUUGUGUGCUGACCGCCAGACCCGCUCUUCACACAACCCUGUGCCCGCCAACCGUAGAAGGGAUCCCAGUGACCCCAUAGGUGUCGUUUCCCACCGACAGCAAGCUCAAGAAACAUAUCUUUGUCUCUAAUGAUAUGAUCAGUACAUCAACUAUCAAGGACCCAUUCCUUUCCUCCAUCCAUGUAGCCAUGAAGAUUAGCCAUAAGAUCACAGUUUCUCAUAGACUCAUCAAGAUCAUGGUCACUAUCAUCAUCCUCAUCAUAGUAUCCAUGUUCAACAUCGUCUUGUGAUGGAUCAAUUCCUAGAGAGGGUAAUUCAUUAGAUAAAUAGUCAUCAGAAUAGUCAUCUUUAUGAAUUCUAAUGGCUUCGGAGAUGAUAUUGCUAAUGAUUCCAACAUCUCCUUUGGCACGCGUAAGAUUAGCAAGCUCAAAUAGAAAAUCACCAAAUUUGGGAUCAUUGGAACUUGUCUUACUCAAGGCAAUAUACUUAAGAAGGAUCUCAUCUAAGUUUUUCAAGGAAUAGUUUGGAAAUUGUUCCUCAAGAAAUCUCCAUAUGGUGUAGGCACAAUCAAGAGCAGGCAAGCUAUCAAACAAGUUUCUAGGCAAUCCUUUAGUGAUUAAAUUGAUAGUUCUAAGAUUAUGGAUCACAUCAAUAGACUCAUCAAGGGUAGGAUGCAAAGCAUCAACAUGAGGUGCACAAGGGCUAGUAAUAUACUUGUUCAAAUGAUAUUCAUUGAAAAUCUCAAGCAUCUCAAUUUUCCACACAUGAAAGAACUCUCCAUCAAGUAUAGGCAGUCUAUGUCUAAGACUCCCCAACAUAGACUCAUACAUCUUCCUCCAAAGGUGUUUAAACCAAAGCAAUGGAGACCAAUGCUCUGAUACCAAUUGAAAGGAUCGAGAAGAGGUGUCUAGAGGGGGGGGUCAAUAGACUCCUAACAAGGAAAAGUUGUAAUUUUUAUUUUCUUCAAGUUAAGGUAGAGUAUUAGCAUAAGUUUAAACAUUCACAAUACAUUCAAGCAAGCAUGGCAAGAGUAUAUGAGCAAUGGAAAGUAAAGCAUGCAAUUUGCAAGAAAGUAAAGGGAUGGGAUUGGAGUGUGCAAAUGCAAUUUGAGACACGAAGAUUUUGUGUGGUUCCGAUAGGUGGUGCUAUCAUACAUCCAUGUUGAUGGAGACUUCAACCCACAAAGGGUAAUGGUUGCGCGAGUCCACGGAGGGCUCCACCCAUGAAGGGUCCACGAAGAAGCAACCUUGUCUAUCCCACCAUGGCCAUCGCCCACGAAGGACUUGCCUCACUAGGGUAGAUCUUCACAAAGUAGGCGAUCUCCUUGCCCAUACAAACUUCUUGGUACAACUCCACAAUCUUGAAGGAGGCUCCCAAGUGACAUCUAACCAAUCUAGGAGAUACCACUCUCCAAAAGGUAAUAGAUGGUGUGUUGAUGAUGAACUCCUUGAUCUUGUGCUUCAAAUGAUAGUCUCCCCAACACUCAACUCUCUCUCACAGUUUUGGAUUUGGUGGAAAGAUGAUUUGAGUGGAAAGCAAGUUGGAGAAGGCUAGAGAUCAAGAUUUAUGUGGUUGGAGUGGAUUAUCUUGACCUCAACACAUGAGUAGGUGGUUCUCUCUCAGAAAAUGUAUGCUGGAAGUGUAGGCAUGUUCUGAUGGCUCUCCUCACUAAUGAAGAGUGGGUGGAGGGGUAUAUAUAGCCUCCACACAAAAUCUAACCGUUACACACAAAUCACCAAACUCGGUUGGACCGAUUUAGUUCAUAAUGUGAUCGUUAGACAUUUUGGUGGAACCAAUAUGAUCAACUCGGUGGGACCGAUGUGCUAGGGUUAGGGUAAAACCUCAUCUCGUUUUGACCGAUUACACAAACUCGGUGAGACCGAUUUUGGUAAUAAGCAAAACAAAGAGUUGGUCACGCAAACGCGGUGGGACCGAUUACAUAUCUCGGUGGGACCGAAAUUAUUGCAAUAGGUGACAGAGAGUUUGCAAUCCCAUCUCGGUGAGACCGAGAUCCAAUUGGUGAGACCGAAUUGAUUAGGUUUUGUGGCAGUGGCUAUGUCAAGUGAACUCGGUGGCGCCAGAUGGAAAAUUUUGGUGGGGGCGAGUUGGACUUUUGGUUUGGGACAUAUGUGGAUAUGGAAAAGUGGUUGAGGGUUUUGGAGCAUAUCACUAAGCAUUCUGAGGAAGCAAGCCAUUACGCAACACCUCAUUCCCUUUUAAUAGUAUUGGCUUUCCUAUGGACUCAAUGUGAUCUGGAUCACUAAAAGAAAAAUGUAGAGUCUUGAGCUUUAGAGCUUGAGCAAAUCUUUUGUCCUUAGCAUCUUGAAAGGGUUCUAUAUCUCUUGUCCAUGCCACUCCAUCUGUUGAACUUGUCUGAAAUAUACUAGAUGAAAAGAUUAGUUCAACAAGAGAUAUGUUGACAUUAAUUACCAAAACCACCCAGGGAGCACUGGUGCUUUCAGAGGCCACUAGUGAAACCUAAGGCCUCGGGUAUUUUCUUUAGUAUAUUUGCCUUUGCGAUCUAUUUUUAUUUGGUUUUAUUUUCACAUCUAUUAACCAAAAAUACAAAAAUACAUUGCUUCACUUUAUUUUAUUUGGUGAUCUAUCUAUCUAUCAAUUCCUUACAACUUUCUCACAUCCACUUGCCAAUUUCUGGCACCAUUGCCCGAAAGGGAUUGAGAACCCCUUUAAUACGUCGGGUUGCGAGUAUUUGUUACUUGUGUGUAGGUGCCGUUCAUGUAGUGUUGCAUGGUUCUCCUACUAGUUCGAUAACCUUGAUCUCAUCACCGAGGGAAAUACCUACCAUUGAUGUGCUGCAUCAUCCAUUCCUCUUUGGGAAAUACCGACAUAGUUCAAGCAAACAUCAGUCUCCAUCUUCUCUUAUAAAGCACCAACUAAGGGGUACUAUGAUCGUACUUGAGCACUGGGUGUAGCUAAUAUGUGAGUGUGCUUCAUGAACGGAUUAAUAAUUGAGCAUAAUGGGCUAGGGAUAACUUGCUUUAGUGUUGAUAUUUUAAAAGACAUGGUUGCUUGUUGAUAUGCUUGAGUAUUGAAAUCUUUAUGUCAAAACUAGACUAUUGCUUUGAAUCAUAUAAAAGUCCAAAUGUCCAUGCUACAAAGAAAAGAAUAUGUGAUGAACAUGUUAGGCAGCAUUCCACAUCAAAAAUUCUGUUUUUAUCAUUUACCUACUCGAGGACGAGCAGGAAUUAAGCUUGGGGAUGUUGAUACGUCUCCAACGUAUCUAUAAUUUUUUAUUGUUCCAUGUUGUUAUAUUAUCAUUCUUGGAUGUUUAACAAUCACUUUAUAGCAACUUCAUAUCAUUUUUGGGACUAACCUAUUGACAUAGUGCCCAGUGACAGUUGCUAUUUUUGCUUGUUUUUCACUUCACAGGAAAUCAAUACCAAACGGAGUCCAAACGUAGCAAAACUUUUCGGAGAAUAUUUCUAGGCUAGAAGACAAACGAUGGGCCAAAGAAGUACUAGAGGGGUGCCCCGAGGGGGGCACAACCCACCCGGUGUGACAAAGACAAAAGGUAGGGGAUGGAGAGCUCACAGUGGUGGUGCACGGGGGCCCGGUGAGUGAACGGGAGCGCAGAGGCGACCGACGUCGACAGAGAUGGCGGCGAGGUACCGAGGAGCAAGACGGUUCGAGGCAGCAUCGUAGCAGCCUUCGGCUCCAAUGCGUCAGCGUGGAGGACGUAGCUGAUGGAGACAACCUUUGUGGACAAGACGACAUGACAGGAGGUAACCGGUGGCCGCGGUGGAGCGAGGCGGACAGUGCCGGGCGUGUCGGCGAGGCGGAUCUGGGAGAGGGGACGCAGGCGAGAGAGAGAGAGAGAGCGAGCGAGCGAGCGAGAGAGAGAGAGAGAGAGAGAGAGAGAGAAAGCGAGGUGGAGAUAGGAACAGCAUGGGCGGAGGGGGAAGAAUUACCUAGGGUUUGGUCCGGGGGAGGGGCGCCGGCUUAAGUAGGGGGCAGCGCCGGUGGAUGGCUACCCCGACGGCUGAUGUUUGCUUGAACUACGUCAGUAUUUCCCAAAGAGGAAGGGAUGAUGCAGCACAACAACAGUAGGUAUUUCCCUUAGUGAUGAGACCAAGGUUAUCCAUCCAGUAGGAGAACCACGCAACACUACGUGAGCGGCACCUGCACACAAAUAAAAAAAUACUCGCAACCCGACGUAUUGAAGGGGUUGUCAACCCCUUUCAGGCAUCGGCGCCAGAAAUUGGCAAGUGGACGUGAGAAAGUUGUAAUAAAUUGAUAGAUAGAUCGCCAAAUAAAAUAAAGUGCAACAAGGUCUUUUUGUAUUUUUGGUUUAAUAGAGCUGAAAAUAAAAGCAAAUAAAAAUAGAUCGCGAAGGCAAAUAUAAUAAAGAAGAGACCCGGGGCCAUAGGUUUCACUAGUGGCUUCUCUCGAGAAAAAUAGCAAAUGGUGGGUGAACAAAUUACUGUUGGGAAAUUGAUAGACCUUCAAAUAAUCAUGACGAUAUCCAGGAAAUGAUGAUUAUAUAGGCAUCACGUCCAAGAUUAGUAGACCGACUCCUGCCUGCAUCUACUCACUACAAAAAAAUACACUUUUGUGAUGAUACGUGUUUGUCAUAGUAGGUCACGUUUUCUGUCAUGCAUGUACAUCCAUGACGAUUUUAUGACAGAAUCAAGAUAGUCAUACAUGUGCUGUCGUAGAAGUGUUCCAUGACAUUACCAAAACUAUCAUCAUGGAAGUGUCCACUUCCAUGACGAUAAAUGUCGCGUCAUGGAAGUGCUUUCGUCAAGGGUGACCUUCACGUGGCAUCCACCGUAAUGGGUCGCCGUUAAGCUAUCAGGUCCGGUUUUGGAUCCGGUAACCCACUAACAGCCAUGACCAAUGCCGAUUUUCCACGUGUAAAAUUCUCAUUGGCUGAUGGAGCCACGUGUCAGCUCCGCGUUGGCACAGGUUUCACUCAUCCAAUGGGCGAGAUGUGCCUAUGAUAUGUUCACAUGUGGACCGGCCCAAAAGUGGCCCAUAAAGAUUAAAUGGGCCGGCCCAACUAAAGGCCCAUUAGAUUUAGCGGACCAUAAUGGGCCGGCCUAGCUAAAGGCCCAUAAGAUUUUGCAGACCAUAAUGAGCAGGCCCACCUAAAGGCCCAACAUUCUUAGUUAAGGCCCGUAUGGCUAGUGUCAAAUCGUCCCGUCAACGGCUCGUCCUAAACUUGUCAUCAUCGUGGCCCAUGGUCACUUCUAGCCCAUUAACAGUCUGCUAAGUAUUUGGGCCAAAUUACGACCCGGUGUGUUUCUAGCCUGUUAUAGGUUCUGCUUCAUUUGGGCCCAUUUAUAGGCCAUUGAAACUUUCGGCCCAUAAACGACCGUGAAUGAUUUGGGCCAUAUUUGGCCAUGUCUAACAUUCGGCCUGUUAGAGGCCCACUAUAGAUUUGGGCCACUUUCAACCUGUUAACGCCGGACAAAAUCCAUGGGCCAUAUGUGGCCCAACGUCACAUCAGGCCUACUAACGGCCCAUAUAAAAAUGACACUAAUCAUGCCCGAUCGAACUUCCGGCCUGUUAAAGGCCUGUGUAGUAGGUCAGCGCAUUUAUGACCCGUCUGAAUUUCGGCUCGUGAACGAUUCGCAUUGUAAAUGGGCCACCAUUUCGGCCUGCUAAGACCAGUGGGUUAUUUGGCACAACCAGGGCCUAAUCUCACAUUCUGCCUAUUAAAGGCCCAUGUUUUUUAUGGGCUCAAGAUAUUUACACCUGUAAAUGGCCUAUUGUUACUGAGGGCCCAAAUUAUGUUUAGGCCUGUUAAAGGCCCACUAUGGGCACAUGCCUACGAGAAAAAAUAUGAAAGAUUAUGAUGAUUUAAGCCCAGAUAUUUUUAGUGGGCUACAUGCAAAUUUUGGCCCAUAAUCGUUUUUAGCCCAAUUGGAAUGGGCCCGACGAAUGUUGGCAUGUUGGGCUCCUACGAAGAUUUUGGCCGAAAACUUUACUAAGAUAACCUACACUAUAUAAAAAAAUGGCAUCAUAAUUACUGCAGCCUUUGGGCGCAUCAUAAAUGCUAUAUCACAAAAAAAUAAAUUCCAACCAUACAACAAAAGGCAUGUUGGCAUAAAGUUUACAGUCCUUGCAGAUAAAAGCACCAUCAGAUGUAUAGAAGCACAAAUCAUUUGACUUGAGUGCUAAUGUUUCAGGCUAUAGAAUUUGAUAGAGCAGCAUGAUCUUCCCCUUUUCCCCGCCAUUGCUCUCGAACGGCGAAGCAAAUGUCUGAUAGUCUUGUUUCAAAACCAUUAAUAUCUUCACGACAUUUGUCAACCACUAUUCUUGUUUCUGAAACAACGCCCAUUAGGGAUUGGACUUGUGUCUGGAGCACAGAUAUAUCACUCUGUCUAGCCGGAAGAUUUUGUUCAGUAGGCGAUUUGGACGAGGUUACCUUGACAACCAACCCAAAAUGGCGCAGGAAGGUGCUUUUUGCACUGUUAGUGGAGAGAUACUAACGCACUGCAGCAAGAGGUGACAUUGUGCCUGUGGUAGCCUCGUCACCUUUAGGUGGUUGUGGCUAUUCAAUCAUUUGUUUCAUAGCUUGCUGAAAGUUUGAACUUGUAGAUUAGUAUACCAAAUAAGUUACUAAUGAGAAAAAAACAAAGUAGGUUUCAUGUUUAUACAUAACUUAUUUUAGUGAACUACUCUAAUACAUUAGCAUGUAUUGUAGUGCCAGCUACAUAAUAAAAUCACUUUUGGAACAUAUGUCCAUGUAGCAUGCCUACUGUAUUGUCUAUUUCCUCACAUUCGUUGACAUCUAAGGAUAAAGAGACAUGGUUUAAAGUAGGAUGAACAUAGUAUGACAUCAUUCAUAUCAUGGGCAAACAGAUAUAAAACAAACAUGCCAUUGUAUCAUUGUGUGCACACGUGAACAUCACAACUAGAUUAUAGAUCAAGACCAAAAGAAUAUUGUCGGUGUCAAAACUGGCAGAUCUCGGGUAGGGGGUCCCGAACUGUGCGUCUAAGGCGGAUGGUAACAGGAGGCAGGGGACACGAUGUUUACCCAGGUUAGGGCCCUCUUGAUGGAGGUAAAACCCUACGUCCUGCUUGAUUGUUCUUGAUGAUAUGAGUAUUACAAGAGUUGAUCUACCACGAGAUCGAAGAGGCUAAACCCUAGAAGCUAGCCUAUGGUAUGAUUGUCUCUUGUCCUACAGACUAAAAACCUCCGGUUUAUAUAGACACCGAAGGGGGCUAGGGUUACACAAGGUCGGUUACAAAGGUGGAGAUAUACAUAUCCGUAUUGCCUAUCUUGCUUCCACGCCAAGUAGAGUCCCAUCCGGACACGGGACGAAGUCUUCAAACUUGUAUCUUCAUAGUCCAACAGUCCGGACAAAGGAUAUAGUCCGGCUGUCCGAAGACCCCCUAAUCCAGGACUCCCUUAGUAGCCCCUGAACCAGGUUUCAAUGACGAUGAGUCCGGCACGCAGUGUUGUCUUCGGCAUUGCAAGGCGGGUUCCUCCUCCGAACACACCACGGAAGAGUUUGAAUACAAGGACAGUGUCUGACCCUGCAAAAUAAGUUCCACAUACCACUGUAGAGAGAAUAAUAUUUCCACAAAUCUAAUCUGCUGACACGUUUUGACAGCGUCACAUCACGCCUUGACUCGGUCAAUAUUCAAACUGUUUCCCUCAACCAGCGCCGCACAUAUCGCGAGGCGGUUUUCUUGACACGUCUUGUCAAAGCAGAGAUCGUGUCCCCCUUAUCUUGGGAUUCUCAUCAAUACAAACGUGGGUUACCCAACCCUGCCUGAUGGUAUGACUCCUAGAUCUUAGGUAAUUCCCAAAUGGCCACGAGGAGGACGCCUGAUAUUCACCCUCUUUAUAAAGGGGACGAGGCCUUUUCCUUUUCCCUCCCGUGCUCAAUCGAAUCCUUCCCCCGCCUCGAGUUCUAACACCCAAAGCUUAGGUCAGGUGCUUCAGACCUUCAACUUUGUUCGGAUCCAACCUUCAAGGUCGGUGGAUGCCUUCCUCCGUCAUAGAGGAGGACAUCAAGAAGCUGAGGGAGGCCAGAUAUCUGACCGCCGAAAUUCCGCAUAGGCUGUCUACCCGAGGGCAGGUCGUCCCUACUCCCGAACCCAACGAGAGCGUUGUGUUCGUCUCCCACUUCCUCCGAGGGCUAGGCCUCGCUCUGGAUCCCUUUGUUAGGGGUCUUAUGUUCUAUUACGGGCUGGAUUUUCACGAUCUAGCCCCGGAUUCCCUUCUUCACAUCUCGUCAUUUAUUGUCGUAUGUGAGGCCUUCCUCCGCAUUACCCCUCACUUCGGCCUGUGGCUCAAGACCUUCGAUGUGAAGCCAAAGAUGAUCAAGGGGCAGCAUGCAGCGUGCGGAGGUGCUUUAAUAAGGAAGAUCGCUGACGCUCCAUGGCCAGAGGGUUCCUUCCCAGAGGUGUCCGGAUUGUGGCAGCGGGAAAGGUUUUACAUCACAUCUCCCCGAAGUGCCAAGUGGGUAGCUGCCCCCGCCUUCCGCUCGGGCCCCCCACCACAACUAAUGUCAUGGAUCAGCAGGGGGCUGAGCUGGGGUCCAGCCAAGGACGUGCCAAUACUGCAGAGCCGUAUCCGAGAUCUCUUCGAGGGAGACUUCAGUCUAGUUAUGGUAAUGCAAGUUAUGCUGGUUCGUCAAGUCCAACCUUGCAAACGCCGGCCCCUCCGUAUGUGGGAAUUCAACCCGGAAGGAUCGCGAGUUAUUCAGCAUUUCCUCGGCAUGACGCACGAGAUGUACAAAUCGUUCUUCGGACCGCAAAUAGAGUGUCCGGACACCACCGAGGACGUGGGCCUGAGCUGCAACCGCCCUGCUGCCCAAGUAAGUAAUCCCAUGCCGAACAUGCUGUCCUUUCAUUUAUCAUGGCAUCAUUCUAAAGAGCCGCUCUUUGACCAGGACUAGAUAACAAAGGCGAUGAUGAUCAGGUGUUUUCCCCCCUUCCUGAGGGCUUGGACAAUCCGGUAUUGGACAAGAUGCUCGAGUCGGUGCCUUAUCCAGUGUCCUCAAAGGAAGAUGAUGGGGGGAAUAAAGAGGGCGAAAGCGGGCCUCACUCGCUACUUAUUCCAGCCGGGGAAUGAUCACCUCUACAAGGGAGGACAAUCAAAGGGAAGAACCUGACAUUCUCCCUCCCCGGGGAAGGAAGAGGACUACCUCUGAAGAUCCGGAAACUAAGGUUUCAAAACGGGAGAAGAAAUCUUCAUCAGAGGGUCCUGCCUCAGAGGGUAUUCUUGCCGCACAAUAUCCGCGCGGGGAUCAGCCCUCUACCGAGCUGUAAGUAAUUGAAAAGUACUUAGCAGUGAAAGUAUCCUACCUUACUUCCAAAGACAAUAACCGAUGCUUAUAAAUUGUAGUCCGGAUCGUAGCCCUUCUUGACAGAAUUCAUCUUCGGGGGAUCUUCUUCCGGAGAUGAUGGAGAGAGAAAUGCCUCCCCCGGACACCCCGCCUCAAGAAGCGGGCGACCUUGAAGUGUCGUCGCGAAGGGUAUCUCCAGAUCCACUAGGGCCAGAGGAUAACCCUUUGGCUGCCCGGAAUCCCCAGUAUCCGGCUCCUAAGGAGAGCGACAUCAAGGGUCCGUACAGUGUGCGGUCGAACGCGCUGAAGGAUCUUUUGGGGCAAGCGGCUGUCUCAGAAAUGCAUCGUACGCUAAUGGGUACGAUAACUGAAAGGAUUUCAUCCGCUGAAAGCGGUUUGCAUGAAGCCUUCAUGAGUCUAAUGAAAGGCUUCGAGGUAUGUGAAAUAAUGUAUGUUUUUAACAGUACCGCAUACGUUAGAUAUGCCCUAUGCAGAUAGUAGCCCCUGAGACUCUGGUUGUCGUUGAAAACAGCGGCAAACAGAGGAUCAUAGUCCUAGGUAAUAACCAGACCACCUUUAUGUGUAGGUCGCUGAAGCUCCGGUGGCUAGCCGGACUGAUGCUUUUGCCGAGCUAAAGCGGCAACUUGGUGCGGCAGACGCCGACAUCGUGCUUGUCAACAAGCGGCUUGACGAGGCACAGGGUGAGUGAUUUUUCUGGUGAUCGUCACAUAAUAAGAGUAGCAUGAUGCCAGUAUCUAUAAUGUGUUGUGACUGCAGAUGGAGCUGCCACCGUGGAGACCCUUCGGGUGGAGCUUGCCCGAGCCAAGGAGCAAGCAAGGAGUAGCAAUGCGGCCACUUUAAAGGCGGCUGAAGAAUUAAGGGCCGAACAGGCCGCGCAUUGUGAGAGCAAGGAAAAAAAAUAGCCAAGAUGGCUGUAGAGUUAAAAGAUGCCGCUGACCGUUACCAGCUUCUUGAAGAAGAGAACCGGGCGAAGGCGACGAACCUGGAGAAGGCCCGAGUGGCUGCCAAGGAAGCCCGCUCCAAAAUUAGAGCGACGAAGGAGGAGCUGAAUCAAGCUACAGAUAUCGUGUCUGGGAGGCCCUUCUUGUUGCAGACUAAGUUCGGAGAUCCGAAGUAUGCUCCUCUGGACCGGCUAUGGAGUUCUGCGGACGCAUACAUGGAUUUGCAUGCAAGUGCUACUGAUGUGGCCAAGUACUUCAAGGAUCAGAAAGGUCCUAAAGUGGAAAAGCUGUUCUGGUCACAGUUCCACGCUCCAGUCCGUCCGCUGUUGUUGAAUGAGUGAUUGGCCGAGUGGCCCAAGCUCCAUAGGUUGUCCGGACUUUCCAUGAGGUCCAUUGUGGAUCACCUGUGGCCGGGAGGGCCAAGGCCGAAUAGGUACUUUAGCUUAGUGCAACAAUUCCUUGGAGUUGUGCCACACAUCGAUCUUGUAAAGAGAUCGGCGUGCAUAGAGGGUGCGCGGAUGGCCUUUGCCCGUGUCAAGACAUACUGGGCGGAUGUCACAUCCCUAGCUUCUGGUAAUGCUCUAGGCUAGCUUCAUGUGUGCAUCAUGUCUAUAUUCCGAAAGUUGAAAUGAGGAAAUUGAAAGCCUCGGAAAUCAUUUUAAUAAAGGGGCAAGAAACCCUAAAAUUGCAAUCAGUAAAUCCAAAAUGCCCUAGAAAUAGCUCUGACAAUUUUGGCAAGAGUUAUAAAUCAAACCAAAAAUUUGGGACAUUUCUAAGGAAUUAUUUGGGCUCUGAUUUUAAAUCAAUAUUUUAUUUGAAUUUGGAGUUAUAUUCAUAAUAUAUAAUGAAUAUAUUUUCAAAUGCCCUGAGAUAUUUUAUGUUUAUGAGGAGUAGACCUUAAGUGACAUAAAAUUAUCCAGGGGAGUUUUGGCACUGUUUUCAAAUUUGUUUGAAUUUGAAUUCAGUGGCAAUUAAAUAGAAAGCAGAACAGAAAAUAUAUAAAAAAAAGAGAAGCCCAGUCACUUACCUGGCGCUCACCUGCAGUAGAGCCGGCCCAGCUUCUGUUCCGGCCCAGCCCACUACCGCCUCCCCCCCUGUCGUCUUCCUCCUCGCCAGAAGGACCGAGGCAUGGCGCGCGCCCGAGAGCCCCGGCCACCUCCUGCUUGCCGCUCUCCUUCCUCGACGCUCUGGAUGCCUCCCCCGAGCGCCACGCACCUCCCUGCCUCUCUCCCUCACUCUUCCGCGCUCUCGCCCCCUUCCCUGGAUCUCUCCCUUUCUCGCCCGACCGCUGCCGCCGCCGCCGUCCACUACCACUGCAGCCACUGCCGUCGUUUCACCCUACUAGAGAGUCCAUCGGCUCCGCCUAGUUCCCUGCUACCUCUCCGUUGAGACACGCGUCGCCGGAUGCCCUGCUGCCUCGCCAGCGACCCGUCUUCUCCACGCACGGCCGCCGGACGCCGUCUGUCGAUUCGCCGUCUCCGCCGCCUCCCCGAGCACGCCGACCUGCUCUGCAACCUCACAGUGAGCCCCCGCUCCGAACCCCUCUCUCCCCGCCGAAUUUCUCCUCCUCCAGCCGCCUUUUCCACCAAAGCCACGAGCUCCUCGCCGCCGGUGAUGGUGCAGACGAGGCCAUGGGCACUACAGCCCGUAUCUGAGCACACCAGUGUGCUCAGCGCGCCUCCACGAACCUGCAGCUACCAGUAGCUCCGCCUCCCGUGCCCUCUAGCACCAUACUCAGCUGCUCCCGAACGCCGGCCGCCGCCACGAGCUCGACUCCGGCGAGCUUGAUCCACCCCAGCCCCUCCCAUUUGGCUCUCCGGAUGCGCAAGAGCGAGGGCUAUGCCCUGGUGCCCUCAGCGCGCGAAUCCGAUGCCUCUAGCGCAAGUCCGGCGUGCCCCCGCCGUGCUCUGUGGUCACCGCCGGCCAAACUCCGGCGGGCUGAUGUGGCCACUUAGUUAGGGGCUAAUCACCCUAUGAGCCACUGCCAUGUGGGCCCCUGCACCUAAUUAGGAUUAGUAUAUUUUUCUGUUUAGUUAAGUCUAAUUGCAGUGGCCCCACGCGUCAGUUUUGACCGUGCUGACGUGGCCGUUGACUGGGCCCACACGUCAGCGGCACUAACCAGCCCCAGUCACUGACCAGUGGACCCCACUGGUCAGGUUUGACCAGCAGCAGCGUCUGUUGACCUGCUGAUGUCAUAGUGACGCAAUGCUGACGCAAUAAGUAUUUUCUGGAUUUAUUAUUAUUCAGGAAAUUUCAGAAAAUAGCUAAAACUUCAAUAAAUCAUAGAAAAUUAACCGUAACUCCAAAUGAAAUAAUUUAUAUAUGAAAAAUUAUCAGAAAAAUUCAAGGAAUCCAUCUGUACCAUUUUCAUGCAUGUUAGAACAACUUAUAGCUGCUGUUUAGCGCAAAUCAAUUAAAUGACAUUUGAAUAAUCACAUAUGGAGUUUGAAUUUGAAUCUUGUAUUCAAACCAACUUCAUUUAAUCUGUUGCUAGUUGCAUUAGCUCAAAACACAUUCAUAUUGCCAUGUCAUUAUCAUGCAUCAUAUUGUUGCAUCGCAUUGAUUGUGUUCUUCCUUGUUUGCCGGUAAUUGUCCCCUCUCGAUAGACGUGUACCGGCGAUGUGAUCGUUAACACUAAUGAAGACUCAAUGUUAUCGUCAGAAGUGCCAGGCAAGCAAAACCCCCUUGUUCAUUCCAAUACAAUCCUACUCUCCCGCUCCUGCUCUCUUUUACUGCAUUAGGACAACAUCGAUUCAACUGUUACUUGCUGCAGUAGCUGAACCCCUUUAUCCUUUGCAUGACCUGUCAUUGCCACAGUAAAUAGAUGAAACCCACUAGCAUGAGUAGGAGUUGUUUGAGCCCUGUUGUGCCUACUCAUUCAUGCUUGUUUGUCAUGCCUGCUAUUGCUUAGAGUUGUGUCAAGUCUGAUUCAUCCGGGAUGAAUCAGAGGUGUGUGAACAUGUCCUACUGUGUGUGAGCUAAGUGUGUGAACACGAUUUGGUAAAAGGUGUCGGUGAGAGGCCAUGUAGGAGUACAUGGUGGGUUGUCUCAUUGAAGUCGUCCUUAGGAACUGAGUUCUGUGUUUGUGAUCCAUGAUUUAGCUACUACCAUGCAUUGGGCCCUGAAAUAUGACCCCGCUCGACUUCUUAUUCACCCUAGUCCUCUGUCCAGGAGUUGCAAGUAGUUUCUGGUGUUUGUAGCUUACUGGAGGCCGUGGACAGUGCUGACCGUAGUGGUGGGCUGUGAUGCGGUAGGUACGUGGCACGGUGUACCGGAUGCCCGUUUGGUAUCUCGGGAACCCUGUUCACAUCGUUUGGGGCUGUGAGCGAAACUCCGGCCGGAUCUCCUCAUGGAUGGAACCCGAAUAGGCGAUAAACCUGGACUAGAGACUUGAGUGUUUAGGUAGGUCGUGGUCUACACCCACGUCGGCUUUCGCUUGAAGUCUGCCGAGCACAUGUCGUGUGCAGACGCUAAGUGGUGGAAACAUGUAUGAAGAAGUACACCCCUGCAGGGUUAACAUCAUCUAUUCGAAUAGCCGUGUCCGCGGAAAAGGACUUCUGGGUUGCUUAUAUCAGUUCAUAGACAAGUGAAAGUGGAUACCCUAAAAUACGCAAGAUAAGCGUGAGUGCUAUGGAUGGCGUUCUCGUAGGGAGACGGGAGCGGAUCCAUAGUGGUGUAUUGAUAUGGUGAAUAUGUGGACUCGUGUGCGCCACCUCAAAAGAGUCGCUUGCAGUCGUAGUUCAGGAUAGCCACCGAGUCAAAGCUGGCUUGCUGCAGUUAAACUCCACCAUCCCCUUUGUUGAUAAUGAUGCAUAUGUAGUUAGUUCUGAUGUAAGUCUUGCUGGGUACAUUUGUACUCACGUUUGCCUAUUUUAUGUUUUUGCAGAGAGACUUCGGUCUCGCUAGUAGUUCCACGUGGACUUCGACGUUUAGCUUGUUACCUCAACUACGAUCUUGUGCCUCGGCAGGAUCUGGUAGAUAGUCAGGCUUCUCAGCCUUUUUCAUUUCUAGAUGUCUGUACUCAGACAUGUUAAGAUUCCGCAUGUGCUUUGACUUGUAUGCUCUGAUUGUUGGGUCAUGAGACCCAUGUUUGUAAUAUCUCGCUCCUCAGAGCCUAUUGAAUAAAUACUUGAGUUGUAGAGUCAUGUUGUGAUGCCAUGUUGUAUUUGCACAUAUCGAGCAUAUUGUGUGUAUGUUAUUGAAAUGCUUGGUAUGUGUGGGAUCUGACUAUCUAGUUGUUUAUCCUUAGUAGCCUCUCUUACCGGGAAAUGUCUCCUAGUGAUUCCACUGAGCCAUGGUAGCUUGCUACUGCUCCGGAACACUUAGGCUGGCCGGCAUGUGUCCUUCUUCGUUCCUGUGUCUGUCCCUUCGGGGAAAUGUCACGCGAUGAAUACCAGAUUCCUGUUAGCCCGCUACAACCCAGUUCACCGGAGUCCUGCUAGCCCAGUGCUACAGCCUGGAUUCACUCGCUGAUGACCGACACGUUCGAUGCUGGGUCAUGGAUGCCUGUCCCUGUAAGUUUGUGCCACUUUGGGUUUACGACUAGCCAUGUAAGCCCGGGCUCCUUAUCAUAUGGAUGCUAGCGACACUAUCAUAUACGUGUGCCAAAAGGCGCAAACGGUCCCGGGCAAAGGUAAGGCGACACCCGUGGGAAUACCGUGCGUGAGGCCGCAAAGUGAUAUGAGGUGUUACAUGCUAGAUCGAUGUGGCAUUGAGUCAGGGUCCUGACAGCGUUGGUAUCAGAGCUUGACUGCCUAUAGGAUUACCAAGCCAAACUGGUCGAAGUUGAGACUAGAAAUUCUUUAGUUAUAUAAGGGAAUUGAUUGUGGGAUGGAACGUAAGGCUCUUUUUACUCCUUAUACCUCAUGCCCUUCUGAUCUGAGUCAUCUUAUCUUUCCUACGGGGAUUAAGAGCUAGGCUAUCUCUUCUUUCUAUCAGGAUCACGCGUUACUAAUCCGUAGACUUAUAAGAUUGUUGGAUUUAAGCUUCAGUUCAGUUUCUACUACUUCCGUAUGUUAAUUGUUGAUCUCGAAACCUUGAUAUUGUGCUUCUGAGUGGUUAUGCCACCAUUUUUGUGAAUGUCUCAAAUCUCUUCUGAGCAUUUAUAGCCGUUAUGCUGUCCGAGUCAUUCCAGGUUUCUAAAUAGUCUGAUGCAUUUGCAAAAUCCUUUCCCUCCAGUUUCGAUGCUCCUUUAUGCCAGCUCAAUCACACUAAUUGUUGAGUUGAGGUAUUCUACUGCCUCGACCUUUAUGUUGGAAUAAUUAUUAUGACCCUAGGUGUCUCAGGGGAUCAUCUAGUGGUCUAGCCAUGAUUUGUGUCCUAGUGUGAUGAUUCUGGCCUUUAUUCUCGAAAGCAUUUCGUGAUGCUACUUAGGAGUAGGUAUUCUAUUCCUGGGUUUUGAACCCGAGAUUCAUCCUACUUACAUCAUGUUGAUAGUGUUGCUAGUUCCUUUAGGAUAAUAGUAACCUUUGCGAUAGUCCUCGAGGUUGAUGGUACAUCCUUCUUCCAAUUACCAUGAAUCAUUCUUGGCAGGAGUUCUUCUGAACCAAAAGAUGACAACAAGAGUGCUCUCGAUGAGUUCUCCAUGCUAUAUUGUGGCUCUGCCAGUUCUACCUUUCCGCAUGGGUUAUCCGGAAGAAAUGUUGAACUUGGUUCGACAUACUAAUCUAUGCAUCCACAACUCAGAAAAUUAUAUGUUCCUUUGAGUUGUCCCUCUUAGUUGUCUACUGACCUUCGUCUAUCAAUGGAUAGUCAAGAGUAUGCGUGCGUUCGUUUAUCGAUGCCCAUUACUCUUGUGGUCCGUCAAGCCAUUCUGUUCUGAAUGACUUGGAGAAACAAACUCCAGUACCUCAUCCAUAUCUAGGAUUGGGUCAAAGUAGUUGUAUUCCGCAGAUCAAAUGCCAAUCCAGCUUUUGGUUCUGCUCUACCUUGGAGUAUUACCAUAUUUUAUAUCGGGAUUGUUACAGGAAUUGCACACCAUCCUAUGAACUCUUGAUACAGUGAUACUUCUUGCCAUCAUUGUUCAUUCCUCGGUUCCUGUGUUAUUGUAACCGGAAUGCCGACAAGUGAAUCAUGGUGUGUGAAAUCAAUACUGCUAGCAACUCCGUUGCUUGGUAGUUAAAUGGACGAUAACCUCAUUCUUAGCGUGUUGAUUAUUGAAUCGUCACCCUAAGGUUGAUUGUGCUACCUAGUCCUUAUUUCUGGUGCACUCUCCGAUCAGUGAGUUAGGAUAGUGCCAAUCCUUGCUUAUUUGAUCAUAUCGUCUUGCCCUGGAAAGCAAGAUUGUUCUCGAGCUUAGUAACAUAUCGGUGGUUCGUGAUUUUUCGAAUAUCUUCUCGGAAGUAUUACCAGGUUGUCCCCUGACUGUUAUGUUGAGCUCGUGAUCAAAUUGGUUUCUUGUGAACCACCCUCUCUCCAAGAAUCGGUGUUAGAUAUCCCUGAGCUAGUUGGUUAAGCUAGACAACAACUUGGAGAGUUGGAGGAUAAAAGCUUGCCUAACUUAGUUCGUUCCAAAGGGAUAUUCUUGUGUAGUGUGUGUUGAAGAAAGAUGAUAUCUUCAUCGAUUGGUCCCUGUGAUCAGUUGCUGGACCUAUUAUCUUAUCCAAUCUUUGAUUUGAGUAUGAGCUAUCGUCAAAUCAAAUCAGAACCAACGAUAUUCGUAAUGUUGUCUUACUCGUGGUUUUCCUCGAGCAUACACCAUUAUAUUCUUUGUUCUGACCAAUACUACCACCGUGUUCACAUGAUGGCGGAAGUCCAGUGAUAUGGAAAUUCCGAUGAGUUACUGUUGAGCCCAUCAGCAGCAUUUUGUCUCCCCCAUGAUUCAUGUUGAACAUCAACCUAGUGCUGGAAACUUGUGUAAGCAUUUUCUUCAUGCUAGCUCAUGAAGUAUUUGUUUGAUGAAAGGAGUGACUUCCUCUUAUACAUGUGCAUUUGGUGAAAGUUGCCGCCGUGAAUUUGAGAAAGUUAGUUUUGCUUCCUCUGGAAUCAUCCCAAGUCAGUCAUGCAUAUGUGCGAAGUAUUCUAUGGUUUGGAGACUUGCAACCUUCAUUCCAUAUGUGUUCCGAGCACACCAAGCCACUGAUUGAUUUGUUCAAGGAGAAGAAGUUCCUUCUUAAGAGCAUGCCUUAUGCAAGGAUUUUGAUAUCCUCGUUGAUGGUUCCCCACCUGAACUCGGUAGUGUUUUAUUAUAAGACUACCACGUGGUCAUGCUUGUCUGGGACAACGUGUUCACAUGUUUGUAGCAGAACCAGCUCAUGUUUUGGAGCUUACUAUCGUAGUUCAUUCCCCGAGAAUCUCGCAACGUCAUCUCGUCGAUUUGUGUUGCAAACUUUCGUUUUUCUUCCUAGACUCGAUGAGUCUGGAAUAUCCUGACACCAACCAGAUCUGAAUCUCAGGCAGAUGUGAUGAUUGGAACAUUUCCCAAGAACUAUAAUAUUAGUCUCUCGAUAACCGGUAAGGUGGAUGUCGUGGCCAACACACCCAUCCGGUAGACCUAUUAUUAUAGUAUCUUGUUUGAGGAAGUUGGCCACCUCCCCAUAGGGAUUUCGUAGGAUUUACUCCCUAGUUGCCCCUAUGGAUUUUUGUGCUCCCGAAGUCCGACCUUUUUACUUGAUGGUCUGGUGACCAACCCAUAUCUAUGAAUGGGUUACACUAGCACAUCAAGGAGAACAUUAGAAGCGGAGUGCUAAAUGUCUCUCGGUCGAUCAUCCAGAUUUUAUUUCCUUGGCAUUGCUAGGGUGAAAUCUGAGAAAGUGUUAUCUUCCUUUGCAUCUGCAUCAUCCAUCAUCAUUCAUCAUGGUAGCAAGUUGUGUUGCCAGGAUCCUUGACACGGAUGUUGGUAAAACCUUGAUGAUUAUGGAAAUGCUCAAGUUCUUGAGAGCACGCACAAGCACUAGGUAUUAUCGCCGGUACUAACCGGGAUUGCUCCUAGUCCCUUCGGUUAUGCUAUAACCACUCCAACAGUGGAAUCACUCUCUACUGCUGAGCUCCUCCCCAGUUACCAGAAUCAUUCCCAGCAUUUGCAUUUUGUUCCCAGCUUGCACCGCCAAUGUGCCAUUCUACCAUGGGUCUCUUCCAUUUUCGGUGGUAAGCACAUUCAUCCAUUACGUUGUCUUCAACAAGGUAAUCCAUAUCAUCCAAGUCCGAGUAUGCCAUUCUACCGACCCCCUCCAAACGAUCGGUCGAGAAUUGCCUUAGGUUGGUUUAAAGAGUUUCAAUGAUCUUUGAAUCAAAGGUAAUUCUUUUUGCCACUUAAGGGGAUAUUUCUACGAGUCACCUUUCCUAAGGUGCAUCGUUAUGGUAUCAUGGAAACUCAACUCCUCGCUACGUUGACAACCAUUCACCACCCUUUUUAGCGUGAACUUGUUGUCUACCUAGUGAACCUUCGUCAUCUGAUGCACUCCAUUCCUAUGGAUGUGUGCUUCGUCUCUCAGCUCAAGAGAUGUUGCUAUGUCUCAAUCCGUGGGUGAGUUGUCCGACCUUCGAGAAGAACAAUUCUUUUAGGGUCUUUCCUUUCCUCUCAUUGUCAUGAUAGUUGGAGUUUCCAGAGCAAGACAUCAAGAUAAGGAUGGUGAUCAAAUCAACGCUCUUAUGGAAUGCACCCUGGAUCGUUAAGAUUAUACUAGUUUGCGUUUCCCCUUCGUCUUACCCUACACUUGAAUCUCGGGUCGAGAUUCUUGUUUAGUGGGGGUGAGUUGUCACAUCCCUAGCUUCUGGUAAUGCUCUAGGCUAGCUUCAUGUGUGCAUCAUGUCUAUAUUCCGAAAGUUGAAAUGAGGAAAUUGAAAGCCUCGGAAAUCAUUUUAAUAAAGGGGCAAGAAACCCUAAAAUUGCAAUCAGUAAAUCCAAAAUGCCCUAGAAAUAGCUCUGACAAUUUUGGCAAGAGUUAUAAAUCAAACCAAAAAUUUGGGACAUUUCUAAGGAAUUAUUGGGCUCUGAUUUUAAAUCAAUAUUUUAUUUGAAUUUGGAGUUAUAUUCAUAAUAUAUAAUGAAUAUAUUUUCAAAUGCCCUGAGAUAUUUUAUGUUUAUGAGGAGUAGACCUUAAGUGACAUAAAAUUAUCCAGGGGAGUUUUGGCAUUGUUUUCAAAUUUGUUUGAAUUUGAAUUCAGUGGCAAUUAAAUAGAAAACAGAACAGAAAAUAUAUAAAAAAGAGAGAAGCCCAGUCACUUACCUGGCGCUCACCUGCAGCAGAGCCGGCCCAGCUUCUGUUCCGGCCCAGCCCACUACCGCCUCCCCCCCCUGUCGUCUUCCUCCUCGCCAGAAGGACCGAGGCGUGGCGCGCGCCCGAGAGCCCCGGCCACCUCCUGCUUGCCGCUCUCCUUCCUCGACGCUUUGGACGCCUCCCCCGAGCGCCACGCACCUCCCUGCCUCUCUCCCUCACUCUCCCGCGCUCUCGCCCCCUUCCCUGGAUCUCUCCCUCUCUCGCCCGACCGCUGUCGCCGCCGCCGUCCACUACCACCGCAGCCACCGCCGUCGUUUCGCCCUACUAGAGAGUCCAUCGGCUCCGCCUAGUUCCCUGCUACCUCUCCAUUGAGACACGCGUCGCCGGAUGCCCUGCUGCCUCGCCAGCGACCCGUCUUCACCACGCAGGGCCGCCGGACGCCGUCUGUCGAUUCGCCGUCUCCGCCGCCUCCCCGAGCACGCCGACCUGCUCAGCAACCUCACAGUGAGCCCCCGCUCCGAACCCCUCUCUCCCCGCCGAAUUUCUCCUCCUCCAGCCGCCUUUUCCACCAAAGCCACGAGCUCCUCGCCGCCGGUGAUGGUGCAGACGAGGCCAUGGGCACUACAGCCCGUAUCUGAGCACACCAGUGUGCUCAGCGCGCCUCCAUGAACCUGCAGCUACCAGUAGCUCCGCCUCCCGUGCCCUCUAGCACCAUACUCAGCUGCUCCCGAACGCCGGCCGCCGCCACGAGCUCGACUCCGGCGAGCUUGAUCCACCCCAGCCCCUCCCAUUUGGCUCUCCGGAUGCGCAAGAGGGAGGGCUAUGCCCUCGUGCCCUCAGCGCGCGAAUCCGAUGCCCCUAGCGCAAGUCCGGCGUGCCCCCGCCGUGCUCUGUGGUCACCGCCGGCCAAACUCUGGCGGGCCGAUGUGGCCACUUAGUUAGGGGCUAAUCACCCUAUGAGCCGCUGCCAUGUGGGCCCCUGCGCCUAAUUAGGAUUAGUAUAUUUUUCUGUUUAGUUAAGUCUAAUUGCAGUGGCCCCACGCGUCAGUUUUGACCGUGCUGACGUGGCCGUUGACUGGGCCCACACGUCAGCGGCACUAACCAGCCCCAGUCACUGACCAGUGGACCCCACUGGUCAGGUUUGACCAGCAGCAGCGUCUGUUGACCUGCUGAUGUCAUAGUGACGCAAUGCUGACGCAAUAAGUAUUUUCUGGAUUUAUUAUUAUUCAGGAAAUUUCAGAAAAUAGCUAAAACUUCAAUAAAUCAUAGAAAAUUAACCGUAACUCCAAAUGAAAUAAUUUAUAUAUGAAAAAUUAUCAGAAAAAUUCAAGGAAUCCAUCUGUACCAUUUUCAUGCAUGUUAGAACAACUUAUAGCUGCUGUUUAGCGCAAAUCAAUUAAAUGACAUUUGAAUAAUCACAUAUGGAGUUUGAAUUUGAAUCUUGUAUUCAAACCAACUUCAUUUAAUCUGUUGCUAGUUGCAUUAGCUCAAAACACAUUCAUAUUGCCAUGUCAUUAUCAUGCAUCAUAUUGUUGCAUCGCAUUGAUUGUGUUCUUCCUUGUUUGCCGGUAAUUGUCCCCUCUCGAUAGACGUGUACCGGCGAUGUGAUCAUUGACACUAAUGAAGACUCAACGUUAUCUUCAGAAGUGCCAGGCAAGCAAAACCCCCUUGUUCAUUCCGAUACAAUCCUACUCUCCCGCUCCUGCUCUCUUUUACUGCAUUAGGACAACAUCGAUUCAUCUAUUACUUGCCGCGGUAGCUGAACCCCUUUAUCCUUUGCAUGACCUGUCAUUGCCACAGUAAAUAGAUGAAACCCACUAGCAUGAGUGGGAGUUGUUUGAGCCCUGUUGUGCCUACUCAUUCAUGCUUGUUUGUCAUGCCUGCUACUGCUUAGAGUUGUGUCAAGUCUGAUUCAUCCGGGAUGAAUCAGAGGUGUGUGAACAUGUCCUACUGUGUGUGAGCUAAGUGUGUGAACAUGAUUUGGUAAAAGGUGUCGGUGAGAGGCCAUGUAGGAGUACAUGGUGGGUUGUCUCAUUGAAGCCGUCCUUAGGAACUGAGUUCUAUGUUUGUGAUCCAUGAUUCAGCUACUACCAUGCAUUGGGCCCUGAAAUAUGACCCUGCUCGACUUCUUAUUCACCCUAGUCAUCUGUCCUGGAGUUGCAAGUAGUUUCUGGUGUUUGUAGCUUACUGGAGGCCGUGGACAGCCCUGACCGUAGUGGUGGGCUGUGAUGCGGUAGGUAUGUGGCACGGUGUACCGGAUGCCCGUUUGGUAUCUCGGGAACCCUGUUCACAUCGUUUGGGGCUGUGAGCUAAACUCUGGCCGGAUCUCCUCAUGGAUGGAACCCGAAUAGGCGAUAAACCUGGACUAGAGACUUGAGUGUUUAGGUAGGUCGUGGUCUACACCCACGUCGGCUUUCGCUUGAAGUCUGCCGAGCACAUGUCGUGUGCAGACGCUAAGUGGUGGAAACAUGUAUGAAGAAGUACACCCCUGCAGGGUUAACAUCAUCUAUUCGAAUAGCCGUGUCCGCGGAAAAGGACUUCUGGGUUGCUUAUAUCAGUUCAUAGACAAGUGAAAGUGGAUACCCUAAAAUACGCAAGAUAAGCGUGAGUGCUAUGGAUGGCGUUCUCGUAGGGAGACGGGAGCGGAUCCAUAGUGGUGUAUUGAUAUGGUGAAUAUGUGGACUCGUGUGCGCCACCUCAAAAGAGUCGCUUGCAGUCGUAGUUCAGGAUAGCCACCGAGUCAAAGUUGGCUUGCUGCAGUUAAACUCCACCAUCCCCUUUGUUGAUAAUGAUGCAUAUGUAGUUAGUUCUGAUGUAAGUCUUGCUGGGUACAUUUGUACUCACGUUUGCCUAUUUUAUGUUUUUGCAGAGAGACUUCGGUCUCGCUAGUAGUUCCACGUGGACUUCAACGUUUAGCUUGUUACCUCAGCUACGAUCUUGUGCCUCGGCAGGAUCUGGUAGAUAGUCAGGCUUCUCAGCCUUUUUCAUUUCUAGAUGUCUGUACUCAGACAUGUUAAGCUUCCGCAUGUGCUUUGACUUGUAUGCUCUGAUUGUUGGGUCAUGAGACCCAUGUUUGUAAUAUCUCGCUCCUCAGAGCCUAUUGAAUAAAUACUUGAGUUGUAGAGUCAUGUUGUGAUGCCAUGUUGUAUUUGCACAUAUUGAGCAUAUUUCGUGUAUGUUAUUGAAAUGCUUGGUAUGUGUGGGAUCUGACUAUCUAGUUGUUUAUCCUUAGUAGCCUCUCUUACCGGGAAAUGUCUCCUAGUGAUUCUACUGAGCCAUGGUAGCUUGCUACUGCUCUGGAACACUUAGGCUGGCCGGCAUGUGUCCUUCUUCGUUCCUGUGUCUGUCCCUUCGGGGAAAUGUCACGCGAUGAAUACCAGAGUCCUGUUAGCCUGCUACAGCCCGGUUCACCGGAGUCCUGCUAGCCCAGUGCUACAGCCUGGAUUCACUCGCUGAUGACCGACAUGUUCGAUGCUGGGUCAUGGAUGCCUGUCCCUGUAAGUUUGUGCCACUUUGGGUUUACGACUAGCCAUGUCAGCCCGGGCUCCUUAUCAUAUGGAUGCUAGCGACACUAUCAUAUACGUGUGCCAAAAGGCGCAAACGGUCCUGGGCAAAGGUAAGGCGACACCCGUGGGAAUACCGUGCGUGAGGCCGCAAAGUGAUAUGAGGUGUUACAUGCUAGAUCGAUGUGGCAUUGAGUCAGGGUCCUGACAGCGGAGAUGGAGGCCACCACUGUUGCGACACAGGGUUCGGCCGUAGGCCGAAUGGCUGCCGAGCACUACUUUGAAGAAGUUCUUGAAGACGCUCGUUCGAUAGAGGCUCAGUGCUCGAAGAACAUUAUGUUCAAGUGACAUGUAUUCCCAUUGUAAAAACAAUGUUUUAUUAAAUUAUCAAGGUUGUAUUUAUACUUUUGCUCGAAAGUACUAUGGUGCCUCCUGUGCGGCCGUUUAUGUAUAUAUGUGUAUAACUUGAAAGUUUGCAGUCGUCGGCUUCCGCCCUGUAAUGCCCCGGACACACCCGCCGGUGGUCGUUACUCCUGGUGGGAUCUAGACUGGCCUUACAGAUCAAUACUAGUCUUUUCUGCGCACUUUGUCCUCACUCGUGCGCACCCGGGAGAAACUUCCCGGUCGGUCACCCAUCCUGACACUACUCCAAGCUGAGCACACUUAACUUUUGUGUUUUGCCCGAAUGGGCUCCCGGAAAAGAAGGAAUUCCUUAUUUAUAUGAGUAGUCUAUCAUCCCUAAUAAGCCAGGCCAUCACAUACACCCCCACUCAGAGGAACUGAUGUCCUCGUCGGGCCACAGGAACGUUCCCUCUUGGCACAUACGCCUGUGCUUCCAGUCCAGUACAUGUGCCAUGUCGUGUGCCACGACGGGUCACAAACGUCAUGAACAACAUGACCACACACCUGUCCGCAACCAUCCGUGUAACCACGAGGGUCGGCUCUGAUACCAACUUGUAACGCUCCGGACACACCCGCCGGUGGUCGUUACUCCUGGCGGGAUCUAGACUGGCCUCACAGAUCAGUACUAGUCUUUUCUGCGCACUUUGUCCUCCCUCAUGCGCACCCGGGAGCAACAUCCCGGUCGGUCACCCAUCCUAACACUACUCCAAGCUGAGCACGCUUAACUUUGGAGUUCUGCCCGAAUGGGCUCCCGGAAAAGAAGGAAUUCCUUAUUUAUAUGAGUAGUCUAUCAUCCCUAAUAAGCCAGGCCAUCACACGCCCCCACGCAUAUAAUGCGGGGGUGUUCGCAAAAGAUGGAUAUCCACACUUGAUCCAACGUCUUGGUCCGUUAAGGAGGUGAUAGCAUAGCAAACGAGGCAAUCAGACUAUAUUGCUUUAACACUUUCACUUAGCCAUAGGAGUUUGACAGUGGGGCUACUAUAUAGCCCCUAGUACUUCUCCUCUUGUCCGAAUACGGGGCGCGUACGUACAUGACUGGGAAACGGUCCUUCGUUAAUGCGGAGGAAUCCCGAAGAUUCCGAUGAGUCAUCGAGUGGUUGACCAGUCUCUCGCUAUAUCAUGACAGUCAGUUUUCGGCUUUCUCUACUGAGGUACUCAUCCGGAUGAACCAGGGCACAAUCGCAGUAGUUCUCCCAGUGCUACCUUAGCCGAUAUAACGGAAUGUAAGGUACCAAAACGUGGGAUCCGGGAAAACCAAACAUUUGACCAAAUACAUGAUUCGGAGCAAAUGCAUAUAGGGCCAAACUCGCGAUGUCGAACACUCCGUAAGGUGUUCGGUCUUUAUAACAUAUACCGGGCUAAACAAUGCCCUUAAUAAGAAACCCAUGUGUCCAGGUACGUGCAAAAUCCUGGCGUGGCCACAUGCCAAUAACGCCGGCAUCCUUCUCGGUUGUGUGGAGUAUCCGGAGGAUGUAAGCAACAAGAGACAGUAAAAAAGGUUUACGCAGGGUCUUGAUCUAAAGAGAAAGCUUUGGGCGGGUCCCUACUGCACGUGUGCGCCUGUGUCUCCGUUGUGCCGUGUCCUGGACGGGUGUAGCACGAUUUUCAUCUGCAAAAGGAAAGAACUUAGGUGAACAUUGCCGUGCCAAAAAAAGGUUGGUUAUUAUCAAUGAACUAUCAAAAUUCAAGAGAAACCAAGUUGAGCCGGGCUGGCCCUGAUUACACGCGGGAAGCCCCUGGUAUCGUUUUAUGAGGGUUCGAAAACCAAUCUCAUGUAAAUAUGAUGGAACGCCAGAUUCGUCUAACCGUGUCCGUGGUCUUGACGACCUUCCAUUUUUUCUGGCUCGUGAGGCCGUCUAGUUCGCGGCUGUUAGAGCCGCCAUGUCCUCUUCCGUACGUAAAAGACGUUCGGUAUUUCUGCUAACUGUGAUGAUGCCACAUGGACCGGGCAUCUUGAGCUUGAGAAAAGCAUAAUGUGGUAUUGCGUUAAAAGGAGCGAAAGCCGCCCUUCCGAGUAGUGCUUGAUAAUCACUUCGGAAUGGAGCGAUAUGAAAAGUUAACGUUUCGCUUCGGAAGUUAUCGGGAGAACAGAAUACCACCUAUAGUAGUAGAGAGCCCAUACAACGGGCCUCUUGGCUUGGUAUUACUCCCUGGAAGGUAGUAUUACUGUGGCUUAUUUGUGUUUGGUCUAUCCCCAUUUUGCGGACUAUGUCCUGAUAUAUCAGAUUUAGAUCACUGCCGCCGUCCAUGAGGACCCUUGUGAAAUGGUACCCAAUUAUUAUUGGGUCUAACACCAAGGCCGUCAGUUUUCGCGCCGGAUAUUUGUAUCAUGAUCCCUACGAUCAAAAGUGAUCGAGCAGGCCAACCAGGGGUUGAACCUAGGAGUGACGGGCUCUAUGGCGCGUGUGCAUCGUAAUGCAUGAUUGCUUCUCCUCUUUGUCACAUGGAUCACAUUUACUGUUUUAACCUCUGGUGGGAACUUUUUCUAUCCUCCAGCAUUUUGGUGGCGAGGUUCAUCUUCGUCUUCGCUUGGUGUCUCUUCCCCUUUGUGUUCAGCAUUUAGCUUACCGGCCUGCUUGAAGACCCAACAUUCUUUGUGGGUAUGAUUUGCAGGUUUGUCUGGGGUGUCGUGAAUCUGACAGAGUUUGUCAAGAAUUUUGUUUAGGCCAGAUUGUCCUUCUCUGCUGCCUUUGAAAGGCUUUUUCCGCUGACCUGGUCGGGCGCCCCUGAAUCCGGCGUUUAUCGCCGUGUUAUCUGGGCUACCUUCUUUAUUUUGACGCUUGUUUUUGUUUCGUCGUGGUUUACCAUUGCCAUCCCUGACUUCAGAUGUGCUUGGGUCGCUGGUGCUGCUAUGGGCCAACCAGCUGUCCUCGCCCGCACAAAAGCGGGUCAUGAGGCUUGUUUGGGCUGCCAUUGUUCUCGGUUUUUGUUGACCGAGGUGUCUGGCGAGCCAUUCGUCUCGGACGCUGUGUUUAAAAGUUUUCGGGUGGAACCUGUUUGGUGAGGAACCUGUUCCAAAGUUUUCGGGCGGACUCUCCGGACUGUAUGAUUAUAUGACUUAAAUCAUCUGCAUCCGGAGGUCGGACAUAAGUCCCUUGGAAAUUGGCCCGAAAAGCGUCCUCGAGCUCCGCCCAACUUCCAAUUGAGUUUUCGGGGAGGCUUUUCAGCCAGUGCCGAGCUGGCCCUUUAAGCUUGAGGGGCAAGUAUUUAAUGGCAUGGAGAUCGUCUCCACGAGCCAUAUGAAUAUGGAGGAUGAAGUCCUCUAUCCAGACUCCAGGGUCUGUGGUUCCAUCAUACGCCUCUAUGUUCACCGGUUUGAAUCCCUCUAGGAAUUCAUGAUCCAACACCUCAUCAGUGAAACAUAAGGGGUGUGCGGCACCCCUGUAAUGGGAUGCGCCAUGGUGUUCGAACGAAUGUAGUAUUCGGUGUUGGUUGUGUACCGUAGCGCGCUUCCUAGAUCCAUAGAUAGAUCUGGUCGUGCCGGAUUUUUGACGCAAGUUCUCACGUAGAUCGUGCGUUGACUUAUGCGUGACUUUGUUAGCCGCUCUAUCGCGUUCGCAGGGUGGUGGAUCCGGCCGGUUGGCCGUAUCACUUUUCGGCUGUAUGGGCUCUAAGGCCUCAUCGUUGAAUUCCGGUAAUAGCUUGCGCUUUGGAUAGCUAUUUUUAUGGUAACUUCCACCAUACUUUGUUACUUUGUUCCACUUGUUGUUGAGCGUAUCUUGUGCAACCUUGAGCCUUUGCUUCUGUUUCUUCAGGCUCCUCCCUGUGGCAAUAAGCCUUUUGCGGAGGUUCUCUUGCUCCAAGUGUGUUUCCGGGAUGAUGCGUGCAUCUUCGUCCGGACUACUUUCUUCCCAGACGGGGUUUGAUGAGGCUUAUCCUUGGCGUCAUCGUGUUCAGACGUCAGAUCCAUACUAUGUUUGCAGUUUGCAUCUUGAUCAUUUUCUGCCACCGGGGUGGUGCAGUUGUCGUUUCUUCCAGAGUCAAGAGACUAUUAUUCCCUCUUGCGCUGUUCUCGCUGUUUUUGCUAUGGCGGGACUUAGGGCGACGCCGCUGACGUCGGUGCUUGGGUUGCUUGGAGGGUGCAUCCCCCGUUGUCUCUUCGCCAUUGUCCUCUCUGGGUGUAUCCACCACGUAUACAUCAUGUGAUGAAGUGGUGGUCCGGCGCCCUAUGGGUGGUGGUUCCUGUUUGUCUCCGACAUCGUCGUCCAUACCGUCGAUGUCUUCGGAGUCGAAGUCGAGCAUGUCGGUUAAGUCGUCGACAGUGGCUACUAAGUGGGUGGUGGGUGGGCAGCGAAUUUCUUCGUCGUCCGCAUCCCAUUCUAGCCGGACAUAGUUUGGCCAAGGUUCUCCUGAUAGGUUGAGGGACCUUAAUGAAUUUAGCACAUCUCUGAAAGGUGGGUGCUGAAAGAUAUCCAUGGAGGUGAACUCCAUGAUCGGCGCCCAGUCAGACUCGACGGGCACGGAUGUGAGCGGCUCGGAGUCUGUGGCCGGAGAUGAAUCCAGUGGUUCGGUGACAUGGCUCUCAUAAGGGGUGAAGUCAGUAUCCGGCUCUAUUUCCACUGAGAGUGCAGCCUCCAUGGCAGGGUCCAUCCCUCCGCUCUCGGAUGGUGUGACUUGCUCCGGAUUGAAAGCCGGAGUGGUUGCGGAUGCGAUCUCCCGGGCAUCGUUGGAUGGCAGAGUUACGUCAUGAUCGUCGCGACUGUGCGGCGCGUCUGACAUGGGCUCGAAUCCGUCGAAGAUCAAGUCUCCUCGGAUGUCGGAUGUGUGGUUCAAGUUUCCAAAUCUGACAUGAUGGCCAGGGGCGUAGCUUUCGAUCUGCUCCAGAUGGCCAAGCGAAUUGGCCCACAGAGUGAAGCCGCCGAAUAUGAAGAUCUGUCCGGGGAAGAAAGCCUCACCCUGGACCGCAUCGCUAGCGAUGAUCGAAGGAGCCAUCAAGCCUUGCGGUGACGACACAGUGACACUCUCAAUGAAAGCACCAAUGUCGGUGUCAAAACCGGCGGAUCUCGGGUAGGGGGUCCCGAACUGUGCGUCUAAGGCGGAUGGUAACAGGAGGCAGGGGACACGAUGUUUACCCAGGUUUGGGCCCUCUUGAUGGAGGCAAAACCCUAUGUCCUGCUUGAUUGUUCUUGAUGAUAUGAGUAUUACAAGAUUUGAUCUACCACGAGAUCGAAGAGGCUAAACCCUAGAAGGUAUCCUAUGGUAUGAUUGUCUCUUGUCCUACGGACUAAAACCCUCCGGUUUAUAUAGACACCGGAGGGGGCUAGGGUUACACAAGGUCGGUUACAAAGGUGGAGAUAUACAUAUCCGUAUUGCCUAGCUUUCCUUCCACGCCAAGUAGAGUCCCAUCUGGACACGGGACGAAGUCUUCAAACUUGUAUCUUCAUAGUCCAACAGUCUGGCCAAAGGAUAUAGUCCGGCUGUCCGAAGACCCCCUAAUCCAGGACUCCCUCAAAUAUCAUUCAUCUCUUUUAAACCAUGUAAAUGUGAAAUGAUAUGUUGAGACAACUGUGUAUAAAAGUGAACAGAGUAACUGACAUUGGCUGCAAACCAAGCAGUUAAAUGAACACAUCAUAGUACCAAUCAGUUCAAAGGCAGGAGGAGUAAGGACUUACAACAGCGGCUUGAACUGUGUGCUUAUGCCUUUCAUCUUGCUGGUGUGGCAAUCCUUGAAGAUUUGCACUGCAUUCGGUUUAGGUUCUUUUUGGUCCGCACGGGCUUUCCUCUAUAUUCGGAACAAGUCAAUAUAGAUACAAUAAUAUGGAACAGAAAAAAGAAGGAACUAGCAGCUAUUUACAAGAGCCUCACAGUGUGCAAUAUAGCUACGAGAUCCUGUUGUCUGUUGGAAUUUCACUUUAAACGGUUGGUCUUGUUCUUCAAACAGUCAGCCUAGAAGAAGAUACACUUGUAAGGCACAUACAUAAAUACAAGUUCAAUAUGUGGUCUGAUCAAAUACAUAUACCCUACUUGAUACUUUGGAUCAGACUAGUGUUUAACAAGGGUUGUCCAGUCUUCAUCUGUAAUAUAUUCCACUAGAGAUGUUUGGGCGAUUUCAUUGUUAGCCUUGCCUUCAAAGUGAUAUUUUCUAAGGUGGUACCGAUACUGUCAUAGAGGAGACUGAAAAACAUGAGUGCAUGCUUGUUUUGUUGCAUCAUCUUUCGGAUCAAACUUGAACCUCAUUUGUUGAAAACAGGAUGUGAGUCUUAAUAGGAGGAAGCUAGAAAGUAUGGGACAGAGAAAGACAAUAUUACAAAUUGCAACGAAUAACAUUACUUACGGAUAAAUGGUCAAGGAAGGUGUUAAACUGGGUAUUGUCUUUCCCAUUCCUGUACUGGAUCCAUGUUGGAAGGAUACAUGCAUGACACCUAACGGUAAUGGUUGCCUCUGAUACUAACUUGGCUGAAUCUGUAGCAUCACGUGUCCUUUUUAAACCUGCCUCAAAAUGGAUCUCCAUUCUUCCUCCAUUAGAUUUUGUUAAUCUGUCAAGCAUUAUCCCUGAUGUCUGUUUCCGCUUGCGCCGUGGUGCUAGUUCAACAACGAAUAUGGAAAGUGUUAGUGCACAUCAAACUAUGAGAGUACAUAUAAAGGAGCAUGCAACUACAACUUGACUCGGUCAGGUACCGUCUUGGUGUUGAUGCUCAUGAGGUUCAUCUGAUCUUGCCAAGUCCUGUUGUGUCAGUAGUGCUUCGGAAGUAGUGUUAGGUGUGAAGGCAGCUUCUGAACUUGCCAGUUCGGGAGCAAACAAACGAGUAACUCAUUGAGAUGCUGGUACGGUUGAAGCGGAUGCUACAGCUGGUGGAGCAGGUGAUACUGUGUUUGUAGAUUUAGUCGGUGGACUUGGACCUUCUACUGCACUAUAAGUACGAGCAGAAUCUCGCGGGCAGAUCAUUUUCCGUUUCACCCGACGAGUAACACCAUUCCCUUCUAUGUUAUUUUCCUUGCUUUUUUGACUUUGCUAUGUCAAGCCGUACCCACAACACAAAAGAAUAAAAUCGCUCUUCAAAACUCAUUGAUGCAUGAUACAAACAAGCAAUACUUUGAUGUAAGAUAACCGUAUGAGGAUGGAAUAUGUAAGAAAAAUAGGACAGCGUGACAUAUUCAUAGCCACGAUGUGUAAACUAAGCAGAAGGAUUUUCAAGAAAAUAGAAGCAAUGCAAGCUAGACACCAUAUGAAAGAUGCAACCAAUAUCACUCUGCCAAGUUAAAAGUGUCUUGUCAUAAGUGGCAUUUCGAAAAAUUAGAAGCAGUACAACGUAGAAAUCAAUGCAAGAUGCAACCACUAUCAAACUGCCAUGUUAAAAGCGACCAAUCAUGAGUGACUGAUGCGGGAUACACAACAACAUUACUUGUAUAACAACAGGUAUGAUUGAUGGAUGCAGUGUAUUCUAGACACAGAAAGGCAUGUCAUAUGCACUUGUAUAACGUAUAAACUCAGCAGGUGCAAUUUAAUCAAAAUAGAAGAAAUACAGGCUAGACAACAUAUGCAACAUGAAACCAAUUAUCACACUGUCAACUUAGAGUAAGCACCUACGAUGGUGGAGUACGGGAGAUGAACUCAUCAUGUAGACUUGGGACUUCAACUUCAUUAGUAGUAGGAGUGGAAAAUCUAGAGAGUCUCUGUUUGCGUCGGUCCGAAGGACCACUAACAUCCCCUAACUUACUCUUUUCCUUCCUAUUUUCUGAUGUUGCCUUAUGAAGUCAAAACCAAAACAAGAUGAAUAAAAUUAGCUCUGCAUAACUAGUUGAUGCAUGAUACAGGCGAACACUACUUUGAUGUGAGGCAAGCGCAGGAUAGAAGGAUGGAAUAUAUAGAAAAAAGAUAGCAUUGCAUAUUCAGACGUACGAUAGGAGGAUGGAAUAUGUAUGAAAAAUAGUAAGCAGAAGGCAUUUCAACAAAAUUAGAAGAAAUGAAAGCUAGGCACCAUAUGAACAUGCAACCAAUAUCACUCUAUCAGGUAAAAAGUGUCUUGUCGUAAGUGCCAUUUCAAGAAAUUAGAAGUAGUACAAGCUAGAACACAAUGCAAGAUGCAACCUACAUCACACUCCCAAGUUAAAUGUGUCUUAUGGGUAAGUGAUUGUUGCAGGUAUAAGUUGUAAGAUACGCAGAUGCAAUUCAACAAAAUCAGAAGCAAUACAAACUAGACAUCAUAUGGAACACGCAACCACAUAUAACAGUUCCAAGUUAGAGCAAGCACCUGUGAUGGUGGAGUAGGGGAGAUGUGCUCAUCAUAUACACGUAUGUUUUGGAAAUAGGAACAUGUGUCAUAUUCACAUGCAUUAUGUAUAAAGUAAGCAGAUGCAAUUCAACAAAGUUAGAAGCAAUACAAGCUAGACAUCAUACGCAACAUGCAACCACAUAUAAUAGUGCCAAGUUAGAGCAAGCACCUGUGAUGGUGGAGUAGGGGAGAUGUGUUCAUCAUCUACACAGCUACAUUGACUGUCCAACCUUGUGUUGUCUUGCGAAUCUUGUUGGGAGGAUGGUGGAGUAGAAUCUGUAGAGACCCUCUGUUUGAGUUGCUCUGAAGGACCACCAUCAUCCACUGUCAGACUAAUUUCCUUCAGCUGUAUUGAUUUUGCAUUGUGAAGUCAAACCGAUAAGAAAAAGGAAUAAAAUUCUCUCUUCAGAACUCAUUCAUGCAUGAUACUGAUGAACGCUACUUAGAUGAAAGGCAAACACACGAUACAAGGAUGGAAAAUGUAUGAAAAUAGGACGGCGUGACAUAUUCACACAUAUGAUGUGGUAACUAAGCAGAACACAUUUAAACAAAUUUGAAGCACUACAAGCUAGACACCAUAUGAAAGGUGCAACCAAUAUCACUCUGCCAAGUUCAAACUAUCUGGCGUUUCAACAAAUUAGAAGCAGUACAUGCUAGAAAUCAUAUGCAAGACACAACCAAUAUCAUAGUGGCGACUUAAAGGUGCCUUAUCAUAAGUGACUGAUGCGGGAUAUGCAAGAACAGUAGUCUGAUGUAAGAACAUGAUGUGAUUAGAUAUAAUAUGUUCUAUAAACAGGAACACGUGUAAUAUUCACAGGCAUUAUGUGUAAAGUAAGCAGAUGCAAUUCAACAAAGUUAGAAGCAAUACAAGCUAGACAUCAUACGCAACAUGCAACCACAUAUAAUAGUGCCAAGUUAGAGCAAGCACCUGUGAUGGUGUAGUAGGGGAGAUGUGCUCAUCACCUACACAACUAUGUUCACUGUCUAGCCUUGCAUUCUCUUGUGAAUCUUGUUGGGAGGAUGGCGGAGUAGAAUCUGUAGAGACCAUCCAUUUCAGUUGCUCGGAAGGAUCACCAUCAUCCAAUGCCUUACCAAUUUCCUUCCGCUUUAUUGAAUUUGCAUUGUGAGGCCAAACCGACAAGAAAAAGGAAUAAAAUUCUCUCUUCAGAACUCAUUCAUGCAUGAUACUGACGAACACUACUCCGAUGAAAGGCAAAGUCAUGAUACGAGGAUGGAAUAUGUACGAAAAACUAGACGGCUUGACAUAUUCACACCUAUGAUGUGGUAACUAAGCAGAAGUUACUUCAACAAAUUAGAAGCACUGUAAGCUAGACACCAUAUGGAAGGUGCAAUCAAUAUCACUCUACCAAGUUAAAACUGUCUUGUCAUAGGUGGCGUUCAUCAAACUAGAAGCACUACAUGCUAGAAAUCAUAUUCAGGACGCAAACAAUAAUCACACUACCAACUUAAAGGUGUCCCAUCAUAAGUGACUGAUGCAGGAUACACAAGAAGAGUAGUUUCAUGUAAGAACAUGGUGUGAUAGACAUAUAUAUUAUGUACCAAAAACAGGAAAGCGUGUCAUAUUCACACGUAUCAUGUGUAAGCUAAGAAGAUGCAUUUUACACUAAUUAGGAGCAAUACAAGCUAGACACCAUAUGCAACAUGCAACCAGAUAUCACACUACCAAGUUAGAGUAAGCACCUUGGAUGGCGGAGUAGGGGAGAGGAGACUUGGAACUUGUAAUGCACUAGUAGUACAAGGAGAAUCCAUAUAGAUGCUCCGUUUAUGUUGCUACAGAGGACCACCAUCAUCGCCUUCCUUACUAUUUUCCUUCCUCUUUUUUGAUUUUUCCUUGUCAAGUCAAACCCACAAGAAAAAGGAAUAAAAUUUGCUCUUCAGAACUCAUUGAUGCAUGAUAUUGACGAACACUACUUUCAUGUAAGACAGCCGCAUGAUAGUAGGAUGGAAUAUGUAUGAAAAACAGGACAACAUGAGAUACAUGAUGUAUAAAGUGUAAACUAAGCACAAGGUGUUUGAACUAGUUAGAAGCAAUGCAAGCUAGAAACCAUAUGAAAGAUGAAACCAAUAUCACUCUGUCAAAUUAAAAGGGUGUCCUAACAAAUGUAUUUGAACAAAUUAGAAGCAAUACAUGGCAACAUGCUAGAAAUAAUAUGCAAUAUGCAACGAAUAAAGGUGUCUCAUUGUAAGUGAUCGAUGCAGGAUAUAGAAGAGAGGUAGUUUCAUGUAAGAAUAUGGUUAACACAUAGAUGUAGUGUGUACCAAAAAUAGGAAGGCAUGUCAUAUUCACAGGUAUAAUGUGUAAACUAAGCAGAUGCAAUUUACCCUAAAUAGAAUCAUUACACGCUACACACCGUAUGCAACAUGCAACCAUAUGUCACACUGCGAAGUUAGAGCAAGCACCUGCGAUGGUGGUGUAGGGGAAGUGUGGUCUUCAAGUUCAGAGCUACGUUCAAUAUCUUCGUUUAGGCUUGUUGUUUCUUGAGAAUCAUGUGGAGAGGAUGAAACUGCACUCUUUAUAAGAGUAGCGCAUCUCAUACUAACCCACGGGCGUGACUUUCUCAUCAUAAGUGAUAGAUGCAGGAUACACAAGAACAAUAGUUUGACGUAAGAACAUGGUGUGAUAGGCAGAUGUAGUAUGUACCAAAAAGAUGCACUACAAAAAAAAAGAAACUUUCCUGAUGAUACGUGUUUGUAACAGUAGGUCACGUUUUCUGACAUGCAUGUACAUCCAUGACGAUUUUAUGACAGAACCAAGAUAGUCAUACCUGUGCUAUCGUAGAAGUGUUCCAUGACAUUACCAAAAUUAUCAUCACGGAAAUGUCCACUUCCAUGACGAUAAAUCACGCGUCAUAGAAGUGUUUUCGUCAAGGGUGACUGACACAUGGCAUCCACCAUAACAGGUCACCGUUAAGCUAUUGGGUCCGGUUUUGGAUCCGAUAACCCGUUAACAGCCUGGACCAAUGGCGAUUUUCCACGUGUAAAAUUCUCAUUGGCCAGAGGAAACACGUGUUGGCUCACCGUUGGGACAGAUGUCAUCCACUCAUUGGACAGGAGGCGCCUAUGAUACGUCGACAUGUGGCACGUCCCAACAGAGGCCCAUUCUGGUGAAAAGGCCGACGUGCCUGACUUGCUCAAAAGGUAAUGGGCGGCCCAUGGAAAGCCUGUUAACGGCCUGUUCGUAUAUCGCCCAUUUAUGGCCCGCUAACUCCCGGCCCGUUACGGCCUAUCGGAAUUAAGCACAGUAGCUUCAUCUGGGCUGUCCAAUAUGAUUCUAGCCUGUUGUUACUUCUGGCCCAUGUAUGGCCCAUGAUGUCUUUCGGCCCAUAUGAGGCCCUCCGCAACUCUGGUACCAAUAAAGGCCCGAGAUGAAACUGGCCCAUAAUGAACAGUGUAUCGCUUUAUACCCAUUAACGGCCCAUUAUUCCGUGGGCCGUUUCCAGCCUGUGUUAACUUUCGGCCUUCUAAGGGCCCAUUUAUUCUUUGGAUCAUUUCUAGAAUUCGAUUAGUUACGGUCCGUUACUGGCUUGUUCCAUUUGUGGGCCAAAUUCAGCAUGUGGUUACAUUGGGCCCGUUUGUGUCCCGUUAACCCAUUGGGCUGUUUUCAUAGCGUUAUCAAAUAUGGCCUAUUAACGGCCCGUUAUGGUCCACAAAUAGUAUGUCCCAUGUUUGGCGAAAUGAUUAUACGCCCUGUAGAAGGCCCAUGGAUCAUACGGCCCAUAGAAGACCAAUGGACCCUACGGCCCGUAGAACGCCCAUGGACCCUAUGGCCCGUAGAACGCCCAUGGAUCCUACGGCCCGCAGGAAGCCUAUGGAUCCUAUGGCCCAUAGAAGGCCCAUGGAUCCUAUGGCCCGUAGAAGGCCCAUGGAUCCUACGGCCCAUAGAAGGCCCAUGGAUCCUAUGGCACGUAGAAGGCCCAUGGAUACUACGGCCCGCAGGAGGCCCAUGGUUACAAUAGUGCGUGUGUUGCCAUGAUUAUUGUGGCCUAUUUACCAAAAAUAUUUUAUUGUGGCCACUAGAAAAACGUGGAAAAAGAACUGAAGUGACUACAGGAAAAAAACUAAACAAGACAAUAAGGAAAUAAAUAAGCAAGCAACUAACGCUAGCCUAUUACAACUAUUACACAUAUUACAUCCACUGGGCAUCAAAGUUCGCCACCAGUGCAAAUAUAGGGAACAAAGCAGUAUUACAUAAUACAUACACUGUCCGUCAAAAUUGGCCACAAGUGCAAAUAAACGUGGUAGCAAAACAAGAACAUAACUGAAACAACUUCAGAAGAGCUCAAGAAACUUUAUCCUGGGUAUCCACCAUGCUGGAAAUAAGCUUAGCAAGCUUAUUAGCUUUGUCCUAUUUGGCGCUAAAAUCCUCCAACGCUUGCUGUUGCACCAGAAAGUAUGCAUCUAAAUGCUCCAGGGACUUCCGCAGUCCUUCCGCUUCUUGUCGGAGCACAGCUAAUCGAUGUCUUUCAGCUUGUAGUUGAGACUCAAGAAACCGAACUGAUUCAGACAGUGAGUUUGAAUAUCUUGUGCAAGCAGUAGUGGCCAGUAACUCAAACACUAAACCAAGAUAGGACUUUGGGGUUGUCUCACUGUCUUCAGGAUAGUCUUCCUUAGCUGUUUUAUCAGCUUUGUUGGAGACCAACAAGGAUGUCUCACUAUCCUGAACCUUAUCUGCAUUACUUCCUUUACCAUUGCUUAAUAAGGCACACUUCCCCAAUAUUCUGUCAGCAUUCUAAAAGAAGAAACAAGCAGACACAUAACAGGUUUAGCAUGUACUAGUAUAUGAAACUCAUUUCGGUGAACCAAUUCAUUGGUAAGGUGGACAGGAUUAAACUACCUAGUCUUCUAUUGCCUAGUACUAGUACAUAAUAAAAGCAUCAAACAAACAUAUAUCUAUGUCAUAUGGUCACUGCAUUUUAUUGCCAAAUCAAAAUAGAGACAUAGUUCAAAUCAUAUCAGUUCAUGACAAAGCAGCAGUGAAAGAAUACAAAGCGUGGGAAACUACAUGGCACAACAAGAUUUCAGAUGGGUACCACAGAUAUACAUGUACAACAACACUAUUGGCUCUGUUGUAAUGCUAGUAAUGUGCAUGAUAUGAGAAGUCAACUGUAUACACAGUUGAAAUUGAAAUCAAUAGAGCCAUUGAUAAGAGCAAACCUAUUAAAGAAACAUGCGUGCAUAUACCUGCUGUGCCAUUGGACUUUUGAUUGGAUCCUUCAAUUUAAAAUAAGUUUGUAUGAGUAAAUACAGUGAUACAAGAGCAAAGCAAUAUGCACGAUAGCAAUGGAAUCUUAAAUUAAAAUAGUUCUUUUUUAGGUUUAAGCACUUGUUCUACAUGAACAGACUACAGUAAGACACAAGAAUACCGUACUUAAAAAAUGAGCUCAUAGACCUUACCACAUUCUUGGAUCGGGACCAGUACAAAACAAGGCGUUCCCAGUCAUCGUCUAGCAAAUGUGUCUCAGGAGAACGUAAGGGAAUUUCAUGAGUUUCUUUGCUAGUGAAGUAUGUUUUCUUCAGGUAAUUCCGAUACUGCCACCAAGCAUUCUUGAAGAUAGCAGAGGUAUUAGCACAACUUACCUCAUCCUGAGUUUCCAAAUCGGUCCUUCUCCAUAGAUAAAAAUGGGAAAAUUUGCUGUAUUAUAACCAUCAUGGAGAUAGAAUGUAUGGGACAAAGCAAAGUAAUUGCCAUGAAUAACAUUAAUUACACAUAACUCCUGGACAAACACCUGCAACUGGCAUUUUCCUUCAUCUUCAGUAUAAUAUUUCCAAGAUGGGAAGAUACGCACAUAGGAUUUAACAACAUCAAAUGCGAUAGAUGCUAAACUAUGACUGGCUAGUUGUGCUUCCUCCACAGGAAUAGGCGUACUAACUGGUGGAGUUGGGGUUCGCCGUGGUAGUACUGGCCCUUUGGGCACUGGAGCUGCCUUACUAACUGCUCUUGUUUGGGAGCUUUGUGGUGGAGAUGGUGCCAUGUCAACAGGAACUGGGUUACUAUCUGCUGGGGCUGGGGUUAGAUUGAGUGAAGCUGGUUCUCUGACCAUCGCAGUAGAGGUACAAUCUGCGAGAGUCUGGGUCAUGUGUGGUAGGGCUGGUUCUCGUGCAUGUACAACCGGGGUGCUAUCUCCACCAAGAGGUAGCACUGUUUUAUUUGAAGACCGUGUUUUUACUCCGCUAGAUACUGGCAUCACCCGCUCCAAUUCAAAUGGCUGAUAAAUAGGAAACAUGGUUGAAUAUACACACAUCGUAUGAGAGAUAGAUGCAAUAGGUAGUGUGGAAAAAAGAGGGCAUGAAAUAGUUGACAUGUAUAUUGUUUAACUAAAAUGGAUAGCAUGACAUAAUUUCACAUAUACGAUGUCUAUCUAAACUGGAUAGCAUAGCACAACAUAAUUCAAAGAUAUGAUGAAUAACUAAACAUGAUAGCAUGACAUAAUUCACAUACAUGUUAUCUAAGAAAUCAGGAUCGCAUGAUUUAAUUCACAUAUGUGAUUUAUAUGCUAAACAGAGGGCAUUUGAUAUGAUGUCUGAACUAAGAACAUGGUGUUGAAUAUUGUGUAUAUGAUGUCUAAACUAUGCAGUGCAAGACACCAUAUGCAUGAUAUGAGCAGUAUAACCAUGCCAAGUUAAAUCCCAAGUUAGAGCAUACACCUCGGUGGGGAAUAGGACUGAUCAUCUAUCUCUGAAUCCAUCUCCGAGGAACUAUCGGGACCCAACAAGAGAUCUUCUUCGACAGGUAGCACUAUCUACUCUGAAGGCCUUGUUUUCACUCGAGAUUUUUCCAUCUCCCACCCAAAUGGCUGAUUCACGAGAAGAGUAGUUUAAUGUACAAACAUUGUCGACAAAUGGAAAUGUAAUGAAGAAAAGGAUGGGCAAGAUAUCAUUCAAAUAUAUGAUGCCUGGUUAAACAGGUUGGCAUUGCCCAUUUCACAUAUAUUAUGACUGGCUAAAAGACAUGAGACUGCAUAAUUCCCAUAUAUGAUAUAGAAACUAAACAGGUGGCAUUACAGAACAUGUCUAAAUUAAGUAGAUGACAUAUAUGAUGUCAAAAGUAGGCACUACAAGGUAACAUAUGCAUGAUAUGACUAACAUCAUCAUGCCAAGGUAGAGGAAACACCUUGGGGGUAAGUAGGAGUGGUCAUCUACGUCUGAAUCCACCUCAUAAUAGAUAUCUUCCUAUGGAUUACAAUCUGGAGAGGGGGGAGGGUUUGCCAUUGAACCCACCAUGGAGCGAUGUCCGCAUGACAUUGUAUUGCCACGCAAAACUCUUCUCUUUUUCUCUACAUGUUCAACAUGACUGUGUACAAACUCUGACAUGCAUACGAAAAAAAGAUGGUGAGAUUAUGUAAGGAGAGCAUGCAGAAAUCUAGAGUGAUGGUAACAACCAGUGGAUGGAUCCAAAAAUAAUGAUAGCAGGCUAAUGAUUGCUUAAUUUAAUAAAAUGACAGAUGGUGAUUGCUUUACUAUUUGUUUCCCACCCAAGAUGAACAACAUAGGCAUAACCUAGGUGAACCAGAUAUUAGACAGAGAUACUAUUCAUUGCUGCCUCGAUAUGUACCCCACAACUAAUUUAGAACUCAAGUUUGAACAUUAAUUUGGACCUGACUUGGAGUCUAAGAGGUUAAUAGGACGAUAAAGUAGGAAGUAAUUGUAAGCAAUGCAUAACAUAAGCAGAAAAAAAAGAGUGCGACCUCUCUUGUGGACCUGUGUACUCCUCAGGUUCAUCUGCUGAGUCGAUGAUGGUGAUGCUGUUGCGGUGGGUGCCGGCGGCUGGCAAGGAGAUCUGAGGCGGCGAAAUAUGGUCAGGAGUCGUGAUGUCUGGUUUGGUGGAUGCUUCUAUCGAUGGAGCAGUUCAGGUGAGGUGGACGACAUCACGGCAGGACUAGGACAAAACCACACAAAGUUUCCUUUGACACCUACCUGUAACUGAAGUAAUUCUGUAAGGGCUCAUUUGUCUUGCAUGAUUCUAAAAGCGCAGGGAUUGGAAAAACACCGGAAUAGGAUAGGAAUGCACAUGGUAAAUAGAGCAUUUGUAAACACAUGAUUUUUGUCAACUUGGGCGUUUGGUUCACAUGAAUUUGAAGAGCAGAGGAAUGCAAAGAAACAUGGCCAAAAUAAAGUGAAACCAUAUGAAAGCAUGUACAGUUAGAAUGUUAUUCUGCCACCAAUGCACUUGGUCUUGUUUUCAUGCAUAUGAUUUUGAAAAGUAGGUCCAGGUGGAUGUUUUGCUCCAUUCCUUUCAACAAAGUGCAUGAAUAAUUGAAUAGUAGAGUGCCACGAGAAAAUUUCCUAUUGCUAUGUUUUCCCGUUGAACCAAAAUAGCCCUAAUUGAUCGACAUGAAUGUAGAGUAAUAAGUGAUGCAACAAAUGUACAACCUCUUUGCUGUAGCCGUGUCGACCUCAGCAUCAUUGGGUUGGUCACUGAAGAAGUUGAGCCAGAGGUGGCUAUCGGAGGUGUGGAGGAAGAUCUGAGGAAUCUGUAGACGACGUCCAAGGCACUACUCUGUUGUGAUGGAUCGUUCUGUGGUUGGAGCAUCUCCUGUGAGCCAUAAGACGUAAAGGCUGAAUCAGCACAAGACAGACAUUGUUAAUCUCAAGUGGGAUUCUAAUAGCAUCUCCAAUAGAUGAUUUAAAAUAGAUGUAAAAUUUACAUCACCAAAAACCACCUGACUAUAACAGAUGAGGUAAAAACUGUUGACUUUGAACUUAACUAUCGAAACUGAAAUUGACUAUGGAAUCUGAAUGUUAUUGUCAAAACUGAACGCAAUGGUAGCAGAGAGGCACUUGACAUGUAGUUUAGGGAGGGCAUGUAGUUCAUCUUCAACGUGCACCCCCCAGAGCCGCCAGCCACCACCAGCCGAACCCUGCGCCCACCUCGCCGCCCUGAAACAACUCCCCACCGCUGGUCCGCCGCCGCCNNNNNNNNNNNNNNNNNNNNNNNNNNNNNNNNNNNNNNNNNNNNNNNNNNNNNNNNNNNNNNNNNNNNNNNNNNNNNNNNNNNNNNNNNNNNNNNNNNNNNNNNNNNNNNNNNNNNNNNNNNNNNNNNNNNNNNNNNNNNNNNNNNNNNNNNNNNNNNNNNNNNNNNNNNNNNNNNNNNNNNNNNNNNNNNNNNNNNNNNNNNNNNNNNNNNNNNNNNNNNNNNNNNNNNNNNNNNNNNNNNNNNNNNNNNNNNNNNNNNNNNNNNNNNNNNNNNNNNNNNNNNNNNNNNNNNNNNNNNNNNNNNNNNNNNNNNNNNNNNNNNNNNNNNNNNNNNNNNNNNNNNNNNGAACCCCACCCCGAACCCUAAGAUAGAUAGUGGGUACCUCUCCGGCAAGCCCCCCUCCCCACUGUGGGUGGUUCUUCCUUAACUCCGGCGAGACCCCCCACCCCCUGAAAAUCGACUGACCCAAAAGUUGAUUCAGUCUACUGAAGUGUAGCUAAAUCGGAGCAUAGCAGCAGCACGAGCGAGGGGGAGAGCAGUAGCAGUAGAGCGAGCGAGCGAGAGCUGGAGCAGCAACAACAGUGCGAGCGAGCGAGAGCCAGAGCAGCAGCAGCACGAGCAAGAGCCGGAGCAGCAGUACCAACGCGAGCGAGUGAGAGCUAGAGCAGCAGCAACAAAUCCGGCUGGUACGGCCGCCGCCACCGAAGGGGCCUCGCACUGGGGGAGAGCCGCCGUGGAGAUGUCACUCGCCGCGCCGGCUUUGAGGUAGCUGCUCCAUGGGGGUGAGGGAUGGAGCACCAUCGGUGCCGGGAGGUUGAGUUAAGGAGAAGGUGUGAUGCGAUGACUGUGCAACCUCUUUGGUGGCGCCGAGUAGGCCUCGACUUCGUCUGAGGAGUUGGUGAGGAUGAUGCGGUUCUGGUGGAUCGGGUUAAGGCGGCACUGUGCAGAUGAAGCAGCCGCGAUAGACGAGGAGUUCGUCGGAGCAGCUCAUUGGAGGUGGAGGACGGGGCAGCUGAACCAACCAAACGACGGGAUGGAUGACAGAUCCUCAUCCGGGGAGGUGGAUGAGGGACGUCGAGCUAUUGUAGUGGAUGACAUCGUCGGGGAAGAGGCUCCGGCUAGACAGUGCUACCUCUUUUAGCACUGCGUUGGUUUUCCCUGAAGAGGAAGGGAUGAUGCAGCAAAGUAGCGUAAGUAUUUCCCUCAGUUUUUGAGAACCAAGGUAUCAAUCCAGUAGGAGGCUACGCGCAAGUCCCUCGUACCUGCACAAAACAAAUAAAUCCUCGCAACCAACGCAAAUAGGGGUUGUCAAUCCCUAUAGGGCCACUUACGAGAGUGAGAUCUGAUAGAUAUGAUAAGAUAAUAUUUUUGGUAUUUCUAUGAUAAAGAUGCAAAGUAAAAUAAAAGCAAAGUAAAUAGCAAAGUAAAUAACUAAGUAGUAGGAGAUUAAUAUGAUAAAGAUAGACCCGGGGGCCAUAGGUUUCACUAGUGGCUUCUCUCGAGAGCAUAAGUAUUCUACGGUGGGUGAACAAAUUACUGUUGAGCAAUUGACAGAAUUGAGUAUAGUUAUGAGAAUAUCUAGGUAUGAUCAUGUAUAUAGGCAUCACGUCCGAGACAAGUAGACCGACUCCUGCCUGCAUCUACUACUAUUACUCCACUCAUCGACCGAUAUCCAGCAUGCAUCUAGAGUAUUAAGUUAAAAACAGAGUAACGCCUUAAGCAAGAUGACAUGAUGUAGAGGGAUAGCCUCAUGAAAUAUGAAGAAAACCCCGUCUUGUUAUCCUCGAUGGCAACAAUACAAUACGUGCCUUGCUGCCCUUACUAUCACCGGGAAAGGACACCGCAAGAUUGAACCCAAAGCUAAGCACUUCUCCCAUUGCAAGAAAGAUCAAUCUAGUAGGCCAAACCAAACUGAUAAUUCGAAGAGACUUGCAAAGAUAACCAAUCAUACAUAUAAGAAUUCAGAGAAGAUCCAAAUAUUAUUCAUAGAUAGACUUGAUCAUAAACCCACAAUUCAUCGGUCUCAACAAACACACCGCAAAAAGAAGAUUACAUUGAAUAGUUCCCCACAAUAGAGGGGGAGAACAUUGUAUUAAGAUCCAAAAAGAGAGAACAAGCCAUCUAGCUACUAACUAUGGACCCAUAGGUCUGAAGUAAACUACUCACACUUCGUCGGAGAAGCUAUGGUGUUCAUGUAGAAGCCCUCCGUGAUCGAUGCCCCCUCCGGCGGAGCUCCGGAACAGGCCCCAGGAUGGGACCUCGUGGAUACAGAAAGUUACAGCGGUGGAAUUAGGGUUUUUGCUCCUGUUCUGAUCGUUUGGGGGUACGUGGAUAUAUAUAGGAGGAAGAAGUACGUCGGUGGAGGAACAGGGGCCCCACGAGGGUGGAGGGCGCGCCUGCCCCUACCUCGUGGCCUCCUGUUAGUUGGCUUGAUGUAAGUUCCAAGUCUCCUGAGUUGUAUUCGGUGAGAAAAUCACGUUCCCGAAGGUUUCAUUCUGUUUGGACUCCGUUUGAUAUUCCUUUUCUUCGAAACCCAAAAACACGCAAAAAACAAUUCUGGGCUGGGCCUCCGGUUAAUAGGUUGGUCCCAAAAAUAAUAUAAAAGUGGAUAAUAAAGCCCAAUAAUGUCCAAAAUAGUAGAUAAUAUAGCGUGGAGAAAUCAAAAAUUAUAGAUACAUUGGAGACGUAUCAAGCAUCCCCAAGCUUAAUUCCUGCUCGUCCUCGUGUAGGUAAAUGAUAAAAACAGAAUUUUUGAUGCAGAGUGCUACUUGGCAUAAUUUUAAUGUAAUUAUUCUUAAUUGUGGUAUGAAUAUUCAGAUCCGAAAGAUUCAAGACAAAAGUUCAUAUUGACAUAAAAUGAUAAUACUUCAAGCAUACUAACUAAGAAAUUAUGUCUUCUCAAAAUAACAUGGCCAAAGAAAGUUCAUCCUACAAAAUCAUAUGGUUUAGUCAUGUUUCAUUUUCAUCACACAAGAAUGCUAUCAUCAUGCACAACCCCGAUGACAAGCCAAGCAAUUGUUUCAUUUAGUAAUCUCAAACCUAUAAACUUUCACACAAUAUAUGAGCGCGAGCCAUGGACAUAGCACUAUAGGUGGAAUAGAAUAUGUUUCAUCUUCGUCACUACAAAAUCAUAUAGUUUGGCUAUGUUUCAUCUUCGUCACACAAAAUGCUCCCAUCAUACACAACCCCGAUGACAAGCCAAGCAAUUGUUUCAUACUUUAGUAUUUUCAAACUUUUUCAACCUUCACACAAUAUAUGAGCGCGAGCCAUGGACAUAGCACUAUAGGUGGAAUAGAAUAUAAUGAGGGGGGUUAUGUGGAGAAGACAAAAAGGAGAAAGUCUCACAUCAACGAGGCUAAUCAAUGGGCUAUGGAGAUGCCCAUCGAUUGAUAUUAAUGCAAGGAGUAGGGAUUGCCAUGCAACGGAUGCACUAGAGCUAUAAAUGUAUGAAAGCUCAACAAAAGAAACUAGUGGGUGUGCAUCCAACUUGCUUGCUCACGAAGACCAAGGGCACUUGAGGAGGCCCAUUGUUGGAAUAUACAAGCCAAGUUCUAUAAUGAAAAAUUCCCACUAGUAUAUGAAAGUGAUAACAUGAGAGACUCUCUACUAUGAAUAUCAUGGUGCUACUUUGAAACACAAGUGUGGCAAAGGAAAGUAACAUUGUCCCUUCUCUCUUUUUCUCUCAUUUUUUUCUUUGGCCUUUUCUUUUUUUAUGGCAUUUCCUCUUUUUUUAUAUUCCUCACUUGGGACAAUGCUCUAGAAAAUGAUGAUCAUCACACUUCUAUUUAUUUACAACUCAAUGAUUACAAAUCGAUACUAGAACAAAGAUGACUCUAUAUGAAUGCCUCCGGCGGUGUACCCGGAUAUGCAAUGAACCAAGAGUGACAUGUAUGAAAGAAUUAUGAAUGGUGGCUUUGGCACAAAUACUAUGUCAACUACAUGAUCAUGCUAAGCAAUAUGACAAUGAUGAAUGUGUCAUGAUGAACUACAUUGUUUCAUACUUUAGUAAUCUCAAACCUAUAAACUUUCAUGCAAUAUAUGAUCGCGAGCCAUGGACAUAUCAUUAUGGGUGGAAUAGAACAGAUGAUGGGGGUUAUGUGGAGAAGACAAAAAGGAGAAAGUCUCACAUCAACGAGGCUAAUCAAUGAGCUAUGGAGAUGCCCAUCGAGUGAUGUUAAUGCAAGGAGUACGGAUUGCCAUGCAACGGAUGCACUAGAGCUAUAAAUGUAUGAAAGCUCAACAAAAGAAACUAAGUGGGUGUGCAUCCAACUUGCCUGCUCACGAAGACCUAGGGCACUUGAGGAGGCCCAUUGUUGGAAUAUACAAGCCAAGUUCUAUAAUGAAAAAUUCCCACUAGUAUAUGAAAGUGACAAAACAAGAGACUCUCUAUCAUGAGGAUUAUGGUGCUACUUUGAAGCGCAAGUGCGGCAAAGGAUAGUAGCAUUGUCCCUUCUCUCUUUUUCUCUCAUUUUUUUGGGCCUACUCUUUUUUUAUGGCCUUUCUCUUUUAUUUUUUAUUUUUUUGGCCUUCUCUUUUUUUAUGGUCUCUUUUUUUAUUCCUCACUUGGGACAAUGCUAUAGAAAAUGAUGAUCAUCACACUUCUAUUUAUUUACAACUCAACGAUUACAACUCGAUACUCGAACAAAAGAUGACUCUAUAUGAAUGCCUCCGGCGGUGUACCGGGAUUGCGAUGAAUCAAGAGCGACAUGUAUGAAAAAUUAUGAACGGUGGCUUUGCCACAAAUACGAUGUCAACUACAUGAUCAUACAAAGCAAUAUGACAAUGAUGAUGCGUGUCAUAAUAAACGGAACGGUGGAAAGUUGCAUGGCAAUAUAUCUCGGAAUGGCUAUGGAAAUGCCAUAAUAGGUAGGUAUGGUGGCUGUUUUGAGGAAGAUAUAAGGAAGUUUAUGUGUGAAAUAGCAUAUCGUAUCCCGGGGUUUGGAUGCACUGGCGAAGUUUGCGCCAACUCUCAAUGUGAGAAAGGGCAAUGCACGGUACUGAAGAGGCUAGCAAGGAUGGAAGGGUGAGAGUGCGUAUAAUCCAUGGACUCAACAUUAGUCAUAAAGAACUCACAUACUUAUUGCAAAAAUCUACAAGUCAUCAAAAACCUCGGUACUACGCGCAUGCUCCUAGGGGGAUAGAUUGGUAGGAAAAGACCAUCGCUCAUCCCCGACCGCCACUCAUAAGGAAGAUAGUCGAAUAACACCUCAUGUUUCAAUUUCGUUGCAUAACGUUUACCAUAUGUGCAUGCUACGGGACUUGAAAACCUCAACACGAGUAUUUCUCAAUUUCACAACUACUCAACUAGCACGACUUUGAUAUUAUUACCUCCAUGUCUCAAAACAAUCAUCAAGCAUCAAACUUCUCUUAGUAUUCAACACACUCAUAAGAAAGUUUUAUUAUUAAUCUUGCAUACCAAGCAUAUUAGGAUUUUAAGAAAAUUACGAUGCUAUUAAGACUCUCAAAAUAAUCUAAGUGAAGCAUGAGAGAUCAAUAGUUUCUAUAAAACAAAUCCACCACCGUGCUCUAAAAGAUAUAAGUGAAGCACUAGAGCAAAAUUAUAUAACUCAAAAGAUGUAAGCGAAGCACAUGGAGUAUUCUAACAAAUUCCAAAUCAUGUAUGGCUCUCUCAAAAGGUGUGUAAAGCAAGGAUGAUUGUGGUAAACUAAUAAUCAAGGACUCAAAUCAUACAAGACACUCCAAGUAAAACACAUAUCAUGUGGCGAAUAAAAAUAUAGCUCCAAGUAAAGUUACCGAUAGAAGUAGAUGAAAGAGGGGAUGCCUUCCGGGGCAUCCCCAAGAUUUGGCUUUUAGGUGUCCUUAGGUUAUAUUGGGGGUGCCAUGGGCAUCCCCAAUCUUAGUCUCUUGCCACUCCUUGUUCCAUAAUCCAUUAAAUCUUUACCCAAAACUUGAAAACUUCACAACACAAAACUUAAAGUAGAAAAUCUCGUGAGCUCCGUUAGCGAAAGAAAACAAAAGACCACUUCAAGGUACUGUAAUGAACUCAUUCUUUAUUUAUAUGGGUGUUAUACCUACUGUAUUACAACUUCUCUAUGGUUUAUAAACUAAUUUACUAGCCAUAGAUUCAUCAAAAUAAGGAAACAACACACGCAAAACAGAAUCUGUCAAAAACAGAAAAGUCUGUAGUAAUCUGUAGCUAGCACAAGAUCUGGAACCCCAAAUAUUCUAAAAUAAAUUGCUGAACGUGAGGAAUUUAUCUAUUAAUCAUCUGCAAAAAGAAUUAACUACAUAGCACUUUCCAAAUAAAAAUGACAUCAGUUCUCGUGAGUGCUAAAGUUUCUGUUUUUUUACAGCAAGUUCAACAAGACUUUCCCCAAGUCUUCCCAAUGGUUCUACUUGGCACAAACACUAAUUAAACACAAAAAACACAACCAAAACAGAGGCUAGAUAAUUUAUUUAUUAAAUAACAGCAAUGAAAAAUAUUGGGUUGUCUCCCAACAAGCGCUUUUCUUUAAAGCCUUAUAGCUAGGCAUUGAUAAUUUUAAUGAUGCUCACAUGAAAGACACGAAUUGAAGCACAAAGAGAGCAUCAUAAAACACGUGACAAACACAUCUAAGUAUAACAUACUUAUUAUGCAUAGGCAUAUUAUAGGCAAACAAAUUAUCAAGGCAAGCAAAAACAAGCAUAUACAAGGAAGCGGAAAGAAACAAUAGCAAUCUCAACAUAACGAGAGGUACUUUAGUAACAUGAAAAUUUCUACCACCAUAUUUUCCUCUCUCAUAAUAAUUGCAUGUGGGAACAUAAGCAAAUUCAACAAAAUAGCUAUCACAUAAAAUAUUUUCAACACGAUCCAUAUGCAUGCAAAGUUGACACUCUUCCAAAAUAGUGGCAUUAAUAUUAACUAAAGUCAUGACCUCUUCAAACCCACUUUUAUCAAAAACUUCAUAAGAUUGAGCAUUAUCCAAAUAUGUGGGAUCUAAAGUUGAAAACCCACUUUCAAUAUUGCAAACAUUAUUAUCAAUCUCAUAUUCAUCAUGGUGCUUCAAUAAAUUUUCAAGAUCAAAAGAAGAAUCACCCCAAUCAUGAUCAUUGCAACAAGUAGAGGACAUAGCAAAACUAGCAUCCCCAGGCUUAUGGUUUUGCAUAUUAUUAGCACAAUUAACAUUAAGAGAAUUUAUAAUAACAGCAUUUCAAUCAUUCUUUUCAUUCAAAGAUUCAUCGUGAAUCACUCCAUAAAGUACUUCAUCACAAUUUUCAGAUUCACGAAUUUCAAGCAGAACUUCAUAAAGAUAAUCUAGUGCACAAAACUCACUAGCAAUUGGUUCAUCAUAAUUGGAUCUCUUAAAUAGAUUAGCAAGCGGAUGAGGAUCCAUAGAUCUUUAGGUUCUCUGUUUAGUAAUGAAUAAACAAUUAUUCCAACCAAACUACCAAACUAGCCAAGUAAGACAUCAAAGCAAAUGGAAAGAAGAACAGAAGAAGGGCGAAUAAAAUGACAGGGGUGAAGUGGGGGAGAGGAAACGAGAGGCAAAUGGCAAAUAAUGAAAUGCGGGAGAUAAGGGUAUGUGAUGGGUACUUGGUAUGUUGACUUUUGCGUAGACCUCCCCGGCAACGGCGCCAGAAAUCCCUCUUGCUACCUCCUUUCGCACUGCGUUGGUUUUCCCCGAAGAGGAAGGGAUGAUGCAGCAAAGUAGCGUAGUAUUUCCCUCAGUUUUUGAGAACCAAGGUAUCAAUCCAGUAGGAGGCUACGCGCAAGUCCCUAGUACCUACACAAAACAAAUAAAUCCUCGCAACCAACGCAAAUAGGGGUUGUCAAUCCCUAUAGGGCCACUUACGAGAGUGAGAUCUCAUAGAUAUGAUAAGAUAAUAUUUUUGGUAUUUUUAUGAUAAAGAUGCAAAGUAAAUAGAAAAGUAAAUAACUAAGUAGUAGGAGAUUAAUAUGAUAAACAUAGACCCGGGGUCCAUAGGUUUCACUAGUGGCUUCUCUCGAGAGCAUAAGUAUUCUACGGUGGGUGAACAAAUUACUGUUGAGCAAUUGACAGAAUUGAGCAUAGUUAUGAGAAUAUCUAGGUAUGAUCAUGUAUAUAGGCAUCACGUCUGAGACAAGUAGACCGACUCCUGGCUGCAUCUACUACUAUUACUCCACUCAUCGACCGCUAUCCAGCAUGCAUCUAGAGUAUUAAGUUAAAAACAGAGUAACGCCUUAAGCAAGAUGACAUGAUGUAGAGGGAUAGACUCAUGCAAUAUGAAGAAAACCCCAUCUUGUUACCCUUGAUGGAAACAAUACAAUAUGUGCCUUGAUCAAGAUUGAGCCCAAAGCUAAGCACUUCUCCCAUUGCAAGAAAGAUCAAUCUAGUAGGCCAAACCAAACUGAUAAUUCAAAGAGACUUGCAAAGAUAACCAAUCAUACAUAAAAGAAUUCAGAGAAGAUCCAAAUAUUAUUCAUAUAUAGACUUGAUCAUAAACCCACAAUUCAUUGGUCUCAACAAACACACCGCAAAAAGAAGAUUAUAUAGAAUAGUUCCCCACAAGAGAGGGGGAGAACAUUGUAUUGAGAUCCAAAAAGAGAGAAGAAGCCAUCUAGCUACUAACUAUGGACCCGUAGGUCUGAAGUAAACUACUCACACUUCAUCGGAGAGGCUAUGGUGUUGAUGUAGAAGCCCUCCGUGAUCGAUGCCCCCUCCGGUGGAGCUCCGGAACAGGCGCCAAGAUGGGAUCUCGUGGAUACAGAAAGUUACGGUGGUGGAAUUAGGGUUUUGGCUCCUGUUCUGAUCGUUUGGGGUACGUGGAUAUAUAUAGGAGGAAGAAGUACGUCGGUGGAGCAACAAGUGCCCCACGAGGGUGGAGGGCGCGCCUUGGGGGGGGGGGGCAGGCGCACCCCCUACCUCGUGGCCUCCUGUUAGUUGGCUUGACGUAGGGUCCAAGUCUCCUGAGUUGUAUUCGGUGAGAAAAUCACGUUCCCGAGGGUUUCAUUCCGUUUGGACUCCGUUUGAUAUUCCUUUUCUUAGAAACCCUAAAACAGGCAAAAAACAUCAAUUCUGGGCUGGGCAUCCGGUUAAUAUGUUAGUCCCAAAAAUAAUAUAAAAGUGGAUAAUAAAGCCCAAUAAUGUCCAAAACAGUAGAUAAUAUAGCAGGGAGCAAUCAAAAAUUAUAGAUACGUUGGAGACGUAUCUGACAGCGGUGAGGUGGCGGAUAGAGGAGGGUGGGGUUUCAUGGCUGGAGCGGAGAGGUUAUGGGGGCCUGGAAUUUCGAAUGGCGAAAAGGAGGCGCUGGGAGGGGGAACCAUGACUUAGGGACACGCUUGUCCAAAAUGUAGGGUGUGUUACAAAAGUACCCCCACCGAUUUGAACUAGCGGCCCUUUCGGCUCAGGGUUAGAAGGGGGAUUUCACGUGUUGGGAUUUGGCAGCUGGAGGGAGUUUUCACGCGCGUUAUAAUUUCGGGAUAGCAAGGCGCGUGUUGUGAAGGCGCUAGUUUUGGCAACACGAUAUCUGAAUUUUUGGGAUAUAACAAGGUGCAGACUGAAUUUUAGGGACAUGCCUAACGUGUAAUAUAUGUACCAAAAUAAUUCGCACUUCCCUCAACAAAAAAAAAACACAAAAAAUAAAACUAUUCACACCACACAUAGAGAAAGUCUUGUCCCGUUUUACUAUACGAAUGCUAUUCAAAGCUACUCAUACCAACAUGUUAUGUCCAAUUAAUUUUUUUGUUGGCUGUAUAAUGCAUGUAACUACUCAUACCGAAAUUUUAGUGCAUUUCAAAUGUCUAUACUACCGCUGCAAUUCGAACUAAAUUUGAAUUCGUUUCUCUAUUUCAAUAAGAAUCUACAAUCAUGAUUGUUGCCAACUUCAACCAUCAUUCGUGUAUUACCUUAAAAACACACCACAUGAUUACUAUUGAGAUAGAUAUGAACUAUGUGUACUAUAUGAACUCGAAUUCAAUUUUUUGAAUACACUUGGUGUCAAUUCCAAAUAAUAGUACAUUUGAUGUACUGACUAUAUAUUCAUAAUCUAAACCAUGUUCCAAGUUCCAUACAUACACCGUGUUUAUCACACAAAGUAUAGUGCCCCGCCCCCUACAUUAUGACAAGUAUUUAGCCCUGAGCUGCAAAAGCCACACAUUAGCCCAAAUUUUAAUCAAUGUCCUACAUUAUGAUAUCUUCUUCUAGUAUAUGUGUCCACUUUUUUAUAAUGAAUUAUGAUCUUUGUUCGUCUUUUACACCUUCAUGAUCCUCUUCUCUUUGUAGCUAACUAGCACUAACUUUCUAUCAUGCAUGCACACACCCACCCUCUCUCACCCUCCCUCAGCGUCCCCUCCAUCACGCAUGUUCUUUAUUUAUCUUUAGGUCGUUCACCCGCGGUGUGUGUAGGCCCCCCAGCUCCUUCUUUCCGGCACACAUCGGUCGAUAUACCUCUCUAGCCAAGUGUGCCUACCACAAACACAUACUUCCCCUCUUCUCUUCUAACCGUCCAUGCCCCCCUAUGUCCAAUACGGUUCCAUGCAGGUGCACACUCCCGCCCCUCUUUUCAUCGAUCUCAUACUCGCACACUCCUCCCCCCUCAACAUGGUAGGCCUCUCGCACCACCUCCUAGCUGCACCCCUCUCCCCCUGUCUGUCUCUUCGGACCUUAUUUGCUUCUAACACAUGCAUGCAUUUAUACGUACCGAUCUCCCUACAUAUAGCCAAGUCAACUAUAAUUCGUUUUCCCCAUGCACUGAUAGACUUACCUCACUAGUUAUGUCUCUCCCUUUCUCGGACACACGACGGUUGAUCUUCCUAUGUAGUUAUGUAUGCUUACCACAACCAUAUCAUCUCCCCUCAUCAUCCUUGCAUACCUCCCAACCCGUCUCUCACAUGCACGUGCAUAGACAGACAGACAUCCCCCGCCCUCUCUUAUUGAUAUUGCACUCGUACCCUCUGUUUGUCUAGCAGGCCUCUCCCACCAUUUGUGAGAUGCCACUCCACCACCAGCCCUCCGACGCUCUACCUUUGUCUUUCUCCCAACCUUAUUCCUCUACUACACAUAUCCAUGGAUGUCAAUCGAUCUCCCUCAAUACAUAGCUAGGCCCCCCUCCUUCCCCACACAUAUACUAGUCGGUNNNNNNNNNNNNNNNNNNNNNNNNNNNNNNNNNNNNNNNNNNNNNNNNNNNNNNNNNNNNNNNNNNNNNNNNNNNNNNNNNNNNNNNNNNNNNNNNNNNNNNNNNNNNNNNNNNNNNNNNNNNNNNNNNNNNNNNNNNNNNNNNNNNNNNNNNNNNNNNNNNNNNNNNNNNNNNNNNNNNNNNNNNNNNNNNNNNNNNNNNNNNNNNNNNNNNNNNNNNNNNNNNNNNNNNNNNNNNNNNNNNNNNNNNNNNNNNNNNNNNNNNNNNNNNNNNNNNNNNNNNNNNNNNACACACACACUAAUAGUCGAACAUUGUAGGUAGGUAUCCAUGCCACAGAGAAAAACUGCACCUCUGCCCUCUCAAAUUCCAGUAGGCCAGACGCCAUGUAUCUUUGACGUCGGCAAACACAAAUUCGAUGGCACGCUUUAUUGAUCAGGCAGCCACACACUUCAUCCCUGUUUUCGAUUCUAUCGAUAUCUCACGUCCAUGACUCCGUUUCACACACAUUACAUAUGUUACGUUUUUUUGUUUGAGAUAUCAUCGACACAUUUCCUCCGUUUCGCACAAACCAUCUCUCUCACACCCACCCACGUACGUACCUGCACCUAAAGAAGAGGUGCACGCAGGACGCACGUACUCACGUCUCGUUCCCGGCCACACCCGCAUGGGUACACGGUAGAGUUCGUUCCUGUACGAAAAGGCAGCCCACGUGAUAAUUUGACGCGUGUAGCAGUUGUUUACUCGAAGGAGGGUCGGGUACCACGCCUAGACGGAACAAAGUUUGACUUGACGCGUUAGUAUUAAAUAAAGUUAUAUAUUCCUCAAUGGCACACACAGAAUAUAAAAUGAUUGCCGUGGGGAAAAUGGAAAAAUCCGCUCCACUAUAUAGAAUGGAGCCUGCCUCCCGGGGUUUGUCUCUCGUCACACCAUCUCACAGAAGGCGGUGGUGGCCUCUCUCUCUCACCAUUGGUCAGUGAUCCGGCCGCAUCCCAUCCACCGGUGGAAAGGGAGGAUGUGCAUCAUUUCUCCAUUCGACGGUGUUGAGGCAGCACGUCCUAAUCCGCAGUACCCGUCCUUCUCUCUAACCAAGCUCCAGCGUGGUAGGGCCCUAGCCACUUGCUCGCUGCCGCAGUAUGGGCAGAUCCCGGCCGCCGGGGCCCUCCUAGUAACAUCCCGACGACCCUUAGGUACAGCUUCCUCUAGCCUUGCUCCACUGCCCAUCUUCCCGCAUUGCUGCAUGUGGAUCCUCUUUAGUUGUUUUAUUAAAAUGUAUCUCGGCCGGCAUACUUUCCAUCUUGCAAUCUCAUCCUCAAACCAUUUUUGGUAAACCACCAUGCUGCUAUCUUUCCCUUUUUACAUGGAAUAAGCUUCUUUUUAUUGGCGUAUGUGUCUUCUUUCAAGUCGUGUUAUUGGGCAGUAAUUGUUUCCUUUCUACCUACUUUUGCAAACAGGGCUAUCCAUUUUCACCUCGUUUCUAUUGCGACCUUUUGGUGAACUGCACAAAUCACUUUCUUCUUAGGAGUGUUUUGUGUAGUUUGCCAAAAUGUCACACAGGCAACGUUUUUACAUUUCUGUGGGACUACAGAAAGGGAGAUUGGUUUUGCUAUCCUCCUCAUCCAACUCCGUGCCUAAUCUACUGCAACAAGUAGUUAGUCCUAAAGAGAGAUCAUAGAGGUGAUCGGCUUCUAUUUGUGUGUGUUAUGUUUCAUCAUCUAGUUCCAUUGUUGUUGUAAUCACACUGAGUGGAUAUCUUUUCAAACAGGGAUGGUCCACUCGAUUUUAGUGGAGCUGCACAAAAUGAUCGAAUUGUGGUGUCCUCCAUACACCUUUUUUGGCUACAGAGCUGGGUGAAACUAGCUGCCAAGCAAUGAACACUGUGGCUAGGAAAUGGAGCCAUGCCUACAGACAACAUCGACCAAUUAUAUUUUUUUUCUUUAUUUGUACACCUUCUCACAACUUUGUCUUCAGUUGUGAUGUGAAUAUUGGCACUGCUCUGCGAACCAUUGAGAUGCAUUAGCAGCCAUGGUAGUUUCAUUUGUAUUUGAUGGAAUGUUGUAACAAGAUAAUAUUGAGGCAAGAGGACACAUGAAUCCUAAGUUGAAACCUUUUUUUCUCCUGCGGGAACCAAAGUUGAAACCUUCAUAGCAUCACAAUACAAUUUCAUUAAAAUUAUGUGUACAUAUAAACAAAUCCUGAAGGAUUGAUAGCCAUGCCAGAAACAAUUCAAAUUCGUUUCGCCAACAUGUGGGACAUCCUUCAUCCGGCUCCACCUGCCAUGCAGCAAUAUUGAGUGCACAACUGCAGGGAAAGAUUCAUCCUAGUCAUUGCGCCGUAGUAGUAAUGACUAGUGAGCAGUCAAAUCACAGAGCCCCACCUUCGCCACAGUAAGUUGCUCGGACGAAGCAACCAUCAUUUAGCUGUUCCUUGAAUCCACUGGUACUCCUAUAUUCCCAGAGUAAUAAGUUGGUCGGGCGAAGCAACCAUCACUUCACCUUUCCCACAGUAAGUACUAGUACCUCCUUUUUUUACUCUAGAAACAACCACACGUGAAUAUUGGCGGUAGCAGCACAUCAGCUGAAUAAAAAAUUGAAACCAACCAAUGAACUACUACUAAUGGUGAGCAUUUGCUAGUAUCAUGUACUCCGUUUGUCCAUGUAUAUAGGGCUUAAUGCGUUUUCUGAGACUAACUUUGGCCCUGUUUGGAUCCAUGGGUUAGAGUUAGUUUGAGCUAGUUUUGGCUCAAAUAGCGCUUAAGUAUCCAAGCAUGGGGGUUAAAUUGGAGCAAGUUGCACCAAACCCACCAAAAAAACUAUCCCACCCAAGAGGUGCUAAUUGGAGAUAGUUCUCAUUGGGCCCACUGGAAAAUCACUUUUCUCUCUCCAUCAAGUGCAUUUAUUGUCAAUCUAACCCUGUCACCCAAACAUCUCUUUGGCUACAGUUAGUUCAGGGUUAGUCAUGAGUUAGUCUAACCUCUAGCUAAGUUAGAGUAUCCAAACAGGAGCAGUAUAGGACAUGAAAGUUGCUCAAAGCAUACAGUCAAAUUCAUACUUGAAAGGAUCUUUUUUUUAAACGGAACAUGAAAGGACCUUCGAAUGAUAUAAUUUUUAAAUUAUAUCAAAUCUUAUCAAUAGUCAAGGGCAUCCUCGAAGAAUACAUUAGGCCCUAUAUAAAAUCUUAUCAAUAGUCAAAACCAAGUGUUCUAAACGAGUUCAAAACAACAAACUGGACCCACUCACGGCACAACACGCCUAUCUCGUUUGGUCCGUCGGUCAAAGAGCUUCCUCUUCUUGGCAUAACAAUAGAGUAUAGUAUUUUUUAGAAUGCUCUUGGCAUGUCGGUAACAUGUGAUGAGUUAACCGACCUCAAUAGACGGCAAAAACGCCAGCCCGCCGCACUCUGAGAGAGACGAGGAGCGAGAAGCGAUACGGGCUGCUGGAUUACUAGAGCUAGGUGUCGAACGGGGGCCAAGAAAAAUGGUGAUAGCAUGGGUUAGCCAUGUAGUAUGAUGUAACUACACUGGGCUGCCGUGUUUAAUACUCUUCCAGUCCACUGUGGAGAUGAUUGGUUGAUUUUAUAUCGUUGAAUAAUAUAAAAUACUAUGAGUCCAGACGCUCCACCACAAGGUUCCUUGCUCCUUCUCGUUCGUCGAGAAUCUAUGCUCUUCCACUCUUUUUUAUUGAUGUGAGCUUUGUUCAUCCUUUUGCCAACACGCGACAACUCGCAGAAUGAUGAGAAGCUUGUUUACUACGGGGCCGUUUGGUUCUAGGACUAGGAGUGCCACAUUUUUCCAUACACAAUGUUGCCAAACUUGCCUAAGGUUUAUGCCUUCUCCCUCGCCAACACGUGCGCGGUGGCUCGUAGCAUGAAGAUAAACUUUUGUUGCGGUGGACGUGCAAUAGUUCAUAGUGGGAGUAACAUACUCCUAGGUAGUAACAUAGAGCAGUCCAAGACAAGUUUGCUUUAUGUGGCAUGUAUUUAAUGAGGAGAGAUGUGUUUAGAGUAACAUAAUAUGUAGUGUGGGGCCUAAGCGAGUAGUCCAUUGUAGAAACUAGGGUGGUGCCGGAUUAAUUCUGCAUGUAAAUAAGCUUGUAACCGUGGAUUUGGGGCUCUUUCCCCUCUCUUCUUUAAUGAAUGGUACACACAGUCGUGCGUAUUCGAGAAAAAAAUAUGUCACUGUAACAUAGCGCUUUCCAAGAGAAGAUGAGUCUACAAGGUAAUAAAUGAAGCCAAGUAGUAUGACACUACUACUAUGUUACUUUGCAUUAUGGAGGUAGUAACUUAGAUUAGUGUCAUAUGCAUGACACUAGUCUAAGUUACUCUGCACUAUGGCCAACCUAAGAGCAUGGUUAAUAGUAUAGCCAGCUGAUGGCUAUAAGAAACUGCCAUGUCAUGUAUAGCCAUCAUUUAUAGUCACUCAUAUAGUAGUGUGGGCUACAAGGUUGGCUAUAACAUCACUUAGUACUUUUUUCAACCUUCUCCCUUUCUCUUUCUUAGCAUUUAUUCUAUUUGUCUAGGAAUCCGCAUAUAUCUAGGCUCUUGCAUGAGGCUGAGUAUCAUAGGUAGUAUCAUGCAUGCCAACUUGGCAAAUUUGAUGAGGUGGCAUAGAAUUAAAUGAAGAAAGAUAGGGUUGAGUAUCAUAUCAUGAUACUGUAUCAUAUUAAAUGGUGUGCUACUAUGUGUCAUCUAUACUAGUAUUAAACAAUCGAACUAAUUCUUUCUUAAAGCCACACAACAGAUGUACCCAGAUUGAUUAGCACCGUUAGAUUAAACCCACUGAAUAAAAUCUAAUGGUUAUGAUUAAUUUAAUCCCGAGUCAAAUGUGUACAUAUCAAUUUAGAAUGACUGAACGUGCUCCAAAGGAGGAGAAAAAUUCCACGCGCCGGCUCACGCUAAUCCCAUCAAUCAUGCUAAUCCCUGCAUGUCAAUUUCUCCCAUACGAAUACUCCCUACCACUACCGUCCCAGAGGAGGCACACACGCCGGCGUACGGAGCCAUCACCAACCGCUCCUCCGCUCCUCUCGCUCACCAACCCCCACGCGAUGCCGCCUAGAUCGGAGGAAUCGAAGGUCACCGCUCCGCCAUGUUCCAUUUCAGAGCCGAAACAACAAGCAUCCAUGGCCGCUCCGCAACCAGAGGCCAAAGGUGAGCCACACAGCCCAUCGAAUCUAUCUUUUUCACCGCGCCGUUGGGUUUCUCUCUCGAUCUAUUGUUCAUAUGAGUCUAAUUGGCUAAGAUCAGAUUUUAACUAUGUUUCCAAUCAUGAGUCUGAUGCGAGCGAGUUUCCUGCCGGUCCGUGCGUCAAUCAAGCGGCUCCUUUCUAUACUUCUAUACUACUAUUAAACAAUCGAACUAAUUCUUUCUUAAAGCCACACAACAGAUGUACCCAGAUUGAUUAGCAGCGUUAGAUUAAACCCACUGAAUAAAAUGGUUAUGAUUAAUUUAAUCCCGAGUCAAAUGUUUACGUAUCAAUUUAGAAUGACUGAACAUGCUCCACCGGAGGAGAAAAAUUCCACGCGCCGGCUCACGCUAAUCCCAUCAAUCAUGCUAAUCCCUGCAUGUCAAUUUCUCCCAUACGAAAACUCCCUACCACUACCGUCCCAGAGGAGGCACGCACGCCGGCGUAUGGAUCCAUCACCAACCGCUCCUCCGCUCCUCUCGCUCACCAACGCCCACGCGAUGCCGCCUGGAUCGGAGGAAUCGAAGGUCACUGCUCCACCAUGUUCCGUUUUGGAGCCGAAACAACAAGCAUCCGUGGCCGCUCCACAACCAGAGGCCAAAGGUGAGCCACACAGCCCGUCGAAUCUAUCUUUUCCAUCGCUUCGUUGGGUUUCUCUCUCGAUCUAUUGUUCAUAUGAGUCUAAUUGGCUAAGAUCAGAUUUUAACUAUGUUUCCCAUCAUGAGUCUGAUGCGAGCGAGUUUCCUGCCGGUCCGUGCAUCAAUCAAGCGGCUCCUUGAUCUUUACUCAUGUUUCUCUUGGCUGAUGUUCAGGUGCCGCAUGAACGGCACGGGAGCUAAAGGCCGCCGGCGCCGGCCACCCCGGUGUGAGAGGAAACAGGCGGGUUCUCGGGGAAACCCUCAACGUCGUCCAUGGCCCAUGUCCUCAACGAGGAAGGAAAUCAGCACAAUGAUCGAAUACACGAUCUGUUCCAGACCACCCAGUGCGCUCCCUUCACAAGGAUCGAACCUCGCGGCGGUUGGCGAUGGCAGCAGCUCCGCCGUCCUGGUCCGCUCGGCUCAUCGUCCCAUGCGGCUUCAAGGUCACUACGUUCGGCCGUCGGUCCCCCGUGAACAACAUCAUCCACGUCCUCACCGACACGCGGGGUUCAACAUGGCGCUCGAGACCUCUAGCGUCGUGGAUGACUUCCAGGCUGAUGAGCGCGGCACCGGCAUCACCAUCUUCGUCCCCAUCGACGACGCCUUCGCCAGCCUCCCUCCCGGUGCUGCGAUUCCACGUGCUGCACUCCUACUACCGGCUCGGCUCCCUCGAGUCCAUCAAGAACCCCGUCCAGCCCACGUCCUCACCGAAGUGCACCAUGGCCGGCUGCUUCGUCCCUCCGGUUCUAGGUGGAGCAAACAUAAAUGCCAGGGUCGAUGUCGACGGAGCCAUUGAAUCGUGUGAUGUUGAUCCUGAAGCAGCCGGGCUUCGCAAUUGUGAUGCUGGACGCUGCAAAGGAGAGAACGUCAUAGCCGGAGUUCGAGUUCGAGACGCAGAGGAGAGGACGCCAUAGCCAAAGUUGAAGACGCAAAGCAGAGGAUGAGAUGAUUCGGAGGAGCCAGAGUUAAGCACGUCGACAAUGAUCCAAGCAUCUUUGCUAUUUACCAUUUCCAGGUUGAUUGGUAAUGCAUGCCAAUUACUAUUUGCAGGUUAGGUACUUUCACUAAUUGUAAUAGAAAUGGUAAGAGUUUUAAGCAGGAGGUGGAGCUACUUUUUGUUUGUCAGUUUAAAUUUUACUAAUUUGUAACUGAACUUGAAGCUAUUGUAUCAGGUGACAGCUGGUGAGCAGGACCGACAAUGGAUUGAUUAGUGUCACCAUCCUUUGGUUCUGAAGCAAUUCUUGAGGUGUCUCCGACCAGAACAAUCUGGUUCCUACCAAGUAUUGUCUACCGAGAUGCCAUGUUACUAGACAAAUAUAACACUAGGAUUAUCUCCAGUCAUGGGUUGCAGCUUCUACCAUGACCCACUGAACAAAAAUUAGCCAUGUUACUAGGCAAGUAUAAACACUGGGAUUAUCUCCAGUCAUGUGUUGCAGCUUCUACCAUGUUCCAGUGAACCAAAAUGAGCACAAUCAUUAAUUGAUGAUACUUUCAUAGAUCAAUAAUUUAUGUCCUUGAUUCUGCACUGAUUUAGUCAUAUUCUUUUUUUCUAAUAGCAAUCCCAACUUUUCAGCUGAGCCCCACUACAUUUUAUCCCGAAUCUCCAUCAUCGAUUAUUUCUUCAAAGAUUUAUUGCAUUUAUGGGAAAAAACACUACAUUUUAAUUCUAUUAACCAUAGAUUAAUCCACUUCAAUUACUAACAACAUCCCAAGCUGAAACUGUUGCGAUUUGGUCUGGGACCAGAGUCCCAUUUUUUAUCCACAAUGGAUUCAUUGAUUAUUACUUCUGUUCCACAGUUUUAGUUCAUAUGUGAGGACUGCCCUACGCUCAAGCAACGAGUUACGACAUGGAUGGAGUGUAGGACGAAGUUCAGGUAAUUAUUUGGCAAUGCAAAAUGAGUACGUUUGUUAUGUUGAUAUGGCUUCCAUUUCCCACAUUGGUCUUUGACAACAUAUUUAGGCGCUGCAUGAAUAUAUAAGUGAUGGUUAGAGUAAUUGUGUGGAGAAAUAGAGUUGCAUUGAUUUUUCUGUGUCCAAACCCUCUUAUAACAUUUGGUGAUAUUUUAGGAUGCUGGGUAGAAUGUAACACCCUGGAUGUAACUUACCCAAUUUGUAUUCCAACUCUUGCCGUUUCCGGCGUUAAGUUAUUUUAUUUUCUCGGGUUCGGGUCUUUGCCUCCUUGUGUUGUUGUCGUUGUCAUGCAUCUCAUAUCAUGUCAUCAUGUGCAUUGCAUUUGCAUACGUGUUCAUCUCAUGCAUUCGAGCUUUUUCCCCGUUGUCCGUUUUGCAUUCUGGCGCUUCGUUCUCCUCCGGUGGUAAUUUCUACCUUUCUUUCAUUUGUGGGGAUUAAACAUUUCCGAAUUGGACCGAGACUUGCCAAGCGGCCUUGGUUUACUACCGGUAGACCGCCUGUCAAGUUUCGUACCAUUUGGACUUCGUUUAAUGCUCCAACGGUUAACCGAGGGACCGAAAAGGCCUCGUGUGUGUUGCAGCCCAACACCCCUCCAAUUUGGUCCAAAAUCCACCAAAACCUUCUCCAUCAUCUAGAGCGUUCGAUCACGAUCGCGUGGCCAAAAACCGCACCUCAUUUGGACUCUCCUAGCUCCCUUUACCUAUAAAUAUGUGUCUCCUCCCGGAUUUUUCGCGCAGUCCAAACCCUAACCCGCUCCUCCGCGCCGCCGGACACGUCCGCCGCCGGCUGGACGCGUCCGCCCCCGCCCGCAUCCAACCAGUAACCGCCACGUGUCGCCGCCACCUCCCACCGCCGGCCCGCUCAGCCCGCGCCGGGCCCUCCCCACCGCGUGCCCAGGCCGCCGCCUCCUCUCACCCCGCGCCGUNNNNNNNNNNNNNNNNNNNNNNNNNNNNNNNNNNNNNNNNNNNNNNNNNNNNNNNNNNNNNNNNNNNNNNNNNNNNNNNNNNNNNNNNNNNNNNNNNNNNNNNNNNNNNNNNNNNNNNNNNNNNNNNNNNNNNNNNNNNNNNNNNNNNNNNNNNNNNNNNNNNNNNNNNNNNNNNNNNNNNNNNNNNNNNNNNNNNNNNNNNNNNNNNNNNNNNNNNNNNNNNNNNNNNNNNNNNNNNNNNNNNNNNNNNNNNNNNNNNNNNNNNNNNNNNNNNNNNNNNNNNNNNNNNNNNNNNNNNNNNNNNNNNNNNNNNNNNNNNNNNNNNNNNNNNNNNNNNNNNNNNNNNNNNNNNNNNNNNNNNNNNNNNNNNNNNNNNNNCUCCUCGCCCGCGCCGCCCCGGCUUCCUCACCGCCCGCCGCCGCCAGGACUCGCCGGCGCCGCCCCGGCCUCUCCUCCCCUCGGUCUCGCCUUCCUCCAAGUCCGACGGCUCCAGCCGUCGCCGUUUCCUCUCCGGCGAACAGGAUUCCGGCCGUCCUCGGGAAGCGUGCCGCCGGAUCUCAGAUCUAGAUCUCGGUUGACUUUUUCGUCCCCAACCCUAAUUUUCUUGCUAUGUUCAUCGCAUCGUAACUCCUCAUCCGUAACUCCGUUUUGGGCAUAUAGCAUAUCAAAAUGUUCGCCACAGAGAGCACAUCAUUUCAUCUCAUUGCAUCAUUUUCAUUUGAGUUCAUCUUGAUGCCCUAAAUGCUGGUAGAAGAGUGCUACUUGAGAUAAUUGUCAGAUCUGCUGCUCCAUUUAGAGAUUUGUCAUUUUUGCCAUGAUUAAUGUGUGCAUCAUAUGCCCAUGAGCUCUACAUAUGUUUUCUUAAGGGUUUUGCCAUCUUUCCGGAGGUGCAACCCAUGUAUUUUUGUGAUGUGUGUGGUGACUAGCACAAGCUUGCCAAGUGAGGCACUUGGUAAUGCUGAUUUCAGGGACUUAGCAAUUCCACUAAGUCCUUGAUCUGUUUAUCUCAUGUUGCCAUAUGUUCAUGUUGUUUCCUAGUGAUCCGUGCCUCUUUUGAGGAUGGUCAGUAAGGAUGUUUUGUUAAUCUUUUAGUGCUCUAUCCAUCCAUGCCUUUGUUUGCAAUUAUGGAAUACCUUAGCUUGAGUCAAUCGAGCUCUACUUUUGCUACUUCGUGAAUCUUGGCAGAUUGUCUACUUGUUGGCGAUUUUGCCGAUGAUGUUGUAGUUGAUCCGUGCAUGCUAUGUUUUUGUUCUUGCCAUGUAUAGCUUGCAUUUUGUGUAUUCUUGAUGGAUGUAUGCUUAGAUUAUCAUGACUUGCUCCGUAGUGAGUGCAUCAAGCUCGUAAAUAUGCCUACUUGAUAUCUGUUUUCAGCAUGCUCCAGUUUUCACUAAGUCUGAGAACUGAUUAUGUUUUUGCCAUGUUCACAUGCUUGCAAUUGUAUUUUCUGAUCCCUUUUGGCUCAAGGUCACUAAGGGACUUUUGUUAAGCCUUUUGAGUAGCUCCAUGCCAUGAUUUACUUUGCCAUGUUCGGGUCCUGUAGCAUGUAGUUUUGUUGCUCCAAAGAGUGCUACCUGAUCUGAGAUUCCAGACAAGUGUUAAUUUCACCAAGUCUGAAAUCUGUUUACCAUAUGCAUUUUUGCCAUGCUUGUUUGAACCUGUUAAUGGAUGAUUUGGCCGUAGCUCAGUGUUAGACUUUUGUUAAUCAUCUUGAAUGCAUCCCUGCCAUGUAUUUUUAUGCCAUAUUUGAGUGUUGUACCUUGUUCAUCUCAUUGCAUUUAGAUGGCUACUCGCUGUAAAUCGCAGAACGUGGUCAUAUUUGAAUUGCUUGCCAUUUCCAAACCGUAACUCCAAUUCCGGCGUUCUUUAUAUCGUUUUCAAGCGAUUUCAUCUCAUCUUUCCAGUGGCACACUUGGAUUUCCAUGUUGAGGCCAGGUUCCUACAUCCCUUAUCAAAUCUUGCAUAUGCAUCCCGCAUCGCAUUCCGCAUAGCAUACCAUCCUUGCAUCCUAUUGUUUGAUCCUUGCACGUGGUUGAUUGUGUCCUUGUUGCUUGUUUGUCUUGUUUGGGUAGAGCCGGGAGACGAGUUCGCUAACGAGGAGCCCGUUGAGUUUGCUUUCGAGGAUCCAGUCAACUCUGACAACUUUGCAGGCAAGAUGAUCAUACCCUCGAAAUCACUACUAUCUUUGCUUUGCUAGAUGCUCGCUCUUUUGCUAUGCCAAUGCUACAAUGCCUACCACUUGCUUUCAAGCCUCCCAAAUUGCCAUGUCAAACCUCUAACCCACCAUGUCCUAGCAAACCGUUGAUUGGCUAUGUUACCGCUUUGCUCAACCCCUCUUAUAGCGUUGCUAGUUGCAGGUGAAGAUUGGAGACCGUUCCUUGUUGGAACAUUUAUUUACUUGUUGGGAUAUCAUUAUAUUAUCUUGUUAUCUUAAUGCUUCUAUACACUUGGUAAAGGGUGGAAGGCUCGGCCUCUCGCCUAGUGUUUUGUUCCACUCUUGCCGCCCUAGUUUCCGUCAUAUCGGUGUUAUGUUCCCGGAUUUUCGCGUUCCUUACGCGGUUGGGUUAUAAUGGGAACCCCUUGAUAGUUCGCCUUGAUUAAAGCUUUUCCAGCAAUGCCCAACCUUGGUUUUACCAUUUGCCACCUAGCCUCUUUUUCCCUUGGGUUUCCGGAGCCCGAGGAUCAUCUUAUUUUAGCCCCCCCUGGGCCAGUGCUCCUCUGAGUGUUGGUCCAAACUAGAGUCCUAUGCAGCGCCCCCUCGGGGAAACUCGUGGUUUGGUUUUAGCUGUAUGGAGUGCUCAUCUGAGUGUGCCCUGAGAACGAGAUAUGUGCAACUCCUAUCGGGAUUAGUCGGCACAUUCGGGCGGUGUUGCUGGAUUUGUUUUAACCUGUCGAAGUGUCUUGAAGAACCGAGAUAUCGAGUCUGAUCGGAACGUCUUGGGAGGAGGUCUAUUCCUUCGUUGAUCGUGAGAGCUUGUCAUGGGCUAAGUUGGGACUCCCCUGCAGGGAUUUGAACUUUCGAAAGCCGUGCCCGCGGUUAUGGGCAGAUGGGAAUUUGUUAAUGUCCGGUUGUAGAUAACUUGAACCUUAACUUAAUUAAAAUGAAGCAACCGUGUGAGUUACCGUGAUGGCCUCUUCUCGGCGGAGUCCGAGAAGUGGACACGAUGUUGGAGUAAUGUUUUGCGCAGGUUUUCCUUUAGUUAUGCGUUCGUGCUUUGCCUUCUCUUCUCGCUCUCUUUGCGAACAGGAUAGCCACCAUAUAUGCUAGUCGCUUGCUGCAGCUCCUCCACAUAUUUACCUUGCCUUACCUAUAAGCUUAAAUAGUCUUGAUCGCGAGGGUGCGAGAUUGCUGAGUCCCUGUGGCUCACAGAUUACUAUUAAACCAGAUGCAGGGCCUGUCGAUUCCGCUCCAGGUGACGCACUCGAGCUCAAGUGGGAGUUCGACGAGGACUCUCAAUGUUACUAUGUUUCCUUUCCUGAUGAUCAGUAGUGGUGCCCUGUUGGGGGUGAUCGGGACCGUGUCGCAUGUUGGGUUAUCUUUUAUUUUCGCACCGUAGUCGGGCCAUGAGUGUUUGGAUGAUGUAAUGUUAUUUAUGUACCUUGAUUGACGUGGCGAGUGUAAGCCAACUAUGUUAUCUCCCCUUUUAUUAAUUAUAUUACAUGGGAUGUUUGUGAAGAUUGCCUAACUUGCGACAUAUGCCUUCAAUGCAAUUAUGCCUCUAAGUCGUGCCUCGACAUGUGGGAGAUAUAGUCGCAUCGAGGGUGUUACAAGUUGGUAAUCAGAGCCAUCCCCGACCUUAGGAGCCCCACUGCUUGAUCCUUAUUAGCGGCCGAGUUGUGUCUAGAAAAAUGUUUUGAGUCAUUUAGGAAUUAUAUAUCGAAGAGUUUAGGAAUUCUUUUUACUUCCCAGUCUCCUCAUCGCUCUAUUAAGGCAUCCUGACGUAGAGUUUUGACUCUUCUCUUCUCAAAUUCCACUAAAAAAAUUUAGGAUCACGCGGGUAUCUUGGAAUCGUUUCAAUGGUUUUAUGAUGAGAACAUUGUCUUGGUGCCUCCUGUCAAGGGUUUUGUGGAAGUGUCCCGGGAGUUGAGCUCUGAGGUGUUGUCGUCAUAAUUUUAUCGUUGCAGUUCUGGAAUACCUGAGUGUAGUACGCCGACAUCGAAAAUCUCUUUUAUGCAGUUCGUUGGUGAGAUAACCUCGACGCCACCCAGUACUGGGGCGGGAGUUCGGGAGUAUCGCCAUAACUUGUAUAACGGAUGCUUUUCAAAGGUUGAGGUAGAUGGUUUCCGAAGUUUUUCUCGGUUAUGUGUUGAAGGAUGGAUACAGCUGGAUGUAGGAUUUGCUAGAUUUGGGUGAGAUAUUAUGCUUCCCCUGUAUCCCCAACACCUGAUUGCAUAACCGGAAAGGUUCGGGAGUUUCAUAGGUGGGAAUUCUAGUAGCUCUAGUUCUUCUUCCAUGGAUAGUUGGUUUGAGAUUGGGAUUUCUUACCGAUUAUUUGUUCUUGAUCCGUACCUUGUUGAUUUAUUUCUCUAACUUAAUUCUAAGUGGCUUCUCAAUUUAUGGAUAUGUGACCAUUUCAAGAGGAACGCAUUCGUUCAUUUUGUUUGGAUGUGAAGACUAUAUGUUGCAAUUUUCAUUCCGUUGGAUUCAGCUUCAAUAUUUGUCUAUCAAUGUGCUAAUGGAUGUCAACCUCUUCAGGAUGGCUCCUCCAACGUGCACGACUCCGAAUCCUGAUCCGCCACCACCUCCACCUCCUCCGGAGGCAUGGCAAGCUGUGAUGGCCGCAACCAAUGCAAACACACAGUUGAUCAUGCAAGUUCUCCAAGAGCGUAAUCAAGGCAACCAAGGGAACCAAGGCAACAAUCAAAAUCACUUUGCUACACUCAACCAGUUCCUUGCUAACGGGCCAAAGACUUUCAGAAAUUGUGUUGAGGCAACCGAUGCUGACGAUUGGCUUGUGGAUCUGUGCAAGCAUUUCGAGUGCAGUAAUGUCAGGCCUGAGGAUCUUGUCAAGUUCGCUUCCUUCCAACUCAAAGAUCAAGCUGCAGAAUGGUUCCAGCAGUACAAGGAUUCCAGAGGUGGACGUGUUAUCACUUGGGAUGAAUUCCCUCAAGAUUUCAGAGCUCAUCAUAUUCCUCAGAGCAUGGUUGAAAGCAAGCGUGAGGAAAUCCGCAACCUGAAGCAAGGCUCUUUGUCUGUCUAUGACUACAACAAGUUGUUCCAGAAGCUCGCCCGUUUUGCCAAGCAGGACGUCCCUGAUGAGAAGAGCAUGAUAUACCAGUUCAGGGGUGGUCUCAGAGAAGAAAUCCAGCUCGCUCUUGUCCUCUUUGAGCCCUUGAGGUACGAUGAGUUCUACAACAUGGCAUUGAAGCAAGAGGCCGCUCAACUAAGGUGUGAUGCUUCCAAGAAGCGAGUCAGAGAUGCUACUCCUUCCUCUACUCAAGUGGCCAAGCAGCAAAAGUAUUGGCUUCCUCCUCCUCCGUUCCGUCAGCCGUUUCAGCAGAAGAGCAAAGGUGGCAGUGGCUCUUCCCACCCACCCAAUCCUGGCUUUCAGAAUAAGACUUCGUCUCAAGCUCCAAGAUCGAGUGCUCCGUAUCACUGUCCGCUUUCAGAGGUCAUGUGCAACAAGUGCCAACAGAAGGGUCACUAUGCCAACAAGUGUUUCAACCAGAGGCGUCUUCCUCCUCCUCCUCCUGUCAGAUCGGCAAGUACAGCUGUGGUCAAGCAUAACCCCAAGUACGCCAAGGUCAAUAUGGUGAAUGCAGCUCAGGCAGAGGAUUCGUCAGAUGUCAUCAUGGGUAACCUUCCAGUUAACGAUAUUCCUGCAAAAGUUCUUUUUGAUACUGGUGCAUCGCAUUCUUUCUUGUCAUGCCCUUUUGCAUCGAAGCACAAUGUUGAUACUGAGAUCUUGCCCAAAGUCAUGCAAGUUGUUUCUCCCGGCAAGCUUUUGACUUCUAGCUUGGUUGCUCCCGAUAUCUCUAUCACCUUGGGCGACUACAAGUUCCUUUCUUACCCAAUUGUUCUUGGUAACUCGGAUAUUGAUCUUAUUCUCGGGAUGGAUUGGCUUUCUAAGCACAAGGCACAUCUUGAUUGUGCUGCCAGGCAGAUUCAAUUGACUCAUUCGUCUGAGGAUGUAAUUGUCUUUGCCGCUCGGGAUAAUACCUUCCGUCUGUUUUCUCUCAAUGAGAAGGGUGAACUCGAUGCCAUCUCGCAAAUUCCAGUCGUUUGCAAAUAUCAAGACGUCUCUCCAGAAGAGCUUCCAGGAAUGCCUCCGCACCAGCCAGUUGAAUUCGUUAUUGAUCUUGAGCCCGGCAUGGAACCUGUGUGCAAGCAUCCUUACAAGCUCGGACCUGAAGAGUUGAAGGAGCUGAAGAAGCAACUCGAUAUUCAAGAGAUAAUGGGAGAGAAUGGGUCCCAUCCGGCCUAGUUCUUCUCCGUGGGGUUGUGGUGUUCUUUUUGAGAAGAAGAAGGAUGGAACGGACCGACUUUGUGUUGAUUACCGUCCAUUGAACAAGAAGACCAUCAAGAAGAAAUACCCACUUCCCAACAUCAAUGAACUGUUCGAACAACUCAAAGGUGCCCAAGUAUUCUCCAAGCUUGAUCUCCGUAUGGGUUAUCAUCAGAUUCGAAUCCAUGAGCAAGAUAUUCCCAAGACGGCUUUCAAGACAAGCUAUGGUUCAUACGAAUACACUGUCAUGUCUUUUGGCCUCGUCAACGCUCCUUCGACGUUCUCUCGCAUGAUGAACUUCAUCUUCAACGCCUACACCAAUGACUUCGUUUUGGCCUGUCUCGACGACAUUCUGGUUUUCUCGAAGAACAAGGAAGAUCAUGCCAAGCACUUGCGUUUGGUACUCGAUAAGUUGAGGGAACACCAGUUCUACGCCAAGUUCUCCAAGUGUGAAUUUUGGCUCGAUGAGGUUCUUUAUCUUGGUCAUAUCAUCUCUGCCAAGGGCAUUGCGGUGAAUCCUGAGAAGGUGUCUGCAAUUGUGAAUUGGGAACCUCCUCAGAAUGUGAAGCAACUCCGUAGCUUCCUCGGUCUCGCAAGCUAUUGUCGAAGAUUUGUUGAAAACUUCUCCAAGAUCGCGAAGCCUCUCUCAAAUCUUCUCCAGAAGCACGUCAAGUACGUUUGGUCUCCGGAGUGUGACAUUGCUUUCAACACUUUGAAAGAGAAAUUGGUCACUGCUCCAGUUCUGACUCCGCCUGAUGAAUCCAAGCCGUACGAGGUCUUUUGUGAUGCCUCUCUCCAAGGUCUUGGUGCAGUGUUGAUGCAAGAGAAGAAAGUUGUUGCUUAUACCUCUCGCCAGUUGAAGCCCAAUGAGAAGAACUACCCCACUCAUGAUCUCAAGUUGGCGGCAGUUGUGCAUGCUCUUUUGAGUUGGAGACAUCUCUUAUUGGGAAGAAAAGUGGACAUUUUCACUGAGCACAAGAGUCUCAAGUACAUCUUCACUCAGCCUAAUCUCAACCUCAGGCAAACUCGAUGGGUCGAAAUGGUUCAAGAGUAUAAUCCGAGUAUCGAGUAUACUCCAGGCAAGGCCAAUGUGAUUGCUGACGCAUUGAGCAGAAAGGCUUAUUGCAACAGUCUUAUUCUCAGGCCUUAUCAACCCGAGCUUUGUGAAGCUUUCCGCAAACUUAACCUGCAAGUUGUUCCUCAAGGUUUCCUCGCCAACCUUCAAGUCUCUCCUACCUUGGAAGACCAGAUUCGCCAAGCCCAGCUUCUUGAUGCUAUGGUGAAAAAGGUGAAGAUUGGGAUUGCCAAGAGUCAACCCAAGUACAAGUGCUACCGCCUUGAUGACAAGGACACUCUCUUCUUCGAGGAUCGUAUUGUUGUGCCCAAAGGUCAACUUCGUAAAGUGAUCAUGAACGAGGCUCACAAUUCUCUCCUCUCCAUCCACCCUGGGAGCACGAAGAUGUAUCAGGACCUCAAGCAGGCUUAUUGGUGGACUCGAACGAAGCGCGAGAUUGCUUAGUUCGUAAAUGAAUGUGAUGUCUGCAGAAGAGUGAAGGCAGAAAACCAAAGGCCAGCUAGUCUCCUCCAACCUCUUGCCAUUCCAGAAUGGAAGUUUGACCACAUUGAGAUGGACUUCAUGACUGGGUUUCCAAAGUCCAAGCGUGGCAAUGAUGCUAUAUUCGUUGUCAUCCACAAACUCACCAAAGUGGUUCACUUUCUGCCUAUCAAAGAGUCGAUCACUGCAGCUCAAUUGGCGGAACUCUAUACCUCUCGAAUUGUCUCUCUGCACGGUAUUCCACAAGUUAUCUCUUCAGACCGUGGCAGCAUCUUUACCUCCAAGUUUUGGGAUUCUUUUCAGAAGGCCAUGGGCACCAACAUGCGCUUUAUCACAGCUUUCCAUCCUCAAACUAGCGGUCAAGUCGAGUGUGUCAACCAGAUUCUUGAAGAUAUGCUCAGGGCUUGUGUGAUCUCCUUCGGCAUGAAGUGGGAGGAUUUCUUCCUUAUGCUGAAUUCUCCUACAACAACAGUUUUCAAGCAAGCUCGGGCAAGGCCCCAUUUGAAAUUCUGUAUGGCAGGAAGUGCCGUACCCCUCUCAACUGGUCUGAAACCGGUGAAUGUCGGCUUUUGGGAAAUGACUUAAUCACAGAGGCAGAGGAAAUCUGCAAAGUCAUUCGAGAUAACCUCAAAGCAGCCCAAUCCCGCCAGAAGAGCUACUAUGAUAGUAAGCACCGUGAUUUGGCUUUCGAGAUCAGAGAUCAUGUUUACCUCCGCGUUUCUCCUAUGAAAGGUACUCAUCAUUUCGGUAUCAAAGGGAAGCUUGCCCCCAGAUACGUGGGACCUUUCAAGAUUGUCAGCAAGAGAGGCGACCUCGCCUAUCAACUCGAGCUUCCUUCAAACUUUGCAAAUGCUCAUGACGUGUUCCAUGUCUCUCAGCUUCGAAAGUGCUUCAAGACUCCUGACCGCACCGUCAACUUCGAGGACAUUGAGCUCCAAGAAGAUCUCUCAUAACAUGAGCACCUCGUUGCUAUUUUUGAAGAGACUAAACGCAUGACUCGCAACAAGUCAAUCAAAUUCCUCAAAUUCAAGUGGUCACACCAUUCUGCCCGUGAAGCUACCUGGGAACGCGAGGAUCACCUCCGUUCUGAAUACCCGGCGUUCUUUCAGUCCUAGAUCUCGGGACGAGAUCCUUUCGUAGUGGUGGAGUGUUGUAACACCCCGGAUGUAACUUACCCAAUUUGUAUUCCAACUCUUGCCAUUUCCGGCAUUAAGUUAUUUUAUUUUCCCGGGUUCGGGUCUUUGCCUCCGUGUGUUGUUGUCGUUGUCAUGCAUCUCAUAUCAUGUCAUCAUGUGCAUUGCAUUUGCAUACGUGUUCAUCUCAUGCAUUUGAGCUUUUUCCCCGUUGUCCGUUUUGCAUUCCGGCGCUUUGUUCUCCUCCGGUGGUCAUUUCUACCUUUCUUUCGUGUGUGGGGAUUAAACAUUUCCGGAUUGGACCGAGAAUUGCCAAGCGGCCUUGGUUUACUACCGGUAGACCACCUGUCAAGUUUCGUACAAUUUGGACUUCGUUUGAUGCUCCAACGGUUAACCGAGGGACCGAAAAGGCCUCGUGUGUGUUGCAGCCUAACACCCCUCCAUUUUGGUCCAAAACCCACCAAAACCUUCUCCAUCAUCUAGAGCGUUCGAUCACGAUCGCGUGGCCGAAAACCGCACCUCAUUUGGACUCUCCUAGCUCCCUCUACCUAUAAAUAUGUGUCUCCUCCCGGAUUUUUCGCGCAGUCCAAACCCUAACCCGCUCCUCCGCGCCGCCGAACAUGUCCGCCGCUGGCCGGACGCGUCCGCCCCUGCCCGCAUCCAACCAGUAACCGCCACGUGUCGCCGCCACCUCCCACCGCUGCCGGCCCGCUCAGCCCGCGCCGGGCCCUCCCCACCGCGCGCCCGGGCCGCCGCCUCCUCUCACCCCGCGCCGUCUGGGAGCCCGAGCCGCCACCGCACUUUGCAAGCCACCGCCGCCGCGCCAUUGCCGGCUGGAGCGAGCUCCGCCGGCCGGAUCUCCUCGCCCGCGCCACCCCGGCUUCCUCACCGCCCGCCGCCGCUAGGACUCGCCGGCGCCGCCCCGGCCUCUCCUCCCCUCGGCCUCGCCUUCCUCCAAGUCCGACGGCUCCGGCCGCUGCAGUUUCCUCUCCGGCGAACAGGAUUCCGGCCGUCCUCGGGAAGUGUGCCGCCGGAUCUCAGAUCUAGAUCUCGAUUGACUUUUUCGUCCCCAACCCUAAUUUUCUUGCUAUGUUCAUCGCAGCGUAACUCCUCAUCCGUAACUCCGUUUUAGGCAUAUAGCAUAUCAAAAUGUUCGCCUCAGAGAGCACAUCAUUUCAUCUCAUUGCAUCAUUUUCAUUUGAGUUCAUCUUGAUGCCCUAAAUGCUGGUAGAAGAGUGCUACUUGAGAUAAUUGUCAGAUCUGCUGCUCCAUUUAGAGAUUUGUCAUUUUUGCCAUGAUUAAUGUGUGCAUCAUAUGCCCAUGAACUCUACAUAUGUUUUGUUAAGGGUUUUUCCAUCUUUCCAGAGGUGCAACCCAUGUAUUUUUGUGAUAUGUGUGGUGACUAGCACAAGCUUGCCAAGUGAGGCACUUGGUAAUGCUGAUUUCAGGGACUUAGCAAUUCCACUAAGUCCUUGAUCUGUUUAUCUCAUGUUGCCAUAUGUUCAUGUUGUUUCCUAGUGAUCCGUGCCUCUUUUGAGGAUGGUCAGUAAGGAUGUUUUGUUAAUCUUUUAGUGCUCUAUCCAUCCAUGCCUUUGUUUGCAAUUAUGGAAUACCUUAGCUUGAGUCAAUCGAGCUCUACUUUUGCUACUUCGUGAAUCUGGGCAGAUUGUCUACUUGUUAGUGAUUUUGCCGAUGAUGUUGUAGUUGAUCCGUGCAUGCUAUGUUUUUGUUCUUGCCAUGUAUAGCUUGCAUUUUGUGUAUUAUUGAUGGGUGUAUGAUUAUAUUAUCAUGACUUGCUCCGCAGUGAGUGCAUCAAGCUCGUAAACAUGCCUACUUGAAAUCUGUUUUCAGCAUGCUCCAGUUUUCACUAAGUCUGAGAACUGAUUAUGUUUUUGCCAUGUUCACAUGCUUGCAAUUGUAUUUUCUGAUCCCUUUUGGCUCAAGGUCACUAAGGGACUUUUGUUAAGACUUUUGAGUAGCUCCAUGCCAUGCUUUACUUUGCCAUGUUCGGGUCCUGUAGCAUGUAGUUUUGUUACUCCAAAGAGUGCUACCUGAUCUGAGAUUCCAGACAAGUGUUAAUUUCACUAAGUCUGAAAUCUGUUUACCAUAUGCAUUUUUGCCAUGCUUGUUUGAACCUGUUAAUGGAUGAUUUGGCCGUAGCUCAGUGUUAGACUUUUGUUAAUCAUCUUGAAUGCAUCCCUGCCAUGUAUUUUUAUGCCAUGUUUGAGUGCUGUAGCUUGUUCAUCUCAUUGCAUUUAGAUGGCUACUCGCUGUAAAUCGCAGAACAUGGUCAUAUUUGAAUUGCUUGCCAUUUCCAAAUCGUAACGCCGAUUCCGGCGUUCUUUAUAACGUUUUCAAGCGAUUUCAUCUCAUCUUUCCAGUGGCACACUUGGAUUUCCAAGUUGAGGCCAGGUUCCUGCAUCCCUUGUCAAAUCUUGCAUAUGCAUCCCGCAUCGCAUUCCGCAUAGCAUACCAUCCUUGCAUCCUAUUGUUUGAUCCUUGCACGUGGUUGAUUGUGUCCUUGUUGCUUGUUUGUCUUGUUUGGGUAGAUCCAGGAGACGAGUUCGCUAACGAGGAGCCCGUUGAGUUUGCUUUCGAGGAUCCAGUCAACUCUGACAACUUUGCAGGCAAGAUGAUCAUACCCUCAAAAUCACUACUAUCUUUGCUUUGCUAGAUGCUCGCUCUUCUGCUAUGCCAAUGCUACGAUGCCUACCACUUGCUUUCAAGCCUCCCAAAUUGCCAUGUCAAACCUCUAACCCACCAUGUCCUAGCAAACCGUUGAUUGGCUAUGUUACCGCUUUGCUCAGCCCCUCUUAUAGCGUUGCUAGUUGCAGGUGAAGAUUGGAGACCGUUCCUUGUUGGAACAUUUAUUUACUUGUUGGGAUAUCAUUAUAUUAUCUUGUUAUCUUAAUUCUUACACUUGGUAAAGGGUGGAAGGCUCGGCCUCUCGCCUAGUGUUUUGUUCCACUCUUGCCGCCCUAGUUUCCGUCAUAUCGGUGUUAUGUUCCCGGAUUUUCGCGUUCCUUAAGCGGUUGGGUUAUAAUGGGAACCCCUUGAUAGUUCGCCUUGAUUAAAGCUUUUCUAGCAAUGCCCAACCUUGGUUUUACCAUUUGCCACCUAGCCUCUUUUCCCCUUGGGUUUCUGGAGCCCGAGGGUCAUCUUAUUUUAGCCCCCCUGGGCCAGUGCUCCUCUGAGUGUUGGUCCAAACUAGAGUCCAGUGCAGCGCCCCCUCGGGGAAACUCGUGGUUUGGUUUUAGCUGUAUGGAGCGCUCAUCUGAGUGUGCCCUGAGAACGAGAUAUGUGCAACUCCUAUCGGGAUUUGUCGGCACAUUCGGACGGUGUUGCUGGAUUUGUUUUAACCUGUCGAAGUGUCUUGAAGAACCGAGAUACCAAGUCUGAUCGGAACGUCUUGGGAGGAGGUCUAUUCCUUCGUUGACCUUGAGAGCUUGUCAUGGGCUAAGUUGGGACUCCCCUGCAGGGAUUUGAACUUUCGAAAGUCGUGCCCGCGGUUAUGGGCAGAUGGGAAUUUGUUAAUGUCCGGUUGUAGAUAACUUGAACCUUAACUUAAUUAAAAUGAAGCAACCGUGUGAGUUACCGUGAUGGCCUCUUCUCGGCGGAGUCCGGGAAGUGGACACGGUGUUGGAGUAAUGUUUUGCGCAGGUUGUCCUUUAGUUAUGCGUUCGCGCUUUGCCUUCUCUUCUCGCUCUCUUUUGCGAACAGGAUAGCCACCAUAUAUGCUAGUCGCUUGCUGCAGCUCCACAUAUUUACCUUGCCUUACCUAUAAGCUUAAAUAGUCUUGAUCGCGAGGGUGCGAGAUUGCUAAGUCCCUGUCGCUCACAGAUUACUAUUAAACCAGAUGCAGGGCCUGUCGAUUCCGCUCCAGGUGACGCGCUUGAGCUCAAGUGGGAGUUCGACGAGGACUCUCAAUGUUACUAUGUUUCCUUUCCUGAUGAUCAGUAGUGAUGCCCUGUUGGGGGUGAUCGGGACCGUGUCGCAUGUUGGGUUAUCUUUUAUUUUGGCGCCGUAGUCGGGCCAUGAGUGUUUGGAUGAUGUAAUGUUAUUUAUGUACCUUGAUUGACAUGGCAAGUGUAAGCCAACUAUGUUACCUCCCCUUUUAUUAAUUAUAUUACAUGGGAUGUUUGUGAAGAUUGCCUAACUUGCGACAUAUGCCUUCAAUGCGAUUAUGCCUCUAAGUCAUGCCUCGACACAUGGGAGAUAUAGUCGCAUCGACGGUGUUACAUAAAAUUGGAGCUCUCAUUAGUUCCGGGUUUUAGAAUUUAUAUUUAUAAUAUGCAUAGUUUGUUUUCUACAUUUAAAUUGGGAUGUGACAUAUAUAUACAAAAUCAUGUCUUCUUCAUGAGACAUGCAUUGCACGUGCAUGCUUACUUAUGUAUACAAAAUCUUGUUCUACUACUUAUAAGUCAUAACUCGCUUUCAGGUUGUAUCUUCCUUUGUUUCACAACGGUUUAAACUUUGUGGCAUUGCUUCUUUUGUUGACAUUUAUUAGGUUGAUGUACUAUUCUCUUCUUUAUAUAUUUAUACAAGGAUUUCUCCUCCAUGUUCUCAGAAAAACGGAAACGAGUUUUAGCUGCAUUCGAGAACUGCAUUUUAAAGUAAACUUUCAACCAUUAUUUUUAACCAGAAAUUCAGUGAUAUCUAUGCAAACAAUUCUCAGUUUUUAAUAAUCUUGCAGGACAUCAGAGAACAGAUGACACAUUUGUCACAUCCCCAGUAAUGUGUCAAUCAUACUAAACCGUCGAUGGUUUCUAAUUUCCAAUAUUGAAAAAUUCUACUAUAUCUCAAGUAACAUGAGAGUAUUGAUUAACCCAUUUUCUGUUUCUAAGCUAUCUUUAUUUUUCUUAGUUAUUUUGGUGUUUUGUUAGGCACAGAAGAUGGUUUCAAAAUAGAGAGUUGUGGUUUUCAAGCUAUCUGUAAAGGUAAUUCAUAUAUACCAUAAGUUUAUUAACAUACUUACUUCAUAUGAACAUUAUUCUUUUACUUCGUUAAUAUAUGGGCCAAUAUGUUUGCACCAUACCCUCAGGGCCAUUACCUUGAGUUCCCAUUCUAGAUAAUUAAGCUCCAAGGCACUUGGUUAAUCCUAUUGGGACGCACUGGUACUUACUUUCUGAUGAAGUCAAAUCAGCUAUUUUAUUUUAUUUUAUUUUAUUUUAUUUUGGAAGCACCAACUUAAUCUCCUGACAACUGUAAAAAACAAAUUGCAAGUACAUUCGAUGCACAUUGCCACUAUACUAGAGGAAAACUGGGCAAAGGUAAAUGUUGCUGCUUCUUUUUGGCAAAAUAAUGACCAAAACUGUAUUGUCGUCAGUGAUCACAAUCACAAAGAGAUGCCACUCUGAACAUCUGAACAUCUAAGCAUCUAGAGAUGCCACGACGUGGUGGAACCCGAUGUCCAAGGGUGCAUAAUCAGUCUCCGGCUUGUGAGUUCGUCCUUGUUUCUCGCAUUGUUUUGUAAUCUGAUAAUGCUUAUGUUCUCAAUAUCUUCAAUGGCAAGACGAGAUUUUGGUGCCGCAUCUGGCACAUCUAUGAAGGCAUUAGCCAUCUGCAUACUUAGUUGCCUGAUUUUACUUUAAAUGGAGUUGUGUGUGUGAGGAAUAGAGUAAUUAAUUUAUACAUGAACUAAUAGCAUUGGUAAGAAGUUUAGGUGUUAACUUGGUGGGACUAUCUUGACGAUAAAGGGAGGGGACAAACUAUAGCCUUCCUUAUCCCCUUAGAGGGAGAGGUUUUGAUAGAACAAACCAUGUCUUCUUCACGAGACGUGCAUUGCACGUACAUGCUUACUAGUGCAUGGAAAUAAAUGAAGUUAGCUUUGAUACUAACUUAUGAUACUAUGCACUAUGGAUGUAGUAUCAUAUACUAGUAUCAUAUACAUGAUGCUAGUAUAUGAUACUCGCCAUUAUACGACCAACCUGAGAGCCCACUCCCCAUAAUUUUCCUCGUCAUCAUCUGAGUCCUAGAAGAUAUCACCCACAUCAUCAUUAGGUAUGCAGCUGCCGUGAUAGACAACGUGUGCAGAAGGAGUAGAGGCGACUGUCGGUGUCAAAACCAGCGGAUCUUGGGUAGGGGCUCCCGAACUGUGCGUCUAAGGUCGAUGGUAAUAGGAGACAAGGGACAUAAUGUUUACCUAGGUUCGGGCCCUCUCUAUGGAGGUAAUACCCUACUUCCUUCUUGAUUGAUCUUGAUGAAUAUGAGUAUUACAAGAGUUGAUCUACCACGAGAUCGUAAUGGCUAAACCCUAGGAGUCUAGCUUGUAUGACUAUGGUUGAAUGUAUAUAUAUCGAUUCGGACUAAGCCCUCUGGUUUAUAUAGACAACGGAGGGGACUAGGGUUGUGCCAAGUCAGUUACAGAGAGAGGAAUCUUCAUAUUUGGUCUCCAGGCUUGCCUUCCACGUCAAGGAGAGUCUCAUCCGGACACAGGAGAGAGUCUUCGGUCUUGUAUCUUCACAGCCAAUUAGUCCGGCCCAUGCCCAACAGGCAGGACGCCCGAGGAUUCCCUCAGUAGCCCCUGAACCAGGCUUCAAUGACGAAGUGUCUGGCGUGCAGAUUGUCUUCGGCACUGCAAGGCGGGUUCCCCUUUUCGAAUACUCCAAGAUAGUCUUCGGAUGAAACGAACAUGUCCAGAUCUGCAACACAAGUACCACACACACAGCCGUAUAGAGUAUAAUAUUUCACGAGUCCCAUCUGCUGCCAACUUUUUGCAAGAUGACAUCACGUCUGUCCGAUCAUUAUAUCAAACCGUUUUUGUCUGCCGUUCCAUGUUUUGAGACGCGGUUUCCAUUGGCACGUCUUGUCGAAGCAGAGAUUGUGUCCCCUUAUUGCGGGAUUCUCAUCAAUAUGGGUGUGGUUAAUCCAACUGUGUUGUUUGCACAACCCUUGGGAAUAGGUGAGUUUUAGGGCGAGUGGGGAGGCGUUCGAUAUUCACUGCCUUUAUAAGGGGAUAAGGACCCCCUUUCGUCUCCCACGCCUUCUCUCUUCCUCUGCCCUUCCAUCUUUGGGCUCCAGCGCCCAAGUUCUUUCAGACUUGGAUACCCACUGGCUACGUCGGCCGGUUCUAAAUCUCAUACCCAUGGCUUGGCACGACUCAAAGCUGUUACGGCACCGGCUCUCGCACAAGACCGUUUUAUCUCCUGGAUUCUUGUAGGAAGGAUUGACAAUUUUUUUUCAACACAUCGCUUAGGAGGUUGGGUCCUUGGUUGGUUGGUGAGAUAGUGGCUAAAGUGCGCUGAGCUCCAGUAUAUAGUUGUUCAACAAGAGUAUAAACAGCUUUGAGUUUCACAAGCACAUCUUGGUUAAAAUUGUUGCUCCUGGGACCUAAAAAAUCACAGAUUGGUUAAUGGAGGUUUAUAUUAUCAUGACAAGGAUUCACUUUUUGAUGACUAGAAAAGCAACUCACCAAAGAUAGCAGAAACCAUCUAAGAGACACUGUGUUUUAAACUAGAGAGUUCAGUGGUUACUUCUUGAAGAGCUGCCUCGGCUCUUUCAGCCCGCUGCGUUAAAGCAGUCUUCUCUUCAGCCCAAGUGUUUUUCUCCACCGCAAAACGAGUCUUCAGCUUUUCCGACUCAGCCAUGCUAAACUAGAACUUUGACUCAGCUUUCCGGGUCUCAGUUUCCCGAGUCGCCAGUCGGGUCUUUGCGUCAUUUAAUUGAGAUUCCAGUUCAGCAGUAGCAGCCUACAUGAAGCACAGACUUGUCAAACACAUUCAUGGCGGAUUACAACAAUAUAAGUCCCAAGUCCUUUGCACGCAACAAUACUUGGCACUUGGGGGCUAAUGUCUGUCAAAGCAAUUUUUUCAAGGAAACGGCUCUUAUGAAUAAAGUCCCAAGAACUUUGCAAGCAACACUACUUGGCACUUGGGGGCUAAUGCAUAUUGCUUGUAUCUCAUUAAUGAUGAGCCGGUUGUGCUGUAAAUAGUCUUAGUCGACUCAUGGGGGCUAUGCAGUUAAGCUCUACUUUCUUACACAAUGAUAAAUAGGACCGAGUCAUUCAUGCUGAAUAAACCGGCCCUUGGGGACUAUGGAUGCAAAGUUAAACUGCUGCAACAUCCGGUUUAAUUAUAAACCAGACUUGGAGGGAGUCUACGAUAGAAGCUUAUGGAUUCUUCUAAGUCUACAGCCUAUUCAAUCUUAUCAUAGCCAGUAGACUUGGGGGCUGGCAGGAUGUACAUAACUUAUUUAAAAACUGAAAGUCGUACCUCAUAUUUCUGGUGCAUCUGUUUCACCAUAUCAAUCUCAAGGUCGCGACUGGAAUGAACUUGGUUAAGAUAACCAGAGAAUACUUCAUUGACGGUCAGUUGAGAGUAGUCAGCAAUGUCAAAUUUCAUUUUUCGCCUCUCAAUGAACUCGUCUUUAGAGGAGUGUUUGGCCAAGACGGUUGGGCAUCCCGGUUCUCUGAAGCUGGUGCCAGUAAUGAUAACAUCUUCACCAUGUUAUUUUGGAAGCUUAAGUGGAUUGGAUGACUCAGUGAGCACAUGAUUGGCAUCCGUAUGAUCACGAGAGAGGUCAAGAAUCUCAGGCAGAGCGUUAGUGGCAGGUUCAUCUGGCUGUUUGUCAAAAGCUUCAGGUACAAGGACUUGCCGCUUCGGCUCAACAACUUCAGGUGCCUCAGUGGGCUUGGUCACCUUUGCCUUCUAGUUAGGCUUUGCUUGACCACUGAACAGGUUAUGACAAGUCAGUAUAAAUAUAAGAGUAUAAAUAGUUAGAGAGUAAAAUUAAUUGCUAUUACCCAGGGGCAGUUUUAAAAGCCGGCAACUCGGUUUGUGAUGAGUUGCCAGAGGAAGAACGGGCAAGUUCCUAGAUAAUAUUCAUCAACAGAGUUAAGUAAUAGGUAAAUAAGACCCGCCAGCGGGUUAAAGGAGUAAGUUAAAAGAACCUCAUUUUGCCAUUUUCGAGGAGUUGGAGUGUUCAGUAAACUGGAGGACAAUUCUUCACCUUCGAUGGUCCGGGUCUGACGUCGAUUCUUGUGUUGCUGUCGUUUCAAAAUAAAGUGAGGAUCUAAAUAAGCCAAGGGGUGUGAAAACAUUACUUUUCGGGUUACUUGCCGAAGUUUCUGUCUUGGCAAAGGUUCUGAGCCAGAGGAAAUCAUAGUUACCUCUUCUUCAACUGCGUGGCUGGCUCCCGUGUCAUCCUGAUAAUAGUCAAUGUCAAUAAGAUGAUUGAAACACAAGCCAAGAGAGUCAAGGGCUACCUCUGACUCAGAGGUGUCAUCCAGAUUAAGCAGAUCAGAGGCGCUUGGUUUCUUCUUUUUCUUGGUUGUCUUUUUGACAGUUUUCUUAGCGGCUUUCUUGGCAACCCUGGCCCUCUUGCCAUCUUCAUGAUCGUAUGUCUUCUUCCAAAAAUCAGACUUAGCCUGUAAAAGUCAUCAAAGGUUGAGUUAAAGUUUGAGUAAUGAGGUAAAGGUAAAUAAGUUCAGAGACUCACAUCCGGUGGCGGGUUAAGCUUGUAGAAAGGGGCCAGGCCCAUUUUAAUGCAAUCUUCUGGAUCUUCAUUCAGAAGGGACUUAACCGUUUCGUUUACCGCUUCAUUAGUUAAUGGUGCAGAGCUGUGGCGUAGUGGAUCCUUUACACCACCAGUGUAAGUGCACAUUAAGCCGGAGCGGCGACUCAAAGGUAUGAUCCGCCAAGAAAACCAGCACCUGACCAAGUCAACGACAGUUAAACCGUUUCCUAGCAGAGCUGUAACCUGUGAAAUGGUAGGAGCAAGUUUUGUCCGUUCAACGGUGGUAAGUUUCUCAGGAAGAUUGCGCUUUGAGUCCAAGCGCUUGACACGGUAACCCGGUAGUGGAUUCUCGUCAGCCGGAGAGGUAUCUUUGCAGUAAAACCACGUCUGAUUCCAAUCCUUUGGGUGACUCGGUAGGAGUGCAUAAGGGAAGAUGGCGUCUCUUCUGCGUUGAAUUGAGAUUCCACCAAGUUCCAAGCUGGGCCCGUUAGUGAACUUACUCUGACGGUUCAAAUAAAAAUAUUCUCUAAAGAAGUCGAUGCUGGGCUCCUCUUGAAGGUAUACUUCACAGAAGACUUGAAAGUUACGGAUAUUUGACACGGAGUUGGGUCCGAUGUCUUGAGGAUGGAGUUGGAAGAAGUGCAAAACAUCUCAGAAAAAUUUAGAGCCAGGUGGUGAGAAGCUCUGGUUCAUGUGAUCAGUGAAUACAAUGACUUCACCAUCCUUUGGCUGAGGUCUUUCCUUGCCCGGUACAGGGGCGCGGUAAUGCAUAACACUCUUUGUGGGCAAGUACCCGACUUUGACAAAGUCUCUGAAUGUGUCCUUAGUAACGAUGGAGGGGACCUGAGGGAGUCCUGGAUUAGGGGGUGUUCGGGUAGCCGGACUAUACCUUCAGCCGGACUCCUGGACUAUGAAGAUACAAGAUUGAAGACUUUGUCCCGUGUCCGGAUGGGACUUUCCUUGGCGUGGAAGGCAAGUUUGGCGAUGCGGAUAUUCAAGAUCUCCUACCAUUGUAACCGACUCUAUGUAACCCUAACCCUAUCCGGUGUCUAUAUAAACCGGAGGGUUGUAGUCCGUAGGCAAUCAACUCCAUAUACAACAAUCAUACCGUAGGCUAGCUUCUAGGGUUUAGCCUCCUUGAUCUCGUGGUAGAUCUACUCUUGUACUACCCAUAUCAUCAAUAUUAAUCAAGCAGGACGUAGGGCUUUACCUCCAUCAAGAGGGCCCGAACCUGGGUAAAACAUCAUGUUCCCUGCGUCCUGUUACCAUCCGGCCUAGACGCACAGUUCGGGACCCCCUACCCGAGAUCCGCCGGUUUUGACACCGACAUUGGUGCUUUCAUUGAGAGUUCCUCUGUGCCGUCACAAUCAGGAAGGAUGCCUCCUCCCGUCUUUAAAGACGGCGCCGUUGCUAAGGGAGCCUUGGCUGUCGGCCAAACCCUCCGGCUAGGUGGUUUCUUCAUGACCGCCUGUUCGGCUGUUGCGCCGACGGUGACCUCUCAGGUCAUCAAAAGCAACCUACAUGUCAGCUUGGAGCUCGUCGAGCAGCUAGAUCCAAUGGAGCUCUCUUCCGUAAACGAGCUCUUGGAUCGCAUCGCCGCCCUGGGGGUCGCUACGGAUUAUGACCAUGUUGGGCUUAAACCCGAUCUAAGAGAAAUUAACUCUCCCCAAGUCACCCACCACGUUGCCGUGGUAGAGGCGUAGUGCGGCGACCCUUCAUCUAUUUUAAGGACUAGCUACGUCCGAAUUCCCGACUCCUCCAAGCCGGAUACCCGUGGAGAGGAGGAUGUAACUCAAGACCUGAGCUUAGGAUCAGGCAACGGGCUAGAUUCGUUGGACAACAUCCAAGAAUCUGAACUUCAGAGUUUGGAAACUCUUCGGCCUCCGAAUCAUGGAUUGGGUGAGGUUUCAGAUUUAGCGACACUCGCCCACUCGAACAUAAGCGAUCUCUCCCAAAUCAGGCAGAGGCCCGAGGAAACAGUACAUCAUUAUUGGGCCCGAUUCCUCCUGGUUAUGAACAGGAUAAAGGAUUGCCGCGAGGGAGAUGCAAUCUCAAUUUUCUGCAGUAAUUGCACGGACGAGGGAAUCCUUAACGCCGUAAGUCAUCGUGAUAUUACACGCUUCGCUGACUUGGCGUCCAUAGUACAAAAAUACUGUGCGAUGGAAAGCGCCUGGAAAACCGAAAUAAAAUUUUGGGAUAAUCCGGCCUUGAAUAGUAAUCCCGUUUGAACUAAGAGGGUGCAUCAUCAUAGGACACCCGGGAUAAACACCAAAAAGCCAAAACCCUCUACAGGGCAUGGAACCAUACUGGAAAGGUGGCUUGAUGGACCCUGUAGAAUUCACACUACAGAGGACGCCACACCAACUCACAGCCUUAGAGCAUGUUGGAUACUCCGGCAGGUGGCCAAAAUUGGUGAGGACCUCUUAAUUCUAGAGGCCGCGGAAAGCCAGCCCGAGGACACCAAUACCAUUCUCACAGUCUUCGAGACUUUCACAUCAAACAAUAUGCGAAAAAGAACACUCCGCAGCCUCGCCGAAGUCUAUCAAGUUGCAACAAUAAAUCCAUGGAGCGACACUGCUAUUACCUUCAACGCAAGUGAUGAACCUAGAUUCCGAACAGCCCGAGCACCAGCCGCAUUGGUCCUCAGUCCCAUAGUGGACGGCUUUUGCCUCACCAAGGUGCUCAUGGAUGGAGGCAGCGGACUGAAUCUCCUUUAUGAGGAAACCCUUCAAAAAAUGGAAAUAGACUGGAACCGCAUCGAGCGAAGCAGCACAACUUUAGAGGAAUAAUCCCCAGUCGGGAAGCGCGCUGCACAGGAAAAAUCACACUAGAUGUGGUGUUUGGCACACCGGAUAAUUACAGGUCCGAAUCCUGGCGCCUGUGUGUCGACUUUAAAGACCUUAACAAGGCUUGCCCAAAGGAUCCCUUCCCCCUUCCCCGCAUCGAUCAAAUUAUCGAUGCCACCGCAGGACACGAUUUGUUGUGUUUCCUCGACGCAUACUCCGGUUACCAUCAAAUCAAGAUGGCAGAAUCAGAGAAAGCUGCAACAGCAUUCAUCACACCAUACGGCCCAUUCUGCUUGAACACAAUGCCCUUCGGGCUAAAAAACGCCGGCGCAACAUAUCAGCGCAUGAUCUAGACAUGUCUGGAAAACCAGAUCGGCAAAACAGUGGAGGCAUAUGUGGAUGAUGUGGUCGUCAAAUCAAGACAUGUCGAAUCCCUAGUAAACAACUUGAGGCUUACAUUCGAUAACCUCUGACAAUAUGACAUCAAGCUCAACCCAGAAAAAUGCGUCUUCGGCGUUCCGGCUGGAAAGCUCUUGGGCUUCAUUGUAUCCGGUAGAGGAAUUGAAGCAAACCCAGCCAAGAUCCGAGCUUUGUCACAAUUGGAUGUCCCAAAGGACCUUAAACAAAUACAAGAAUUAACCGGGCGCGUGGCAGCUUUAAGCCGCUUCAUCUCCCUCUUGGGAGAAAAGGCACUACCCCUUUAUCGCCUCCUUCGGUGCACCGAACACUUCGAGUGGAUGGAUGCCGCCACGGCCGAACUUGAUGAAAUAAAAGCCAUAUUGGCAACAAACCCAGUCCUGGCCGCGCCAAUCACCGGCGAACCAAUGUUAUUGUACAUUGCAGCAACACACCAAGUUGUUAGCGCAGUGCUCGUUGUCGAGCGGGAAACGGACGGACACAAAUUCCCCCUUCAAAGGCCGGUCUACUACGUGUCCACUGUCCUCACUCCAUGCAAAUCACGGUACCCGCAUUAUCAAAAGAUUGCAUACGCGGUAUUCAUGGCAUCCGGAAGCUACGACACUACUUUCAAGAGUGUUCCAUAAUAGUAGCGUCGGAAGUGCCACUAAAUGAUAUUAUCAACAACCGCGAUGCAACGGGCCGAAUUGCAAAAUGGGCCAUCGAGCUUCUCCCGUUCGAUAUAACCUAUAAGCCACGGCGAGCUAUUAAAUCGCAAGUUUUGGCCGACUUCGUCACAGAAUGGACGGAGGCUGAGCUCCCUAAAGAGUACGGCACAUAUUCAAACUGGAUUAUGCAUUUCGACGGCUCCAAAAUGUUGGCCGGACUGGGGGCUGGUGUCGUCCUGACGUCCCCCACAGGAGACACAGUCCAAUAUGUGCUCCAGAUCAUGUACACGGAUUCCAACAAUGUAGCCGAAUAUGAGGCCCUCCUACAUGGUCUCCGGAUAGCAGUAUCCAUGGGUAUCCAGCGCCUAGAGGUACGCGGGGAUUCAAACCUCGCGAUAUCCCAAAUAAAUGGAGACUUCGACGCCAAGGACCCAAAAAUGGUAGCUUACCGCAACGCCGUCCUAAAAAUGUCAGCUCGGUUCGAAGGGCUGGAGUUUCACCAUAUAGCCCGAGAAAACAAUCAAGCAGCGGACGUCCUGGCACGCAUCGGAGCAAAACGCGAUGCAGUCCCCCCAACAUCUUUUUGGAAAGAUUGUUCAAGCCAUCCGUAGCAUGGGAGGGGGAACCCACAAAUAACAGCCCAGACCCAGCCGCACCACUCGACGCCGAACAAUCUGACACAAUUGGAGGCUCUGCCAAUGAAAUUACACCUUCAGCCCACGUAAUAAUGGCGGUUAUCACCCUGUGGACAGAACCAUUCCUAGCCUACCUUACUAGGCAGGAACUCCCGGAGGACCAAAACGAGGCCCGCUGCAUAGUGCGGCGAUCUAAAGCCUAUAGAGUCCAUGAGGGAGAGCUUUAUAAGAAAAGCACUACCGGAGUCCUUCAAAGGUGCAUCUCCGAAGAGGAAGGGCGGAACCUUCUGGCUGAAAUUCAUGCUGAACUCGAUGGUCACCACGCCGCUGCUCGGUCCCUCGUUAGCAAGGCUUUUCGUACAGGCUUUUACUGGCCGACGGCCCGAGCAGACGCUCUGGACCUAGUCCAACGAUGCGCUGGUUGCCAACUUUUUGCCAACCAAAGCCAUAUGCCACCCACCGCACUCCAAACUAUACCCAUCACCUGGCCUUUUGCGGUCUGGGGGCUUGACAUGGUCGGACCCCUUAAAGGUGGAACCCAUAGGAAAAAUACUUACUGGUCAUGGUGGAUAAGUUCACCAAAUGGAUAGAAGCCAAGCCUGUUAAAACGGCCGAAUCCAGUCCUGUGAUAGACUUCGUAUCCGGGGUUGUACACCGUUAUGGCGUCCCCCACAGCAUCAUAACCGAUAACGGUACAAACUUUACCGCCGACGAGGUAAAACUCUGGUGCAAAAACAUGGGCAUCAAGCUCGAUUAUGCUUCCGUCUAUCACCCACAAAGCAACGGCCAGGUCGAACGCGCAAAUGGUCUUAUCAUGAGCGGCAUUAAACCCAGACUGGUGCGGUCCCUCAAGGAAUCUAACACGCACUAGGUAGAGGAGCUCGACUCCGUGCUAUGGGGGCUGCGGACCAUGCCAAAUCGCACCACCGGAUACACACCAUUUUUUAUGGUGUACGGCGCAGAGGCAGUUCUGCCCUGCGACAUAAUUCAUGACUCACAUAGAGUGCGCAUGUACGAAGAAAGAGAAGCCGAGCUCGAUCGGCUGGACAACUUGGACGCCUUGGAGGAGGAGCAUGAUGUGGCAAAAGCCCGUUCCGCAUUUUCUCAACAGCAGGCCCGAAGAUAUCAAAGCAGAGAAGUACGGGCCAAAAAUUACAAUGUUGGCGAACUAGUUCUACGCCUGCCGAAUAAGAAAAAGGACAAACUCAAGCCCAAGUGGGAAGGUCCAUUCAUAAUCGAUCAAGUCCUGACUGGUGGGGCGUACCGCCUGCGAGAUGCAUCGGAUAACUGACUCAAGCCGAACCCGUGGAACGCCACCCGUCUCCGAAGAUUCUAUGCCUAGCGCCGAACUCUGUGUUCGUCUCCUUCCUCUGUCCAUUUUUUGCCUUACAUUUCUCUCCUUCCCCUCUUUUCUUUUAUAGCCCUUAAGGGCUCAUCUAGUGACGCGCCACUCGUGCUCAUUAAACCUGGGGGCUUCUUUAAUAGAAGCUUAUUUAUACCGGCUUCACGCCCAACACAUGCAUCAAACUUCCGCAUGUACCUUUUUCUUCACCAUUAUAUGCAUUGAUAUGACUUAAGUUUUGGCCAAGCUGGGUUGCCUGGCUCCUGUGCUUACCCCUAUGUUCCCGAUUGUUCGGCUAGGCGGUAAAGGGAGCACCUCUACGAUUGUUACUGCCAGGUCAGCCGGAUGUGUACCUCAGACUGGGUGAAGCCGAAAGUUAGCGUUCUUAAGAGAAUAUUCGGUCGGUGAAAUAAAAGAUGAUCUUUUUACUCAUUUUAUGCGCCCCCAGAUGCUUUUUCUGCGUCUUUUCACGCAGUCCGAACAUGCACUUUAGGGCAUGCCUCCCAGCGAAAGGAACCCUUAACGGAACUAUUCUCUCUGGAAGAUGUUUCUUACUAACCAUGUAAUAUAACAUAACUAGUUGGGCACUUGUCUGAUAAAGCACUAAUGACCCCUAUGCCUGGUCUCCACGCAUACCCCGGUUCUUAUAUAACCGCUAUGGUAUUCGGACACACUCUGGACCGUCAGGUCCCGAGGUUGAAGCGAAAAGGUCGGCAACGACAAACGAUCUACAAUACGGCUAGAAGGCAUUACACAUGUCAAUUCAAAAUUACAUAGUCAUUCUGACUGAUUGUAUUCCUCUUCUAUACCAUCUAACAGGCUGUCUAAUUUACAGUCCUGCUGAGAAUACUUCGCGGCUAACUCUACUUGGCCGUAUACUAAGCUUAUAGGGAUCUCCUUCCCGUCAGGCCCCACUGGUCCGACCUCGGCCAUGUGGUUUGGGUCAGACUUCGUAAAACGGGUCUUCACCAUGGCCCAGGCCUCCCUAGCGCCUUGUCGGCAGGCCGAUAUCUUCCACAACCGGAAGCGCCGCCGAGCUCCCUUCAGCUUCUCCACAAGCUCUCCAAGGCCCUCGAGCAUGGAGUGGGCAGGCCAUAAGGCUUGGGUAACGCCUCGCAUCGCCUGCCGAAUUCGCUCGUGCAGUUGCAUGAGUUCGGGAAGAAGGUCACCCGUAGAACCGAGCAUCUCCUCUGCAGGACGACCUAUGAGCAUACCUACAGAUAUUACUCUGUUAGUCGACUUCCUCGCCGAACUCUUUUUUCAAAGUUCGUUCAAGCACUUACUAAAUAUGCCGUGUCGAAGCCACUGAUUCUCCUUCGUGGAGUUCGACAGCUGGCCACGAACAUCUUUAAGUUCGACGUCCAGCCUGGUGUUGGCAUCCUGAAGAUCAUUCUUCUCUCGCCUCACCUUUGUCAACGUACUCUCACCGGCCUUUAGCCGGCGUAAGAGUUGUUGCUUUUCCGGAUCGAGUCCGGCGCCAUCUGCAACAUGAUUUGUCAGAUUUGCACCCACUGCACAAUACUAAUCUUUCGAAGUGUAUCUUACCUGAGGGGGUCUCUUUGGGCUCCCCUGCUGCGGCUAGUGCGGCCUCUAGUUGGGCCUUGCACUUUUCCAGCUCCUGGGAUAGUACAGUAUUCUUCUCUGUAAGAACCUGCAUAUUAAAUGAUCCUUAAAUCAGUUGCUCUAACUGUUUCAAGUCUCGGGGGCUACUGGUAUAUAUAUAUUUGACCAAAAUUUUCUUACCCAUAUGUCUUUUACAUACUGCUCCGUGGCUCUGGCUAAACCAUUUUGAGCGGCACGGAGGUACGCAUCUCCCGAAUUAAAGGCAUCUAAAGCCUCUUGGGAGAAACAAGCGUCGCGUAGAACUGUCCGACGACGCAUGUGGUUCAUGGCACUCUCCACUUCAGAAUUUGUGGCAGACAGCCUGUCCGCAUCCUCUAUCGGAGGAGCGUCCGGUGCGCGCCUUGUGCUCACCUCUGCUUCCUGGCCAGACGUUGGAGCCUGGCUGGUGGAGGCGCGAUUGGCAACCUCUCCGGAUGUAGUCCGGCGAGGUCUCUUCAUUCUGAAGAUAGCACGAACGUUAAUAUGCCCUGACAGAAUAACACCAGGGAAAUAGAGGGUGCGCUAUACCUUUGCGCCGGCAUCUCAGUCCGGACUACAUUCCUUUUUGCCCCACGGGGCCCUGCGGCCCCUCGUUGGCUAGCCGCCGCAGGUUCGGCCUCCUGCCUCGGAAAUCUCCCCUGCAAAACACGGUUGUCGUCAGAAACACCGGAAUACGUGAGAGUGGAAUCUCUCUCAAGGGAAUGAGACUCCAGUUUCUGUCACCUGGGAGGCCGGGAUUAACCCUGGGUAAUUAGCCGUGAUGGCUACCAAGGUAUUGUCCUUGCUUAGCUAAUGGAACACCCCGUCGAUAAGCUCCACCGAUAUGUCCGGAUCCUCUUCGGAGUCCGGAUCGAGGGACCGUUCUGGCUCCUCGGGCUGUGGAGGGCGGCUGUUUAUAUCCUUUACCACCUGUCGCAGUUCCUGCAUUGAAGUCGUUAGACUACAUAUCUUACCGUGGGAGUAUAAAACAAACGGGCAAGCGGAGUUGUUCACUUACCCAACUUGGAGGAUCGUACAUAGUAAAUCCGGCUUGCGGGUUGACGCAGAGGAAUUCCUCCUUUUCUCCCUUGUACAAAGAGGAUAAGAUCUUUACUAGAGCGGUAGCUAAGGCCGGCCCCUUACGACCGUAACGGGUGGCGUCAUCCUCCCCGUUGAAAUCCCACAUGGGGUGGCCUCUAUAUUGAAGUGGUUGCACCCCCCGCAUAAUGCAUACGGCCAUGACUCCAAUCAUGGUUAGUCCGGAAUGAGCCAACAGUCUUAUCCGGCCCAUCAGGUAAAGGACGUCUCUGUCGCUUUCUCUCUGAGAGCUUCGCGGACGCCAGCUCAAGCGUUUCUUCAAUGGAGCACUGUUGAACUCAGGGAGACCGACCCGGAUAGGGUCCGGUAGUGGGACGUCAUCUAUGUAAAACCAUUCCGAAGACCAGUCCUCGGACGCCUUCUUUGGGGUUCCAGAUAGGUAUCCGGUCCCGGCGAUGCGCCAUACUUCGGCUCCGCCCACUUGGUAUAUAGACCCCUCUCGAGAACGGGGCACCAGGCAGAAUAACCUCUUGCACAGCGCGAAAUGAGCCUCAACGCCUAAAAAUAGCUUGCAAAGGGCGACGAAACCCGCAAUAUGUAAUACGGAGGCGGGCGUGAGAUUGUGCAGCUGGAGGCCGUAGAACACCAGAAGCUCGCGGAGAAAUGGAUGAAUUGGAAACCCCAGUCCCCUUAUUAGAUAGGGGACGAGGCACACCCGCUCUCCUUUAGAAGGAUUGGGGGUGCUCUCGGCUUGUUUUCCGCCAUUGUAGGUGGCAAGACCGGCUCGGACCGGGACCAUGUAUGCCUGAGGGAGAAAUCCCUUGGCCUGAAGCGACACUAACUCACUAUGCGGGAUGGUGCAACUCUCCCAGUCCCCGGGUUUGGGACCGGAGGGGCGAGGGGAGGAGCUGCGACGGCUGGUCAUGUUGGAAUGUACCUUUGCUGGAAGCGCUCUGAUGAUAACUCGCGGAGAGGAGAGGAUGUGGUUUUGACCUAAAUCCCCAUCCAGUUAAAUAGGCGGCUCAUUUAUACGGCUAGGGAUGUAAAAAUGCCCUGGCUUUUCGCAUUCGUUUGACACGUGGAAGACGGCCAUUAUUGGGUGUGGGAGCCGAGGAGCGCUACAUUACAAAAAUCGGACAUUAUUCCUACAGGUACACAGGAUUUGGAGAAGAACCCGCCUUGCAAUGCCGAACAAUCUGCGCGUCGGACUCGUCAUCAUUGAAGCCUGGUUCGAGGGCUACUGAGGGAGUCCUGGAUUAGGGGGUGUUCGGGUAGCCGGACUAUACCUUCAGCCGGACUCCUGGACUAUGAAGAUACAAGAUUGAAGACUUCGUCCCAUGUCCGGAUGGGACUUUCCUUGGCGUGGAAGGCAAGUUUGGCGAUGCGGAUAUUCAAGAUCUCCUACCAUUGUAACCGACUCUAUGUAACCCUAACCCUAUCCAGAGUCUAUAUAAACCGGAGGGUUGUAGUCCGUAGGCAAUCAACUCCAUAUACAACAAUCAUACCGUAGGCUAGCUUCUAGGGUUUAGCCUCCUUGAUCUCGUGGUAGAUCUACUCUUGUACUACCCAUAUCAUCAAUAUUAAUCAAGCAGGACGUAGGGUUUUACCUCCAUCAAGAGGGCCCGAACCUGGGUAAAACAUCGUGUUCCCUGCCUCCUGUUACCAUCCGGCCUAGACGCACAGUUCGGGACCCCCUACCCGAGAUCCGCCAGUUUUGACACCGACAUGACCCAAUUGCAUGUAUAGACUGUCUUUGGCGGCAUUGUGAAAGAAAGAAAACCUGAAGGAAGGGAAUAAUUGCCGGUUCGAGUCAGUUGGUGAAAUCACAAGUUAACAGUUGCAGUAUACAUUCAUAACGACGGCUUAAGUGAGGACUAAUAAUAUAUGAUUAAUUGUAAACCGGAUAUGUAAGCUGCCAUGACACGUACUGAUAUUCAAGAUCUGACAAGAGCAAAAUUUUACGAAGUGUUGGGACAAACAAGUUUCGCAGAUUAAGGUUAUAAGAUUGGAUCUGCAGUUAUUCAGAAAAAAUGGAAUAAAAUCUAAACCUAAAUGUGGCGAAAGCAGAAGAGCGAGGAUGUUCAGAUGAGACCUGUUAUAAGAAAGAUAUGGUCUGAUAUCAAAAUAAGUGCUAAAACUGUUACCACGCAAGAUUUAUGCCACUUUCAGAUCAAAACUGUGUGAUCUGGGUUGGAGAAAGGGAAGAACAGUGAUGAACACCAACGAACAGAGAAACCCUAAUGACAGAUCUAUUGCGAGGAAAGGGAAGACUUACUGAUGCUGGUGAGACAGCAGAGAGACGCCACGGUGUUCUGGUCAGUUUAGGGUGAUGCAGCGGCCGGAGCUGAUGUAGAGGACGAAGUUCGACGACGGCGGAGCUCGGGUGCACUGAGAUGUUGCGAGGAGGAAGAAGAAGGAGAGAAGGCAAAGGGGGAGAAUGGGAAGUGAGCCCAUGGCCCUAUUUAUAAGGCCGGAAGGAUAAGUGGCAUACGCGGGAAUCGAGGAGACAAAAAAGUGGAUAUGUGACAGCGUGAGCGCCUCGAUUUUCGGAAGGGUCAGUUAAGAAAAAAGAUUUAUUUGGGUCGUGCGUCGUAUUAAUUACAUGUGACGUCACGGCGGGUUAUCGCAAUUUCCGGAGAUGAUGUCAUGGCGGGUUACAACAUGUCACAGGAAAUUGAAGAAGGAUUUUUCCUAAAUGUUGACGAUUGACAUGAACAAGUUCAAACCAACAUGGGGCCUAAUGUUGGGGAUAUGACUAUCAUAUAUGACCCGCCCAGGAGGGGCCGGGUCAUCCAUUAUGGCGGUUCAUCUAAAUGAAGCCGAAGAAUAUACUAAGGAUGGCAGUUCAUAGUUAGGCUUGCUAAAAGGCCGAAGUCCGGAGGUGGAUCAAGGCACGUAAGUGUAAACUGCCAUGUAUAUGUAAAAUUGUAUUGUAAGGCAUGUAAGAUAAGUCACCGAGCCGGACACGUUUGUAUGAGCCAGCCGGGACUCUGUAGGCCGCAGGGCGUCAACCUAUGUAUAUAAGGGGACGACCCGGCAGCAGCUUAUGGCAAGAAACCACAAAUCGAAAGCCAGACAAAGUGUGUUUGCUCCCUGGUAAUCAAAACCCUAGCAAUACCACCUCAAACUGGAGUAGGACUUUACCUUCACCGCAAGGGGCCGAACCAGUAUAAACUCUUCGUGUCCUUUGUCCCGUUUAACCCCUUUAAGCUAACCUUGUUGCAAUGGCUCCACAACUAAGUCCUUCUAUAAGGACAUCUGUCGUGACACUUCCAGGACCAUGUUGAUCUAACUGUCUUGUUUGCAAACAGAGAAUUCCUAGAGCAACGAGGGAGUCGUUCAACAAUCUGGGUGACCGUGGCCAAGUUUCUCUUACCAUGCGCAGCCUUGGUGUGAAUGAACCUGCUCAAUAUACCGUAAGUACAAAGGAUGGUCGCAUGAUGAUUGAUGCUAAAGGUUGGUUAAGGUUCAAAUCUAAAUCAUAUCUCGCGGUAGGGGAUGAUGUCAAAAUCGAACUUUCUCGGCAAGGAGAGCUGGUUCAAAUCAACUUUGAAAUUCUUCAGUAGCAGCAUGCAACUGCCGAACUGAUCUAUCCUCCGAGAGAUUUUGAUGUAAUACUCUGGCAUGGCGAAACAAGUGUCCUAUGUGUAUAAGUAGUACGACAGUAUCGUUGAUAGAAUUGCAACUCUGAUUGCUUGGUAGGAACUGUCAUUUGAUUUCAUUCCAACAGCUGCCGUGCUUUAUUCAAUUUUGUGUAUUCGCCUUGCGACAACAUCUAAAACUAGCGAUGUAUUGACUGCAUUCAAUAUGAAAAGUGCUGAGGUAGAACACAUGGGCCCCCAAACAUGCAGGCCCACCGGCCUGUGUCCCAAAGUCCAAAACAGUGAGCAUGUCUGAGUAUUUCUCAGCUGAACCCCGAUAAUGCCCGUGCGUUGCACGUAACAUCAAGAUGCAUUUGUGUGAGUACUUUAUCUUGUGAGAGAAAAGGAUGAACGAGGGAAGGCCUUAUUUGAAAAUGUGGAGAGGUGUGUGGGUACCUUUUUUCAAAAUUAUCGUAGUUUCCUUCCUAUCCGUCAGAUAUAAAUCGCACGGCCUAUAUUGCAGGAUGGCAGGCACACCAUCAUCACCAACUCAUCUAUAUCGUGUUAAAACACACUCUGUUUUUUAUAAUUAUAUAUGUUAUAUAUAUUCCCCUUGAUUUUUCUGAUGUAUAAAGUUGUGAUAUAAAAGAUAUUUAUAUUUCUUUACAGAGGGAGUAUCUCUCUGUCAAAAAUAUAUGGGAUAAUUAGAUUUAUGCCCCUAGUUGUGUCCCACUCGUCUGUUUUACCCCUAAUUCCCAAAAGUCACCGGUUCUGUCCAAGUCACGUUGCUCCUCUUAUGCUUUUGCCCUUUGACCGUUUGACCGUCAGUUUGAAAACUUCAUAACUAAUUCAUACUAAAUCGGAAAAAUGCAAAUAAGAUACCAAAAUGUUUAGAAAAACAUCACCUAUAUGUCAGUGUGAUUUGCUUUCAUGAAAAAAGUGUUGGAAAGUGCACAUCCAACUUUUAGCUCUUUUGAUACCAUCAUGAAUAGUGAACUCUAAAAAAAUCCAAAAAAAUCAAAAAAAUAUGGUGGCGAAGAACAACAAAUGUUCUAAGUGCUUUCCAAGUUUCAUUAGGGAACGCCAUUCGUGGAAGUCGUGGCAAAAAAAUAAUCUAUUUUGGAGUGUUGAUUGUUUUUUUGCCGCGGCACCCACGAAUGUUAUUCCUUGAUGAAACUUGGCAGGCACUUAAAACAUUUGUCAUUCUUUGCCACCAAUUUUUUUUUUGAAUUUUUUUAGAUUUUACUAUUCAUGGUGCUAGCAUAAGAGCUAAAACUCGGAUGGGCACUUUCCAACACUUUUUUAUGUGUAACUAGUUACUCAUGUCUUUCUACUUCCUUUCGCUGAUAUGUGGGGCAUCUGACAACAGGGUCCACGUGCCAUAUGCACCAAAUUAGGGUGCACAACUGCACGGUAGACACACCUCGGUUGUAGCGCCGCAUUAAUGCCCAAUGAGCCGUCAAAUCACAAAAAAAACCCACCUUUCCAGCUUUAGCAGUAAGCUGGACGGACGAAGCGGCAAUAUUUCACCGGGCCUAAAUCCCCUUCUCCCUUGUCUGCUUGUUAAGAGAAAACCCCCGCUCGGCGAUUGCAUAGGGUUUUCUCAUGCAGAACCUGGUACGUAUUCUUCAUCCAUCCCCGAUAAAUCCAAGUCUCUUGGUCGCGGGUACUCCUAGGAUGGCAGCCGCCGCCGUUGAUGCAUUUUUCUUCCUACUGGAUCUAGUGUGUUUCAUUUGCAGUGCCCCGAUAACCCACAAGUAUAGGGGAUCGCAAUAGUUUUUGAUAAGUAAGAGUGUCGAAACCAACGAGGAGCUAAAGGUAGAAUAAAUAUUCCGUCAAGUUCUAUCUACCACCGAUACAACUCUACGCACGCUUGACGUUCGCUUUACCUAGAACAAGUAUGAAACUAGAAGUACUUUAUAGGUGUUGUUGGAUAGGUUUGCAAGAAAGUAAAGAGCAUGAAAAUAAAACUAGGGGCUGUUAAGGUAAAGAAGCAACCAAAGUAAAUAUAGCGAGUGUGGAAAAGUGGUGGUAGGAGUUGCGAAAUUGUCCCUAAGAAAUUAACUACUUUACUAGACCGAUAGCAAGUAUUAUGUGGGAGAGGCCACUGCUAGCAUGUCAUCCCUUACUUGAAAUUCUAUGCACUUAUGAUUGGAACUGUUAGCAAGCAUCCGCAACUACUAAUGUUCAUUAAGGUAAAACCCAACCAUAGCAUUAAGAUAUAUUGGUCCCCCUUCAAUCAUGUAUGCAUCAAUUUCUAUGCUAGGUUGAAGCUUUUGUCACUCAUUCCCUCCAAUACAUAGUCCUAUCAACAUACAACUAACCCUAUGGUGUGAUCCAUGUGCGCGCUCAUAUGAUGGGCACCAAAGGACAGCAACAUAACCACAAGCAAAUUAAAUCAAUCAUAGCAAUUCAUCAACCACCGAUAGGACAACGAAAAUCUACUCAGACAUCAUAGGAUGGCAACACAUCAUUGGAUAAUAAUAUGAAGCAUAAAGCACCAUGUUCAAGUAGAGGGUACAGCGGGUUGCGGGAGAGUGGACCGUUGUAGAUAGAGGGGGGGAGGUGAUGGAGAUGUUGGUGAAGAUGGCGGAGGUGUUGGUGUAGAUCACGGUGAUGAUGAUGGCCCCCGGUGGCACUCCGGUGCCACCGGAAGCGAGGGGGAGAGAGCCCCCCCUCCUUGUUCUUCUUCCUUGACCUCCUCCCUAGAUGGCAGAAGGGUUUCCCCUCAGGUCCAUGGCCUCCAUGGCACGGGAGGGGCGAGAGCCCCUCUGAGAUUGGAUCUGUCUCUCUGUCUCUCUCUGUUUCUGCGUUCUUCGAUUCUUCCCUUUCACCGUUUCUUAUAUUCCCGGAGAUCCGUAACUCCGAUUGAGCUGAAAUUUUAACAUGAUCUCUAUCCGGAUAUUAGUUUCCUUGCAGCGAAAGAAGGGCACCAACCGCCUUACGAGGUGGCCAUGAGGGUCAGGGGUGCGCCUGACACCCUAGGGCGCGCCCCCUACCUCGUGGGCCCCUCAAGCAUCGUCUCUCGUGGAUUCUGCUUCCCAAAAAUCAUAUAUAUUCCAAAAAAAUCUCCGUCAGUUUUUAUUCCGUUUGGACUCCGUUUGAUAUGGAUAUUCUGCGAAACAAAAAACAUGCAACAAACAGGAACUGACACUGGGCACUGGAUCAAUAUGUUAGUCCCAAAAAUAGUAUAAAAAGUUGCCAAAAGUAUAUGAAAGUUGAAUAAUAUUGGCAUGGAACAAUCAAAAAUUAUAGAUACGAUGGAGACGUAUCAGUAUCCCCAAGCUUAAUUCUUGCUCAUCCUCGAGUAGGUAAAUGAUAAAAAAGAUAAUUUUUGAUGUGGAAUGCUACCUAGCAUAAUCUUGAUCAUAUGUCUAAUCAUGGCAUGAAUAUUAAGAUACGAGUGAUUCAAAGCAAUAGUCUAUCAUUUGACAUAAAAACAAUAAUACUUCAAGCCCACUAAUAAAGCAAUCAUGUCUUUUCAAAAUAACAAGGCCAAAGAAAGUUAUCCCUAUAAAAUCAUAUAGUUUGGCAAUGCUCCAUCUUCACCACGCAAAAUAUUCACAUCAUGCACAACCCCGAUGACAAGCCAAGCAAUUGUUUCAUACUUUUCAUGUUCCCAAACCUUUUCAACUUUCACGCAAUACAUGAGCGUGAGCCAUGGACAUAGCACUAUAGGUGGAAUAGGGUGAUGGUUGUGGAGAAGACAAAAAGGAGAAGAUAGUCUCACAUCAACUAGGCGUAUCAACGGGCUAUGGAGAUGCCCAUCAAUAGAUAUCAAUGUGAGUGAGUAGGGAUUGCCAUGCAACGGAUGCACUAGAGCUAUAAGUAUAUGAAAGCUCAAACUGAAACUAAGUGGGUGUGCAUCCAACUUGCUUGCUCAUGAAGACCUAGGGAAUUUGAGGAAGCCCAUCAUCGGAAUAUACAAGCCAAGUUCUAUAAUGAAAAUUCCCACUAGUAUAUGAAAGUGAUAACUCAAGAGACUCUCUAUAUUAAGAACAUGGUGCUACUUUGAAGCACAAGUGUGGUAAAAGGAUAGUAACAUUGCCCCUUCUCUCUUUUUCUCUCAUUUUUUAUUUUUUUUAUUUUUUUGGUGGGCUUCUUUGGCCUCUUUUUUUAUUUGGGCUUCUUUGGCCUCUUUUAUUUAUUUUUAAUGUCCGGAGUCUCAUCCCGACUUGUGGGGGAAUCAUAGUCUCCAUCAUCCUUUCCUCACUGGGGCAAUGCUCUAAUAAUGAUGAUCAUCACACUUUUAUUUACUUCCAACUCAAUAUUACAACUCAAUAUCUAGAACAAAGAUAUGACUCUAUAUAUGAUUGCCUCCGGCGGUGUACCGGGAUGUGCAAUGAUCUAGCAUAGCAAUGACAUCAAAAAACGGACAAGCCAUGAAAACAUCAUGCUAGCUAUCUUACGAUCAUGCAAAGCAAUAUGACAAUAAAUGCUCAAGUCAUGUAUAUGAUGAUGAUGGAAGUUGCAUGGCAAUAUAUCUCGGAAUGGCUAUGGAAAUGCCAUGAUAGGUAGGUAUGGUGUCUGUUUUGAGGAAGGUAUAUGGUGGGUUUAUGGUACCGGCGAAAGGUGCGCGGUACUAGAGAGGCUAGCAAUGGUGGAAGGGUGAGAGUGCGUAUAAUCCAUGGACUCAACAUUAGUCAUAAAGAACUCACAUACUUAUUGCAAAAGUCUAUUAGCUAUCGAAACAAAGUACUACGCGCAUGCUCCUAGGGGGAUAGAUUGGUAGGAAAAGACCAUCGCUCGUCCCCGACCGCCACUCAUAAGGAAGACAAUCAAUAAAUAAAUCAUGCUCCGACUUCGUUACAUAAUUGUUCACCAUAUGUGCAUGCUACGGGAAUCACAAACCUCAACACAAGUAUUUAUACAAUCCACAACUACCCACUAGCAUGACUCUAAUAUCACCAUCUUUAUAUCGCAAAACUAUUGCAAGGAAUCAAACAUAUCAUAUUCAGUGAUGUACCAGUUUUAUGUAGGAUUUUAUGACUAACCAUGUGAAUGACCAGUUCCUGUCAUCUCUCUAAAUAGAUAUAAGUGAAGCAAGAGAGUUUAAUUAUUUCUACAAAAGAUAUGCUCAUGCUCUAACAAAUAUAAGUGAAGAAAAAGAGCAUUCUACAAAUGGUGGUUGUCUAAGUAAAGAGAAACAGGCAAUCCAAACUUCAAAUGAUAUAAGUGAAGCACAUGAAGCAUUCUAUAAAGCCAUACUCAAAAAAUAUAAGUGAAGUGCAAAGAGCAUUCUAUAAAUCAACCAAGGACUAUCUCAUACCAGCAUGGUGCAUAAAAAGAAAAACAAAAACCUAAAUGCAAAAGACGCUCCAAGACUUGCACAUAUCGCACAAACGAAACGAAUCCAAAAACAUACCGAUAUUUGUUGAAGAAAGAGGGGAUGCCUCCCCAGCAUCCCCAAGCUUAGACGCUUGAGUCUCCAUGAAUAUUUACUUGGGGUGCCUCGGGCAUCCCCAAGCUUGAUCUCUUGCCUCUCUUCCUUCUUCUCACAUCGAGACCUUCUCAAUCAUCGAACACUUCAUCCACACAAAACUUCAACAAAAAACUCGGUAAGAUCCGUUAGUAUAAUAAAGCAAAUCACUACUCUAGGUACUGUUGCAAACCAAUUCAUAUUUUUUUUCCAUUGUGUCUACUGUAAUAUAACUUUUCCAUGGCUUAAUCCACUGAUAUAAAUUGAUAGUUUCAUCAAAACAAGCAAACUAUGCAUCAAAAACAGAAUCUGUCUAAAACAGAACAGUCUGUAAUAAUCGGAACAUUCACCAUACUUCUGAUCCUUGAAAGAUUCUACAAAAAUUGGGAAAAAUAAAAAAUUUGUAUAGGAAUACAGUGCAAAAAGAAUGAGAACCAUUUGACAUUCCAGCUAAAAAUGUAAAAUCGCGCACUACAACAAAAGUUUCUGUCCUGCACCGUACAAACCAUCAAGCAAAUGUAAACAUCCUAAAGGCAAACCUUGGCACAUUAUUUAUAAAUUUAAACUUUAUAAAAGCACACAACAGAAUAAAUGACUCUCUAAAACUUCUGGGUUGUCUCCCUGGCAGCGCUUUCUUUAAAGCCAUUAAGCUAGGCAUAUAGUGCUCGAGUAAUGGAUCCACCCGGAUCCCAAGGUAUAUCAAAGCCAAUUUUAAUUAACAAUGAUUUGUAAUUUAGUGGUGAGCACAAGGUAACAUAUAUCAUGUAAUGACGAAGCCUAACUCUCUUCCUAUGCAUCGGCAUGUCAUAAAAGAACAAUUCAUGCACACAUAGUAAAGGCCAAUGCAUAUUAUAAACAGUUUCUUGCAAUUCUAUCAUAUUGGAAACAUAGAGAGGUGGAGAUAUAGUUCCUCUCUCAUAAUAAUUGCAAGUAGGAGCAGCAAGCACAUGCAUAUUAUAUUCAUCAAAAUCAUCAUGUGCAAUGGUAAAAGGCAACCCAUCAAUAUAAUCCUUAAUAAGUGCAAACUUCUCCGAUAUAGUGUAGUCGGGAGAAUUCAAAAAGAUAAUAGGACUAUCAUGCGUGGGUGCAAUAGCAACAAUUUCAUGUUUAACAUAAGAAACUAUAGUAAGUUCAUCUCCAUAAGCAUAAUUCAUAUUGGCAUCUUGGCCACAAGCAUAGAAAGCAUCACCAAAAAGGGAUAUUUCAAAAGAAUCAACGGGAUCAUAACAAUCAUCAUAGCAAUCAUCCUCCGGUAAGCACAAAGGGAAAUUAAACAAUGUAUGAGUUGAAGAGUUACUUUCAUUAGAAGGUGGGCACGGGUGAUCAAUCCGCUCUUCCUCCUUUUGUUCUUCGCUCUCUUCCUCAUCUUUUUCAUCCAAUGAGCUCACAGUUUCAUCAAUUUCUUGUUCCAUAGACUCCUACAAAAAUAUUAGUCUCUUCUUGGACAAAGGAGACUUUCUUAAUAAGCGCAUUAAUUUCAUAAUUGUAUUCAUAAUUCUCAUAACAAUACUUCAAGAUAGCUAAAUUUUCAGAUCUAUAAACAGCAUCAUCAAAAUCUUCAAACUCUUUAAACAUAGAUUCAAUUUCAUAAGCACCCUUAAAAGCAACAAAUUCUUCUAUUUGUUCCACAUCAUAGUAAUCAUAUAUACCAUUAGCAUAAGAAGCUAAGGUCUCAUUAUCAUUAAAUUCACAUGAAAAGGGAAGGUGUGGAGCCUCCACCUUAGAGCAACAAGUAUAAUCAUAUCUCAAGCAUAGUUGCCUAGCAUACCAAUUCAAUAUAUGAAUUUGAUCCCAUAAUAGUUUCCUUUUUUGUGUCAAGCUAUAAUCCCUAAAGUAUUCACGUUGAUCCAACGCUACUCCCAUUACAUAAGUGAAUGGGGUUUUCUUAGGAUUAUUAAGUAGUACAUAAUAUCUUUCACAUAACCAGCAUUGAGGGUUUUAGGAGGUUCCCCAUCUCCAUGAGUAGAAAGUACACCUAAUUUUUUUGGUAUUUCGUGUUCCAUAUCCAUAACUAAAGAUAGAGAACAAAUAAGAACAACAAAUAAAAAUUACUUAGUGAUAAAGCAAACAAGCACACACGAGAAUAUUCACCCCAUGCUAUUGCUCCCCGGCAACGGCGCCAUAAAAAGGUCUUGAUAACCCACAAGUAUAGGGGAUCGCAACAGUUUUCGAUAAGUAAUAGUGUCGAACCCAAUGAGGAGCUAAAGGUAGAACAAAUAUUCCCUCAAGUUCUAUCGACCACUGAUACAACUCUAUGCACGCUUGACGUUCGCUUUACCUAGAACAAGUAUGAAACUAGAAGUACUUUAUAGGUGUUGUUGGAUAGUUUUGCAAGAAAGUAAAGAGCACGAAAAUAAAACUAGGGGCUGUUAAGGUAAAGAAGCAACUAAAGUAAAUAUAGCGAGUGUGGAAAAGUGGUGGUAGGAGUUGCGAAAUUGUCCCUAAGCAAUUGACUAUGUUACUAGACCGAUAGCAAGUAUUAUGUGGGAGAGCCCACUGCUAGCAUGUCAUCCCUUACUUGGAAUUCUACGCACUUAUGAUUGGAACUGUUAGCAAGCAUCCGCAACUACUAAUGUUCAUUAAGGUGAAACCCAACCAUAGCAUUAAGAUAUAUUGGCCCCCCUUCAAUCCCGUAUGCAUCAAUUUCUAUGCUAGGUUGAAGCUUCUGUCACUCUUUCCCUCCAAUACAUAGUCCUAUCAACAUACAACUAACCCUAUGGUGUGAUCCAUGCGCGCGCUCAUAUGAUGGGCACCAAAGGACAGCAACAUAACCACAAGCAAAUUAAAUCAAUCAUAGCAAUUCAUCAACCACCGAUAGGACAACGAAAAUCUACUCAGACAUCAUAGGAUGGCAACACAUCAUUGGAUAAUAAUAUGAAGCAUAAAGCACCAUGUUCAAGUAGAGGGUACAGCGGGUCGCGGGAGAGUGGACCGCUGUAGAUAGAGGGGGGAAGGUGAUGGAGAUGUUGGUGAAGAUGGAAGAGGUGUUGGUGUAGAUCGCGGUGAUGAUGAUGGCCCCCGGUGGCACUCCGGUGCCACCGGAAGCGAGGGGGAGAGAGCCCCCUCCUUCUUCUUCUUCCUUGACCUUCUCCCUAGAUGGGAGAAGGGUUUCCCCUCUCGUCCAUGGCCUCCAUGGCACGGGAGGGGCGAGAGCCCCUCUGAGAUUGGAUCUGUCUCUUUGUGUCGGAGUAAGUGACCAUGGGUAGCCUAGCCGGCUCCCCCUGGCCUUUCUGAAAAAUUACGAGCCGAUCCAGCUCUCAAGAAUCCAAGACAUGGGGCCGCCUUCCCUUGGCCAGGUGUCUCCCAGGCCGGCUAUCAGAAGGCGUCCCGACUUCAGCCCUCAUGAAGAAAGCCGCGGGAAGGCCGACUCCAAGGAGCCGGCUCCCAUAAAGCGGCCGAGAUCGUACCCUCGAAGUCUGCACCCACAUAACUGCGAUGUGAUGGGGCGUGGCUACAGUAAGGCUGGCCACCCCCGAAUCCCGGAGCACGCCUAGCACAGUGCGCCGUACGGGUGGCCAUGACCCGUUCGGCGCAGCACUGUUGCCACGUUGGUCCAGAUGUUAUCCACGAUGGGCUACCAGUACGGCCCACGGGCGGUGGGCCCCUUCGGGCAGAGAGACAUCCGAAGGCGGCCUGGCCUCCCCCAGUCGGCCCAAGACGGAGCCGGCUCUCUCCAGCCGGCUUGCCACUCCCUCGAAGGAGACGCCCCAUUAAGGAGACAAGACGCGGUGAGGCUACAGUGGUCACCCGUCGGACGGCAACACUGUAGCCACGCUUACCUCAGUGAAGCCCUCGUCACCAAGAUUGAGCAACAGUAACCAGCCACCGACAAGGCCCUGGACAGUGGGGCCUGCCUGUCGACCCAGGAGCUGGCAGCCAUUGGGACCCACCAAUCGGCGGGCCCCAGCAGUCGGUGUAGAAGCCGGCGAGCAUAGACACAGAUGGCUGGGCCCCACGCCCAGCCGGAUUACCAUUGUACCCCCGGGGGGUAGGCCUAUUUAAACCCCCCAGGACACCCAUGCAAAGGGUUGAUCACUACUAGUUUUAGACACCACAUAGGGAGGAGAAGAGAGUAAGCAGAGCCCUUCUUCCUCCUCUCCCCAAACAGCUCAAGGAGCAUCGUGUAGCUACUUGUUCAACGAGUGAUCAUGCGGAGACCCCGCAGAGCAGCAGUAGGGGUGUUAUCUCCACGGAGAGCCCCGAAGCUGGAUAAGAUUCGCCGGCGUGCAUAUCUUCGCCUCAUCCCGUUUCCAGGCACCGGCGAUGUUUUACUGGCUACCACAAUGAUAAGCCACCCGUUGGCAUAUGUCGCACCUACCACCCGACACUUUGUCUCUCUCUGUUUCUGCGUUCUCCGAUUCUUCCGUUUCAUCGUUUCUUAUAUUCCCGGAGAUCCAUAACUCCGAUUGGGCUGAAAUUUUAACAUGAUCUCUAUCCGGAUAUUAGAUUUCUUGCGGCGAAAGAAGGGCACCAACCUCCUUACGGGGUGGCCACGAGGGUCAGGGGCGCACCUGACACCCUAGGGCGUGCCCCCUACCUCGUGGGCCCCUCGAGCAUCGUCUCGCGUGGAUUCUUCUUCCCAAAAAUCAUAUAUAUUCCAGAAAAAAUCUCCGUCAGUUUUUAUUCCGUUUGGACUCCGUUUGAUAUGGAUAUUCUGUGAAACAAAAAACAUGCAACAAACAGGAACUGGCACUGGGCACUGGAUCAAUAUGUUAGUCCCAAAAAUAGUAUAAAAAGUUGCCAAAAGUAUAUGAAAGUUGAAUAAUAUUGGCAUGGAACAAUAAAAAAUUAUAGAUACGAUGGAGACGUAUCAUGCCCAAAGUGCGAGGACCCUACAGGUUUCUGCACCCUUGGCGAGACGCCACACUUGUUCCUUCUCAUCCUAAUGAAGGAUUUUAAAACGCGCACAGCAUGUUCCUAGAAUCCUCUUUUCUAUCCGGGAGAGUGGGGUUUUUUGAACAUUCUAUCGACUAAUUUGGAAAUUUGGAUUGCUAUAUUUGGAUAAAAGGUACUAGUACCAUGGUCAACACUGACGUGAAGGAGAAAAUUAUUUCUAGAUUUGGAUAUAGGGAAUACAUUGUGUUCUCAUAUUAUUUUUCAUGCAGUGCAUUCCUUGCUCUCCUAGAACACAUGUACUCAAGAUGCUCGGCCUUGCCAUAACUGAAUACACCAGUUUAAUGGUCAUAGUGAAGACAAGCCAUGGAUAUAAGUUUCGAGUUGGGUUCAUGAACCAAGAAGAUCGCUGUUUUUUUAUGGCCGAACUUGGAUAAACUUUAUCAAGUGUUAUGGACCGAAAGUUGGCGCACCGAAUGUUGAUAGAAAUAGCAGAACCUGGUCUCAUCUUCAUUGCAAUCUUCCACCCCGACGUCGUUCCAAUUGUUCAUCCAUGCUAGGUUUGUAUCUGGUUCUUGCUUCUUGCCUCGAUUACUUCUUAAUCCACCUAUUCUGUCUAACUAAUCAUAAUUUAACUUUAGAAGUAGCAACGAAUCUCUCACGAAGAUGCUACUUCUAACUAAUAUUUUCUUAUAAUUGGUGGCACGUGUAGGUUUUUUCAGAGUUAAGCAGGCUACUCGUUUGUAAUUCUAUAAGAACUCGGCUGUUACUCAUGGCACUGAAGCUUACUUGGACGACAUCCACAAGUUCCUACAGUUUAUUGAUCGUCUUGAGGUCCUUGUGGGGCGUUUCAAUGGUGGAAGGCCACAUGGGAUAUGUGUGUCACUACUGCACUCAUUGAACAGGUCCAAUUGUGUUGAGAAACUUAUUGUACGAGUUGUUUUCUGUUAUAUAUGUUGUUCAUAAACUCUUGCUUAUGCACAUUUUUACAGUUGUGAUCUUCUUGAAAUAGGAACUGCCCAGGUCUAUUGUUCCUAUACAGAUGCCUGACCAUGGUUGGGUCAGACUUGCGGUUGGUCACAACAUGAUGUUUAUGUCGACCUACUCCAUUCCCCUUGGAGGUGAAAAGAUACUUAUUCAUGAGUGGUCUCAAAAAAUGAAGGCCCGUCCAUCUUGGAGAAUAGGACAGAAGAUUAUGUUCCUGCUUUUCCAUGGCUCUAAAGCGAAUAUCCUGUUUAUUGACCACAUUGCGAGAUGAAGCCGCUUUCAGUAGGUUGUGGAUGCGUGGGGUGGCGCCUGGGCCUUGUCCUGGGGCUUGGCGGCCUCACCCUUUGGUUAGUUGUAGGCAAAGUAGCACUGUUCGAGGCGUGCUUUGUACGGUUCAACUUGAAUAAGUACUCAUACUGCUUUCAGCUAUGGUUGUUAAGUGCCCCUACCGGUUUUAGUUAAGGUUGUUAAGUACUCUUGCUGCUUUUACAGUCUAUCGUGUUUCCUCAGUCCUGUCUUCCUCCAGCCGUUAAAACCAAACCAGCCCCGGCGGGGCCGCCUGCUUCCGCCUCCCACUACUGGCUGCGCCUCAGCGCACGCAUCGCCACCCCACCGUCUCCUAAAUCAUUAAUGCCGACCUCCAAGGCCUCUUCGUCCUCCUCCAUGCGCUUUGCUGCGCUUGCCGCGGCGCCUCCCUCUCGCGUUGUCAACAUGGUCAACAAACAAGAGGAAUCGGCAGAGGACUGUACGUGGAGAGGAUUACAGUAGGAGGCCACCAUGUCCAUGGCCGGACGCAAGGAAGUUCCUCAUUUUUUGUUAUAUAUAUACUCCAUUGUUAGCGUACGGAAAAAGAAAAUGCUUCCUGCUAGUGGUUUCCUGACAUCUGGGACCCACGACAUUGUCAGCGUAUAUAGUCAAUAGACAAGAGAACAGCACAAGAUCGGCUGACACCUGGGACGUAGCUAGUCGAGCAGUAUUUUUUUAUUAUCGUUGAGACGGAGCAGGGUUUGAAUUGGGUUGUGGCCCGUCUAGCCCAGGCUUAUAUUUUAUGUUCACCACAUGACCAGCCCAACUAUUUUUUGUUUGUAAAAAUGAGCCCAGUGUAUUUUUUUAAGAAUACCCAAUACAGGCCUACUUAUUUUUCUACGCCCUGAUGGGCUACAACUCUUUCAAGACGCCUGCAAAUCUUGAAAGUAAUAUGAAAUGGGCUAUAAAUAUAAAAAACAGAUGACAAAUUGGCAAUUACUUUAUAAUUUCUGAUUUUUUUUCACAUGUUCAGAUUCCAAUUUCACUGGGCUUUAACCUAAUUCAAAUAUAGAUUGAAAGUACUUUAAAUCUGGCUCGACAUUUCGGUAUUAAAAAUAGUUUGGAACCAACAGAAAUAUGUGAAAUUUCUUUUAAAUUUUUAACCCUGGCCCUAGCCAACAAAAAAAUGGACUGCAAUAAAUUUCAUAAGAAGUUGCAAUGAGCUAUAUAUAAAUUAUUAAAAAAAUAGGGAAUGAUAGGACUUGUGGGCCUAUUAAGUUGAGGCGGAUGAAAGAUUUUUUUACUUAUUAUAUACGACAACAAACGAUUCUAGUAGACGUGACUGUUGGAUGUCAAUCCAACAACCAUCGUGUUUCUUCAAUCUCUGAUCUUCUUGCUCCAGCCGCCAAAUCCAGCACCGGUGGGACUGCCUGCUCCCGCCUCCCGUGGCCGGCUGUGCUGCCGUAAAGGCCUCACCGCCCCCUACUACUCCCACAAUGGCCAGGCCAUCCCUCUACUCACCCACAUCCCUCCACUGUUGUGGCUUCACCGCCUCUGAGUCAUUCCCUUCCUGGGUCUCGUCGUCGUCCAUCGCGUUGGUGUUCUCGGCACGGCGUGGUCAAUGUUAUCAACAAACGACAACAUCGGAAGAGGGACGUACAUGGAGAGGCUGACAGUUGGGACCCACAUGGUCCAUGUCCGCAGGCAAGCAAGUACCUCCUUAUUACGCCAAAAAGAAUGAAUACUCCCGCUGACAGCUCGGACCCACCAGCUAUAUCUUCGCACUCAAGGAAGUGCCUCCUUAUUACGCACAAAAAAAUGAAUACUCCCCCUGCUUGCUGGGACCCACCAUAGUGGGAGGCUAACUUGUGGGCCUACUAAGUUGAUGCGGACGGAGGGCUUUGUCAACUUAGUCAAGAAACGAUUCUAUCACCAAUAACCGUUGGAUUGUUAACAUCCAACGGUCGUCCUGCUUCAUCAACCUCUGAUUUUCUUGCUCCAGCCGUCCAAACCACCGCGUGCUCUUGCCUCCCGUGGCCCGCUGGGCUGCCGCGGAGGCCUCACCGCCCCCUACUACUCCCACCACUGGCCAGGACCUGCGGCGACGGCAGCCUCACACCGCAGCCGAACCAGUGAACCCUAGUACUCCUCUCCGCAUGGGCAUCCACUGCCGCGUCUUCCCCGGCUCCACGUCAUUCCCUUCCUAGGCCUCGCCGUCGUCCCCCGCCUUGGUGCUCUCGGCACGGCAUGGUCAAUGUGAUAAACGAACAACUUCCAUCGGAGGAGUACUGUAUGUUGAGAGGCUGAUAGUUGGGUCCACGGCCGCAUCAAGGAAGUGCCUCCUUAUUACGUGCAAAAUAAUUAUUCAUCCACCGUGACAGUAGGGACCCACCUGACGGGCCAUCGUAUUUCGGGAAAAAAGUUCCCCCUGACUACUGUGACCCACCAGCUACAUCUUCGCAUGCAAGGAAGUGCAUCCAUAUUACGGGAAAAAUGAUUCGCCCCCCGGACUGCUGGGACCCACCAGCUACAUCUUCACAUGCAAGGAAGUGCAUGACAGUCGGGACCCAACUGGUCGAAGUGUACGUAGAGUUGUCACUCUGGUCGGAACCAUCUUCGCAUGCAAGAAAUUUAUGGUUUCCCAUCUUGAUACCGACAUUCGGAACCAUCAUGCUAAAGCUCAAACGCUUAUCCAGAGAAACAACUUGCAAUGCUUUAGAUAAUGCCUCAGUGUCAAAAUUGUGCUUCAAUGCAAAUGGAUAUGACAUGAAAGAAUGCAAUGCACCAGAAUCAAAUAAGACUUUUGCAUGAAUAUCAUUAACUGGAAGAUUACCCAUGAUCACUUGAGAAGAAUCCUCUGCUUGAGCUGCAUUCACCAUGUUUACCCUUGCAGUCUUGGAAUUAUGCUUGACCACUGCAUUGCUUGAAGAUCUCAUGGGAGGAGGAGGCGGAAGACGCCUUUGGUUGAAGCACUUGUUUGCAUAGUGACCAUUCUAAUGACACUUGUUGCAAGUCACCUUUGAGAGCAGACGAUGAUAAGGAGCACUUGACCUUGGAGCUUGGUCUGAGACUUGUUCCGAUAGCCUAGGUUGGGUGGGUGGGAAGAUCCAUGGCCACCUUUGCUCUUUUGCUGGUAGGGCUGACGAAACGGAGGAGGAGGAAGCUAGAACUUCUGUUGCUUAGCUGCCACUUGUGAGGAAGAAGAUUGGACUGCAUCCUUGAUUCUCUUCUUAGAAGCCUCACACUUCAGCUAAGAACCUUCUUGCUUGAGGGACAUGUUAUAGAAUUAAUUGAACUUAGUCGGCUCAACGAGAAUGAGAGCUAACUGCAGAUCUUCUCUAAGGCCACCUCUGAAUUGAUAGAUCAUGCUAUUUUCAUUAGGAACGUCUUGUUUAGCGAAGCGAGCAAGUUUCUAAAACUAGAUAUUGUAUUGAUACACGGACAUGGUGCCUUGGUUGAGAUUGCGAAAUUCCUCACGCUUGCUCUCAGGAACACUUGUUGGGAUAUGAUGAGCUUUGAAGUCUCGGCAGAAAUCAUCCCAGGUAAUCACACGACCUCUGUCGGUGUCACAACCGGCGGUUCUCGGGUAGGGGGUCCCGAACUGUGCGUCUAAGGCGGAUGGUAACAAGAGGCAGGGGACACGAUGUUUACCCAGGUUCGGGCCCUCUUGAUGGAGGUAAUACCCUACGUCCUGCUUGAUUGUUCUUGAUGAUAUGAGUAUUACAAGAGUUGAUCUACCACGAGAUCAAAGAGGCUAAACCCUAGAAGCUAGCCUAUGGUAUGAUUGUAUGUUGUCCUACGGACGAAAACCCUCCGGUUUAUAUAGACACCGAAGGAGGCUAGGGUUACACAAGGUCGGUUACAAAGGAGGAGAUAUACAUAUCCGUAUUGCCUAGCUUGCCUUCCACGCCAAGUAGAGUCCCAUCGGACACGGGACGAAGUCUUCAAACUUGUAUCUUCAUAGUCCAACAGUCCGGCCAAAGGAUAUAGUCCGGCUGUUCGGAGACCCCCUAGUCCAGGACUCCCUCAGUAGCCCCUGAACCAGGCUUCAAUGACGAUGAGUCCGGCCCGCAGUGUUGUCUUCGGCAUUGCAAGGUGGGUUCCUCCUCCGAAUACACCAUUGAAGAUUUUGAAUAUAAGGAUAGUGUCCUACCCUACAAAAUAAGUUCCACACACCAUCGUAGAGAGAAUAAUAUUUCCAUGAAUCUAAUCUUUUGACACGUUUAGACAGCAUGACAUCAUGCCAUGGCCCGGUUUUUAUUCAAAACGCUUUUCUUAACCAGCUCCCCACAUAUCGCGAGGCUGUUUUCUUGACAUGUCUUGUCAAAGCAGAUAUUGUGUUCCCCUUAUCACGGGAUUCUCAUCAAUGCGGACAUGGGUAACCCAACCGCGCCAUCAAUUACAGUGCGUGGGGAAUAAGCGGUUUUGCUAGGCAAGUGGGGAGGCACAUUGCCUCUUCCGCCCUUAUAAAAGGGACAAAGAUUUACUUUUUUCACCCACGCCUUCUUCCUCCUCGCUUACCCAUUAAGCUAGGCAUAUAGUGCUCGAGUAAUGGAUCCACCCGGAUCCCAAGGUAUUUCAAAGACAAUUUUAAUUAACAAUGAUUUGUAAUUUAGUGGUGAGCACAAGGUAACAUAUAUCAUGUAAUGACGAAGUCUAACUCUCUUCCUAUGCAUCGGCAUGUCAUAAAAGAACAAUUCAUGCACACAUAGUAAAGGCCAAUGCAUAUUAUAAACAGUUUCUUGCAAUUCUAUCAUAUUGGAAACAUAGAGAGGUGGAGAUAUAGUUCCUCUCUCAUAAUAAUUGCAAGUAGGAGCAGCAAGCACAUGCAUAUUAUAUUCAUCAAAAUCAUCAUGUGCAAUGGUUAAAGGCAACCCAUCAAUAUAAUCCUUAAUAAGUGCAAACUUCUCCGAUAUAGUGUAGUCGGGAGAAUUCAAAAAGAUAAUAGGACUAUCAUGCGUGGGUGCAAUAGCAACAAUUUCAUGUUUAACAUAAGGAACUAUAGCAAGUUCAUCUCCAUAAGCAUAAUUCAUAUUGGCAUCUUGGCCACAAGCAUAGCAAGCAUCACCAAAAAGGGAUAUUUCAAAAGAAUCAACGGGAUGAUAACAAUCAUCAUAGCAAUCAUCCUCCGGUAAGCACAAAGGGAAAUUAAACAAUGUAUGAGUUGAAGAGUUACUUUCAUUAGAAGGUGGGCACGGGUGAUCAAUCCGCUCUUCCUCCUUUUGUUCUUCGCUCUCUUCCUCAUCUUUUUCAUCCAAUGAGCUCACAGUUUCAUCAAUUUCUUGUUCCAUAGACUCCUGCAAAAUAUUAGUCUCUUCUUGGACAACGGAGACUUUCUUAAUAAGCACAUUAAUUUCAUAAUUGUAUUCAUAAUUCUCAUAACAAUACUUCAAGAUAGCUAAAUUUUCAGAUCUAUAAACAGCAUCAUCAAAAUCUUCAAACUCUUUAAACAUAGAUUCAAUUUCAUAAGCACCCUUAAAAGCAACAAAUUCUUCUAUUUGUUCCACAUCAUAGUAAUCAUAUGUACCAUUAGCAUAAGAAGCUAAGGUCUCAUUAUCAUUAAAUUCACAUGAAAAGGGAAGGUGUGGAGCCUCCACCUUAGAGCAACAAGUAUAAUCAUAUCUCAAGCAUAGUUGCCUAGCAUACCAAUUCAACAUAUGAAUUUGAUCCCAUAAUAGUUUCCCUUUUUGUGUCAAGCUAUAAUCCCUAAAGUAUUCACGUUGAUCCAACGUUACUCCCAUUACAUAAUUGAAUGGGGUUUUCUCAGGAUUAUUAAAGUAGUACAUAAUAUCUUUCACAUAACCAGCAUCGAGGGUUUUAGGAGGUUCCCCAUCUCCAUGAGCAGAAAGUACACAUAAUUUCUUUGGUAUUUCGUGUUCCAUAUCCAUAACUAAAGAUAGAGAACAAAUAAGAACAGCAAAUAAAAAUUACUUAGUGAUAAAGCAAACAAGCACACACGAGAAUAUUCACCCCAUGCUAUUGCUCCCCGGCAACGGCGCCAUAAAAAGGUCUUGAUAACCCACAAGUAUAGGGGAUCGCAACAGUUUUCGAUAAGUAAUAGUGUCGAACCAAACGAGGAGCUAAAGGUAGAACAAAUAUUCCCUCAAGUUCUAUCGACCACUGAUACAACUCUACGCAUGCUUGACGUUCGCUUUACCUAGAACAAGUAUGAAACUAGAAGUACUUUAUAGGUGUUGUUGGAUAGUUUUGCAAGAAAUUAAAGAGAACGAAAAUAAAACUAGGGUCUGUUAAGGUAAAGAAGCAACUAAAGUAAAUAUAGCGAGUGUGGAAAAGUGGUGGUAGGAGUUGCGAAAUUGUCCCUAAGCAAUUGACUACGUUACUAGACCGAUAGCAAGUAUUAUGUGGGAGAGGCCACUGCAAGCAUGUCAUCCCUUACUUGGAAUUCUAUGCACUUAUGAUUGGAACUGUUAGCAAGCAUCCGCAACUACUAAUGUUCAUUAAGGUAAAACCCAACCAUAGCAUUAAGAUAUAUUGGCCCCCAUUCAAUCCCGUAUGCAUCAAUUUCUAUGCUAGGUUGAAGCUUCUGUCACUCUUUCCCUCCAAUACAUAGUCCUAUCAACAUACAACUAACCCUAUGGUGUGAUCCAUGCGCGCGCUCAUAUGAUGGGCACCAAAGGACAGCAACAUAACCACAAGCAAAUUAAAUCAAUCAUAGCAAUUCAUUAACCACUGAUAGGACAACGAAAAUCUACUCAGACAUCAAAGGAUGGCAACACAUCAUUGGAUAAUAAUAUGAAUCAUAAAGCACCAUGUUCAAGUAGAGGGUACAGUGGGUUGCGGGAGAGUGGACCGCUGUAGAUAGAGGGGGGAAGGUGAUGGAGAUGUUGGUGAAGAUGGCGGAGGUGUUGGUGUAGAUCGCGGUGAUGAUGAUGGCCCCCGGUGGCACUCCGGUGCCACCGGAAGCGAGGGGGAGAGAGCCCCCCUCCUUGUCCUUCUUCCUUGACCUCCUCCCUAGAUGGGAGAAGGGUUUCCCCUCAGGUCCAUGGCCUCCAUGGCACGGGAGGGGCAAGAGCCCCUCUGAGAUUGGAUCUGUCUCUUUGUGUCGGAGUAAGUGACCACGGGUAGCCUAGCCGGCUCCCCCUGGCCUUUCUGAAAAAUUACGAGCCGAUCCAGCUCUCAAGAAUCCAAGACAUGGGGCCGCCUUCCCCUAGUCGGCUGUCUCCCAGGCCGGCUAUCAGAAGGCGGCCCGACUUCAGCCCUUAUGAAGAAAGCCGCGGGAAGGCCGACUCCAAGGAGCCGGCUCCCAUAAAGCAGCCGAGAUCGUACCCUUGAAGUCUGUACCCACAUAACGGCGAUGUGACGGGGCGUGGCUACAGUAAGGCUGGCCACCCCCGAAUCCUGGAGCACGCCUAGCACAGUGCGCCGUACGGGUGGCCAUGACCCGUCCGGCGCAGCACUGUUGCCACGUUGGUCCUGAUGUCAUCCACGACGGGCUACCAGUACGGCCCACAGGCGGUGGGCCCCUUCGGGCAGAGAGACACCCGAAGGCGGCCUGGCCUCCCCCAGUCGGCCCAAGACGGAGCCGGCUCUCUCCAGCCGGCUUGCCACUCCCUUGAAGGAGACGCCCCAUUAAGGAGACAAGACGCGGUGAGGCUACAGUGGUCACCCGCCGGACGGCAGCACUGUAGCCAUGCUUACCUCGGCGAAGCCCUCGUCACCAAGAUUGAGCAACGGUAACCAGCCACCGACGAGGCCCUGGACAGUGGGGCCUACUUGUCGACCCAGGAGCCGGCAGCCGGCGGGACCACCAGUCGGUGGGCCCCAGCAAUCGGCACGGAAGCCGGCGAGCAUAGACACAGACGGCUGGGCCCCAUGCCCAGCCGGAUUACCAUUGUACCCCCGGGGGGUAGGCCUAUUUAAACCCCCCGGGACACCCAUGCAAAGGGUUUAUCACUUCUAGUUUUAGACACCACAUAGGGAGGAGAAGAGAGUAAGCAGAGCCCUUCUUCCUCCUCUCGCCAAACAACUCAAGGAGCAUCGUGUAGCUACUUGUUCAUCGAAUGAUCAUGCGGAGACCCCGCAGAGCAGCAGUAGGGGUGUUAUCUCCACGGAGAGCCCCGAAGCUGGGUAAGAUUCGCCGGCGAGCAUAUCUUCGCCUCAUCCCAUUUCCAGGCACCGGCGAUGUUUUACUGGCUCCCACAAUGAUAAGCCACCCGUUGGCAUAUGUCGCACCUACCACCCGACAUUUGGCGCCCAUCGUGGGGCCAGGUGCACCGUCGUCCGGAGACCUGUUCUGGACGGGAACCCUCUUCCUCCCCCGCGAGCGUAGCCAGCCCGGCACGCCCGAUGGCGCUUACCACGACGUGCUGCAAGGCGUCACCAACGCCUGCGCAGCGAGCAGCCUCGCUGAUCUCCUCGACAAGACCCUCAUCUCCGACGAGCUCGCCUCCGACGCGGGCACCGACCACCUCGUCAACCUCCUCGGCUGGCUCCAUGUCUCCGGCAAGCCUGCUGUGGACUUGGAGUCGGUUGGCUCCACCGAUCCGAUGCCUGUCGACUCCGACACGGCCUCAUUCGACACCUUCCCCACCAACGUCACUAUCUACAACGACCCGCUUCCCCAAGACGAUGGCUGCGACGCUUUCACCACUGAGGUGAUGGUCAUUGGCCACGACGGCGCAGCCGACGAGAGCGCCCACGACGCCCCGCACGCGGCGGUCCACGACUUGUCCAUCCCCCUCCCGGCCGACACCGACGCUGAAGCACCGGAGGCUCGCCGCCUCGCCCUCCUCGCGGAGGGCCGGAAGUUGGUUUCCAUGGGAUGCCUCGCUGAGGCCCACUGACGCGAGGCUGACCACGCCGCCUUUGGCACGCCACCCCCAGGCGGGCCUAGCCGGGCCGGCAUUGUCAGACAGCGCGGCGCUGUCGUUGCCGACACGUUAGGAGUCGACCGCCCAGUCUACGCCACUCCACUCGAAAACCUGCACGCCGCCCAGGCGGCCGUAGAUGAUCUAGACGUACUGGGGGCCGAAGAACUCCCCCACAUGACCCGACGCAUCCAGCAGCUGAUCGAUGCAGCUGCGCAGCGGCACGAAGCCGACGCCCGCGCGGAAAGCCCUCCCCCGCGCCGAGAUCACGACGCGAUGUCCUGGACGCCGACUGCGGGUAGAGACCGCGCGCGGCGCGAGAAAGAGCCGGCUGCCAGCCGAAGCCAAACCCGGAUCUCCAUCGAGCGAGACGCAGAAGGCCACCCUCGGGCCAUGGAGUGGCGGGGCAACCCGCCUCCGCCCCGGCCCCGUGGAGAGAGAUAUCCCACCCCGCCGCCUGUUGUGCAUCCGACUCUCAGCGGCUGGCUAGGUCGCCGCAAAGGAGUCGGCGAGAACGACGCCCGCCAUCGGAUCGACCGCCUGGCGCAAUCCCUGGCGCUGGAAGAAGAAGACGAUGUCGGUCCCCCUUGCUUCGGCCCCCACAUCCGCGACGAGCCCUUCCCCAAAGGGUUCUCGCUCCUAAGAGACACGCCCAAGUACAACGGCUCCGUGAAGCCAGAAGAUUGGUUGAUUGACUACUCCACGGCGGUUAGCAUAGCCAGCGGCAACAGGCGCGCUGCCAUGAAGUACGUGCCCCUCAUGCUGCAGGGCACGGCACAGACCUGGCUCAACAGCCUCAAACCACACAGCAUCAACAGCUGGCUAGAUUUCACAGAAGCUUUCGUCCGCAACUUCACCAGCACCUACAAGCGGGCUCCCAAGCCCAGACAGCUCUCCUUGUGCGUACAAGGCCCCGUCGAGUCCACUCGCGACUACCUCACGCAUUGGGCCGAGCUCCGCAACUCUUGCGAAGGGGUGCAUGAGGGACAAGCCAUAGAAUACUUCACUGCCGGGUGCCGAGAAGGCACCCUCCUCAAGCACAAGCUUCUCUGCGACGAGCCGACAACCCUCGACGAGCUUCUGGACAUAGCGGACAAGUACACCACCGCCGACUCCUCAAUGAAGACCGAGCUCCGGGUAGACGCGUUCGGGAAAGUACUCAACCCGGUGCCCAAGACGCCGGCUGGGGAUUCCGGCCGACGCCCACACUCAAACGACCACAAGCGCAAGGGCCCGCGCCUCCUCCCGUCGGCCGGCAGGUGGCCACAGUCGAAGACGUGCCGCCCGAAGGGCGACCCGCUCCCAAGAAACCCUAGGGCAGCAGGCCGGCUUGGCAGCCGGCCUUUUCCUACGAGCAAACUCUCGACGCCCCGUGCAAGUUCCACAGCGGCGCGAAGCCGUCCAACCACACAACCCGGAAGUGCCAUUGGCUCACCCGAAUCUCUAAAGGCGAAGGGCUCGCACCGCCUCCGCCUGCCGGUCCGUCGCCUCCGGCUCCGCAGCCGCCGGACGCUCGGCCCGCAGUCGGAGCCGUGCACGACGAGUUCCCCGACGAGCAUGCAGCCUAUAUCAUCUUUACAAGUCAGCCCGAAGACCGGCACAACAAACGCCGAGAGCACCAAGAAGUCAACAUGGUUGCCGCCAACCCCGCCGAGCACAUGCACUGGUCAAAAAAACCUAUCAGCUGGAGCCGGACCGACCACCCAGAGGUGAUGCCGUCUCCCAGCUCUUAUGCGGUUGUUUUGGAUGCCACCCUUGCAACGGACAGACGCGCUGCCCAAUUCUCCCGCGUGCUGAUAGACGGCGGGAGCAGCAUCAACAUCCUGUAUCGUGACACCAUGGAAAAGCUGAAUGUCAAGACGAAGCAACUCAUGCCUACUCGGACUGUGGUCCACGACAUCGUACCCGGCCUGUCCUGCGCCCCCAUUGGCAAGAUCAAGAUUGAUGUACUUUUUGGGGACAAGGAGCAUUUCCGCCGGGAAGCGAUCUGGUUUGAAGUGGUGGACCUGGAGAGCCCUUACCAUGCAUUGCUUGGCCGACCUGCCUUGGCCAAGUUGAUGGCAGUUCCCCACUAUGCAUACCUCAAGAUGAAGAUACCAAGCACCAAAGGCGUCAUCACCGUAGCCGGCGAUUACAAGAAGUCCUCCGACUGCGCAGCAGCCAGCAGCCGGCUGGCCGAGUCCCUUGUGAUUGCCGAAGAGAAGAAGAUGUUGGACCGGGUCGUGGCCAUGGCCGGCAAGCAGUCGGCCCUGUCCCCCGAUCCCAAGGAGUAUGAUGCCCAAGGAUCUUUCCAGCUGGCCAAGGAGACAAAGAAGAUACCACUUGACCCCGAGCACCCAGAGAGGUUUGCCGUCAUCGUGGCAAACCUAAACAGCAAAUAGGAAGGCGAGCUCGCCGACUUCCUCCGUGAAAAUCGGGACAUCUUUGCAUGGUCCCCCAAGGACAUGUCGGGUGUUCCGAAGGAAUUCGCCGAGCACAAAUUACACGUCCGAGAAGACGCCAAACCAGUCAAACAACCCCUCCACCGACUGUCGGAGGAGAAACGCAGGAUUGUGGGAGAGGAGAUAGCCCGGCUUCUGGCAGCCGGCUUCAUUAUGGAAGUUUUCUUUCCAGAGUGACUCGCCAACCCGGUCCUCGUGCUAAACAAGAACAACAAGUGGCGCAUGUGUAUAGACUACACGAGCCUCAACAAGGCCUGCCCCAAAGAUCCCUUUGCCCUGCCAAGGAUUGACCAAGUGAUAGACUCCACGGCCGGAUGCGAGCUGUUGAGUUUCUUGGAUGCUUACUCAGGAUACCACCAGAUAAAGUUAGAUCCGGCUGACCGCCUGAAGACCGCCUUCAUCACGCCAUUCGGAGCCUUCUGCUACCUGACUAUGACAUUCGGCUUGAGAAAUGCCGGUGCCACUUUUCAGCAUUGCAUGCAGAAGUGCCUCCUCAAGCAGCUCGACAGAAAUGCUCACGUCUACAUAGACGACAUUGUGGUGAAGACGGAGAAGCGCGGCACCUUGCUGGAAGACCUCAAAGAAACAUUUGAGAACCUACGCCAUUUCCAAAUCAAGCUCAACCCUGAGAAAUGCGUCUUCGGAGUGCCAGCCGGCCAGCUCCUAGGCUUACUGGUCUCCGAACGCGGCAUUGAAUGCAACCCGGUGAAAAUCAAGGCCAUUGAGAGAAUGGCGAUUCCCACCAAGCUUCGAGACAUCCAGAAGUUCACCGGAUGCUUGGCCUCCCUAAACCGCUUCAUCAGCCGGCUCGGAGAGAAAGCUCUCCCCCUCUACCGCCUCAUGAAGAAGACCACUCACUUCGAGUGGAAUGACCAAGCUGACCAAGCUUUCCACGAGCUGAAGAAGAUGCUGGCCACACCGCCAGUCCUGGCAGCACCGACUGAGAAAGAGCCCAUGCUCCUCUACAUUGCCGCAACCAGCCGGGUGGUCAGCACUGUCAUCGUAGUCCAACGCCCAGAAGAGGGCCGAGCCCAGCCGGUCCAGAGGCCGGUGUACUAUUUGAGCGAGGUACUGUCCACCUCGAAGCAUAACUACCCGCACUACCAAAAGAUGUGUUAUGGCAUGUACUUCGCUGCCAAGAAGCUGAAGCCCUACUUCCAAGAGCAUCCCAUCACGGUCGUAUGCACCGCCCCGCUGGCCGAGAUCAUAGGCAGCCGGGAUGCAUCCGGCCGGGUGGCGAAAUGGGCCAUCGAGCUGGCCCCUUACGCGAUCUUCUACCAGCCUCGCACAGCCAUCAAAUCCCAAGCAUUGGCCGACUUCCUCGUCGACUGGGCCGAGACCCAGUACCUGCCGCCGGCUCCCGACUCCACUCAUUGGCGCAUGCACUUCGAUGGGUCCAAGAUGCGCACCGGCUUGGGAGCUGGCAUCGUCCUCACCUCUCCCAAAGGCGACAGGCUCAGAUACAUGCUGCAAAUCCACUUUGCCACCUCCAACAAUGUAGCCGAGUACAAGGUGCUCAUACACAGGCUUCGGCUUGCCAAAGAACUCGGCAUUCGCCGGAUCCUAUGUUAUGGCGACUUGGACAUGGUGAUCCAGCAAUCAUCCGGCGACUGGGACGCCAAGGACGCAAAUAUGGCAAGCUAUCACUUCCUCGUUCAGCAGAUCAGUGGGUAUUUUGAAGGAUGCGAGUUCCUCCACGUACCGCGAGCCGACAACGAGCCAACCGAUGCUCUGGCUCGAAUAGCCUCCACCCGGCAAGCAAUACCAACCGGCGUCUCUCUACAACGCCUCCUCAAGCCGUCUAUCAAGCCGUCUCUAGAGUCCGAUUCCAUAUUCGUGCCGCCUGACCUCGGCACGGCCGGGUCCGGCUCGAAGAGCCAAGUAGGUGACCCGGGGACUUCGAUAGUCGGCCCAGGGACGUCAGCAGGCGGCUCGGGGACUUCCGUAGUUACGCCCGACCCGGGGACUGCCCCACUCGGCUCGGGGACUGCGGUAGUCGGCCCAGAGACUACACCAACACAACAGGCGGCGGUCGACUCAGCAUUUCACCGCCCAGCCCGCCCGCCCUGGUCGCAGUAGCCGUUUUGGCAAUAGAAGAAGUCGCAGCUCCGUCAUGGGCUCAAUACAUCCUCAACUUCCUAAUAAACCAAUAUCUGCCGGCUGACGAAGUAGAGGCAAGACAUGUCCAAUGCCAAGCCGGAGCAUACACAAUCGUCAACAGAUAACUCGUCAAGCGCAGUGUCACUGGAGUCCUCCAGCGAUGCGUUGAGCAAGAGAAGGGCAUUGCAAUCCUCAGAGACAUCCACCAAGGAGAAUGCGGCCACCAUGCGGCCUCAAGAUCACUCGUCGCCAAAGCCUUCCGCCAUGGUUUCUUUUGGCCGACUGCUUUGGAUGACGCCAAGGAGUUAGUUAAACAUUGCAAAGGGUGCCAACUCUUCAGCUCCAAGCAACACAUGCCGGCUUCAGCACUCAAGACCAUUCCUGGCCCUUCGCCGUUUGGGGACUGGACAUGGUGGGCCCAUUCAAGACGGCGCGCGGCGGCAUGACACAUCUGCUUGUCGCCGUGGACAAAUUCACCAAAUGGAUUGAAGCAAAGCCGAUCAAGAAGCUGAAUGGGCCGACUGCCGUCACAUUUAUCGCAGAUAUAACAACUCGGUACGGCAUGCCACACAGCAUCAUCACCGACAAUGGCACGAAUUUUGCCAAGGGAGCCUUGGCACGUUUCUGCGCAAUGCAAGGCAUCCGCUUGGACCUAGCGUCCGUCGCCCACCCGCAGUCAAACGGCCAGAUCGAGCGAGCCAACGGCCUCAUCCUUUCCGGCAUCAAGCCCCGACUGAUCGUACCACUGGAGCAUUCAGCCGGCUGUUGGCUCGAUGAGCUGUCGGUUGUCCUCUGGAGUCUGCGCACUACACCAAACAAGUCAACCGGCUUCACCCCUUUCUUCCUCGUGUAUGGUGCCGAGGUGGUCAUCCCAACUGACAUCGAGUUCGACUCGCCUCGGGUAACCAUGUACACGGAACCAGAGGCCAAGGAAGCACGAGAAGACGGCGUCGACCUGCUGGAAGAAGGCCGUCUGUUAGCCCUCAGCCGGUCCGCCAUCUAUCAGCAGGGCCUGCGCCGCUACCACAGCCGGAAGGUAGAGCCAAGAUCCUUCCAAGAGGGCGAUCUUGUGCUUCGGCUGAUCCAGCGAACAGCCGGCCAGCACAAGCUCUCGGCACCUUGGGAGGGCCCCUUCGUCAUCAGCAGAGCCUUAGGCAAUGACUCCUACUACCUGAUCGACGCGCAGAAGCCGAAGGCACGAAAGAGAGACGACUCCGGCAAGGAGUUGGAACGACCAUGGAACGCCAACCUCCUCCGAAGGUUUUACAGCUGAAAUACAGUAUGUAUCACACUAUCUUUUGUACUAAGUACGAGACAAUAGGCCCCCCGAGGAGAGCUCGGGGACUGCCAUCUUUUAUCUAUGAAUGAAGAGUAUCAUGCUUAUGACCUUAUCAUUACAUUUACUUGUUCCGUCCGGCACCGGGUUCGACUAGUCCCAAAAAUAUUGGCAUGGAAUAAUAAAAAAUUAUAGAUACGACGGAGACGUAUCAUGCCCAAAGUGCGAGGACCCUACAGGUUUUUGCACCCUUGGCGAGACGCCGGACUUGUUCCUUCUCAUCCUAACGAAGGAUUUUAAAACGCGCACAAUAUGUUCCUAGAAUCCUCUUUUCUAUCCAGGAGAGUGGGGUUUUUUGAACAUGCUAUCGACUAAUUUGGAAAUUUGGAUUGCUAUAUUUGGAUAAAAGGUACUAGUACCAUGGUCAACACUGACGUGAAGGAGAAAAUUAUUUCUAGAUUUGGAUAUAGGGAAUACAUUGUGUUUUCAUAUUAUUUUUCCUGCAGUGUAUUCCUUGCUCUCCUAGAACACAUGUACUCAAGAUGCUCGGCCUUGCCAUAACUGAAUACACCAGUUUAAUGGUCAUAGUGAAGACAAGCCAUGGAUAUAAGUUUCGAGUUGGGUUCAUGAACCAAGAAGAUCGCUGUUUUUUUAUGGCCGAACUUGGAUAAACUUUAUCAAGUGUUAUGGACCGAAAGUUGGCGCACGAAUGUUGAUAGAAAUAGCAGAACCUGGUCUCAUCUUCAUUGCGAUCUUCCACCCCGACGUCGUUCCAAUUGUUCAUCCAUGUUAGGUUUGUAUCUGGUUCUUGCUGCUUGCCUCGAUUACUUCUUAAUCCACCUAUUCUAUCUAACUAAUCACAAUUUAACUUUAGAAGUAGCAACGAAUCUCUCACGAAGAUGCUACUUCUAACUAAUAUUUUCUUAUAAUUGGUGGUACAUGUAGGUUUUUUCAGAGUUAAGUAGGCUACUCGUUUGUUAUUCUAUAAGAACUCGGCUGUUACUCAUGGCACUGAAGCUUACUUGGAUGACAUCCACAAGUUCCUACAGUUUAUUGAUCGUCUUGAGGUCCUUGUGGGGUGUUUCAAUGGUGGAAGGCCACAUGGGAUAUGUGUGUCACUACUGCACUCAUUGAACAGGUCCAAUUGUGUUGAGAAACUUAUUGUACGAGUUGUUUUCUGUUAUAUAUGUUGUUCAUAAACUCUUGCUUAUGCACAUUUUUACAGCUGUGAUCUUCUUGAAACAGGAACUGCCCAGGUCUAUUAUUCCUAUACAGAUGCCUGACCAUGGUUGGGUCAGACUUGCGGUUGGUCACAACAUGAUGUUUAUGUCGACCUACUCCAUUCCGCUUGGAGGUGAAAAGAUACUUAUUCAUGAGUGGUCUCAAAUAAUGAAGGCCCGUCCAUCUUGGAGAAUAGGACAGAAGAUUAUGUUCCUGCUUUUCCAUGGUUCUAAAGCGAAUAUCAUGUUUAUUGACCACAUUGCGAGAUGAAGCCGCUUUCAAUAGGUUGUGGAUGCGCGGGGUGGCGCCUGGGCCUUGUCCUGGGGCUUGGCGGCCUCACCCUUUGGUUAGCUGUAGGCAAAGUAGCACUGUUCGAGGCGUGCUUUGUAUGGUUGAACUUGUAUAAGUACUCACACUGCUUUCAGCUAUGGUUGUUAAGUGCCCCUACCGGUUUCAGUUAAGGUUGUUAAGUACUCUUGCUGCUUUUACAGUUUGUCGUGUUUCUUCAAUCCUAUCUUCCUCCAGCCGCCAAAACCAAACCAGCGCCGGCGGGGCUGCCUGCUUCUGCCUCCCACUGCUGGCUGCGCCUCACCGCACGCAUCGCCACCCCACCGUCUCCUAAAUCAUUAACGCCGACCUCCGAGGCCUCUCCAUCCUCCUCCAUGCGCUUUGCAGUGCUUGCCGCGGCGCCUCCCUCUCGCGUUGUCAACAUGGUCAACAAACAAGAGGAAUCGGCAGAGGACUGUACGUGGAGAGGAUUACAGUAGGGGGCCACCAUGUCCAUGGUCUGAGGCAAGGAAGUUCCUCAUUUUUUGUUAUAUAUAUAUACUCCAUUGUCAGCGUACGGCAAAAUAAAAUGCUUCCUGCUAGUGGUUUCCUGACAUCUUGGACCCACGACAUUGUCAGCGUAUAUAGUCAAUAGACAAGAGAACAGCACAAGAUCGGCUGACACCUGGGACGUAGCUAGUCGAGCAGUAUUUUUUUGUUAUUGUUGAGACGGAGCAGGGUUUGAAUUGGGUUGUGGCCCGUCUAGCCCAGGCUUAUAUUUUAUGUUCACCACAUGACCAGCCCAACUAUUUUUUGUUUGUAAAAAUGAGCCCAGUGUAUUUUUUUAAGAAUACCCAAUAUAGGCCUACUUAUUUUUCUACGCCCUGAUGGGCUGCAACUCUUUCAAGACGCCUGCAAAUCUUGAAAGUAAUAUGAAAUGGGCUAUAAAUAUAAAAAACAGAUGACAAAUUGGCAAUUACUUUAUAAUUUCUGAUUUUUUUUCACAUUUUCAGAUUCCAAUUUCACUGGGCUUUAACCUAAUUCAAAUAUAGAUUGAAAGUACUUUAAAUCUGGCUCGACAUUUCGGUAUUAAAAAUAGUUUGGAACCAACAGAAAUAUGCGAAAUUUCAUUUAAUAGCCAAAAAAAAUGGACUGCAAUAAAUUUCAUAAGAAGUUGCAAUGAGCUAUAUAUAAAUUAUUAAAAAAAUAGGGAAUGAUAUGACUUGUGGGCCUAUUAAGUUGACGCGGAUGCAAGAUUUUUUUACUUAUUAUAUACGACAACAAACGAUUCUAGAAGACGUAACUGUUGGAUGUCAAUCCAACAGCCAUCGCGUUUCUUCAAUCUCUGAUCUUCUUGCUCCAGCCGCCAAAUCCAGCACCGGUGGGACCGCCUGCUCCCGCCUCCCGUGGCCGGCUGUGCUGCCGUAAAGGCCUCACCGCCCCCUACUACUCCCACCAUUGGCCAGGCCAUCCCUCUACUCACCCACAUCCCUCCACUAUUGUGGCUUCACCGCCUCCGAGUCAUUCCCUUCCUGGGUCUCGCCGUCGUUCAUCGCGUUGGUGUUCUCGGCAUGGCGUGGUCAAUGUUAUCAACAAACGACAACAUCGGAAGAGGGACGUACAUGGAGAGGCUGACAGUUGGGACCCACAUGGUCCAUGUCCGCAGGCAAGCAAGUACCUCCUUAUUACGCCAAAAAGAAUGAAUACUCCCGCUGACAGCUCGGACCCACCAGCUAUAUCUUCGCACUCAAGGAAGUGCCUCCUUAUUACGCACAAAAAAAUGAAUACUCCCCCUGCUUGCUGGGACCCACCAUAGUGGGAGGCUAACUUGUGGGCCUACUAAGUUGAUGCGGAUGGAGGGCUUUGUCAAUUUAGUCAACAAACGAUUCUAUCACCAAUAACCGUUGGAUUGUUAACAUCCAACGGUCGUCCUGCUUCUUCAACCUAUGAUUUUCUUGCUCCAGCCGUCCAAACCACCGCGUGCUCUUGCCAACCGUGGCCGGCUAGGCUGCCAUGGAGGCCUCACCGCCCUCUACUACUCCCACCACUGGCCAGGACCUACGGCGAUGGCAGCCUCACACCGCAGCCGAACCAGUGAACCCUAGUACUCCUCUCCGCGUGGGCAUCCACUGCCGCGUCUUCCCCGGCUCCACGUCAUUCCCUUCCUAGGCCUCGCCGUCGUCCCCCGCCUUGGUGCUCUCGACAUGGCAUGGUCAAUGUGAUAAACGAACGACUUCCAUCGGAGGAGUACUGUAUGUUGAGAGGCUGAUAGUUGGGUCCAUGGCCGCAUCAAGGAAGUGCCUCCUUAUUACACGCAAAAUAAUUAUUCAUCCACCUGACAGUAGGGACCCACCUAACGGGCCACCGUAUUUCAGGAAAAAAGUUCCCCCCUUGACUGCUGUGACCCACCAGCUACAUCUUCGCAUGCAAGGAAGUGUAUCCAUAUUACGGGAAAAAAUGAUUCGCCCCCCAGACUGCUGGGACCCACCAGCUACAUCUUCACACGCAAGGAAGUGCAUGACAGUCGGGACCCAACUGGUCGAAGUGUACGUAGCGUUGUCACUCUGGUCGGAACCAUCUUCGCAUGCAAGAAAUUUAUGGUUUCCCAUCUUGAUACCGACAUUCGGAACCAUCAUGCUAAAGCUCAAACGCUUAGCCAGAGAAACAACUUGCAAUGCUUUAGAUAAUGCCUCAGUGUCAAAAUUGUGCUUCAAUGCAAAUGGAUAUGACAUGAAAGAAUGCGAUGCACCAGAAUCAAAUAAGACUUUUGCAUGAAUAUCAUUAACUGGAAGAUUACCCAUGAUCACUUGAGAAGAAUCCUCUGCUUGAGCUGCAUUCACCAUGUUUACCCUUGCAGACUUGGAAUUAUUCUUGACCACUGCAUUGCUUGAAGAUCUCAUGGGAGGAGGAGGCGGAAGACGCCUUUGGUUGAAGCACUUGUUUGCAUAGUGACCAUUCUAAUGACACUUGUUGCAAGUCACCUUUGAGAGCAGACGAUGAUAAGGAGCACUUGACCUUGGAGCUUGAGUCUGAGACUUGUUCCAAUAGCCUAGGUUGGGUGGGUGGGAAGAUCCAUGGCCACCUUUGCUCUUUUGCUGGUAGGGCUGACGAAACGGAGGAGGAGGAAGCCAGAACUUCUGUUGCUUAGCUGCCACUUGUGAGGAAGAAGACCGGACUGCAUCCUUGAUUCUCUUCUUAGAAGCCUCACACUUCAGCUGAGAACCUUCUUGCUUGAGGGACAUGUUAUAGAAUUGAUCGAACUUAGUCGGCUCAAUGAGAAUGAGAGCUAACUGCAGAUCUUCUCUGAGGCCACCUCUAAUUGAUAGAUCAUGCUAUUUUCAUUAGGAACGUCUUGUUUAGCGAAGCGAGCAAGUUUCUGAAACUGGAUAUUGUAUUGAUACACGGACAUGGUGCCUUGGUUGAGAUUGCGAAAUUCCUCAUGCUUGCUCUCAGGAACACUUGUUGGGAUAUGAUGAGCUUUGAAGUCUCGGCAGAAAUCAUCCCAGGUAAUCACACGACCUUUGUCGGUGUCACAACCGGCGGAUCUCGGGUAGGGGGUCCCGAACUAUGCGUCUAAGGCGGAUGGUAACAGGAGGCAGGGGACACAAUGUUUACCAAGGUUCGGGCCCUCUUGAUGGAGGUAAUACCCUACGUCCUGCUUGAUUGUUCUUGAUGAUAUGAGUAUUAGAAGAGUUGAUCUACCACGAGAUCAAAGAGGCUAAACCCUAGAAGCUAGCCUAUGGUAUGAUUGUAUGUUGCCCUAUGGACGAAAACCCACCGGUUUAUAUAGACACCGGAGGAGGCUAGGGUUACACAAGGUCAGUUACAAAGGAGGAGAUAUACAUAUCCGUAUUGCCUAGCUUGCCUUCCACGCCAAGUAGAGUCCCAUCCGGACACGGGACGAAGUCUUCAAACUUGUAUCUUCAUAGUCCAACAGUCCGGCCAAAGGAUAUAGUCCGGCUGUCCGGAGACCCCCUAGUCCAGGACUCCCUCAGUAGCCCCUGAACCAGGCUUCAAUGACGAUGAGUCCGGCGCGCAAUGUUGUCUUCGGCAUUGCAAGGCGGGUUCCUCCUCCGAAUACACCAUUGAAGAUUUUUAAUAUAAGGAUAGUGUCCGACCCUGCAAAAUAAGUUCCACACACCAUCGUAGAGAGAAUAAUAUUUCCACGAAUCUAAUCUGUUGACACGUUUAGACAGCAUGACAUCAUGCCAUGGCCCGGUUUUUAUUCAAAACGCUUUUCUUAACCAGCUCCCCACAUAUCGCGAGGCGGUUUUCUUGACAUGUCUUGUCAAAGCAGAUAUUGUGUUCCCCUUAUCACGGGAUUCUCAUCAAUACGGACAUGGGUAACCCAACCGCGCCAUCAAUUACGGCGCCUGGGGAAUAAGCGGUUUUGCUAGGCAAGUGAGGAGGCACAUUGCCUCUUCCGCCCUUAUAAAAGGGACAAAGAUUUACUUUUUUCACCCACGCCUUCUUCCUCCUCGCUUACCCAUUCCCGCACACUCGAGCUCUAGCGCCCAAGCUCGCGUUCUUCUUCUCGAACCACUCCAAGCAUGUCUGGAGCAGGAGGCAAGUGGAUGGUCUCCUACGUCACAGAGGAGAACAUCAAAGAGUUACGGGAAGCCGGAUACCUGGCUGCGGAUAUUGCGGACCGACUGCCGAAUGCGGGGCAGAUCGUCCCAAUGCUCGAACCCCAUGAGAGGGUAGUUUUUCUUACCCAUUUCGUCCAUGGACUGGGAUUCCCUCUCCACCCAUUCGUGCACGGGCUCAUGUUCUACUACGGGCUAGAUUUUCAUGAUCUGGCCCCCAAUUUCAUCCUCAACAUCUCGGCGUUUAUCAUCGUGUGCGAGGCCUUCCUUCGCAUCAGGCCCAACUUCGGCCUAUGGCUAAAAACUUUCAAUGUCAAACCGAAGGUGGUGGGAGGCCAGCAAGCAGAGUGCGGAGGCGCCAUAGUGGGCCAGAUGCCUAAUGUCACCUGGCUUGAGGGCACCUACGUGGAUACCAUAAAGGGGUGGCAAUCGGGGUGGUUCUACAUCACCAAGCCGCGUGACUCCAACCGGGUGGCGGCCCCCAAAUUUCAAUCCGGAAUCCCCACGCGGCUCACCUCCUGGAAAAAGAAGGGUCUGUCCUAGGGUUCUUCGGUAGAGCUGACCGGACUCCAGACCUGCAUCCAGAACAUGACGAGCAGAAAACUCAAGCUUGUCAAUGUGGUCCAGGUUAUGCUCUUCCGCCGGAUCCUUCCGUGCCAAAGACGGGUAUUCAAUUUGUGGGAGUUCGACUCGGCCAAGCACCAGACGCUGUGAGAGCUCUAUGACACGACACACGAGGACGUCUGGAGGGUGCUGUUCAAGAGUGCCGAGAUGCCUCCCUCCCUCACCGAGGACCGCAGACUCAGCGCAAAGCGCCACGCCAAUCCGGUAGGUUUUUAUAUCUCGCAGGGUAUUUAUUUGCCCCGGUUUAGUUGUGUGCAGGAUCUGAACUUCCAUGUCAUUAACAGGACAAGGCCCAAUACGAAUUCCCGUAACUCCUCGGUACUCCCGAAAAUACCCGAAUCACUCAGAACCUUUCCGAUGUCCGAAUAUAGUCGUCCAAUAUAUCGAUCUUUACGUCUCGACCAUUUCGAGACUCCUCAUCAUGUCCACGAUCUCAUCCGGGACUCCGAACUCCUUCGGUACAUCAAAACACAUAAACUCGUAAUAUAACCGUCAUCGAACUUUAAGCGUGCGGACCCUAUGGGUUCGAGAACUAUGUAGACAUGACUGAGACACGUCUCCGGUCAAUAACCAAUAGCGGAACCUGGAUGCUCAUAUUGGCUCCUACAUAUUCUACGAAGAUCUUUAUCGGUCAAAUCGCAUAACAACAUACGUUGUUCCCUUUGUCAUCGGUAUGUUACUUGCGCGAGAUUCGAUCGUCGGUAUCUCAAUACCUAGUUCAAUCUCGUUACCGGCAAGUCUCUUUACUCGUUGCAUAAUACAUCAUCCCGCAACUAACUCAUUAGUUGAAAUGCUUGCAAGGCUUAUAGUGAUGUGCAUUACCAAGUGGGCCUAGAGAUACCUCUCCGACAAUCGGAGUGGCAAAUCCUAAUCUCGAAAUACGCCAACCCAACAAGUACCUUCAGAGACACCUGUAGAGCACCUUUAUAAUCACCCAGUUACGUUGUGACGUUUGGUAGCACACAAAGUGUUCCUCCAGUAAACAGGAGUUGCAUAAUCUCAUAGUCAUAGGAACUUGUAUUAGUCAUGAAGAAAGCAAUAGCAACAUACUAAACGAUCAAGUGCUAAGCUAACGGAAUGGGUCAAGUCAAUCACAUCAUUCUCUAAUAAUGUGACCCCGUUAAUCAAAUGACAAAUCAUGUCUAUGGCUAGGAAAGCUAACCAUCUUUCAUUCAACGAGCUAGUCAAGUAGAGGCAUACUAGUGACACUCUGUCUGUCUAUGUAUUCACACAUGUAUUAUGUUUCCGGUUAAUACAAUUCUAGCAUGAAUAAUAAACAUUUAUCAUGAAAUUAGGAAAUAAAUAAUAACUUUAUUAUUGCCUUUAGGGCAUAUUUCCUUCACAACCAUUCUUAGGGAUUUAUCCUUCUUCUCAACCAAAAGCACAGGGGCUCCCCAUGGUGAUGAACUCCGUCGAAUGUAACCUUUCUCCAAUAACUCCUUGAUCUAUUUCUUAAUCUCCUCCAGAUCAUUCGCGAGCAUCCUAUAGGGUCUCUUGGAUGUCGGCCCUGUGCCUGGCAAUAGCUCUAUCAAAAAUUCAAUAUCUCGGUCCGGUGGCAUGCCUGGUAACUCCUCUGGGAAAACAUCUGGUAAUCCUUUACUACAGGCACUUCUUCCUGAACAACUCCCAUGAGGGUAUUUACUUGGCUACUUCUUGGCGCAUGCCUUGAUACAUACUUGAUCCUUCUUCCCUCCGGGGUGGUGAGACAAAUUGACUUACUAACACAGUCAAUGCUUCCUCCGUACUUCGACAUCCAUUCCAUUCCUAAUAUCACAUCCAAUCCUUGUGACUCAAAAAUAAUUAGGUCGAACGGAAAAACAUGGUUGCCAAUGGUUAAGGGUAUCUGGUCGCACCAUCGACUAGCCAUAUACUCUGCUAAAGGUGAGCUUACUAACAGAGGGGUCCUAAGGGUUUGGGUCGGUAGUUUAAACUUAUCCCCGAAUUCCCUUGAUAUGUAUGAAUGCGAUGCACCAGUAUCAAAAAGAACAAGAGCGGUAAAUGACUUAACCAAAAACUUACCUAUAACCCCGUCUGGCUGCUCUUCAACCUCCUCCACGUUAACGUGGUUCACUUGUGCUUUGUUGAAUGGAUUGGGCUUCUUCCCAGCGCUCCCAUUUCCGUUUCCAUUCUUCCCUUCAGGGAAAUCCGUGGCAUAGUCUCCAGUCCUCCCGCACUUGAAACAAGUAACGUGGCUUAGGUCUUUCUUGGUGGGUGUGGCUAGAUUGGGGCGGUUCUGAUUGUUGCUUGCUCCAUUCCCAUUCCCAUUCCUAGGGCCAGUAUUAUUAUGGUUACUUCCUCAAUUAUGGGUGUGGCCUCCAUGGUUAUGAACAUGUCCUCCCGAGUUCGGGGUUAGACGAGGCUUCUGCUGAGCUCCCGAGUUAUAACUCCCUUGUCCAUACUUCCUCUUACGGCUCUCAAUUUGCUGCUGCUUCCCUUCAAUCAUAAGAGACUUAUUUACCAACUCCUGGUAGUUGGUGAAUGUUGCCACCAUCAACUACAUACUCAUCUCAUCAUUCAGCCCUUCCAUAAACUUCUCCUGCUUUGCGGCAUCUGUGGCCACAUCAUCAGGGGCAUAGCGAGAUAACUUGCUAAACUCAUCCGCGUACUGAGCCACAGUAUGGUUCCCGUGCCGUAAGUUGCGAAACUCAUGCUUCUUCAAAUUCAUGGCUCCAGUUGAGACAUGGGCUAUACGGAAGGCUUUCUAAAAUUGGUCCCAUGUCACCGUGGCUAUAGGGUAGGUGACGGUAUAAUUCUCCCACCAUGAUGCUGCUGGUCCAUCCAACUGAUGUGCGGCAAAAUGCACCUUCUCAGCAUCAGUACAUCCUGCAGUGGUUAACUCCCUUCCAAUCCUGCGGAGCCUAUCAUCUGCUACUAUAGGCUCGGUGCUACUGAAAAACACCGGCGGCUGCAACCUCUGAAAAUGGGCUAAGUUGUCCACUGGUGGUGGUGGUGGUGGAUUGUUGUUGUUGUUGUUGUUGUUGUUGUUGCCUUGGUUCUGAACUAACAACUAUAUCAGGGUAUUCUAUUGCUGGAUCAACUGAGUGAGCUCCGGUGGGAAAGAAAAUCCGGGGUCACAUCUCGGAGGCAUCUGAUGGGCUUAGUGGGAGAGAUUAGAAUAGAAUGAGGUCUAAUGAGAAAGAACUACCCAUAUGCACAUGAGACAAACACAAACAUUUCACUCAAUCAAUCAAGCCAGGCAUACAAUCGGUCUAACUAUCGUAAAAGUGCUCGGACUAUACUAUUUACAUGGUGGAAUACUACUACUGAAGUGGUGGUCUACUAAAAAUAUUCCUCAGUUGCAGACUCCAUGAUAUCUGCUCCAGCUUCGUCUUCAAUGUCAUCAUCGCUAAGGUCGAAGUCGGUGUCGUCGAUGAUGAUGUAGUCUUCCGGGCGAUUCUCCUUGGGUUCUUCGUCUUCUUCUACUGGUGUGGGGUCUCCCAUGAAUAUUCUGAUCUUUUUAAUCAGGUUGUCAUUCUUCUCCACUAGUAUGACGAUUUCCUCCUCAUAAUCUUCACGUGUAGCCUUGAGUUCUUCCUCCAGUUCUGCGAUCCUAGUCAUUGCCUUCUUCAGAUCUAUCAUGCCUGCGCACAUUUGGUUCUCCUAGCGUCGAAUGUGCUGGUUUAGUUCCUGGAUGAAAGCUGCAAUUGAUCUAUCCUUCCUGGUGCUGAUCAUCUCCCAUUCCUCAUCUCGGCACCCACAGAUCUGGUAGAUAGUAUCCUUAAGCUCCUUUUGGUAAACUUCUCCAAUGCGUCCCAUGGCGAUGUGAGCUGCCAUACUCUUUCCUAAACUCUAGGUUGGUGCAUCGAAGGAAAACUCUUUGGGUUUAGUGACUGGCAUGAAGGUUCUUCCUAGAACUUGAACUUGAAUCAUCCAUCGCUCCUCUUCUGGUAAAGUGGCGUUGUAGGUCCCAGUGAAGCUUGGUAUUCCUAUGUUCAGGUACCUUGUGACUUCCUUCAAGUGUCGUCCAAAAGGUGCUUCUUCAUCCGCUUGUGCAAACUUGUUCCUUGCAUCCGCCAUCCUAAAGAGUGGAAAAUGGAGAGGAGUCAGAAAUGAGAAGAGAAUAGUGAUCUAUGGUUUUAGCUUAGUGGUCAUGUCCUACACUCAGCGUGUGCUCAGAUACCAUCUUGUAGCGACCCGGCCUCAAACGGCCAAGUCUCUGUGCUUUAGUGUCAUCCUUGGAUCGGUAAUGCUGACACACAUAGUACUCGAGGAUUUAUAACAGAGUAGCAAUCACACACUUAUUACAUCGAAUGUCUCCAAAGAGAACUUAUUACAAUAAAUAUGUCUUAAGGCCAUCUAAUACGAUAACAGCGGAAGGCUUGGAAGAUAAAGUGAGUCCAUCAACUCCAACGGCAUAGCUGAGCUGCACGGCAACGACCUAACGAACCUUACUCCUCGUCUGAAAAGUCUGCAACAUAAUACGUUGCAGCCCGAAAACGGGUCAGCACAUGGAAUAUGCUGGCAAAGUAACACAAUAGAGCAAGAACUGAAUAAUGUUAUCACUACAUGCAUAUUUGGCUGGUGGAAAGCUCUAUGCUUAUAGUUUUUGCGAAAAGCCAAUUUUUCCCUACAACAAAGGAAUAGAUUUUAAUUUAACUAUCAUGGUAGUUGAAACAUCAUUGAGAAGGUUCCUCCAACUCAAUCCCAAUUAAGGUAAUUAUCAACCCAACAACAUUAAUUUAGAGUGAUGAGAUACUUAAGAUACUCCAAGUACUAGAUACUCAAGAUGUCCAUAACCGGGGACAUGACUAACCAUGAUUAGUUUGUACACUCUGCAGAGGUUUGUGCACUUUUCCCCACAAGACUCGAUCGCCUCCAUUGGAUUUCUCGCACUAAAUGGUGGUUGAGAAACGGAUGACCGAGACACAGUCUUUCAGAAACAUUAACUCUCUACUCCGGGCAGACCAUACCAAACCUACAACCCACUACCUGCUGAUCCACCUCUUCAAGAGCUUCACGUAACUUACUCAACUAUGCUAGAGCCCAUAAAAGCUUGUGGCUGCACACGGAAGUUUCUAGCAUGAAUAAUCUCAGUUCCCUUUGAGCCUGGGUGGCGGUCCAUAGGAAGAUCACACGGGUACUCCGGGAUUUCCAAAUGUGUAUUUAAGUUGCCACCUUAAGUUGAACCAUUAAUUAACAAUCUCACAUCUGUCAUGGAUUUCACUCACCCAAACCACGUCUACGAGCAUAGCAUAGCAAUAUAAGCAAUUCGUAAGAGUAACUCCCAAGGGUUUGAAUGUAACAGGGUAACAGGUUCUACCUCAUCAACUACUUCCCAACCCACAUGUUAAUGACAUCCUAACCAUGCAAUGUUUGGGGAUUGGAACUAAUGCAUAAAAACUGGGUGAUAAAGGGGUAUCAUCAAAGUGUUACUUGCCUUGCUGACGAUCCGCGUAACCUAGAGACUCCAAAUAACAUGCUUCACACUCCGGGAAUUCUAUCGCAAACAAACAAUAGCAUACAUAAGCAAUCAAGCAUAGAAGCACGGGUAAAACUCAAAUAAGAAGAUGUAACCAGAAAGUUGAACUUAAGAACUCCGGUUUGCAAAAAGAAUCAAAUCGAACGGAGCAACGAAACUCAAACGGUGAAAGAAACAAGAUCCGUUUAAUAAUCUGGACCUAGGUCAACUUUUACAGUAGCAAAAACUUGUGCAAGUUGGUUAAGCGGAAAGAGGGUCUCGAGACGAAGAUCUAGGCGCUUGAAUCGCCUGAUUCCGAUUAACGAGCAAAAAGAUAAACUAGAACGAAAAUUGGAUCAGAAAUCGCGAUCAGAAAUAACCGUGAAAAAAAUUCGAUGAAAGAAAACUGACGAAUAGGCUAACGAACGAGCAUUCAUUAUCUGUAACUAACGAGCGAAAACCGUUCGUUAAAACAAAUGUACGGACGAACGUCCGCUAAAAAGAAAAACCGGGAAAAACCGGCAAACCUAAAAAAACGAGUUAGAGUUUCUUAAAAAAACCGGAUCCAUUUUCUUUAAAAAAACGGUGGCUACCUCGUCGGUCCGGCGAGGCACGGCGGCGACGGCGAGGCGAGGCGUGGCGACGGCACGGCGGGGCAGCGGUGCGGCACUUUAGCNNNNNNNNNNNNNNNNNNNNNNNNNNNNNNNNNNNNNNNNNNNNNNNNNNNNNNNNNNNNNNNNNNNNNNNNNNNNNNNNNNNNNNNNNNNNNNNNNNNNNNNNNNNNNNNNNNNNNNNNNNNNNNNNNNNNNNNNNNNNNNNNNNNNNNNNNNNNNNNNNNNNNNNNNNNNNNNNNNNNNNNNNNNNNNNNNNNNNNNNNNNNNNNNNNNNNNNNNNNNNNNNNNNNNNNNNNNNNNNNNNNNNNNNNNNNNNNNNNNNNNNNNNNNNNNNNNNNNNNNNNNNNNNNNNNNNNNNNNNNNNNNNNNNNNNNNNNNNNNNNNNNNNNNNNNNNNNNNNNNNNNNNNNNNNNNNNNNNNNNNNNNNNNNNNNNNNNNNNNNNNNNNNNNNNNNNNNNNNNNNNNNNNNNNNNNNNNNNNNNNNNNNNNNNNNNNNNNNNNNNNNNNNNNNNNNNNNNNNGCGCGGCAGCUUGGGCGGCGGCUGCGGCGGCUUGGGCUGCGGGGCGAGGUGGGGCGGCGGUGGCGGGUGGUGGGGGCGGUAUUUAAGGCGAGGGGGUGCCUUGGGGAGGGGGCAAAGGGGCGGCGGCGGCGGAGUCCUAGCCGGACUUCGGUCCGGGUUGGGGCGUCGCGGCGUCGGUCUCCUGCGGCAGACAGCGUCGCGGGGGAGGUGGGCCGGCGGCUGGGCUUCGACCCAGUUAGCCACGCCCUUUUUUAAUAUAAUUCCGCUGAUACAAAAAAAUCCUAGAAAAUAAAAUAAAAUUCUAAAAAUGCCAAAACAAAUUUUCUCCGUCUAAAUAAAAUAUUUAGAAUGAGAUGAACAUUUUCUUGGCCCUAAAAUGCAAUUUUGAAAAUGUGCAUUUUUUCUAAUGCAAACAAAAAUUGCAAAUAAAAUCCAAAUAAAAACAAAUAUUGAUUUUAUUUUUUUCUCCAAUAGUUCAUUUAUUUUGGAGAAGUCAUAUUAUCUCCUCUCAUAUAUUUUAAUAUGAAAUAUUUUCGGAGAGAAAAAGAAUUAAAACCAAAAAUCCUCGUUUCAAAAUUUGAUAAAAAUCAAAUUUGAAAACCGGGGAAAUCCCCAACUCUCUCCGAGGGUCCUUGAGUUGCUUAGGAUUUCGAGGAUCGUGAGACGAAAUGCAAUAAAAUAUGAUAUGCAAGAAUGAUCUAUGUAUAACAUUCCAAAUUGAAAAUUCGGGAUGUUACAAACCUACCCCCUUAAGAUGAAUCUCGCCCUUGAGAUUCGGGUUGGCUAGAAAAUAGGUGUGGGUGGUUUUUGCGAAGAUCAUCCUCUCAUUCCCAAGUGGCUUCAUCCUCGGUAUGGUGGCUCCACUGAACUUUGCAAAACUUAAUAACCUUUUUGCGGGUGACUCGACUGGCAAAGUCCAAAAAUCUUGACUGGCUUCUCCUCAUAAGUCAAGUCAUUGUCCAACUGAAUCGCCUCCAAGGGUACGGUAUCUCUUAGCGGUAUGUCGGCCAUCUCAAUAUGGCACUUCUUCAACUGGGAAACGUGAAACACAUCGUGAACUCCUGAUAGUCCUUCAGGUAACUCCAACUUGUAGGCAACUUCUCCCAUCCAUUCCUAAACACUAUACGGUCCUACAAAUCUCGGGGCUAACUUUCCCUUAACUCCAAAACGUUUCACUCCUCGCAAAGGUGAUACUCGCAGAUAUGCUCUAUCUCCAAUUUCAUAGGUUACCUCCUUGCAUUUCAAAUCUGCAAAACUCUUCUGUCUGGACUGAGCUAUCUUCAGUCUAUCCCGAAUCAGUUUAACCUUCUCCUCGGGCUCUUUGAUCAAGUCUGGUCCAAACAACUAUCGGUCUCCAACUUCAUCCCACAUCAACGGUGUUCUGCACCUUCGGCCGUAUAGGGCUUCAAACGGUGCCAUUUUCAAACUGGCUUGGUAACUAUUGUUGUAUGAGAACUCUGCGUAAAGCAAAUUGUCAUCCCAACUAGACCCAUAGUCUAGCGCACAGGCUCUCAACAUGUCCUCCAGAAUCUGGUUGACUCUCUCGGUUUGUCCGUCCGUCUGUGGGUGGAAUGUUGUACUGAACUCCAACCUUGUUCCCAAAGUCUGGUGCAGCUCAUGCCAAAAAUUUGAAGUAAAUUGUGUUCCUCUAUCCGACGCGAUGGUCCUCGGAACUCCAUGCAGACAUACGAUCCCGGUUAUAUAUAUCUUGGCCAACUUUGCACUGGUAUAAGUUGUUUUCACUGGGAUAAAGUGUGCCACUUUGGUCAAGCGGUCAACUACUACCCAUAUAGAAUCAUAUCCUGAUUUGGUCCUGGGUAAUCCGGUGAUAAAAUCCAUGCCAAGUUUAUCCCACUUCCAUUCGGGUAUGGGCAUAGGCUGUAGAAAUCCUGUUGGCUUUUGAUGCUCUGCCUUCACUCUCUGACAUACAUCACAUACGGCCACAUACUCGGCGAUAUCCUUCUUCAUCCCUGUCCACCAGAAACGUUCCUUCAAAUCCAAAUACAUCUUGGUGUUUCCGGGGUGUAUCGAGUAUGGUGAGUCAUGAGCCUCCUGAAGUAUUAACUUCCUGAUCUCAGUGUUAUUGGGCACAUAAACACGGUCCUCAAACCAUAAGGUGUCGUGCUCAUCCUCACUAAAACCUUUGGCCUUUCCUUCGCUCAUUUUCUCCUUUAUCUCGGCAAUCUCUUUGUCAUCCUUCUGAGCUUCUUGAAUUUUCCCCAACAAUGUAGACUGUACCUCCAUUGUUGCGACAAAACCCUCUAGGAACAAUCUCCAAUCGAAGUUCCCGGAGAUCCUCUGCUAACUCCUUCAUCAAUCCCGUGGUCUCUAGGGUAUUAGCAUAACUCUUUCGGCUCAAAGCGUCUGCUACGACAUUGGCCUUUCCUGGAUGAUAGUGAAGCUUCAUGUCAUAAUCCUUUAUAAGCUCCAACCAUCUUCUCUGCCUAUGGUUCAGUUCCUUCUGGGUGAAAAUGUACUUCAAACUCUUAUGAUCCGUGUACACAUCACAAUGAUUUCCAAUAAGGUAAUGUCUCCAACUCUUCAACGCAUGACCUACGGCUCCUAGCUCCAAAUCAUGCGUGGCAUAAUUUAACUCGUGCGGUUUUAGUUGUCGUGAGGCAUACGAAACAACUCUUCUGUCCUGCAUAAGCACACUUCCAAGUCCCAAGCGAGAGGCAUCACAAUACACUUGGAAAUCCUUACGUAUAUCUAGCAGUGUCAGCACUGGGGCUGUAGUCAAACGUUUCUUCAGAUCCUGGAAACUUGCCUCACAAUAUUCCCUCCAUUUAAACUUGGUAUCCUUCUUCAAUAACUCCAUCAUUGGUUUCGCAAUCUUGGAAAAAUUCUCAAUGAAUCUCCGAUAGUAUCAUGCGAGUCCAAGAAAAUUGCGGAUCUCGCUAACUGAAGUGGGUGCCAACCAUUCAGUGACUGACUGAACCUUGGUGGGGUCUACUGCUAUACCUCCUCCUGAUAUAGCGUGUCCAAGGAAUCCGACUUCCUUCAAUCAAAACUCGCAUUUGCUGAACUUGGCGUACAACUGAUGUUCCCUGAGUUUCUCGAGAACUAAACGCAAAUGCUCCUUGUGUUCUUCUUCAUUCUUCAAAUAUACCAUUAUAUCAUCAAUGAACACCACAACAAACUUAUCCAAAUAUUCCAUGAAUACUUUGUUCAUCAUGCUCAUGAAAUAGGCAGGGGCGUUAGUCAGUCCAAAUGACAUGACUAUAUAUUCGUAUAGCCCGUACCGUGUGGUGAAGGCUGUAUUUGGUAUAUCCUUCUCUUGUAUCUUCAACUGAUAAUAUCCUGAUCGCAGAUCGAUCUUCCAAAACACCUUAGCUCCUUGCAGCUGAUCAAAUAGAUCAUUGAUCAUCGGCAAUGGGUACUUGUUCUUAAUCGUCACUUCAUUCAAGGCUCGAUAAUCAACAACCAUUCUUAGGGAUUUAUCCUUCUUCUCAACCAAAAGCACUGGGGCUCCCCAUGGUGAUGAACUCCGUCGAAUGUAACCUUUCUCCAAUAACUCCUUGAUCUGUUUCUUAAUCUCCUCUAGAUCAUUCACGAGCAUCCUAUAGGGUCUCUUGGAUAUCGGCCAUGUGCCUGGCAAUAGCUCUAUCAAAAACUCAAUAUCUCGGUCCGGUGGCAUGCAUGGUAACUCCUCUGGGAAAACAUCCGGGUAAUCCUUUACUAUAGGCACUUCUUCCUGAACAACUCCCGUGAGGGUAUUUACUUGGCUUCUUCUUGGUGCAUGCCUUGAUACAUACUUGAUCCUUUUUCCCUCCGGGGUGGUGAGACAAAUUGACUUACUAACACAGUCAAUGAUUUCUUCCGUACUUCGACAUCCAGUCUAUUCCUAAUAUCACAUCCAAUCCUUGUGACUCCAAGAUAAUUAGGUUGGACAGAAAAACAUGGUUGCCAAUGGUUAAGGGUAUCUGGUCACACCAUCGACUAUCCAUAUACUCUGCUCCAGGUGAGCUUACUAACAGAGGGGUCGUAAGGGUUUGGGUCCGUAGUUUAAACUUAUCCACGAAUUCCCUUGAUAUGUAUGAAUGCGAUGCACCAGUAUCAAAAAGAACAAGAGCGGUAAAUGACUUAACCAAAAACUUACCUAUAACUGCGUCUGGCUGCUCUUCAACCUCCUCCACGUUAACGUGGUUCACUUGUCCUUUGUUGAAUGGAUUGGGCUUCUUCCCAGUGCUCCCAUUUCCAUUUCCAUUCUUCCCUUCAGGGCACUCCGUGGCAUAGUGUCCAGUCUUCCCGCACGUGAAACAAGUAACGUGGCUUAGGUCUCUCUUGGUGGGUGUGGCUGGAUUGGGGCGGUUCUGAUUGUUGCUUGCUCCAUUCCCAUUCCCAUUCCUAGGGCCAGUAUGAUUAUGGUUACUUCCUUUAUUAUGGGUGUGGCCUCCAUGGUUAUGAACAAGUCCUCCGGAGUUCGGGGUUAGACGAGGCUUCUGCUGAGCUCCCGAGUUAUACCUCCCUUGUCCAUACACCUCUUACGGCUCUCAAUCUGCUGCUUCUUCCCUUCAAUCAUAAGAGCCUUAUCUACCAACUCCUGGUAGUUGGUGAAUGUUGCCACCAUCAACUACAUACUCAUCUCAUCAUUCAGCCCUUCCAUAAACUUCUCCUGCUUUGCGGCAUCUGUGGCCACAUCAUUAGGGGCAUAGCGAGAUAACUUGCUAAACUCAUCCGCGUACUGAGCCGCAAUACGGUUCCUCUGGCGUAAGUUGCAAAACUCACGCAUCUUCAAAUUCAUGGCUCCAGUUGAGACAUGGGAUGUACGGAAGGCUUGCUGAAAUUGGUCCCAUGUCACCGUGGCUAUAGGGUAGGUGACAGUGUAAUCCUCCCACCAUGAUGAUGCUGGUCCAUCCAACUGAUGUGCGGCAAAACACACCUUCUCAGCAUCAGUACAUCCUGCAGUGGUUAACUCCCUUCCAAUCCUGCGGAGGCAAUUAUCUGCUACUAUAGGCUCGGUGCUACUAGAAAACACCGGCGGCUGCAACCUCAGAAAAUGGGCGAAGUUGUCCACUGGUGGUGUUGGUGGUGGAUUGUUGUUGUUGUUGUUGUUGCCUUGAUUCUGAACUAACAACUGCAUCAGGUUAUUCUAUUGCUGGAUCAACUGAGUGAGCUCCGGUGGGAAAGCAAAUCCGUGGUCACAUCUCGGAGGCAUCUGAUGGGUUUAGAGGGGAGAGAUUAGAAUGGAAUGAGGUCUAAUGAGAAAACACUACCCAUAUGCACAGGAGACAAACACAAACAUUUCACUCAAUCAAUCAAGCCAGGCAUACAAUCGGUCUAACUAUCGUAAAAGUGCUCGGCCUAUACUAUUUACAUGGUGGAAUACUACUACUGAUGUGGUGGUCUACUAAAAAUAUUCCUCGGUUGCAGACUCCAUGAUAUCUACUCCAGCUUCGUCUUCAAUGUCAUCAUCACUAAGGUCGGAGUCGGUGCCGUCGAUGAUGAUGUAGUCUUCCGGGCGAAUCUCCUUGGGUUCUUUGUCUUCUUCUACUGGUGUGGGGUCUCCCAUGAAUAUUCCGAUCUUUUUAAUCAGGUCGUCAUUCUUCUCCACUAGUACGACGAUUUCCUCCUCAUAAUCUUCACGUGUAGCCUUGAGUUCUUCCUCCAGUUCCGCGAUCCUAGUCACUGCCUUCUUCAGAUUUAUCAUGCCUGCGCGCAUUUGGUUCUCCUGGCGUCGAAUGUGCCGAUUUAGUUCCUGGAUGAAAGCUGCAAUUGAUCUAUCCUUCCUGGUGUUGAUCAUCUCCCAUUGCUCAUCUCGGCGCCCACAGAUCUGGUAGAUAGUAUCCUUAAGCUCCUUUUGGUAAACUUCUCCAAUGCGUCCCAUGGUGAUGUGAGCUGCCAUACUCUUUCCUAAACUCCAGGUUGGUGCAUCGAAGGAGAACUCUAUGGGUUUAGUGACUGGCGUGAAGGUUCUUCCUGGAACUUGAACUUGAAUCAUCCAUCGCUCCUCUUCUGGUAAAGUGGCGUUGUAGGUCCCGGUGAAGCUUGGUAUUCCUAUGUUCAGGUACCUAGUGACCUCCUUCAAGUGUCGUCAAAAAGGUGCUUCUUCAUCUGAUUGUGCACCCUUGUUCCUAGCAUUCGCCAUCCUAAAGAGUGGAAAAUGGAGAGGAGUCAGAAAUGAGAAGAGAAUAGUGAUCUAGGGUUUUAGCUUAGUGGUCGUGUCCUACACUCAGCGUGUGCUCUGAUACCAUCUUGUAGCGACCCGACCUCAAACGGCCAAGUCUCUAUGCUUCAGUGUCAUCCAUGGAUCGGUAAUGCUGACACACACAGUACUCGAGGAUUUAUAACAAAGUAGCAAUCACACACUUAUUACAUUGAAUGUCUCCAAAGAGAACUUAUUACAAUAAAUAUGGCUUAAGGCCAUCUAAUACGAUAACAGCGGAAGGCUUGGAAGAUAAAGUGAGUCCAUCAACUCCAACGGCAUAGCUGAGCUACACGGCAACGACCUAACGAACCUUACUCCUCGUCUGAAAAGUCUGCAACAUAAUACGUUGCAGCCCGAAAAGGGUCAGCACAUGGAAUAUGCUGGUAAAGUAACACAAUAGAGCAAGAAAAGAAUAAUGCUAUCACUACAUGCAUAGUUGGCUGGUGGAAAGCUCUAUGCUUAUAGUUUUUGCGAAAAGCCAUUUUUUCCCUACAACAAAGGAAUAGAUUUUAAUUUAACUAUCAUGGUAGUUGAAACAUCAUUGAGAAGGUUCCUCCAACUCAAUCCCAAUUAAGGUAAUUAUCAACCCAACAACAUUAAUUUAGAGUGAUGAGAUACUUAAGAUACUCCAAGUACUAGAUACUCAAGAUGUCCAUAACCGGGGACACGGCUAACCAUGAUUAGUUUGUACACUCUACAGAGGUUUGCGCACUUUUCCCCACAAGACUCGAUCGCCUUCGUUGGGUUUCUCGCACUACAUGGUGUUUGAGAAACGGAUGACCAAGACACAGUCUUUCAGAAAUGUUAACUCUCUACUCCGGGCAGAUGAUAUCAAACCUACAACCCACUACCUACUAAUCCACCUCUUCAAGAGCUUCACGUAACUUACUCAACUAUGCUAGAGCCCAUAAUAGCUUGUGGCUGCACACGGAAGUUUCUAGCAUGAAUAAUCUCAGUUCCCUUUGAGCCUGGGUGGCGGUCCAUAGGAAUAUCACACGGGUACUCCAGGAUUUCCAAAUAUACAUGCAACACUGGGUACUCCAGGUUCCUCAAUCCACCCAGAUGUUUAUUUAAGUUGCCACCUUAAGUUGAACCAUUAAUUAACAAUCUCACAUCUGUCAUGGAUUUCACUCACCCAAACCACGUCUACGAGCAUAGCAUAGCAAUAUAAGCAAUUCGUAAGAGUAACUCCCAAAGGUUUGAAUGUAACAGGGUAAUAGGUUCAACCUCAUCAACUACUUCCCAACCCACAUGUUAAUGACAUCCUAACCAUGCAAUGUUUGGGGAUUGGAACUAAUGCAUAAAAACUGGGUGAUAAAGGGGUAUGAUCAAAGUGUUACUUGCCUUGCUGACGAUCCGCGUAACCUAGAGACUCCAAAUAACACGCUUCGCACUCCGGGAAUUCUAUCGCAAACAAACAAUAGCAUACAUAAGCAAUCAAGCAAAGAAGCACAGGUAAAACUCAAAUAAGAAGAUCUAACCAGAAAGUUUAACUUAAGAACUCCGGUUUGCAAAAAGAAUCAAAUUAAACGGAGCAACGAAACUCAAACAGUGAAAGAAACAAGAUCCGUUUACUAAUUUUGACCUAGGUCAAAUUUUACAGUAGAAAAAACUUGUGCAAGUUGGUUAAGUGGAAAGAGGGUCUGGAGACAAAGAUCUAGGCGCUUGAAUGGCCUGAUUCCGACUAACGAGCGAAAAGAUAAACUAGAACGAAAAUCGGAUCAGAAAUCGCGAUCAGAAAUAACCGUGCAAAAAAUCCUAUAAAAGAAAACUGACGAACAGGCUAACGAACGAGCGUUCGUUAUCUGUAACUAACGAGCGAAAACCGUCCUUUAAAACGAUCAUAUGGACGAAUGUCCGCUAAAAAGAAAAAUCGGGAAAAACCGGCGAACCUAAAAAACGAGUUAGGGUUUCUUAAAAAAACCGGAUCGGUUUUCUUUGAAAAAAUGGCGGCUACCUCGUCGGUCCGGUGAGGCACGGCGGCGACGGCGAGGCGAGGCACGGCGGCGGCACGGCGCGACAGCGGCAGGCGGCGGCGGCGCAGGCAAGCGGCNNNNNNNNNNNNNNNNNNNNNNNNNNNNNNNNNNNNNNNNNNNNNNNNNNNNNNNNNNNNNNNNNNNNNNNNNNNNNNNNNNNNNNNNNNNNNNNNNNNNNNNNNNNNNNNNNNNNNNNNNNNNNNNNNNNNNNNNNNNNNNNNNNNNNNNNNNNNNNNNNNNNNNNNNNNNNNNNNNNNNNNNNNNNNNNNNNNNNNNNNNNNNNNNNNNNNNNNNNNNNNNNNNNNNNNNNNNNNNNNNNNNNNNNNNNNNNNNNNNNNNNNNNNNNNNNNNNNNNNNNNNNNNNNNNNNNNNNNNNNNNNNNNNNNNNNNNNNNNNNNNNNNNNNNNNNNNNNNNNNNNNNNNNNNNNNNNNNNNNNNNNNNNNNNNNNNNNNNNNNNNNNNNNNNNNNNNNNNNNNNNNNNNNNNNNNNNNNNNNNNNNNNNNNNNNNNNNNNNNNNNNNNNNNNNNNNNNNNNNNNNNNNNNNNNNNNNNNNNNNNNNNNNNNNNNNNNNNNNNNNNNNNNNNNNNNNNNNNNNNNNNNNNGGCGGCUUGGGCGGCGGCUGCGGCGGCUUGGGCUGUGGGGCGAGGCGGGGCGGCGGUGGCGGGUGGUGGUGGCCGGGGGGUGCCUUAGGGAGGGAGCAAAGGGGCGGCGGCGGCGGAGUCCUAGCCGGACUCCGGUCCGGGUCGGGGCGUGGCGGCGUCGGUCUCCUGAGGGAGACGACGUCGCGGGGGAGGUGGGCCGGCGGCUGGGCUUCGUCCCAGUUAGCCACGCGCAUUUUUUUAUAUAUAAUUCCGCUGAAACUAAAAAAAUCCUAGAAUAUAAAAUAAAAUUCUAAAAAUGCCAAAAUAAAUUUUCUUCGUCUAAAUAAAAUAUUUAGAACGAGAUGAACAUUUUCUUGGCCCUAAAAUGCAAUUUUGAAAACGUGCAAUUUUUCUAAUGCAAACAAAAAUUGCAAAUAAAAUCCAAAUAAAAACAAAUAUUUUUUCUCCAAUAUUUCAUUUAUUUUGGAGAAGUCAUAUUAUCUCCUCUCAUAUAUUUUAAUAUGAAAUAUUUUCAAAGAGAAAAAUAAUUAAAACCAGAAACCCUCAUUUCAAAAUUUGAUAAAAAUCAAAUUUGAAAACCGGGGGAAUCUCCAACUCUCUCCGAGGGUCCUUGAGUUGCUUAGGAUUUCAAGGAUCGCGAGACGAAAUGCAAUAAAAUAUGAUAUGCAAGAAUGAUCUAUGUAUAACAUUCCAAAUUGAAAAUUUGGGAUGUUACAUUCUUGCUUCGUGGGCCUGCGCAUGUUUUGUAAACAAAGGGUCAGCUAGCGGUUUGUAUUUCGGGCCAAAAGAAGGUAAAAAAAGGUCAGUACAGAUGGCUUACCAAAGAUGGCAGACACCAUUUGAGAUACCCGGUCCUUUAAGCCGGUCAGCUCCGUAGUAACCUCCUCAAGAGCUGCUUCAGCUUUUUCGGCACGUUGUGUCAGCAGCGUUUUCUCUUCAUCCCAGGUUUUCUUCUUGGAAGCAAAGCUGUUUCUCAAUUUCUCCGUCUCAGCAAGGCUCAAUUGCAGUUUGGAGUCAGCAGACUUGAUUUCUGCCUCCUAAUCUGACAGCCGGGUCUUCACAUGAGUUAAUUGCGAGCUUAAUUCAGAUAAGGCAUUCUACAAAACAUACCCAGGUGUGUCAAGAUUUCAAUUAAAAUUCAACAGUCAAGAUUCAAGUCUCAAGUACUUUGCACUGCAAAACCACUUGACACUUGGGGGCUAAUGUAUGCCAAAACAAUUUCUUAUGAAUCUAACAUACUUCAAGUCCCAAGUACUUUACAAAGUAACAGCACUUGGCACUUGGGGGCUAAUGUAUACUAUUUAGCAAGUUUCUUAAGGUUAAGUAGGAUUGCAAUAUUUGUUGGGAUCGGCACAAGGCACGUAUGAAAUUCAAAGUACCGGCUCAUUUAUGGUCAAGUGAACCGGCCCUUGGGGACUACCGGUGAAGUUUAUUCUAUUUUAUUGGAUAACAGAAAUAUCUAAAGGUAAAGCUUUAGCCUCUUUCAUAAGUCUACAGAUCAUUCAGGUUUUAUCAUAAUCUAAAGACUUGGGGGCUGACAGAAUAUAAGUAAGCCGGAAUAGCAUACCUCAUACUUCAGCUGCAAUUGCUUAACCAUUUCGAUUUUUGAGUCACGGCUGGAAUGCACGUGGCUGAGAUAGUCGGACAAUAUGUCGUUGGCGUUCAGAUGGUUAUAAUGCGAAACAUCAAAACACACUUUUUGUCUCUCCAAAGCCUCUUGUUUAGCUGUGUGACGAGCCAACAUAGUGGGAUUCCCCAACUCAACAAAGCGGCUUCCAGUGAUCAGAACGACUUGGGCUGACGGCGAUGGUGGGUUGGCUGAGCUGGAUGGACCGGUAGCAGAAGGGUUAAUGAUAGUAUCGUCAACUGAUGGCUCGGGAGGAGCUACUUCAGCAUUGGCAACCGGGUCUUCUAGUGCUCCAGUUAAUUGAGGAGAAGGUGGCAUGGCCGAUUCGGGUGCAAGGACUGGCGGGUCUUACGCCCGCCUAGUCACCUUAGCCUUCUUAGACUUGGCUUGGCCACUAAGAAAGAUAUUAUCAAACAGUUAAUAUAAAAAAGCAGUUUUGAAAGACAUGGAGGAAAGAUGAUGUCUUCCUUACCCAGGGGCAGUCUUAAAGGCCGGGAAUUGAGUUUGAGAUGAGUCGCCAGAAGAGCGAGACACCUCCUGCAAAGAUAAAAUAAAGUUAGUACAUAUCUAUCAAUGGAAAAUAAAAGGCGAAGAAAUAAACCUCAUUCUGGCGCUUUUGAGGAGUUUUUUGAAGAACAACAGGCGGUUCAUCAUCGUUCCGAGUCUGACGGCGGCUCUCAUGUUGCUGUUUUUUUCAAAAGAAAAUGAGGGUCCAGAUAAGCUAAAGGGUGUGAAAACCUUACUUUCCAGGUUACGACUCGAAGUUUCUGUCUUGGCAAAUGGGCUAAGUCGGAGGUAAUAGUUACCUCUUCUUCCACGGCCUGACUGGCCCUUGUGUCGUCCUGGUAAUGAUUAGUGUUAAUAAGAUUAUUAAAAAGUUGGCCAAGGGAGUCAAGGGCUACCUCUGACUCAGAAGUAUCAUCAAGCUUCAUCAGGUCCUCAGCAAUGCUCUUCUUCUUCUUGGACCUCCGGGUCGUCUUCUUGGCGGUAGUGGCGGCGGCUCUCGCUUUCUUGGCGGCUUCAUGGUCAUAUUUGGCUUUCCAGAAAUCAGAUUUGGCCUAUAAAACAAGUAAAACAAGAUGAAAGGUCAGGCAGGUAUUUAAACGGCUGAGGAAAACACAAAAGAGAAAGAGAUCAAAGAUUCUUUACCUCUGGCGCCGGGUUAAGUUUGCAGAAGGGGUUUAAACUGACUUUACUGCAGUCUUCAUAUUUGCCGUUUACCAGAAUGGUUGACAUUGCAACAAUAUCUUCUUCGGGUAAUUGAACGGAGCUGUGACGAAGAGAGUCGUCUGUGGCUCCACCAUAUUCAUACAUCAAUUUCGAGCGGCGGCUCAGAUGGAUGACCUGCCACGCAACCCAGCAACGGGUCAAGUCAACUCCAGUUAAGCCAUUCCCCAAUAAAGUGUUGAUUCUUUUAAUGGAUGGAAUUAGUUUCUUGCGUUCAAUGAUAGUGAGUUUGUCAGGGAGUGCAAACUUGGAGUCAAGACGCUCUGCGUGAUAACCUGGCAGGGGCUUCUCAUUUGCUGGCGAAGUAUCUUGACAAUAAAACCAAGUCUGAUUCCAGUCCUUGGGAUGACUUGGCAAGACUAUUAGGGGGAAGACAGCGCCCUGUCGACGCUGAAUUGAGAUGCCCCCAAGUUCCAAGCUAGGGCCAUUGGUGCACUCGUUCUGCCGGUUCAGAUAAAAAUACUCUCUAAAGAGUUCCACAGUCGGCUCCUCUUGAAGGUACACCUCACAGAGCACUUGGAAGUUGCAAAUAUUAGAUAUGGAAUUGGGCCCGAUAUCUUGAGGGUGGAGUUUGAAGAAAUGGAGGACAUCUCUGAAGAACUUUGAUCCGGGUGGGGAAAACCCACGGUUCAUGUGGUCAGAAAAGACAAUAACUUCACCAUCUCUUGGAUUGGGUCGUUCCUCGUCCGGGUCAGGUGCACGGUAAGACAUGACAUUUUUCCCUGGCAAAAACCCUAUGGAGAAAAUUCCUUCAAAUUGUCCUCAGUCACUGUUGAGGGAACCCAGUUGCACACAGUCGGCGCUUUGGACAGCAUGAUGUUCAAAAACAAACUGAAAGGAAAGCAACAUGCCGGUUCAAUUCAAUGAUAAUGGCUAAAACUAAGUGAUAAUGGUACAAGGGAGUAAUGGCGGCUUAAGUAAGGGCUAAUGUCAUAUAAGGAAAAGUAAGCUGGCGUCGCAAGCCGCCAUGACUACAGACAUUUGAGAAAUACCAGCAACAGAAUUGGUUAAGUGUUGAGACAAACGAGUUUCUUAACUUCUGGAUAUUAUUAUGGAUCAAAUGGGCGUUCAAAAUGAAAAAAUUUCUAAACCUAAAAAUAUGGCACGGAUGAAUACAUCAGUCCUAAUGCGGCCUUUGUACCAUAAAAAGGGAUCUACUAGUGUCAAGAGUAGGCACCAAACAGCUACCGCACAAGCAUAUAUCUCUUUUUGGAUCAAGAAAAGGCGGCAACGGAAGAACUACGAAGAAACCGCGAAGAACUACGAAGAACAUGCGGAAAACCUAGAAGCCCUAAAUGCGGAUCUGAGGAAUAGGAGGGUGAAUACUUAUGGCCACGGAUCCUCCACGGAAGGUCGCCGCCGUUCUCUGAACCGAUUCUGGUUGAUGCAGCGGCCAAGGUCGGCGACGACGAGAUGCUCUGCGACGGCGGCGGUGCUCGAGCAGCAGCGGGGGUUGCGAGAGUAAGAAGACAAAGAAGACAGAAGAAUGAGAAGACCGGGGCGUGCCUACUUAUAAGGGAUAAGCAGACAGGCAGGCGUGAAGAUCGAGGAAGACACAAUAAUGGCUAUCCAACUAAACAGACGCCUCGAUUCUCGGAAGACAUUAAAAGAUAAAGAUCCGUUGAGGAUGAUGUCAUAACAGGUUUUUGUGUUUUCAGAAGAUGACGUCAUGGCGGGUCAUGAAAUUUUUUCCAAAGAGAGGAAGAUGGAUUUAUCUAAGUACUGAAGAUUGACAAAGAAGAAAGUUCAAAGUCAACCUAGGGCCUAGUGUUGGGAAUAUAACUACCAGGUAUGACCCGCCCAGAAGGGGCCGGGUCAGCCCCAAUGGCGGGUCACAAAGGAGCCUAGUAAACAUUCAAGGCGAUAGUUUAUUAAAGGUUAUAAAGGGCUUAAGGCCUAGAGGCGGCUUAAGGCCCAAUAUGGUAAACCGCCGUACGUAAGGAAAGACUUGUAAGGAAAGGCAUGUAAAAGAAGUCAUCGAGCCGGACACGUUUUAUGAGCCGGCCGGGACUCUGUAGGCCACCAGGCGUCAACCCGUGUAUAUAAGGGGACGACCUGGUGGCGGCUUAGGGCAAGAAACAAGAAAUCGAUAACCAAGCCGGCGAACUAGCCUCUUGGUGAUCGAAACCCCAGCAAUAUAAACACAACUAGACGUAGGCUUUUACCUUCAUCGUAAGGGGCCGAACUAGUAUAAAAUCUCUCAUGUCCUUUGUCCCGAUUAACCCCAUUAAGCUUCCUAGUUGCGAUGGCCCUACGACUAAGUCCUUUCGCUAGGACAUCUGCUGUGACAAUUCCACGACAGGUUCAGAUCUGAAAUCAUGGCACUCGGGCCCUAGUGACAAGCAUUAAGCAUAGCAAAGUCAUAGCAACAUCAAUCUCAGAACAUAGUGUAUACUAGGGAUCAAACCCUAACAAAACUAACUCGAUUACAUGAUAAAUCUCAUCCAACCCAUCACCGUCCAGCAAGCCUACGAUGGAAUUACUCACGCACGACAGUGAGCAUCAUGAAAGUGGUGAUGGAGGAAGGUUGAUGAUGACGAUGGCGAUGGAUUACCCUCUCCGGAGCCCCAAACGAACUCCAGAUCAGCCCUCCUGAGAGAGUUUAGGGCUUGGCGGCGGCUCCGUAUCGUAAAACACGAUGAAUCUUUCUCUCUCGUUUUUUCUCCCCGAAAGUGAAUAUAUGGAGUCAAGGUUGAGGUCGGUGGAGCGUCUGGGGGCCCACAAGGCAGGGGGCGUGCCCAGGGGGGUAGGGCGCGCUCUUCACCCUCAUGGAUAGGUGGUGGGCCCCUUGACGUGGAUCUUUCUUCCAGUAUUUUUUUAUAUAUUCCAAGAUAAUUCUCCGUUGAUUUUCAGGUCAUUCCGAGAACUUUUAUUUCUGCACAAAAAUAACACCAUGGCAAUUCUGCUGAAAACAGCGUUAAUCCGGGUUAGUUCCAUUCAAAAUCAUGCAAGUUAGAGUCCAAAACAAUGGCAAAAGUGUUUGGAAAAGUAGAUACGAUGGAGACGUAUCAACUCCCCCAAGCUUAAACCUUUGUUUGUCCUCAAGCAAUUCAGUUGAUAAACUGAAAGUGAUAAAGAAAACCUUUUACAAACUCUGUUUGCUCUUGUUGUUGUAAAUAUGUAAUGCCAGCAUUCAAGUUUUCAGCAAAGAUUAUGAACUAACCAUAUUCACAAUAACACCUAGGUCUCAUGUUUACUCAUAUCAAUGGCAUAAUCAACUAGCGAGCAAUAAUAAUAAAUCUCGGAUGACAACACUUUCUCAAAACAAUCAUGAUAUGAUAUAACAAGAUGGUAUCUCGUUAGCCCUUUCUGAGAACGCAAAACCUAAAUGCAGAGCACCUUUAAAGAUCAAGGACUGACUAGACAUUGCAAUUCAUGGUAAAAGAGAUCCAGUCAAGUCAUACUCAAUGUAAACUAACAGUAAUGGAUGCAAAUGACAACGGUGCUCUCCAACCGGUGCUUUUUAAUAAGAGGAUGAUGACUCAACAUAAAAGUAAAUGGAUAGGCCCUUCGUAGAGGGAAGCAGGGAUUUGUAGAGGUGCCAAAGCUCGAUUUUGAAAUAGAUAUGAAUAAUAUUUUGAGCGGUAUACUCUCAUUGUCAACAUAACAACCGAGAGAUCGCGAUAUCUUCCAUGCUACACACAUUAUAGGCGGUUCCCAAACAAAAUGGUAAAGUUUAUACUCCCCCUCCACCAACAAGCAUCAAUCCAUGGCUUGCUCGAAACAACGAGUGCCUCCAACUAACAAGAGUCCCGGGAGAGUUUUGUUUGCAGUUAUUUUGAUUUGAUUUGCUUAUAGCAUGGGACUGGGCAUCCCGGUGACCAGCCAUUUUCUCCUGAGUGAGGAGCGGAGUCCACUCCUCUUGAGAAUAACCCGUCUAGCAUGGAAUAUACAGACAGCCCUAGGUGAUACAUGAGCUAUUCGAGCAUACAAAACAGAAUGUUUAUUUGAAGGUUUAGAGUUUGGCACAUACAAAUUUACUUGGAACGGCAGGUAGAUACCGUAUAUAGGUUGGUAUGGUGGACUCAUAUGGAACUACUUUGGGGUUUAUGGAGUUGGAUGCACAAGCAGUAUUCCCGCUUAGUACAGGUGAAGGCUAGAAAAAGACUGGGAAGCGACUAGCUAGGGAGCGACAACAGUCAUGAACAUGCAUUAAAAUUAAUCAACACCGAAUGCAAGCAUGAGUAGGAUAUAAUGCACCACGAACAUAAAUAUCAUAGAGGCUAUGUUGAUUUUGCUUCAACUACAUGCAUGAACAUGUGCCAAGUCAAGCCACUCGAAUUGUUCGAAAGAGGAUACCACCCUAUCAUACCACAUAACCAUUUUAAUAGCAUGUUGGCACGCAAGGUAAACCAUUAUAAGCUCCUAGAUGAAUAAGCAUGGCAUAAGCAACUAUAAUCUCUAUUUUUCAUUAGGCUGAAUCAGGAACGAUGAACUAAUCAUAUUUACAAAAACAAGAGAGGUCGAGUUCAUACUAGCUUUUCUCAUCGUAAUAAGUUCAUCAUAUAAUCAUCAUUAUUGCCUUUCACUUGCACGACCGAACGGUGUGGGUAAUAAUAAUAGUGCACGUGCAUUGGACUAAGCUGGAAUCUGCAAGCAUUCAAUUCAAGAGAGAAGACAAGGUAAUAUGGGCUCUUUGUUAGAUCAACAAUAAUGGAUAUGUGAGCCACUCAACAUUUUAAUCAUGGUCUUCUCCUCUCGACCCCCAAAGAAAAGAAACAAAACUAUUUACACGGGAAAGCUCCCAACAAGCAAAAGAAGAACGAGAAAUCUUUUUGGGUUUUCUUUUUAAUUACUACUACGGGCAAGAAAGUAAACUAGCUAAAAGCUACAACUAAUUUUUUGUUUUGGUUUUUUCUUAAGGUUUAUCAAACACACAAGAAGAAAGCAUAAAAAGGGGAAAUAAACUAGCAUGGAUGAUGCAAUGAAAAAGUAUGAGCACCGACAACUAGCAUGAGUGUGUGAACAUAAAUGUAAUGUCGGUGAGAAAUACGUACUCCCCCAAGCUUAGGCUUUUGGCCUAAGUUGGUCUAUGGCCACGGCUGGCCUGGAGGAUAUCCAAAGUUGUAGUUGGGGUCGUACUGAGAAGAAUCCUACUGGUGCCACUGGUUGGCGAUCUCUUCCGGAUUUCACUGAUAAACAGACUGCCGGUGAGGGUCAAAUUGUGGUUCUGGCUCUGGCUCUAUAGGUGGUGUGGAGUUCUGGUAGGCGUGAAUGGCCUCUGGCGGAACAAGGUACUUUCCUGCAGAUAAGUCAAACAAGGAAGAAGCAGGCAAAGUAAUAGUCUCAGGGUGAUUUUUAUCAAAUAUCAGCUUGUACUUAAGCAUCUUUUCCUUAUUCUUAAUGAUAAAAUCAUGUGCUACCAUACUCUUAUAGUCUAGAAAAACAGGAGGCAGCAACUUCUCUUCCUUUUCAUAAUGCCUAAUAGGUAUGUUAAAGUGUGCAGCAAGGCGCGAGGCGAAGAUGCCUCCAAGGAUGGGGCCCUUAGUAAGGUUAAGAUUUAACCUCUUUGCAACAAUAUCGCCCAUACUAAAUGUGUCAUCACGGAACAAGGCAUGGCACAAAAUAACAAUAUCAGGGGCACUAAGGUUGCCACAGUUUCCGCGACCAAUUAAGCAUCUACUAGCAAAUAUUGCAAAGUAACGUAAAACAGGAAAAUGUAUGCUAGUGAUUCUUGCAUCAGAAACAUUCCUCGUUUCCCCUAAAGCAAUUGUGUCAAUAAACCCUUCCACAUCGUCACGAUGUGACUCCUCUACACUACCCUCAAAAGGGAUCAAACAAACCCAACAAAAAUCACGAAGUGACAUCUCCUUAUGCUCAUCAUAUAAAUAAAAUUCCAUCGUAGGUGGUGAUAUCCUAGCAUGGAAAUGAAAGUGUUGCACAAAUAUAUUGGUGAGUAAGAGAUACUGUUCGCGUUGGUCGUGGAGGAAGGCGGUGAGGCCUGCAUUCUCAGCCAACUCAUAGAAAUCAUCAUAAAUCUCGGCUGCUCUCAAGAAAUCAUCACAAGGCCAUUCACACAGCUGAACCUCCGUGGUGCGAGGGAGAUUAUACUUGGGUUUCUUGUUCUCUUCACUGUGUUUAUCCUUCGAGCUUCGGCUUGAUGAGCCCUUGAAAAAUCUCUUCAUUAUUUUCUGAAAAUUUCUGAAAUUUUUAGUAACAUCAAAAUAAAAGUGAACCAAACUCAAUAAAAUUGAUAGCAACUACUCCUACAAGUGCCUAGAGGCAAUAUCAUGCAUUAAAACUACUUUUAACCAUAUAAAUUUGACAUGCAAGCUCAAGAUUAGGGUCACCUAAGCAGCAAAAAUAUGCAAUGAAUAAAGCACUAGAACAUAAACUAAUUGGACCAUUGGAGGAGUCACAUACCAAAGAACAAUCCCCCAAAGCAGUUUUGUGAAUGGAGCUUUGAGCAAGGAGAUCGAAAAUGGCAGCAAGAUGAGCUUGGAGUCGGGUUUUAACUGGCUAGUGAUGUUUUUGGGAGGAAGAAGGAGUGUGUGGUAGCUGGAAGAAGUGGAGGGGAGCCACCAUGGGCCCACGAGGCAGGGGGCGCGCCAUGGACCCUCGUGGCCAGGUGCUUGCUCCCUCUGUUGUAUUUUCAGUGACAGAUAUUCUCAAAUAUUCUAGAAAAAAUCAUAUUUAAUUUUCAGGGCAUUUGGAGAACUUUUAUUUUCGGAGUAUUUUUUAUUGCAUGGAUAAUUCAGGAAAUAGACAGAAAAUAUUAUAUUUGCUUUAUUUAAUAUAAAUAACAGAAAGUAAAAAGAGAGUACACAGAGUUGUGUUUUCUAAAUUCAUCCAUCUCAUGCUCAUCAAAAGGAAUCCACUAACAAGGUUGAUCAGGUCUUGUUAACAAACUCAUUUCAAAUAACAUGAAACUGGAGAAUUUUUGAAUAACACUAGGUUACCUCAACAGGGAUAUGCAUGUCCCCAGCAAUAAGAAUAUCAUAUUUCUUCUUGACAGUAGGAAGAGGAAAUUCAAAACCUCCAAUAGUAAUUGUUGAAAUCUUUCCAAUAGAAUUGAUAUUAUGGACUUGAAGUUGUUUCCUCGGAAAGUGUACUGUAUGAACAUUACCAUUAACAGGAAAAGUGACAUUGCCUUUGGUGCAAUCAAUAAUAGCACCUGUAGUAUUCAAAAAGGGUCUUCCAACAAUAAUAGACAUACUAUCGUCCUCGGGAAUAUCAAGAAUAAUAAAGUCUGUUAAAAUAGUAAUGUUUGCAACCACAAUAGGCACAUCCUCACAAAUACCGACAGGUGUAGCAGUUUAUUUGUCAGCCAUUUGCAAAGAUAUUUUAGUAGGUGUCGACUUAUUCAAAUCAAGUCUACGAUAUAAAGAGAGAGGCAUAACACUAACACCGGCUCCAAGAUCACAUAAAGCAGUUUUAACAUAGUUUCUUUUAAUGGAGCAUGGUAUAGUUGGUACUCCUGGAUCUCCAAGUUUCUUUGGUAUUCCACCCUUAAAAGUAUAAUUAGCAAGCAUGGUGGAAAUUUCAGCUUCUGGUAUCUUUCUUUUAUUAGUAACUAUUUCCUUCAUGUAUUUAGCAUAAGGAUUCAUUUUAAGCAUAUCAGUCAAACACAUACGCAAAAAGAUAGGCCUAAUCAUUUCAGCAAAGCGCUCAAAAUCCUCAUCAUCCUUUUUCUUGUAUGGUUUAGGAGGAAAAGGCAUGGGUUUCUGAACCCAUGGUUCUCUUUCUUUAUCGUGCUUCCUAGCAACAAAGUCUCUCUUAUCAUAACGUUGAUUCUUUGAUUGUGGGUUAUCAAGAUCUAUAUCAGGUUCAAUUUCUACAUCAUUAUCAUUGCUAGGUUGAGCAUCAACAUGAACAUCAUCAUUAGUAUUAUCACUAGGUUCAUGUUCAUUACCAUACUGUGUUUCAGCAUCAGAAAUAGAAAUAUCAUUGGGAUUCUCAGGUGUGUCUACAACAGGUUCACUAGAAGCAUGCAAAGUCCUAUCAUUUUUCUUUUUCUUCCUUUUAGAAGGACUAGGUGCAUCAGUAUUAGUUCUCUGAGAAUCUUGCUCAAUUCUCUUAGGAUGGCCCUUAGGAUACAAAGGUUCCUGAGUCACUUUACCUCCUCUAGUUGCAACUCUAACAGCAAAGUCAUUAUUUUUACUAUUCAAUUCAUUAAGCAAAUCAUUCUAAGCUUUAAGUACUUGUUCUACUUGAGUGGUAACCAUAGAAGCAUGUUUACUAAUAAGUUUAGGUUCACCUUUAACACUAGCCAUAUAAUCACUCAAGUGUUCAAUCAUGUAAGCAUUAUGUUUCAAUUUUCUACAAACAUAAGCAUUAAAAUCUUCUUGCUUAACCAUAAAGUUAUCAAAUUCAUCCAAACAUUGGCUAGCAAACUUAGCAGGAGGGAUUUCAGCUUUAUCAUAUCUAUAGAGAGAAUUUACCUUUACUACCUGUGCCGAGUUAUCGAGACCAUGUGUUUCUUCAACAGGCGGCAAAUUAAGACCAUGUAUUUCUUCAAUAGGAGGUAAAUUCUUAACAUCUUCAGCUUUAAUACCUUUUUCUUUCAUAGAUUUCUUUGCCUCUUGCAUAUCUUCAGGAGUGAGAAAUAGAAUACCCCUUUUCUUUGGAGUUGGCUUAGGAGUUGGUUCAGGAAGUGUCCAAUUAUUUUCAUUGGUCAACAUAUUAUUCAAUAGAAUUUCAGCUUGAUCAACUAUUCUUUCCCUGAAAACACAACCAGCACAACUAUCCAGGUAAUCUCUGGAAGCAUCGGUUAGUCCAUUAUAAAAGAUAUCAAGUAUUUCAUUUUUCUUGAGAGGAUGAUCAGGCAAAGCAUUAAGUAAUUGGAGAUGCCUCCCCCAAGCUUGUGGGAGACUCUCUUCUUCAAUUUGCACAAAAUUAUAUAUCUCCCUUAAAGCAGCUUGUUUCUUAUGAGCGGGGAAAUAUUUAGCAGAGAAGUAGUAAAUCAUAUCCUGGGGACUACGCACACAACCAGGAUCAAGUGAAUUAAACCAUAUCUUAGCAUCACCCUUUAAUGAGAACGGAAAUAAUUUAAGGAUAUAAUAUUAGCGAGUUUUCCCAUCAUUAGUAAACAGGGUAGCUAUAUCAUUUAAUUUAGUAAGAUGUGCCACAACAGUUUCAGAUUCAUAGCCAUAGAAAGGAUCAGAUUCAACCAAAGUAAUUAACUCAGGAUCAACAGAGAAUUCAUAAUCCUUAUCAGUAACAAAGAUAGGUGAAGUAGCAUAAGCAGGAUCAUAUUUCAUUCUAGCAUUCUGAGAUUUUUGUUUCAGCUUAGCUAAAAGUUUCUUAAGAUCACUCCUAUCAUUGCAGGCAAGAAAGUCUCUAGCAGUUUCGUCAUCCAUAACAUAACCCUCGGGAACAACAGGCAAUUCAUAUCUAGGGGAGAAUCUUCAUCAUCACUUUCAUCAAUAUUAUCAGUUUCAAUAAUUUCAUUCUCUCUAGCCCAAGCAAGUUGUUCAUCAAGAAAUUCACCAAGUGGCACAGUAGUAUCAAGCAUAGAAGUAGUUUCAUCAUAAGUAUCAUGCAUAGAAGAAGUGGCAUCAUCAAUAACAUGCGACAUAUCAGAAUUAAUAGCAGAAGCAGGUUUAGAUGUCGCAAGCUUACUCAAAACAUAAGGUGAAUCAAGUGCAAAGCUAGAUGGCAGUUCCUUACCUCCCCUCGUAGUGAAGGGAUAGAUCUUGGUUCUUUGAUCUUUCAAGUUCUUCAUAAUGAUAAGCAGAUAUAAAUCUCAAGUGACUCAAAGAAUAGAGCUAUGCUCCCCGGCAACAGUGCCAGAAAAUGUUCUUGAUAACCCACAAGUAUAGGGGAUCGCAACAGUUUUCGAGGGUAGAGUAUCCAACCCAAAUUUAUUGAUUCGACACAAGGGGAGACAAAGAAUAUUAUCAAGUAUUAGCAGCUGAGUUGUCAAUUCAACCACACCUGGAAACUUAAUAUCUGCAGCAAGGUAUUUAGUAGCAAAGUAAUAUGAUAGUACUGGUAAUGGUGACAAAAGGUAACAGUAGCGAAAGUUAUAUUUUUGGGUUUUGUAGUGAUUGUAACAGUAGCAACGGAAAAGUAAAUAAGCGAAGAACAAUAUAUGAAAAUCUCAUAGGCAUUGGAUCGGUGAUGGAGAAUUAUGCCAGAUGCGAUCGAUCAUGUAACAGUCAUAACCUAGGGUGACACAGAACUAGCUCCAGUUCAUCAAUGUAAUGUAGGCAUGUAUUCCGAAUAUAGUCAUACGUGCUUAUGGAAAAGAACUUGCAUGCCAUCUUUUGUCCUACCCUCCUGUGGCAGCGGGGUCCUAAUGGAAACUCAGGGAUAUUAAGGCCUCCUUUUAAUAGAGUACCGGACCAAAGCAUUAACACAUAGUGAAUACAUGAACUCCUCAAACUACGGUCAUCACCGGUAAGUAUCUUGAUUAUUGUCACUUCGGGGUUAACGGAUCAUAACACAUAAUAGGUGACUAUAGACUUGCAAUAUAGGAUCAAGAACUCACAUAUAUUGAUGAAAACAUAAUAGGUUCAGAUCUGGAAUCAUGGCACUCAGGCCCUAGUGACAAGCAUUAAGCAUAGCAAAGUCAUAGCAACAUCAAUCUCAUAACAUAGUGGAUACUAGGGAUCAAAUCGUAACAAAACUAACUCGAUUACAUGAUAAAUCUCAUACAAUCCAUCACCGUCCAGCAAGCCUACGAUGGAAUUUGUCAGGACCCCGACUCAAUGCCACAUCGAUCCAGCAUGUAACACCUCAUAUCACUUUGCGGCCUCACGCACGGUAUCCCCACGGGUGUCGCCUUACCUUUGCCCGGGACCGUUUGCGCCUUUUGGCACACGUAUAUGAUGGUGUCGCUAGCAUCCAUAUGAUAAAGAGCCCGGGCUGACAUGGCUAGUCAUAAACCCGAAGUGGCACUAACUUAUAGGGACAGGCAUCCAUGACCCAGCAUCGAACGUGUCGGUCAUCAGCGAGUGAAUCCAGGCUGUAGCACUGGGCUAACAGGACUCCGGUGAACCGGGCUGUAGCAGGCUAACAGGACUCCGGUAUUCAUCGCGUGACAUUUCCCCGAAGGGACAGACACAGGAUCGAAGAAGGACACAUGCCGGCCAGCCUAAGUGUUCCGGAGCAGUAGCAAGCUACCAGGGCUCAGUGGAAGCACUAGGAGACAUUUCCCGGUAAGAGAGGCUACUAAGGAUAAACAACUAGAUAGUCAGAUCCCACACAUAGCAAUACACAUUACACGUACGCAUAACAUGCAAGUAUGUGCUGUACAACAUGGCAUCACAGCAUAACUCAACAACUCUUAUAGAUAAAGGCUCAGAAGAGCCAACAUAGCAAUAUUACAACCAGGGGUCACAUGACCCAACAUUCAGAGCAAUCAAGCAACAAACGGAAGCAUUACAUGUCUGAGUACAGACAUCUAUAAAUGAAAAAGGCUGAAAGCCUGACUAUCUACAACGUCCGAUCAAGAUCGUAGCUGAGGUACAAGCUACUCGUCGAAGUCCACGGAACACUAAUAAGACCGAAGUCUCCGCUGCAAAAACAUAAAUAAAGCAACAUGAGUACAAAGGUACUCAGCAAGACUUACAUCAGAUCCUAUCAUACAUGCAUUUGUAUCAAGAGGGUAAUGUGGGGUUUAGUUGCAGCAAGCCAGCUUUGACUCUGUGGCUAUCAUGUUCUACGACUACCAGAAACUCUUGAGGUGAGACAACGUACACGAGUCCACUAAUCACCACACAAUACACUACUAUGGAUUCAUCCACGUCUCCCUACGAGAAGGCCAUCCAUAGCACUCACACUUGUCUUGAGCAUUUUAGAGUAUCCACUUCAAGUUGUCUAUGUACCAUGUAAGCAUCCAAGAAGUCCAUAACCGCGGACCCGGCUAUUCGAAUAGAUCAUGUUAACCCUGCAGGGGUGUACUUCUUCACACACGCUCUCGCCACUUACCGCCAUGUACACGUCAUGUAUCUCGGCAACCUUCAAGCAGAAGCCUGGCGAGGGUGUCGGCCACGACCUGACUAACCACACAAGACUCUAGCCCAGGUUUAUCGCCUAUUCGGGUUCCAUCCGCAAGGAGAUCCGGCUAGGGUGUCGCUCACGGCCCCAAACGAUGUGUGCAGGGUUCCCGAGCCCACCAUCCGGGUGCCACUCGGUACACCAGGCCACGUGUGCCUAGUCUGUCCCAAGCCCACCCUGUCGGGUGCCACUUGGUAGAAAAAUAGCACUACCUACAAACACCAGAAACUAGUUGCGACUCCUGGACAGAGAUCAAGUCGGUUAAUAAGUCGAGAGGGCUUGGAGCGCCCGGAGCCCAAUGUGUGGUAGUAUCGAGUCAUUGGACAACAUACAUAGAACUCGGUGCUUAAGGACGGUUCCAGUGAGACAACCCACCAUGUACUCCUACAUGGCCUCUCACCGCUACCUUUACCAAAUCGUGUUCACACACUUCACUCUCAACAUCAGAACAUUUCGUAACACUCCAAUUCAUUCCCAAUGAACCAGACCUGACACAACUCUAAGCAAUAGCAGGCAUAGCAUGGUAGGAACACAACAUGGCUCAAUCAACUCCUACACAUGCUAGUGGGUUUCAACUAUUUACUGUGGCAAUGACAGGUCAUGCAGAGGAAUGGGUUCAACUACCGCAGCACAAAGUAGCAGAUGAAUCGUUGUUGUCCUAAUGCAAUAACUGAGAGCAGGAGCGAGAGAGUAGGGUUUUAUCGAAAUGAACAAGGGGGUUUGCUUGCCUGGUAGAUCAACAAGGAAGGCACUGCUUCAUAGACAGGCACUCUGGAAUGGACUCCGGAGCAGGACCUAUCGAGAAGGAACGGUACCGGCAAUCAAUACACAAACAUAUGCAACAAUAUGAUGCAUGAACAUGGCAUGAAGAUGUGAUGUUGUUUGAGCUAAUGCAACUAGUAAUCAUUUGGUUUGAAGUCCGUUUGAACCAUAAGCUCAAAUGCAUCUCCAAAGUAGGCUCUUAUAUAUGCCAUAAUGUGUUUUCUCAUAUUCAGCAUGUAUAAGUUGGUUUUUCAUGCAUGAAACUAGUACAGAUGGAAAGGUUGCAUUUUUCUGAUAAUUUUUCAUAUAUAAAUUAUUUUAAUCUGAGCUACGAUUGAAUUGAUAUGAAUUUUUGAAGUUUAAAUCAAUUUCUGGAAUUUCCUGAAUUAUUUUAAUUCCAGAAAUCAUAUUAUUGCGCCAGUAUGACGUCAGCACGACGUCAGCAGUCAACUGCGGCUGAUGGGGUCAAACCUGACGUGUGGGGUCCACACGUCAGUGACAGGGGGUUAAACAGGGGGUUAAUUUAAUCCUAAUUAAAAGUUAGUGGCGCUGGGGCCCACUGUCAGUGUCAGGGGGGGUUAGUUAACGGUGAUUAGCACUAAGCUAAUCACCUGGCCGACGGGGCCCACCCGUCAGUGACCCUGGGGGGUCAAACCCCAGGUCGAACAAGUCAAACCCGCCGGUGGUUAGUCGCCGGCGAGGUCCGCAGCGUUCAUGUGCCCCGGGUUUCCUCUGUGCUGCUCCAAAUGGCGCGCGGCUAGGUGCGUUGGAAAGCUAGCUCGAUGGCGCGUCGGGCGGUGGCCGUGGCUGGGCCUGGGGUGGCCGGAGUCGACGGCGGCGAGCUCAGCUGCGGCCGCCGGAGUUCGGUCGUGCAUGAAAACGCGGUUGGAGCUCGAAGGCGAGCGAAGCAAAGCGCUAGGGAUGCUCUACGGGGCCUUACGAACUUGUUGGACUCGCCGGGGUGACCAAAUGGUCACCGGAGCUGCGUCGAUGGCGAGCUCGGCGACGGCGGAGGUUCGGCCGUGGUGGGGAACGGAGUUACGGCGCGGGAACGAGGGGGAGAAGAGAGGGGAACGGUGGCGGAGCUCACCGCGGUUACAGCGGGCGUCGAAGCGGGCUCGGGGAAGGCUUGGGGCAGCCGGAGCGACGACGGCGAUCUCGUCGGCCGAAGCUUGAAGACGACGGCGAUUGCGAUGAAGCGGAGCUCGCCCGAGUUGCUUUGCUCGGUGAGGAGGGAGAGGGGGCCGCGGCGGAGCUGGGAAGCAUGUCGGGGAGGUGAGGGGAGGCCGGUGGCCGCGGCAACGGCGAGCGGCGGCGGUGAUGGCGCUCGGGUGUGCGAGGGAGAGAGUAGGGGGAGAGGAGGAGGGCGAGGGAGAGUGCGAGAGGGGUCGGGGUGGCUGCAUGGCGUCUCCGGGGCAUCCAGACGAAGAGGGGAGAGGGCAGGCAGGUAGAGAGGGAGGUGGCGUGGCGCGGUGGCGCGUGCGCGCGCCGGGCAUGCUCCCAUCCCUCUGUCGGGGAGGAAGACGACAGAGGGGGGCCAGUGGGCUGGGCCGGCGCUGGCUGCUGGGCCGGCCAGGCCGCACAGGGAGGAGGCCCAGGUAAGUUUCUCCUCUUUUUCUGUUUUCUAAUUUUUUUGACAUCUGUUUUGAUUUAAUUUAAAAUAUUAAAUCAUUUAAUUACCUUAUGCCAAUUUUUGCAGGAGCUAACUAUAUUAUUCCAGAGCUCCUUUAUAAAUGGCAUAAUUUUUGGACAUAUAUUAAUAUAUAUAACUAAUAUAUUUCCAAUGCAAAUAUUUAUCGGAUUAAUCCAAAUGGCCAAAAUAAAUAUCCAUGAGCUCCUAAAAAUAUUGGUUUGAUUUUUAUCUCUGUCCAAUAUUUUCAGAGAGCAACAUGAGCAUUUUCUUGAACCCUUUUGGAGAAAUUUUUAUUUGGGUCAUUUUCAAAAAUGAUUCUGAGGGUUCCACCAAUCCUCAAUUCAAAUUUAAAUGGAAUAUAAACAUGAUGCACAAAUGACUAGCUAGCCUAGGUCAUACCAGACUAGGGAUGUGACAGAAUUACUCAUGCACGGCGGUGAGCGUCAUGAAAUUGGUGAUGGAGGAAGGUUUAUGAUGACGAUGGCGAUGGAUUCCCCUCUCCGGAGCCCCGAACGGACUCCAGAUCAGCCCUCCCGAGAGAGUUUAGGGCUUGGCAGCGGCUCCGUAUCGUUAAACGCGAUGAAUCUUUCUCUCUCGUUUUUUCUCCCCGAAAGUGAAUAUAUGGAGUCAAGGUUGAGGUCGGUGGAGCGUCAGGGGGCCCACAAGGCAGGGUGCGCGCCUAGGGGGUAGGGCGUGCCCCCCACCCUCGUGGACAGGUGGUGGGCCCCCUGACGUGGAUCUUUCUUCUAGUAUUUUUUAUAUAUUCCAAAAUAAUUCUCCUUUGAUUAUGAGGUCAUUCCGAGAACUUUUAUUUCUACACAAAAAUAACACCAUGGCAUUUCUGCUGAAAACAGCGUCAGUCCGGGUUAGUUCCAUUCAAAUCAUGCAAGUUAGAGUCCAAAACAAGGGCAAAAGUGUUUGCAAAAGUAGAUACGACGGAGACGUAUCAAUGUGCAGUCCCCAUUUCUGGCCGGCGGGGUGGCGACGGCUGGCAGAGUGUGUGCGGCGAGGGCUAGAGCUUGUCGGGCGCGUGGGGUGGGGGAGAGAAAGAGUGUGGAAACUUUGGAAGUGGACUGGCCAGUACACGCGCAUGGGCUUGUCAUUAAGAAAAGGACCUCGGGGGCGGCGGCUGGUGAGGGAGUCCUGGAUUAAGGGGUCCUCGGGCGUCCAGACUAUAUGACAUGGGCCGGACUAAUGGGUCGUGAAGAUACAAGACAGAAGACUUCCUCCCGUGUCCGGAUGGGACUCUCCUUGGCGUGGAAGGCAAGCUUAGCGUGCGGAUAUGAAUAUUCCUUUCUCUAUAAACCGACUUUGUACAACCCUAGCCCCCUUCGUGUCUAUAUAAACUGGAGGGUUUAGUCCGUAGAAGCAAUCGUAAUCAUACAGGCUAGACAAUUAGGGUUUUAGCCAUUUAGAUCUCGUGGUAAAUCAACUCUUGUAACCCCUAUACUCAUCAAAGUCAAUCAAGCAGGACGUAGGGUAUUACCUCCAUCAAGGGGGUCCAAACCUAGGUAAAACAUUGUGUCCCUUGUCUCCUGUUACCAUCAAUCCUUAGACACAGAGUUCGGGACCCCCUACCCGAGAUCUGCCGGUUUUGACACCGACAUUGGUGCUUUUAUUGAGAGUUCCGCUGUGUUGUCGCCAGUAGGUUCGAUGGCCCCAUCAAUCUGAAGGAAAUAUGCCCUAGAGGCAAUAAUAAAGUUGUUAUCUACGUUUCCUUAUAUCAUGAUAAAUGUUUAUUAUUCAUGCUAGAAUUGUAUUAACCGGAAACUUAGUACAUGUGUGAAUACAUAGACAAACAGAGUGUCACUAGUAUGCCUCUACUUGACUAGCUCGUUGAAUCAAUGAUGGUUGUGUUUCCUGACCAUAGACAUGAGUUGUCAUUUGAUUAAUGAGAUGACAUCAUUAGAGAAUGAUGUGAUUGACUUGACCCAUCCAUUAGCUUAGCACGACGGUCGUUUAGUUUGUUGCUAUUGCUUUCUCCAUAACUUAUACAUGUUCCUAUGACUAUGAGAUCAUGCAACUCCCGAAUACCGGAGGAACACUUAGUGUGCUAUCAAAGUCACAACGUAACCGGGUGACUAUAAAGAUGCUCUACAGUUAUCUCUGAUGGUGUUUGUUGAGUUGGCAUAGAUCGAGAUUAGGAUUUGUCACUCUAAGUACCGGAGAGGUAUCUCUAGGCCCUCUCGGUAAUGCACAUCACUAUAAGCCUUGCAAGCAAUAUGACUAAUGAGUUAGUUAUGGGAUGAUGCUUUACGUAACGAGUAAAGAGACUUGCCGGUAACGAGAUUGAAUUAGGUAUUGAGAUACCGACGAUCAAAUCUCGGGCAAGUAACAUGCUGACAAAUGGAACAACAUAUGUUGUUAUGCGGUUUGACCGAUAAAGAUCUUCGUAGAAUAUGUGGGAGAUAAUAUGAACAUCCAGGUUCCGCUAUUGGUUAUUGACCGGAGAUGUGUCUCAGUCAUGUCUACAUAGUUCUCGAACCCGUAGGGUCCGCACGCCUAAACGUUCGGUGGCAAUUGGUAUUAUGAGUUUAUGUGUUUUGAUGAACUGAAGAUAGUUCAGAGUCCCGGAUAUGAUCACGGACAUGACGAGGAGUCUCGAAAUGGUCGAGACAUAAAGAUUGAUAUAUUGGACGACUAUAUUCGGACACCGGAAGUAUUCCGGGUGAUUUCUGAGAAAACCGGAGUGCCGGAGGGUUACCGGAACCCCCUCCCCCUGGGGGGGAGAUUCGGCCUACAUGGGCCAUAUGGAAGAGGAGAGGCAGCCCACAAGGGGCAGCCACGCCCCCUCCCUAUACAGAGUCUGAAUUGGACUAGGGAGGGGGCGCCCCCCCCCCCUUUCCUUCUCCUCUUCCUCUCAUUUCCUUAUUUCCCCUUCUCCUCCUAGUAGGACUAGGAAAGGAGGAAUCCUACUCCUACUGGGAGGAGGAUUCCUCCUCCCUUGGCACGCCACUAGGGCCGGUCGGCCUUCCCCCUUGGUCCUUUAUAUACGGGGGCAGGGAGGCACUCUCGAACACACAAGUUGAUUGCUUUUAGCCGUGUGCGGUACCCCCUCCACCAUAAUCCAGCUCGAUCAUAUCGUCAUAGUGCUUAGGUGAAGCCCUACGCUGGUAGCUUCAUCAUCACUGUAAUCAUGCCGUCAUGCUGACGAAGAUCUCCCUCGACACUCAGCUGGAUCGAGAGUUCGUGGGACGUCACCGAGCCGAACGUGUGCAGAUCGCGGAGGUGUCGUACUUUCGAUACUAGGAUCGGUCGGAUCAUGAAUACAUAUGACUACAUCAACCAUGUUGUCAUAACGAUUCCGCUUACGGUCUACGAGGGUACGUGGACAACACUCUUCCCCUCUCGUUGCGAUGCAUCACCAUGAUAGAUCUUGCGUGUGUGUAGGAAUUUUUUUGAAAUUACUAUGUUUCCCAACAGUGGUAUCAGAGCCAGGUCUAUGUGUAGAUGUUAUAUGCACGAGUAGAACACAAAGGAAUUGUAGGCAUGGGUAUAUACAUAAUGCUUGUCGUCACUAGUUGAUUCUUGAUUCAGCGGUAUUGUUGGAUGAAGCGGCCCAGACUGACAUUACGCGUACGCUUAUGUGAGACUGGUUCUACUGACGUGCUUCGCACACAGGUGGCAGGUGGGUGUCAGUUUCUCCAACUUUAGUUGAAUCGGAUUCAAUGAACAGGGUUCUUUCUGAACAUCAAAAAGCAAUCACUAUACCACGUUGUGGUUUUUGAUGCGUAGGUAAGAAGAUUCUUUCUUAGCCCGUAGCAGCCACGUAAAACUUGCAACAACAAAGUAGAUGACAUCUCACUUGUUUUUGUAGUGGAUGUUGUGAUGUGAUAUGGUUAAGACAUGAUGCUAAAUUUUAUUGUAUGAGAUGAUCAUGUUUUGUAACACAGUUAUCGGCAACUGGCAGGAGCCAUAUGGUUGUCGCUUUAUUGUAUGAAAUGAAAUCUCCAUGUAAUUGCGUUACUUUAUCACUAAGCGGUAGUGAUAGUCGUAGAAGCAAUAGUUUGCGAGACGACAACGAUGCUUCGAUGGAAAUCAAGUUGUCAAGAUGGUGACGAUGGUGAUCAUGAUGGUGCUUUGGAUAUGGAGAUCGAAGGCACAAGAUGAUGAUGGCCAUAUCAUAUCAGUUAUAUUGAUUGCAUGUGAUGGUUAUCCUUUAUGCAUCUUAUUUUGCUUAGUUCGCCGGUAGAAUUAUAAGAUGAUCUCGCACUAAAUUUCAAGGUAUAAGUGUUCUCCCUGAGUAUGCACCAUUGCUACAGUUUGUCGUGCCGAGACACCACGUGAUGAUCGGGUGUGAUAAGCUCUACAUUCACAUACAAUAGGUGCAAGCCAGUUUUGCACAUGCGGAAUACUCGGGUUAAACUUGACGAGCCUAGCAUAUGCAGAUAUGGCCUCGGAACACUGGAGACCGAAAGGUCGAGCGUGAAUCAUAUAGUAGAUAUGAUCAACAUAGUGAUGUUCACCAUUGAAAACUACUCCAUGUCACGUGAUGAUCGGACAUGGUUUAGUUGAUAUGGAUCACGUGAUCACUUAGAUGAUUAGAGAGAUGUCUAUCUAAGUGGGAGUUCUUAAGUAAUUUGAUUAAUUGAACUUUAAUUUAUCAUGAACUUAGUACCUGAUAGUAUUUUGCAUGUCUAUGUUGUUGUAGAUAGAUGGCCCGUGUUGUUGUUUCGUUGAAUUUUAAUGCAUUCCUAGAGAAAGUUAAGUUGAAAGAUGAUGGUACAAACUACACGGAAUGGGUCUGUAACUUGAGGAUUAUCCUCAUUGCUGCACAGAAGAAUUACGUCAUGGAAGCACCGCUAGGUGACAAGCUUGCUGCAGGAGCAACACCAGAUGUUGUGAACACCGGGCAGAGCAAAGUUGAUGACUACUCGAUAGUUCAGUGUGCCAUCCUUUACGGCUUAGAACCGGGACUUCAACGAUGUUUUGAACAUCAUGGAGCAUAUGAGAUGUUCCAGGACUUGAAGUUAAUAUUUCAAGCAAAUGCCCGGUUUGAGAGACAUGAAGUCUCCAUUGAGUUCUAUAGCUACAAAAUGGAGGAGAAUAGUUCUGUCAGUGAACAUAUACUCAGAAUGUCUGAGUACCACAACCACUUGACUCAGCUGGGAUUUAAUAUUCCUGAUGAUAGUGUCAUUGACAGAGUUUCUUCAAUCACUGCCACCAAGCUACAAGAGCUACGUGAUGAACUAUAAUAUGCAAGGGAUGGAUAAGACGAUUCCUGAGCUCUUCGCAAUGCUAAAGGCUGCGGAGGUAGAAAUCAAGAAGGAGCAUCAAGUGUUGAUGGUCAAUAUGACCACCAGUUUCAAGAAAAAGGGUAAAGGGAAGAAGGGGGGCUUUAAAGAGAACAGCAAGCCAGUUGCUCCUCAAGUGAAGAAACCCAAGUCUGGACCUAAACCUGAGACUGAGUGCUUCUACUACAAAGGGACUGGUCACUGGAAGCGGAACUGCCCCAAGUAUUUGGCGGAGAAGAAGGAUGGCAAAGUGAAAGGUAUAUUUGAUAUACAUGUUAUUGAUGUGUACCUUACUAAUGCUCGGAGUAGUGCCUGGGUAUUUGAUACCGGUUCAGUUGCUAACAUUUGCAACUCGAAACAUGGACUAUUGAUUAAGCGAAGAUUGGCUAAGGACGAGAUGACGAUGCGCGUGGGAAAUGGUUCCAAAGUCGAUGUGAUCGCCGUCGGCAUGCUACAUCUACAUCUACCUUCGGGAUUAGUUUUGGACCUAAAUAAUUCUUAUUUGGUGCCAGCAUUGAGCAUGAACAUUAUAUCAGGAUAUUGUUUAAUGCGAGACGGUUAUUCACUUAAAUCAGAGAAUAAUGGUUGUUCUAUUUAUAUGAGUAAUAUAUUUUAUGGUCAUGCACCCUUGAUGAGUGGUCUAUUUUUACUAAAUCUUGAUAGUAGUGAUACACAUAUUCAUAGUAUUGAAACAAAAAGAUGCAGAGUUGAUAAUGAUAGUGCAACUUAUUUGUGGCACUGCCGUUUGGGUCAUAUUGGUGUAAAGCGCAUGAAGAAACUCCAUUCUGAUGGACUUCUGGAAUCACUUGAUUAUGAAUCACUUGGUACUUGCGAACCAUGCCUCAUGGGCAAGAUGACUAAAACUCCAUUCUCCGGAACAAUGGAGCGAGCAACACAAUUAUUGGAAAUCAUACAUACUGAUGUAUGUGGUCCAAUGAACAUUGAGGCUCGCGGCAGAUAUCGUUAUUUUCUCACCUUCACGGAUGAUUUGACCAGAUAUGGGUAUAUCUACUUGAUGAAACAUAAGUCUGAAACAUUUGAAAAGUUCAAAGAAUUUCAGAGUGAUGUGGAAAAUCAUCGUAACAAGAAAAUUAAGUUUCUACGAUCUGAUCGUGGAAGUGAAUAUUUGAGUUACGAGUUUGGUCUUCAUUUGAAACAAUGCGGAAUAGUUUCGCAACUCACGCCACCUGGAACACCACAACGUAAUGGUGUGUCCGAACAUCGUAACUGCACUUUAUUAGAUAUGGUGUGAUCUAUGAUGUCUCUCACUAAUUUACCGCUAUCGUUUUGGGGUUAUGCUUUAGAAACGGCUGCAUUCACGUUAAAUAGGGCACCAUCAAUAUCCAUUGAGACGACACCUUAUGAACUGCGGUUUGGCAAGAAACCCAAGUUGUCGUUUCUUAAAGUUUGGGGCUGUGAUGCUUAUGUGAAAAAUCUUCAACCUGAUAAGCUCGAACCCAAAUCGGAGAAAUGUGUCUUCAUAGGAUACCCAAAGGAGACUGUUGGGUACACCUUCUAUCACAGAUCCGAAGGCAAGAUAUUCAUUGCUAAGAAUGGAUCCUUUCUAGAGAGGGAGUUUCUCUCAAAAUAAGUGAGUGGGAGGAAAGUAGAACUUGAUGAGGUAAUUGUACAUUCUCCCUUAUUGGAAAGUAGUUCAUCACUGAAAUCAGUUCCAGUGAUUCCUACACCAGUAAGUGAGGAAGUUAAUGAUGAUGAUCAGGAAACUUCUGAUCAAGUUACUACUGAACCUCGUAGGUCAACCAUAGUGAGAUACACACCAGAGUGAUAUGGUAAUCAUGUUCUAGAGGUCAUGUUACUUGACCAUGACGAACCUACGAACUAUGAGGAAGCGAUCAUGAGCCCAGAUUCCGCAAAAUGGCUUGAGGCCAUGAAAUCUGAGAUGGGAUCCAUGUAUGAGAACAAAGUGUGGACUUUGGUUGACUUGCCCGAUGAUCGGCGGGCCAUGGAGAAUAAAUGGAUCUUCAAGAAAAAGACUGAAGCUGACGGUAAUGUUGCUAUCUACAAAGCUCGACUUGUUGCAAAAGGUUUUCGACAAGUUCAAGGAGUUGACUACGAUGAGACCUUCUCAGUCGUAGCGAUGCUUAAGUCCGUGCGGAUCAUGUUAGCAAUUGCCGCAUUUUAUGAUUAUGAAAUUUGGCAAAUGGAUGUCAAAAUUGCAUUCCUUAAUGGAUAUCUUAAAGAAGAGUUGUAUAUAAUGCAGCCAGAAGGUUUUUGUCGAUCCAAAAGGUGCUAACAAGGUGUGCAAGCUCCAGUGAACCAUUUAUGGACUGGUGCAAGCCUCUCGGAGUUGGAAUAUACACUUUGAUAGUGUGAUCAAAGCAUAUGGUUUUAUACAGACUUUUGGAGAAGCUUGUAUUUAUAAGAAAGUGAGUGGGAGCUCUGUAGCAUUUCUGAUAUUAUAUGUAGAUGACAUAUUGUUGAUUGGAAAUGAUAUUGAAUUUCUGAAUAGCAUAAAAGGAUGCUUGAAUAAGAAUUUUUCUAUGAAAGACCUCGAUGAAGCUGCUUAUAUAUUGGGCAUCAAGAUCUAUAGAGAUAGAUCAAGAUGCUUAAUUGGACUUUCACAAAGCACAUACCUUAAUAAAGUUUUGAAGAAGUUCAAAAUGGAUCAAGCAAAGCAAGGGUUCUUGCCUGUGUUAUAGGGUGUGAAGUUGAGUCAGACUCAAUGCCCGACCACUUCAGAAGAUAGAGAGAAAAUGAAAGUCAUUCCCUAUGCUUCAGCCAUAGGUACUAUCAUGUAUGCAAUGUUGUGUACCAGACCUGAUGUGUGCCUUGCUAUUAGUUUAGCAGGGAGGUACCGAAGUAAUCCAUGAGUGGAUCACUGGACAGCGGUCAAGAACAUCCUGAAAUUCCUGAAAAGGACUAAGGAUAUGUUUCUCGUUUAUGGAGGUGACAAAGAACUCGUCGUAAACGGUAACGUCGAUGCAAGCUUUGACACUGAUCCGGGUGAAUCUAAGUCACAAACCGGAUACGUAUUUUUAUUAAAUGGUGGAGCUGUCAGUUGGUGCAGUUCCAAGCAGAGCGUCAUGACGGGAUCUAGGAGUCUGGAUGAAGGAGUUCAUAUCCGAUCUCGGUGUAAUACCUAGUGCAUCAGGUCCAAUGAAAAUCUUUUGUGACAAUACUGGUACAAUUGCCUUGGCAAAGGAAUCCAGAUUUCACAAAAGAACCAAGCACAUCAAGAGACACUUCAAUUCCAUCUGCGAUCAAGUCAAGGAGGGAGACAUAGGGAUUUGCAAGAUACAUACGGAUCUGAAUGUUGCAGACCCGUUGACUAAGCCUCUCUCACGAGCAAAACAUGAUCAUCACCAAGACUCCAUGGGUGUUAGAAUCAUUACAAUGUAAUCUAGAUUAUUGACUCUAGUGCAAGUGGGAAACUGAAGGAAAUAUGCCCUAGAGGCAAUAAUAAAGUUGUUAUUUAUAUUUCCUUAUAUCAUGAUAAAUGUUUAUUAUUCAUGCUAGAAUUGUAUUAACCGGAAACUUAGUACAUGUGUGAAUACAUAGACAAACAGAGUGUCACUAGUAUGCCUCUACUUAACUAGCUCGUUGAAUCAAUGAUGGUUAUGUUUCCCGACCAUAGACAUGAGUUGUCAUUUGAUUAACGAGAUCACAUCAUUAGAGAAUGAUGUGAUUGACUUGACCCAUCCGUUAGCUUAGCACGAUGAUCGUUUAGUUUGUUGCUAUUGCUUUCUCCAUAACUUAUACAUGUUCCUAUGACUAUGAGAUCAUGAAACUCCCGAAUACCGGUGGAACACUUAGUGUGCUAUCAAAUGUCACAACAUAACUGGGUGACUAUAAAGAUGCUCUACAGGUAUCUCUGAUGGUGUUUGUUGAGUUGGCAUAGAUCAAGAUUAGGAUUUUUCACUCCGAGUAUCGGUGAGGUAUCUCUGGGCCCACUCGGUAAUGCACAUCACUAUAAGCCUUGCAAGCAAUGUGACUAAUGAGUUAGUUAUGGGAUGAUGCUUUACGGAAUGAGUAAAGAUACUUGUCGGUAACAAAAUUAAACUAGGUAUCGAGAUACCGACGAUCGAAUCUCGGGCAAGUAACAUACCGAUGACAAAGGGAACAACGUAUGUUGUUAUGUGAUACGUCUCCACAUAUCUACUUUUCUAAACACUUUUGACCUUGUUUUGGACUCUAACUUGCAAGAUUUGAAUGGAACUAACCCGGACUGACGCUGUUUUCAGCAGAAUUGCCAUAGUGUUAUUUUUGUGCAGAAAUAAAAUUUCUCAGAAUCACCUAAAACUUCACGGAGAAUAUUUUUGGAAUAUAUAAAAAAUACUGGCGAAAGAAUCAACGUCAUGGGGCCCACGCCCUGUCCACGAGGGUGGGAGGCACGCCCCUGCCUCGUGGGCCCCCUGAGGCUCCACCGACCUCAACUCCAACUCUAUAUAUUCAUGUUCGGGGAGGAAAAAAUCAGAGAGAAGGAUUCAUCGCGUUUUACGAUAUGGAGCCGCCGCCAAGCCCUAAUCUCUCUCGGGAGGGCUGAUCUAGAGUCCGUUCGAGGCUCCGGAGAGGGGAAUCCAUCGCCAUCGUCUUCACCAACCUUCCUCCAUCACCAAUUUCAUGAUGCUCACUGCCGUGCAUGAGUAAUUCCAUCGUAGGAUUGCUGGACGGUGAUGGGUUGGAUGAGAUUUAUCAUGUAAUCGAGUUAGUUUUGUUAUGGUUUGAUCCCUAGUAUCCAUUAAGUUCUGAGAUUGAUGUUGUUAUGACUUUGCUAUGCUUAAUGCUUCUCACUAGGGCCCGAGUGCCAUGAUUUCAGAUCUGAACCUAUGAUGUUUCCAUGAAUAUAUGUGAGUUCUUCAUCCUAUAUCUUGCAAGUCAAUAGUCACCUAUUAAGUGUUAUGAUCCGUUAACCCCGAAGUGACAAUAAUCGGGAUACUUACCGGUGAUGACCGUAGUUUGAGGAGUUAUGUAUUCACUAAGUGUUAAUGCUUUGUUUUGGUACUCUAUUAAAAGGAGGCCUUAAUAUCCCUUAGUUUCCAAUAGGACCCCGCUGCCACGGGAGGGUAGGACAAAAGAUGUCAUGCAAGUUCUUUUCCAUAAGCACGUAUGACUAUAUUCGGAAUACAUGCCUACAUUACAUUGAUGAACUAGAGCUAGUUCUGUGCCACCCUAUGUUAUAACUGUUGCAUGAGGAAUCGCAUCCAAUAUAAUUAUCCAUCACUGAUCCAAUGCCUACGAGCUUUUCACAUAUUGAUCUUUGCUUAGUUACUUUACCAUUGCUACUGUUACAAUCACUACAAAACCAAUACUAUUACUUUUGCCACUGCUACCGUUACUUCCAUGUUACUUUGCUACUAAAUACUUUAAUGUAGAUAUUAAGUCUUUCCGGUGCAUUUGAAUUUACAACUCAACUGUUAAUACUUGAGAAUAUUCUUUGGCUCCCCUUGUGUCGAAUCAAUAAAUUUGGGUUGAAUGCUCUACCCUUGAAAACUGUUGCGAUCCCCUAUACUUGUGGGUUAUCAAGACUAUUUUCUGGCGCCGUUGCCGGGGAGCAUAGCUCUAUUCUUUGAGUCUCUUGGGAUUUAUAUCUAUUGAUAACUAUGAAGAACUUGAAAGAUAAAAUAACCAAGAUUUAUCCCUCAACUACGAGGGGAGGUAAGGAACUGCCAUCUAGCUCAGCACUUGAUUCACCUUUUGUUAUGAGUAAACUUGCGACACCUACUCCUGCUAUUCAGUCUGAUAUGUCGCAUGUUAUUGAUGAUGCCACUUCUGCUAUGCAUGAUGCUUAUGAUGAAACUACUUCUAUGCUUGAUAAUACUGUGCCAUUAGGUGAAUUUCUUGUUGAACAACUUGCUAGGGUUAGAGAGAAUGAAAUUAUUGAAACUGAUAAUUUUGAUGAAAGUGAUGAUGAAGAUUCUCCCCCUAGAUAUGAAUUGCAUGUUGUGCCUGAGGGUUAUGUUAUGGAUGAAGAAACUGUUAGAGACUUUUUAGCUUGCAAUGAUAGAUAUGAUCUUAAGAAACUAUUAGCUAAGCUGAAAGAAAAGUCUUUGAAUGGUAGAAUGAAAUAUGACCCUGAUUUUGCUACUUCACCUAUCUGUAUUUACGAUAAGGAUUAUGAUUUCUCUGUCGAUCUUGAGUUAAUCACUUUGGUUGAAUCUGAUCCUUUUUAUGGCUAUGAGUCUAAAACUGUUGUGGCACAUCUUACUAAAUUAAAUGAUAUAGCCACCAUGUUCACUAAUGAUGAGAAAACUCGCUAUUACUUUAUCCUUAAGUUGUUUCCGUUCUCAUUAAAGGGUGAUGCUAAAAUAUGGUUUAAUUCUCUUGAUCUUGGUUGUGUGUGUAGUCCCCAGGAUAUGAUUUAUUACUUCUCUGCCAAAUAUUUCCCAGCUCAUAAGAAACAAGCUGCCUUAAGGGAAAAUAUAAUUUUGUGCAAAUUGAAGAAGAGAGUCUCCCACAAGCUUGGUGUAACAUCCCAAAUUUUCAAUUUGGAAUGUUAUACAUUAGAUCAUCAAUGAAUAUCAUAUUUGAUUUGCUUUUGGUUUUGAUCCUAGAAAUUCCACGCAACUCAAGGACCCACGGAGAGAGUUGGGGAUUUCGUUAUUUUCAUAUUUGAGUUUUCUCAAAUUGUGCGAAUAGGAUCAUUUGAUUUUAAUUGUUUUAUCAUCAAUUAUUUCUAUUACAAAAAUAUGAGAGAGGGAAUAAAAUCACUUCCCAAAAUAAAGAAAUAUUGAGGAUUUAAUAAUAAAAUCAAAUAAGAUUUUAUUUCGGAGUUUUCGGUAUUUUAUUUGAAUUUAGGAAAAAUGUGCGUUUUUCAAAAUUGCAUUUAGGCCCCAAAAUAAAUGUUCACCUUGUGUGGCUUGAUUUUAGAAGCCCAGGAAAAUUUAUUUCGAGAUUUUUGGAGUCCGUUUAGUAUUUUUUUUAUUUAUUUUUCUGCGGAAAUAAUUAAAAAAACGCGAACCGACUUUGGGCCGUACCCGAGCGGGACUCUGCCCGGGGGCAGCCUUUAAAUAGCCACCGCCCGAGCCGCCCCAGCCCACCAGAGCCGCCGCCAACCCCAACCCUAGUCACGCCUCGAUCCGCGCGCCCGCCGCUGCCGCCGGAGCCGCCGCCGACCCGCCUCCCGAGGUAAAAAAAAGGGAGUCACGGUUUCUUUUAGUUUCGGUUUUUUUAAAUAGAUCGGUUUUUCCGAUUUAUUUAUUUAGCGAGCGUUCGUCCGUUCGUUCGUUCUAGUGAACGUUCGUCGUUUUUCUUUUUCUCGUAUUAAAUCCGCGAUUUUUCUGAUCGCGAUUCCUCAUCCGAUUUUCAUUUUAGUAUAACUUUUCGCUCGUUUAUGGGAAUCAGGCGAUUCAAGCACCUGGAGUCGUCUCGAAACCCUCUAUCCGUUUAACCAACUUAAAAAAGUUUUUGCCACUGUAAAAAUUGCCCUAGAUCCAGAAUAGUAAACGAAGCUUGUUUCUUUUGCCGUUUGACUUUCGUUACUUCGUUUGAUUUGAUUCUUUUUGCAAACCGGAGUUCUUAAGUUGAACCUUCUAGUUAUAUCUCUUAUUUGAGUUUUACCGUGCAUUAGAUGAAUACUUAUUGUAUACUUGUUUGUUUGUCUGUGAUAGAAUACCCGGAGUGCGCCGCUUGUUACUUCGAAUCUCUAGGUUUUGGGGAUCAUCAGCAAGGCAAGUAACACUUUGAUCAUACCUCCUACUACCCAGUUUUAUUGCAUUAGAUCAAUCCUCAAACAUUGCAUGAUUAGGAUCUAAUUAAAUUGUGGGAUGGGAAGUAGUUGAGGUAGUACCUAUUACCUGUUUAUUUUCAAACCUUUGGGAGUUACUUCUACGUUUGCUUACUAUUGCUAUGCUAUGCUAGUAGACGUGGAUUGGGUGAGUGAUAUCCAUGACAGAUGUGAGUUUGUUAAUUAAGGGUUUAUCUAAGGUGGCAACUUAAAUACACAUCUGGGUGGAUUGAGGUACCUGGGUAUUCCAGGAUUGCCUAUUUUUUUCUUUAUGGACUGCCACCCAGGACCAAAGGGAUCAUGAGAUUUUUCAUACUAGAAACUUCCGUGUGCAGCCACAAGCUAUUAUGGGCUCUAGCAUAGUUGAUUAAGUCAUGCGAACUCUUACAGGGUAGACUAGCAGAUGUAGGGGAAAGUAGGUGUAACGGUCUAUCCAUCGUAAGGUGCUAGCGCUUCUGAAAGACUAGGUCUCGGUCAUCCGUCUUCUCAAACACCAUGUAGUGAGAGAAACCAAAUGGAGGCGAUCGAGUCUUGUGGGGAAAAGUGCGCAAAUCUCUGCAGAGUGUAUAAACUAAUCAUGAUUACCCGUGUCCCCGGUUAUGGACAGCUUGAGUAUCUAGUACUUGGAUUAACAUGUGAAUCUCAACAUGAUACUCUAAAAAUUAAUUUUGUUGGGUUUUGUUUAAUGAUGAUGCUUAAUUGGGAUUGAGAAUGCUGUCAACCAUUCUCAAUGUUUAACAACUACCAUGAUAGUUAAAUAAAAUUUAUUCCUUUGUAGUAGGGAAAAAUUGGCUUUACGCAACACUGUAACCAUAGAACUUUCCACCAGCCAAAUAUGCAUAUAGUAUAGUUGUUUCAUUCCAUUACUCUCUAUGUGUUACUUUGCCAGCAUAUUCCAUGUGCUGACCCGUUUCGGGCUGCAACGUUAAUGUUGCAGACUUUUCAGACGACGAUUAAGGAGUUUUUAGGUCGUGGUUCUAUACUCAGUGAUGCCGUUGGAGUUGAUAGACUCACUUAUCUUCCAAGCCUUCCGCUGUUAUAGUUAUUAGAUGGCCUUAAGCCAUAUUUAUUGUAAUAAGUUCUCUAUGGAGACACUCGAUGUAAUAAGUGUGUGAUUGCUACUCUGUUAUAAAUCCUCCGAGUACUGUGUGGUGUCAGCAUUACUGAUCCAGGGAUGACACCUGAGCACGGAGAUCAGACUGUUUGAGGUCUGGUCGCUACAGAGAUGGUAUCAGAGCACACGCUGACUCUAGGACACGACCACUAAGCUAAAGACCUAGAUCACUAUUCACUCUCUUCUCUUCUGACCUCUCAUCUUUUCUACUCUUUAGGAUGGCGGAUGCAAGGAACAAGUUCACGCAACUGGAUGACGAUACACCUUUUGGACGUCACUUGAAGGAAGUCACUAGAUACCUGAACAUAGGAGUACCAAGCUUCACCGGAACCUACAACGCCACUUUACCUAAAGAAGAGCGCUGGAUGAUUCAAGUUCAAGUUCCAGGAAGGACGUUCAUGCCAGUCACUGAGCCCAUAGAGUUUUCUUUUGAUGCACCAACUUGGAGUCUAGGAAAGAGCAUGGCAGCUCACAUCGCCAUGGGACGCAUUGGAGAAGUCUACCGCAAUGAUCUCAAGGAUACUAUCUACCAGAUUUGUGGGCGCCGAGAUGAACACUGGGAGAUGAUCAGCACCAGGAAGGAUAGAUCAAUUGCAGCUUUUAUCCAGGAAUUAAACUAGCACAUUUGACGACAGGAGAACCAGAUGUGCGCCGACAUGAUAGACCUGAAGAAGGCUAAGACAAGAAUCAAGGAACUAGAGGAAGAACUUAAGGCUCCACGUGAAUAUUAUGAAGAAGAAAUUGAAGUAUUAGUGGAUAAGAAUGCCGACCUAACAAUGAAGAUCGGGAUAUUUAUGGGAGGCCCUACACCAGUAGAAGAAGACGAAGAACCCAAAGAGAUUCGCCUGGAAGACUACAUCAUCAUCGACGACACCGACUCGGACCCAGAUGAUAGUGAUGAUGACUAUGUUGAUGAAGCCGGAGCAGAUAUCAUGGAGUCUGCAACCGAAGAAUAUUUCUAGUAGACCACCUCAUCAGUAGUAGUAGUCCACCAUGUAAAUACAGUAGUCCGAGCACUUUUGCGAUAGUUAGAUCGAUUGUAUGCCCUUGUUUGAUUGAAUGAAAUGAAUUGUUUGCUUUUGCCUCAUGAGCAUAUGGGUAGUGUUUUCUCUUUAGACCCCCUCUAUUCUUAAAUCUCAUCUUUUCUAAACCCUUAGAUGCCUCUGAGACGUGACCCCGGAUUUACCUUUCCACCGGAGCUCACCCAGUUGAUCCAGCAGCAGAACACACUGAUGCAGUUGCUAGUUCAGAAUCAGAAUCAGGGGAACAACAACAACAACCCACCACCACCGCCGCCUAUUGAUCACUUAGCCCGUUUGCUUAGGCUGAAUCCGCCGGUGUUUUCCAGUAGCACCAAGCCGAUAGUAGCAGAUGAUUGGCUCCACAAGACAACUAGAGAGUUGACCAUAGCAGGAUGCACAGAUGCGAAGAAGGUGAAGUUUGCCGCGCAUCAGCUUAAAGGACCCGCAGCAUCAUGGUGGGAGAAUUUCACAGCCACUUUCCCUGUCGACACUGUCACUUGGGACCAGUUUCAGCAGGCUUUUCGAACUGCCCAUGUUUCAGCAGGAGCUAUGGCCAUGAAGAAGCGUGAGUUUCGCAACUUGCACCAAGGAGGAUGGACAGUUGUCCAGUAUGUGGAGAAAUUUAGUAAAUUAGCACGUUAUGCCCCAGAUGACGUUGCUACGGAUGCAGCUAAGUAGGAGAAGUUUCUGGAAGGACCGAAUGACGAAUUGAGCAUGCAGUUGAUGGUACAAACCUUCAACAACUACCAAGAGUUGGUAGACCGUGCUCUUAUGAUUGAAGGCAAGCAGCAGCAAAUUGAGAACCGCAAGAGGAAGUAUGGACAAGGGAAGUACAAUUCUGGAGCCCGGCAUAAGCCACGUUUUACCCCUAGAUCAGGAGGACAUUUUCAGCAUACCCAUGGAGGAGGUAGCACAUACAAUCACAAUGGCACCAAGAAUGGUAAUGGGAAUGGAGGAAGCAACGGCCAGAAUCCCACCAACCCAUCAACCCCAGCCAAGGAAGACUUGAGCCAAGUCACUUGCUUUAAGUGCCAGAAGACCGGACAUUAUGCCAAUGAAUGUCCUGAAGGCCAGAAUAGCAAUGGAAGCUCUGGGAAGAAGCCGAACCCUUUCAACAGGGGACAGGUGAACCACGUUAAUGUGGAGGAGGUUGAAGAGCAACCGGAUGCCGUAAUCGGUAAGUUUUUGGUUAAGUCAAUUACUGCACUCGUUCUUUUUGAUACUGGUUCAUCGCAUUCAUACAUAUCAAGGGGAUUUAUGGAUAAGUAUAACUUGCCCACUAAGGUUCUUAGAACACCUAUGCUAGUAAGCUCGCCAGGAGCAGAGUAUAUGGCCAGUCAAGGAUGUUUUCAAGUGCCAUUGAGUAUAGGUAGGCAUGUGUUUCCCUCGGAUAUAAUCAUUUUGGAAUCACAAGGAUUGGAUGUAAUUCUGGGUAUGGAUUGGCUGUCGAUGUAUGGAGGAAACAUCGAUUGCGUCAGUAAGACAAUUUUGCUUACCACCGCAGAAGGGAGAAGGAUCAAGUAUGUAUCCCGACAUGUGCCAAAAGGGACUCAAGUAAAUUGUUUAACAGGAGUUGUGCAGGAGGAGGUACCAGUGGUAAGGGAUUUCCCUGAAGUAUUUCCAGAAGAGUUGCCACGCAUGCCACCGGAUAGAGAUAUUGAGUUUUUGAUUGAGCUAUUGCCAAGCACAGGGCCAAUAUCGAAGAGACCAUACAGGAUGCCUGCAAAGGAUUUGGUGGAGAUUAAGAAGCAGAUUAAGGAGUUAUUGGAUAUAGGUUACAUUCGCCCAAGUUCGUCACCUUGGGGAUCGCUAGUACUUAUAGUGGAGAAGAAGGAUGGAUCAUUAAGGAUGGUUGUUGAUUAUCGAGGAUUGAAUGAAGUAACCAUCAAGAACAAGUACCCAAUACCAAUGAUCAAUGAUCUGUUUGAUCGAUUGCAAGGAGCUAAGGUAUUUUCCAAGAUCGAUCUGCAAUCAGGAUACCACCAAUUAAAGAUUCGAGAACAGGAUAUACCUAAGACAGCUUUUACCACCAAGUAUGGGUUGUACGAGUAUACUGUUAUGUCAUUUGGUCUGACUAAUGCACCUGCCUAUUUUAUGAACAUGAUGAACAAAGUGUUUAUGGAGUUCUUGGAUAAGUUCGUCAUAGUGUUCAUUGAUGAUAUUCUGGUUUACUCAAAAAGUGAAGAGGAGCAUAAGGAACAUUUGCGAUUGGUACUUGAGAAGCUCAGAGAACAUCAGUUCUAUGCCAAGUUCAGCAAAUGUGAGUUUUGGUUGAAGGAAGUAGGAUUCCUCGGACAAGUUAUAUCCGGAGAAGGUAUAGCCGUAGAUCCCACUAACGUUGACACUCUGACAAAUUGGGAAGCGCCAACAAUAGUUGGAGAGAUCUGGAGUUUCCUUGGACUCGCGGGGUACUACCGGAGAUUUAUUGAGAAUUUCUCCAAGAUUGCCAAACCUAUGAUGGAGUUAUUAAAGAAGGAUACCAAGUUCAUAUGGACUGAGGAAUGUGAGGCUAGUUUCCAGGAGUUGAAGAAACGCUUGGUUACUUCAUCAGUGUUGAUUUUGCCAGACCAGACCAAGGAUUAUGAGGUGUAUUGCGACGCUUCACGUCGAGGACUUGGAGCAGUGCUUAUGCAGGAAGGGAGAGUUGUUUCAUAUGCCUCGAGACAACUGAAACCUCAUGAGUUGAAUUAUGCUACGCAUGAUUUGGAGUUAGCAGCCGUAGUGCAUGCACUGAAGAUAUGGAGACAUUUCCUCAUUGGAAAUUAUUGUGAGGUGUACAUGGAUCACAAGAGUUUGAAGUAUAUUUUCACGCAGAAGGAGUUGAACCUCAGACAAAGGAGAUGGUUGGAGCUCAUCAAGGAUUAUGAUAUGAGAUUGCAUUACCACCCCGGAAAGGCUAAUGUAGUAGCCGACGCAUUAAGCCGUAAGAGCCAUGUCAAUACAUUAAUGACGGGAGAAAUACCAAGAGAGUUAGCCGAAAAUCUUCGUGAACUAUGUUUGGAAAUAGUUCUGAGAGGCUAUGUAGCAGCAUUGGAGAUUGAGUCAACUUUGAUGGAUAGAAUCAGAGGAGCUCAAAAGACUGACAAGGAGAUUGCCUCUAUACAGGAGAAAAUGAGCGAAGGAAAGGCUAAAGGAUUUCGUGAGGAUGAGCACGACACCCUAUGGUUUGAAGACCGUGUUUAUGUGCCCAAUGACCCGGAGAUCAGGAAGUUGAUUCUGCAAGAGGCACACGAUUCACCAUGUUCGAUUCACCCAGGAAAUACCAAGAUGUAUUUGGAUUUGAAGGAUAUUUUCUGGUGGACAAGAAUGAAGAAAGAUAUUGCGGAGUAUGUAGCAGUUUGUGAUGUAUGUCAGAGAGUAAAGGCAGAGCAUCAGAAGCCAGCAGGAUUGCUACAGCCAUUGUCGAUACCCGAAUGGAAGUGGGAUAAGUUAGGCAUGGAUUUUAUCACGGGAUUACCCAGGACUCGUUCAGGCUAUGACUCGAUUUGGGUUGUAGUUGAUUGGUUGACGAAAGUAGCUCAUUUCAUCCCGGUAAAGACCACUUACAACAGUGCUAAGUUGGCAAAGAUAUACAUGACCAGAAUUGUAUGCUUACAUGGAGUUCCUAGGAGUAUAGUAUCAGAUAGAGGAACCCAGUUUACCUCAAAGUUCUGGAUCAUUUGCACGAAACUUUGGGUACCAGGCUAGAGUUCAGCACAGCUUUUCAUCCACAGACAGAUGGACAAACCGAGAGAGUCAGUCAGAUUUUGGAGGACAUGCUGAGAGCUUGUGCGCUGGAUUAUGGAUCUAGUUGGGACGAGAAUUUGCCGUAUGCAGAGUUCUCUUACAACAAUAGAUAUCAAUCCAGUUUAAAGAUGGCCCCUUUCAAAGCCUUGUACGGAAGGAGGUGCAGGACACCCUUGUCGUGGGAUGAAGUUGGAGACCGCCAGUUGUUUGGACCUGACUUGAUUAAGGAGUCUGAACAGAAGGUGAAAUUGAUUCGCGAUAGGCUCAAGAUAGCCCAGUCCAGACAGAAGAGUUAUGCAGAUUCUAAACGCAAGGAGACAGUUUACGAAGUUGGAGAUAGAGCUUAUCUUUGAGUAUCCCCACUUCGGGGAACAAAGCACUUUGGUGUUAAAGGAAAGUUAGCGCCAUGAUUUGUAGGACCAUACCGAGUAUUGGAACGUAUGGGAGAAGUGGCCUACAAGUUGGAAUUUCCUGAAGGAUUGUCAGGAGUUCAUGAUGUGUUCCACGUUUCUCAGUUGAAAAAGUGCCACGCGGAGAUGGCUGACAUACCUUUGAGAGACACCGUGCCAUUAGAAGCAAUUCAGUUGGAUAACGAUUUGACCUAUGAGGAGAAACCAGUUAAGAUUCUAGAGUAUGCCAGUCGAGUCACCCGUAGCAAGGUUAUCAAGUUUUGCAAGGUUCAGUGGAGCCACCACACGGAGGAUGAAGCCACCUGGGAGUGAGAGGAAGACUUGCUCAAGGACCACCCUCACCUAUUUUCUAGCCAACCCGAAUCUCGAGGGCGAGAUUCAUCUUAAGGGGGGUAGGUUUGUAACAUCCCAAAUUUUCAAUUUGGAAUGUUAUACAUUAGAUCAUCAGUGCAUAUCAUAUUUUAUUUGCAUUUGGUUUUGAUCCUAGAAAUUCCACGCAACUCAAGGACCCACGGAAAGAGUUGGGGAUUUCGUUAUUUUCAUAUUUGAGUUUUCUCAAAUUUUGCGAAUAGGAUCAUUUGAUUUUAAUUAUUUUAUCAUCAAUUAUUUCUAUUACAAAAAUAUGAGAGAGGGAAUAAAAUGACUUUCCCAAAAUAAAGAAAUAUUGAGGAUUUAAUAAUAAAAUCAAAUAAGAUUUUAUUUCGAAGUUUUUCGGUAUUUUAUUUGAAUUUAGGAAAAUGUGCGUUUUUCAAAAUUGCAUUUUGUCCCCAAAUAAAUGUUCACCUUGUGCGGCUUGAUUUUAGAAGCCCGGGAAAAUUUAUUUCGGGAUUUUUGGAGUCCGUUUAGUAUUUCUUUUAUUUGUUUUUCUGCGCGGAAUAAUUAAAAAAACGCGAACCGACUUUGGGCCGUACCCGAGCGGGACUCCGCCCGGGGGCAGCCUUUAAAUAGCCGCUGCCCGAGCCGCCACCAACCCUAACCCUAGCCGUGCGUCAGUCCGCGCGCCCGCCGCCGCCGCCGGAGCCGCCGCCGACCCGCCUCCCGAGGUAAAAAAAGGGAGUCGCGGUUUUAUUUUUUUUAGUUCCAUUUUUUCAAGUAGAUCGGUUUUUCUGAUUUAUUUAUUUAGCGAGCGUUCGUCCGUUCAUUCAUUCUAGCGAACGUUCAUCGUUUUCCUUUUUCUCGGAUUAAAUCCGUGAUUUUUCUGAUCGCGAUUCCUGAUCCGAUUUUCGUUUUAGUAUAACUUUUCGCUCGUUUAUCGGAAUCAGGCGAUUCAAGCGCCUGGAGUUUCGUCUCGAAACCCUCUAUCCGUUUAACCAACUUAAAAAAGUUUUUGCCACUGUAAAAAUUGCCCUAGAUCCAGAAUAGUAAACGAAUCUUGUUUCUUUUGCCGUUUGACUUUCGUUGCUUCGUUUGAUUUGAUUCUUUUUGCAAACCGGAGUUCUUAAGUUGAACCUUCUAGUUAGAUCUCUUAUUUGAGUUUUACCCGUGCAUUAGAUGAAUACUUAUUGUAUGCUUGUUUGUUUGUCUGCGAUAGAAUACCCGGAGUGCGCCGCCUGUUACUUCGAAUCUCUAGGUUUCGGGAAUCAUUAGCAAGUAAGUAACACUUUGACCAUACCUCCUACUACCCAGUUUUAUUGCAUUAGAUCAAUCCUCAAACAUUGCAUGAUUAGGAUCUAAGUAAAUUGUGGGAUGGGAAGUAGUUGAGGUAGUACCUAUUACCUGUAUAUUUUCAAACCUUUGGGAGUUACUUCUACGUUUGCUUACUAUUGCUAUGCUAUGCUAGUAGACGUGGAUUGGGUGAGUGAUAUCCAUGACAGAUGUGAGUUUGUUAAUUAAGGGUUUAUCUAAGGUGGCAACUUAAAUACACAUCUAGGUGGAUUGAGGUACCUGGGUAUUCCAGGAUUGCCUGUUUUUUUUCUUUAUGGACCGCCACCCAGGCCCAAAGGGAUCAUGAGAUUUUUCAUACUAGAAACUUCUGUGUGCAGCCACAAGCUAUUAUGGGCUCUAGCAUAGUUGAUUAAGUCGUGCGAACUCUUACGGGGUAGACUAGCAGAUGUAGGGGAAAGUAGGUGUAACGGUCUAUCCAUCGUAAGGUGCUAGCGCUUCUGAAAGACUAUGUCUCGGUCAUCCGUCUUCUCAAACACCAUGUAGUGCGAGAAACCAAACGGAGGCGAUCGAGUCUUGUGGGGAAAAGUGUGCAAACCUCUGCAGAGUGUAUAAACUAAUCAUGAUUAGCCGUGUCCCCGGUUAUGGACAGCUUGAGUAUCUAGUACUUGGAUUAUCAUGUGAAUCUCAACAUGUUACUCUAAAAAUUAAUUUUGUUGGGUUUUGUUUACUGAUGAUGCUUAAUUGGGAUUGAGAAUGCUGUCAACCAUUCUCAAUGUUUAGCAACUACCAUGAUAGUUAAAUAAAAUUUAUUCCUUUGUAGUAGGGAAAUUUUGGCUUUACGCAAAACUGUAACCAUAGAGCUUUCCACCAGCCAAAUAUGCAUAUAGUAUAGCUGUUUCAUUCCAUUACUCUCUAUGUGUUACUUUGCCAGCAUAUUCCAUGUGUUGACCCGUUUCGGGCUGCAACGUUAAUGUUGCAGACUUUUCAGACGACGAUUAAGGAGUUUUUAGGUCGUGGAUCUAUACUCAGUGAUGCCAUUGGAGUUGAUGGACUAACUUUGUUGGGGAACGUUGCAGAAAACAAAAAAUUUCCUACGGUUUCACCAAGAUCCAUCUAUGAGUUCAUCUAGCAACGAGUGAUCGGAUUGCAUCUACAUACCUUUGUAGAUCACGCGCGGAAGCAUUCAAAGAACGGGGAUGAGGAAGUCGUACUCGACGUGAUCCAAAUCAUCAGAGAUCCUAGCGCCGAACGGACGGCACCUCCGUGUUCAACACACGUACGGUCAGCGUGACGUCUCCUCCUUCUUGAUCCAGCAAGGGGGGGAGGAGAGGUUGAUGAAGAUCCAGCAGCACGACGGCGUGGUGGUGGAUGCAGGGGUCACCGCAGCAGGGCUUCGCCGUUCUACUACGAGAGGGAGAGAUGUAGCAGGGGAGAGGGAGGCGCCAAGAGUCAAGGGUGCGGCUGCCCCUCCCUCCCCCCCUUUAUAUAGGCUCCCCUAGGGGGGCGCCGGCCCUAGGAGAUGGGAUCUCCUAGGGGGGGCGGCGGCCAAGAGGUGGAGUGCCCCCCAAGCCAGGUGCCCCCCCCCCCACCCUAGGGUUCCCAACCCUAGGCGCAUGGGGUGGGCCAAGGGGGGCGCACCAGCCCACUAUGGGCUGGUUCCCCUCCCAACUUUGGCCCAUGGGGCCCUCCGGGAUGGGUGGCCCCACCCGGUGGACCCCCGAGACCCUUUCGGUGGUCCCGGUACAAUACCGGUGACCCCCGAAACUAUCCCGAUGGCCGAAACUGCACUUCCUAUAUAUAAUUCUUCACCUCCGGACCAUUCCGGAACUCCUCGUGACGUCCAGGAUCUCAUCCGGGACUCCGAACAACUUUCGGGUUACUGCAUAUUAUAUCUCUACAACCCUAGCGUCACCGAACCUUAAGUGUGUAGACCCUACAGGUUCGGGAGACAUGUAGACAUGACCGAGAUGGCUCUUCGGUCAAUAACCAAUAGCGGGAUCUGGAUACCCAUGUUGGCUCCCACACGCUCCUCGAUGAUCUCAUCGGAUGAACCACGAUGUCGAGGAUUCAAGCAACCCCGUAUACAAUUCACUUUGUCAAUCGGUAUGUUACUUGCCCAAGAUUCGAUCGUCGGUAUCCCAAUACCUCGUUCAAUCUCGUUACCGGCAAGUCACUUUACUCGUACCGUAAUGCAUGAUCCCGUGACCAGACACUUGGUCACUUUGAGCUCAUUGUGAUGAUGCAUUACCGAGUGGGCCCAGAGAUACCUCUCCGUCAUACGGAGUGACAAAUCCCAGUCUUGAUCCGUGUCAACCCAACAGACACUUUCGGAGAUACCUGUAGUAUACCUUUAUAGUCACCCAGUUACAUUGUGACGUUUGGUACACCCAAAGCACUCCUACGGUAUCCGGGAGUUACACGAUCUCAUGGUCUAAGGAAAAGAUACUUGACAUUGGAAAAACUCUAGCAAACGAACUAUACGAUCUUGUGCUAUGUUUAGGAUUGGGUCUUGUCCAUCACAUCAUUCUCCUAAUGAUGUGAUCUCGUUAUCAGUGACAUCCAAUGUCCAUAGUCAGGAAACCAUGACUAUCUAUUGAUCAACGAGCUAGUCAACUAGAGGCUUACUAGGGACAUGUUGGUGUCUAUGUAUUCACACAUGUAUUACGAUUUCCGGAUAACACAAUUAUAGCAUGAAUAAAAGACAAUUAUCAUGAACAAGGAAAUAUAAUAAUAAUCCUUUUAUUAUUGCCUCUAGGGCAUAUUUCCAAUAGUCUCCCACUUGCACUAGAGUCAAUAAUCUAGUUACAUUGUGAUGAAUCGAACACCCAUGGAAUUCUGGUGUUGAUCAUGUUUUGCUCUAGGGAGAGGUUUAAUCAACGGAUCUGCUACAUUCAGGUCCAUAUGUACUUUACAAAUAUCUAUGUCUCCAUCUUGAACAUUUUCACGAAUGGAUUUGAAGCGACGCUUGAUGUGCCUUGUCUUCUUGUGAGACCUGGGCUCCUUGGCAAGUGCAAUAGCUCCAGUGUUGUCACAGAAGAGUUUGAUCGGCCCCAACGCAUUGGGUAUGACUCCUAGGUCGGUGAUGAACUCCUUCACCCAAAUUGCUUCAUGUGCUGCCUCCAAGGCUGCCAUGUACUCCGCUUCACAUGUAGAUCCCGCCACGACGCUCUGCUUGCAACUACACCAGCUUACUGCCCCACCAUUCAAAAUAUACACGUAUCCGGUUUGUGACUUAGAGUCAUCCAGAUCUGUGUCGAAGCUAGCGUCGACGUAACCCUUUACGACAAGCUCUUCGUCACCUCCAUAAACGAGAAACAUUUCCUUAGUCCUUUUUAGGUACUUUAGGAUAUUCUUGACCGCUCUCCAGUGUUCCUUGCCGGGAUUACUUUGGUACCUACCUACCAAACUUACGGCAAGGUUUACAUCAGGUCUGGUACACAGCAUGGCAUACAUAAUAGAACCUAUGGCUGAGGCAUAGGGGAUGACACUCAUCUCUUCUAUAUCUUCCGCCGUGGUCGGACAUUGAGCUGAGCUCAAUUUCACACCUUGCAACACAGGCAAGAACCCCUUCUUAGACUGAUCCAUAUUGAACUUCUUCAAUAUCUUAUCAAGGUAUGUGCUUUGUGAAAGACCUAUGAGGCGUCUUGAUCUAUCUCUAUAGAUCUUGAUGCCUAAUAUAUAAGCAGCUUCUCCAAGGUCCUUCAUUGAAAAACUCUUAUUCAAGUAGGCCUUAAUGUUGUCCAAAAGCUCUAUAUCAUUUCCCAUCAAAAGUAUGUCAUCUACAUAUAAUAUGAGAAAUGCUACAGAGCUCCCACUCACUUUCUUGUAAACGCAGGCUUCUCCAUAAGUCUGCAUAAACCCAAACGCUUUGAUCAUCUCAUCAAAGCGAAUGUUCCAACUCCGAGAUGCUUGCACCAGCCCAUAAAUCGAGCAUUGGAGCUUGCACACCUUGUCAGCAUUCUUAGGAUCGACAAAACCUUCCGGCUGCAUCACAUACAAUUCUUCCUUAAGGAAACCAUUAAGGAAUGCCGUUUUGACGUCCAUUUGCCAUAUCUCAUAAUCAUAUAAUGCGGCAAUUUCUAACAUGAUUCGGACGGACUUCAGCUUCGUUACCGGUGAGAAAGUCUCAUCGUAGUCAACCCCUUGAACUUGUCGAUAACCCUUAGCGACAAGCCGAGCUUUAUAGAUGGUCACAUUACCAUCCGCGUCUGUCUUCUUCUUAAAGAUCCAUUUAUUUUCUAUGGCUCGCCGCUCAACGGGCAAGUCAGUCAAAGUCCAUACUUCGUUUUCAUACAUGGAUCCUAUCUCGGAUUUCAUGGCUUCCAGCCAUUUGUCGGAAUCCGGGCCCGCCAUCGCUUCUUCAUAGUUCGAAGGUUCACCGUUUUCUAACAACAUGAUUUCCAAGACAGGGUUGCCGUACCACUCUGGUGCGGAACAUGUCCUUGUGGACCUACGAAGUUCAGUAGCAACUUGAUCUGAAGUUUCAUGAUCAUCAUCAUUAACUUCCUCUCUAGUCGGUGCAGGCACCUCAGGAACAUUUUCUUGAGUUGCGCCAUUUUCCGGUUCAAGAGAUAAUACUUCAUCAAGUUCUACUUUCCUCCCACUUACUUCUUUCGAGAGAAACUCCUUCUCUAGAAAGGAUCCAUUCUUGGCAACAAAGAUCUUGCCUUCGGAUCUGAGGUAGAAGGUAUACCCAAUAGUUUCUUUAGGGUAUCCUAUGAAGACGCAUUUUUCCGACUUGGGUUCGAGCUUUUCAGGUUGAAGUUUCUUGACAUAAGCAUCGCAUCCCCAAACUUUUAGAAACGACAGCUUAGGUUUCUUCCCAAACCAUAACUCAUACGGAGUCGUCUCAACGGAUUUUGACGGAGCCCUAUUUAAAGUGAAUGCGGCAGUCUCUAAAGCAUAGCCCCAAAAAGAUAGCGGUAAAUCGGUAAGAGACAUCAUAGAUCGCACCAUAUCUAAUAGAGUGCGAUUACGACGUUCGGACACACCAUUAUGCUGAGGUGUUCAAGGCGGCGUGAGUUGUGAAACUAUUCCACAUUUUCUUAAGUGUGUGCCAAAUUCGUGACUCAAGUAUUCUCCUCCACGAUCUGAUCGCAGGAACUUGAUUUUCCUGUCACAUUGAUUCUCAACCUCACUCUGAAAUUCCUUGAACCUUUCAAAGGUCUCAGACUUGUGUUUCAUUAAGUAGACAUACCCAUAUCUACUCAAGUCAUCAGUGAGGGUGAGAACAUAACGAUAACCACCGCGAGCCUCAACACUCAUUGGACCGCACACAUCAGUAUGUAUGAUUUGCAAUAAGUUGGUUGCUCGCUCCAUUGUUCCUGAGAACGGAGUCUUGGUCAUUUUACCCAUGAGGCAUGGUUCGCAUGUGUCAAAUGAUUCGUAAUCAAGAGACUCUAAAAGUCCAUCUGCAUGGAGCUUCUUCAUGCGUUUGACACCUAUGUGACCAAGGCGGUAGUGCCACAAGUAUGUGGGACUAUCAUUAUCAACCUUACAUCUUUUGGUACUCACACUAUGAAUAUGUGUAGCAUUACGCUCAAGAUUCAUUAAGAAUAAACCAUUCACCAUCGGAGCAUGACCAUAAAACAUAUCUCUCAUAUAAAUAGAACAACCAUUAUUCUUGGAUUUAAAUGAGUAGCCAUCUCGUAUUAAACGAGAUCCUUAUACAAUUUUCAUGCUCAAACUUGGCACUAAAUAACAAUUAUUGAGGUUCAAAACUAAUCCCGUAGGUAAAUGUAGAGGUAGCGUGCCGAUGGCGAUCACAUCGACCUUGGAACCAUUCCCGACGCGCAUCAUCACCUCGUCCUUCGCCAGUCUCCGCUUAUUCCGCAGCUCCUGCUUUGAGUUACAAAUGUGAGCAACUGCAUCGGUAUCAAAUACCCAGGAGCUACUACGAGUACUGGUAAGGUACACAUCAAUUACAUGUAUAUCACAUAUACCUUUCGUUUUGCCGGCCUUCUUGUCCGCUAAGUAUUUGGGGCAGUUCCGCUUCUAGUGACCACUUUCCUUGCAAUAAAAGCACUCAGUCUUGGGCUUGGGUCCAUUCUUUGGCUUCUUCCCGGCAGCUUGCUUGCCGGGCGCGGCAACUCCCUUGCCGUCCUUCUUGAAGUUUUUCUUACCCUUGCCUUUCUUGAACUUAGUGGUUUUAUUCACCAUCAACACUUGAUGUUCCUUUUUGACUUCUACCUCUGCUGAUUUCAGCAUUGCAAAUACUUUAGGAAUGGUCUUUUCCAUCCCUUGCAUAUUGAAGUUCAUCACAAAGCUCUUGUAGCUUGGUGGAAGCGACUGAAGUAUUCUGUCAAUGACCGCGUCAUCCGGGAGAUUAACUCCCAGCUGAGUCAAGCGGUUAUGUAACCCUGACAUAGUGAGUAUGUGCUCACUGACAGAACUAUUUUCCUUCAUCUUACAGCUGAAGAACUUGUCGGAGACUUCAUAUCUCUCGACCCGGGCAUGAGCUUGAAAAACCAUUUUCAGCUCUUCGAACAUCUCAUAUGCUCUGUGUCUCUCAAAACGCUUUUGGAGCCCCGGUUCUAAGUUGUAAAGCAUGCCGCACUGAACGAGGGAGUAAUCAUCGGUAUGUGUCUGCCAAGCGUUCAUAACGUCUUCUUCUGCAGGGAGAACAGGUGCUUCACCUAGCGGUGCUUGUAGGACAUAAUCUUUCUUGGCAGCUAUGAGGAUGAUCCUCAGGUUCCGGACCCAGUCCGUAUAGUUGCUGCCAUCGUCUUUCAGCUUGGUUUUCUCUAGGAACGUGUUGAAGUUGAGGACAACGUUGGCCAUUUGAUCUCAAUACAUGUUGUAAAGAUUUUAGACUAAGUUCAUGAUAAUUAAGUUCAUCUAAAUCAAAUUAUUCAAUGAAAUCCCACUUAGAUAGACAUCCCUCCAGUCAUCUAAGUAUAACAUGAUCCGAGUUAACUAGGCCGUGUCCGAUCAUCACGUGAGACGAACUAGUCAACAUCGGUGAACAUCUUCAUGUUGAUCGUAUCUUCUAUACGACUCAUGCUCGACCUUUCAGUCUUCUGUGUUCCGAGGCUAUGUCUGUACAUGCUAGGCUCGUCAAGUCAACCUAAGUGUUUGCAUGUGUAAAUCUGUCUUACACCCGUUGUAUGUGAACGUUGGAAUCUAUCACACCUGAUCAUCACGUGGUGCUUCGAAACAAUGAACUGUCGCAACAGUGCACAGUUAGGGGGAACACUUUCUUGAAAUUAUUAUGAGGGGUCAUCUCAUUUACUACCGUCAUUCUAAGUAAACAAGAUGCAAAAACAUGAUAAACAUCACAUGCAAUCAAAUAAUAAUAGUGACAUGAUAUGGCCAAUAUCACAUAGCUCCUUUGAUCUCCAUCUUGGGGCUCCAUGAUCAUCUUGUCACCGGCAUGACACCAUGAUCUCCAUCAUCAUGAUCUCCAUCAUCGUGUCUCCAUGAAGUUGCUCGCCAACUAUUACUUCUACUACUAUGGCUAACACGUUUAGCAAUAAAGUAAAGUAAUUUACAUGGCGUUUCUCAAUGACACGCAGGUCAUACAAAAAAAAUAAAGACAACUCCUAUGGCUCCUGCCGGUUGUCAUACUCAUCGACAUGCAAGUCGUGAUUCCUAUUACAAUAGCAUGAACAUCUCAUACAUCACAUAUAUAUCAUUCAUCAUUCAUCACAACUUUGGCCAUAUCACAUCACAAAACACUUGCUGCAAAAACAAGUUAGACGUCCUCUAAUUGUUGUUGCAAGUUUUACGUGGCUGCAAUAGGAUUCUAGCAAGAACGUUUUCUUACCUACGUCAAACCACAAUGUGAUUUGUCAACUUCUAUUUACCCUUCAUAAGGACCCUUUUCAUCGAAUCCGCUCCAACUAAAGUGGGAGAGACAGACACCCGCCAGCCACCUAUGCAACUAGUGCAUGUCAGUCGGUGGAACCGGUCUCAUGUAAGCGUACGUGUAAGGUUGGUCCGGGCCGCUUCAUCCCACAAUACUGCUGAAGCAAAAUAAGACUAGUAGCGGCAAGAAAGUUGACAACAUCUACGCCCACAACAAAUUGUGUUCUACUCGUGCAAAGAGAACUACGCAUAGACCUAGCUCAUGAUGCCACUGUUGGGGAACGUUGCAGAAAACAAAAAUUUCCCUACGGUUUCACCAAGAUCCAUCUAUGAGUUCAUCUAGCAACGAGUGAUCGGAUUGCAUCUACAUACCUUUGUAGAUCACGCGCGGAAGCGUUCAAAGAACGGGGAUGAGGAAGUCGUACUCGACGUGAUCCAAAUCACCGGAGAUCCUAGUGCCGAACGGAUGGCACCUCCGUGUUCAACACACGUACGGUCAGCGUGACGUCUCCUCCUUCUUGAUCCAGCAAGGGGGGGAGGAGAGGUUGAUGAAGAUCCAGCAGCAUGACGGCGUGGUGGUGGAUGCAGGGGUCACUGCAGCAGGGCUUCGCCGUUCUACUACGAGAGGGAGAGGUGUAGCAGGGGAGAGGGAGGCGCCAAGAGUCAAGGGUGUGGCUACCCCUCCCUUCCCCCUUUAUAUAGGCUCCCCUAGGGGGGCGCCGGCCCUAGGAGAUGGGAUCUCCUAGGGCGGGCGCCGGCCAAGGGGUGGAGUGCCCCCCAAGCCAGGUGGGGCGCCCCCCACCCUAGGGUUCCCAACCCUAGGCGCAUGGGCUGGGCCAAGGGGGGUGCACCAGCCCACUAUGGGCUGGUUCCCCUCCCCACUUUGGCCCAUGGGGCCCUUCGGGAUGGGUGGCCCCACCCGGUGGACCCCCGGGACCCUUCCGAUGGUCCCGGUACAAUACUGGUGACCCCCGAAACUCUCCCAAUGGCCGAAACUGCACUUCCUAUAUAUAAUUCUUCACCUCCGGACCAUUCCGGAACUCCUCGUGAUGUCCGGGAUCUCAUCCGAGACUCCGAACAACUUUCGGGUUACUGCAUAUUAUAUCUCUACAACCCUAGCGUCACCGAACCUUAAGUGUGUAGACCCUAUGGGUUCGGGAGACAUGUAGACAUGACCGAGAUGGCUCUCCGGUCAAUAACCAACAGCGGGAUUUGGAUACCCAUGUUGGCUCCCACAUGCUCCUCGAUGAUCUCAUCGGAUGAACCACGAUGUCGAGGAUUCAAGCAACCCCGUAUACAAUUCCCUUUGUCAAUCGGUACGUUACUUGCCCGAGAUUCAAUCGUCGGUAUCCCAAUACCUCGUUCAAUCUCGUUACCGGCAAGUCACUUUACUCAUACCGUAAUGCAUGAUCCCGUGACCAGACACUUGGUCACUUUGAGCUCAUUGUGAUGAUGCAUUACCGAGUGGGCCCAGAGAUACCUCUCCGUCAUACGGAGUGACAAAUCCCAGUCUUGAUCCGUGUCAACCCAACAGACACUUUCGGAGAUACCCGUAGUAUACCUUAAUAGUCACCCAGUUACGUUGUGACGUUUGGUACACCCAAAGCACUCCUACGGUAUCCGGGAGUUACACGAUCUCAUGGUCUAAGGAAAAGAUACUUGACAUUGGAAAAACUCUAGCAAACGAACUAUACGAUCUUGUGCUAUGUUUAGGAUUGGGUCUUGUCCAUCACAUCAUUCUCCUAAUGAUGUGAUCUCGUUAUCAAUGACAUCCAAUGUCCAUAGUCAGGAAACCAUGACUAUCUGUUGAUCAACGAGCUAGUCAACUAGAGGCUUACUAGGGACAUGUUGGUGUCUAUGUAUUCACACAUGUAUUACGAUUUCCGGAUAACACAAUUAUAGCAUGAAUAAAAGACAAUUAUCAUGAACAAGGAAAUAUAAUAAUAAUCCUUUUAUUAUUUCCUCUAGGGCAUAUUUCCAACACACUUAUCUUCCAAGCCUUCCGCUGUUAUAGUUAUUAGAUGGCCUUAAGCCAUAUUUAUUGUAAUAAGUUCUCUAUGGAGACACUCGAUGUAAUAAGUGUGUGAUUGCUACUCUGUUAUAAAUCCUCCGAGUACUGUGUGGUGUCAGCAUUACUGAUCCAGGGAUGACACCUGAGCACAGAGAUCAGACCGUUUGAGGUCUGGUCACUACACUUGGGGGAGGCUUCUCCGAUUACUUAAUGCUUUGCCUGAUAAUCCUCUAAAGAAAAAUGAAAUACUUGAUAUCUUUUAUAAUGGACCAACCGAUGCUUCUAGAGACCACCUGGAUAGUUGUGUUGGUUGUGUUUUCAUGGAAAGAACUGUUGAGCAAGCUGAAUUGCUAUUGAAUAAUAUGUUGAAUAAGAUGAACCACCUCCUAAACCAACUCUGAAGAAAAGGGGUAUUCUAUUUCUCAGUCCUGAAGAUAUGCAAGAGGCAAAGAAAUCUAUGAAAGAAAAAGGUAUUAAAGUUGAAGAUGUUAAGAAUUUACCACCUAUUGAAGAAAUACAUGGUCUUGAUAACCCGACACAGGUAGUAAAGGUAAAUUCUCUCUAUAGAUUUGAUGAAGGUGGUAUUCCUCAUUAUAAGUCUGCUAGCCAAUGCUUAGAUGAGUUUGAUAAUUUUAUUGUUAAACAAGAAAACUUCAAUGCUUAUGUUAGUAGACAAUUGAAACGUAAUGCUUAUAUGAUUGAACACUUGAGUGAUUUUAUGUCUUGAGUUAAAGGUGAACUUAAAAUUAUUAGUAAACAUGCUUCUAUGGUUACCACUCAAGUAGAACAAGUACUUAAAGCUUAGAAUGAUUUGCUCAGUGAAUUAAAUAAUAAGAAAAAUGAUAAUGAUGUUAGAGUUAUGACUAGAGGGGUAGAAUGACUCAGGAACCUUUGUAUCCUGAGGGCCACCUUAAGAAAAUUGAGUAAGAUUCUCAGAGAACUAAUGUUGACGCACCUAGUUUUUCUAAGAAGAAGAAAAAUAAAAAUGAUAGGCCUUUGCAUGCUUCUAGUGAACCUGUUGUUGACACACCUGAGAAUCCCAAUGAUAUUUCUAUUUCACAUGCUAAAACACAAUCUGGUAAUGAACAUGAACCUAGUGAUAAUAUUAAUGGUGAUGUUCAUGUUGAUGCUCAACCUAGCAAUGACAAUGAUGUAGAGAUUGAACCUGCUGUUGAUCUUGAUAACCCACAAUUUUGUCUAGUUCCGAUGGAGGAAUCUUCGACCAUCUAUGAUAUACCGAAGCCGUGUCAAAUCUAGACGGGAAUCUGCACGAGUUUAGGGCGUUGUCUCCAGAGCCCAGCUCGGCGGUCCUUUGGAAGAUCCGACCGUUCAUCUACUGCGGAAUUCCCAUAUCUACCACCCCUCCAAAUUUCAGCUCCAUCCGACGGUUCAAACUUCGGGAACCUUCCGAUGAGUGGACCAAUUUUCAGAUCUAUUUUCUACGCGAAUACGGAUCCGACCCGAAUUCAUGUUUCUUUAUGAACAUGAUAUUGGACAACUUUUUUAGAGUUCUCUUCUAGGGUAUUAUGUGUCGUUUUUAAACAUGUGCCAGUAAAAUUUUAAGACUCCCCUCAGGUCAUCUUCAUCAUCAUGCUGGUGUCAAACCAGUCUGGCAAUAUUGCUCCAAGGCUGCCGACCUGCGCUAGACAUGUCGUCACUUUGCUGAGCCGAGCUCAACUUCUUUGGAUCAUCAUCUCGACAAGCCGAACAAGAGUUCGGCAUAGCAAAGGAUAAAUCAUCACCAACAUCAUCGCCCCACGGAUUACACGGAGCGGGCACACCGGCAUCGAUGCACGGUCACUUCAUCAAGCUGGCAUUGACCACGUCACGACCUACAUUGGCAGGGCCGCACUGUUUCUCCUUCAAGCCAAUGUCCAUGCAGCCGACCUACUUCGACUCAUCGGCUAACAUUGAGGCUUUGACAUCUCUGCUGGACCGGGGGCUUCGCCAUCUCUUCAUCAACCUACUCCGGAGACUUCGGCGUCACUAGCCGACCAGCUCCGUCACGUUAGCUGGACCGAGGGCUUUGCCUCGGCGAGCCAACCUUUGCCAGCAUCGCCAUGACGUCGCUUUAUCGCCCAUCAGGCAAUGGGUGUGCGCAUCGAGUCGAAAUUUUGGGAAUCACCUUUCUUCGGAUUGCUACAACAAAUAAACCAGGUGCUAUUAAUCCUAGUAUUUUUUGCUUGUUUGGGUUCAUUUUUCCCAAGGAAUUAUUACUCUGGUUUGUCCAUCACUAGUACAAAUGCCCGUGCGUUGCACCGGGCAAAAAAUGAAAUGUAACCUGCUCCACGUGCCAUUAUGCAACAUUUUUUAAUUUAAUUUUUUCAAACAUCAGAGAUAAGAUUACACUGAGUAUUUCUUUUUGUACGAUGAAAUUUGGACGUCAGAAAUAAGUACAUAUGUACCGAUCUUCUAAGACUGCUCGCGUCAACGAAGCACAUUCAAGUAUUCUACUGACCUGUUUCUUCUUGUGGUCGGAUUUUGGAAGAGAAUCAUCAUUCAACACAAGCUUGUUCACUCCCCAAUAGAUGGAAGUAAUGACAAGCCCAAGAAGUACCACUAUGCCCAUCAUUCCUUUCAAAGAUACUUCCCAACCAUCAACUCUUGGACCCAUUGUCCUGCGCAAAUUUGAGAAAUACUUCACAGUACACCCAGAAAAGAUAAGGGCAAUAUUUUAUUUACCCCAAGCCAAAUAGAGGGUAGAAUUCUUUUGCUUCAUCAACUGUGGUGAUAUGAAAAAGAUUUAAUCAACUCAACUAGAGCACAAAGGGCUAUCAUUUAAUAAGAAAGCUGACCAAAUAUGAAAUAAAUACUCAAACUCAAAAUUCCAUAUGGCAGGCACAAUAACGACAUGGACAAAUGGUACCUCAAGGAAUUAAAACUGAGGUAAGGGUUGCGGUCAGUGACCGGAAGUAGAAUAUGCUUAACUUGGGACAGAGCAUCAAUUGCUAAAGAACAUCCAGAUUCAGUCACUUCAGCCCUCACUGGUUAGAAAGCAAAGGCAAACAAACAUCAAACAGUAGGUCUCAGAUCAACCAUCCAUCAUACCUCUUCAAACAUAAUCAGAAGUAAGGAUGUUCCUUGCAAGUUUGAUUACAAGUCACCACAAAUUUCCCUGCUUAGAACAAAGUCAAGCAUGGUGAACAAUUCACUAACUUCGGUGCAGCAAAGGAAGGCGAAUACAUUGUCAGAAACGCAACUAUGCUUGGUCAGACACACAAUCAUUAGAACAUCACAUACAAAAAAAUCAGCAGUAGCAACCUGAACCCGCUGCACCUCACUCCAAGUGAAAGCAAAAUAACUAAUCUUCAGUACACGUAGUGACAGUACAAAGCGACGGCCAAGCAAUCGGCGUACAAAUCUCAAGAAGACUUCAAGUCAGAGGCCGCCACCCGCGCGCCUCUGCGGGGAACCCAGCCGGGGGCCAAUGGGCCAUAGCCAUGGGCACCACCGUCUGGGGAAGCAGCUCCGGGGCCGUGCCGGCGGCCGGUAGCACUGCCCCCGCGGUGCGCACCGAAGGCCAAGGCUGCGCCGUGGGUGCCGCCUCUGUUGCGGGCUGGUGCGCUGUAGAACCCUGCCUUGCCGACCAUGUGCCAUCGCCCCGCAGAGCGUCUUGGCCAAAAAUAUGAAACAUAAUGCAAUGGCAUGUUUAAAACUUUUUAUAAAGUAAAAAUAUUUCAGAAAAAUAGACAUCACAGUUUUCCAUAUGUAUCACACAAUAAUGUUUAGACUUUGUAGUUUUUUCUAAGAAGGUUGACCGCAUAUUCAAUACCAGUUGUUGAAAUAGGAACAUAUAGUUCUGCAUUUCCACUCUACACAUUGUUAUUUCAACAAAAAUGAAUCCAUUUUUAGAUAUUUUUCAUAUUUAUGAACUUCAAAUUGCUCAUUGUUUGAAGUAUUCGACAGUCUGUACAUAGCCAGGGCAAGAUUGGAAAGAUGAUGAUAAGGGUAAGAAGAUGGACCAGACACCAGAUUAGUGGACGACUAUGGGAUGACCUCAUAAUUCAGAAGGGAGUCAAAGUAAUACUCCCUCCGUUCCAAAAUAGAUGACCCAACCUUAUACUAACUUUGUAUUAAAGUUAGUACAAAGUUGAGUCAUCUAUUUUGGAACGGAAGGAGUACAUGAUAAGACAUCCUUAAAUUCAGCAUUCAAGGUCGUAAUAAUAUCCUGAUACUACAGAUAUGCUGACAGCAGAGCACAGUGUCCGUACCAAGUGGAACCAAACUUGUAGGCAAGUAAACCUGACACCAUACCAAUAUGUAAAUAAGAAGCAAAAGCGCAAGGAAAACAUAGCUCACACAAAGGACCGAGAAUUAGUGGCAUAAAUUACCAAAAGCAACCGGUUGUCCUAUAGUUCAAAUCAAAUUCUAAAGCAGAGGCUGAAUAUGGUAGAGACCCGUCAUCUUUUUAUUUUAAAACUUGUAGCGCCAGGAAUUACUUAGGGACAUUGUACACUGCAACAAUUUAGUGUUUGCUUGUACAUCACCGAGGACAUAUAGCUCCAUCUAUAAAUUCAGUAAAUUUGUACAAAUUCAGUAUAUUGACAAGGAUCAAUAUGUAGCUAAGCACCCUCUCAUAUUGAUUGUUGUCUACCUAUACACGGGGCAAAUUAGUUACCCACACACAUAUACACACACACAUGGGGAUCUAGAAGAAGAAAAAUCGGAUCAUCUGUAGGUGUUAUAUCUUUGCAGAAGGUAAAACCUUAGUGGUACCCUAAGUAAAAUUCAAUGUGUGUAAACUGAUCUGACAAGUGAAACUUUAAUUCAACAGACAUGGCAAUCAUUAAUUCCGAUAAGAAGACAUGCUUGAUUAUAUGAUCUAAACAACAGCCUUGUUAUAUUACCUGACGAUAUAGGGAUGACUGAAACUUAAAGUCCAUAAAUUAAGAAGUAAUAGGUCACAGGUUGCAGAAGAGGACCACGCUUGAAUUUCCAAAAGUUUAUCAAAUGAUCAAAAAGUCCAGUUUGAGACGCUAUCAUCUGCAGCAGGGAAGUAUAGUAACAUCAGGGCAGUAUAGUUAGAAGCAAAAAUAAUGCAACUAAGCAAUCAUGAUGGAAAAGGUAAAACUAAUACAAAUAGAGUACUACAGAGAACUACCAAUAUCACUGAUAAGUACUGAAUCCAAC